rnacentral:lncRNA from 1 species
AUGGUUUGCUUCAUUACUUCACCUUCUCCCAACAAUUUGGCAACGCCAAAAUCUCCAACAUGUGCAACCAUGUCUUCAUCUAGUAAAAUAUUUCUUGGUUUUAUGUCACAAUGAAUUAUAGGUGUUGGAUGUCCAUUGUGGAGGUGUUCUAUAGCUCCCGCAACAUCUAUCAUUAUGUCGACCCUUUGUAUGAUAUCAAGGAAACAAAUUUCAGAGUGUAACCAUUUCUCAAGGUUUCCAUUAGACAUGUAAUCAAGCACCAAGGCUUUGAAGUCAACACUUGAGCAGCAAGUAAUGACCUUCACAAUAUUACGAUGAACUAUAUUACGCAUAGCAUCACAUUCAAUGUCAAAACUCCUAAAUGCUCCCUCUGUUUGCAAAUUGAAAACUUUUAUUGCAACUUCCAUUCCAUCUGAAAGCCUCCCUUUAUAUACAUAUCCAAAACUCCCUGAACCAAGCAUAUUGCUUUCCUCAAAUCCAUUAGUUGCUCGUGAAAGUUCAGCAUGUGAAAUUCUUCUCGGUGUCUUCAAAGACAACAAAUCAUCUUUAAUUGGUAGAGUUGUACUUCUCCUUUGGCAACUUCUAUACAUAAUAGUUAAGACUGUUAGUACUACGACAAUACCAAUUGUUGUAAACCAUACCUAAAAGCAUGCAAUAUAAUCAUUUGGGAGUUUUUGUGGAUGUCGUUUUUGCAAGGUGGGACUAGCAAUCUAGGUGGGCCACAAAGUGCAUAAUUCUUCAUGAAUGAUGUGCUAGAAAAGUUUGAAAAACAUCCUUUGCUGGGAAUUUCCCCUUCAAGUCUAUUGAAAGACACAUUAAAAUACUUUAGAUAUAAAAGCUUUUCCAAAGAUUUGGGAAUGACUCCAGAGAGAUUGUUAUUGCAUAAAUCCAAGAAUUCCAAACUAAUCAAUCCAUCAAAUGAUUCAGGGAUAUGACCAUGUAGUAUAUUAUUUGAUAAAUCUAAUGAAACCAAAGUUUGAAGACCCCCAAAUGUGGAUAAGAUAUCGCCCGUGAGAAGAUUCCUUGAUAAAUUUAGUUUCAGUAGACUCCUAAGAUUUCCAACAUCAAUAGCAUGUGAAUUGUGAAGAUGGUUUGAUGAUAAAUCUAUUUUUAAGAUAUCUUUAAGAUUCCACAAAGUUGAGGGUAUUGCAGAACUCAAUUUGUUGGAAUGUAACCAAAGAUAUCCCAAAGAAGUAAUAUUACCCAAACAAGAGGGUAUAGAUCCAUGCAGCUUAUUCAACCCUAAAAACAAGUUGUAUAAUCUCUCCAAAUCACAAAGGCUUUCUGAGAUGGGCCCUCCUAAUUUAUUAGAGGAAAGACCUAGACUUUGGAGAUUCCGCAGUCCUCCUAUUGAUGUUGGAAUGAAUCCACUUAAUUUAUUAUAGCCAAGUUCUAAAAGCAACAUGUUGCUUAAGUUACCUAUUUCCAUAGGAAUAGUGCCUUGAAGCUCACAAUCUUCGGCAUAAAAGUAUUGAAGGGAUUUUGAAAGGUUCCCAAUAUAAGUAGGAAGAACGCCACUCAAUGGAUUUUCUGAAACUCCUAUGGUUUUCAAAUUCUUACAAUUCGUCAAAGAAGAAAGAAAGCUCCACUCAUGAUCAGUAGCAGAUCCUGUGAUCAAAUUAUUGUUUACGAUUCGGAACCAUUCAAGCUGUCUUAAGUUGCCAAGCGUUUUAGGGAUUGGGCCAGAGAAUAAGUUAUCUCCCAAGUCUAGUUUCGUAAGCAUGGAAGCAUUGGAGAUAGAGUAGGGAAUGUUUCCGCUAAGUUUAUUUCCCCCCAAAAAAAGAAACUCAAGCUUUGGAGCAUUGGUAAUGGGUGGUAAAUUACCUGUAAAAUAGCAUCUUUUAGUAUACAUAUUAAUUGAAUACCAAAUUCAUAAAAUAUAUAAUACAUUAAAAUAAAAACUGUAAAACUUCAAAUCAAUUAAGAAUAAAAUUUUGGCAUGGAAAAAUGUGAUGAAAUCAAUUAGAAAGUUGAGACAUAAUAAGAAGUUUUGAGUAGUAAUUACUCAUGAUUUCUAUAGACAAAACAUAUAAUACACUGAUAAUUUUUUAUAAUUUUUACAAUAUUUACAAUUUCUAACAAUUUUUAAUAAUUUUAUUAUUUAAUACAAAUUUAAAAUUUAACAAUUUUUUAUUUUUUUAAAACAAUUAUAUAUUUAUAAUGUAGUUAUUUUUUUUAUAAUUUUUUUUGAAAUUUUAAAGAUUUUUUUGGUUUUUUUUCUAGAUGAUGAUGCCAUCAUGAUGACAUCAUAUGCCACAUGGCAAUUUAUAAUUAGUUAAAUAUCUCAAUCCAUUUUUCUAACGUCAAAUGGACUAAAACAAGAACACCUGAUAAUGUUAGAGACUACACUUGGAAUGUUUGAUAAUAUCAGGUACUAAAGUGGGCAAAAAAAUUAAGGACUAUAUUAAAAAUAUAUCUAUAAUAUAUAUAAAUGCAUGGAUUUUGAGAAACUUUUGAAAUGAUAAUUAUAUAGUCUUUGUUUUUUUUACUAUAUUAUUGAAUUUUUUAUUUUAAAUAUUUUUUAUUACUUUUAAGAUUUAUCAUAUGUAUGUAUAAGAAUUUUGGUUUUACUAAAAUAUUUGGUCAAAUAAAUUCACUUUAUCAAAAAAUCUAGCAUCCUUAUAAAUAAAAAUUUUGAUUCUAUUAAAAAAAUUAUUUUAAAAAAUAUAUAAUAAAAAUUUAAAAUUUAUAUUGAAUUACUUUAUACUUAAAUUAUUAUUAGAAACUUUAUCAUACACAUACGUGCAUUAGAACCAUGUAUUUAGAACUUAAAUUUGUGUUUUAAAAUAACUUAUGAUAAAUAAUGAAAUGUAUAAUUUGAAACUAUUUAAUAAUAACACAUGACAUAUCUACCAUAUUAAAAUAAAAAUAGAUUAAAUUGUAAGUAAAACAUAAUUUAAACAUAUGAAUACAUCAAAUUACGAAUACUAAAUGAAUACAGUUAUUUAUGAUGAUGUUGUUGUCAAUUCCUAAGUUGGUGUCGAGUUAAUUUGUGACAUCAUAAAUUUAAGUGAUAAAUUUAAGGUUUUAUGUAUUGAUGCGGAUUCAAAUAUCACCAUAAUUUUUUUUAAAUAAAAAACUAAAGUACCCUCAAAUAAUAUAACUUAUAUUAAAUAUGAAAGGGUAGUUUUGUAAUUUCUCUAACGAGUUGGUGCCCGGUUGACUCAUGACACCAACUCAAUCAAAAGCUUCAAUAAUAAUAUAGAUAUUCACGUUAAAAAAAAAGUACUUUAGUUCCAAAUAAUUAUAUAACAAGUAAAUUUAUAAUUGAUGAAUAAAUUUAUAAAAAUAUAUUUAUAUGAUCUAAUAUAUUAUAUUUAUAUUAAUUAUAUAUCAUCUACAAACUUUGAAGAUCAAUUCAUUAAGUAUCAAGAAAGGAAAAAAAUGAAAUUGAAUUAACACUAAAUCAAUUUUUAGAUUUUGUACAGAUGAUUUAAUGAUGAUAAAAAAAUUAUUAGCACUAUUUUUGAAUUAACAAAAAAUUAGUGAUAUAUUUUAAUUAUAUUUAUUAUUUAUUAUUUUUAAUAAUGUUUUUUUAAUUAUAUGAAGUAAAAUUACAGUGUAUACUAAAUAUGGUACAUAUACUUUAAUUAUAACUAGAAAAUUUAUUAUAUAAAUUAAUAUAUUUUAAUUAUAUUCAACCAUUUGAACAACAAAAUAAAAAAAAUAAUUAGAAUAAUUUAUUUUUUAAAGUUUAAUGGAAAUUAAAAAAUUAAAAAUAAAUCAAUUCAUAUAAAUUUUGUUGUUUAUUUCAGAUGAAAAUGAUAAAAGUAUAUGACAUAAAUAGAAGAAACAAAUUCAACACCAUGUUUUUGGAGUUUGGAAAAAAUUAAAGUGAAAAACAUACCUUCUAAUUUGUUGUCAUGGAGACCUAUUUUUUCGAGCAUAGUUGAAUUAAAAAUACUUGAUGGAAUCUGACCUGCACACAUAGUCGAAAAUUGAAGUGAAAAACAUACCUUCUAAAUUGUUCAACUAAAAAUACUUUAAGCAUAUUUUUUAGUAAAGCCCUUCAAGCUUGGGAAGAUGUUGACACGUUGACACAUAUCAUUAGGCAAAGACUAAUAGCUUUCAAAGAAGAAAUCUUGAAGAUGGAAGAUGGAACCUGACCAGAUAAUUGAUUGAGUCCCAAGUUCAAGAUCUCUAGAUUAGACAUGUUAGCAAGUGUUUCAGGGAUUGUGCCUAUAAAGUUAUUAUUUUUCAUUUCCAGCCUUCGAACUCUGUGUAUGUUCCAAAGCCAUGAUGGAAUUUCCCCAUUAAGACGGUUGUAGCUUAAUCGAAGGAUCCGCAAACGAUGCAAUUGGCCCAAUUCUUUAGGGAGAUGGCCAUAGAAAUGGUUGCUACUCAAGUCGAGAGAGAGUAGAAAUGAAAGAUUUCCAAGGUGUGGAGGGAUAGUACCCCUAAGAUUCAUGCUUGUAAGAUUCAAAGCUGUAACUCUUUUAUGGAGGAUGCCACAAGAAACACCAAUCCAAUUGCAAACAGAGGUUGAGACAGUCCAAUUGUUUGGCAAGACAUUUUGAGGACCGGCGAUGCGAUCCUUAAACUCGAGAAGUGCAAACUGAUCGGAGUUGAGAUUUCUGACUGUCAUAGCCAAGCAAAGUACGGAACAUGGUAUGAAUAAAGCUAAAAGAAGAUGAAAGCAAGUGUUGUAGUUCAUGAUUGCAAGACAGAAUAAGAAAAGAAAAUAAAAUAAAAAAAAGUAGGAAAAGGGAAGUUGAGUUGAUAAAAUAGUUUGGAUGAUGAAGAAAAGCCCAGACAGCAUGCUUUAAUAUGUUUGGAUGAUAAAUUUAAACUUGAUAAAUUUAAGACUACCCUAAAAAUACGUACAAAGAAAUUUCAAAAUUUCAAAAUAAAUACGUACAAAGAAGCGAAUUUUCAAAAUUUCUCCUAAAUUUUCUUCACAUUACUCUACAUAAUCCAUUAAAAAAAACUUAAAAAAUAUAUUUUAUUAAUUACUAUAUAUUCUUUUAUUUUCAGAAUCAUAAAUUGUUUAAAAUAUGCUAUUAGUCCCUGUAAUUUAAAAGUUAAAAAAAUUCAAUCCUCCUAUUUUUCUAAUUUAAAAAUUCUAGUCCAAUCAAUUUUAAUUCCAUUAAAAAAUUUCAACUUAAUAGAUUUUUUAUUAUCAAUCAUAUGCAACAUUAUAUGAAGACAGUCUACUCAGCAUAUAUCCAAGUUUACAGAUUUUAAUAGAAAAUACUUACAAUCCUAAUGGUAGGACUAAGUUUUUUAAACUAGAAAAGUAAGAAGACUUAAUUUUUAACUUUUUAAGUACAAGGAUUAAAUUUUAAAUGUUGUCAAAGUACAAGCACUAACAAAAUAUUUUGAUCUAAUAAAUGUAAAAAACUUUUUAAACAAAAUAAGGUUUGAAAUAAUCUAUUUGUCCUUGUAAUUUUAUAAAUUUGAGAUUUAAUCUUUAUACUUAAAAGGUUAAAAAUUAAGUCUUCUUGUUUUUAUUUAAAAAUCUUAGUCCUAUUGUUAAUAUUAUUUUUUUUUUGCCAAAAUUUGUCAACUUUACAUAUUAAUUAGGUUUCCCUUAUAUGUCGUGGUAUAUGACUAACACAAAAUAAGCAAGUUGACAAAUUCUGACAAAAAAUAUCAAAGAUGAUAAUAAUUGGAUUAAAAUUUUUAAAUUGAAUUAAUAACCUUUAAUGUAUAAGGAAUGGAUAUCAAAUAUUUAUAGGAAUAAAGGGACUAACAACAUAUUUUAACCAGAAAAUAAUAUGAGUGAUUAGAAUGAAUCUAAAAUUUUAUAGAAAUAAAAGAGACUAACAACAUAUUGAUAACUUUCAAAUCUCCUUCGAUCAUCCUUUUUCUACGUAGAAAAAGAAAAUUAAUUAGCAUCUAAAGUGUCAAUUAAUGAAACCUUCAAAAGAAAAUGUGAAAGUGAUUUAUCAAACAAUAAUAUUCUAACUUAUAAUAUAUUUAAUUACAUUUAGUAAUUUAUCAAUCAAAACUUAUUUAACAUCCAUCAAUACUUCAUACAUAAAAAACGCAAGCAUAAAUUACCAUUUAACUCAGAUUUAACUUUGCAAGUAAACUUAAAAUUUUAUUUAAUUUUGUUACUAAAUUUGAUUUGUUCACUAUAGAGUUUGGUGACUUAAAAUAAAAGUAAUAAAAAGUUAUUCUUUCAGAUAUCUUUUUAAUGUUUAAUAAUAAAUUAAUUUAUAAAAUAUACUUUCAUUGGACACAGGCCUCCAAAGCGGUGAACCACUAAUCAAAUUAAUUUGGGGAUACCUAAAUUUGUUUUCAUCAAUUAAGAAAUUUAAAAAAUUGUUGAGACCUCAUGAUUAUCUUUUAUAAUUUCAGUCUUAUCACCAAAAACUAAAAAAUAAAAACGUCGACAUUAAAUUUGUUGGUAUGCAAUCAAUUUUAAGAUGGUUUUUGGGGUUAUAUAUCACUUUAGCAUUGACUUACUUUUCUACUCUUAGUCUUCUCCAACAAGUUAAAUAUUUGAAUUUUAACAACAUUGGCAGGUCUUUGGGGUAGGGUCGACCAAAACUUAAUAGAAACAGAUGAUAUAGGUUGAGUUGGCUCGGCCAAGUCGAGUCGACUUGUUCAAAUUAUUUAAAUUAGUAAAUUUUAGGGUGCAGUUAGAAUUUUUUGUUUUGAGAUGCUAAGAUUAAAAAAUUUCAGUUGCUAAAACAAAAAAUUUGUAUUUAAAAAGGCAUAAAUUAAAUAAUUAAGUUUUUCAAGUUUCCAUUUAAUCAAAGGUUAAAAGGACUAAAUUGAAGCUUUUUAUUUUUAAGAAAGGCUGAAUGCCAAAUUGCCCAAAGCCCAUGCCCCUAGCUAUACAACUAACUUUUCUAUGAUUAGUCCUUGGUUUGCUUUGGGUGGAAUCUUCCAACUAGCCUCAUCCUUCGUUUUACUUUCCAACAAUUAGUUUAUCAUGAGUUUUGUUUUCUUUAAAAAAAUAUUUUUGUGGAUAUUAGGAGAUAAUGAAAAUUAAUUUAGUAUGAAAUUUUAAUAAAACUGGAAAAUAAGUAAUUUAUUUAAGAGAUCACAAUUAAACGUUAGAUUUCCAAUUUUUAAAUUUUAAAUUAUUUUGACAAUUGCAUAAUAUUUUGAGCAUUGUAGGAAUGCCAUAAUCUUCCCUACGCAUAAUCGACUCUUGAGCAUGAUGGAUCCUAGGCCUUCUCCUCUAUUCUCGUACCACAAACUGCUUCGAGUGUGGAUUCGAACAAUCACAAAUUAAACACAAAACCAGAAAUGAUUUAUUACUUUCAAUAGCAAAGUAAUUCUCUCUCAAUAGAAACCAAUAGAAUUGUAAUUCCUAAAAAAUAAAAUUUAUUUUUGGAAAAUAUAUUCCCACUACUUUCUAGCAGAAUAAUAAUAUGUGAAACUUAUGUCUUGUGUUAAUAGCUCUACCAGCACUAUCUAUUUAUAGGGAGAGACGAGAAUCCUGGUUGACUUAGUAAAACACGAAUAAUAUUUAUUUCAUUGAAAACAAUAUUCCACCCUAAGUAGAUCAAGUUUGUAUGACGCAUGGAUCGAAGCUCAAUCUAGGAGAAAAAAAAAAGGAAUUUUCUUUGUAAAGAAAAUCUGAGAUUGUACUAUUUUCAAAGUUAUAAAUAAAAUUAUAAGCUAAAUUUUCAAGUCAAUUUUCAACUCCAAUUUUGUAUGCACAAAUUUCUAAUACACUUGGUGGGACAUUCUUUGACUUUUAUCUAUUCUCUCAAAAAGUUAAAGUUCAAAGUUGCAUUAAACUCAAAGAAGAUAAUCAUUAGUAAACCAGCUCACAAGCCUGCUCAAGCUAAUCCUACAACUUGUUCCACUUCAUCAUCAAACACCAAUGUUCUUGCUUAUCCUUAUGGAAUUAAACAGUCUCAUUUUCUGCAUUUUGGAUACACACCUAGUUUUGUUUGAUGCUAAAACAGUCCCUGAGCACUCCAAAGCCUAUAAUUGAACAAAUAACACUAAUUUAAUCUUACAUAACGUGAUCCCAAAUUGAACUUGUAUCGAGGUUUUAACCCAUAAGUGACUAAACUUUACCUUCAACCGAUGAACAGUAAUUCCCACAUAAACUAAGACUCCGAUUGGCGAUUACGAGCCCUUGAAUCCUCCCCUAAUUGGCAUAAACAAAACACUUCAGAAGAAAGUUAACAAACAGAGACAAAUCACUUAUCUAAAACUUACUGAAUGAUCACAGACAAACGUGGAGCGACACAAGGCAGAGUGGGAAAAGAAAAAUCAAGAGGAUGAAGGGUGAAAGAGAGCAGAAAUUCGGUAGCAAUAAAGAGAAAACGGUAAGAGGGUGGAGGGAUUUUGGGGAAAGUAAAAAAAAAAGAUGAACAGAAUAUUUGAUAACUACCCCAAUCCCUUAUUUCUCUCCAUCAAACUCUCCACUAAAUCCACUACUCGAAUUUUUAGUCCAUCUCAAACUCUCCUGGACGCAUGAGCAAAAAAUAAUGCCCAUGCCAAAAUUUGAACACAUGACCUCCUUCACACCAACACUCCACUUAUCCACUAGACCAACAGGCUCAUUCUUUUAAUUAUUUGUCAACUUUUACUUAAAAGCCUACUGACCAAAAAAUACCAAAAUUUGCCCAAGUCCUAGAUUGAACUUGGGACCUCCCAAACACACCCAGAACACAUAGCCAAUUUUCAAGCAAUCUGACAUGAAUUCUCAAUCACAAUUAAUUGAAUUCAAGAUAUAUUUGGAUGAGAAGACAAAUAUUUCAAUUUUAACACAAACCAAUGCUUGGGAUGAUUUGGGAUAAGAACUCCAACAUUUUAAGAUCACAUUUUCUUUUAUAAUUUCAGGCUUAUCAACUAUUUUGAAAACAACAAAACGUCUUACACCAAAAACUAAAAAAUAAAAACUUCGACAUUAAAUUUGUUGGUAUGCAAUCAAUUUUAAGAUGGUUUUUGGAGUUAUAUCUCACUUUAGCAUUGACUUACUUUUCUACUCUUAGUCUUCUCCAACAAGUUAAAUAUUUCAAUUUUAACAACAUUGACAGGUCUUUGGCCGAAUAAUUUUAAACGUCUCAUCAUUGCAAAAAUGAAAUAAUAGAAAAGAAAGAGUAGCCAUUUUAUGAAAUCUAUAAUUCCAACUGUGAAUAAAAUAUAAAUUUUAUGAAUGUGGACAAGCCAUUUUAUUUAUAAUUUUCUGUGUUUUUCUGACUUUUUUUAAGUCAUUUUCUUUGUUUCCUAACCAAAAAAUUUGCCCAUCACUUUAAAUAUAAAUUUAAAUAUAAAUUUUCUUUUUAAAAUAUAAAUUACUUGUCACAAUUCAUAUUUCUAAGUCAAUUUGCCAUCACUUUAACAUACACUAACUGUUCUAUGAUUAGUCCUUGGUUUGCUUUGGGUGCAAUCUUCCAACUAGCCUCAUCCUUGGUUUUACUUUCCAACAAUUAGUGUAUUACGGGUUUUGUUUUCCUUAAUAAAUAUUUUUGUGGAUAUUAGGAGAUACUGAAAAUUAUUUCACUAUGAAAUUUUAAUAAAACUGGAAAAUAAGUAAUUUCUUUUAAGAGAUCACAAUUAAACAUUAGAUUUCCAAUUUUUAAUUUUAAAGUUUUUUGACAAUUGCAUAAUUAAUAAGGUACCAAUUUUGAGAGUUGUAGGAAUGCUAUAAUCUUCCCUACGCAUAAUUGACUCUUGAGCAUGAUGGAUCCUAGACCUUAUCCUCUAUUCUCGUACCAGAAAUUGUUUCGAGUGUGGUUCGAACAAUCACAAAUUAAACACAAAACCAGAAAUGAUUUAUUACUUUCAAUAGCAAAGUAAUUCUCUCUCAAUAGAAACCAAUAGAAUUGUAAUUCCAAGAAAAUAAAAUUUAUUUUUUGAAAAUAUAUUCUCACUACUUCCUAACAGAAUAACAAUAUGUAAUACUUAUGUCUUGUGUUAAUAGCUCUACCAGUACUAUCUAUUUAUAGGGAGACACACGAGAAUCCUGGUUGAAUUAGUAAAACACGAGUAAUAUUUAUUUCAUAGAAAACAAUAUUCUACCUUAAGUAGAUCAAGUUUGGAUGACGCAUGGAUCGAAGCUCAAUCUAGGAGAAAAAAAUAAAGUAAUUUUCUUUGUAAAGAAAACCUGAGAUUGUACUAUUUUCGAAGUUAUAAAUAAAAUUAUACGCCAAAUUUACAAGUCAAUUUUCAACUCGAAUUUUUUAUGUACAAAUUUCUAAUAGACUUGGUGGCACAUUUUUUGAAUUUUAUCUAUUCUCUCGAAAAGCUAAAGUUCAAAGCUGCAUUAAACUCAAAGAAGAUAAUCAUUAGUAAACCAGCUCACAAGCCUGCUCAAGCUAAUCCUACAACUCGUUCCACUUCAUCAUCAAGCACCAAUGUUCCUGCUUAUCCUUAUGGAAUUAAACAAAAGACAAAAGCUCUCUAAGAGUUAUUUGAACAGACAAAAUAUUCAGAUGUGUUGAGAUGGAAAGUGACAACGCAAAGUUGAUUGAAACUAUUUGUAACGGGUUGGCUACAAUAAGUAGUGUUGUGAAGUAAGAUAGAUUCACGAUUGGUGUUCCAAAAUUGAGUAGCUAGUUAUCUUGGAAGAUCCUCCACAUUAUGUGAGAUGCUGGCUUGAAGAAGAUAUUAGACAAUUGCUAGUGACUGAUGAUAAUUUUCAUUUGGACUGAUGCUUGCUUAAUUUUCUAAGCUUAUGUUCAACCAAAAAAAAAAAAAUUAAAUAUGUCUAAAUGAUCAUAGAGUUAACAUUUAGUGUAUAAAAAAUUAAUAUAUAAUUUGUUUUCAAUUGUAGUUUAGUUCUAGAAAUACCAACGAUGAACCUUAAAACGGAAAUGAAAAUUACAAAAAAAAAAACAAACCACAUCUAUUAUCAAACCAACAAUCCAUGUCUAAACUUAAAUUAACAAAAUUCGUUACGCAACUCGGUACACUAUUUUAUAUAAUCAAUAUAUUAGAUUUAUUCUUGAUGCACAUGUUUUAUUAUAGUUAAAAAUUAAAAUAUAUGAUUUACUAAGUUUUAAUUGAAUUAGUAUUGGUAUUAUAUCAGUGUAGGAAAAUGUGAGUUUAAUCGUACUUAAAUAUGUAUCCUCCAACUCAACAGUUGGGAAAAGGUUAUUGAUAAUUAAAUUAUACCAAUUUUUACAAUAUCUAAAAAGCAUUCAUAAACAUAUUCAUAUUGAUGGGCUCUUUCAUUAUUAAACUUUUUUUCUCUCACAAGUAAAAGUACUUGUGGUGAGGAUCAUGUAAAAUAAUAAACUGAAUAAUUUUAAACGUCUCAUCAUUGCGAAAAUGAAAUAAUAGAAAAGAAGCCAUUUUAUGAAAUUUACAAUUCCAACUGUGAAUAAAAUAUAAAUUUUAUGAAUGUGGACAAGCAAUUUUAUUUAACUUUUUUUAAAGUAAUUUUCUUUGUUUCCUAACCAACAUGAAAUUACUUGUCACAAUUCAUCUUUUUAAAUGAGAAACAUUUUCAACAAUUUGCCAUCACAUCAACAUACACUAACUUUUCUAUGAUUAGUCCUUGGUUUGCUUUGGGUGCAAUCUUCCAACUAGCCUUAUCCUUGGUUUUACUUUCCAACAAUUAUUGUAUCCUCCUCAUUACUUUUACUUACCGACGGAUGAAAAAUUCACUGAUCAAAUUAAUUCAAAGAUUUUUUUUUUCUAAAUCAAGUGAAUUCACGAGUUUUAUUUUCUUUAAAAAAUAUUUUUGUGGAUAUUAGGAGAUACUGAAAAUUAUUUUACUAUGAAAUUUUAAUAAAAUUGGAAAAUAAGUGAUUUAUUUAAAGGGAUCACAAUUAAACAUUAGAUUUUUAAUUUUUUAAUUUUAAAUUUUUUUGACAAUUGCGUAAUUAAUAAGGUACUAAUUUUGAGCAUUGUUGGAGUGCUAUAACCUUCCCUAUGCAUAAUCGACUCUUAAAUUCACUUUUUUCUCUAGAAUUUUAACAAACUUACAAAAUGAUUUAAUGAUAUUUAAUUAUUGAUGGGUAAAAAAAUUAUAUCAUAUAAAUUCCGAAUAAUUAAUUAUAUAUCUACAUAUUAUAACCAAUUCAUCUUUCAAAAUUAUUUCCUUAUAAUUAAAGCAAAAAUUAUAUUUAUAAAAUUCUAAAUAUAUUAUAAUUCUUGUAAAUAUAUAUAUUUACAUAUAUAAGUCCAAAUUGUAAUAGAGUUAACAUUUAUUGUAUAAAAAAUGUCUUGAAAUUUUUUUUUUCAAUUUCAAAAGAACUAUUCCAUUUAUAAAACCAUAAAACUUUAAAAAUAUAAACUCUAUUAAAUAAAAAUAAUAAUAUUUUUAAACAAUAAAUAUUGACUUUAUUUUAAAUUGACAUUAUCUAAUUCUUUUUAAUAUGUAUCGCUAAGCUUUACAUUAAUAUACAUGAUUUAUUUGUUCGUUAUUAUUAUUAUUAUUAUUAUUAUUAUUAUUAUUAUUAUUAUUUCUAUGAUUAUUAUAUUAUACUUAUCGGACUACAAUCAUAACCAUGUCUAUUAUCAUUCGAUAAAAAAAAAUUAAGUGUUGAGUAUAAUGACAAGGCACAUUACACUCUGAAGGGGAGAUUAAGGUUUGGACAAAGGAAGAAUAUGAUUCAAAUUUUGGAGACAACAUUCUUGAAAUGAGCAACCAUAAACCCCGAUUAUGAACCAUAAAACGAUCAUGAAAAGUACCCAAAAAAACACAUUUAUUACCAAAUAGUAAUCCAUCUAAGGAUUAAAUUAACAAAAUUCACCAUCCAACCGUGUAGACUAUUAUAAAUAUAUAUACUAUAUUUAUUCUUCAUGCAAAUGUUUAUUAUAUUUAAAAAUUAAAAUAUAUGGUUGAUUGAGUUUUAGUUGUGUUAAUAUUGAAAUUAUUGUCAGUGCAAAAGAACAUGAGUUCAAUCAUGUUUAAAUACGUUUUAUACUCCAAUUUAGGAGUUGGAGAGGAUUCUCAAUAGUUAAAUUAUAUUAGUUUUUGUCUAUUUAAAAAUGAUUUAUAAAUAAUAUAAGUAGAAAAUUUUAAAAAAAAUACAUAUUCAUAUUGAUCGGCUUUUUCAUUAUUAGACUUUUUUCCCCACAGUUAAAAGUAUUUAUCGAAUUCAAAUUUUGGGUUUUAAAUAAGGGUUUCGGAUUUUUUUUAAACAUUUGUGUGAGUUUUUGCCAAAUUUUAUAUUUUCGGAACGAAUAACUAAGUUGAUUUUUAAUUACUUUUUCAAACAAGUCGAUGUAAUUCCUCAAAAAUCUAGUCAAAGCGUCUAGGCUGGGUUUGGAGGUGUUACACUAACGUUACUAAAGUUAAUCUUAAUCUAUUUAGUCUAGAUCUAAACAUCAAUAUUCUCUUCCAAGAAAAAUCAAGAUUAUCAAAUUAUUACAACUGUGUAGCCAGACAAUCAUAUUAAAUAUGCAUAAAACAUAAUAAAUAAUUAGCGAAGAUUGAAACAAUCAAAGAAAAAAAUAAAUAAAUAAACUAAGAAAUAAGGAUCCAUUAUUGUUUCAAGAAAACAGAGUUUAGUUCAUAUUGAGUUGAGAAAACCAGAAAGGAGAUUCAAAACAAACUUGUGAUAAGGGGAACAAUGUCAAUAGAUCAUAUUCAAGUUGUUCGACUUCAGAUUUGACCUGAAAAGAAGAAACCAAACAUAUUUAGGAAAACAAGAAAAAACAAAGAAAAAAAACUAAAAUGAGAAAUUUAAGAAUAAAUAAUAAAUAUUAAAAAUAAAUAAAGAAAUUAUAGAAUAAAAAGUGGCAGAUGGAAUGAAGAAAUGAUGGAUAUAAAUAAAAGAUGGAUAUGACAUAUAGAUGAAUAAGUGUCUGAUAACUCUUGAAAAAAAGUUAUAUUUCAUGCCUUUAGACCUAGCUAAUUGCUUGUACUUAAGUAUAUUUUGUUGCUUUUUAAGACAUUUUAGUGAGCAUUUUUAAUAUUGUAUUAGGACUUAGACUGAGUUGGAAUUAGGUGCUUUUAAUCGCUUGUGGUGGAGUUUUUUGUGUGUUGGUAUGGCAGGAACAGGUUUUAGAUCGAGGAAAUAAAUGAGUGAAGUUUUGUUUGGGCAAAAGUGCAUAUAGUUUUCCAACAAGGAUGCCGUGGCAAUGCCGAGAAGACCAAGUUCAUAUUUUUUGUGCAACAGUCCUAGUUCAAAUUCAAACUUGUAUGAGAUAAAUCCCCCUAAAAGAGGAGAAGAUAAUUACAUUGAUGUUAGUUGACCCUAGCCUAAUCUAUCUAUUAAAUCCAAUGAAAGGGAUCUCACAAAUGGUAGAAAAAAGUGAGAGAGAUCUUUAGGGGUGAAUAAGGGUUUGGCUGUGCAAAGGAAAAGAAGUCAAGGGCAAUCAUUCUUAGCCUUCACAGGACGUUUUGUUGCCAAAGUGUGGACUGGGCAAGUGAAAGCUGUUUCCCAAAGUUCUUCUGUUAUUUCCAUCAGUGUUCCUUCGAAAGAUUGAAUUGAAGUAGUUGAACACAAUGUCAGAUAAUAUUUUGGUUUGAAAUUCUAUUUCCCAGUUUAUGAGCUAAAUCUCAUAAGGUUGGGAUUACUUUCGAUGAAACCUUUAAUUUUUUUUAUGGAUGCAAUAUAUAUCUAAUUUACAUUACAGUUUCAUUUGAUUGUUCUUAUUUCUUAAUUAAAAUGCAAAUGAUCUCUAGACAUAGAAGACUAUUCACAUACUUAUAAACUGAUUAUAAUUCUAAAAGGGUUGGAUUAAAAUUAAAUGAAAUGAGCAAGUAUUUGAUAGACACUUGUAGCCGACUCCAGACAUAGAGUCACGAUCAUACAGAAGGAACCCAUGCAAGAUAUCUGAAAAGCCUUUAGACACAGGCAAGGCAACUUGAGGUUAUUCUCUCACACGAGGCAGACCAUUUUAGAACUCUUCUGUGUUGUAAAGUAGAUACGAUUUUGCCAAGGCAUUAUUGACAAUAAGGGUUGAUUCUGGGUAAUCCCGACCUUCCAAAUCCACAUCGUAUAUCCUUCAUUAUUUUCCAUAGUAUCUUUUCCACAUCAUUAUUAAUUAUUUAUUUGUUCAUUUACAUAAUAUUCCCAUAGUAAUUCUCAUAAUUGCCAUUACAUUUCUACUCUCGAUUUGCCAUAGCAUUACCAAAUAUUCAUUAAUUCCACAUAUUGAUUACAUCAUUACUCUACUCAUUGCCAUUGCAUAUUUAUCAUUGACUUUGUCACAACAUUAAUUGUAUUUUAUGAUAAUAACUUGAUCGAUUUUGUGCCUCAAUCUGAUCAUCGUGGGAAUGAUACUCACUCAUCAUUUAUUACUUGAUUCAACGUGUAUACUUGCACAAAUCGCAUAUCAUUUCACAUGCGACAAUGUCCAAUUGAACCCUUUAAGAUAUAAACUCAAACAAACUCAAUUAAUGGCUUUAAUCAACCCACCAAGAAAUAAUCCUUGGCAAAUUGAAGGAUGAAUAAUGAAUUCCCAUGACUCCUUAAAGAAAAUUGAGAAGAAAACUGCUUCUAAAAAUUACAAGAAACAAUCUUGCACAAAGAAACUAACCUUGAGAGUUGGAAAUUUUAGUAACGAACAAAGACAAUUGUGUCUCUAAUGACCAUGAAAGAGCUUUACAUAGGCUAGAUAAGUACAUCCAAAUAAAAUUUCGAAGUAUCUUAAAACUUUAAUUAAUGUAAGCAAAAAGUAAUUUUCAACUAAAAUAGUCAUAAUUUCCGUAAUAAUCCCGUCUAGAAAUUCUACUCACAUAGUCAUCACUAAAAUAGUCAUCAUUUGAGCUCUUGAACUAGAAAUUGAGUGAAUAAAAGUGUGUUUGAUAGACCUUAGAACUCCAUCAAGACAUAUCAAUCGAAAAAUAUUUGGAUCCCAUCCAAAAAGUCAUUGCAAGUUAACUGAUUUUCCAAACUUGAAAAUUGGCAGCUUCAGUGAAUGAAAUUUAAUAAAGUUCACCCCAUCUGCUCAUGUAUAAACUUGCAGUGGUAAAAAGUAAAAAGAAAUAAUCUAUAGAGAAAAUAGUUGAAGAAUUUAUGACAAUUUAUUCAGACCUUUUUUUCUUCUAGCCUUUGCAAGCUUGAAGUUUCCGUUGGUGUGUGAGAGUUGUUCCUUACCCUUUAAGUUAUUUCUUUUCUUUUCCUUCUUUUUCUUUCUCUUCGAUCUCAUCACCUAAGGGUGCUCAAACAACUGAUUCAGUUAAUACCCGAACAAAGCUAUCAUUAAAUGAAAUUUUGAAACCCUUAAUCAUUAAUGAAACCAAUUUUUUGUUGAAACCUAUUAACCGGCCGGAUUGAUUUCGGUUAAUUUGUGCAGUUAACCAGAAUUUAUACAUUGUUUGUUUUUUAUCAAACAAUUUUAAAACAAAGAACAAUCCAUGACAACUUUUUCCUUGUUUUUUAUUCAAAAAUUAUUAAAAGAACUAAAAAAAAUAACAUAAUAACAACACUAAAUUAAAAACAUAAUAGCAUUCAUUACAGUACAAAUCUUUUUUCUUUUUUUUCUUUUUGUUGACUUUUUAGUUUAAUUUUAGUUUUUUUUCAAAUAUUUUAGUUUUCAUAUUCUUGUUAAGCUUAUUAUAAGAAAACUUAUAAAUCCAUUAGUUUUUAUAUAUUAGGUUUGUAUAAUGUAUUGGAGCUAUCUCUAUAAUAUAUUUUUAUUGAUUUCGGUUAAUCAAUUAAUUCGGUUAAUUAGUCGAUUUCAAACGAAACUAAUUGAUAAACAAAAUCUUCAAAAACAUUUAACCAACUCCCAACCAAAUUAGAUUCGUUGAUCGCCUGCUUAAUCAAGUUAAUCAUAUGGUAAAAUGGCAUAGUUUUGGAAUGGUUUUUUGGAAUUAUUGGUAUAGGUUUAAGUUAUGAUCUUGAGAUGUUGAGUUGAAUUAAGUUUGAUAUGUAUAUUGUGAUGCCUUCAUUGGCAUAUUGGUUAGAUAUUAAAGGAUGGUUGAUUUGGUAUGUUUUUAAAAUGGUUGUUGGUAUGUGUGAUCUAAAUUGAUUAAAUGAACUUGUAAUGUUGAAUGGUAUAAUAUUUGUUGGUACAUUAGUUAGUCUUAUAGGUUGAUGGAAUUGGUAUGUUUUAAAUGUGUUUAAAAUGUGUUUUGAUUGUUUAAAUGUUUGUGGAAAUGGUGUGUCUUGGUGUACAAGAUUUGAAAUUGAAAUGGCUUGAUUUAGAAGCAACUUAUGUUGUACACCACCUGGGACACUGGUUGUCACAUGGUUGUGUGUCAUUAUUGUUUUAGGUACAGGUUUCACACAAUCUGAGACUCGGCUCACGACAUAGCUGUGUAUCACAAGUCAGUAUGUAACACGGUUUGGUACAUGGCCUGCGACAUGACCGUGUGUCCAAACUUCGAAUGUCCACACGGUCUGGGCUAUGUCACACGGGUUGGCCACAUGGCCGUGUGACCCUUGUUUUCAAGUUUUCUAAAAUUUUCUAUUUUAUUUCAAAUUGAUCCUAGAAUAUUCUCAAACUGUUUUUAGGGCCCGUAGGUUCGAAUUAAGGCCCAUAAGUGUAUGUUUGCUAUAAUUAAGUUGUGUUAAUUAAUGUUAUUAAUUAAAUGGCAUGAAUAUUUUAUUGUAAGUUAAAUGUUUUAAUUUGAACUAUAAUGCUCCGUAACUCUAAUCUGGCGACGGAGACAGGUUUGGGGUGUUACAAUUUUGGACUUGAAAUUUGUUUUGGGGCUUUGUUCGAUGUUUGUUGGAUUUUAGUGUUUUAACAUUAAACUACAAAAUUGUAUGAUUUAACAAACUAAAAAUUAGGUUUUCAAAAUUAAAACUCUGGAAGUUUCUGUUUCAAAGAUUAAGUAAUCACUUAAGUGUUUUCCCAUAAAUAAUUAAAUGGUUUUUAACAAAUGUUUUCCUUAGUUUUGGAAAUGAUAUGCCAACAUUAGUACUUUUAAAACACAUGAUUUCAAAUUCAAAUUCUUGGUUUUAAGUAAGGGUUUUCAAACUUUGAUUUUUUUUAACAUUUGUGAGAGGUUUUUGCCAAAUUUUAUGUUUUCAGAACGUGUAACUAAGUUGAUUUUUAAUUAGUUUUUCAAACAAGUCAAUGUAAUUCCUCAAAAAUCCAAUCAUAGCGUCUAGGUCGGGUUUGGGUUGUUACACUGACGUUACUAAAGUUAAUCUUAAUCUAUUUAGUCUAGAUCUAAACAUUAAUAUUCUCUUCCAAGAAAAAUCAAGAUUAUCAAAUUAUUACAACUUGGUAGGCAGACAAUCAUAUUAAAUAUGCAUAAAAGUUAAUAAAUAAUUAGCGAAGAUUGAAACAAUCAAAUAAAAAAUAAAUUAAUUAACUAAGAAAUAAGUUCCAUUAUUGUUUCAUGAAAAUAGAGUUUAGUUCAUAUUGAGUUGAGAAAACCAAAAGCGAGAUUCAAAACAAACCUGUGAUAAGGGGAACAAUGUCAAUAGAUUAUAUUCAUGUUGUUUGACUCAAGAAAGAAAUAUUCGAAUCUAACUUGAAAAGAAGAAACCAAAUAGAUUUAGAAAAAUAAGAAAAAAAAACAAAGAAAAUAACUAAAAUGAGAAAUUUAAGAAUAAAUAAUAAAUAUUAAAAAUAAUAAAGAAAUAAAGAAAUUAUAGAAUAAAUAAUGGAAGAUGGAAAUGAAACGACGGAUAUGACAUAUAGAUGGAUAAGUGUCUGAUAAUUCUUGAAAAGAGUUAUAUUUCAUACCUUUAGACCUCACUAAUUGCUUGUACUUAAGUACAUUUUGUUGCAUAUUGAGACAUUUUUGUUCGUAUUUGUAAUAUUGCAUUAGGACUUAGAUUGUGUUAGAAUUAGGUGUUUUUGAUCACUUGUGGUGGAGUUUUUAGUGUGUUGGUAUGGUAGGAACAAUAUUUAGAACGAGGAAAUAAAUGAGUGAAGUUUAGUCAGCGCAAAAGUGCAGAUAGUUUGCCAACACGUAUGCCGUGGCAAUGUCGGGAAGACCAAGUCAACAAAUUUUUGCGCAACAGUCCUAGUUCAAAUUCAAACUUGUACUAGAUAAAUCUCCUUAAAAGAGGAAAAGAUAAUCACAAGUUGUUAACCGACCCUAGCCUAAUCUAUCUAUAAAAGCCAAUGAAGGGGAUCUCACAAAUGGCAGAAAAAAGUGGAAGAGAUCCUUAGGUGCGAAUAAUGGUUCAGCUGCGCAAAGGAAAGGAAGUUGAAGGCAAUCUUUUUUAGCCAUCACAAGACGUUGUGCUGUCGAAGUGUGGACUAGACAAGUGAAAGUUGUUUCCCAAAGUUCUUUCGUUAUUUCCGUCAGUGUUCCUUCAAAAUAUUAAAGUAGUUGAACAUAAUGUUGGAUAAUAUUUUGGUUUGGAAUUUUAAUUCCUAGCCCAUGAGCUAAAUCUCGUAGGGUUGGAAUUACUUUUGAUAAAACCUUAAACUAUUUUUAUGGAUGCAGUAUAUAUGUAAUUUACUUUACUGUUUCAUUUUAUUAUUCUUAUUUCUUAAUUAAAAUGCAAAUGAUCUCUAGACAUUGAAGCCUUUCACAUACUUAUAAACUGAUUUUAAUUCUGAAAGGGUUGGAUUGGUUGGAUUAAAAUUAAAUGAAAUGAGCAAGCAUUCGGUGGACACCUGUAGUAGACUUUAGACAUAGAGUCACGCUCAUACAGAAGGAACCCAUGCAAGAUAUCUAAAAAGCCUUUAGACAUAGGCAAGGUAACUUAAGGUUUUGCUCUCACGAGAGGCAGGCCAUUUUAGUACUCUUUUGUGCUUUAAAGUAGAUACGAUUUUGCCAAGGCAUUAUUGACAGUAAAGGUCGAUUAUGGGUAGUCCCAACCCUCCAAAUCCACAUCGUAUAUCCUUUACUCUUUGCCAUAGUAUAUUUGCCACAUCAUUAUAAGUUAUUUAUUUGUUCAUUUACAUAAUAUUUCCGUUGUAAUUCUCAUAAUUAUCAUUACUUUCUACUCUCGAUUUGCCACAACAUUACUAGUUAUUUAUUAAUUCCACGUAUGGCUUACAUCAUUGCUCUACUAAUUGCCACUGUAUAUUUACCAUUGACUUCGCCAUAGCAUUAAUCAUAUUUUAUUAUAAUAACUUGACCAAUUUUGUGCCUCAAUUCGAUCCUCAUGGAAAUGAUACUCACUCAUCACUUUAUUUGUAACACCCCAAACUCGGCCUAGACGUUAUGGCCGAAUCUGGUGAUGUCACAUGGAGAGGGAUUUGAAGACAAGAUUGUUGAGUUUAAAAACCGUUACAGUAAGUUAGCUUUUAUUUAGGGAAAAUCGUGUUUUGUAGAGUUGUAGUUUUUAGGAAAAAAAUCGUGUUUUGUAGAGUUGUAGUUUUUUUAAAAAACCCAAUAAAAAAUAGUAUAAAGUCCCAAAUUUAAAACCAAUCAGUCCAUAGUCCAGAAGAUACAUCAAAAACUCAAAAUAAGUAAUAAAUUCUAGGCAUUAACGGAAAACAAUCUAAAAUUUACGUGUGGCCACCAUUGAGUCCUCUGCUGCACCGAUUCGUCAAGUCUGAGGAUUACCUAUACAAAUUAAAUAGAGAAAGGGUGAGUUGUCGCAAACUUAGUGUGUAAUCCCCACAGAAAACAUGCAUAGAGAUAAUUAACAAAAUUUAGUUAGAUACAGUCUAGGGCCUGUGCCCAUCAUAGAAUCAGUUUGGGCCUUAGCCCAUUCAGAUAUAGUCUUAGAAAUACAUUAGGGCAUUGACCAGCCUCUACAAACCACCUCCAUCCAACCAUACACACCAUGUGGGGAUUAAAUCAACCAACCCAUCCCUACACACCAUGCUGUACCGAAAUGCGGCACAUAAUUAGAAGGUUGCAGCUGGGCUGCCAGAUAACAUAAGUCAUGCUCGGUAUAGAAAUCAGACAGACAGAUCACACAUAUAGGUGUCUAAGUAAAGCUUACUGACCCUACAGUAGGUCCACAGUUAACUUGGGCGACCCGUGCAAAAUUACAGAACUUUUUAGAAAAAUGGGCUUACACGCCUAUGUGGCCCACUCGGCCCAAAUUGGCCUUGACCACGUGAUCCAUUUUUAAUGUAACCAGUGCUAGUUAAUUAUUCAUAUAUGUUUUCACUAUUUACUUAUAUGUUAAUUUAAAGCUGUCUACUUGAGUCACUGUUACUAAAUUAUUUAUAUCUUGAGCUACAGAAUUUCAAAUUAAGAUCCGCUUAAUGUCUUUGAAACUAGACUCAAAUAUCUUUCUACUAUAAAAUUUUUAUAAUUUUUGGUUGAGCCAACAAGUACAGUAAAAUCUUCAAACCUUCCCCUAUUCUGCUGUCUGACAACUUCAACCCUUCUUUGCUAAGAAUUAAUUAUCUCUUAGUACAAGAUUUGGAUGAUGUUUACAUUUGUUUCUAUUGAAAAUAAACUCAUUAAUAAUUUAAAAAUGUAAAUUUUAAACCCCUAAUUAUUUUUCUCCAAUUUUUGAUGAUUUUCCAAAUUUAGAACAGGGGAACCUUAAUUCUUUCUGACCUUGUCUCACGAAGUUUAUUAUACCUCACAAUUUACAAUUCCAUUACUUACAUCGUUUAAGAUUUAAUUCCAUAUUUUUUUCAUCCUCUAAUUCAAUUUCCACAAUUUAUGGCAAUUUUUCAAAGUUAACCUACUGUUGUUGUCCAAACAGCAAGCAAUUUUGGCUUUUCGCCGAAUCCUUUUUUUUGCAUUUCGGGUACACACCUGGUUUUGUUUGAUGCUAAAACAAUCCCCGAACACUCUAAAGUCACCAAUGAUAACCAUCCAUUUAAAUAUUGUUAACACGAGAACACUGAAUUCACUAGUCCGAGUCUCCCCCUACGCCCAAAUCGCAGAGAAAAUACGUUACCACUUUAGUCGCUAAAAGAUUCAUGAUAGAAAAGAAGAGAAACACUUACCGAACUAAGCGAGCACUAACCGUGUGUGAAAAUGAAGGAAAAUAAAUGGAUUAGGGAAAAAUCAAGAACAAGAAAAAGAAGAAAAAGAAAAACUCAGAGAAUUUCAACAAGAGGAGAGGGAGAAGAAUAGACGGCGAAUAAAAUUCUGAUAACCCCCAAAAUCCCUUAAUCUUCUCCCCUAAUUCCCACUACACAUCCACUAUUCAUAACCCCCUAUUACAUAACUCUAUCCGAAAUCUGAUAAAAAAAAACAUAAUACCCUUGCCUGCAUAGGGGUUCAAACACAAAACCUCUACUAUAAUAACACAUCAUUUAACCACCAGACCAGCAGGCCCAUUCUGAUGUAAUUUACCCAAAAAUCAAAUAAAAGCCUACUCAACAAGAGUAAAGCCUAAUUCAUUCAAAAUACCAAAAUUUGCCCAAGCAAAAGCUUGAACUUGGGACCUCCCAAACACUCCCAGAACACAUAACUACUAAAGCUGACAAAUAUUUGUGUCAUAUUUUCACAAUAAUGAAAUUAGAAAUUUUGGGACAUUACAUUAUUACUUGAUUCAACUCUUGCACAAAUCGCAUAUCAUUUCACACACAACAGUGCUCAAUUGAACCCUUUAAGAUAUGAAAUCUAACAAACUCAAUUAAUGGCUUUAAUCAAUCCACCAAGAAAUAAUCAUUGGCAAAUUGAAGGAUGAAGAAUGAAUUCCCAUGACUCCUUAAAAAAAUUGAUAAGAAAACUACUUUUAAAAAUCACAAGAAACAAAUCUUGCAUAAAGAAACUAACUCUCAGAGUUGGUAAUUUUAGUAAUAAACAAAAACAAUUGCGUCUCUAAUGAACAUGAAGGGGCCUUUACAUAGGCUAGAUAAGUACAUCCAAAUAAAAUUGUCAAAUAUCUUGAAACUUUAAUUAAUGUAAGCAAGAAGUAAUUUUAAACUAAAAUAGUCAUAAUUUUCGUAAUAAUCCCGUCUAAAAAUUCUGCUCACAUAGUCAUCAUUAAAACAAUCAUAAUUUGAGCUCUUGAACUCAAAAUUGAGUGAAUAAAAGUGCGUUUCGAAGUUAAGUGAUAGAUCCUAGAACUCUAUGAAGACAUAUCAAUCAAAAAAAUAUCUGGAUCCCAUCCAAAAAGUCACCGCAAGUUAACUAAUUUUUCAAACUUAAAAUUUGGCAGCUUCGGUGAAUGGAAUUUAAUAAAGUUCACUCCAUCCAUUCAUGUAUCAACUUGCAUUGGUAACAAGUAAAAGAAAAAAAUCUAUAGAGAAAAUAGUUGAAGAAUUUAUGACAAUUUAUUCAAAUCUCUUUUUCUUCUAGUCUUUGCAAGCUUGAAGUUUCCCUUGGUGUGAGAGAGUUGUUCCUUACCCUCUAAGUGAUUUUUUUCUUUUUCUUUCUCUUCGAUCUCGUCACCUAUUGGUGUUCAAACAAUUGAUUCAGUUAAUACCCGAACAAAACUAUCAUUAACUGAAAUUUUGAAACCCUUAAUCGUUAAUCAAACCAAUUUUUUUAAAAAAAACCUAUUAACUAGCUGGAUUGAUUUCGAUUAAUUUUAGCGGUUAACCAGAAUUUAUACAUGGUUUUUUUUUGUUCAAAAAAUUUUAAAACAAAGAACAAUCCAUGACAAUUUUUUCCUUGUUUUUUAUUGAAAAAAUUAAAAGAACUAAAAAAAUAACAUAAUAACAACAAUAAAUUAAAAACAUAAUAGCAUUCAUUACAUUACAAGGCAUAUAUAUAUAUUUUUACUUUUUCUUCACUUUUUAGUUUAAUUUUAUAUUUUUUAAAAUAUUUUUAGUUUUCAUAUUUUUGUUAAGCUUAUUAUAAGAAAACUUAUAAAUCCAUUAAUUUUUCUAUAUUGGUUUUGUAUAAUGUAUUGGACUUAUCUCUAAUAUAUUUGGCCUAUAAUAUAUUUUUAUUGAUUUCGGUUAAUCAAUUAAUUCGGUUAAUUAGUCGAUUUCAAACUAAACUAAUUGGUAAACAAAAUCUUCAAAAACCUUUAACCAACUCCCAACCAAAUUAGAUUUGAUUGCUUAAUCAAAUUAAUUAGGUUUGAUAAAUUAAUUCGUUAAAACCAAAAAAUCCACACCCCUAUCAUCACCUUUAUUUUUAGGGAUUUUAAUCAUGUUGCUGCACCUGAUGCAGAAGUUGAGGUGGAACGAACUGCUUGCUACCACAAUUUAUGAAUUAUAGAGCAUGCUCCACCGUAGUGAAUCAAAUUCGGUGGAGUAGAAGACUUUUCUUCACUACUUUAUGCUCUAUGCUCCAAGUCUUCUAUUCUUCUUCUGAGACCUACAAUGGGAAAAUAAAAACUAAGAAACAAGUCUAAACUAACUUUGAAAAUUAGAAAUUUUCAACAAAAUUGAAAUAAAAUAUAAUUAAUCCAUAAAAAACUAUAAAAUGCAAUAAAAACAAACCUAAAUACUAAAAUUACCUCCUAAAAUGCUGUGGAAACUAUACUAAAAUAACUCUAAAUAUGAUAGUUAUCAGAAGCGACUUGAAUAAGCCAAUCGAGUAGAUGAUUUCAACUAUUGCAAAUAGCAUCAGUCGAUUAACCAUCCUCUUGAGAAGAUCAUAGAGUUGAAAGAAAAAAUCAUACAACUCCAUGAAGAAGAAAAAAUCAUGUUUGAAAAAGAAGUGGCAUUAUCAAACUUGACAUCAAUGCUUUGGUUUCUCAAUACAAUAUUAAGGAGAAAUUCAUCAAAUUUGGCUCUUUCACUCCUAUUACACUAGCUCUAAGUAGAAGUAAGAUGGUGAAUUUCGAAGGGAUUGGGGACAAUCAUCUAUUUUUGGAAUAUCAGAAUGGUCAUGAUUGGACUCAAAGAAGCCAAUGAAAUGCAUCUCUCCUAGGUAUAAGCUUAUAUUGUCACAUUGCUCCUAAGCACGAGCAUAAAUUGUUCAUCCAAAAUGAUGAUGCUCCUAAGCAUGAGCUUAAACUGUUCAUCUAAUGCUCCUAAGAAGGAGCCUAAACUAUUCAUAAAAAAUAAAUGAUGAUCCAGUGAAGCACGAGAUUAAACUAUUCAUACGAAAUAAAUGAUUACCUCCUAAGCAUGAAUUUAAAUUGUUCAUACAUAAUAAAUGAUGAUACUCCUAAGCAUGAGCUUAAAUAGCAGUCCAAAAAAAAUUGAACAACAUUAUAACUUUAUCUUUUAAAAAUGAAGGUACGUAGAUAGCCUGGUUUCAUUGCCAAGUUCAGUCAGUGAAACAAAUUCUUGAAAGUAGGAAGCAAAUAAAAUUUCAAGACUUGUACCCUUUCUACGCCCAACAAAAUUCAGAAUUCAGCAUUUGUUAUUACUGUUUAUCUCUAACUAAAUUAAUGAAAAGAUAAAUCAAGAAAUUAAAUCCUUUUAGAACUGUCUUAUAAAGAAACCAUAUUCUUUAAGGAUUACUUUAUCUAUAAUUAAUUAAAUUAAUAAGAUAUGAAUAAUAAUAAUAGAGUUUAAAUUCUUAUAGAACACUCAAAUGAAAAAGCUAAAUUCUACAACAACUCUCUUAUAUCAAAGUGAUUGGGCACUAUAAAAAUGGGUCACCUCCAAGUCAUUCUACACAUUCACAAGUUCAAGAAGUUCAAAAAUUCUUUACGAAAAUAUGAAGAAACUAAAGAAGUAGAAGAAAUUCUGAUGAACAUCAUAUCAGUUCUAAAGAAAAACUGCCUCCUAUCCAAUUCAAUUGAGAGGAGGAUGUCAACAGAAGAGAAGAAUCGAAGAAGUUUUGUUUGUAAAUAAAUUCAAAACUAUACACUCUUCGAAAUAAUAAAUAAAAUUUGACGCAAAAUUUUCAAGUCAAUUCUCAACUUAAAAUUUGCGUGUACAAUAUAUAUAGGAAAGAAUCCAUUUACAUUAUAUAAAACUAGUGUAUGUAUAAUACAGAAAUAUUUAGUACAUUAUCAAUAAAGUUUUUAAACUAUGCACUGUGAUUAAAACCAAAAUAAUAAUAAUAAUAACAACCAAUCACUUUAUUUGACUAACUUUUCCCUACAAGUCUUUAGUAUGGAGACAAAUCAGUUUAAUCAGCCUUUGGAGCUAUUAACUGACAUUUCCACCAUUGAUUUGAAAAUCCUAACCCAUCAAUUCACUUUAAAUGAAACGAGAUCCACUAGUGUUUGGUGUUAUAUUUUUAAAAUGUAUUUAGAUUAUUGUUUAUUAAUUUUAUUUGUUUAUAUUUAAAUCAAAUGUAAUAAAUUGUUGAAUUUAUAUACUUCAUAUUAUAACAAUAUAUUUUAACUUGCUACUUCUCUUUUUAAUUUAAUUUUUUGUAACUCUUCACAAUUUAUUUUGAAAAAAAUUGAAAAAACUAAAUGAUUAAAUUAAGGCUCAACUUUUCACUAACCUUAGUUUAUUUAGUCUAACUUUUCACAAAUUAAUAUACUCAUUUCAUGUUUCAUACCAACAACUUUUCUUUUUGGUAAAAAGAAAAAACAACUAUACGUUUUUUUUAAUCCCAAAAUUAAGGCUUUAUGAAUGAAAAUAAUAUUAUAUUAACUAUGAUAAUUAAGUCUUUAUUUUUAAUAUGAUUAAUAUUAUAUAUAAUAACUUUAAAUAUGCUUCCACUAAUCAGAUAUACUAAAGGAAAGAGUAACUUUCUUUUUAUGGUAACUAAUUUUCAAUUAUGUAUUUUAAUCUAUCACUAAAUAAUUAAUUAUAAUCAAGAUGUUAAUUUUCCAUAAAAUGUACAUAAUUUUGGUUGGUAUAUUAAUAAAUUUAGCCCUAAAAAUUUACACAUGCAAUUUGGUCUUAAUUUAACAAAAUUUUCCCGCAACAUUUGUGUAAAUAUGUAAAUGUUGAGGUUAAAUUUCUUGAAUUUUUUUUAAAAAAUUAAGGUCAAAAUGACAAAAAUAUAAAUAUUGAAAACUAAAUUUAUUACUGUACCAAUCAAAAUGACAAAAUAUAGCUAGGGACAUGGGCUUGACCGAGCCAACUCAACCUAUUUCAUCUGUUUCUAUUGACUUUUGCUCGACCCUACCCCAAAGACCUGUCAAUUUUGUUAAAAUUGAAAUAUUUAACUUGUUGGAGAAGACUAACUGUAGAAAAGUAAGUCAAUGCUAAAGUGAUAUGUCGACGUUUUGUUGUUUUCAAAAUAGUUGAUAAGCCUGAAAUUAUAAAAGAUAAUCAUGAGGUCUUAAAUGCAAUUAUGAUAUUUCUAAAAAGAUAUUUCUCAACAAUUUUUUUAAUUUCUUGAUUGAUGAAAACAAAUUUAGGUAUUUCCCAAUUUGUAAAAACAUGAUUUUUCUUUGAAUUUCUAGGUUUUUCUUAGCUUUUUUUUAUAUUAUUUUGGAAUUUUUGUAAUCUUCUUAUAAUUUCUUAAAAAAUAAUAUAUUUGUAAAAAUUUUUAAACCAUAAAUACCAAUUAAGAAGAAUGUGAUAAAAUUAGGGGUAAAUGUGUAUUUAAGCCAAAGAAAAUAAAAGAAUAAUAAUGAAAUUCACCUAAAAACAAUUACAAGGACUAGAUGAACAAUUUGACCUAAAACUUUGUUUGAAAUGAUGUCAUUAAUGUGUUACAUCAGCUUUCUUAGAGAGAUAAAAAUUAAAUGAAUAUGAGAUACAUGAAACUUGUAUCUCUUUCCAAUAAUUUAACAUUAUUUCAAUAUUUUCAUCUUGAAUUCACGAGUGAAGCGUACAUCAUAUACCAACUCAAUUGGAAAAAAGUCUUUAAAUUAUUUUUAAAUUGUAACAAAUAUUAUUAUUAAGAUGUUUUUCUUUUUAUAUUUUUUAUAAAAUAUAUUAAAAAACAAUUAAAAUAAUUUUAAGAGAAAAAAACUCAUACAAGGUAGAAUUUAAUCUAAAGAUGUCAAAGUUUUAAAGCCUCAACUUUAACAUUUCAACCGAAAUUCCAUUAGUAUAUAAAUAUUUAUAAAUAUAGAUUUUAUAUAAAAAAUUUUAUGUAAACUUUUUUUUAACCCGCAUCACAAGUACACCAUAUUUAGAGAUAUUCAUAGUUAGGCAGUCCACUUUGAGUCAAGCUUGAGCUUAGGUUUUCAAUCUCAAGUUGGCCCAAUUCAACUUAUUUUACUACUUAAAAAUAUAAAUAUAUGUUAUAUUGAUAUUUAUAUAUGUCUAUAGUUAAAAAAUUAUUAAAAAUAAAUUCAACUUAUUUAUUAAUUAAAAAUAUAAAUAUAUGUCUAUAAUUAAAUUUUAAAGAAAUUUAUUGUUAUUUUCUAAACAUAAAACAAAGAAAACUUUCACCCAAAUUAUAAGUUUGUGGUCAGGCAGCCCACUUUGGGACUGGAAUCAGCUUACUUUUUUAAUCUUGGGCUUUAAAAAUAAUAAAAAUAUAAAAAUAAUGUUCUAUUAAUAUUUAUAAAUUUUAUAAAUUUAAAUUUAAUUAUAUUUUUUAAACAGUAAAAUCAACCAUUUAUAUGGGCUAAAUUGAGUUAAGUUCGGUUUGCAUCAAGCCUUAACUUUGACCAAAUCCAACUAAAAACACCUCUAACCAUAAUCUAGUAUUGUUUUUAUGAAUUCAAUUUUAACUUGUAAUUUUCAAUUCUAUUACAAAAUUUCUUUGCCUACGAUAAGAAAAUAACAUAUUUGUAACUAAGUAAUUAAUUAAGUUAAUGUCACGAGUGAAUCAUACAUUAUAUGCCAACUCAAUUGGAAAAAGUUUUUAAAUUAUUUUUAAAUUGUAACAAAUAUUAUUAUUAAGAUGUUUUUCUUUUUAUAUUUUUUAUAAAAUAUAUUAAAAAACAAUUAGAAUAAUUUUAAGAGAAAAAAACUCAUACACGGUAGAAUUUAAUCUAAAGAUAUCAAAGUUUUAAAGCCUCAACUUUAACAUUUCAACUAAAAUUCCAUUAGUACAUAAAUAUUUUAUAAAUAUAGAUUUUAUAUUAAAAAAAUUAUGUAAACUUACAUAUAUGGUUCGUCAUGCAAAUGUUUAUUAUAUUUAAAAAUUAACAUAUAUGGUUAUUGAAUUUUAAUACUGGCUUGAGGAGUCGACUCUAUUGUAGAUUCUAGAUUAAUCUAAUAUUUCACCCUCUUUUAAUUUUCUUUAUUGGAAGAGUCUUUAAGAGAUAAGUUAAGUAGUAUAGCAGUUUCAUCUAAAACAACAUCUCUGCUAAUCACAACUUUUCUAUUUUUAGGACACCAUAACUUAUACCCUUUUACAUCAGCUUUAUAACCAAUAAAAACACAUUUAAUGAAUCUCGGUUCCAAUUUUUCAUUAUCAACAUGAGCUUACGAAGGACACCCAAAGAAUUUAAUCUAAAGAUAUCAAAGUUUUAAAGCCUCAACUUUAACAUUUCAACCGAAAUUCCAUUAGUAUAUAAAUAUUUUAUAAAUAUAGAUUUUAUAUAAAAAAAUUUUAUGUAAACUUUUUUUUAACCCGCAUCUCAAGUGUACCAUAUUUAAAGAUAUUCAUAGUUAGACGUCCACUUUGGGUCAAGCUUGAGCUUAUGUUUCCAAUCUCAAGUUGGCCCAAUUCAACUUCUUUUACUUUUUAAAAAUAUAAAUAUAUGUCUAUAAUUAAAUUUUAAAGAAAUUUAUUGUUAUUUUCUAAACAUAAAACAAAGAAAACUUUCAUCCAAAUUAUAAGUUUGUGGUUAGGCAGCCCACUUUGGGACAGGAUUCAGCUUACGUUUUUAAUCUUGGGCUUUAAAAAUAAUGUUCUAUUAAUAUUUACAAAUUUUAUAAAUUUAAAUUUAAUUAUAUUUUUUAAACAGUAAAAUCAACCAUUUAUAUGGGCUAAAUUGAGUUAAGUUCGGUUUGCAUCAAGCCUUAACUUUGACCAAAUCCAACUAAAAACACCUCUAACCAUAAUCUAGUAUUGUUUUUAUGAAUUGAAUUUUAACAUGUAAUUUUCAAUUUUAUUACAAAAUUUCUUUACCUACAAUAAGAAAAUAACAUAUUUGUAACUUCUCCAAUUCGACGUAAAUGUUCAGUCUGAAUUCAGAAGAUUACAUCAGCCAUAAAGAUGGCCUAGCAAGGUUAUUAGAGUUUUCAAAAACAGGCAUCUUUAAAAUGCUUGUUUAAUUUAUACAAAAACUUAUUUAAUUUCCAAAUUAUUUAUUACUUGAAAUCUUAAUUAUACUUUGAAAGCAAGAAGUGGUAACUAUUUAUUUUUAAUAAAAAUCAGGGUUCAUGUAUAAUUGAUUAAUAACUGUUAGAAUUAAGCGACCCGAAUCUUUAUUUAAAUGAAAUACAGUGGUAAAAUAAAAUAAAAUUAAAAUCCCUAUAGAACUACACUUAUUUUAUUUUAUUUUAGAAUAAGGAUUUUUAAACCUUAUUAAACUCCAUCCAUUUGAUAUUGAUUAGAAUAAGGUGUUUCAAUCUUACUACACUCCUAUUAGAAUAUGGUUUUACAAGCCUAUAAAUAGACAUAGUCUACUCCUCUUGUAAUUAUUCGAAUUCGACAUAGGGAUUUAUCUUCUCCUCUACCAAUAGCUUUUUCCCUGAAAGGGUUUCCACGUAAAAUCUGUGUGUUUUUUUUAUUUUUCUCCCUUUUAUUCUUUGCAAUACAUUGUCAUUACCAACAUUCUAUUUUUAGCAAAUUGGUAUCCAAGCUUCCAAUUUGUUCAUCUCAAUCAUGGUAAUGGCGUCUUUGAAGUAUGAAAUUCUGCUAUUGGAUCGCAACACCAGAUCCGCAUUGUGGCAGAUAAAGAUGCAGGCAGUUCUUACACAGAUAGACUUAGAGGAAGCCUUGCUAGGGGUAGAUAAAAUGUAUUCAACAUUAACAGAGGAAGAGAAGAAGCACAAGGAUCGAUAGGCGUUAACACAAUUACAUCUUCAUUUGUCCAACGAAAUUUCACAGUAUGGAGAAGACCGUCGCUGGAUUAUGGAAGAGGUUGGAACAAAUAUGUACGUCGAAUACUCUAACUAGCAAGUUGCAUAUGAAGCAGCUUCUUUAUGCUCAUCGUUUGGAGGAAGGUGUCUCUAUGCACGAACACUUAAUAGUGUUUAAAGGAAUUCUCUCGAACUUAGAGGUCAUGAAGGUUCAGUAUGAUAAUGAAGAUCUACGAUUGAUUCUACUUUGUUCGUUGCCUCUAUCUUAUUCAACCAUUAGAGAUGGGAUUUUAUAUAGCCGCGAGUCUCUCACAGUUGAUGAGGUUUAUGAUUCUUUAACCUCGUAUGAUAAGAUGAAGCAUCUUUUUCGUAAAACUGACUCUUAGGGAAUGGGUCUCAUUGUUCAUAGUAGAUAAGAUCAGAAUGCUGAUGAUGAUCGUGAAAGGACACAGGAAUAGAAUUCUCGCGAUAAAUCUAAGGAUAGAUCAAAGAUUUCAAGCAGAGGUAAAACUUGUAACUUCUGCAAGAAGAAAGGGCACAUUAAAUCUGACUGUUAUAAGCUACAAAUCAAUAUCAAAAGGGAGGUUGUGAAACAAAAUGGAAAACAACUAGAAUAUGUUGGUAAAGCUGAUGUUGUAGAAGACUAUAGCGAUGGUGAACUUCUAGUCACUUCUAUCAACAAUUCUAAAAUAAGCGAGGAGUGGAUCCUUGAUUUGGGCUGCACCUUUCACAUGAGUCCCAAUGGAUAUUGGUUUAUAACUUACGAAAUAGUGUUUGAAGGUGUUGUUUUGAUGGGAAAUAAUGCUUUAUGUAGAAUUGCAGGUGUUGGGACAAUAAAAGUUAAGAUGUUUGAUGGAGUUCUCAGAACACUUAAUGACGUACGACAUGUUCUAGAAUUGAAGAGAAAUUUAAUUUCAUUGAGUACUCUUAUUCAAAAGGUUAAAAAUACAUAGCUAAAAGUGGGGUUUUUAAUAUUUCCAAAGGUUCUCUCGUUGUGAUGAAAGGGCAGAGAAAGACUGCCAAGUUAUAUGUUUUGUAGGGUUUAGGAGUUCUUUGGCAUAUACGCCUAGGGCAUAUAAGUGAGAAUGACAUGGCAGAAUUGAGCAAAAGAGGACUUCUUGAUGGGCAAGGAAUUUGCAAACUGAAGUUCUGUGAUCACUGUAUUUUUGAGAAGUAAAAGAGAGUUCGAUUCAUCAGAGGAAUCUAUAACACGAAGGGAACAUUGGAGUAUAUUCAUUCUGAUCUGUCGGGGACACCCAGAGUGCAUUCAAGAGGUGGAGCUAAUUAUAUGCUAACUUUUAUUGAUGAUUUUUCUAGAAAAGUUUGGGCGUUCUUCCUAAAGCAGAAAAUCGAUGUGUUUUUCGCAUAUAAGUCUUGGAAAACUAUGAUUGAAAAACAUAUGGAAAAACAAAUAAAAUAUCUCCACAUAGAUAAUGGCUCAAAGUUCUGUUCUAAUCACUUUAAUAAACUGUGCAAGUCAGAAGGGAUCGUGAGACACUUGACAGUUUGCCACACUCCACAACAAAACGGUGUUGCAGAACGAAUGAACAGAAUGAUCGUGGAGAAGGUUUAAUGUAUGUUUUCAAAUGCCAACUUAACAAAGUUGUUUUGGGCCGAAGUAGCCUCUACUAUAUAUUUUUUGAUCAACCGAUCUCUAUCUAUUGCCAUUGAGAAAAAGACUCCACAAGAGGUAUGGUCUGGUAAUCCUGCUAACUGUUCUGAUUUAAAGAUCUUUGGGUGUCCUGUGAAUGCUCAUGUUGAUAAUGGAAAAUUGGAACUGAGAUCCAUUAAGUGUGUUUUUCUUGGUUAUAAAGCUGGUGCAAAAGGGUAUAAGUUAUGGUGCCCUAAAAAUAGAAAAGUUGUGAUUAGCAGAGAUGUUGUUUUUGAUGAAACUGCUAUGCUACCUAACUCAUCUCUUAAAUACUAUUCCAAUAAAGAAAAUAAAAAGCAGGUGGAGUAUCAGAGUAAUCCAAAAUCUACAACAGAGUCGACUCCUCAAGCCAAUACAAAAAUUCAAAAUAGAGUUGCUUCUUUACCACAAUACUCUAUCGUAAAAAAUAAAACUAGAAGAGAUAUUAAACCCUCAAAGAAAUAUGCCGAGGCUGAUCUAGUUGCUUAUGCUUUAAAUAUUGCUAAAGAUAUAGAUGCAAACCAAGAGCCAUCUAAUUAUUUUGAUCCGGUUAGCUAUAAAGACUCAGAAAAAUGGAUGUUUGCUAUGUAAGAGAAGAUGGAAUCACUCUACAAAAACAAAACAUGGGAUCUUGUAAAACUUCCUAAAGGUAAAAAGGUUGUUCGUUGUAAAUGGGUGUUUAAAAAGAAAAAGGGGACUCUGGGAGUUGAAGAACCCAGAUUUAAAGCAAGGCUUGUUGUAAAGGGUUACAGUCAAAUUCCAAGAGUGGACUUCACAGAUGUGUUCUCCCCAGUUGUGAAGCAUAGUUCGAUUUGAGCUUUGCUUGGUAUUGUGGCCAUGCAUGAUUUGGAGCUAACUGUAAAAACUACAUUUUUGCAUGAAGAACUUGAGGAUGAUACUUACACGCAACAACCAUAGGGUUUUAUAGUCUCAGAAAAAGAGGACUAUGUUUGCCUGUUGAAAAAGUCCUUUUACGGUUUGAAACAGUCACUAAGAAAGUGGUACAAGAGGUUUGUUUCCUUUAUGACUUCUUAUGAUUUUAAAAAAAGUAGCUUUGACAGUUGUGUUUACUUUAAGAAAAAUAGUGAUGAUUCUUUUGUGUAUCUACUUCUUUAUGUUGAUGACAUGUUGAUAGCAACAAAAGAUAAAUGAGAGAUAAGAAAGGUUAAAGCCCGACUAAGUGAAGAUUUUGAGAUGAAAGAUUUGGGACCAGUAAAGAAGAUACUUGAUAUAGAGAUUCUCAGAGAUAGAAAAGUAAGUAAAUUGUACCUAAGUCAGAAGGGGUACAUUGAGAAAGUUCUUUGCAAAUUCAAUAUGCAGAAUGCUAAGCCUGUUAGUACUCCUUUAGCAGCCUAUUUCAGACUUUCAUUGGCUUUGUCUCUACAAUCAAAUGAUGAGAUUGAGUACAUGUCAUAUUUUUCAUACUCUAGUACAAUGGGAUCUCUCAUGUAUGCUAUAUUUUGUUCACGUCCAAAUUUAUUAUAUGCAGUCAAUACAGUUAGUAGAUAUGUGGCAAAUCCUGGUAAAGAACAUUGGAAAAUACUGUUUCCAAAAAUUUAUGGAUUUCUGGUGAGUGAACUUCUAGUGAAAUUAUUGUGCUAAGUCCAUUGGGGCAGUCUGUUUGAGUAAGUACACUUUAUAGGAAUGUACCUUUGGAAGUACAAGGGAUUGUGUUUUCGGCAGAUCUGGUGAGGUUACUUCUAGUGAAAUUAUUGUACUAAGUCUGUUGGGGUAGUCUAUUCGAGUAAGUAGACUUUAUAGGAAUGUACCUUUGGAAGUACAAGGGAUUGUGUUUUCGGCGUUUUAUUCACAUAAAAGCAGCAAAAUUUAGCGACAUUGUCUACAGCGGCAUUUUUUACGGCGCUUGUGAAAGCGCCGCUAUAGGCCUAAAAAACACCGCUAAAAGCCUAUUUUGCUGCAGUGAAUUAAUAUUAUUAUAAGUAUAUUUUCACCUUUUCAUUCUUUUAUAUAAUCUUCAAGUAAAAUGAUUGAAAAAUAUUAUUUGAGAAUCAAACACAAGACUAACAAUAUUCAUAUAGAAAACGCUUAUCACUCCACUAAUAAUCAUUUGUUGAUGUAUUUUUGGUAAAAAGAGCCCUCCAAUCCCUCUUAAUUUCACAACUUCUCAAAUUAGUCCCUCUCAAAAAAAUUGGAGCAAUUUAAUCCCUAUCAAUUUUGAAAGUGAGUAACUAAGGACAAUUAAUUAUGGUGUUAAAUUCUUCAAUCAAUUGUACAUAAUUUUGAUUGGUAUAAUAAUAAAUUUAGCCUUUAAUGUUUAUGUAUUUUGUCAUUUUGGCCUUAAUUUUUUUAAAAAAAAUUCAAGAAAUUGAACCUCAACGUUUACAUAUUUGCACAAAUGUUGCAGGAAAAUUUUGUUAAAUUAAGACCAAAAUGCAAGUGUAAAUUUUGUUAAAUUAAGACCAUAUUUUCCCCCUUUAUUUUUUCAGUGCCGACCGGAAAAAAAAAUUUCAGUCUCAUCUAAAUAAGACAUACUUCAGCAGACCAAUAGACUGCAGAUCAGACCCAAUUCAAGGGUAAUGCAGUCCAAAGUUCCUUGAACUCCCUCCUCCAAAGUGAAAAACAAAUCUAUAUAUUUCUGCAUGAUUCAAACAGAAAGGACUGUUGGACAUGUAACUCAGAAAGAAUGCAAAUACAUUGAAAGUACCAUAGACUUUAUAAAUUAGUUUCAUGUUGUUAAAUUUCAACACUAUAAACCUAAAAAUUCCCAGAACGAAAUGCGGGAAUCAUGCCUUAAACUCCAAUACUCAAAUAAGAGACAGAUAAAUUGCACAUUUUUUAAUAUAAUAUUUACAGACUAGAGAUAAAAAUAUAGAAAAAUAUAAACAUGGACAUCGACAAAAAGACUAAUUGACUGUGCAUGUGUGCUAGAGAGUGGCAAUUAAACAUUAUCCAAACACAAUCAUUUCUCAACAUUUGUAAAACAAAAAGAAGAUUAAGAUUAGCAGUAAACUAAAUAAAACCAAAGAAGUGAGAACCACAAGUAAAUGAGAAAGAAAACAAAAUAGAGAUCCUAGUAGCUUUCCCAUUGAACUUCGUAUAAGAGAAAUAACAACAUUUGAACUUUAAGCAAAUAAAAAUGUAAAAUAUUCAGAAUCAAAACAAUCUUUUAUCAAAAUUCAAGCCAAAAACAAUGAGCUUCACUCUAUACAAGAAGCAUGUUAAAGUCAUAGGCUUUCUCGUUUCUGGAAACCAAAUCCAGAAACGUCUCCCACCAAAAAUCAAGAAAAUAACUUCUGUUUUUGAAAAUCACAUUCAAAUCGUGAAAUAGGAGCAAGGUCCUUCAAAUUCAAGCAAAGUUGGUAGUAAAAGCUUAACUUUCAAAGGUCAAACAACACAGCAUUAAGUAUAAAACUAACCCAAUCUCCACCAAUUCAAAAACAAGAAACCAAACACGAACCCGAAGAUCCAAACACGAUUUCGAAAAAAAAAAAUAGAUAUUCCUGAAAAUCGGAUAAAAAACUAGCAUAUACUUAAUGAAAAGAGAAAUUGACGAAAAAUCACAAGAGAUCUGCAUGCAAAUAUAGGCACACUUUUGCUUGAUUAUUCGCUUAAAAAAGUAACAAUGGAAAACAAGAUGCAAGUGUCACGGGCCGCAGUUCAAAGCCCGUGACCAGCGCACCAAAUGCAUCCAAUAGAGAUCUAUUGCUCAGAUAGGGAUCAUUUGGCCCACAAGAACUGGCUCGAUUCAAGGAGCUAUUGGACAAGCCUGUCAGAUUGAAGCCUGGUUGGCCCGAAAACGAAGAGAUGGCAACUUAGGCUAAUAUGGUAACUAAUCUUAGAAGAUAGAGGGAAUCUUAUCUUGUAAAGAUUAGAUUAGAUUAGAUAAGGCUUAUCUUGUAAAUCCCUAAAAUUAAGGGAUAUGGGUUAAUCUCAUCCGUCGAUGUAAAUGUAUAUUGACCGUCGAUUUUGGGGGAGAUCAACUAUAAAUAGAGAGCCUCCCCCUCAUUUGUACUCACUCUUGUAAUUAUUUCAUUAUUCUUUGUGAAUAAGAGAAUUGAGAGCAUUUACUCAAACACUUUACGAGCGUCCUUUCUGUUGUUCUUUUGUUUAGCUUCUUUUGGCACAAUCGCUUCCGCUAUACAAAUUGGUGCCUUGGAGGAGUUCUAAAAGAAUCCUCACUUGAGUUAAGCCUGACUUGGGCGAGUUUGGAUGAACAAAUUGUCUAAGGCUGCACGAAUUACGAGACGAAAGGUCUAGCCCUGUGACAAGUGGUAUCAGAGCCAAGUUUUGAACCAAGUGACAUUCGAGUUGGUUUGAAGGCACCGUUGGGAUGUCAAGAGAAGAGUUCGAACAAAGGUGGGAGAAGAAGUAUUUGAGGGAGACAUUAUCGGUAGUAGAGAAACGUGUGGGUAAACUCGAGGGAUCCAUGGAGGAUGUAAAGGAGGCACUCGAUGGGGUCGAGGAUCACAUUGCAAACUGGAAGGAGCAGUCUAGAGACUAUGUAAAGAUGUCUCUUAGUUCCAUCAUGGAUAUGGUAAACGAGUUGUUUAAUUCACACAGGGAUAAGCUGUCGGAAAGGAAUGAUGCUCUCGAGGCCAAAAUGAUGGCUUUGAAAGAGGAAACAAUGGCCACGACGAGGGCUUUGAGCACAAGAAUAGAGGAGCUCGAGGGAGAGCUGGCCUUGUGUUGAGCAGCCGUGAGGAAAGGAGUGGCAAAUGUAGCACUCAGUAACGAGGAUGUCCCAAAGCUGAAAGAGUUUGUGGGGACAAGGUCUGCGUGCGAUGUGGAUAAUUUCUUAUGGAGGAUGGAAAACUACUUCCGUGCCAAAGGCGUCAUGGAUGAUACGGUUAAGGUAAACACUACUUCAAUGUUUCUUACUGCCAUUGCACUUUUAUGGUGGAGAGGUAGGACCACAAAUAAAAGGCAAGGUGAGAUUGGGACGUAGCAAGAGUUCCAAUGCGAAUUGAAGGGACAGUUUUACCCAGAGUUUACCGAGGAAGAAGCUCGGGCAAAGUUGCAAGGGAUAACGUAACAGGGCACAGUGGGGGAGUAUGUUCGAGAGUUCAAGGAACUCAUGCUCCAAGUUUUAAAGGUGACCGAAAGAGAGGCAUUGCUUGCUUUUCAAAAUGGAUUGAAGCCGUGGGUCAGACAGGAGGUGGAACAAAGAGGUGUCCAAAAGCUAUCGGAAGCCAUGACGGUAGUUGAGUCUGUGGUUAAGCUUAGUCUAGGGAAAGACAAGCUUGGAUCUUCCAAGUCCGAUGGAAGGGGUAUAUGUGAAAUGGAUCAAAAGGAAGAUAGUGUUGAUGGCAAUGGCAACGGCAACAAUGGUGGUAAUGGGAAACCAUGAGUUGGGAAGAAGAAACCCAAGAGGAAAAGGGACAAGCUAAAAUGCUUUCUCUGCGACGGUCCACACAUGCUGAAGAAAUGUCUGAAAAAUUUGAGCUCAAGGAGAAGCCGGUGGGUAAGGCCUUGGUACUUGGUUCGAGCGCAAGGGGUGUCGAAGCCAAGAAGGCCAAAAGUAAGAAGAAGCCAGUGGAGUGGUUCUUGUGUCAUGGUCCGCAUAGGUUACGAAAGUGUCCGAGGAAGUCUAUCAUCGAGGGGAAUGAUGGAGCAGACAAGGAGCCCAAGAAGCUUGGUUCGAGCAAGGGAAAAGCCGAAGCCAAAGGGGCAAAAGGGAGCAAAAAGAAGCGAGUAAAGUGCUUCUUGUGCCGUGGUCCGCAUGAGUUACGGAACUGUCCAAAGCAAGCCGGAGUCAUAAGAAAGGCAACGUCUGAGCUUGGUGAGUCAUCGGAGGGGCUUCCACCCAAGGAAGAGGUGAGUUUGUCAUCGAACUUAAAGGAAAUAGUUGCGAUGAAAACAGUGAAGCUGGGACCAAUGAGGCUCAAGUUGAGUGAAGCGUCGGAGUUGGCCGAGUCAUCGAUAAGGCUUCCACCUAUGGGAGAGGUGGGUGGUGCAUCAGACUUCAAGGGAAAAGAAGGGAUGCAUGUGGGACAGUUGACCAGAGUAAAUGCGACGAGUAGGACGGUUUGAGUUAAGAAGCGACGUAAGCCGAGGCAAAAAUCCCGAAGGAAGGGAAAGGCUAAGGCAUUGAGACAAGACCGAGGUGAAUCGAGUCAGUGCCAUUCAAAAGUCACAACGAGGACGGUGCAAGAAUGUGUGGGGGAGAAUGUCACGGGCCGCAGUUCAAAGCCCAUGACCAGCGCACCAAAUGCAUCCAAUGGAGGUUUGUUGCUCAGAUGUGGAUCAUUUGGCCCACAAGAACUGGCUCGAUUUAAGGAGCUAUUGGACAAGCCUGUCAGAUUGAAGCUUGGUUGGCCCGAUAACGGAGAGAUGGAAACUUAGGCUAAUAUGGUAACUAAUCUUAGAAGAUAGAGGGAAUCUUAUAUUGUAAAGAUUAGAUUAGAUUAGAUAAGGCUUAUCUUGUAAAUCCUAAAAUUAAAGGAUAUGGGUUAAUCUCAUCCGUCGAUGUAAAUGUAUCUUGACCGUCGGUUUUGGGGGAGCUCAACUAUAAAUAGAGAGCCUCCCCCUCAUUUGUACUCACUCCUGUAAUUGUUUCAUUAUUCUUUGUGAAUAAGAGAAUUGAGAUCAUUUACUCAAACACUUUGUGAGCGUCCUUUCUAAUGUUCUUUUGUUUAGCUUCUUUUGGCACAAUCGCUUCCGCUAUACAAAUUGGUACCUUGGAGGAGUUCUAAAAGAAUCCUCACUUGAGUUAAGGCUAACUUGGGUGAGUUUGAACGAACGGAUCGCCUAAGGCCUCACAGAUUGUGAGACGAAAGGUCUAGCCCCGUGACACAAGUGCUAGGUAAAACCAUCAUGUCUGCUUACUCACCACAAACAAAGGCCCUCUAGGACCUUCAUGAAUUUUUGUCUUAUAAGUGCUUCCAUUGUGAGCCUGAACAGCUUGAUAGCCCACAAGAUAAGGAUAUCGAUCUUUACCCUACAGAUUAACAAGGUUAAAUCCACUUAAAUGAAGCACCAUUAGUCUAUAACAAUUUACUUCAAUUUUCUGCUGUUAGUUCAAAUAUUUAUUUUUUUAAUUUGCCAAAACUUGCUAGGAUCGAAGAUUUGGAAUUCCUAAAUUUCAAUUACAAAUUUACACCGUACUUGCAGAAAAAUAUAUUACUAUUAGAGACACCAGCAAUCAACCAGAGUUCUUUAGUUUUCAAUCAAGUUAUUCGACAGGUAUCUAUAUUGAUUACACAAAAAAAAUCAUACACCGUGAGAAUGUCGAGUAAAUUACAAAUACAAAAGCAAACGAACCCUAAAGGAGCUCCAAUACUUCUUCUCCCAGGGGCCUUUGUAUAGAGAUCCAAUGGAAACGAUCUCUAGAUCCUCUAAUUUCGUUGUUUGUUCUCCUUUUUUUGUUUUCGCCAUUCAAAGAAAUGAGAAGAAAGCAAGAUUUCCAAACAACUAACAAUAAGAGAGUAGAGAGGAUUUUCAAGAUAGACGAAGACAUGGCAUUUUAAAAUAGGGGAACUAAAAUCUUAAAAUGCAUGAUUUCCCUUGAAAUUCUAAAUAAAAACUUUAUUUGAUUAGGAAAAAUGUGAAUUGAUUUUGGGAAAAAGAAGGGAAAAAAAAGAAAAGAUUUCAUUUGAAAUAUUGGGAUAAAAAAAUAUAAUUACAAAACGACGCCGUUUUGAAAAAAACAUAUUCGUGGCGUUUGGAAAAAAAAGUCACUAUUGCUCGACUUUUAGCGACAUUUGGACCAAAAACGCUACUAUUGUUCAACUUUUUUCUGCAUUUACAACAAAAAAGCCGCUAUUGCUUACCUUUUGCGGCGUUUUUUUUAUAAAUGCCGCUAACACUUGACUUUUUUACAAUUUUUAUAUUGAAUUAUUGUAUCUUUCAUAUAAAUUUUAAAUGAAUAAUUUUUAGUUUUUGUAUUUCAUUUUUAUUUUUGUAUUUCAUUUUUAUUUGUUAUAAUUUUGUCCUAUCCAAAAUAGAUAGUUACCUAUCCAUAUCAAUCUGUUACUUUUUUUUAUUUAUUUAUCAAUAUUUUUUUAAAUUUAAUAGUUAAAUAUAUUAAAUGGUUUAGAUUUAAUAUUUUUAAAUAUAAAAGCAUUAAUUGAUUGUAUAAAAUUUUAUCAUUUAACAAAUCUCAAGUAAACCUUAAAUCCUAAACCAUUUAAUAUAUAUAAAGUUUAUCUAUUAUCUCUUAAAUAAUUUAAACUAUAAUCAUAAUUUUAAUAUAUUAAAAUUAAAAUUAAAAUGAUCUCUUUUACAAUUAUAUAAGAAAUUAUUUAAUAUAUAAAUUAAAAAACACUAAUUAACCUAAACCCUAAACCCUAAACCCCUAUCCCCUAAACCUUGAAUUAUAAAACAUAAAACAUAAACCCUAAAUCCCUGAAUCCCUAACCCUUAACCCCUAACCCCUAACCCCUAAACCUUAAACCCCAACCCUUAAACCAUAAUCCCUAAACCCAUAAUCCAUAAUCCAUAAACCUUAAAAUAGUAACUCUUAAACCUUAAACCCUAAACCAUAAACCCUAAACUAUAAUGAUAAUUAAUUCAAUAUUUUAAAAUUAAUACUAUCUCUUUUACGAUUAUAUAAGAAAUUAUUUAAUAUAUAAAUUAAAAACAAUCAGUCAUGUACCCAAGAAACUUUAAAAUUAUUUUAAAUAAUAUAUUUUAAUUUUUUCAUUUUUAACAAAUAUUUUCUAUGUUUUUACUUUCAAAAUUUCUCUACGUGUCAUUAUUUUUUUCUGAAGAAUUUAAAUAUUCAAUUAAAAAUAAAUUUAUUUUAAUUAAUAUAAAUAAAGCGGUUAAAUAAUAAAUAGACAGAUAAAAUACUUUUUGCGGUGAUUUUCAUAAAGUGCCGCUAAAGCUCGAUCUACAGCGGCGUUUUACGAAAAAGAGUCUUACUGAAUUUUUUGGGGCAUUUUUCAAAAAGCGCCACUAAUUCUCGAUCUAUAGUGGCGUUUUUCAAGAAGCGCCGCUAAUGCCACUAAAGCUCAACAUAAAACACCAGCAUUGAGCUUAAUUUUUUUGCGGCGUUUUUCAAAAAGAGCCGCUAAUGGUAGACCUAUAGCGGCGUUUUUCAAAAAGCGCCACUAAAGCUCAACAUAAAACACCGGCGUUGUGCUUAAUUUUUUUACGGCAUUUUUCAAAAAGCGCCGCUAAUGGUCGACUUAUAGCAGUGGUUUUAAAAAAGACCCACUAAUGCUCGAUCUAUAGCGGCAUUUUUCAAAAAGCGCCGCUAAUGCUCGAUCUAUAGUAGCGUUUUUUAUCCAAACGCCGCUAAAAAUGCCACUAAAAACCUAUUUUGCUGUAGUGAUUUGUGGGGUAAGUGGUUGAACAUUUUAAUAUAGACUGACUUUUCUAUAAUUAGUCCUUGCUUUAAUUACUUUGGGUGGAUUCUUCCAACUAGUCCAAGCAUUAUUGUACAAUUACAAUUAAUCUUUUUAAAUGAGACAAACAUUUCAAAUUUGUCAUUACUAUUUGUGAGUGAUUUGGGGGUAAGAAGUUUAACUCUUCUGGAUGUCUUAUAGAAUUGUGAUUAUACUUUUUGAGUAUUGACUCAGUUUUCCACAAUUGUGGGUCUCUAUUUGAGCAAAACAAUUUCAACAUUUCUUCAUCUCGUUUAAUCCAAAUGCAUUUAUGCAUUUCUUAUAUCAUUGAAUUUGCUGCUUCAUAUUCAAUUUUUGGACAAGUAGAAUUUUCUAACCUAUUUUCCAUCAACUUCACUUGAAUUUUCAAUCACAAUCAAUUGCAUUCAAGAGCACCACAUCUUUUUGGAUGAAACAAAAAUUUCAAUUUUAAGAUAAACGGGUCUUUAGGGUUAUAAUUUCAAUUUUUAAAAGUUUAAAAUAAAUUUGUAUUUUUAUUAACAAAAUGUAUAUAAAAAAAAACUUGUUUAGACAAGCCAAGAGACCUUUGGGAUCAUACGGGUGAUUUUGAUGAUGUUAAUGGUUAUUUUGGUGGAGAGAGUGAAAAAGAAACAAAUGAUUCAUUAUAUAUAUUAUAAUUAUGAAAUUCAAGCCAUAUAUUGUAUGUUUCAUACAUAAAAAAAAUUGGAGCAAUUUAAUCCCUAUCAAUUUUGAAAGUGAGUAACUAAGGACAAUUAAUUAUGGUGUUAAAUUCUUCCAUCAAUUGUACAUAAUUUUGAUUGGUAUAGUAAUAAAUUUAGCCUUCAAUAUUUAUAUAUUUUUUCAUUUUGGCCUUAAUUUUUUUUAAAAAAUUCAAGAAAUUCAACCUCAACAUUUACAUAUUUACACAAACAUUGCGGGAAAAUUUUGUUAAAUUAAGACCAAAUUGCAAGUGUAAAUUUUGAGGGCUAAAUUUAUUAUUAUACCAACCAAAAUCAUGUACAUUUUAUGGAAAAUUAACAUCUUGAUUAAUUAUUCUUAGUUGUUCACUUUCAAAAUUAAUAGGGACUAAAUUACUUUGAUUUUUUUAGGGUGACCAAUUUCCUCAAAGUGGAAAUUGAGAGAGACUAUUGAGAUCUUUUGCAUAUUUCUUUUAUAAAUAUAUUUUUUAAAUAUAAAAUAUAUUUGUUCACACACAUCGUGAGUAUGAUCUCAAUAGUCCACAUAAUCCAUUAAAAAAACUUAAAAAAUAUAUUUUAUUUUUUAACACCUAAGUGAUUCUCCAGCUAACGACCACCCAAGACACACCCCGACUUUAUAACACCCCAAUCUUAUUUAAUUAUUAGUUAUUUAUUAAUGCAGAAGUAAAUUAUGAGCCAAUUUUAAUCUUUUCCUCGGUAAUUUAACCUAAGGCCAAUUUCAUCAUUUUACCACCUAUUGUAAAACUAACCCGAUUUUAGAUAUAACAACAUGUUUGGUUUGGUGUAAUAGAUUAGCCAUUACACCCCUAUUUCGUGGGCCCCACUAAUCCCCACUUAUUCUUGUGUUUGGUUUGAUGUAUUGCCUAUUACAGGCCUAUUACAACACGAAUGUAUUCCUCAUUUUCUCUGCUUCAACAAUGAUUAGCCAUUCCGUUCCAAAAGUAAGGAUUAGCUAAUCGUCUCUGUUUUACCCUCCUCAGCCAAAAUCUACUGCUCCACCCCACCCUCUCCCUCCCAACAUCAACAGCAGUUUUCUUCGAACCAAAUCUCCACCGUCUCAGAUCGCCUGUGAGUAAUCUCAACAGCAGUUGCCAGUGAAAAUUGCCCUUUCUUCAAAAACCCAGCCCUAAACCCUUCUUCUCUUUCAAUACUCCAUUCGAACAGGUUGCGGUGUCUCCCUCCUCUGAGGUAUGGCUCUGUUUCUUUAACUUUAGCAUUGAGCGACUCUUUUCAAUUCCAAAAUUAGUCUACUCUGCUAAGGGUUCUUGCUUUUCAAACCAUUUUUUCACCAUUUUUCUUGUAAUUCUUUUUCUUGUUAGAGUUCAGAUUUUAGAUUUUUUUUAAAAAAAAACGAUUAGAUUGUGAGGUUCAGUUAAUUAUUAGGGUUUUCUGUUUUGGGUUUCCCUGUUGCGUGGUAAUUUUGAAGUGCAUAUAAAAUGGAUGCUUUUGAGGAUCUUAAGCAAUUCGGCGAUACUGAUAAAGGUUGAUAUUCGAUUCAUUUUGCUUUAAUUUACUUGGUUUAUGCAUUUUGGGGAUAAAAUUAGCUUUGUUUUCUUCUCUUUUGGUUGGCUUUAAGCUGAGAGUAAAAUUUGAAACCUUUGUGGUGGAGGAGUUACCGUUCUUCUGAGAUCAAAUGUAUAACAGGUUAGAAGGAAAUGAAAUUAGAUCCUUAAAUAUUGUGUUUUCAAUGUUAAGGGCAGGCUUUUGUUGCUAAAACAAUUGUGGUAACACUGUUUGAUUCAGUUAGAAGUCAAAUGUCGUUUCCAUGUGUGAACAAUUUCUGGUUUUUAAGUAGCGACUUUGUUUCAUGUUGGCCUGGACAUUUUCCAAAUUAGUAAUUAUAAGUUUGAAUUUGGCUACUAAAUCACGCCAAUUAAUGAUUUCAGUGUGCUGGUGUUUCAGACUUUCAGUUGAAUUGACUUUGGUUUCGAAUAUUUUUAGUGAUGGAAAUAAGCACGAUUUAUUUAAAUUAUGAUUGAAUUGGAGAAACUGCUUUUUGUACAUUUUGAGAAAUAUCAGGCCCUUGGAUACACAAAGGGUGUUAACUUGCGCCUAUCUCAAUUACCCCAUUCCUGCCCAUUGAAUUGGAGAAAGUUCUUUUUUUUAAUGAUUCUGCGUUGCUACUGAUUUUUAGUGAAAUGGUAUUUUUCUUAUGAUGUGUUUUCUUCUUUAUGAAGAGCUCAUUUCAGUAAAGUUAACCUUUCUAUUAUGCAGAAGGUGCAGUAUUUGAUGCAUCACAAUAUGCAUUUUUUGGAAACAAUGUUCUCGAGGAAGUUGAAUUGGGGGGGCUAGAUGAUGAGGAUGAGGAUUUACCUGCAGCUGGACUUGAUGAAGAGGAGUUUUUGUUUGAUCAAGAGGAGGUUAAUAUUCUUGUUUCUUUCAGUUUUAUUUUUCCUGUUUCGAUUGUUCUUGCAAGUUUCUGCAGCAUAGCACAACCAGUGACUAUUCGAUCGAAAAAUAAAUGUAUCCCUUCCAGGCGUCAUGCUAAAAAAUAGCCUUUUGGAUUAGUGUUGGAUUUUUUCUCCAUGUUCUUUAACAGAUAGAUUCCACUGCAUUCAAUUAGUGGUUGGCAUGCGAGUUUUAUUUGUGGAAUAAAGCUCUGUGGGAGUUCAUAUUAUAUAUUGUUCUAUUUGUCUGUGCAAAACAUUGUGAACCUUGUUCUCUGUAUUUAUAAGUUGACAAUGUAGCCAUCUUGGUUGGCUGCUUUCCGAAGUCAAUUUAUUUGAUUCGUUCUCUUUGCUCUUCACAAUGAGAGGUAGCUCUUUUGUACUUUUUUAAUAAGAUCAUAUUAUACAUGCUCUUUUGCAGUGGUCUAGUGGUUUAGUAUCUUGUUAAUAAAACCAUAUUGUAUAUUUGAAUAGUUUGGAGAUUGUGUUAACUGUAUUUGGUGCAUCUUGAAGUAAUGUUUGUUGUAUCUUAUAUGCUUCCUGAAUCAAAUAUGGAGAGAAGGUAGUAUAUGGAGUUUAUAUUUUCAAGUAUUUUUCACACAAUUGAUUUAUCUGUUCCCUUCAUUGAGGGGAAAACAUGGAAUGAAUUGACUUACACCUCACUUCUUCCUCAAACAUCUUUUGUACCACUUAUUUUCAUAAAAUGAUAAGAAUCUUUUUAGAUUACAACUUCCAGAGGUCUAUGUCACCUUCUUGACAAUCAGGUUUUUAGGAAUAUUUUUACCCAUCAUGCAGAAGUUUUAGACAAAAUCUUGUUCGUGGUUGCUGCUAGAUGCAUGAUACUGCCUCAUUUCCUUUGUGGUGGUUCUUCGCUCUCCCCCUUCUUAGUAUUUUUGGUUGUUGAGUCUUGGAGGCAGUUGUAUUCAGUAAUGGCUGGCUUGCUUUGAUGCAUUGCUUCUGUAUAUCUUUGUAGAAAACGAAUCUGUAUCUAUUAUUAACACAAAUUUGAUUAGUUCAUGCCAAUGGAUUUGUAAAGUUAAAUUAGUUAUUGGCGUUAGAAAUUUACUCUUAUGCCUGGAAGGAGAUCUGGCUUACAGAUCAACUACUGGAGUUAAUUGUGGAAAUUUGUUUGAUUUGGUUUCUUAUAAAAUUGUUACCCUGUUCUAUUUAUGUUGGAGUAGCUGAAAUCUGAGGUUGCAUUUGUCAUUAACAAAUAGAAAUCCAAAAAGAGAGGAAAGUGAUAUCAUCCCCUCCACUUUUUCCUUGGAAUUGCGUACUUCAAACUUUUUUAAUUGUAUAAAUUCAUAUAAGAAAAUUUAUUAUGAUGUUGUAAAACUAUAAAACAUAUGGAUUAUGAUGUAGAAUUUCAUUUUCAUCUAACCUUUUCUUAAUAUAAGUUAAUUAUGUUUAUGCAGAAUAUAAUCUCAAGUUAUAAUUUGAUUUUAGUAAAUUCAUAUAAGAACAUUUUAUUAUUAAAUUAUAUUUAAUAUUAAUUAUUUUAAAUUGUAUAAAUUCAUAUAAGAAAAUUUAUUAUCAAGAAUUUUAUGAAAUUAUAUAUCAUUAUUAAAUUAUAUUUAAUAUUAAUUAUUUUAAAUUAUAUAAAUUCAUAUAAGAAAAUUUAUUAUCACGAAUUUUAUGAAAUUAUAUAUUAUUAUUAAUUAUAUUUAAUAAUAAUUAUUUUAAAUUAUACAAAUUCAUAUAAGAAAAUUUAUUAGUUAUAAUUAUUUUAAAUUUUAUUAAAUCAUAUAUUUUAAUUAAAAUAUUUUUAAUAUUAAUUACUUCAAAUUAUAUUUUAUAGUAUCAUAUAUUAUGAUUUUAGUAAAUUCAUAUAAGAAUUUUGAUUAUUAAGAAUUUUAUUAAAUUAUAUAUUUUAAUUAAAAUAUAUUUAAUAAUAAUAAUGUUAAAUUAUCUUUUAUCGUAUCAUAUAUUAUGAUUUGAGUAAAUUCAUAUAAGAAUAUUAAUUUUUAAGAAUUUUACUAAAUUAUAUAUUUUAAUUAUAAUAUAUUUAAUAAUAAUUAUGUUAAAUUAUAUUUUAUAGUAUCAUAUAUUAUGAUUUGAGUAAAUUCAUAUAAGAUAUUGAUUAUUAAGAAUUUUAUUAAAUUAUAUAUUUUAAUUUAAUAUAUUUAAUAAUUAUUAUGUUAAAUUAUCUUUUAUAGUAUCAUAUAUUAUGAUUUGAGCAAAUUCAUAUAAGAAUAUUAAUUAUUAAUAAUUUUAUUAAAUUAUAUAUUUUAAUUAUAAUAUAUUUAAUAAUAAUUAUGUUUAAAUAUGAUUAAAUUAUUUAUUAUUGAUAUUAUUAAUCUUAUUAAAAUUUAAAUAACAAUAACAAUAAUCAUUUACCCAAACAAAUUUAUGCUAAUGGUAUUCUAGUCAUUUUAGUUUUUUUCCAUUAUGCUAUUACACCUCUAUUCCAUUCAACCAAACACAAGAAUACUAUUACGCCUCUAUUCCAUUACGCCUCUAUUCCAUUCAACCAAACAAUUGAUUUGCUAUUACGCCUCUAUUCCAUUACACCUCUAUUCCAUUACGCCUCUAUUCCAAUACAGCGAACCAAACGUGCUGUAAGUGUUUACCAACCUUCUUUUAGUUAAAUUAUGCAAGCCUAAAAUUUUCAGCUUUAUUUGAGUACGUUUUCUAUGUCUAAUUCAAGUUUUAUUAUUAAGGACUAAAUUGUAACUUAAACAAAUUAGAAUACCAAUUUAAAGAGACAAAAUUCAAAACCCCAAAACCCACACGGGCAUGUGGGUAAGUGGCACGGGCCAGUGGAGACUGGAGCUAUCACAUAAGGCGAGUGAGAUUGAAACAUAUGAAAUAAAUUAAUCCACUUAAUUUUCCAACAACCAUGCUAUACUACCAAACCAAAUAACGAGUGAAGCUUUGAAUAGGGGCGAAUCUAAAAAAAAAAUUAGAAGAAUUAGAAUUAAAUUAUAAAAUUUUGAGAAGUUAUCAUGUAUUAAUUUAUUAUUUUUUUAAAGGGUCCUAAUAGAAUUUUUUUCCCAUUCUGGUUGGGCCAAUACCUUUGACUGCCUCUUUAAAUUUGCUUCAACCCUAAACCCAAUAUUCGAUUUGGAUUAACAACAAUAUAUAGGUUUGUAUUUGUGGGAGUUUGACGAAUAAAAAUUUCUAUUUAAAAGGUUUAAAUUAUAAAUUUUUGAAAGUUUAAAAUAAAUUUGUAUUUUUUAUUAACAAAAUAUAAAAGAAAAAAAACAUGUUUAGACAAGACAAGAAACCUUGGGAUCAUACGGGUGAUUUUGAUGAUGUUAAUGGUUAUUUUGGUGGAGAGGGUAAACACGAAACAAAUGAUUCAUUAUAUAUAAUAUAAUUAUGAAAUUCAAGCCAUAUAUUGUACUUUUGGUUUUUCUGCAAUAUGAUACAUGUAUUUGGUAAAAAGUUAUAUAUUUUGAUACUUAAAAGUAACAUUGUUAAUUUUUUUAGUGCUUAAUCUGAAUUUUAGAGUUUAUUUAAUGAACAUUAAUUGUUAAUAUUGUUAUGUUUAUUUUUUUAUGAUUUUGUUAAUAAAAUAAAUUUUAUGUUUAUCUUGUUAUCUUUUUUAUUUUAGAAUUGAUUACAUGAAAGUUAAUUGCUAAUAUUAUUAGUUAACUAUUAGUUUUCUUCAAAUCAAAUUAAAACCCGAAAGAUCCCACUUUUUUUUUAUAUUAGUUUUAGUUAUCCAUUAAAUUUGUUUCUUUGUAAUAAAAUUAAAUUAUAGAAAUAACAUUAAAAUUUUAAAUAAAAUUAAUUCACAAUAAUUAUACAGAAUUUAAUUUUCUUUCAAAUACUGCAGUUAAUAAGGAAAGUGAAUAUAGUAAAAAGAAAUAUUGUUUAAUUAGUUAAUUUAAAAAUCAAUAGCGUCUAAAAACUGUCAGAAUGGAAUAUUAGAUUUUAUAAGAUUUCAUUAUUCUAAAAAAUAAAAUAUGACAAUGCUUAAAAAUUUUAUCAAAAAAGUUUUAAAUUUUAUAUAAAAUUUUAAAAAAUAAAAAAACAGUAUUAAAAAUUUUUAUAAGCAAAUUAAAUAUUAAUUAGUAAAUUAUUUUUGUAAUAUUUAUAUGUAUUUUCAUUUUUAUAAAUACUAUUAAAACUUUUUUUAAAAAAAUUGAAUGCUAUGUAAAAACAUUAUUAAAAAUAAAAUAUUAUAUGAAAGUUAAAAUGAUGUAAAAACAUAUUUUCAGUGUUGGCGUUGCUCGUUCGUAAAUGGGUUAGUUUCCGUUUUGAUGUGUUUUUACGUGGAUAGUAAAAGAAAUGUGUUAAUUUUUGGAUUAUGGAGUUGAUCGUUUUUAAUCAAUUCUCCAGUAAGUUGACUCGUUUGUUGUUGUUAUGUGCUAGGAUAAGAGAUUAAUUCUGAUUUGGGCCUGUGUGGUUGUGUAGAUUUUCCAUGUGAAAUCGUUUGGUAUUUUUAGGAUAAAUCAUUCUUUAAAUCGUAUUGCUACCAUCGCGAAUGUGAUGUUUUAAUUUAUGCAUUUAGGAUCUGGUAGUCUUAUAGGUGUUUUCGCAUAAAAAAUUGAACCAUGUGUGUAACGAAAGCUAAAAAAUUGCACUGUUGACGCCACACGGCCAUGUGACAAGUCGUGUGCUGGAUCAUGUGUAACACACGAUUUGAGCUAGUUGAGCCAUGUGGAAAACAAAGGUGUGUGUGAAGGCGUGUGCCACACCAUGUGGGCCACACAGGCUGGCCAUUUAGGCCGUAUGGGACCAAAAUUCUAAUUUUUUUCCUAGGGUUAUACACAGUGUGUAUACUUGUCUUUGAAUUGAAAAAUUCUAAACAACUCUAAAUAAAUGGAAAGCAGCAAAUUACCUGACGAGGCAAGCUAGGUCAAUUACGACCAUUGUGUUAUUCUUGUCUCUGAAUUGAAAAUUUUAGAAGAAACUAAAGAGAAAGUGUUAGAAAAUAAUUGAAAACAGAUAAAACUUAUGUCUCAUUGAUUGGAUAAACUACGAUCACCCAUAAUAGACCUUGUACUUGACUUUUUGUUUAGGGAGAUUGACUCUUUUAGGAGAAGUCUUUUGAGUGUUGUUUGCUAGGCAAUCGGUGCUGCCCUCAACAACUAAUGGUAGUGUCCCCAUGUUGGGAUUUUAUCCCCAGCCUCUGCGGAAUAAUCAUUGAGGAUAUGUGCGUAGGGAUUCAAACUACCAAUCAAUGCAUGUGUAGCCUUUACCUUGCAACCAUCUCCAUGAACCCAUAGGGUUCUUAGCGGGAUCAAGAGACGAAACCCUAAUGUGGGAACAAUACCAUUUGUUGAAGGCUUUGUUAAUAGGGUCACACCUAGGGGAGUUGGCAGGGGUCCCAACCCCCCUUAAAAUGAAAAAUUUUCCAUUUAGGCCCUUUAAAAUUUUUAAAAUUUUAAAUUAAUAAAAGUAAAAUUGUACUUUGGCCCCCCAAAAAGUGAUAAAACUUCGAUUUAGUCCUCUAAAAAUUAUAAAAUAUAGGCUAUUAAAAUGGUGAAAUUGCAUUUUUACUAUCAUAAAAAUUAUAAUUUAAUUUCACCCCCUAAAAAGAUUUUCUGGCUUCGCCCCAAAUAAAAUCUUUGCCAAAAGAUUAAAAUAAAAUUAUACCGUAAAUGAAAAAAUAAACUAAGAAAAUCCAAUCUAACAAAGAAAAUAACUUGAUGUCCAAAAGCUACCAUGAACCGUAAUUCAUGGGAAGUCUUGUUGCUCAUUUUAUUGGUUUCCAUUUUGAUUUUGCAAAAUAAGUUUGAAUUUUGAAGAGAGCCUACUACGUGAGAGCAAAAGAAAAAAAUUCUAUAAAGAUUUUGAAUUUUGAAUUUUGAAUUUUGAAUUUUGAAUUUUGAAUUUUGAAGCAGAUUUUCAUUAAGAUUGAAGAUUCCUAAUUGAUUUCUUAGGAGAUUAUCAUGAGUUCCUUAUUUCUUUCAGUUAUAUUGCCCUUUGGAUUUUUUAUUUUUAAUCAUGAACUACUUUUCUAAAUACGUAAGAGAGAUGAACCCUAUGAUAGAUUGUGACACCCCAAAGCUGACCGGGAUAGACCGGCCUGAAUUCAAAGCAUUACAUUAGCCACCUAAGGACCACUCAAGACACACCCCGACCUUAUAACACCUCAAUCUUAUCUAAUUACUAGUUAUUUAUUAAUGCCGAAGUAAAUUAUGAGCCAAUUUUAAAGUUUUCCUAGGUAAUUUAACCUAAGGGCAUUUACAUCAUUUUAUGACCUAUGGUAAAACUAACCUAGAAAUACCGAAAACAUUCCAAAAUAAUAUAAAAAAAAAGCUAAGAAAAACCUAGAAAUACAAAAAAAAAUUCAUGUUUUUACAAAUUGGGAAAUACCUAAAUUUGUUUUUAUCAAUUAAGAAAUUAAAAAAAUUGUUGAGAAAUAUCUUUUUAGUGAUUGUUAGCUUUGACAAGUUCUCUCCACCACUUCUCUUACGCUCCUUCCAGGAUCUUGCUUUUUGUGUGUUGAAAACUCAAAUGAACAAAAUAAAGUGAAUUUACGAGUUUUGUUUUCUUUUAAAAAUAUUUUUAAUAUUUUUGUGGAUACCAAGAGAUACCAAAAAUUAUUUCACUAAGAAGUUUUAAUUCACUCGAAAAGUUAGUGUUUUAUUUCAAGGGGUCAUAAUUAAUCAUUAGAUUUCUCAAUUUUAAAUUUUGAAUUUUUGACAAUUGUGUAAUUAAUAAGUACCAAUUUUGAGUGGUGUAGGGCUAGUACAAUCUCCCUUACACAUAACCGACUCUUGAUCUAAUAAAUAUUUAUCCUUAUACUUUGAUCUAAAUAUUUUGAUGUAAUCAAUGUAAAAAACCUUUUAAACAAAAUAAGGUUGAAAUAAUCUAUUUGUCUUUAUACUUUGAUAAAAUUUGGGAUUUAGUCCUCAUACCUAAUGUUGACACCAUUUUUUUGUGAAAACGGGGUUGACUUGGAUUUUGUAAACGAAAACGAAAACGGGGGUCGCCACCAAUUCUUUUUGAUAAGGUGUGAUCGGGCCACCUUGAAAAGUGGUUGUUUUUAAUAAACAAUUUAAUUUUAUGAAAACAACGAUUUUGGUCCACGAAAUUCAGAAAAACAGGUUCGGGAGUCGGUUACGUACGAGGAAGGAUUAGCACCCUCAUAACGCCCAAAAUUGGUACCUAGUUGAUUAAUUAAUGUCUUAGUGUAGAAGAUUGAAAACUCUAAAGAGAUUUAAAACACGAUCCUUUACUGAAAUGAUAAAAAUUUUCGGCAAAAAGGGCAUAUUUCACAUUAAUCGAGAAAGAGAAUUAUAUCCAAUAAGUUAGAACACAAUGUCUUGAAUUCCGAUGCGCGAAUGAAUACCAAAAAUUUACUUAUUUAAAAGAUAUUUAACUAUCUCGGAUUUAAAAAAGGGAUCAUGCCCAGUAAGUUAGGACACGAUCUUUUCUUAAUUCCCGAGAUCGUUUAAAACUUGAGAAAAAAGGGAUCAUGCCCAGUAAGUUAGGACAUGAUCUCUUCUUAAUUCCCGAGAUCGUUUUAAACUUGAGUUUGAAAAGAUUCGUGUAUUUAAAUUUAUUGUGAAAAUUGAAACCCCGUAAGUUAGGGUACGACCUUCUCGAAUCUAAACAUGAGAUUUUGCUUAUUCAAAAAAUCAUAAUUUAUGCAUUGAAUAAAAUUAAUCUAACACGAAAUAGUAGAAAUGCAACACGGUGUCAAUAUGUGUAACAAGACAAAAAUGAAUAUGAUAAUGUAAGCAUAAAUAGUACGAACGACAUCGUAAAUGAGAUAAAUAAUAGGAGAGACAAAUCCAUCAUAUCACAACAAAUAAAUAAAUGCAAUAUUAAGACAUUCUUUUCAAAUGAUAAUGAACAUAUACGCAAAUAAACAAAUUAACAUCGAGUGAAACAAAAAUGCAAUAACGAAAUUAAUAAAACUAUAAAAAGUAUAAAAAUAUGUGUGUAUGUACGUGUAGGUAUGCAUUAUAAAAAUAUAUGUGCAUAUAUAUAUAUAUAUAUUUGAAAUUACAAAAUAUAAAAGAUAUAUAUAGGUAUGUAUAUGUAUGAGUUAUAAAAUAUAUGUAUGUAUAUGUGUACAUAACUAAAUUUGAAAUAAAUAGAUAUAGAUAAACAUAAUAAUAAUAUAGUAAGACAGAUAUAUUUAAUAUUUAAAUAAGUGAACAUAAUAAAUGGGAGUAUAAUAAAUAAUAAUAAUAAUGCAAAGCUAGUAAUAUGAUAUAAUGAUAUAAUAUUAAUGACUAAGUAAAUAUAAGAAGAAAAUAUUAAUAGAUAAUGUAACAACCCGGUUUUGACCCUAAUCGGAAUAGUGGUUUCGGGACCACAAAUCCGAACUAGAAAAAUAUUAUUAAUAUUAUUUAGUGUGUUUAUAUUGUGUGCAUUUGAAUGUGUGAAAUUUUCGUGUUUUAAUUUCAUCGUUUAAGUGUCCGAUUUAAUAAAAGGGUUUAAUCGCGUAAAAUGAAAAAUUAGGGGUUAAUUAUAAAAGCACCUAAUUGUUGUUGGCUUUAUAAUUUAGAGGUUUUACUAUGAAAUUAGUCCACUAUAUAAGUUAGUGGGUGGCAAAAGACUAAUGUAACCUUAUUAUAUAUGUUUUAUAUAUAUAUUAGUAAAGGUUAAAAUAGUAAAUUAAUUAUAAAGUUAAUAUAUGUUUAAUAUAACAAAUUAAAUGGCUAUGUUCUUCAUCUUUUGGCCGAAUGGGUGAGAAAAUAAAAGGGGUUUAAAGCUUUUUGUAUUUCGGCAGAUUCAAGCUUUGAUUUAGGUAUGUUUUUGCUUCGGUUUUUGAUGAUUUUUACGUUUUUGAGAUCGUUGCUUUGAAUACUUCAAAACCCAUGUCUUAAUUUUGUGAAUUGAUGAAUAUUUUGAAUUAUGUCAUUGAUGAAUAUUUGUGUUUUGGGAUGUUUGAUGAUGAAUAAUGGAAGAUAUGUCUUAGAUUAACAUGUUUUGUAUUGGUAUUUUUGAUGAAUUUGAGUAUUUAGGGCUAAAUUGUGAAAAUAAAUUUUUGAGGGAUUAAAAUGUGAAAUAAAUGCAAUGUGUGGACUUGUAUGAGAACCAUGAAUAUUCGGCCCUUGUGUGGUAUGGGCAAAUUUUGUGUAUUUUGUGUUUUGUGCAAAAAGGACUAAAUUGCAAAAAGUGCAAAAUGUUAGGGGCAAAAUGGUAAUUUUCACAUUUAUGUAUUGAUGGACUCAAAUGAAUGUUUUGAUGAAUAAGAAGGUUAAAUUUGACUAUGUUUAGAUCAAGGAACGAAGAAAACGAAUUUGGAUCGGGGGAAGUCGAAAGUAAUCGAAUAGUCGAUCGUGUUUGCUGAUAUCCGAGGUAAGUCUAUUAGCAACUAAAAGUUAUUAAGUUAAUAUUUAUACAUGCAUACUAAUUUUAUCUUAUGAUUGAGCUAUAAUUUAAAGUAUAAAAGUUGAAUAAACUUUGGACUAUAGAUAUUGUAUAUAACAUGUUCGAAUAUACAAGUAUGAUCUUGUAUAAAUUAUUGGAUUAAUCAAAGAUAUGUAUAAGAUAUAUGUAUAUACAUAUAAGGUUUGAAUGAUUAUAUGAGUAUGUAUAUAUAUGUAUAAACUCUUGGAUUUGAUUUGUGAUAUGUAAUUUAUAAUUGUAUAUAUAUAUAUAUAAAGUCGAAUAAGCAUGCAAUUAUACAUGUAUGUGUUGUGUAUUGAAUUUAGAUAUGUCAUUAUAUAAGUAUAUGAGGAUUGAUUGUGAAUUUAUAUAUGUAUAAGUUUUUGUUUUGAAAUUAAGUAUGAAAUUAUACAUUCAUAUGGUAGAUUCGAAUAUGUAUAAAUGCACAUGUAUAAUUUCUUGAAUUGAAAUUAGGUAUGGAAUUAUAUAUGUAUGUGAAAGUUUCGAUUUGUAUGUAUAUUCACGUAAAAUUUUUUGAAUGGAAGUGAAGAUAUGAAAUUAUUAGUUUGGAUCAUUAUAAAGUGAUUGAAUGUAAUACAGACGUUACGUCUAGCAGGCUUGAUGCCGGUGAAGUAAUUCAGACUUUAAGUCUAGCAGGCUUAAUGCCGGUGAUACAUUUCAGACUAUAUGUCCAGCAGGCUAAGUGCCGGUGUACUGAAUCAGGCUUUAAGCCUAGCAGGCAAAAUGCUAGUGAAUCUUUUUAAAUUAUGUGAGAAUAUGCAAUUGAUAUAUCUAUGAUUUUGAUUAUACGAAAUAGAUGAAUACAUGAACAUUCGGUUUUUUUUUAUAUGCCUGGUGAGCUUACACCUACAUUCGGGUUUUAUAUUGGUUAAACAUAAUUGUAUGGAUUCGGUAUAUACAAUUAAUAAAGGCAUAUGUACAUUAGGUAUAUGCGAUUGCUGAAAUUAUAAAUGCAUAUGGUGAUAUGUGAUUGUUAAAUAUACACGUUGAGCCUAUGUGUUCGAUAAUUAAUUAUGUAUGCAAUUGAGAUAUGUAUAUAUAUACAUGUACUCAUUUAUAGGUAUAUAUAUUCGAAUGUAUAUACUAGCUAUGUAUUCAGGUAUAAAUCCAUAAUGAGUAUAUAUAUAUACAAACGAAUAUAAAAUGUGAUUGAUACAUAUGUGUUAGAUUCGAAUUGAUUUAAAGUUUACCAUGAGUAUACAUACACAUUCGGUUAAGAUAUGUGUAUAAUAUAUAUAUAUGCUCGAUUGUAUACAUUGGGUUGUAAUGUUGUUUUGUAUAAUAUAUAUUCAAUUGAUUUCAUUCGACAGGUAUACAUAUCUGACUAUAAAUAAAAUGGUCUGAGUACAAUAAUGUAUGAAUGUUAGUUGGUCGUGUUAGUUGAAAUUUCAGUAAAAUAGAUUAAAAGGUUAUAUUAAUUAUGUGUUUAUAUAUACAUUUAGUUAUGCUGUAGACUUACUAAGCUAUAAAAGCUUACUUCAUUUGUUUUCGUUCAUUUGUUUUUAUAGAUUUUGGAGACGCGUUACGAGCUCGGGGAUCAUCAGCAUAGUCCAUCACACUAUCGACUUCUUUUGGUAUUUUGUUAAAUAUUUGAACUCGAUCUUAUGGCAUGUAUAGGCUUGAUAAUGUUUUGGUUAGUUUUGGAUCCUAAUAUGUAAAUAGUCAUGCGAAAAGGGUUUAAUUUCCAUGCUUGAAUUUGACUACAUAUGAUCAUGAUUUGGGCUUGCAUUUGAAUGAGAUAUUCAAGUUACAUGUAUGUUAUAAAUUUUGGAUUAUGUUAGGUAUUAAAGUCAUGUUUAUGUGUGCUUUGUUUCGUAAUGCCUCGUAACCCUAAUUCGGCGACGGAGACGGGUUAGGGGUGUUACAGAUAAUAGCUAGGUUAAUAAAAAAAACAAAAUGGACUAAUUCAUGAUAAAAAUUAAAUUUAAAGGUUCAAUCUAUAAUAAAAUAAAUAAAGUGGGUCCAAAAUGAAAAGGCACGAAAGGGCGGAGGGCCAAAUGAGCAAUAAACCCAAAUUCCAGGCCACGCCCAGGGGUCCAACGAAUUGAGGAACGAAUUGAAAACCGCAACAAACCUACGGUCCAAAUUACAAAACGAGGGAAAAAAGAAAAGGAACUAAAUCAAAACAAAUCGAUAAUGCGGAGGGGCCAAAGGAGCAAAUAACCCAACACUUAACAAUGCACGGAUCCUCUGGUCGGGUCGAGUCGACGAGUGGAUCUGGGGGGCAAAACGACGCCGUUUUGGUACCUGGGAGGCCUGCCCAAAACGACGUCGUUUUAGGGCCUAUAUAAGUAAAAAAACAUAAACAAAAAAAUCAUUUUAAAUCCAUUUCAGAAAAAAAAAACUUUCCCUUUUUUAUUUUCUCUCUAGCCCCACUCCCUUCGAUCCAGACUCCGACCGAUGGCCGUCGCACCGCCCACCGACCACCGGCGACGGUGCCGCCCACUGACCACCGAUGACGGCGCCGUCGUGCACAGUUGUCGGAAAGUUCAAAACCCCUUUUUCUCUUCUCUUUUCGAGUAAAGUACCUAUUUGGGUUUAAGACAUCCCAAAAGUCCUUCAAAAUAAAAAAAGAAAGAGAGAAAAAUCUAGAGACCUUUCGGUUUCUCAUCACCGCCGAUGGAGUUUUUGGCGAACCCGUUGGUUUGACCACCCCAAGACCGGAGGUACCUCCGUCCGCGGCAAUAAAGGUAAUAGAUUUCUCUUUUUAUUUACUAUUAUAUUUAUUUUCGAAAUAAAUAAAUAAAUAAAAAUAUAAAAGAGGCACCUUUGUUUUUUCCAAAUCUGUUUCAAACUUUUUUAUUUUCGAAAAAAUCCCAAAAAUCCCCAUGAUUACAUUGAAUUUGUGGCUUUUAUAGCCCAAUGCAUAUUUUCUUUUUUCUUUUUGUUUAUCACUGCUUCUCUGCUAUUUGUGCUGUUGUUGCGUGUUUUUUUCAUGUUUUGCAGGUCUUGACGGAGCAGGUGGGCAGGUGGCAGAGCAAGUGGCGGUGGGUGGUGUCAGAGGUGGCAGAGGCAGAAGGUGACGCCAGAAGAUAGGAACCCCUAGGUGUGGCGCACCUAGGGUUUGACAUUGUUGUUUUUUAUUUGAUUUUUUGGGCUAGGUUUAGACAGUUGGGCCUGUGCAUUUUGCUUCGGGUUUGGGUUUAAUCUCGUUGGGCCGGGUGUAAUUGUGUUAGUUAGGCCGGGGCAUAAAUUGGUUAUUACACCUAAAAGGUUAAAAAUUAAGUCUUCUUAUUUUUUUUUAAAUCUUAGUCCUACCGUUAAUUUUUUUUUGUCAAAAUUUGUUAACUUGACAUAUUAAUUAGGUUUUCCUUAUAUGUCGUGGUAUAUGACCAACACAAAAUUAAACAAGUUGACAAGUUCUGACAAAAAAUAUCAAAGAUGAUAAUAAUUUAAUUAAAAUUUUUAAAUUGAAAAAGUAAGGGAUUAAAUUUAUAACUUUUGAAGUGUAAAGAAUGAACUUAUUGAAAUACAAGAACUAACAACACAUUUUAAAAUAUUACUAGUAAAUUAUAUAUCUACAACGUAAGCUCUUAUAUUAUAUUCUUGUAUCUAUUUUGUAUCUUUCAUUAUAAUAUGAUUUAUUAAUUUUAAUAUUUUUAUAGAAUAAUAUGCUUUAAACUAUUUUUUGUAUAAUUUAUAAAAAUUAUAAUAAACUUGCAAAAUGAUUUAAUGAUAUUUAAUUAUUAAUGGAAAAAAAAAUGAUAACAUAUAUAUUCUGUAUAUAUUAAGAUUUUGAGUCAUUAAUUAUAUAUCUACACAUUAUAAUAAAUUCAUCUUUCAAAAUGUUCCUUAUAAUUAAAGCAUAAAUUAUAUUUAUAAUAUUAUAAAUAUAUUAUAUCAUAAAUAUUCUUUCAAAUAUUUUUUAAUGUUUAAUAAUAAGUUAAUUUAUAAAAUAUUCUUUCAAUAAAUUAACGUGAUGCGAUCGUUAGGUGCUUGGAUUUGGUGAUGGGGGAUGAAGAGAAAAGGGAUGGAAGUGAAGAAAAAUGUUGAGAAAUGGAAAGGGUUAGCAAGGGAAGCUGCCAUGAAAGUUGGUUCUAUGGAUAUGAACCUUCAAGCUUUUGUGGAUGAUGUUACUCAAGGUUGUUGGAAGUAAAUUUUAAAAAAAUUGAGGUAAAAUUAAAAAAAUGUUAGAGCUAAAUUUGUCAUUAUGACUAAAAUGUAAAACCAAAAUUUUUUGAAAAUAAAAAAAAAUGGAAAAUAACAAAUUCUGUCACUCAUGUUUGCUUAAAAUAUAGUUUUGGUCACCAAUCUUUUGAAGUAAAUAUAUGGUCACCAAUAUUAUCCAUUUGUUACUCUGCAAUAACUCACCUCUAUGAAAUUUGGCAGGCCGUGUCAAUUUUGUAGAUUUGCGCUCUGAACUGUGAAAAAAAUGCAAAUUUUAGGUUAUUCAAGCAUUUUAAUACGUAUAUAUGAAAAAAAGAAGAAGAUAGGAGAGAACCUUCCUAGAAUAUUUAAGAAAAUAGCUCCAAAGACACUAUUGAAGUCAACUUUGAAGCAAAUUUUCAUCAAGAUUGAAGAUUCCCAGUUGAUUUCUAAAGAGAUUAUCAUGAGUUUCUUUAUUUCUUUCGGUUAUACUGCCCUUUGGAUGUUUUUAUUUUUAAGCAUGAACUAAUUUUCUAAAUACCUAAGAGAGAUGAAUCCUAUGGUAGAUUGUGGCACCCCAAACCCAAUCGGGAUAGACCGGCCCGAAUUCGAAGCAUUACACUAGCCACCUAAGUGACUCUCCAGCUAACGACCACCCAAGACACACCCUGACCUUAUAACACCUCAAUCUUGUUUAAUUAUUAGUUAUUUAUUAUUGCAUAAAUAAAUUAUGAGCCAAUUUUAAACUUUUCCUAUGUAAUUUAACCUAAGGGCAAUUUUGUCAUUUUACCACCUAUUGUAAAACUAACUCGAUUUUAGAAGUUUUUACCAACCUUAUUUUAGUCAAAUUAUACAAGCCUAAAUUUUUUAGCUUAAUUUGAGUUUGUUUACUAUGUCUAAUUCAAGUUUUAUUAUUAAGGACUAAAUUGUAACUUAAACAAAUUAGAAUAUCAAUUUAAAGAGAAAAAAUUCAAAACCCAAAAACCCACACGGGCAUGUGGGUAAGUGACACGGGCGUGUGGAGACUGGAGCUAUCACACACGGGUGAGUGGGAUUGAAAAAUAUGAAAUAAAUUAAUCCACUUAAUUUUCCAACAACCAUGCUAUACUACCAAACCAAAUAACGCUUGAAGCUUUGAAUAGGGGUGAAUCUUAAAAAAAUUAAAAGAAUUAGAAUUAAAUUAUAAAAUUUGAGAAGUUAUCAUGUAUUAAUUUAUAAUUUUCUAAAGGGUCUUAAUAGAAUUUUUUUUUUCCCAUUUUGGUUGGGCCAAUACCCCUACCUCUUUAAAUUUGCUUCAAUCCUAAACCCAAUAUUCGAUUUGUUGUGGAAGUUUGAUGCAUAAAAUUUCUUUUUUUAGAGGUUUAAAUUAUAUAUUAUUGAAAGUUUAAAAUAAAUUUGUAUUUUUUAUUAACAAAAUAUAAAACAAAAAAACAUUUUUAGACAAACCAAGGAACCUUUGGGAUCAUACGGAUGAUUUGGUGAUGUUAAUGGUUAUUUUGGUGGAGACAAGCCAAGAAAAGAAACAAAUGAUUCAUUAUAUACAAUAUAAUUAUCAAAAUUCAAGCCAUAUAUUGUCUGUUUCAUCCAUAAAAAUUUCAUGGGAGGUCCAAAGGUAAUUAAAUGACUUGUAGGCUUGCUGAAUUUCUUUGAAAGGCCCAAAGGCAAUUUAACACUCACAAAAUAAUCUCUAAAUACUGUAAAGACAAAUCAAAUCCACAGCAGCAUUAGAGUUGAUUAAGCUAAGCAUUGGCAAAUAUUACUUUGAUUUUGCAUGCAAUAUCGGCAAAACCCCCCUCUUACAUUAGAAAAAACAACAUAAUCCAUGUAACAUUGAUAGCCCAAUACAAAUUUCAUCAAGAAAAAAGUCUCUUUGUUUUGUAGAACAUGAUAGUAAAGAUGUGGAGUUUCAUUCUUCUUAUUGGCCUCCUUUAGUUUUCCUUGAUCAACAACCACUAGCCAAAAACACAAUUAGAUUAGAUUAUGAAUGAUACUUUCAACUAUGACAAUAUUAAAUACAAAACACUCCAAAUAACUCUAAAUAAAUGGAAAGCAGCAAAUUACCUGACGAGGCAAGCUAGCUUAAUUAAGACCAUUGUAUUAUACUUGUCUCUGAAUUGAAAAAUUUAGAAGAAAAUAGAGAAAAAGACUUAGAAAAUACUUGAAAACAGAUAAAACUUAUAUGUCAUUUAAAAUAAAAAAAAAUUAUUUAAGCUGUUUAAAAUUUUUAAGAUUUUUAAAAUUUUAAAAUGAUAAAGGUAAAUUGUACUUUGGCACCCCUAGAAAUGAUAAAACUUUGAUUUAAUCCUUUAAAAAUUAUAAAAAUAUAGGCUAUUAAAAUGAUGAAAUUAUAUUUUUACUAUAGUAAAAAUUACAAUUUAAUUUCACCCCCUAAAAAGAUUUUCUGGCUUCGCCCCUAAUAAAAUAUUUGGCAAAAGAUUAAAAUAAAAUUAUACCGUAAUUGAAAAAAGAAACUAAAAAAAUCCAAUCUAACAAAGAAAAUAACUUGAUGUCCAAAAGCUACCAUAAAUCGUAAUUCAUGGGAAGGCUUGUUGCUCAUUUUAUUGGUUUCCAUUUUGAUUUUGCAAAAGAAGUUUGAAUUUUGACGAAUACCGACAUAUUAUAUAUAUGACUAAAAUUCCAGAAUAGGUUAAAAAUGUUGAAUUAAAGAUGAAAUUAAGUGUGAAUUAAUAACCACAAGUGUACUCAUUACUCACCAUCUCUGUUAAAAAUGUUGGAUGUUGUUUAGCAACCUUUGUUUGAUUUUCUUCAGCUCAACCACAACAUCUUUCAUAUCUUUUCUUUCUUCUGGUAACUCAGCUGAACAAUUCAAAGCCAACUCCAUGAUAGAUGAAAUACAAUUUGCUUUAACAACAAUGUACUCAUCCUCUCUUCUUAGUAAAUCAACAUCUGCAAUUUCUAUCGCUCCUUUAGGCAAUGAACUUUCCAUCCAAUGCCUUAUAGUCUCUUCUUCAACAAAAACAUUAUCAGAUGGCUUUUUCUUUGUGAAAGUUUCUAUAAGGACGAUCCCAUAACUAUAGACGUCAGAUUUUAUAGAAACAAUUCCUGCUGAUCCAAAUUCUGCAUUUCAAGUAUAAUUAGAACAUCAUUCAUCCUCAAUUAUUUCUAAAAUGCUUAUUCUAAUAUCUAUCCAUAUACACAUGAAACAAAAAUAUAAAAUUCAAAUUAGGAAAAUAAUCAUACAAAAAUAAAAAAGAAUUCACCUGGUGCCAUAUACCCGAUAGUUGCAAGAGUCAUGGUUUGCUUCAUUACUUCACCUUCUCCCAACAAUUUGGCAACGCCAAAAUCUCCAACAUGUGCAACCAUGUCUUCAUCUAGUAAAAUAUUGCUUGGCUUUAUGUCACAAUGAAUUAUAGGUGUUGGAUGUCCAUUGUGGAGGUGUUCUAUAGCUAACGCAACAUCUAUCAUUAUGUCGACCCUUUGUAUGAUAUCAAGGAAACAAUUUUCAGAAUGUAACCAUUUCUCAAGGUUUCCAUUAGACAUGUAAUCAAGCACCAAGGCUUUGAAGUCAACACUUGAGCAGCAAGUAAUGACCUUCACAAUAUUACGAUGAACUAUAUUAAGCAUAGCAUCACAUUCAAUGUCAAAACUCCUAAAUGCUCCCUCUGUUUGCAAAUUGAAAACUUUUAUUGCAACUUCCAUUCCAUCUGAAAGCCUCCCUUUAUAUACAUAUCCAAAACUCCCUGAACCAAGCAUAUUGCUUUCCUCAAAUCCAUUAGUUGCUCGUGAAAGUUCAGCAUGUGAAAUUCUUCUCGGUGUUUUCAAAGACAACAAAUCAUCUUUAAUUGAUAGAGUUGUACUCCUUCUUUGGCAUCUUCUAUACAUAAUAGUUAAGACUAUUAGUACUACGACAAUGCCAAUUGUUGGUAAACCAUACCUAAAAGCAUGCAAUAUAAUCAUUUGGGAGUUUUUGUGGAUGUCGUUUUUGCAAGGUGGGACUUGCAAUCUAGGUGGACCACAAAGUGCAUAAUUCUUCAUGAAUGAUGUGCUAGAAAAGUUUGAAAAACAUCCUUUGCUGGGAAUUUCCCCUUCAAGUCUAUUGAAAGACACAUUAAAAUACCUUAGAUAUAUAAGUUUUUCCAAAGAUUUGGGAAUGACUCCAGAGAGAUUGUUAUUGCAUAAAUCCAAGAAUUCCAAACUAAUCAAUCCAGCAAAUGAUUCAGGGAUAUGACCAUGUAGUAUAUUAUUUGAUAAAUCUAAUGAAACCAAAGUUAUAAGACCCCCAAAUGUGGAUAAGAUAUCGCCCGUGAGAAGAUUCUUUGAUAAAUUUAGUUUCAGUAGACUCCUCAAAUUUCCAACAUCAAUAGCAUGUGAACUGUGAAGAUGGUUUGAUGAUAAAUCUAUUUCUAAGAUAUCUUUAAGAUUCCACAAAGUUGAGGGUAUUGUAGAACUCAAUCUGUUGGAAGCAAAGUAAAGAUAUCCCAAAGAAGUAAUAUUACCCAAACAAGAGGGUAUGGAUCCAUGCAGCUUAUUCAACCCUAAAAAAAAGUUGUAUAAUCUCUCCAAAUCACAAAGGCUUUCUGAGAUGGGCCCUCCUAAUUUAUUAGAGGAAAGACCUAGACUUUGGAGAUUCCGCAGUCCUCCUAUUGAUGUUGGAAUGAAUCCACUUAAUUUAUUAAAGCCAAGUUCUAAAACCACCAUGUUGCUUAAGUUACCUAUUUCCAUAGGAAUAAUGCCUUGAAGCUCACAAUUAGAGGCAUAAAAGUAUUGAAGGGAUUUUGAAAGGUUCCCAAUAUAAGUAGGAAGAACGUCACUCAAUGGAUUUCCUGAAACAUCUAUUGCGGUCAAAUUCCUACAAUUCGUCAAAGAAGAAAGAAAGCUCCACUCAUGAUCAGUAGCAGAUCCUGUGAUCAAAUUAUUGUCAUUGAUUUUGAGCACUUCAAGGUGUUUUAAGUUGCCAAGCAUUUUAGGGAUUGGGCCAGAGAAUAAGUUAUGUGACAAUUCUAGUUGCUUAAGCAUGGAAGCAUUGGAGAUAGAGUUGGGAAUGUUUCCGCUAAGUUUAUUUCUCCACAAUAAAAGAAUCUCAAGCUUUGGAGCAUUGGUGAUGGGUGGUAAAUUACCUGUAAAAUUGCAUCUUUUAGUAUACAUAUUCAUUGAAUACCAAAUUCACAAAAUAUAUAAGACAUUAAAAUAAAAACUGUAAAACUUUAAAUCAAUUAAGAAUAAAAUUUUGGCAUGGAAAAAUGUGAUGAAAUCAAUUAGAAAGUUGAGACAUAAUAAGAAGUUUUGAGUAGUAAUUAGUAAAACAUAUAAUACAUUAAUAAUUUUUAAAAUAUUGUAAAACUUGAAAUAAAAUAAAAAUAAAAGUUUGGCAUGAGAAUGUGGCAUCUAAUCAAUCUUAAAAAUGAGACUCACAUUGAAUAAUAAUUAGUUAUGAUUUGGGAAACAAAAAUGUUAAAGCCAUUGUUUUUAAUGUAAGCUGGUAUGACUUUUAUCUAUUGGGUUAAUUAUUUAUUUUUAUUAAAUUAUAGUGUAAAAUUUAAAUAUUAUUAUUUGCUUAAAUUUUUUGUAUUUUUCGUAUAUUUAAAAUUUAAUCUUUAUAUUUUUAUUUUCUGUGAUUUAGUCCCUCUACUUUUUGAAUUGAAAAUUUUAGGUUUAUUUAUUAACACCGUUAAAAAGUUUUUGUGUUAGUAUGGCAUUUUGAAAACUAAAAUAAACUUGAUAUCUAUGUUUUUAAUUAUUCCAAAUAUUGUUUUACUAUUUCAAGAUAAAUUAUUUGUGUCUAGACCAAUAUCUUAAGAACUAUUGUUGCAUAUUUAAUUAUUCUAAAGAAUUGUCGAUUGAAUCUUAGCUUGAUUGGCAUGUGCAUUGUUGCCAAUGUAGGAGAAUGUGGGUUCAAGCAUGCAUGCUGAAAUGCAUUAUCCUCCUAUUUAUGAAUUGGUAAAGUACUAAAUUUUGAUAUAUUUUAAAAUAUUAAAAAUUUAUUAAAAUAUUUUUUUAUAAAAAUUGAUUGUACCACAAUAUACAAUUUUAAUAUCAAAUUUUUAAUUUUUUUAAAAAAUAUUAGCGAAUAUGUACUUUAUUUCAAGUUACACAAUUUUUACUAGUUUUUAAAUUUUUUUAAUUUUUAUCGUCUUUUAUAAUUUCUAAUAAUUUUUUAUAAUUUUUUACAAUAUUUAACAAUUUCUAAAAUUUUUUAAUAAUUUUAUUAUUUAUUACAAAUUUAAAAAUUAACAAAUUUUUAAUCUUUAAAACAAUUAUAUAUUUAUAAUGUAGUUAUUUUUUUUAUAAUUUUAUUUGAAAUUUUAAAGAUUUUUUUGGUUUGUUUUCUAGAUUAUGAUGCCAUCAUAAUGUCAUCAUAUGCCACAUGGCAAUUUAUGAUUAGUUGGAUAUCUCAAUCUAUUUUUUUAACGUCCAAUGGACUAAGCCAAGAACACCUGACAAUGUUAGAGACUACACUACGAAUGUUUGAUAAUAUUACGUAUUAAAGUGGACAAAAAAAAUUAAGGACCAAAGUUAUAAAAAAAAAAAAAAAACAGCAAUCGGCUGCAGGGAAUAAACUGUGCAUUAAGCCAUUAAAAAUAUAUCUAUAAUAUAUAUAAAUGCAUGGAUUUUGAGAAACAUUUGAACUGAUAAUUACAUAGUCUUUGAUGUUUACUAUAUUAUUGAAUUUGUUAUUUUAAAUAUUUUUUUAUUACUUUUAAGAUUUAUCAUAUGUAUGGAUAAGAAUUUUGGUUUUACUAAAAUAUUUGGUUAAAUAAAUUCAUUUAAUAAGAAAAUUUAGCAUCCUUAUAAAUAACAAUUUUGAUUCUAUUAAAAAUUAUUUUCAAAAAUAUAUAAUAAAAAUUUAAAAUUUAUAUUGAAUUACUUUAUACUUAAAUUAUUAUUAGAAACUUUAUCAUACACAUACGUGUAUGAGAACCAUGUAUUUAGAACAUAAAUUUGUUUUUUAAAGUAACUUAUGAUAAAUAAUGAAAUGUAUAAUUUGAAACUAUUUAAUAAUAACACAUGUCAUAUCUACCAUAUUAAAAUAAAAAUAGAUUAAAUUGUAAGUAAAACAUAAUUUAAACAUAUGAAUACAUCAAAUUAAGAAUACUAAAUGAAUACAGUUAUUUAUGAUGAUGUUGUUGCCAAUUCUUAAGUUGGUGCCGAGUUAAUUUGUGACAUCAUAAAUUUAGGUGAUAAAUUUAAGGUUUUAUGUAUUGAUGUGGAUUCAAAUAUCACCAUAAUUUUUUUAAAUAAAAAACUAAAAUACCCUCAAAUAAUAUAACUUAUAUUAAAUACGAAAGGGUAUUUUUGUAAUUUCUCUAACCGAGUUGGUGCCCGGUUGACUCAUGACACCAACUCAAUCAAAAGCUUCAAUAAUAAUAUAGAUAUUCACGGUAAAAAAAAUUACUUUAGUUCCAAAUAAUUAUAUAACAAGUAAAUUUAUAAUUGACGAAUAAAUUUAUAAAUAAUAUAUUUAUAUGAUCUAAUAUAUUAUAUUUAUAUUAAUUAUAUAUCAUCUACAAACUUUGAAGAUUAAUUUAUUAAGUAUCAAGAAAAGAAAAAAUGAAAUUUAAUUAACACUAAAUCAAUUUUUAGAUUUUGUACAGAUGAUUUAAUGAUGAUAAAAAAAAUAUUAGCACUAUUUUCGAAUUAACAAAAAAUUAGUGAUAUAUUUUAAUUAUAUUUAUUAUUUAUUUUUUAAUAAUUUUUUUAAUUAUAUGAAGUAAAAUUAUAUUGUAUACUAAAAAUGGUACAUAUACUUUAAUUAUACUUGAAAAUUUAUUAUAUAAAUUAAUAUAUUUUAAUUAUAUUUAACCAUUUGAAUAACAAAAUAAAAAAAAACUAAUUAGAAUAAUUUAUUUUUUAAAGUCUAAUGGAAAUUAAAAAAUUAAAAAUAAAGCAGUUCAUAUAAAACUUAUUGUUUAUUAUCAGAUUAAAAUGAUAAAAGUAUAUGACCAAAAUAAAAGAAACAAAUUCAACUCAAUGUUUUUGGAGUUUGGAAAAAAUUAAAGUUAAAAACAUACCUUCUAAUUUGUUGUUAAAUAGAUCUAUUUCUUCGAGCGUAGUCGAAUUAAAAAUACUUGAUGGAAUCUGACCUGCACACAUAGUCGAAAAUUGAAGUAAAAAACAUACCUUCUAAACUGUUCAACUAAAAAUACUUUAAGCAUAUUUUUUAGUAAACUGUGCAACAGGUGAUAUGAGAAUCUAUGUAUAUAAAUGUAUAUGUAUAUAUAUCGUUGUUUCAUUUUGUAAAAUAAAUAUAUUUUCCACAUUGGUUUCUUUUCUUCUACAGACAAAGGAUUUCUAAUGAUUCUUUUUUAUUUUUACUUAUAAAAUAGGUUAGUUUCUGCAAUAAUAAAAACAAUUUCUAAUGAUUAUUGUUGUUACCAGAUAACUAAUUUUCAUUCAAGUAAAGCCCUUCAAGCUUGGGAAAAUGUUGACACAUAUCAUUAGGCAAACUACCUGAUAGGCUAUUGUUGGAGAGAUCAAUGGUCUUCAGAGAAGAAAUGUUCGAGAUCGAAGUUGGAAUCUGACCUGUAAGGCCUUUAAUUUCUUUAAUAUUAAGCAUUUCCAAACUAAGAAGAUUACCAAUUUCCUUAGGAAUUUGACCUGCAGACAGUCAAAAAAUCAAUGUUUUUCAGCAUAUGUUUUUCAUCAAAUGAAAUAAAAAGUUCUUCCUUUUGUUAUCUAUUACAAAUCAAACUCUUUUAUAAAAAAAAAACUUUAAAUUCAAGAAAUCAAGGAAAUUGAUUACCUUCUAGAUUAUUAAACCCUAAAUAUAACUUCUGGAGUCGUGUUAGAUUUCCAAUACUUCUUGGAAUGAUACCCAUAAAUUGAUUAUAGGACAACGACAAAAUUUGAAGGUUGUUGCAUUUGCCCAUGCCAAAUGGAAUGUUACCAGAUAAUUCAUUCAAACUCAAGUAAAGCCCUUCAAGCUUGGGAAGAUGUUGACACAUAUCAUUAGGCAAACUACCUAAUAGGCUAUUGCUGGAGAGAUCAAUAAUCUUCAGAGAAGAAAUCUUGAAGAUGGAAGAUGGAACCUGACCAGAUAAUUGAUUGAAUCCCAAGUUCAAGAUCUCUAGAUUAGACAUGUUAACAAGUGUUUCAGGGAUUGUGCCUGUAAAGUUAUUGUUUUUCAUUUUCAGCCUUCGAACUCUUUGUAAGUUCCCAAGCCAUGAUGGAAUUUCCCCAUUCAGACGGCUGUAGCUUAAUUGAAGGAUCCUCAAACGAUGCAAUUGGCCCAAUUCUUUAGGGAGAUGGCCAUAGAAAUGGUUGCUACUCAAGUCGAGAGAGAGUAGAAAUGAAAGAUUUCCAAGGUGUGGAGGGAUAGUACCCCUAAGAUUCAUGCUUGUAAGAUUCAAAGCUAUAACUCUUUUAAGAAGGAUGCCACAAGAAACACCAAUCCAAUUGCAAACAGAGGUUGAGACUGUCCAAUUGUUUGGCAAGACAUUUUGAGGACCGACGAUGCGAUCCUUAAACUCGAGAAGUGCAAACUGAUCGGAGUUUAGAUUCCUGACUGUCAUAGCCAAGCAAAGUACGAAACAUGGUAUGAAUAAAGCUAAAAGAAGAUGAAAGCAAGUGUUGUAGUUCAUGAUUGCAAGACGGAAUAAGCCAAGAAAAUAAAAAAAAGUAGGAAAAGGGAAGUUGAGUUGAUAAAAUAGUUUGGAUGAUGAAGAAAAGCCCUGAGAGCAUGCUUUAAUAUGUUUCAAUCAUCGCACACUUGAUAAACUUGAUAAAUUUAAGACUACCCUAAAAAUUAAAAAGGAAAGCAAAGUUUUGAAGAAAUUUCAAAAUAAAUGUCAAGUCUUCUUCUUUUAAAAAUACGUACAAAGAAGCGAAUUUUCAAAAUUUCUACUAAAUUUUCUUCACAUUACUCCACAUAAUCCAUUAAAAAAACUUCAAAAAAAAAUAUUUUAUUAAUUACUAUAUAUUCUUUUAUUUUCAGAAUAAUAAUUGUUUAAAAUAUGCUAUUAGUCCCUGUAAUUUUAAAGUUAAAAAAAAUCCAAUCCUCCUAUUUUUCUAAUUUAAAAAUUCUAGUCCAAUCAUUUUUAAUUCCAUUAAAAAAUUUCACCUUAAUAGGUUUUUUGAUUAUCAAUCGUAUGCAACAUUAUAUGAAGGCAGUCUAAUCAGCAUAUAUCCAAGUUUAUAGAUUUUAAUAGAAAAUACUUACAAUCCUAAUGGUAGGACUAAGUUUUUUAAACUAGAAAAGUAAGAAGACUUAAUUUUUAACUUUUUAAGUACAAGGAUUAAAUUUUAAAUGUUGUCAAAGUACAAGGAUUAAAUUUUAAAUGUUGUCAAAGUACAAGCACUAACAAAAUAUUUUGAUCUAAUAAAUGUAAAUGAACUUUUUAAACAAAAUAAGGUUGAAAUAAUCUAUUUGUCGUUGUAUUUUGAUAAAAUUUGAGAUUUAGUCUUUAUACCUAAAAGGUUAAAAAUUAAGUCUUCUUGUUUUUAUUUAAAAAUCUUAGUCCUAUCGUUAAAUUUUUUUGUCAAAAUUUGUCAACUUUACAUAUUAAUUAGGUUUCCCUUGUAGGUCGUGGUAUAUGACUAACACAAAAUAAGCAAUUAAGUUGACAAAUUUUGACAAAAAAUAUCAAAGAUGAUAAUAAUUGGAUUAAAAUUUUUAAAUUGAAUUUAUAACCUUUAAUGUAUAAGGAAUGGAUAUCAAAUUUUUAUAGGAAUAAAGGGACUAACAACAUAUUUUAACCACAAAAUAAUAUGGGUGAUUAGAAUGAAUCUAAAAUUUUAUAGAAAUAAAAGAGACUAACAACAUAUUGAUAACUUUGAAAUCUCCUUCGAUAAUCCUUUUUCUACGUAGAAAAAGAAAAUUAAUUAGCAUCUAAAGUGUCAAUUAAUGAAACCUUCAAGAGAAAAUGUGAAAUUGAUUUACCAAACAAUAAUAUUCUAACUUAUAAUAUAUUUAAUUACAUUUAGUAAUUUGUCAAUCAAAACUUAAUUAACAUCCAUCAAUACUUUAUAUAUAAAAAACGCAAGCAUAAAUUACAGUUUAAAGUAAUUGGGAUCUCGAGUGCAACAAAUUCCUCCUUUUAUUAUUAAAUGUUUUAUUUUAGUUACUCUAAUCAAAACUUAAUUAACAUCCAUCAAUACUUCAUACAUAAAAAACGCAAGCAUAAAUGACCAUUUAACUCAUAUUUAACUUUGCAAGUAAACUUCACUAAUUAUAGAGUUAUAGUGUAAACUUUGAAAAUAUAAGUAAAUUUACCAUUUAACUCAGACUUAACUUUGCAAGUAAACUUAAAAUUUUAUUUAAUUUUGUCACUAAAUUUGAUUUGUUCAAUAUAGAUUUUGGUGACUUAAAACAAAAUUAAUAAAAAAUUAUUCUUUCGGAUAUCUUUUUAAUGUUUAAUAAUAAGUUAAUUUAUAAAAUAUACUUUCAUUGGGCACAGGCCUCCAAGCCGGUGAACCACUGAUCAAAUUAAUUUGGAGAUAUCUUUUUUCUGAAUAAAGUGAAUUUACCAGUUUUGUUUUCUUUUAAAAAUAUUUUUAAUAUUUUUGUGGAUAUCAAGAGAUACCAAAAAUUAUUUCUCUAAAAAAUUUUAUUUGACUCGAAAAGUUAGUGUUUUAUUUCAAGGGGUCAUAAUUAAUCAUUAGAUUUCUCAAUUUUAAAUUUUGAAUUUUUUCACAAUUGCGUAAUUAAUAAGUUCCAAUUUUGAGUGUUGUGGGGCUAGUAAAAUCUUCCUUACACAUAACCGACUCUUGAACCUACUCUUUUCUUUAGAAUUCAAUGCAGACCUCAAAUUUAUCUUUUGAAAAGAAUUUUAAAAUCUCUGUAUAAAAGGUGUUUCUUUUUGUUACCGAUCACAUUUAACAAAAAUUUAAAAAUUAUUAAAAAAUAAUUUCUUUUUGAAAUUUAAAAUGAUCUAAAAACAUAUUUUUAAUUGCUUUGGACCAUCUAUUGCUGAUUUCCUUAUUAUAUUAAGUGUUUGCAAUCACUCUUAAUAUAUUGUGCUUGAGUUGUGACAAAGCCGAUCGUCAACGUGCCAUAAUGAUCAAUUGACGCUGAAACUGAAGUUUUUGUUAUAUUGAUAGAGCUUGUCCUUCAACGCAUACAACGUGUUUGUUAUUUUUCUCCCUUCAAAUUGUAUGAUCUUAUUCAUUAAAUGAAUUAAUGAAUAUCCCUUUUAAAAAGAUAUAUUUUUAAAAAUUAAAUACUUCAUAAAAUAUUUAAAACCAUUUAAAAAUUUGUUAGCCUUAAAACAAUCAACAAAAUAUAUUUUUCUCUAAAAAAUCAAUAAAAAUAUGUUUGAAAUUUUAUAUGAAAUUUAAAAUUUUUUAACAAUAAUAUAUUUUAAAAUUAUAGUAACGCUACAAAAUAUAUAUAUUUACUAAUUAUAUACACCUUUUUUAUAUUUUUUCCUAACAUAUCAUUAUUUUCAACAUUAUCGUAAUCCUGUUUUUAUAAUUCCCUUGUCAUACAUCCUUUUUCUACUUAGAAUUUCAAAAGAAAAUGUGAAUUAAUGUAGACGUGAGAAGACUUCAAGGUAAGUCACCCAAUGAAAGUGACCUAAACCGACUUAUGGAAGAAUCAAACAAUAAUUUUGUGUCUUGUAAUAUAUUUCUUGUAAUAUAUUUAAUUACAUUUAUUAGUUUAUCAAUCAAAACUUAAUUAGAAUCCAUCAAUAUUUCACACAUCAAAAACCCAAACAUAAAAUUCACUUCUAAAUUAUUUGGGAUAUAUUUGUAUUAUAGGAAAUGGAUUAAAUUAGUCUUUUUAUUAUAAAAUGUAUUAUUUUAAUCUUUGUAUUAGGUAUGAAUGAUAUCUCCUAGAUUGAACCCAAAGCUAUUCUUGAAAGACUGAAAUUAGGAUUUAGAUGUGUUGAGAUGGAAAGUGACAACACAAUGUUGAUUGAAACUAUUUGUAAUGGGUUGGCUACAAUAAGUAGUGCUGUCGAAAUAAGACAGAUUCACGAUUAGUCUUCCAAAAAUUGGGAAGUCAAAUUUCGACAUAUUUAGCGGAAUGCCAAUAAAAUUGUUGAUUGCUUAGCUAAGGCAAAUGGAGGGGUAAUUGAGCAGCUGGUUAUCUUGGAAGAUCCUCCGCAUUAUGUGAGAUGCUAGCUUGAAGAAGAUAUUAACAGUCACUGGUCUGAUGAUAAUUUUCAUUUGGACUGAUGAGCGCUUAAUUUUCUAAGCUUAUGGUCAACAAAAAAAAAUUAAAUACGUCUAAAUUGUAAUAGAGUUAACAUUUAGUGUUUAAAAAAUAUCUUAAAAUUUAUUUUUUCCAAUUGCAGUUCAAUUCCACAAAUAUCGACGAUGAACCCGAACAUAAAAAUUACAAAAAAAAACACAUCUAUUAUCAAACCAACAAUCCAUGUCUAAACUUAAAUUAACAAAAUUCACCACGCAACCUGGUACACUAUUUUAUAUAUAUAUAUAUACUAGAUUUAUUCUAGAUGCACAUGUUUUAUUAUAUUUAAAAAUUAAAAUAUAUGGUUGACUAAGUUUUAGUUGAAUUAGUAUUUGUUAAAAAUAUAAUGUUGGUAAUGACAAUAUAUAGCAAAGAAAAUAGAAAUAGAAAAAUAAAGAACACACAUAUUUUACGUGGAAACCCUUUCGGGAAAAAACCACAGGCAAAAGAGAAGAAAAUUCACUAUGUCGAAUUCAAAUCAAUUACAAGAGGAGUAGACUAUGCCUAUUUAUAGGCUUGGAAACCUUAUUCUAAUAGGAGUGAAACUCUUUAUUCUAAUAAUAUCAAAUAGAUGGAGUUUAAUAAGGUUUAAAAAACCUUAUUCUAAAAUAAAAUAAAAGAAGUAUAAUUCUAUAGGGAUUUUACUUUUAUUUUAUUUUACCAUAGUAUUUAAUUUAAAUAAGGAUUUGGGUCACUUAAUUCUAACAAUCUCAACCUUGACACGAAUUCUUAAUGAACAAGUUCUUCAUCGCGAACUCUCAACGAACAAGUUUCUCCACCUCUUCCAUAAAACCCCUUAAGGGUUUAUUUUCAACAAUGAACACCAACCAAGUCUAAGCAGUGCUCAAACUUGGUUAUAGGAAGUGACUUAGUCAUCAUAUCUACAGGAUUUUCAUGAGUACUAAUUUUGCUCACAACAAUAUCACCACGAGCAAUAAUAUCACGAACAAAAUGAUACCGAACAUCAAUGUGUUUUGUUCUCUCAUGAAACAUUUGAUCUUUUGUAAGGAAGAUGGCACUUUGACUGUCACAAAAUACUGUAUUAAUUUGAAGGUCUUCAUUGAGUUCACUAAAGAGUCCGUUCAACCAAAUAGCUUCUUUGCAAGCCUCAGUAAUCGCCAUGUGCUCAGCUUCAGUGGUAGACAAAGCGACUGUAGUUUGCAAAGUGGCUUUCCAACUGAUUGCACAACCUCCGAUUGUAAAGACAGAACCUGUGAGAGAUCUUCUUCUAUCCAGGUCUCCAGCAAAAUCAGCAUCAACAUACCCAAUGACUCCAUCUCUAGUUCUUCCAAACUGUAAGCAAACAUCGGUAGUACCUCGUAAGUAUCUUAAAACCCACUGAACUACUUUCCAAUGUCUUUUAUCGAGAUUCGCCAUGUAUCUACUAACUGCACUAACUACAUAUGAUAAAUCUAGAUGUGAACAAACCAUGGCAUACAUGAGAGAUCCUCCUGCACUAGAGUAUGGAACAUGUGACAUGUACUCAAUCUCAUCAUUUGAUUGUGGAGACAAAGCUGAUGAUAGUCUGAAAUGGGCUACUAAAAGAGUACUAACAGGCUUAGCAUUCUGCAUAUUGAAUCUAGAAAGAACUUUCUCAAUGUACCCUUUCUGACUUAGGUACAAUUUACUUGCUUUUCUAUCCCUGAGAAUCUCCAUACCAAGUAUCUUCUUUGCUGGUCCCAAGUCUUUCAUCUCAAAUUCUUCACUUAGUUGGGCUUUGACCUUUCUUAUCUCUCAUUUAUCUUUCGCUGCUAUCAAUAUGUCAUCAACAUAAAUGAGUAGAUACACAAAAGAACCAUCAUUGUUUUUCUUAAAGUAAACACAACUGUCAAAGCUACUUCUUUUAAAAUCAUGAGAAGUCAUAAAGGAAUCAAACCUCUUAUACCACUGUCUUGGUGACUGUUUCAAACCGUAAAGAGACUUUUUUAGCAAGCAAACAUAGUCCUCUUUUUCUGAGACUGUAAAACCCUCUGGUUGUUGCAUGUAAAUAUCCUCCUCAAGUUCUCCAUGCAAAAAUGUAGUUUUUACAUCUAACUACUCAAGCUCCAAAUCAUGCAUGGCCACAAUACCAAGCAAAGCUCGAAUCGAACUAUGCUUCACAACUGGAGAGAACACAUCUGUGAAGUCCACUCCUGGAAUUUGACUGUAACUAUUUGCAACAAGCCUUGCUUUAUAUUUGGGUUCUUCAACUCUUGGAGUCCCCUCUUUCUUUUUAAACACCCAUUUACAACGAACAAUCUUUUUAACUUUGGGAAGUUUCACAAGAUCCCAUGUUUUGUUUUUGUGGAGUGAUUCUAUCUCCUCUUGCAUAGCAAACAUCCACUUUUCUGAAUCUUCACAACUAAUCGCCUUAGAAUAAUUAGAUGGCUCUUGGUUUGCAUCUAUAUCUUCAGCCACAUUUAAAGCAUAAGCAACUAGAUCAGCCUCAACAUACUUCUUUGGAGGUUUAAUUUCUCUUCUAGUUCUAUUUUUGGCGAUAGAGUAUUAUGGUGAAGAAGCAACUCUAUUUUGAAUUUUCGUACUGGCUUUAGUAGUCGACUCUGUUGUAGAUUCUAGAUCAAUCUGAUGCUCCACCUGCUUUAGAUUUUCUUUAUUGGAAGUCUUUAAGAGAUAACUUAGGUAGCAUAGCAGUUUCAUCUAAAACAUCUCUGCUAAUCACAACUUUUCUAUUUUCAGGACACCAUAACUUAUACCCUUUUACACCAGCUUUAUAACCAAGAAAAACACAUUUAGUAGAACUCGGUUCCAAUUUUCCAUUAUCAACAUGAGCAUACGCAGGACAACCAAAGAUUUUUAAAUUAGAAUAGUCAGCAAGAUUACCAGACCAUACUCUUGUGGAGUCUUUUUCUCAAUGGCAACGGAUGGAGAUCGGUUGAUCAAAAAACAUACAGUAGAGGCUGCUUCUGCCCCAAAAUGACUUUGAUAAGUUGGCAUUUGACAACAUAUAUCAAACCUUCUCCAUGAUCAUUUUGUUUAAUUUUUCUGCAAUGCCGUUUUUCUAUGGAGUAUGACGAACUGUCAAGUGUCUCACGAUCCCUUCUGACUUGCACAGUUUAUUAAAUUCAUCAGAACAGAACUCUAAGUCAUUGUCUGUGCAGAGGCAUUUUAGUUGCUUUCCUAUCUAUUUUUCAAUCAUGGUUUUUCAAGACUUAAAUGAGGAAAACACAUCACUUUUCCGCUUUAGGAAGAAUGCCUACACUUUUCUAGAAAAAUCAUCAAUUAAAGUUAGCAUAAGUAGCUCCACCUCUCGAAGGCACUCUGGAUGGCCCCCACAGAUCAGAAUGAAUAUACUCUAACGUUCCCUUCAUGUUAUGGAUUCCUCUGGUGAAUCAGACUCUCUUUUGCUUCCCAAAAAUGCAGUGCUUACAGAACUUCAGUUUGCAAAUUUCUUGCCCAUUAAGAAGUCCUCUUUUGCUCAAUUCUGCCAUGCCAUUCUCACUCAUAUGCCCUAGGCGCAUAUGCCAAAGUUUAGUAAUAUCAUCAUCUGACAAGGAAGAGGAUGAGACAGUUGCAUCACCAGUAACAGUAGAACCCUGCAAAACAUAUAACUUGGCAGUCUUUCUCUGCCCUUUCAUCACAAUGAGGGAACCUUUGGAAAUCUUCAAAACCCCACUUUCAACUGUGUAUUUGUACCCUUUUGAAUCAAGAGUACUCAACGAAAUUUAAUUUAUUUUUAAUUUUAGAACAUGUCGUACGUCAGUGAGUGUUCUGACAACUCCAUCAAACAUCUUAACUCUGAUUGUUCCAACACCUGCAAUUCUACAUGAAGCAUUAUUUCCCAUCAACACAAUACCUUCAGACACUAUUUCGUAAGUUGUAAACCAAUCCCGAUUGGGACUCAUGUGGAAGGUGCAACCCGAAUCAAGGAUCCACUCCUCGUCACUUUGGAAUUGUCGAUUGAAGUGACUAGAAGUUCACCAUCGCUGUAAUCUUCUACAACAUCAGCUUUACCAGAAUUUUCUAGUUGUUUUCCAUUUUGAUUCGCAGCCUCCCUUUUGAUCUUGUUCUGUAGCUUAUAGCACUCAGUUUUAAUGUGCCAUUUCUUCUUGCAAAAGUUACAAGUUUUACCUCUGUUUGAAGACUACUUUUAGAUUUACUGCGAGGAUUCCGUUCCUGUGUCCUUCCAUGAUCAUCAUCAGCAUUCCGAUCUUGUCUCCCAUGAACAAUAAGACCCUCUCCCCGAGAGUCGAUUUUAAGCACAAGAUGCUUCAUCUUAUCAUACGAGGUUAAAGAAUCAUAAACCUCAUCAACUGUGAGAGACUCGCGGUUAUAUAAAAUCGUAUCUCUAAAGGAUGAAUAAGAUGAGGGCAACGAACAAAGUAGAGUCAACCCUAGAUUUUCCUUAUCAUACUGAACCUCCAUGGCCUCCAAGUUUGAGAGAAUUUCUUUGAACACUAUUAAGUGUUCGUGCACAGAUGCACCUUCCUCCAAACGAUAAGCAUAAAGACGCUGCUUCAUAUGUAGCUUGAUAGUUAGAGUUUUCGACAUACAUAUCUAUUCCAACCUCUUCCAUAAUCCAGCAGCAGUCUUUUCCUUCAUCACAUCCUGCAAAAUUUUGUUAGACAAAUGCAGAUGUAACUGUGUUAAUGCCUUUCAAUCCUUGCACUUCUUCUUUUCUUUCGUCAAUGUUGAAGGCAUCUUAUCUACCCCUAGUAGGGCUUCCUCUAAGUCCAUCUGUGCAAGAACUGCUUGCAUCUUUAUCUGCCACAAUGCAAAUCUAGUAUUGCGAUCCAACAGCAGAAUUUUGUACUUCAAAGACGUUAUUACCGUGAUUGAGAUGAACAACCCAGAAGCUCUGAUACCAAUUUGUUAAAAAUAUAAUGUCGGUAAUGACAAUAUAUAGCAAAGAAAAUAGAAAUAGAAAAAUAAAGAACACACAGAUUUUACGUGGAAACCCUUUCGGGAAAAACCCACGGGCGGAGGAGAAGAAAAUUUACUAUGUCGAAUUCAAAUCAAUUACAAGAGGCGUAGACUAUGCCUAUUUAUAGGCUUGUAAACCUUAUUCUAAUAGGAGUGAAACUCCUUAUUCUAAUAAUAUCAAAUAGAUGAAGUUUAAUAAGGUUUAAAAAACCUUAUUCUAAAAUAAAAUAAAAGAAGUAUAAUUCUAUAGGGAUUUUACUUUUAUUUUAUUUUAUCACAGUAUUUAAUUUAAAUAAGGAUUUGGGUCACUUAAUUCUAAUAGUAUUGAUAUUAUUGUCAGUGUAGGAAAAUAUGAGUUUAAUCAUGCUCAAAUGUGUUUUAUCCUCCAAUUCAAGAGUUAGGAAAAGGUUAUUGAUAAUUAAAUUAUACCAACUUUUAUGAUAUUAAAAAAGGGUUUAUAAAUAAUAUAAGGAAAAGAAAAAAAAGCGAGAAACAUAUUCAUAUUGAUAUUAGACUUUUUUUUUUCUAUCACAAGUAAAAAUAUCAAAGGUGAUAAUAAUUAAAUUAAAAAAUUUAAAUUGAAAAAAUAGGGGAUUGAAUUUAUAACUAACAACAUAUUUUAACCACAUAAUAAAAGUAGUUAUGAAGAGGAUCAUGUAAAAUAAUGACCUGAAUAAUUUUAAACGUCUCAUUCUUGCAAAAAUGAAAUAAUAGAAAAGAAAUAAGUGUUGGGUGUAGUGACAAUGUACAUUAUACUUCUAAGGGGAGAUCAGGGUUUUAGGCAAGGGAAGAAUUUAAUUUAAACCUACUUUUUUUUCUCUAGAACUCAACCCAAACCUCAAAUUUAUCUUUUUAAAAGAAUUUUAAAAGAUCUAUAUAAAAGGUGAUUUUUUUUUAUCGAUUACACUUAACAAAAUUUUAAAAUUUCUUUUUUUGAAAUUUAAAGUGACCUAAAAACAUAUUUUUAAGUCCUUCAGACCAUCCUGUGCUGAUUUCUUUAUUAAUUUGAUUUGUUCAAUAUAGAUUUUGGUGACUUAAAACAAAAAUAAUAAAAAAUUAUUUUUUCAGAUAUGUUUUUAAUGUUUAAUAAUAAGUUAAUUUAUAAAAUAUACUUUCAUUGGAUACAGGCCUCCAAGGCGGUGAACCACUGAUCAAAUUAAUUUAGAGAUACCUAAAUUUGCUUUCAUCAAUUAAGAAAUUAAAAAAAAAUUGCUGAGACCUCAUGAUUAUCUUUUAUAAUUUCAGGCUUAUCACCAAAAACUAAAAAAUAAAAACGUCGACAUUAAAUUUGUUGGUAUGCAAUCAAUUUUAAGAUGGUUUUUGGAGUUAUAUAUCACUUUAGCAUGGACUUACUUUUCUACAGUUAGUCUUCUCCAACAAGUUAAAUAUUUAAAUUUUAACAACAUUGACAGGUCUUUGGGGUAGGGUCGAGCAAAACUCAAUAGAAACAGAUGAUAUAGAUUGAGUUGGCUCGGCCAAGUCGAGUCGACUUGUUCAAAUUAGUUAAAUUAGUAAAUUUUAGGGUGCAGUUAGUAUUUUUUGUUUUGAGAUGCUAAGAUUAAAAAAUUUCAGUUGUUAAAACAAAAAAAUUGUAUUAAAAAAAGGCAUAAAUUAAAUUAUUAAGUUUUUCAAGUUUCCAUUUAAUCAAAGGUUAAAAGGACUAAAUUGAAGCUUUUUAUUUUUAAGAAAGGCUGAAUGACAAAUUGCCCAAAGCCCAUGCCCCUAGCUAUACGCCCCUGGUAAAAUCAAUUUUAAAAUUAGUUAUAAUAGUUGAAGCGAAUUGAUUAUUGAGUAAUGAAAUACAUAGUUCAACAAAAAAAAUAAGUUGACAAAUUUUGACAAAAAAAUAUCAAAAAUGAAAUAAUAGAAAAGAAAGAGUAGGCAUUUUAUGAAAUUUAUAAUUCCAUGAAUAAAAUAUAAAUUUUAUGAAUGUGGACGAGCCAUUUUUUUAUAAUUUUCAGUGUUUUUCUUCUUUUUCUUACUUUUUUUAAAGUAUUUUUCUUUGUUUCCUAACCACCAUGAAAUUACUUGUCACAAUUCAUCUUUUCAAAUGAGAAACAUUUUCCACAAUUUGCCAUCACUUCAACAUACACUAACUUUUCUAUGAUUAGUCCUUGGUUUGCUUCGGGUGCAAUCUUCCAACUAGCCUUAUCCUUGGUUUUACUUUCCAACAUUUAGUGUAUCACGAGUUUUGUUUUCUUUAAAAAAAUAUUUUCGUGGAUAUUAGGAGAUAAUGAAAAUUAUUUUACUAUGAAAUUUUAAUAAAACUGGAAAAUAAGUAAUUUAUUUUAAGCGAUCACAAUUAAACAUUAGAUUCCAAUUUUUUAAUUUUUUUUUUACAAUUGCAUAAUAUUUUGAGCAUUGUAGGAAUGCCAUAACCUUCCCUACGCAUAAUAUACUCUUGAGCAUGAUGGAUCCUAGACCUUCUUUAUUCUCGUACCACAAAUUGCUUCAAGUGUGGGUUCGAACAAUCACAAAUUAAACACAAAACCAGAAAUGAUUUAUUACUUUCAAUAGCAAAGUAAUUCUCUUUCAAUAGAAACCAAUAAAAUUGUAAUUCCUAGAAAAUUAAAAUUUAUUUUUUCAAAAUAUCUUCUCUCUACUUUCUAGCAGAAUAACAAUAUGCGAAACUUAUGUCUUGUGUUAAUAGCCCUACCGGUACUAUCUAUUUAUAGGGAGAGACACGAGAAUCCUAGUUGAAUUAGUAAAACACAAAUAAUAUUUAUUUCAUAGAAACCAACAUUCUACCCUAAGUAGAUCAAGUUUGGAUGACGCAUGGAUCGAAGCUCAAUCUAGGGGAAAAAAAUAAAGGAAUUUUCUUUGUAAAGAAAAUCUGAGAUUAUACUAUUUUCGAAGUUAUAAAUAAAAUUAUACGCCAAAUUUUGAAGUCAAUUUUCAACUCAAAUGUUGUAUGUACAAAUUUCUAAUACACUUGGUGGGACAUUCUUUAACUUUUAUCUAUUCUCUCAAAACGUUAAAGUUCAAAGUUGCAUUAAACUCAAAAAAGAUAAUCAUUAGUAAACCAGCACACAAGCCUACUCAAGCUAAUCCUACAACUCGUUCCACUUCAUCAUCAAACACCAAUGUUCUUGCUUAUCCUUAUGGAAUUAAACAAAAGACAAAAGCUCUUUAAAGUUAUUUGAACAGACUUCUUUAAUGGUAAAUGAUAAUCCACUCUAUGAUGCUUCUUCGCCCAACUCAUGAUUUAAAAGAAGUUUCUACUCAUAGAUCAAGUGUAGCUCGCCAGUUAUCAUUAAGGAGAAAAAGGAGUCAAUCAAGUGAAAAUUAUAUUCCAACAUCUCCCCAGAACCAAAUUUCAUAGUGAUGAAUGUCAUGACAACUGACACUACAUUCUUAGAAGAAUAAGUAGAUUUCUAGCAAAAACGAUGGAGAGUUUUACUACAAGCAUAAAAGAAAUGGAUGAUCAAAUUGAACAUCUUAGUGGAAGUAACCAAACCUUUUCCAACGAAACUCAACAUCCUCUUCACAAAGUUGUUGGAAUCUUAAUUGUUGAAGGACUUUAAAGUGUUUCUUUAGAUCAACUCAAGGAGUUUAUUAAAAAAACCAUCAAAGAUCAAGUCAAAAGUGUUACUUUGCCUUCAUAUACAUACUCAAAGUCAUACAUCUGAAGGAUUUAUCAUUUGAAUAUGCCUGAGCAUUAUCCACCUUUAAAAUUGUAAUAGUUUGAUGGUAAAGGAAAUCCAUGUAAACAUGUCGUUCACUUCAUGGAAACUUGUGAUCGCGUCGAUGUAACACCCCACUCGUGACCCAAUCGCUGGAUUCAAGAAGAGAGAUACCAAAAUCAUGUUGGAAAAAAUCUUCGAUAAGUGUAGCAUGAGUGCUCACACUCUCCAAACACUCCAUACUAUCUUUGGUAUUGAAGUUAAGCUUGACACUCCCUUAUCUCUCUAAUGUUAUCUUCAGGCCAUAAUGCCCUAUCACAUAGUAAAAAAGGUGAGUACUCACAAUCCUAUGGCAUGCCAAUGAUAUCUAAUGGUUUCAAGUGUUCACAAUGCCAACAUAUGUUUUGUAUCACAUUCACUUUACACAAUUUAAAAGGGCUCACAAUACAGCAGAUCUCACGUAUAAUAGUUUUUAAUAACACAAUUCACAUUUCUGUAGGGCUCGUAUUAUAUAUAAGUUCGUAAUAACAUGGAUUCGCAUAACACUUAUGGCUCGCAUAUAUUUAGGGCUCAUAUGUAACAGUUGGGAUCCUAUAUAUUUAAACUCGCAUAAUACAGGGGCUCGCACGACAUAUUUUGGCUUGCAUGCAAUAUAGGGCUUGAUCACAUAUAUAGGUUCACAUGAUCUUAGGGCUCGCAUCACAUAUAUAAGCACGCAUGAUACAUGGGUUCACUCAACAUGUAUAUAUCAACUCGUGCAUCAAAGUAUAGGCUCGCAAGCAUUAAGGUGAUAGAGUUUGCAAACAAUUUAGAGCUCGCACACAUCAUAGGCUUGCAUACAUACAUGUUAGCAAGGUCUGCAGGUUACAAAUCGAGGCUCACAUAACUAUAGAGGCUUGCAUGGAAAUAUAAAAUUGUUCAGAUAUCAUUUUAAUCGGCUUCACACAUUAAAUCAAAUGGUUUGCAUGCAUUCCUUGGCUUUCAUUAGCAUGCGAACUCGUGUUUUUAACACAGUGUGCAAGGACACUCACUAGUUGUUUGUUGAUACUGUCGAACCUAUACCACCUUUUGCUUGACUUUUUCCUUGCUCAUGGAUGCACCUUCACAUUGAAAGGAUUUGCAUAAAACAAGAAAUAAUACAGAUUACUACUUUCACAGACAUAAUAACCUUCUUAACAAACAUAGUAGCGAAUCUUCCAAUCUUCCUUAAUAAUUCCUUAAAUGAAGCUAAACCAAAAUGCAUUAUAAAUUCAAUCAAUUUACCAUUAAACCAGCCCCCAAACACCCACUUAUAAGUUCAAACUGAUCAUUGAAAUUAUAAUUAUUUUAUGAAUCCAAACUAGUUAGAUUCCUUAAACUGUAUUGAUGCGAAUUGUAUGUACAAUCGUUCUUCACCUUUACGGAUGAUUUGGGGUGUUUGGGUCAACACCUAAUUCAAUAAUAUACUGGAAAACUAGUAGUUAACCAAUUCAUAACCUUUACCCAACAACUAUGUCGAAAUAACAAACUAGUUUAUAAUUAAUCGUACUUAUACCAAAUUGCGAGAUCUGAAUGGCUAAUUGAUCAAGAAUGUGUUUUGUAACAUCCCAAAAAUUAGGUUAGAAGAAAUGGGGCUUUGAAACCAAGAGUGGUCAUCCCCCGAUUAUGAGUUUAGAUCUUGGAAAAUUUGACAAGUAAACUGAUCUGGUUAAUGGUUAAGUGUCUUGGUUAUAUGUGUCAGGUUUUGGGUUCAAAUCUUGUUUUUGGAAAUUUUGUUACUUUGCUUAAACUCUUACCUUGAAUGUUUGGUUUAUAAGUUAAAUUUAGUCAAUUGAUGUCAAGAAUGAGUCUAUUGGUUCAAUGGUUAAGUUUUUGUAUAAUCAUUGGUCUUGUGUUCGAAUCUCAACAAAAGUAAUAGGGAAUGUUUUGUUUUUAAAUUUUUUUUAUAGGGUAGUUAGUUUCGAUUGGUUAUUUAAAGCCUUCCAGAAACCUCUAUUGCUUUUAUUUUUAUUUUGUUCUUUCUUUUUCUGCGACAUUUUCUAUCAUUUUGUUUCUGUUCUUUAGUUUCGUCAUAUUGGUUUUUUAUUUUCAAGCAACUUUUUUUUUGUUAUGUUACAUUACGCCGAUUGUGUACGGAGUCUAACUUCACCCUCUAGUUAAUUCGCUGGCCGGUAAGUUCGAUUUAAAGUUUUGGUGUUGAAAGUUUUUUAACGUAAAUUUAAUUUUGAAAUGUUAGUUUUUAGUGGUUUAGCUGCAAAUUAAUCGUUUGUUGGAAAAUUGCUUGUCGUUCAGGGACAUGAAUUUAUCCUUGUUACUCUUGCAUCAAGUUCGUAUCAAGUGGGUAUCAGAAAACCCUUCUUCUUUAAAUUUUAGUUGUCAAAUAAUGGCACUAUCGAUGCCACAUAGCUGUGUGGCAGGCCGUGUAACUUACUGUUCAAAAAAAUUAGAGGCAUACGAGCGUGGGCCCAAAUUGUGUGUGGUUAUGAAUUGUGUAGGGUUCACACAGGCCAGUGACACUAGCAUGUGUCAGGUCGUGUGGGACACACGGGCAAGUACACGAGCGUUUACCAGACUGUGUGGAGUCACAUGGGCCAGUUCUCUAGGCCGUGUAAAACCAUAUAGGUAUGUGAAGCAAUAUUUGGAAUUUUUCCCUUGGGUUACAAGAGUUGUUUGAAACAAACGCAUAAAUACUGUAGGGUCCGUACGAUUUGGAUUAGGCUAUAUAACUUGAUAUUUGAUGAUAUGAUGAUGAACAACUUGUGAUCUAUACGUAUAUUUGUUAUGUUUGAACCUAUGUGAGUAGGAUCUGUUAGAAUGUAACAUGUUAUUUUUUGUUGUGUGUGAACUAUCCAGGUACAAUUUGUAUUCUAUUAAGUUUUUUGGUACGCCUAUGUGUUACUCUAUUGAUGAAGAAUAUGUGACAUUUGAUUAUGUUAGAUUGAUUGUUACUGAUUAUAAUUUAUAACCCUCUACGUUACUUCAUUGAUGAGGAAUACACGUAUAUGAAAAUGUUAGAUUGAUUGUUACUGAUUCUAAUUUAUAGUCGUGUAUGUGACUUCAUGGCAAAUAUGAUAUGAUUUGUUGAGGUUUGAUAAGUCUAUUUUACAAAACAUGGACCCUCAUGUCUCCUGAUUCUGUUAUUGAAAGAUAUCAUGACUUACAUGCUCAUCACUCUAAUUCUUCAUAUGUAUGUCAUGACACGUUGCAUGGGAUUUGGGUUGAUGUGAAAGGAGGAAGUUUUUGGCAGUUAAUGAUCUGUAUUAUCUGGUGGUUUAUCCAUGAUUCUGUUCCGGCAACUUAGUUGUACUAUAGUGGCUUGACCAAAUGUAACCGAUCUGGCAGUCUUAACUGCAAAAUUUUGGUGGCACCAUUCACAAUUAUCUAUUGGUGUAAUUUGGCCGGAUGAGUUAUGGGGGAACUCUAUUUUGGUUAGUAGCAAAGUUUGGGUAUGAUGUUUUCUGAUAAUUUUGCAUUCUAAUCUAUUUGAAAAAUACAAUAUUUGCAUAACACAUUUUCUACUCUGCUCUAUUCUGUUCUACUCAGUUCUAUUCUGCUUGAUUUAUUAUGUUCUGCUUCAUUCUGUUGUGUUCGGUUCUGUUGGACUGUUGUUGUGAAAAUUUUCGUGAUACUCUAGAUCUAUUCCAUACUGGUUAUAAAUUUGUUAUUAAGUUCUUUGCGUUACUUUGAUUUAUAUAAUAAAAUCUGUUUAUUUGUAUCUAAGUUUCAUUAUACACGACGCUUGGUGUUUCACCCUUUGUCUUAUCUUAAUCUGUUCAAGUGCACAUCUUACUUACGACUAGAUGUACAGGAGCUCAGAUUGUUUUGCAUUGAUAUAACUAUGAUUUGAUCUUUUAGGUUGUAAUUUGUUUUUGGACUUGUCUUGCUUUUCUUUUGAUAAUCUCGUCAAUAUCUGUCAUUUUCUAACACAAAAAUAAAAAACCACCUAAGUCGACUAAAAUGAAUUUCUGGUUUUCAAAGUUGAAAUUUUGAAAAGAAACUAGUUUUCUGCACGUUGGCGUAACUCGUCCAAAUUUGGCUUAAAUUUGUAGGUCGAGUUUGGGGUGUUACAUCUUUCCCUAAUUAACAUGUGAUUAAAUAUUUAUUAGAAGGAUUCAAAAACUCAACUUAAUGCUGGAAAAAUAUGGGCAAGAACCAAGAAACAAAACAACCCCCUUUCUUACACAUAGCCGUACGAACCACCACCCAUGAUGGCCAAAAUUGGGGUUGAAUUUUAAAAUGGUUUGAGAUCUCAUUAAAAAUAUAGAAAAACACAUUUGUGUCGAAACCACUAUUUAUUUUUGAAAAAUGGGAAUCAACUUUAAAAAAUGAAAAUGGGAGUCACCACUGAUCUUUUAUUGAGGUGUGAUCAGAUCACCUUAAAAAUGAUUUUAGGUCUACGAAUUUUAAGAAAAUAGGUUUCGGAGUUGGUUACACACGAGGAAGGGUUAGCACCCUCAUAACGCCCAAAAUUGGUAUCGAAUAGACUGUUUAAUGUCUUAGUGUCGAAAAUUUGAAAACAUUUUAAAAUACGAUCCUUUUUUAAAGAAAAUUUGAAUAAGUUGACUUAGAAGAUAAGACCCUUUUAUUUCGAAGAAGUAAAAUAUCACAUCCAGUGAGUUAGGGUGCAACAUUUCUAAUCCUUAAAAUUAAGUUUGUCUUUUGAUUUUUAAAACUCAUGCAUUUAAAUUUGAAAAGGAUAUUCAGUUAUUUGGGUCAAAUGAAAAAUCAAAACCCAAUAAGUUAGGGUUCAACUUCCAAAAAUUGCUAAAUACCGAAUAUUGCCUUUAUUUUUUUUAGAAAUCCAUAACUCAAGAUAACCAAAUGACAUAUCCAGUAAGUUAGGAUCCAACAUUUUGAAAUCCCAAUAGAGAACUUUUUAUUUAGGAUUUGUAUGGUUUUAUUGCAAAAGAGAUACUUGGCUAUCUAAAUUCAUCGAAGAGAAUUGAAGCCCACUAAGUUAGGGCAAAAUCUUCUCGAAAAUCGUGAAUACCGAGUAUUUUGAAAAUUUACGAAAUAAGAUGAUUUUAAUGCUUUAAGGAAACAUAAUUUUUAAAACAAAUGUAGUGUGAUUGAACGACAAUGUACAAUGCAAAAGGAUAAUUAAAAAAAAACAUGUAUACAUUAGUGAAUAACUAUCAAUCAAUAAAUAUAAAUAAGUAAAAUGAUACAUACGAGAACAAUAAUCUUACAUUCCAGAUUAUGCAAAUACUAAAUUUUAAAACUAAUGAAUUAUAAAUUAAUUUUGAAAGAAAUGCCAAGCAAACUAACACAAAUAAAAUAUAACAAGUUUUAAAAAUAAAAAGAAAUAAAAAAAGUACACAGAAAGAAAUUUAAAAUCAUCAGUACAAACAAUAAGUUAUAUGAAUAAUAUUUCAAAAUAAACAAUAUAUAUAUGAAUUUGAAAUAGUUCAAAAAUAAAGGUAAAAAAAUACUAUGUGAAAAGAAAUAAUAUCUAAAUGAAUUUUAAACAAAUAUUGUAUACAAAGAAAAUCAAAAUAAGUAAUACACAAAAUAAUACACGUAUAUCAAUCUAAAUGAAUAAUACAUAUUAAAAAAUCUUUAAAUCAUAGAAAUAUAAAUAAGUGAAUUUUUUAAAAAAUUUAAUUAUACUGCAAAAUAAAACCAUUAAAGAAUGUGUACAAUUCUAUUGAAUUUAUAUAAAAUAAUAUAUGACAAAUUAUAAUAAUAAUACAUAAUAAAUCUGAAAUAACAAUAUACAAUAAACUUAGAUAAUAUUAAUGAUAAAUUUAAGAUAAUAAUAAGUUUUAACAUUCAAAUAAUAUUAGAUUUAAAAUUAAAAAUAAAAAAUAGCAUAAUAAAAAAUACUUAAAUAAGUAAAAAGCAAGCAAAUUAAAAUAAAGUAAUGAGGAUUAAAUUGAAUUUAAAACAAAAUUUAAAAUAAAAAAAUGAGAAUAAAACAAAACUGAGAGCCAAAAAAAGACGCGCGGAUAACAUGGGGACCAAAUGGGAAAUAUUCCCUUCCUUCAAAACGCAGCGUUUUGACACGGACCAAAUUGGAAUGAAACAUAGAAUGCGUGGCCAAAUCUAAAUAAAAUAAAAGGAUAAAUUUGAAAGAGUUAUAAAAAGAACGGGGACCAUUUGCGCAAAUUUCUCCUACGCUAUAAAACGCGCGGAUACUUCUCCGGGUAGGGUCACCGGGCGCGUAUAGGCCAAUAUAGUGUCGUUUUGAAGCCACUGAAGCAGGCUGAAAAUGACAUCAUCACAAAAUUAGUAUAAGAUUAAAAUUAAAGCAAACAUUAAGCCAUUUAACCACAGAAACCCUAGCCCCUUUCGCCGUUCUGAACUUUGCUAAUUCUUUUAGCCUUGAAACCCUUGCCAAACUCUGAUCACGGCGAAGCAAACAAGGAUUUCGCGGCGGUUUUAUUAAGGUAACUUAUUCUUUUGUUAAUCGCCUCUUUUUUAUAUCUAGUAAUAAACAAAAUAAGGAUUCAAGAGCAGAGAAGAGAACUAUCAAGAGAAAAAGAAAAAAAUGAAAACUCAAAUCACCUUUCGAGAUUUCGUAUUUUUUGCCUAUUAGAUUUCUUUUUCUGAAUCAGUAUAUGUAAUCCUUUUACAAAUGAAUCAAUCGGCUUUAUAUAGCCGAAUAAAACCAAAAAAUUACAAAAUUAUUAUUUUUGUUAUUUAUCACUGCUGCUAUUCUCGUUUUUUCUUUUAUGUUAUUGCCUUCCUUCGUUUGCUUGUUUGUUGCGUCUAUUGUAGGUACCAAACCAGCUGGAGCACACGCAUGGAGGCACAAUGGAUGGGGGGCACACGCGUGUGGGGUUGGAGCUGCUGCGGCGUUGGGGCAACAGGCUAGGGUUUUUGGAAACUGCUUAGGUUUAUCUAGGUUUGGGCUUGUUGGGCCAAAUGGGGUUAGUUUUGGGUACUUUAAGUUAAAAUGAUUUGGGCUAUGUAUUUGGGUAUGGGUUUUAGGCUAAUACUGGACUACUAUUAUUUUUAUUUUAUUUUGGUUUAUUAUUGAUUGGGCCUAGGUUUUAUUAGAUUUGUAAUUGUAUUUGGUUUUUUAGUAUUUGGUUUGGGCUAGGCAAAAUUUGGUAUUACAAUUUGAAUUCAUUUAAAAUCCCCCAAAUUCCAGAUCUAAAAUUUUUUCUUUUUAAUUGACAAGAUUAAUUAAGAAAUUGAAGAGAAAAGAGAUCUUACCCAAGCCAGUUGAGAGAAAUGACGAUGACACUUUCUUUGCAAUGCUCAAGAUCGAUCUUAGGGUUCAAGAUUUUAGAUUUGGGGAUGAUUUAAAUGAGGAUAAAUGAUAGCAAUAGAGUAAAGGAGAUGGUGCACAAUCUUGAUGCAAAAAGAAGAAGAAAGAGAUGGUAAAUGGGAGGUGUAAGCAAUGACAACAAUGGGAGAAAGAAAGAAAAUAAGAGAAAAGUGGGGAGGAAGAUGCUGAACAGAUAGGGUAGGGAAAAAUUGAAUUUUAGGCUAAAAAUAUACUUAGGGUUCAAGGUUAUGGACAGCACACACAUUUAAAAAACAAAGGAUUUUGCAAAAUUUACUAUUUUGCAAGGGAAAGGAUUCGAAAUUGGGACCUCAUUUAAUUUUCAUGUUUUCUCAUAUUUCUUUUAACCAUUAGGAUUUUUCCUCAUUCUUAAAAUCAUUUUGAAAUAUUUAUUUUAAAAAUAAGGCAUGUCACACUAGGGUUUAAGGCAAAAUUAGCAAAAUAAUAAAAAAAAUGAGAGAGAAGGGGGUUUCAAGGAACGCUUCACUAAAACUUAUCCAACAAACCAACACCUCAUUAUUUUCCUAAAUAUGCAUAGGUAAUCAUCAAAAUUAAGGCAUCACCACUCUUUCUCGAUUCACAAACCCGAUUCUACUAACCCUUGAUUUUUGGGAUGUUAUAAGGUGAGUUCGUAGUGUAACAAUAUAUAUGUGUGUGUUUUGGGGAUACGAUUGGCAUGCCAAUAGGGUUAGUUACACUUCAAUGCCUCUCUUUACAAUUUGGUGCCACUGUAUUUGCACUACAGUGCCUCUGUUAGUAUUUCGAUGUUUAGGGGAAACCCGAGUAUCCAAGUCAUUUUAAUAUAGUUCAAAAGGCCAUGAAAUUUUAUGUUUAAAUGUUAAAUUACUCUUGAGUUUGAUUUAUGUAUAAAAUGAUAUAUUUGUGUAUAUACGUAUAUAAGCAUGGAUUGCUUUGGUUUGAGCCAUUGUUUAUAUUGAAUCAUAUGAGACAAAUGUUUUGAUUAGUAUAGUUUGAGAAUAAAUAUUAAUGCUUUGGUGUAAUUAUAUGAUUCAUAUGUCUAUAAACAUGAAUCUAAUUAUGUUUAUGGUGUGUUUAGAGAAUUAAAUGGUUAUAUGAUUAUUUUCCAGGUAUUCGAGGUUGUUUAAUUUGGUUUAAUGGGUAAAUAAAGCUUUAAAGGGUAUGUGAUUACAUGAAAUGAACUAUCAUAUUUGAGUAAUGAUAUGGAUUAUGAUGAAAUGUUUAAUUGAAAAGAAAAUAUGGUUUAGUAUAUAUGUAUGAGUGGUGAAUUAUGAAAGUGAAAUGUAGAUAUGUUUUAUACCAUGUUUUGAUUUGAAUUAUAUAUGAUAUGUUACACCAACUAACCUUGUGAGGUGGUGUGUAUAGGAAAGGAAAGUUGGCUUAAAACAUAAUGAAAUUAUGCUUGGUUUUUUAACUUAAAAUAUUCAAUAAGUUAAGUUUCAUUUAUAUGAACUUACUAAACAUUAAUUGCUUACAUAGUUAUUUUUCUUUAUUUUGUAGUUCAUCAGAAGCUCGGCCGGUUGGAAUCAUGUCAGAGCACGAUCACACUAUCCAUUCAACAUUUUGAUAGUUUUUGGUUAUUUUGGUAAAUGGUUAUAAAUGACAUGAAAUAGGGUUUAAAGGUCAUUCCAGUGAUUUGACUUGUUUUGAGUUGUGUCAAGCUUAUUGUGAUUAAUGUUGUUAGUUGCUGGCAUGUAAAUAAUGGUGUAAAUAUGUGUGGUCGGACCCUUAUGCAUGCUUUAUUGAUUAAAGAUAUCAUAUGUUAAAAUGGCAUGUUUUUGGAAUGGUUAUUUGGCAUGAUUGGUAUAGGUUUAAGUUAUGAUCUUGAGAUGUUGAAUUGAAUUAAGUUUGAUAUGUAUAUUGUGAUGCCUUCAUUGACAUAUUGGUUAGAUAUUAAGGGAUGGUUGAUUUGGUAUGUUUUUGAAAUGGUUGUUGGUAUGUUUGAUCUAAGUUGAUUAAAUGAACUUGUAAUGUUGAAUGGUAUAAUAUUUGUUGGUACAUUCAUUAGUCUUAUAGGUUGAUGGAAUUGGUAUGUUUUAAAUGUGUUUUAAAUGUGUUUUGAUUAUUUGGAUGUUUGUGGAAAUGGUGUCUCUUGGUGUACAAGAUUUGAAAUUGAAACGGCUUGAUUUAGAAUCAACUUAUGCUGCACACUGCCUGGGACAUGGAUUGUCACAUGGCUGUGUCAUAAUUGUUUUAGGUACGGGUUUCACACAAUCUAAGACUCGGCUCACGACACAGUUGUGUAUCACAAGUCAGUAUGUAACACAGUUUUGCACAUGGCCUGCGACACGAUCUUGUGUCUAGACUUCGAAUGUCCACAUGGUCUGGGCUAUGUCACAUGGCUUGGCCACAUGGUCGUGUGACUUUUGUUUUCAAGUUUUCCAAAAUUUUCUAUUUUAUUUCAAAUUGAUCCUAGAAUAUUCUCAAACUAUUUUUAAGGCCCCGUAGGUUCGGAUUAAGGCCCCGUAAGUGUAUGUUUGCUAUAAUUAAGUUGUGCUACUGAAUGUUACUAAUUCAAUCACAUGAAUAUUUUGUUGUAAGUUAAAUGUUUUAAUUUUUACUAUAAUGCUCUGUAACCUUAAUCUUGCGAUGAAAACAGGUUUGGCGUGUUACAAUUUUGGAUUGUAAAUUUGUUUUGGGGCUUUGUUCUUUGGUUCUUGCGAUGUUGGUUAGAUUUUGGUGUUUUAACAUUAAACUGCAAAAUUGUAUAACUUAAUAAACUAAAAAUUAGGUUUUCAAAAUUAAAACUCUGGAAAUUUUUCUUGCAAAGUUUAAGUAAUCACUUAAGUGUUUUUCCAUAAAUAAUUAAAUGGUUUUUAACAAAUGUUUUCCUUAGUUUUGGAAAUGAUCUGCCAAUAUUAGUACUUUUAAAACACAUGAUUUCAAAUUCAAAUUCUCAGUUUUAAAUAAGGGUUUUCACACUUCAGUUUUUUUUAAACAUUUGUGAGAGGUUUUUGCCAAAUUUUAUGUUUUCAGAAUGUGUAACUAAGUUGAUUUUUAAUUAGUUUUUCAAACGAGUCGAGUAAUUCCUCAAAAAUCCAGUCAUAGCGUCUAGGCCGGGUUUGGGAUGUUAUACUGACGUUACUAAAGUUAAUCUUCAUCUAUUUAGUCUAGAUCUAAACAUUAAUAUUCUCUUCCAAGAAAAAUCAAGACUAUCAAUUUGUUAAAACUUGGUAGGCAGACAAUCAUAUUAAAUAUGCAUAAAACUCAAUAAGUAAUUUGCGAAGAUUGAAACAAUCAAAGAAAAAAUUAAUUAAUUAACUAAGAAAUAGGAUACAUUGCUGUUUCAAGGAAACAGGGUUUAGUUCACAUUGAGUUGAGAAAACCAAAAGGGAGAUUCAAAAUGAACUUGUGAUAAGGGGAAUAAUGUCAAUGGAUCAUAUUCAAGUUGUUCAGCUCGAGAAAGAAAGAUUCAGAUUUAACUUGAAAAGAGUAAACCAAAAAGAUUUAGAAAAACAAAGAAAAUAACUAAAAUGAUAAAUUUAAGAAUAAAUAAUCAAUAUUAAAAAUAAUAAAGAAAUUAUAGAAUAAAUAGUGGAAGAUGGAAUGAAUAAACGAUGGAUAUGACAUAUAGAUGGAUAAGUGUCUUAUAAUUCAUGAAAAGAGUUAUAUUUCAUGCCUUUAGACCUAACUAAUUGCUUGUACUUACGUACAUUUUGUUGCAUUUUAAGACAUAUUAGUUAGCAUUUCUAAUAUUGCAUUAGGACUUAGAUUGUGCUGGAAUUAGCUGUUUUUAAUCGCUCGUGGUGGAGUUUUUUUUGUGUUUUGGUAUAGAAGGAACAUGUUUUAGAUCGAGGAAAUAAAUGAGUGAAGUUUUGUCAAGGCAAAACUGCAGAUAGUUUGCCAGCACGGAUGCCGUGACAAUGCCGGGAAGACCAAGUCAACAUUUUUUUGUGCAAUAGUCUCAGUUGAAAUUAAAACUUGUACCAGAUAAAUCUCCCUAAAAGAGGAAAAGAUAAUCACAAGACCCUAGCCUAAUCUAUCUAUAAAAGCCAAUAAAGGGGAUUCUCACAAAUGGCAGAAAAAAGUGGGAAGGAUCCUUAGGUGUGAAUAAGGGUUUAGCUGCGCAAAGGAAAGGAAGUCGAAGGCAGUCCUUUUUAGCCAUCACAGGACAUUGUGUUGCCGAAGUGUGGACUAGGCAAGUGAAAGUUGUUUACCAAAGUUCUUUUGUUAUUUCCAUCAGCGUUCCUUCAAAAUAUUGAAGUAGUUGAACACAAUGUUGGAUAAUAUUUUGCUUUGGAAUUUUAUUUCUCAUCCCACGAGCUAAAUCUCGUAGGGUUGGGAUUACUUUUGAUGAAACCUUAAACUAUUUUUAUGAAUGCAGUAUAUAUCUAAUUUACUUUACUGUUUCAUUUGAUUGUUCUUAUUUCUUAAUUAAAAUGCAAAUGAUCUCUAAACAUAGAAGACUGUUCACAUACUUAUAAAUUGAUUCUAAUUCUGAAAGGGUUGGAUUGGUUGGAUUAAAAUUAAAUGAAAUGAGCAAGUAUUCGAUGGACACUUGUAGUAGACUCUAGACAUAGAGUGGCGAUCAUACAGAAGGAACCCAUGCAAGGUAUCUAAAAAGUCUUUAGACACAAGCAAGGUAACUUGAGGGUUUGCUCUCACGAGAGGCAAGCCAUUUUAGUACUCUUCUGUGCUUUAAAGUAGAUACGAUUUUGCCAAGGCAUUAUUGACAGUAAGAGUCGAUUUUGGGUAAUCAACCUUCCAAAUCCACAUCGUAUAUCCUUUAUUCCUUACCAUAAUAUAUUUGCCACAUCAUUAUUAGUUAUUUAUUUGUUCAUUUACAUAAUAUUCCCGUAGUAAUUCUCAUAAUUGUCAUUACAUUUCUACUCUCGGUUUGCCACAACAUUACCAGUUAUUUAUUAAUUCCACGUAUUGCUUACAUCAUUACUCUACUAAUUGUGACUAUAUAUUUAUCAUUGAGUCUGCCAUAGCAUUAAUCAUAUUUUAUUAUAAUAACUUGAUCAAUUUUGUGCCUCAAUUCGAUCCCCAUGGGAAUGAUUCUCACUCAUCAGUUUAUUACUUGAUUCAACUGUAUACAUGCACAAAUCACAUAUCAUUUCACACACGACAGUGUUCAAUUGAACCCUUUGAGUUAUAAACUCGAACAAACUCAAUUAAUGGAUUUAAUCAACCCACCAAGAAAGAAUCAUUGGAAAAUUGAAGGAUGGAGAAUGAAUUCCCAUGACUCCUUAAAAAAAUUGAGAAGAAAACUACUUCUAAAAAUCACAAGAAACAAAUCUUGCACAAAGAAACUAACUCUCAGAGUUGGAAAUUUUAGUAAUAAACAAAAACAAUUGCGUCUCUAAUGAACAUGAAAGGGCCUUUACAUAGGCUAGAUAAGUACAUCCAAAUAAAAUUGUCAAGUAUCUAGAAACUUUAAUUAAUGUAAGCAAGAAGUAAUUUUAAACUAAAAUAGUCAUAAUUUUCGUAAUAAUCUCGUCCAAAAAUUUUGCUCACAUAGUCAUCAUUAAAAUAGUCAUAAUUUGAUCUUCUAAACUCAAAAUCGAGUGAAUAAAAGUGCGUUUCGAAGUUAAGUGAUAGAUCUUAGAACUCUAUGAGGACAUAUCAAUUGAAAAAUGCCUGGAUUCCAUCCAAAAAUUCACCGCAAGUUAACUAAUUUUUCAAACUUGAAAAUUGGUAGCUUCGGUGAAUGGAAUUUAAUAAAGUUCACCCCAUCUAUUCAUGUAUCAACUUGCAUUGUAAAAAGUAAAAAGAAAUAAUCUAUAGAGAAAAUAGUUGAAGAAUUUAUGACAAUUUAUUCAGAUCUCGUUUUCUUCUAGUCUUUACAAGCUUGAAGUUUCCCUUGGUGUGAGAGAGUUGUUCCUUACCCUCUAAGUGAUUUUUUUUCUUUUUCUUUCUCUUCGAUCUCGUCACCUAAGGGUGUUCAAACGAUUGAUUCAGUUAAUACCCGAACAAAACUAUCAUUAACUAAAAUUUUGAAACCCUUAAUCAUUAAUCAAACCAAAAUUUAUUUGAAACCUAUUAACCAGCCAGAUUGAUUUCGAUUAAUUUGAGCGGUUAACCAGAAUUUAUACACUGUUUGAUUUUGUUCAAACAAUUUUAAAACAAAGAAUAAUCCACAACAAUUUUUUCCGUAUUUUUUAUUCAAAAAAAUUAAAAGAAUUAAAAAAAAUAACAUAAUAACAACACUAAAUUAAAAACGUAAUAGCAUUCAUUACAUUACAAAGCAUAUAUAUAUAUUUACUUUUUCUUGAAUUUUUAGUUUAAUUUUAGUUUUUAUUCAAAUAUUUUUAGUUUUCAUAAUUUUGUUAAGCUUAUUAUAAGAGAACUUAUAAAUCCAUUAGUUUUUAUAUAUUGGGUUUGUAUAAUGUAUUUGACCUGUCUCUAAUAUAUUGGGCCUAUAAUAUAUUUUUAUUGAUUUCGGUUAAUCAAUUAAUUCGGUUAAUUAGUCGAUUUCAAACUAAACUAAUUGGUAAACAAAAUCUUCAAAAACCUUUAACCAACUCCCAACCAAAUUAGAUUCGUUGAUCAACUGCUUAAUCAAAUUAAUUAGGUUUGAUAAAUUAAUUCGUUAAAACCGAAAAAUUGACAUCCCUAUCACCACCUUUGUUUUUAGGGAUUUUAAUCAUGUUACUCCACUUGAUGCAGAAGUUGAGGUGGAACGAAUUGCUUGCUACCAAAAUUUAUGAAUUAUAGACCAUGCUCCACCCGGUGAAUCAAAUUCAGUGGAGUGGAAGACUUUUUCUUCACUACUUUGUGCUCUAUGCUCCAAGUCUUCUAUUCUUCUUCCGAGACCAACAAUGGGAAAAUUAAAAAUAAGAAACAAGUCUGAACUAACUUUGACAAUUAGAAAUUUUCAACAAAAUUGAAAUAAAAUAUAAUUAAUUAAUAAAAACUAUAAAAUUCAACAAAAACGAACCUAAAUACUAAAUUUACCUCCUAAAAUGCUAUGGAAACUAUAUUAAAAUAACUCUAAAUAUGAUAGUUAUCAAAAGCGACCUGAAGAAGCCAAUAUUCGAGUAGAUGAUUUCAACUAUUGCAAAUACCAUCAGUCGAUUAGCCAUCCUCUUGAGAAGAUUAUAGAGUUGAACGAAAAAAAUCAUACAACUCCAUGAAGAAGAAAAAAUCAUGUUUGAAAAAGAAGUGGCAUAAUCAAACUUGACAUCAAUGCUUUGGUUUCUCAAUACAAUAUUAUGGACAGAUUCAUCAAAUUUGGCUCUUUCAAUCCUAUUACACUAGCUCUAAGUAGAAGUAAGAUGGUGAAUUUCGAAAGGAUUGGGGGCAAUCAUCUAUUCUUGGAAUACCAGAAUGGUCAUUAUUGGACUCUAGCCACAUGUCAAAGAAGCCAAUGAAAAGCAUCUCUCCUAGGUAUAAGCUUAUAUUGUCACAUUACUCCUAAGCACGAGCAUAAAUUAGUCAUCCAAAAUGAUGAUGCUUCUAAGCAUGAGCUUAAAUUGUUCAUCUAAUGCUCCUAAGAAGGAGCCUAAACUAUUCAACCCAAAUGGUCAUGCUUUAAGAAAAAUCUUAAACUAUUUUUAAGGCCUUAUAGUUCGGAUUAAGGCCCGUAAGUGUAUGUUUGUUAUAAUUAAGUUGUGUUAUUGAAUGUUAUUAAUUCAAUCACAUGAAUAUUUUGUUGUAAGUUAAAUGUUUUAAUUUGUACUAUAAUGCUCCAUAACCCUAAUCUGGCAAUGGAAACAGGUUUGGCGUGUUACAAUUUUGGGUUCUUGCGAUGUUGGUUGGAUUUUCGUGUUUUAACAUUAAACUGCAAAAUUGUAUGAUUUAACAAACUAAAAUUAGGUUUUCAAAGUUAAAACUCUGGAAAUUUUUGUUGCAAAGUAUAAGUAAUCACUUAAGUGUUUUUCCAUAUAUAAUUAAAUGGUUUUUAACAAAUGUUUUCCUUAGUUUUGGAAAUGAUCUGCCACCAUUAGUACUUUUAAAACACAUGAUUUCAAAUUCAAAUUCUUUGUUUUAAAUAAGGGUUUUCACACUUCGUUUUUUUUUAACAUUUGUGAGAGGUUUUCGCCAAAUUUUAUGUUUUCAGAACGUGUAACUAAGUUGAUUUUUAAUUCGUUUUUCAAAUGAGUCGAUGUAAUUCCUCAAAAAUCCAGUCAUAGCAUCUAGGCCGGGUUUGGAUGUUAUACUGAUAUUACUAAAGUUAAUCUUCAUCUAUUUAGUCUAGAUCUAAACAUUAAUAUUCUCUUCCAAGAAAAAUCAAGAUGAUCAAAUUGUUAAAACUUGGUAGGCAGACAAUCAUAUUAAAUAUGCAUAAAACUUAAUAAAUAAUUAGCGAAGAUUGAAACAAUCAAAGAAAAAAUAAAUUAAUUAACUAAGAAAUAGGAUCCAUUAUUGUUUCAAGAAAAUAGAGUUUAGUUCACAUUGAGUUGAGAAAACCAAAAGGGAGAUUCAAAAAAAACUUGUGAUAAGGGGAAUAAUGUCAAUAGAUCAUAUUCAAGUUGUUCGGCUCGAGAAAGAAAGAUUCAGAUCUAACUUGAAAAGAAGAAACUAAAAAUAUUUAGAAAAACAAGAAAAAACAAAGAAAAUAACUAAAAUGAUAAAUUUAAGAAUAAAUAAUCAAUAUUAAAAAUAAUAAAGAAAUAAAGAAAUUAUAGAAUAAAUAGUGGAAGAUGGAAUGAAUAAAUGAUGGAUAUGACAUAUAGAUGGAUAAGUGUCUUAUAAUUCAUGAAAAGAGUUAUAUUUCAUGCCUUUAGAUCUAACUAACUGCUUGUACUUAAGUACAUUUUGUUGCAUUUUAAGACAUUUUAGUUAGUGUUUCUAAUAUUGCAUUAGGACUUAGAUUGUGUUGGAAUUAGGUGUUUUUAAUCGCUCGUGGUGGAGUUUUUCUGUGUGUUGGCAUGGCAAGAACAUAUUUUAGAAUGAGGAAAUAAAUGAGUGAAGUUUUGUUAGGGAAAAAGUGCAGACAAUUUGCCAACACGGAUGCCGUGACAAUGCUGGGAAGACCAAGUAACAUUUUUUUGCGCAAUAGUCUCAGUUGAAAUUAAAACUUGUACCAGAUAAAUCUCCCUAAAAGAGGAGAAGAUAAUCACAAGAUGUCAGCUGACCCUAGCCUAAUCUAUCUAUAAAAGCCAAUAAAGGGGAUCUCACAAUUGGCAGAAAAAAGUGGGAGAGAUCCUUAGGUGUGAAUAAGGUUUUAGCUGCGCAAAGGAAAGGAAGUCAAAGGCAGUCCUUUUUAGCCAUCAUAGGACGUUGUGCUGCCGAAGUGUGGACUAGCCAAGUGAAAGUUGUUUCCGAAAGUUCUUUUUUUAUUUCCAUCAGCGUUCCUUCAAAAUAUUGAAGUAGUUGAACACAAUGUCGGAUAAUAUUUUUCUUUGGAAUUUUAUUUCUCAGCCCAUGAGCUAAAUCUCGUAGGGUUAAGGUUACUUUUGAUGAAACCUUAAAUAUUUUUAUGGAUGCAGCAUAUAUCCAAUUUACUAAACUGUAUCAUUUGAUUGUUCUUAUUUCUUAAGUAAAAUGCAAAUGAUCUCUAAACAUAGAAGACUGUUCGCAUACUUAUAAACUGAUUCUAAUUCUAAAACGGUUAGAUUGGUUGGAUUAAAAUUAAAUGAAAUGAGCAAGUAUUCGAUGGACACUUGUAGUAGACUCUAUACAUAGAGUGACGAUCAUACAGAAGGAACCCAUGCAAGGUAUCUAAAAAGUCUUUAGACACAGGCAAGGUAACUUGAGGUUUUGCUCUCACGAGAGGCAGGCCAUUUUAGUACUCUUCUGUGCUUUAAAGUAGAUAAGAUUUUGCCAAGGAAUUAUUGAGAGUAAGGGUCGAUUUUGGAUAAUCAACCUUCCAAAUCCACAUCGUAUAUCCUUUAUUCCUUACCAUAGAAUAUUUGCCACAUCAUUAUUAGUUAUUUAUUUGUUCAUUUACAUAAUAUUCCCGUAGUAAUUCUCAUAAUUGUCAUUACAUUUCUACUCUUGGUUUGCCACAACAUUACUAGUUAUUUAUUAAUUCCACGUAUUGCUUACAUCAUUACUCUACUAAUUGCGACUGUAUAUUUAUCAUUGAGUUUGCCAUAGCAUUAAUCGUAUUUUAUUAUAAUAUCUUAACUAAUUUUGUGCCUCAAUCUGAUCCCCAUGGGAACGAUACUCACUCAUCACUUUAUUACUAGAUUCAACUGUAUACUUGCACAAAUCGUAUAUCAUUUCACACACGACAAUGUUCAAUUGAACCUUUUGAGUUAUAAACUCGAACAAACUCAAUUAUUAGCUUUAAUCAACCCACCAAGAAAGAAUCAUUGGCAAAUUGAAGGAUGAAGAAUGAAUUCCCAUGAAUCCUUAAAGAAAUUGAGAAGAAAACUACUUCUAAAAAUCACAAGAAACAAAUCUUGCACAAAGAAACUAACUCUCAGAGUUGGAAAUUUUAGUAAUAAACAAAAACAAUUGCGUCUCUGAUGAACAUGAAAGGGCCUUUACAUAGGCUAGAUAAGUCCAUCCAAAUAAAAUUGUCAAGUAUCUAGAAACUUUAAUUAAUGUAAGCAAGAAGUAAUUUUAAACUAAAAUAGUCAAAAUUUUUGUAAUGAUCUCGUCCAAAAAUUCUGCUCACAUAGUCAUCAUGAAAAUAGUCAUAAUUUGAUCUCUUGAACUCAAAAUCGAGUGAAUAAAAGUGCGUUUCAAAGUUAAGUGAUAGAUCUUAGAACUCUAUGAGACAUAUCAAUUGAAAAAUGUCUGGAUUCCAUCCAAAAAUUCACUGGAAGUUAACUAAUUUUUCAAACUUGAAAAUUGGUAGCUUCAGUGAAUGGAAUUUAAUAAAGUUCACCCCAUCUAUUCAUGUAUCAACUUGCAUUGUAAAAAGUAAAAAGAAAUAAUCUAUAGAGAAAAUAGUUGAAGAAUUUAUGACAAUUUAUUCAGAUCUCUUUUUCUUCUAGUAAUAUAUUGGGCCUAUAAUAUAUUUUUAUUGAUUUCGGUUAAUAAAUUAAUUCGGUUAAUUAGUCGAUUUCAAACUAAACUAAUUGUUAAACAAAAUCUUCAAAAACCUUUAACAAACUCCCAACCAAAUUAGAUUCGUUGAUCGACUGCUUAAUCAAAUUAAUUAGGUUUGAUAACUUAAUUCGUUAAAACCGAAAAAUGCACAUCCCUAUCAUCACCUUUGUUUUUAGGGAUUUUAAUCAUGUUGCUCCACCUGAUGCAGAAGUUGAGGUGGAACGAACUACUUGCUACCAAAAUUUAUGAAUUAUAGAGCUUGCUCCACCGCAGUGAAUCAAAUUCGGUGGAGUGGGAGACUUUUCUUCACUACUUUAUGCUCUAUGCUCCAAGUCUUCUAUUCUUCUUCCGAGACCUACAAUGGAAAAAUAAAAAAAUAAGAAACAAGUCUGAACUUACUUUGAAAAUUAGAAAUUUUCUACAAAAUUGAAAUAAAAUAUAAUUAAUCAAUAAAAACUAUAAAAUGCAAUAAAAACGAACCUAAAUACUAAAAUUACCUCCUAAAAUGCUAUGGAAACUAUACUAAAAUAACUCUAAAUAUGAUAGUUAUCAGAAGCGACCUGAAGAAGCCAAUCGAGUAGAUGAUUUCAACUAUUGCAAUAAUAUUGGUCGAUUAGCCAUCCUCUUGAGAAGAUCAUAGAGUUGAAAGAAAAAAAUCAUACAACUCCAUGAAGAAGAAAAAAUCAUGUUUGAAAAAGAAGUGGCAUUAUCAAACUUGACAUCAAUGCUUUGGUUUCUCAAUACAAUAUUAUGGACAGAUUCAUCAAAUUUGGCUCUUUCAAUCCUAUUACACUAGCUCUAAGUAGAAGUAAGAUGGUGAAUUUCAAAAGGAUUGGGGGCAAUCAUCUAUUUUUGGAAUAUCAGAAUGGUCAUGAUUGGACUCUAGCCACAUGUCUUCGGAACAUCAGAAUGGUCAUGAUUGGACUCUAGCCACAUGUCAAAGAAGCCAAUGAGAAGCAUCUCUCCUAGGUAUAAGCUUAUAUUGCCACAUUACUCCUAAGCACAAGCAUAAAUUGUUCAUCCAAAAUGAUGAUGCUUCUAAGCAUGAGCUUAAACUGUUCAUCUAAUGCUCCUAAGAAGGAGCCUAAACUAUUCAACCCAAAUGGUCAUGCUUUAAGCAAAUAUUAAACUAUUCUUAAAAAAUAAAUGAUGAUCCAAUGAAGCACAAGCUUAAUCUAUUCAUACGAAACAAAUGAUGACCUCCUAAGCAUGAAUUUAAAUUGUUCACACAUAAUAAAUGAUGAUACUCCUAAGCGCGAGCUUAAAUUGCAGUCCAAAAAAUAUUGAACUACGUUAUAACUUGAUCUUUUAAAAUUGAAGGUAAGUAGAUAGCCUGGUUUCAUUGCCAAGUUCAGUCUAUAUGAUAAAAAAAAUUUGAAGGUGAUCUUUGAAACAAAUUCAUCAAAGUAGGAAGCAAAUAAAAUUUCAAGACUUGUCCCCUUUCUACGCCCAACAAAAUUCAGAAUCCAUCAUUUGUUAUUACUGUAAUAAUAUCUCUAACUAAAUUAAUGAAAAGAUAAAUCAAGAAAUUAAAUCCUUUUAGAACUCUCUUAUAAAGAAACCAUAUUAAGGAUUACUUUAGAUCUAAUUAAUUAAAUUAAUAAGAUAUGAAUAAUAAUAAUAGAGUUUAAAUUCUUAUAGAACACUCAAAUGAAAAUGUUAAAUUCUACAAGAACUCUUAUAUGAAAGUGAUUGACACUAAAAAAAUGGGUCACCUCCAAGUUAUUCUACACAUUCACAAGUUCAAGAAGUUGAAAAAUUAUUUACAAAAAUAUUUGAAGAAACUAAAGAAGUAGAAGAAAUUCUAAUGAACAUCAUAUCAAUUGAGAGGAGGAUGUGAACAGAAGAGAAGAUUGAAAAGAGUUUUGUUUGUAAAGAAAUUCAAAACUUGUUAUAAAAUUUGACGCAAAAUUUUCAAGUCAAUUUUCAACUUGAAAUUUGUGUGUACUAUAUAUAUGGGAAAGAAUCCAUUUACAUUAUAUAAAACUAUUGUAUGUAUAAUACAAAAAUAUUUAAUACAUUAUCAAUAAAGUUUUUAAACUAUGCACCUGUGAUUAAAACCAAAAUAAUAAUAUUAAUAACAACCAAUCACUUUAUUUGACUAACUUUUCCUCACAAGUCUUUGGUAUGGAGACAAAUCAGUUUAAUCAGUCUUUGGAGCUAUUAACUGACAUUUCCACCAUUGAUUUGAAAAUCAUAACCCAUCAAUUCACUUUAAAUGAAACGAGAUCCUCAAGUGUUUGGUGUUAUAUUCUUAAAAUGUAUUUAGAUGAUUGUUUAUUAAUUUUAUUUCUUUAUAUUUAAAUCAAAUGUAAUAAAUUGUUGAAUUUAUAUACUUCUUAUUAUAACAAUAUAUGGACUAUCUUCCUACUUCUUUUUUUAAUUUAAUUUUUUGUAACUCUUCACAAUUUAUUUUGAAAAACAUUGAAAAAAAACUAAAUGAUUAAAUUAAGGCUCAACUUUUCACUAAUCUUAGUUUAUUUAGUCUAACUUUUCACAAUUUCAUAUACUCAUUUCAUGUUUCAUACCAACAAUUUUUCUUUUUGGUAAAAAGAAAAAAACAACUAUACUUUCUUUAAUCCCAAAAUUAAGGCUUUAUGAAUGAAAAUAAUAUUAUAUUAACUAUGAUAAUUAAGUUUUUAUUUUAAAUAUGAUUAAUUUUAUAUAUAAUAACUUUAAAUAUAAAUAUAUAUAUAUCUAUAAUUAAAUUUUAAAGAAAUUUAUUGUUAUUUUCUAAACAUAAAACAAAGAAAACUUUUUACCCAAAUUAUAAGUUUGUGGUUAGGCAGCCCACUUUGGGACAGGAUUCAGCUUACGUUUUUAAUCUUGGGCUUUAAAAAUAAUAAAAAUAUAAAAAUAAUGUUCGAUUAAUAUUUAUAAAUUUUAUAAAUUUAAAUUUAAUUAUAUUUUUUAUACAGUAAAAUCAACCAUUUAUAUGGGCUAAAUUGAGUUAAGUUCGGUUUGCAUCAAGCCUUAACUUUGACCAAAUCCAACGAAAAACACCUCUAACCAUAAUCUAGUAUUGUUUUUAUGAAUUGAAUUUUAACUUGUAAUUUUCAAUUUUAUACAAACUUUCUUUGCCUACGAUAAGGAAAUAACAUAUUUGUAACUUCUCCAAUCUGGCGUAAACAUUCAGUCUGAAUUCGGAAGAUUACAUCGGCCAUAAAGAUGGCCUAGCAGGGUUAUCAGAGUUUUUGAAAAUAGACAUCUUUAAAACGUUUGUUUAAUUCAGUAAAAAACUAAUUUAAUUUCCAAAUUAUUUAUUACUUGAAAUCUUAAUUACACUUUAAAAGAAGGAAGUGGUAACUAUUUAUUUUUAAUAAAAAUUAGGGUUCAUGUAUAAUUGAUUAAUAACCAUAAUUCGAAAACAUUAAAACUUAAAUUAAAUGUCAUGCAAAAUAAAACAAGCUUAAACCUAAAUCUCAUGCCACAGUUCAAAAUAAUUUAUUGUAGUCUUCAAAAAUAAAAUAAAUCAUAUAAUCAACCAAAAAUAAGUUUUGUAAUUUAGCAAUGUAUCGAGACCUUCUAGAUGUCAUGCCCGCGUCCUAACUUGGUUAUUUGUAAGUGUAACGACCCGAAUAAUUUAUCUCUAUUUCUGUAAAUAUUUGACGCAAAUACUUGUUUGCUUCAGUGGUUAAAUGUUUUGGGUGUGUUUGAGAGGUCUUGGGUUCAAGUCUCAUUUUUGUAAAAUUUUGUUAUUUUUAUGAUUCAAGCCUUAGCCUUGUUGAGUGGGCUUUUAUGAAAUUGUUUGCUACUUCAUAUUAGAAUGAGCUUGCUAGUUCAAGUGGUAAGGAGUUGGUGUGAAGGAGGUUCUGUGUGUGAAUCCCUGCACGAGCGUGGGUAUUAUUUUUUUGCUCAGUUAUAUGGUAGAGUUUCGGUGCUUUUGGGAUUAUAGGGUAGUUGGAUGUGAAUUAGUGGGGAGUUAGGAUAUUAGUGGGUUUUUAAUUAGAUUUUAUUUAAUUUUUAUUCUUUUUGUUUUUCCCAAUUUUUCUCUUAGCUUUUGACGUUCUGUUUCCCUUUUCUCCUCUGCUGAAUUUUUGCCGCUCCCUCUCAUUUUUGAUUUUUCCAAUUCGUCUCCUUUUUGUGCAAUGUUUGAUUGCAUUCGUUCGGUAAGUCUUGUAUUGUUACGAUCUUAUUGUUUGGUGGUUAAUGUUUUAAUGGGGGUUUUGUGUUUACUCUCGAUUAAGGGAAGGGCAAGAAGAGUUGGUACUCCUGCAAGAUUUGAGCGUUAAGGGUGUCUGUUCGUUGGCGGUAAGUUUUCAAAUUCUUUGUUGGUUAUUGUAAGGCUCCGUUUGUGGAAUGGUUUCGGAUUGAGUUUCGUAAGUGUGUAUCGAAUUUGGGCUUCUGGAUACUGUUUCUUAGGUUCGGUGGUCUCAGGGGUGCUUGUGCAUCAAAAUGAUAUCAGGUGUGUACCCGAAACGUAGAAAAUCGAGUUUCGAUGAAAGGUAAAAAACCUUAUUUUCGAUGCCACACGGGCGUGUGCAUGGCCGUGUGGUUGGCCGUGUGCAGGACACAGUCAUGUGUUCGACGAGGGUAGGGCCGUGCGCAAGACACGGCUGUGUGACGAUGUGGGUGUGGCCGUGUGGGCCACAUAGGCUAGGCCAAGUUGGGCUUGUGGGUUUUGGGCCACACGUGCAUGUGCCUUUUAAACAAGUCCGUGUGGACCACACGGGUAGGGCUAAUAUGGGCGUGUUGGCCACAUGGGCAUGUGGGCCGAAAAUUCUAAAAUUUUCCUUAAGGUCGCACAGGUCGUUCUAGUCGACUGUGGGCCUACCGUAGGGUCGGUAAGGGCUAACCAAACCCUAAAACUAUGUGAUCUGUUAGUUUGAUAUUUUGUUCUGAAUAUGAUACUGCUAUGCAUGUUUGAUUAGUUUGGUGUAUGUAUAUAUAUAUAUAUCUGAUAUCUAUGUAUGAGCAUGUGAGCAUGGUAACUCUAAUUAUCUAUAUCUGAUUGGGGUGGGAUUUGUAUAUGUGGAGGAAGUGUUCUGUAUGGCGGUCAUCGCUUAUAUUCUGGCAGCUUGGCUGCACAUUAUCUGACAUGUGUCGUAAUGGCACGAUAUGGUGUGUAGGGAUGGGUGGGUGUUUUUAACCCCACAUGAUGUGAUGGGAUAGUUGGAGUUGGUGUGUAGAGGAUGGAGUUAGGAUUUUGUAUUUCUGAUCUGAUCUGCAUAUCUGUUAUGUUAUCUGAAUCUGUAAAGGACUUAGGUCUGAAUCCGAAUCUAAAAUUGUAUCUGACUAUGUAUGAGUUUACUGCAUGUAUUGCAUGCAUUUUUUUAUUGGCUUACACACUAAGUUUACAAAAACUCACAUUUGUUUGUCUGUUAUGUUCAGGUAAUCCACAGAUUUAGGCGGGUCGGUGUGACGGAGGCUCAGUGGUGACCACCUGAUUGAGAACUAUUUUACUUAGUAAAUUAUGUUUUAUUUAUAAUUUCUAUUUCAUUUGAGAGUUUUUAAUUUUUGAGACUCUCAGUACUGCUGGUUUUUAUUUUGGUUUUGGAUGCGAUUUUAGACUAUUUUGUUGCGAUGCAUGAUGGAAAACACGAUUUUAUGAAAAAAAGUUAUUCUGAAAAUACGAACUGGAUUUCUAAAAUAUAACGGUUCAAAAACUUUCACUAAAAAUCACGUUUUGGUAAAUAAAUGAAUUAAAUAAUACUUUCAAAAAUGGUUAUAAAUAAUUAUGAACUAUGAAUCUUUAAUGAUUUGAUGAAACGACCUUAUUUUCAAAACCAUACCUUGUGACCACUCCGGAUUCAGCCAUAACGUCUGGGCUGGUUUGGGGUGUUACAGUAAGGAUGAAAAUUUAAGGGAAUGAGCUAUGACGCUUACUAUGAGUUCAUUCACAAUAAAUUCAACGCAAACGGUUGGUAGGACACAUUAAAUAAUAUCGCAUAAAAUAAUCACAAUUAGAUAAUAGUUCAGAAUGUCGGUUUUACAAUUUAACCACCAAUAUAAUCACAGUAUUCACAGUUGUAAUUUUAGAAUAUCAAAUUUCCACAUCAUUCACAAUAUUCAGAUAUAUAUAAAUAUAUCAUAACAGAAUUCUGGAUUUGUAUGCACAUGAUUUAGAAGAUGCCAUACAAUUUCAGGUUUUAACAGAAUAAAUCCUACCCCACGUUACAUACCAUAAUGGGAGUUCCCCUAAACUCCCUUCUGCAACACACUGGGUUAUGGAUAAACCACUACCGGUUUACAGAUAAUAACUAUCAUUUGGUUGUGGACACACAGCAAGUCUCCACAAUUGGAUUCUAGAUUUGGUUGUGGGUUCACAGCAAAAAAAAUCUACAAAUGAAGCCUGCUUUUGCCUGUAGAUUAUACAACAUAUACCCAUAGUUGGAAUCUGCCUUCGGCUAUGGAUGCACUGUAACACCUCAAACCUGACCUGGACGUUAUGACCGAAUCCUGAGGAAUUACUUUAACUCACUAGAAAACCCAAGAGUUUACUAUGAAAUCAUGUGGUUAAACUAGUGUUCACUUUGAUAAAUCGUUUUCCAGUUUUAGGGAAAAUUAUUGUUAAAACUGUUACUUUAUUACAAUAAAACAUUAAAGUGAUUAUAUCAUUUUGUAACGGAAUCUACUGAGCUAUAAGGUUAUGAAAAUCGUGGUUUAAUUUGCAACAAAUCAUUUUGUAAAUAGAAAUUUAAUACUACUUAAUUUGGAAAAGCAUGCUAAAACGAAAGCAAAGUCCAAACUAAUUUAUGAUUUAAAAUUCUAAAAAGUCCAAAUUAAACAUAAAGUCAAUUUAAACCAGUUUAUCGAACGUGUAACACCCCAAACCUAGCCUGGAUGUUAUGGCUAAAUCUGGAUGUGUUACGAAAAAAAAGUUUAUAAAACGACUUCCUUAUUAUUGGCAAAUCAUCGCAACCAUUAUUACUUAGUAUGCUCGAUUUGUUUGGAAAACUUAUUGAUAUACUUAUUUGAUUUAAAAUCAUUGCUCGCUUAUGCCUUUCUAUUAAACUGAAUGUUUUGUAGUGGAGUUUCUUUAAAACACCAUAUUUUGGCAAAUCAAUUUGUUUCUUGAAAAUCGUUAUUUCAAAAAAAUUGUCAUUUUUAGAAAAAACUAUUUUAUCAGUUGUUACGCUUAGAAACCAAAAUAAAAUCCAAAACCAAAAAUAGUCCCAAAAAGUCCAGAGAGUCCCGAAAUUACAAAACUCUCAAAACCAGAAAAGUUUGAACUAAUUUAAAAAGAAUGAAAUUUUACGGAAAUAUGGUUAACACUGAGCUUCCAUCACACCGACCCACCUAAAUCUGAGGGUUACUUGAAUAGAACAAACAAAUAGAGAGAGUUUUGAAACUCAGUGUGUAACGCGAAUAUAAACAAAAAUUCAGAAUCAAUCUCAUGCAGAACAUAUACAAAUGUAAACCAUUUAUAGAAUAAGAAUUAUACAGAUACAAAUAUGCAACAUCCUACCCUCAUCCUAUACACACCAAUUCUGACCAUCCCAUCACACCACGUGGGGUAUAAAACACCCACCCAGCCCUACACACCGUAUAGUGUUUAUACAACACUUUUCAAAAUAAUCGCAGCAGAGUUGCCAGUAUAUAGGUGAGAUAUCGCUUCACACAGAACACUUCCUCCUCAUAAUACAAAUCCCGCUCCAUAGCCAGAUACAGAUAGAAUAUCAGGUAAAACAAAUUAAUAGAUACCAGAGUUAACAUAUCACGCGUGAGCGUAUAACAGAUAUUACACAUGCUUAUACAUAACAGAACAAAUCAUACAUACCGUAUUCCAUAAUACUCAUAUAAAUGUUAUUUUUUAAAUUGUAACAAAUAUUAUUAUUAAGAUGUUUUUCUUUUUAUAUUUUUUUAUAAAAUAUAUUAAAAAACAAUUAGAAUAAUUUUAAGAGAAAAAACACUCAUAAACAGUAGAAUUUAAUCUAAAAAUAUCAAAGUUUUAAAGCCUCAACUUUAACAUUUCAACCAAAAUUCCAUUAGUAUAUAAAUAUUUUAUAAAUAUAGAUUUUAUAUAAAAAAAUUUUAUGUAAACUUUUUUUUAACCCACAUCACAAGUAUACCAUAUUUAGAGAUAUUCAUAGCUAGGCAGCCCACUUUGGGUCAAACUUGAGCUUAGGUUUCAUCUCAAGUUGGCCCAAUUUAACCUAUUUUACUAUUUAAAAAUAUAAAUAUAUGUUAUAUUGAUAUUUAUAUAUUUCUAUAAUUAAAUUUUAAAUAAAUUUAUUGUUAACUUUUAAACACAAAACAAAGAAAACUUUCACCCAAAUUAUAAGUUUGUGGUUAGACAGCCCACUUUCGGGGCAGGAUUCAGCUUACGUUUUUAAUCUUGGGAUUUAAGAAUAAUAAAAAAUAUAAAAAUAAUAUUGUAUUAAUAUUUAUAUAUUUUAUAAAUUUAAAUUUAAUUAUAUUUUUUAAACAGUCAAAUGAACCAUUUAUAUGGGCUAAUUAGAGUUAAGUUUGGUUUGAAUCAAGCCUUAACUUUGACCAAAUCCAACUAAAAACACGUCUAACAAUUAUCUAGUAUUGUUUUUAUGAAUUGAAUUUUAACUUGUAAUUUUCAAUUUUAUUACAAAAUUUCUUUGCGGACGAUAAGAAAAUAACAUAUUUGUAACUUCUUCAACCCGGCGUAAAGGUUAAGUCUGAAUUUGGAUUACAUCAGCCAUAAAGAUGGCCUAGCAGGAUUAUCGGAGUUUUUAAAAACAAACAUCUUUAAAACGUUUGUUUAAUUUAUAGAAAAGCUUAUUUAAUUUCCAAAUUAUUUAUUACUUGAAAUCUUAAUUACACUUUAAAAGUAGGAAGUGGUAACAAUUUAUUUUUAAUAAAAUUCGGGGUUCAUGUAUAAUUGAUUAAUAACCGUAAUUCGAAAACAUUAAAACUUAAAUUAAAUGUCAUGCAAAACAAAACAAGCUUAAAUCUAAAUCUCAUGCCGCAGUUCAAAAUUAUUUAUUGUAGUCUUAGAAAAUAAAAACAAUCAUAUAAUGAACCUAAAUUUUUUAUUUUACUUUAAUAAUGUGUCAAGGUCUUACAGAUGUCACGCCUGCGUUCAAUCUUGGUGGGUUAUCUGUAAGGAUGAAAAUUUAAGGGGGAGUGAGCUAUGACGCUUAGUGUGAGUUCAUUCACAAUAAAUUCAAUGCAAACGGUUGGUAAGACACAUUAAAUAACAUUGCAUAAAGUAAUCACAGUCAGAUAACAGUUUAGAAUGGCGAUUUUACAAUUUAACUACCAAUAUUAUCACAAUAUUCACAGCUGUAAUUUCAGAAUAUCAAAUUUCCACAUCAUUCACAAUACUAACAUAUAUAUAAAUAUAUCAUAACAGAAUUCCAGAUUUGUAUGCACAUGAUUUAGAAGAUGCCAUACAAUUUUGGGUUUUAACAGAAUAAAUCCUACCCCACAUUACAUAUCAUAAUGGGAGUUCCCCUAAACUCCCUUCUCCAACACACUAGGUUGUGGAUAAACCACUACUCGUCCACAGAUAAUAACUAUUAUUUGGCUGUGGACACACAACAAAUCCCCACAGUUGGAUUCUAGCUUUGGCUGUGGGUUCACAGCCAAAAGUCCUGCAAAUGAAGCCUGUUUUUGCAUGUAGAUUAUACAACCUAUACCCGCAGUUGGAAUCUGUCUUUGGCUAUGGAUGCACUAUAACACCCCAAACCCGACCUGGACGUUAUGGCUCAAUCUUGACGUAAUGCCCCAAAAUUUCUAAUUUCGUUAUUGUGAAAAUAUGACACAAAAUAUUUGUCUGCUUUAGUGGUUAUGUGUUCUGGGAGUGUUUAGGAGGUCCCAAGUUCACGCCUUCACAUGGGAAAAUUUUGGUAUUUUGAAUGAAUUAGGUAUUACUCUUAUUCAGUAGGCUUUUAUUUGAUUGUUGGGUAAAUUAUAUUAGAAUGGGCUUGCUGGUCUAGUGGUUAAAUGGUUUAUUAUUAUGGUGGAGGUCUUGUGUUCAAGUCCCUAUGUAGGCAAGGGUAUUAUUAUUAUUAUUAUUUGCUCAAAUUUCUGGAUAGAGUUGUGUAAUAGGGGGAUUCUGAGUAGUAGAUGUGUAGUGGGAAUUAGGGGAGAAGAUUAAGGAGUUUCAGGGGUUAUCGAGAUUUUAUUUUAUUUUUUCCCAUAACCGAAUUUUGACUUUCUUUUUCCAAAAAAAAUCUGCCAUCUAUUCUUCUCCCUCUCCUCUUGUCGAAAUUCUCUUAGUUUUUUCACCUUUCUCUUCUUUUUCUUCUUCUUGAUUUUUCCCUAAUCCAUUUAUUUUUCUUCAUUUUCGCACGCGGUUAGUUUUCGCUUAGUUUCGAUAAGUGUUUCUCUUCGUUUCUAUCAUGAAUCUCCUAGCGACUAAAGUGGUAACUUUUUUUCUCUGUGAUUUGGGUGUAGGGGAAGGCUCGAACUGUUGAAUUCAGUAUUCUCGUCUUAACAAUAGUUAAAUGGAGGGUUAUCGUUGGUGGUAAGUUGGGUUUCUGUUCAUUCUUAGUUGUCAAUUUGCUUGUAAAUCUGUUAAAUUGAUGUUGAGUAUCUUGAUUAUAGGCUUUGGAGUGCUUGGGGACUGUUUUAGCAUCAAACAAAACCAGAUGUGUACCCGAAACGCAAAAAAAAAGGGAUUCGAUCGAAAGCCGAAAUUGUUUGCUGUUUGGACAGUAGCAGUAGGCUAACUUUGAAAAAUCGCCAUAAAUUGUGGAAAUCGAAUUAGAGGAUGAAAAAAAUAUGAAAUUAAAUCUUAUUGAGUCUAGUUUCUCAUAGAAGAACGGUGUAAGUAAUGGAAUUUUAAAUCGUGAGAUAAUAAACUAUGUGAGACAAGGUUAGAAUAAAUUCGGGUUCCCUUGUUCUGACUUUGGAAAAUCAUCAAAAAUUGGAUAAAAAUAAUUAGGAAUUAAAAUUUACAUGUUUAAAUUAUUAAUUAGUCUUUUUUCAAUAGAAACAAAUGGGAACUUCAUCCAAAAUUUUUACUAAGAGAUAAUUAAUUUUUAGCAAUGAAGGGUCGAAGCUGUCAAACAGCAGAACAAGGGUAAGUUUGAAGAUUUUACCAUACUUAUUGGCUGAGCCAAAAAUUUAAAAAUUUUAUGGUAGAAAGGUAUUUGAGUCUAUUUUCAAAUACAUCAAGUGAAUUUUAAUUAGGAAUUCUUUAGCUCAAGAUAUAAAUAAUUUAGUUACAGUGAGUCAAGUAGAAAGCUUUGAAGGAACACAUAAGUAAAUUGUGAUAAGAUAUAUGAAUAUUUAGCUAGCACAGGUUACAUUGAAAAUGGAUCACGCAGCCAAGGCCAAUUUGGGCUGAGUGGGCCACAUGGGCAUGUGAGCCCAUUUUUCUGAAAAAUUCUGUAAGGUUGCACGGGUCGCCCAAGUCGACUAUGGACCUACUGUAGGGUCGGUAAGCUUUACUUAGACGCCUAUAUGUGUGAUCUAUCUGGCUGAUUUCUAUACCGAGCAUGACUUAUGAUAUUUGAAUGUAUGUACUUUUAAUUACAUAAUGGCAUGACAAAUUUUGUAUGUUGCAUUGCAUCGGAGUGGGUUGAUGAUAUUUGGAGGAAGUGUCUAAAAGGCUAUUAAGCCUGUUAUCUGGCAGCUCAGCUGUAACCUUCUGAUUAUGUGCGCAUUUCAGUACAACAUGGUGUGUAAGGAUGGGUGGGUUGAUUUAACCCCCACAUGGUGUGUAAGGUUGGACAAAGAUGUGCGUAGAGGCUGGUGGGUAGGAUUCUGAUUUCUGUAUCUACAUUAUGUAUCUGAUAUGGGCCAAGGCUCUAAUGUAUUUCUGAGACUGUAUCUAAACGGGCUAAGGCCCAAACUGAUUGUGUGAUGGGCCUAGGACCCAGACUGUAUCUAACUAAAUUCUGUUGAUUAUUUGUAUGCAUGAUUUCUAUGGGGAUUACACACUGAGUUUGCGAAAACUCACCCUUUCUCUAUUUAAUCUGUACAGGUAAUCCCCAGACUUGAUGGGUCAGUGCAACAAAGGAUUCGACAGUGGCCACACGUAAAUUAUGGAUUGUUUUCCGUUAAUACCUAGAAUUUAUUAAUUAUUUGGGGUUUUUGAUGUAUCUUCUGGACUAUGGACUGGUUGGCUAACAUACCUUUUUGCAUUGCAUCAUGUGCACGACAUAUUUGAAUAUUAUUGGUUUAUGCUACGUAGUGUAUUUUGUUGUAUUGAAUGGUAUCAAAAUUAAUGAUUGUCACUCGAAUGAAUUAUGACCUAUGCUCAUACACUGUUUGACAUCAAUUUGAUAAUGGCUAUGUAACGAUAUGAAAUUCCUAUAAUGGUUCUAUUUUCUUCUGUUAAAGCUAAUUAGUUUUACUGUAUUUGAUAUUUAUGUUUGUUUCAAUAAUUGUUCGACUCACGCUGAGCUUUUCAUAAGCGCACCCCUAAUAUGUUAAACUUUUCAGGUAAACCUCGAAAUUAAGACCAGACUUGGCAUUCGAAGAAUCACCUUAGACCUUGAAUUAUUUUUCUAAUAAGUAUUAAUCAAUCUCUAAUGGUUUUCGUUUGUAAUUUUUAAUUAUAUCUAGUCUGUGGCUUGAUAACUUUUCUUCUGGGAUUUUUGCAUGCAUGGAUUACUCAAGCAUAGUAACCGGAUAAUGCAUGAUAUUAGGCUUAAGUAAAAUUUGAUAUUGUUCCCUAGAUUCCGCUGCAUUGCAAAGGAUUUGUUUUUGAAAAACAAAUUGAUAAGGUAACUAAGUUUUCAAAAUGACUUGAAAAAUGGUUUUUCCCCUGCAUUAGUUUAACAUCGAAUUUUUUUUAAAGGAGAGCAACAAGCAAAUGAUUUUUCUAAAACAACACUAUCAACAAUAAAAUGAAUUCUAAGUAUACACAACCUAAUGAAUGAAUGCUUUUAAGCUAACUUAAAGUACAACUAUGGUUUUCUCUAAAAUGAGUUUAUUUAAAGUUUUCAUAAGUAAUGUAAGUUAGCUUAGCCAUUUCGGUGGCUAAUGUAGCCUUCUCAUUCUAGCCAUAACGUCUAGGCCAGGUUUGGGAGGUUACAGUAUUGAUAGGAACUGUGGUAUAAAUUUUAUUUUGGACAUUCUUAAAUUGUUAUUUGGACUAAACUUUAGAAACUAUGGAUUUUAUACUGAGCCUAAAUUUACGAAGUUCAUGCGUGGUUUUUACGAAAAUGAAACUCAUAUGAAAUUUCAAAACCGUGAUGUUUUUUUUAACGCUCCAAUUUGAAAUUGUACAAGAAAUGUCAAUUUGAAUUAUUUUUGAAUGUUUUUUAUGCCAAUUAAAUAUUGUUUCAAAACAUAGCUAAGUAUUAUUUAAUUUCGUAAAGAUGAAGCAAACUCCGAACAAUCUAAAACUUCAAGGACUAGUUUGCAAUUUUUUUUUCCUCAAUUGUCUCCGGUUUGAUUCAAUUCUUGAUCUAUACAAUUAUUCCAUUCAAUUCAUCAAUAUUAAACAUUUAUACAUUAUGUCAUGUCAUGAAUGAACCUAGAUAAAUUCAUUUUUUGAUACCCUUAAAGUUUUACAUUUAUUUCAAUUUAGUCUCUAAAAUCGAAAUAGUCAUAACUUUAAAUUCUGAACUUCGGUUUGAAAAUCGACCUCAAUUUCAUUAUAGACUCUCUACUAUCCAUUAUUAUCAAAAUUUCACAUCAAUUUCACAAUUUAUUUACUUUAGUUAUUAUGUACAAAAUUAACAACCAAACAUCACAAUUUAGUCAUUUUUCAUAAUUUAAGCUUAAAAUCUAUCAAUUUAAUACCAAUUUCUUCAAGAAAUCAACCAUGAUAACUAUAAAAAAAAAUUAACAGUUUUGCAAAUUGAUACAUAGGUCAUUUAAAUCAAACUUUCAUGACCUCAGAAACACAAAAAAAAAUUAUACGAAAAUGAUUUAGAAAUGCAUACCAAUUGAGGACCGAAAGCUUGAAGCUCAAAAUGGCUUUUUCCCUUGAGGUUUUAUGUUGAUUAAAUGAUGAAGAAGAAGAAAUAAAGAUGACAACUUGCACUAAGUCACCUUUAUAUACUUAGAUUAAAUCUUAAUUAAUCAAAUUUAAUUAAUUAAAUCUUAAUUAAUUAACCUUAAUCACAAUUAAAAAAAAUUAGUGGAUGUUAACAUCAUCCUACACUAUUUCAUAUAACCAAAUGAUCUAUUUACCAUUUUGAACCUUUAGCUAAUUAGAAAUCUAUAGCGAUAAGACUUUUAAAAUUUAGUUUCUGUAUCUUAAUUAUGCAAUUAAUAGACAAAGUUGAAGGUUUAAAAUUUAAUGUUCUAUUAUACCAACUCUGUAAAUAUUCAUAUUUAAUAUUUACAGACCCGAAUUACGAAAAUGAGAUUUUGAAAUUGUAUUUUCCAAUACCACUGAAAAUCGAACAAUUAUGUAACCUAUUUGCACCAAAGGGCCAAACAUGGCAAAUACUUGACAUGUAUGUCUUAAUAUCCUCAUCUAUUCUCUUCAAUAUAAUAACAUCCAAUAAUUGUUUCAUCCACUGUAACUAUCACGAAGAUUAGAUUUACCAAUACAGCCUACAAUUUGCAGAAGCGCGACAUUUUCAUUCUAGAGAAAGGUAUAAUUGAAACAAAAUUGAAAUAAAGAUUUCAAUACAGAAUCAACAGACAUUCCAGCUAAUACUUAUCAAUUAUUUGCAGCUUCAUUGCUCCAACUAAGAUGGUUUUUAGUCGAAUAUGGUAAAUGAAAUCAAUGAACACCAGCUACUUGAUGAACGAGUGAAUCAAAGUCCUGAUAUGUGCCGGCUUAUUGGUGAAAAAAUACAUGGGUUAGUUUUGCAGCAAUUCAUGAUCUUACAUUUUAUAACCUUUGCUUACAAUUAUUCACUGACUAAUCAUUCAAUGAAUGUAGGCCUCAAAUUUAGCCACUAAACUUUGUUCUUUAUUUUUAGAUACAUAUUAUUUGAUCACUUCAUACAGCCUAUUACUCAUAAUAACUUCCAAUUUCCCUUCUUUAGGUUAGUUGCAAAUGUACAGCUUUUUCUAGAAGAAGAAAAUUGUCAAGAGCCACCUGUUCAAGAGAGGCGCAAACAGAAUGUAACAAUACCUGACCUACUUACGGUACAGCCAAGUAAUCAUGUGUUUCUAUGCUAGAACAUUAAAUCAAUGACUACAAAUUUCAUGUCAUGGUUGUGUAUCAUUUAUGCCACUGAUGCUGCUAUUUUCUAUUCUAAUGCAUAAUAGGGAUUUAGUGUUUUUACCGUUAAAAUUGUGUCCUUUAAUUUUGGCUUUUUUCAAUUGUUGAUCAUGUCCACCUAUGCUUUAUUUUACUACUAUUGCUUUCUUCAAUGAUAGAUGAUUGAAUCGGUAGAAUUUUAUUAAUCCUCUACAUGUUUUAGCUUGAUAUGUGGAUCCUAAGCAUUCCUUGGAUUGUGCCCUCUUUGUUCAUUUAUUUUUUUUCCUGGAACCUUAUUACAUGUUGUAACACUCCAGUUUUUUGGAGACAUUGAAGACGACUAACUGCUGAAUUCUUUCUUCUGCAGAGGAACCAAUGGCAAGAGACUCUAAAACUCCUACUCUUUUUUAUACCUUCCUCACCUCUUUGUGACAUUAUAGCUGAAAAAUGAUGUAUGCUAAUACAUGAAAUGUUUCCUCUUGCCUUUCUUUUUGUAGUACUAAAACUACAAAUAGUGUCUGUAAAUCUCUUUUCCCGUAAUCUUAUCUUUUCCUCAUUGUAAUAGUUGGAAAACAGCUUUGUUGAAGACAAUGUCAACUACUGGGAUAAGUUACAAACACUGUUAUUGUUUAUUUUGUAGUCUAAAUUAUGAUAAUUUCUGCACAAAAUUCACAUAAAUGGUUACCCUCCCGAAGCGGAGCGAGGGUGAUGCUUACUAGUUAUUAAGAAAACAGGACCUUGUAGGGCUUAACUGUUGAAUCGAGAAAGAAAUUUCUUUUAAUGCCUUCAAUUUUUUUUAAAGCUGAUUUUUUUUUACAAAUUAAAGUUUUGAUUGUAUGUUAAUUGCUUGAGGGAAGGUCGGAUACUUUAUUAUCCCUAUUUUUAUUUGUUAUAUAUUUUAACCAUAAUGAUUUUUUUGGCCCUACAAUUUUACCAAAAAAAUCAUAUUAGCUUUCAUUUAAUUUUCGUCUCUUUUAACCCUUUAACUUGUAUUUUUUUUGUCAAAUCACCCCAAAAUGGAUCGAAAACUUUAACAUUUGUGAACUUUGAUUAUGUGACAUACACAUGAAUUGUCACAUGGAUGACAAGUCAACAUUUCUUUUAAAAAAAAACUUAAAAAAUAUUAAAUAAAAUAUUUUUGAUAUUUUUUAAUGAUUUUUAAAUUAAAAAAAGUUUUUAAAUAUUUUUUAAUUUUUAAAAAUUAAUUAGACGCAGGCAUGGAAAUUCACAUCUAUGUGUCACAGGCCGUGGAUUAAAGCCUGUGACCAUUGCGCAUAGAACACCCCAUAGAAUUUUGGCUUUUUAUUUGGUCAAUCAUGUCCACCUAUGCUUUAUUUUACUAUUAUUGCUUUCUUUAAUGAUAGAUGAUUGAAUCGGUAGAAUUUUAUUAAUCCUCUAUGUAAUAACCAAAUUUUGCCCGGGCCCAAUGCCAAACAAAUAAAACCCAAACCAAAUAAAUAAAAUAAGAGUCCAAAUUACAGUCCAUUAGAGCUCAAUUCAGACCAGCCCACUAUUCAAUCAGACUGGCCCAACACCCAAAUAACCUAACAACCCUAGCCCAACAAAAUCAGAAAAAUGAACAGCAAAAAAACCUUAGGUGCGCCGCACCUAGGUCUUUUGGCCUAACCGCCGCUGUUCGCCUAUCACCAGCCUCCUCGCUGCCACCGCCGCAUGCGCACCAGGCCUCCUCCAUGUGUGUCUGACACCUGCAAAGAGAGUCACACGCAACAGUAGAAACAAAAACAAAAAACAAAUAGCAAAACGACAAAAAAAAUAAUGAUUAAGGAGUUCGUAAUCCGACUAUAAAAGCCCUAAUCUGUGACUUGUAAUUUUUUGACACACAUUAGAAAAUAAAAACCAAAAAAAAAAAACUUUAAGGUGAUACUCAUUUCAUUUUAUUUUUGUUUUAUUUUAUUUUAUCAUUUUUAUCUUUUUAUUUCGAAAUAACAUAAAUAAAAAGGGGAGGCUGGGUUGCCGUUGCCAGAGCAUAUUUUGUGCUAAAGGGGGUUGCGCAGGAGGAAAAGAGGAAACUUUUCAGUUUCCCGCCGCCGUGAUGGCCGAACCUCUGACUGGCGCUUGGAGAAAGAAGGGGAGAGUUUGAGAGAAUUUUAGGUUUUUUGUUUAAGAAAAGUGAAAAAUGAAGAAUUCUGAAAAAAUUAAUAUUUAUAGCACCUAGAAAUGGCGUCGUUUUGGCCAGUUUCAUUUGGCCCCAAAAUGACACCGUUUAAUGGCCUAUACCGGCACAGUGACCCGACCCGGGGAAGGAUCGGAGUGUUUUGUGCUAUUGGGUAAUUUUCGCAUUUGGUCCCUCUUAUUUUGUAGUGUUUUCAAAUUAGAUUUUAUUUAUUUUAAAUUUCAACAUACAUUUUUGUUUUUGUUUCACUUAGAUCCUGAACAAUGCGCAGCGUUUUGGGGGCGAGGAAAUAUUUCCAAUAUGGCCCCAUGUAAUCUGCAUAUUACACUUUAACCCCUCGUCUUGUUUAUAAUUCUAUUCUUUUCUUGUUAAUUUAGAUUCAAUUGCGAUUUAAUCUUUUGUUAAAACAUUUGUUUUCUUUAUUAAUUUAUUAACUAUUUUAUUAUUAUUUUAGUGGUAUAUUCGGUCAUAUUUUCAUUAUCUUAUUAUAUAUUAUCAUUUUGAGUUUUACUUAUAUUAUUAUUAUAAUUUUAUAAUGUGUUAUUUUAUUAACUCAAUAUAACAUAUAUAUAUAUGUAUUUUUUUGUGGUUUUAUUUUUAUAAUAUAUUUUUUUAAAUCCAUUUUUAUGCACUUUAUAUUUAAGUAUUUAUACAAUAAUAUUCUUAUAAUAUUUUUAUACAUGUACAAUUUAUAUAUAAUUAUUUCUUAUACGUGUAUAUAUACAUAAUAAAUCAUCGAUUACAUGUUAUUAUAUUAUUUCCACUUAUUUCAUAUAUAAUUUAUUUCUUUUAAAAUACUCUAUUAUAUACUUCAUUUAUUUCAACCUUUUAUGUGUAUCAUUAUAGAUAUACUAUUAUAUGAAGUUUUUCAAUCCCUAUGCAUUACUUAUUUAAAUUAAUAUAUGUAUAUUAUUUUAUGUAUUUAGAUUUAUUUUGUAUAUAAUAUCUACUUUUAAAUUUAUUUGGAUACUAUUAUUUUAAGUGGAAUUUAUUUUUAACUAUAUUUUUUUAUUUAUUUCAAUUUUUCAUAUAUGUAUAUAUUAUUUAUUUUAAAUUUAUUUUAAUCAUAAUUUCCCUUCUUUCAUAUUUCUUAAGUUUAAAAAAAAAAACUUGUACAAUUUCAUGUGCGUCAAUUUGUUUGGUGCUUUGAUUGUUUUUUAAUUCAUUAGCCUUUGAAUGUUAGCAUAAUACAUUAUGUGAGAUUAUUGCUCUUAUACGUAUUAUAUUGCUUAUUUUUAUUUACUAAUUAUUCGUAGAUCAUUAGAAUACAUUUUGGUUUACAAAUUAUCGCUUUGUAUUGUACAUUAAUAUUCAAUUGUUUUUUUAUUCGUUCGAAAGAUUACGUUUAAUAUCAUUUAAGUAUCAAAAUCGAUUUAUUCAAAAACUUUCAAGAUAACGUAAUAUUCUGUAUUUGGGAUAUUCGAGAGAAUUGAGCCUUAAUGUAUUGGGUUCCAAUUUUCCUCGUUGAAUCUAGAUAAUCGAGAAUAAUCUUCAAUCAAAAUACAUACAUAAAAAGCUCAUUAUCGGGAAUUCGAUACAUUGUGUCCUAACGCAUUGGAUACGACAUGUUGUUUUCUCGAGAUGAGGAUUUUUCUAAAAAAAAUAAUAAAGGCAAUAUUCCGUAUUUGGGAAAUUUGAGAGAUCGUGCCCUAACUUACUGGGUUUCGAUUUUUCUCCUUUAACCCAAAUAAUCAAAUAUCCUUCUCAAAAUGCAUAGGUUUUAAAAGUCAAAAGAUAAACUUAAUUUUGAAGAUUAAGAAUGUUGCGCCCUAACUCACUGGGUGUGACAUUUUAUCUCUUUGAAAUAAGAGUGUCUUAUCAUUUAAUUCAAUUUAUUCAAGGUUAAAAGGAUCGUAUUUUAAAACCUUUUCAAAAUUUCAACACUAAGACAUUAAGUAAUCAACUAGGUACCAAUUUUUGGGCGUUACGAGGGUGCUAAUCCUUCCUUGUACGUAACCGACUCCCGAACCUAUUUUUUUGAAUUUCGUGGACCAAAAUCAUUAUUUUAAUAAAAUCAAACCAUUUAUUAAAAACAACCACUUUUCGAGGUGACCCGAUCACACUUCAUCGAAAAAGAUCGGUGGCGACUCCCAUAUUCAUUUUCAUUUUCAAAAUCCAAAUUGACCCUGUUUUAUCAAAAAAUGGUGUCAACACUGCACAUGUUUUAUCUUGACAUAUGGAUCCUAAGCAUUCCUUGGAUUUUGCCCUCUUUGUUCAUUUAUUUUUUCUUGGAACCUUAUUACAUGUUGUACCAUUCCAGUUUUUUGGAGACAUUGAAGACGACUAACUGCUGAAUUCUUUCUUCUGCAGAGGAACCAAUGGCAAGAGACUCUAAAAAUCCUACUCUUUUUUAUACCUUCCUCACCUCUUUGUGACAUUAUAGCUGAAAAAUGAUGUAUGCUAAUACAUGAAAUGUUUCCUUUUGCCUUUCUUUUUGUAGUACUAAGACUACAAAUAGUGUCUGCAAAACUCUUUAGAGAAAAACAAAUGUCUGUAAAUCUCUUUUCCCGUAAUCUUAUCUUUUCCUCAUUGUAAUAGUUGGAAAACAGUUUUGUUGAAGACAAUGUCAACUACUGGGAUAAGUUAUUGUAAGCAUCUUUUCUUUAAGUGUUUCAUAUUAAAAACAAACACUGUUAUUGUUUAUUUUGUAGUCUAAAUUAUGAUAAUUUCUGCACAAAAUUCACAUAAAUGGUUACCGUCCCGAAGCGGAGCGAGGGUGAUGCUUACUAGUUAUUAAGAAAACAGGACCUUGUAGGGCUUAACUGUUGAAUCAAGAAAGAAAUUUCUUUUAAUGCUUUCAGUUUUUUUAAAGCUGAUUUUUUUUACAAAUUAAAGUUUGGAUUGUAUGUUAAUUGCUUGAGGGAAGGUCGGAUGCUUUAUUAUCCCUAUUUUUAUUUGUUAUAUAUUUUAGCCAUAAUGAUUUUUUUGGCCCUACAACUUUACCAAAAAAAUCAUAUUAGCUUUCAUUUAAUUUUCGUCUCUUUUAACCCUUUAACUUAUAUUUUUUUGUCAAAUCACCCCAAAAUGGAUCGAAAACUUAACAUUUGUGAACUUUGAUUAUGUGGCAUACACAUGAAUUGUCACAUGGAUGACAAGUCAACAUUUAGUUUUUUUUUUAAAAAAAAAAACUUAAAAAAUAUUAAAUAAAAUAUUUUUGAUAUUUUUUAAUGAUUUUUAAAUUAAAAAAAGUUUUUUAAUAUUUUUUAAUUUUUAAAAAUUAAUUAAAUGCAAACAUGGAAAUUCACAUCUAUGUGUCACAGGCCGCGGAUUAAAGCCCGUGACCAUUGUGCAUAGAACACCCCAUAGAGGUCAACUUAUUAAACAAGGUUCAUUUGACCCGCAUGAACUGGCCCGACCCAUGGAACCCGUGGAGAAGCCCAUCUACUUGAAGCCUUGGUGGUCUAGUGAAAUAUAGUUUAAUUUUUUUUAAACAUAGGGUAAGGGAAGAAGAAUGCCUUAAAAUUAAUUUUUGUUAGAAAACUAAUAAGAAUGAGUUUGUUGGUUUAGUGUUAAGGCCUUAUCCUAUCCAUAGAUCCCAAGUUUGAAUCCCUUGGUGAGCAUUCAACCAAAAUAUUUUUAUUUCCUUGUUUUUACCACACUAAAAGUGACAAAUUUUAAAAUAACCCAGCCCAAAAACUAUUUUUUUUUAAUUUUAGUCCUUAAUUUAAAAUUUUCCCAAACCUACAUAAAUUUUUAAAACCUAUUCCAAUUAGGAAAAAUAAGUAUUAUAAAUAGACAAUUUCAAAACAAACUCUAGAAUUUCAUCUAGCAAAUUUUCAAGAAAACAUCCAUAAACACUUUCUUUUCCAAAUCAAACUUUCAAGCUAAAGAAAUCAGAAUCUUCAAAAUCAUCCCUCAAGUAGAUCUUCAAUCUUUUCUCCAGCACUAAGGUUUCUAAGUAUUCAAAAUAGGUGUGGGAACUAAACCUAAAUCUUUGUGUAUAAUUGAAUCUAAUAGCAAGUAGAGAACCAGUAUAGGCUAACCCUAGGAGAAACCCCCUGUAUGUGCAAUCAUGUAGGUGUGAGCCUAUAGAUGCAAAACCCAUUGUACAUGAAAACCCCAUGCAUGCAAACCCUUACGUGAAACCCCCCUUUCAUGCGAACCCUGUAUGAAUACCAUGUGAACCCUAGAUUAUAGUUGCGAACCCUAGGUUGUUAUGUGGAUACCCAUACUGUGAACCCAAGUGCACAAACAUAUAGGAAUAUUCAUGCGAGCCCCCUUGCAUGCGAACCCUAGUUAGUGUACAUACGGGUCUCAUAUUUACAUGCAAACCACUACUAGUGCGAGUCAAUUAUAUGAUAUCACAUACGAACCCUACUAUUACAUGCAAACCUUUAUACAUGUUAUAUUCGAACCUUUUUUUGUUAAAACUGGUGAGACUUGUCUAGUAUUACAUACGACCUAAUUUGCGAACUCAUAUGUUAAAAGUAUGUGAACCUAUCUAUGUUUGUUAUGCGAGCUCACAUGUUAGCAGUAUGUGAACCUAUAUAUAUCAGUUAUGCAAACUCACAUGUUAGCAGUAUACGAACCAUAAGUCUGUUAUGCAAACUCACACGUUGGCAGUAUGCGAACCCUAUAUACACCUUUAUGCAAACUCACACAUUAACAGUAUGCGAACCCUAUAUACGCCUUUAUGCAAGCUCACACGUUAGCAGUAUGCGAACCCUAUAUACGCCUUCAUGCAAACUCAUAUGAUUUGCAGCAUGCGAUCUCUAUAUUUAUGCGAACCCUUGUAAUAAAAAAUAUGCGAACCUUAACUUGCGAACCCUUGGCAGGAACCCUGCACUCGCAAAGCCUUCUUCCGGACCUGUACAUAUGCUAGAUAACCAAGCCUAUUAGUUUACAUUAAAUCACUGUACAUAUGAGACUGUUUGUUUACUUGCACAAGUUAUAUGUGUAUUUACUAUUCGAUACAAGAGUACCUAUCGACCUUUUGAUGAGAAUUCAGAGAUUAACGAUGAUAAUUCCAACAAUCGGUGUAAGAACGAGUUAAAUCGAGAGUUGAUGUAAUUUAAGGUAAUAAAGUUAAUUUUUCAGUAAUAAAUGUAAAAUUGUUAUGGAAAGAAACGAUGGGUAAAAAAAAAAAUGAGAGUUUUAAAGAAAAGAGAGGAAAACUUCAAUUUAGGGUUGAAGAGGAACUAAAAAUCUACGUGAAAUUAGGAAAAAAUAUAAAAUACCUAGGAUUAAGAAAUUUGAGGGGGUUGAAUGGUAAAAUACCCUUUUUUCUUAAAAAUGAAAAAAAUGGAAAUGGGUAUUAAGUUUGGCACGACUUGAAACUUGGAAGCAAAGGAAAAAAUUACAAAGGCCUUACCAUUUGGGUUGCUACCCACAUUUGGCAUAUUUUUACACUAUUUAAAAUAUAUCCUAGCUUAGUUUUGAUCAUAGGUUGUUGAAAAAAAAAAACAAGGGGUAAGAGUGUGGCUUCAACCUUAAUUCUCUAGUUAGUAUACUAAGCUCUGAACCAUUAAAAUUAAGGCUCAUGUCUUAGUCAAUUAAUUCAUCUAACUCUAUAUAUUUUGAGGUAUUACAUCUUGAAUUAGAAAAACCCAUAAAAUGCAUGUAGACUUGUAUUGCUCGGUACUUGGUACUAUAUAUGUAGACUUGUAUGUUGAUUAAGCUAGCUUAAUUAAGACCAAUGUGUUAGACUUGUCUAUGCAUUGAACAAUCUAGAAGAAAAUGAAGAAAAAGACUCUGAAAAUACUUGAAAACAGAUAAAACUCAUAUGUCAUCGACUAGUUAAACUAUGAUCACCCAUAAUAGACCUUGUAUUUGACUUUUUGUUGAGGGAGAAGUUUCGUGAGUGUUGUUUGUCAGGGAGUCAGUGUUGCCCUAAACAACUAAAGGUAUUGUCCCCAUGUCGAGAUUUUACCCCCAGCCUCUGCAAAAUAAUCAUGAAGAAUACGUGCGAAGGAAUUCAAACACCAACCAAUGCAUGUGUAGCCUUUACCUUCCCACUAUCUUUGGGAACUCAUAAGGAUAAAAUCCCAACAAGAGAAUUGUAUCAGAGGGGUCUGUCAACACAAUGAAUGAAAUUUCAUACUUUUUUUUUAAUGAAAGUAAAUAUCAUAUUUAGUUAGAGAAAAGCAACGAAAAAUCUAACAAUAAAAUCCUUAGCAAAAGAUUAAAACACAAUUGUACCAUAAAUUAAAUAAGAAAUUAAAAAAAUUCAAAUCUAACAAAGACAGUAACUUGAUUCCUCAAAGCUACCACAAACAGUAAUUCAUAGGAAGGCCUGCUGCUCAUUUAUAACACAAACUUCAUGGUGACGGAUACCAACAUACUAGAUACUAUGAUUAAAAUGCUAGAAUAGAUUAAAAAUGUUGAAUUAAUGAUAAAAUUAAGAGUGAAUUAACACAAAGUACUCAUCCUCUCUUUUUAAUGAAUCAACAUCUGCAAUUUCUAUCACUCCUUUAGACAGUGAACUUUCCAUCCAAUGCCUUAUAGUCACUUCUUCAGCAAAAUAAUUAUCAGUUGGCUUUUUCUUUGUGAAAGUUUCUAUAAGGACAAUCCCAUAACUAUAGACAUCACAUUUUCUAGAAACAAUUCCUGCUGAUCCAAAUUCUGCAUUUCAAGCAUAAUUAGAGCAUCAUUAAUCCUUAAUUAUUUCUAAAAUGUUUAUUCAAAUAUACACAUGAAACAAAAAUAUAAAAUGAAAAUCAAGAAAAUAAUCAUAAAAAGAAUUCACCUGGUGCCAUAUACCCGAUAGUUGCAAGAGUCAUGGUUUGCUUCACUACAUCACCUUCUCCCAAAAGGUUGGAAAAGCCAAAAUCUCCCACAUGUGCAACCAUGUCUUUAUCUAGUAAAAUAUUGCUUGGUUUGAAGUCAGAAUGAAUCAUAGGUGUUGGAUGUCCGUUGUGGAGAUGUUCUAUAGCUGUCGCAACAUCUAUCAUUAUGUCAACCCUUUGUAUGAUAUCAAGGAAACAGUUUUUACAAUGUAGCCAUUUCUCAAGAUUUCCAUUUGACAUGUAAUCAAGCACCAAGGCUUUUUUAAAAAUAAAAUAAAAUAAACUUGGUAUCCAAAAUGUUUUUGUGUUGACAUGGCAUUUUUAAAAAUAAAAUAAACUAGGUAUCCGUGUAACAAAAAUAAAAUUGUAAUAUAUAGGCCUAAUUUUAGUAAAGAAUGUUAAUGAUGUUAAGAAUUCUUUAAAUUUCACAUAAUCAUUUUUAUUAGAAUAAAGUAUUUAGACUAACUAAUUAUAUUAUAAAAAUUAAGAUACCAAAUUAUGUCAAAAUUAAAGUUAUAGAUUAAAUCUCAAUUUUAACAUUCUUAUAAUUUAAAAAAGUAGAAGAUUGGAAUUAAAUAAAUUUAUAAUCCUUAAUUGUAAAUUUGAUAAUUCCUAUUAAUCUAAAUUAUUACAAUAAUGUGCUUACUAUGCUUGGUUUUACUCAAUGAGUGAUAUUAAAUUAAUUAAAAAAUUAGAUAAAAAUCAAAUAUCUUAUUUCUAAUAAUAAUAUUAUUACUCCCUCACAAAACUAUAUUUCACUUGAAAGAAAUUCUAUUCCCUUCAAAAAAAAAUUACCAUCUUAAAACACUUCCAUCUUUUAAAAAAUCUUAAUGCACACUUUAAUCCUUGAAUUAUAUCACUUUUUCAACUUUAGUCUUAAAUUUUUUUUAUUGAUUUUAGUCCCUAAUAUUAUUAAACGUUUCCAAUUUAGUUCAUUGGACAAUAAAAAUUGAUUGUCGUUGGGAUAUCCAACCAAUCAUACACUACCAAAUAUUGUACGAUGAUAUCAUUAUGACAUCAUCAACAAAAAAACCUUAAAAAUCUUUAAAAAUGAAAAAAAUUAUUAUAAUUAUUUAAAAAUAGAAAAAAAAUAAAAUUGUAAAAAUAAAAAAUCUAUGUAAAAUAUAAAAAUUUACAUAAAAUUUAAAAAUAUAUUAGAUAUUUUAAUAUCUUUAAAAUUUUAUAAAUCACAUUUACUAGAGUUUGAACCUAUGAUUAUUGUCAACAAUUGUUUUAUGACUCAAUUAAUCAUAAUUUAUAAUUGGUAGAUCUUUUUAUGUGAUAAACUUGGAUAAUUUUUUUUUCAAAUUAUUUAAAUAAUGAAAAGUAAUAUUAUUUCAAAUAAAUAAUAAAUUAUAUAAUAUUUAUAAUUAUUCCAAAUAUUUUUUUUUACUAUCUUAAGAUAAAUUAUUUGUCUCUAGACCAAUAUCUUAAGAACUAUUGUCGUGUGUUUAACUAUUCUAAAGAACUUUGGUAUAAAAUAGAAAAAGCAUGUGCACAAUGGUAAAUAGGGAGUCGAGUCAAAUAAACUUGUUGCCAGUAACGCUGGUAAAGUACUAAAAAUUGAUGUAUUUUAAAAUAUUAAAAUUUUGAUAUAAAAAUUUAUUCAAAUUUUUAUUAUAAUAAUUUUAAAUAAUUUUUUAUAAAAAUUGAUUGUAUUACAAUAUACAAUUUCAAUAUCAAAUUUUUAAUAUUUUAAAUGUGAUUAGCGAAUGUAUACUUUAUUUCAAGUUACAUAAUUUUUACCAGUAUUUUAAAUUUUUUAUUUUUUUACAAUCUUUUAUUAUUUCUAAUAUUUUUUAUAUUUUUUACAAUAUUUAAAAAUUUAUAAUAACUUUUAAUAAUUUUAUUGUUUUUAGAAAUUAAAAGAAUUAACAAUUUUUUAUUUUUUAAAAAAAUUAUAAAUUUAUAAUGUAGUUAAUUUUAUUUAAGUUUAUUUGAAUUUUAUGAUAUUUUUAAAAAAUAUUUUUUUAUUUUUGCAAUCGUGACAUCAGCAUAUGACACGUGGUAAUUUAUGAUCAGAUGAAUUUUUAGUUUUUUUUUUAACGUCCAAAGGAUUAAGCUGAGAACACCUGGUAACGUUAGGGACUACACUAAGAGCAUUUGAUAAUAUUAGGUACUAAAGUGGGCCAAAAAAACAUUAAGGACCAAAGCAAAAAAAAUGCUAUACUUGAACUUUCAAAAUUAUCUUUCAUUUAGUUAGGAUUAAUAUUUAAUGAUUUACUUAAAAAAUAGAAAUUUAAAAAUUUGUAGUAUUGAGGUUAAAAAAUGAGUAAGAGGUGGUGGAUGGUUCAUACAAUGGUGAGGCACAAAGAACCAUUUUAAAAUAAGAGAAGGGAGGGGUGCUUAUUCUUGAGGUUAAGAAUGAGUAUUUAUAGGUGAGGUUAAUCAUCCUUGAUCAUUAGACCUUGACAAGUGUUUGAUGCCAGUCUUAUCGUGGUUGGCCACUAAGGGAAUGAUGGACCUCUAGGUAGUGAUGGAAUUGACAUGAAUUAGAUGAGAUUAGGAUGACAAUUUGGAUUUUGAAUUCGGAUAAUAUUGGAAUUAAAAUUUUGAAAUUACUAUCUGUUGCAUAUUUGAAGUGAAUGCGGAAAGAUAUUUCAGAAUUAUAUUAGUCGAAUCUACUUUACUUAUUCGAAUAGAUGUAGAUUGGAAUUUAGAUAUCUGAAUCAACUAGUCACGAAAUGUGUAUAGUUUUGAUUAUAUAUAAAAAAAAUUUGGUGGAUUCAAUUUUGAAUUUUCGUGGAUUUGGAUAUCCAAAACAUGAUUGAAAUUUUUAAAAUUACUCCUUUUCUGUUGAUUCAGAUAUUUGACGAAUAAUAGUACUUAACUUAAGCCAAAUUUAGACAGUAAUACUCGGAUAAUUUGUAUAUAAUAAAUAAAUUUUGAUUUUCAAGCAAAUAUGCAUAUUCUAAUUCAAAAAAUGUAGUUACUAACCUAUUGCCAUUCCUAGGCAAGAGUACCCUACGUGUGAUCCAUGCACAGAAGGAUCCAACAUCUUUCACUGACGAGGUAGAUUAGAAGCGUCACGUACCAGGCAUAUAUGUAUCAAUGAGGUCUAUAGCUGGCAAAGUGUAGCCCACAACUGAAAUCAUAGUUGACGAGGUAGUAGUUGGGCGACAUGAUGGUGACAAAAGCCACUCUGGUAAAAUAUUAAUAGCAAUCACCCUCCAAUUAAUGAGAAGUUAUAAAAUGACCUAAUUAAAUGGUAGCAUAGUUUACCAUAAGUGUCAUAUGUGUUGUAAGGCAUGAGCUCAAACCCUACCAAACUCAAAUGAUCAAAUUUCCUUGGUAGGUGGUCAUACGUCACGUACCGUUUGUCCCAACAAGGCGCUCCCACUCUGUUGAACCUGUCACCUCUUUAGGUAGCUUUAGGCACUUGAGAUCUUUACAAAGUCGAGAGGUAAAAUUAUUGGAAAAAAAAAACUCGGUUUGAAAAUAGUUUUCUUACACAGUAGAAAAAUAAAAUUUUGAAAAUCGACCUGGUUUGUGAUAUUUAUAACAAAAAAACCUUAACUGAAUUCAUACAUGUGUUUUUGGAUAAGUGGAUCCUUGAUGUUUUCAGGCUUUCAACCAAAUGAUCUUUUGCACUAUUCUCGUACCACGAACUGCUUCGAGUGUGGCCUCGAACCAAUUGAAUCAAAACACAAAACUAGAAAAGGUUUUCCUUUUUGGGUGAAAACCAAAAUUCUCUCUUCUUUAAUAGAAAUCAGUAAAAUUAUUAUUAUGAAAAAUAUGUUUAUAAGUUGAGAAUAAAUUCUCUCUAUUUUUCGACAGAAUAAAAAUCUCUCAAAAGUUGUGUAAAUAGCUCUACUGGUGCCAUUUAUUUAUAGGAAGAGAAAGUAGAACCCUUGUAGAGUUGUAAAAGUUUAUAUCCACUAGAAAAAUAAUAUCCUAGCCUAUCUAGGAUAUAGGGAGCAACAACCGUAGUUAAUGAUACUAGGGUUUUGUCAUCCCACCUCUUUAUAUGAGGGGUUUUAGGCCUCUCUCACAUCAGAUCCAAGUACAAGUACUUCUUAAAUAUAAAUUUGAAUUUGAUAUAUUGAUUACAUAUGAAUUUAUAUAUUGUGAGUAAAAUUUUUAUUUGAUAUAUUAAUAAUGUAUAAAUUUAUAUAUUGUUAAUACAUCAUAUGUUUAAAAAAUCUAAUAAUUAUAUAUUAUUUUCAAUAAUUUUUAAAUUUAUUAAUUGAUUUAUUGGUAUAUUAAUAUUAUUUAUUAGUAAUAUGUAAAUUUAUACCCUGUCAAUUUAUGAAAUAACAUUUAGUGAGUGGAAUAUAUAUAAAAGAAGAUAUUCUAAAUCUUUCUAAAUUCUUCCUUAAAAUAGAAAAAGAAAUAAAUUGUUGAUAUAGAUAUGUUGAUAAGAUUUUCAUGUAGGGCUUUUCUGUAAUUCAUGAUUUUGUUACAUGCAUAAAUUGUAAUUGUGAUAUUUUAUAUUUUAUUUAUAUAAAUCAUGUUAAAUUUGAUUUAAAUUCCUUUUUUAAUUAUUUAUUCUUUUAAGAAAUUUCAAGUAUUCAAUAAAUAUUAAUGUAUACUUUUUCUUAAAUUGAUAUAAUAGUGAUAUCAGAUUAGUUUAAAAUUUUGCGUGUAUGACAAGUACAAUUAUAUCGAUAGAUUCAAUAGUCGGAUUAUUCAAAUAUUACUCCUACAAAUAUAUAUAUGAAGAAGUAUAAACUGCUUUAAUUUUACAUUGGUAUAAGUAGAUCUCUCUCUUACAUCUGUUGUAUAUAUGAAAUUUUGAUUUUGAUUCAAACGUACUCAUUUAAAGAAAUAAAUACAUCAAUUUAUUUUUAUAUUGAAUAAGUAUAAUUAUUUGGAUAUGCUAUAUAUAGAUGUAAAAUGAUGGUAUAUAAAUAACGAUGUUAGAUGUUUGUAAAAAUUGAAUCAAAUCAAUAUUUCAUGUAUAAAAUUGCACAAUGGACCAAAGUUCAUGUACAAUUUUGAUCUUUAUAUCUGAAAUUUAUUAAUGCAAAUUAUUUUCCAAAAGAUCACAUUGAGUAAGAUUAAUUUAAAUUUCAAUAUUUAAAUUUUUUCUCAUAUAGAAAUAUAAUUUUUUUAAAAGAAGUGUAUACUAAUUGUUGAAAGAUUUCCGACUCUUUUGGAAAGUCUUCGAAGUGGCAUAUUUUGAAGAUGGUGGACCCUCAACACGUCCAAUAUUAUCAUUGGUUAAGGUUUUUUUUGGAUCUAGUGUCCUAAGUGUAGUACUUUUCAUCAAUAUACAGUUGUAAAUUUUUUUAACAAAUUGGUUAAUAAAACAAAUUUAUUGAUUAUAUUAAUAUACUUUAUAUAAUUGUCCUAACAUAGUUUUUGCACGCAAAGCAAAAUGGAAGUAAAUGUUGCUCAUUGGUUGCCUAAAUAUUUAAUUAAUACUAAGCGGUAUUAUGUGUAUAAAAAGACAGCUUGUAUUAGUAGACAAACCUAAACAUGUCCUUAGCAUAAUUGGAAAUUAGUAAAUUGAUUGAAAGACUAAUAUGUCGUCUAUCAAGUGUAUUUGGGGAGAUGCCUUGUCUUGGGCAUCGAAGCAGAUGACUCCCAAAAGGUAGAGACAUAGAUGUGACUGACUGGACUGGUAGUAAAUUGGAUAGCACACAAACAGAAUAGAUCCUGAAUUCGUUUAUGGACUUAUUCACUUGUGAUGUCCAUAGUGUGGCAUACAUAAAUCUUGAAUGGAUAGCGGAGUACGUAUGUGUGACUUUUACACUUUGAUGUAAGUAAAAACAUAAGUUCAAUUAGAUAAGGAACCAGAAUCUGGUACAUUUGGUUUACGACUUCUAUAGUAUGUAGCAUCAUUCAUAAUAGUGAAAUUCAUAGCGCAAAACAUGGGUAAAUGAUAUCCUCUCAUUGACAUUACAUGGUUAAUGAAAAGUAAACGUGGCCACGGGUUGUCCGUCUUUGUGAUGGAAACUUGAUCACUAAUUGAUAAUGAUUGAUUUUUCACGAAAGAAGAUGUAAUGGCUACCAUGAGAUAAAAUAUGAUAUAUUGGGAGAACAAAUAUUAUCCCAAAGAGAUCAAGGAUAUCCUAUGAGGGUAACACACUAAUGACAAGGUUAUUGGACGAGCAUUAAGUAGUUGCUUUCGUAAUGGUAUGUCGUUGGGGAUAUUUCAUUCACGACACUAUAGUGGAAUGACUUCAUCACUAAAUGAUUUUAUAAUUAAUAGGUGAAAAAAAUAGAAUUUAAAUAUAAAUCAUUUGAGCCUCAACUUUAUAUGUCUACUCGGUCCCCCAACUGUUAGUUCAUUGAAACCAAAAAUUAAUUGCACGUUUGAAUGGAAAUCAGCGAAAUGGAUAGAAAAAGAGAAAUGAGAAACAUUCAGGAAUGAUUAUGGUUUCCUCUAAAAUGGAGAAAUGGAAUAAUUUGAAAAUGAAUGUAGGUUUCCAAAAACGGAAAUAGAAAUGAAAAUGGAAACUUGCAAUUUUAUAUAUGAUUACUUAAAAAAUGAUGGAAGAAUGAGUUUAUAUUUUUGGACUAUUUUGAAGCUCGAAAAUGAAAAUAAAUCAUUCAGUCAUAGUGAACAUAUUGAGUUGUGUCAUAUUAAACGAAUUUUCUUGAAAUUUUAUUGGAGGUAAAAUUGCCAAAAUUUUACUGGGUAAAAUUGUCGUGAGAAAAUAAUUUAAUAUGUAAAUAUUAAAAUUUAUUUUGGAAAUAGAAAAAUUGAAUCGGGUUGGACCAUAUUACAAAGUACUAGAUCAAAAAGGCCCAGAAAGUACUCGUACUUGGACCCGAUGUGAGAGAGGCCCAAAACCCCUCAUGUAAGGUGGGACGGCAAAAACCUAUUAACUAGGGUUGUCGACCCUUAUAUCUUAGAUAGGCUAGGAUAUUAUUUUUCUAGCGGAAAUAAACUUUUACAACUCUACAUGGGUUCUACUUUCUUCUCCUAUAAAUAGAUGGCACCAAUAGAGCUAUUUAUACAACUUUUGAGAGAUUAUUAUUCUACCGAAAAGUAGAGAGAAUUUAUUCUCAACUUAUAAACAUAUUUUUUAGAAUAACAAUUUUACCGAUUUCUAUUAAAGAAGAGAGAAUUUUCGUUUUCACCCUAAAAGGAAAACCUUUUCUAGUUUUGUGUUUUGAUUCAAUUGGUUUGAGCCCACACUCGAAGCAGUUCGUGGUACGAGAAUAGCGCAGAAGAUCGUUUGGUUGAAAGCCUAAAAACAUCAAGGAUUCACCCAUCUAAAAACACAUGUAUGAAUUCGGUUAAGUUUUUUUUGCUACAAAUAUCACAAACUGAGUUGAUUUUCAAAAUUUUAACUUUUGAUGUGCAAGAAAACCAUUUUCAAACUGAGUUUUUUUUUUCAACAGUUUUAUCUCUCAACUUUGUAAAGAGCUCAAGUGCCUAAAUCUACCUAAAGAGGUGAUAGGUUCAAUAGAGUAGGAGUGCCUUGUUGGGACAAACGGUACGUGAUGCAUGACCACCUACCAAGGAAAUUUGAGCAUUUGAGUUUGGCAGGGUUUGAGCUCAUGCCUUACAACAGAUAUGACACUUAUGGACAACUGCUACCAUUUAAUUAGGUCACUUUAUAAAUUCUCAUUAAUUGGAGGGCGAUUGCUAUUAAUAUUUUUCCAGAGUGGCUUUUGUCACCAUCACCUCGGCCAACUACAACCUCGUCAACUAUGACUUCAGUUGAGGGCUACACUUUGCCAGCUAUAGACCUCAUCAAUACAUAUAUGCCUAGUACACGAUACUUCUAAUAUACCUCGUUAGUGAAAGAUGUUGGAUCCUUCUAUGCAUGGAUCAUACGUAGGGUACUCUUGCUUAGGAAUGGCAAUAGGUUAGUAUCUACAUUUCUUGAAUUAUUAGAAUUUGGAUAUGCAUAUUUGCUUAAAAAUCAAAAUUUGCUUAUUAUGUAUAAAUCAUCUGAGUAUUACUAUCUAAAUUUGGCUUAAUUUAAGUACUAUUAUCUGUCAAAUAUCUGAAUUCGCAAAAAAAGAGCAAUUUUAAAAUUUUCAAUCAUUUUUUGGAUAUCCAAAUUCACGAAAAUUCAAAAUUGAAUCCACCAAAUUUUUUUAUAUAUAAUCAAAAAUAUACACAUUUCGUGACUAGUUGAUUUAGAUAUUGAAAUUCCAAUCUACAUCUGCUAUUCGAAUAAGUAAUGUUGUAACACCUUAAAUAAUUUAAGUUUGUUUUUGUGAAAUUUAACACAAAAUGUGUACUUGCUUCAGUGGUUAAGUGUUCUAGGUGUGUGUGUGAGGUAUUGGGUUCAAUUCCCACUUUUGGCAAAACUUUGUUAUUUUAUAUCCAAGCCUAACUCUUAUUGAGUAGGCUUAUGUUAAAUUGUUUGUUAAUCCAUAUCAGAAUAAGCUUGUUGGUUUGAGUGGUAAGGAGUUGGUGUGUAGGAGGUCCUGUUUUUGAAUCCCUACGUGAGCGUAGGUAUUAAUUUUUUCUCGGUUGUCUGAUAGAGUUUGAGUGGUCUUGAAAGUCUGAGGUUGUUAAGGCUGGGUGUUAGUCUGAAGUUAGGAUAUUGUGGGGGGGAUUUUUAUGUUGAUUAUUAUUAUUUUAUUUUAUUCCUUUUUCAAAUUUUCCUCUCUCUUUCCAAAAUUUCCCUUUAAUGUUAUUCUUCAAGUUUUUUUUAUUGUCUCUGAUAUUUUUCCCCCUUUUCAUUAAAUCUUUGUUUUGUUCUUCUUUUUUGAUUAUGUUCGUCAACCUAUCAUUCGAUCGUGCCAUUGGAGUUGUCGGGUUAUCUAAUCGGUUGGUAAGUAAAACUUUGCUUCCCUUUAACUUUUGAUUUGGGAUUAUAGUGAUUUCAAUAUGUAGCAAUUGAUUAGUGGAACUUCGUGUUUAGGAGAAGAUUAUGGAGCAAUGAAUUGCACUCCAACAGUUUAGUGUGCAUUGAAGUGGUUUGUCAUCGACGGUAAGUCAGUUUCGUGUUGUUUCUUGUUGUCAAAUUCAUUAAUCAAACUACUAAAUCAAUGUUGGGUACUUUAAUUUUAGGAUUUGGAAGGCUCGGGAGUAUUUUUGCAUUAAAAUCGUAAUAGGUGUGUCCCCAAAACAUAGAAAGUCAGGUUUCGAUAAAAGUCAAAAAUGCAUUUUGUCGAUGCGACAAGGGCAUGUGCCUGGUCAUGUGGCUAGUCGUGUGUGAGACACGGCCGUGUAUUUGACGAGGGUGUGGCUGUGCGCAAGCCACGGUCAUGUGGUAGUGUAAGUGUCGCUAUGUAGGCCAUACGGGCUAGGCCAGUCUAGGUUUGUGGGCCUACAUAGGCAUGCCACACGGACGUGUAGGCCCAUACGGCCAUGUAGGCCCACAAUUUUGAGAUUUUCCCUUAGGUCGCACGGUUCGUUUCGAACGAUUGUGGACCUACCAUAGGGUCAGUAAGGGCUAAUCAAACCCUAAAUUAUGUGAAAUGAUAUUUUGAUAGUUCGCCUUGUGUAGGAUGUCGAUAUGUACAUCUGUUUUAUUUACGUAUAUAUAUGCUAUCUGUAUAUGAGCAUGUUAUGCAUGAUAUUACUGUAUCUGUUAUUUCUGUAUUAUGUAUUUGUAAAUGGGGUGGGUUUUGUAUAUGUAGAGAAAGUGAUCUGUACGAUAACACUUCCAUUAUAUUUUGACAGUUGACUGCAUAUUAUUUGUAAUGUGUCGUAUUGACACUAUAUGGUGUGUAGGGAUGGGUGGGUGCUUUUAACCCUAUAUGGUAUGAUGGGAUAGUCGAAGAUGUUGUGUAGAGGAUGGGGGUAGGAUUCUGUAUAUCUGUACUACUUAUCUGAUUUUGUUAUCUGUAUCUGGAAUGGAUAUAAGUCCGGAUCUUGAUCUGACUGUAUAUAAGACUUCUAUUUGUAUUGCAUUUCUAUUUUUGUUAGGUUACACAAUAAGUUUACGAAACCUCACAUCUGUUUGUCUGUUCUGUUCAGGUCUAUAGACUUAGGCGGAUCAGUGUGACGGAGCCUCACAGUAACCACGAGAUUGUAAACUAUUUAAUAUUACGGUUUUUAUUUAAUUUAAGGAUUCUUUCUGGAAGUUUGUAAUAAUUGGACUUUCUAGAAUAUUUGACUUUUAUUUCAGUUUUGGAGGUGUUUUAACUUUUAUGGCCACGUUUGACCAAAUUCACGGUUUUACUAAAAUAAAGGAUUUUCUGAAUACACGAAUUAGAUUUCCAAGAUUCAAUGCUUUUUGAAAACUUCCGCUAUAGAUUAUGUUUUGGAAAAUGAAUGAAUUAAAUAACGCUUCUAGUAACAGAUAGUACACUUGGGGUGAUUUAUUGAACGACUAAACAAAGCUUUAUUAAAAGAUCACUAUUUUAAAAACCCUUCCAUGUAACACUCUUAGAUUAGGCCACAACGUCUAGGCCAGGAUUAGGGUGUUACAUUUAAUGGUAUCAGAGUUAGGUUACAAAACUCGAGCUGUGAAUUUUGGGUUUCAAAAUUAUGUUUUGAAAAAGAACAGGUUUUCAAAUAAUUUGGAUCAUUUUGAAUAAGUAUGUGGUACACUGAGUCUCCGGCAUUGAUCCUAUAAGUACUUUUGAACUUAGAUAAAACUUUCUGAAAACACUAUAGUUAGUACUUUCUGAAACUGUACUGAGUUAGUUAAAAAAUAAAAACUUUUGAAAUAUGUUCGAACUUCUGAUAAUUUGAGCAUGAAAUAUAUGUUAAUAAACAUUGGAGCUGAUGCAUAAAAUUUUAUAAUGUAGAUAAAUUUGAAAAUAUACGAUGAGCGCUUAUGGAACUUGCGGUCAUGGUAUUCGUGGGCUCAGUGGGAGCCGUAAGGGGCUGGAGCUGAGUCUUUUUCUCUGGGCAGUAUGCCAAACUUAGAUAUGAGUAAGCCACCAGUGUCACUUGCUACUGAGACAAGGUCUCAAAGCCACUUUGGUGGGGACGACGCACUAUCCCAAGCCAUGUUGAGGGUGUUGGAGAGGGUCAUUGGACCCCAUUCUGGAUCUGUGGGCCGUAGGACGGUAACUGAACGACUCUGGUCCAAUAGAGCUGAGUUGUUUAGGGGUGUCAUUGAAGUCGCCCCUAUUGUGGUCGAGUAUUGGUUGGAGGGCACAAAGAGGAUUAUGAACGACAUCGAUUGUACUCUUAAGUAGAAAUUUAAUGGUGCAGCCUCUCUACUUCGCGAUGAGGCAUAUCAGUGAUGGUUGUCGGUUGAGGAGGGUACUCAACGGGACUGUCUGAACUGGGAUUAUUUUAAGACUACCUUUCAGGGGAAGUAUGUGGGUGCAAGCUAUCUUGAUACUUGUAGGCGUGGGUUCAUGAAUCUCACGCAAGGUGAUAAAUCUGUGGCUAAGUAUGAGGCCGAGUUUCUAAGGUUAAGCCGCUACGCUUAAGGCAUGGUGGUGACUAAAUAUGAGAAAUUCAUCUAUUUUAAGGAUAGCUUGAGGUAUAAUCUGAGGGUAUUGAUUGCUCCACAGAGGGAAUGAGAGUUUGAGUUCUUGUGGAUAAGGUGAAGAUCGCCGAGGAGAUUAAGUGCGUGGAGCGCUAAAAUAGGGAUCGUGAGUGAGGCAAGAAUAAGAGGGAUUCAGAGCCCUCUAGUUCUGUUUAGAGGGCUAUUAGAGUAGGGGUUCCUAUUACUUCUAAUAGGAUUCAGCCACGUGAUGAUUGUGGUAGGCACCAUCCGGGUGAGUGUUAGAGGAGGUUGGGGGCUUGUUUGAGGUGUUGGUCUUUGGAGCACCACAUUAGAGAAUGUUCACUCCAUGCGGAUUAGAUGCAAGCUGUAGGAUCAAGUUUUAUACAACCUUAGAGGGCAGUUCAGCAGCCAUCUAAGGGUCGUGGUCCUACUAGGGGUGGUAAUGGUAUGGGUCGAGGACAUAGAAUAUCGGGAAAAGGUGUUAGUUAGAUUGAAUCCUAAAUUAGAGUUAAGUUUGGUUUGAAUCAAGCCUUAACUUUGACCAAAUCCAACUAAAAACACGUCUAACAAUUAUCUAGUAUUGUUUUUAUGAAUUGAAUUUUAACUUGUAAUUUUCAAUUUUAUUACAAAAUUUCUUUGCGGACGAUAAGAAAAUAACAUAUUUGUAACUUCUUCAACCCGGCGUAAAGGUUAAGUCUGAAUUUGGAUUACAUCAGCCAUAAAGAUGGCCUAGCAGGAUUAUCGGAGUUUUUAAAAACAAACAUCUUUAAAACGUUUGUUUAAUUUAUAGAAAAGCUUAUUUAAUUUCCAAAUUAUUUAUUACUUGAAAUCUUAAUUACACUUUAAAAGUAGGAAGUGGUAACUAUUUAUUUUUAAUAAAAUUCGGGGUUCAUGUAUAAUUGAUUAAUAACCGUAAUUCGAAAACAUUAAAACUUAAAUUAAAUGUCAUGCAAAACAAAACAAGCUUAAAUCUAAAUCUCAUGCCGCAGUUCAAAAUUAUUUAUUGUAGUCUUAGAAAAUAAAAACAAUCAUAUAAUGAACCUAAAUUUUUUAUUUUACUUUAAUAAUGUGUCAAGGUCUUACAGAUGUCACGCCUGCGUUCAAUCUUGGUGGGUUAUCUGUAAGGAUGAAAAUUUAAGGGGGAGUGAGCUAUGACGCUUAGUGUGAGUUCAUUCACAAUAAAUUCAAUGCAAACGGUUGGUAAGGCACAUUAAAUAACAUCGCAUAAAGUAAUCACAGUCAGAUAACAGUUUAGAAUGGCGAUUUUACAAUUUAACUACCAAUAUUAUCACAAUAUUCACAGCUGUAAUUUCAGAAUAUCAAAUUUCCACAUCAUUCACAAUACUAACAUAUAUAUAAAUAUAUCAUAAUAGAAUUCCAGAUUUGUAUGCACAUGAUUUAGAAGAUGCCAUACAAUUUUGGGUUUUAACAGAAUAAAUCCUACCCCACGUUACAUAUCAUAAUGGGAGUUCCCCUAAACUCCCUUCUCCAACACACUAGGUUGUGGAUAAACCACUACUCGUCCACAGAUAAUAACUAUCAUUUGGCUGUGGACACACAACAAAUCCCCACAGUUGGAUUCUAGCUUUGGCUGUGGGUUCACAGCCAAGAGUCCUGCAAAUGAAGCCUGUUUUUGCAUGUAGAUUAUACAACCUAUACCCGCAGUUGGAAUCUGUCUUUGGCUAUGGAUGCACUGUAACACCCCAAACCCGACCUGGACGUUAUGGCUCAAUCUUGACGUAAUGCCCCAAAAUUUCUAAUUUCGUUAUUGUGAAAAUAUGACACAAAAUAUUUGUCUGCUUUAGUGGUUAUGUGUUCUGGGAGUGUUUAGGAGGUCCCAAGUUCACGCCUUCACAUGGGAAAAUUUUGGUAUUUUGAAUGAAUUAGGUAUUACUCUUAUUCAGUAGGCUUUUAUUUGAUUGUUGGGUAAAUUAUAUUAGAAUGGGCUUGCUGGUCUAGUGGUUAAAUGGUUUAUUAUUAUGGUGGAGGUCUUGUGUUCAAGUCCCUAUGUAGGCAAGGGUAUUAUUAUUAUUAUUUGCUCAAAUUUCUGGAUAGAGUUGUGUAAUAGGGGGAUUCUGAGUAGUAGAUGUGUAGUGGGAAUUAGGGGAGAAGAUUAAGGAGUUUCAGGGGUUAUCGAGAUUUUAUUUUAUUUUUUCCCAUAACCGAAUUUUGACUUUCUUUUUCCAAAAAAAAUCUGCCAUCUAUUCUUCUCCCUCUCCUCUUGUUGAAAUUCUCUUAGUUUUUUCACCUUUCUCUUCUUUUUCUUCUUCUUGAUUUUUCCCUAAUCCAUUUAUUUUUCUUCAUUUUCGCACGCGGUUAGUUUUCGCUUAGUUUCGGUAAGUGUUUCUCUUCGUUUCUAUCAUGAAUCUCCUAGCGACUAAAGUGGUAACUUUUUUCUCUGUGAUUUGGGCGUAGGGGAAGGCUCGAACUGUUGAAUUCAGUAUUCUCGUCUUAACAAUAGUUAAAUGGAGGGUUAUUGUUGGUGGUAAGUUGGGUUUCUGUUCAUUCUUAGUUGUCAAUUUGCUUGUAAAUCUGUUAAAUUGAUGUUGAGUAUCUUGAUUAUAGGCUUUGGAGUGCUUGGGGACUGUUUUAGCAUCAAACAAAACCAGGUGUGUACCCGGGACGCAAAAAAAAGGGAUUCGAUCGAAAGCCGAAAUUGUUUGCUGUUUGGACAGUAGCAGUAGGCUAACUUUGAAAAAUCGCCAUAAAUUGUGGAAAUCGAAAUAGAGGAUGAAAAAAAUAUGAAAUUAAAUCUUAUUGAGUCUAGUUUCUCAUAGAAGAACGGUGUAAGUAAUGGAAUUUUAAAUCAUGAGAUAUAAUAAACUAUGUGAGACAAGGUCAGAAUAAAUUCGGGUUCCCUUGUUCUGACUUUGGAAAAUCAUCAAAAAUUGGAUAAAAAUAAUUAGGAAUUAAAAUUUACAUGUUUAAAUUAUUAAUUAGUCUUUUUUCAAUAGAAACAAAUGGGAACUUCAUCCAAAAUUUUUACUAAGAGAUAAUUAAUUUUUAGCAAUGAAGGGUCGAAGCUGUCAAACAGCAGAACAAGGGUAAGUUUGAAGAUUUUACCAUACUUAUUGGCUGAGCCAAAAAUUCUAAAAAUUUUAUGGUAGAAAGGUAUUUGAGUCUAUUUUCAAAUACAUCAAGUGAAUUUUAAUUAGGAAUUCUUUAGCUCAAGAUAUAAAUAAUUUAGUUACAGUGAGUCAAGUAGAAAGCUUUGAAGGAACACAUAAGUAAAUUGUGAUAACAUAUAUGAAUAUUUAGCUAGCACAGGUUACAUUGAAAAUGGAUCACGUAGCCAAGGCCAAUUUGGGCUGAGUGGGCCACAUGGGCAUGUGAGCCCAUUUUUCUAAAAAAUUCUGUAAGGUUGCACGGGUCGCCCAAGUCGACUAUGGACCUACUGUAGGGUCGGUAAGCUUUACUUAGACGCCUAUAUGUGUGAUCUAUCUGGCUGAUUUCUAUACCGAGCAUGACUUAUGAUAUUUGAAUGUAUGUACUUUUAAUUACAUAAUGGCAUGACAAAUUUUGUAUGUUGCAUUGCAUCGGAGUGGGUUGAUGAUAUUUGGAGGAAGUGUCUAAAAGGCUAUUAAGCCUGUUAUCUGGCAGCUCAGCUGCAACCUUCUGAUUAUGUGCGCAUUUCAGUACAACAUGGUGUGUAAGGAUGGGUGGGUUGAUCUAACCCCCACAUGGUGUGUAAGGUUGGACAAAGAUGUGCGUAGAGGCUGGUGGGUAGGAUUCUGAUUUACUGUAUCUACAUUAUGUAUCUGAUAUGGGCCAAGGCUCUAAUGUAUUUCUGAGACUGUAUCUAAACGGGCUAAGGCCCAAACUGAUUGUGUGAUGGGCCUAGGACCCAGACUGUAUCUAACUAAAUUCUGUUGAUUAUUUGUAUGCAUGAUUUCUAUGGGAAUUACACACUGAGUUUACGAAAACUCACCCUUUCUCUAUUUAAUCUGUACAGGUAAUCCCCAGACUUGAUGGGUCAGUGCAACAAAGGAUUCGACAGUGGCCACACGUAAAUUAUGGAUUGUUUUCCGUUAAUACCUAGAAUUUAUUAAUUAUUUGGGGUUUUUGAUGUAUCUUCUGGACUAUGGACUGGUUGGCUAACAUACCUUUUUGCAUUGCAUCAUGUGCACGACAUAUUCGAAUAUUAUUGGUUUAUGCUACGUAGUGUAUUUUGUUGUAUUGAAUGGUAUCAAAAUUAAUGAUUGUCACUCGAAUGAAUUAUGACCUAUGCUCAUACACUGUUUGACAUCAAUUUGAUAAUGGCUAUGUAACGAUAUGAAAUUCCUAUAAUGGUUCUAUUUUCUUCUGUUAAAGCUAAUUAGUUUUACUGUAUUUGAUAUUUAUGUUUGUUUCAAUAAUUGUUCGACUCAUGCUGAGCUUUUCAUAAGCGCACCCCUAAUAUGUUAAACUUUUCAGGUAAACCUCGAAAUUAAGACCAGACUUGGCAUUCGAAGAAUCACCUUAGACCUUGAAUUAUUUUUCUAAUAAGUAUUAAUCAAUCUCUAAUGGUUUUCGUUUGUAAUUUUUAAUUAUAUCUAGUCUGUGGCUUGAUAACUUUUCUUCUGGGAUUUUUGCAUGCAUGGAUUACUCAAGCAUAAUAACCGGAUAAUGCAUGAUAUUAGGCUUAAGUAAAAUUUGAUAUUGUUCCCUAGAUUCCGCUGCAUUGCAAAGGAUUUGUUUUUGAAAAACAAAUUGAUAAGGUAACUAAGUUUUCAAAAUGACUUGAAAAAUGGUUUUUCCCCUGCAUUAGUUUAACAUCGAAUUUUUUUUAAAGGAGAGCAACAAGUAAAUGAUUUUUCUAAAACAACACUAUCAACAAUAAAAUGAAUUCUAAGUAUACACAACCUAAUGAAUGAAUGCUUUUAAGCUAACUUAAAGUACAACUAUGGUUUUCUCUAAAAUGAGUUUAUUUAAAGUUUUCAUAAGUAAUGUAAGUUAGCUUAGCCAUUUCGGUGGCUAAUGUAGCCUUCUCAUUCUAGCCAUAACGUCUAGGCCAGGUUUGGGAGGUUACAGUAUUGAUAGGAACUGUGGUAUAAAUUUUAUUUUGGACAUUCUUAAAUUGUUAUUUGGACUAAACUUUAGAAACUAUGGAUUUUAUACUGAGCCUAAAUUUACGAAGUUCAUGCGUGGUUUUUACGAAAAUGAAACUCAUAUGAAAUUUCAAAACCGUGAUGUUUUUAUUAACGCUCCAAUUUGAAAUUGUACAAGAAAUGUCAAUUUGAAUUAUUUUUGAAUGUUUUUUAUGCCAAUUAAAUAUUGUUUCAAAACAUAGCUAAGUAUUAUUUAAUUUCGUAAAGAUGAAGCAAACUCCGAACAAUCUAAAACUUCAAGGACUAGUUUGCAAUUUUUGUUUUUCCUCAAUUGUCUCCGGUUUGAUUCAAUUCUUGAUCUAUACAAUUAUUCCAUUCAAUUCAUCAAUAUUAAACAUUUAUACAUUAUGUCAUGUCAUGAAUGAACCUAGAUAAAUUCAUUUUUUGAUACCCUUAAAGUUUUACAUUUAUUUCAAUUUAGUCUCUAAAAUCGAAAUAGUCAUAACUUUAAAUUCUGAACUUCGGUUUGAAAAUCGACCUCAAUUUCAUUAUAGACUCUCUACUAUCCAUUAUUAUCAAAAUUUCACAUCAAUUUCACAAUUUAUUUACUUUAGUUAUUAUGUAAAAAAUUAACAACCAAACAUCACAAUUUAGUCAUUUUUCAUAAUUUAAGCUUAAAAUCUAUCAAUUUAAUACCAAUUUCUUCAAGAAAUCAACCAUGAUAACUAUAAAAAAAAUUAACAGUUUUGCAAAUUGAUACAUAGGUCAUUUAAAUCAAACUUUCAUGACCUCAGAAACACAAAAAAAAAUUAUACGAAAAUGAUUUAGAAAUGCAUACCAAUUGAGGACCGAAAGCUUGAAGCUCAAAAUGGCUUUUUCCCUUGAGGUUUUAUGUUGAUUAAAUGAUGAAGAAGAAGAAAUAAAGAUGACAACUUGCACUAAGUCACCUUUAUAUACUUAGAUUAAAUCUUAAUUAAUCAAAUUUAAUUAAUUAAAUCUUAAUUAAUUAACCUUAAUCACAAUUAAAAAAAAUUAGUAGAUGUUAACAUCAUCCUACACUAUUUGAUAUAACCAAAUGAUCUAUUUACCAUUUUGAACCUUUAGCUAAUUAGAAAUCUAUAGCGAUAAGACUUUUAAAAUUUAGUUUCUGUAUCUUAAUUAUGCAAUUAAUAGACAAAGUUGAAGGUUUAAAAUUUAAUGUUCUAUUAUACCAACUCUGUAAAUAUUCAUAUUUAAUAUUUACAGACCCGAAUUACGAAAAUGAGAUUUUGAAAUUGUAUUUUCCAAUACCACUGAAAAUCGAACAAUUACGUAACCUAUUUGCACCAAAGGGCCAAACAUGGCAAAUACUUGACAUGUAUGUCUUAAUAUCCUCAUCUAUUCUCUUCAAUAUAAUAACAUCCAAUAAUUGUUUCAUCCACUGUAACUAUCACGAAGAUUAGAUUUACCAAUACAGCCUACAAUUUGCAGAAGCGCGACAUUUUCAUUCUAGAGAAAGGUAUAAUUGAAACAAAAUUGAAAUAAAGAUUUCAAUACAGAAUCAACAGACAUUCCAGCUAAUACUUAUCAAUUAUUUGCAGCUUCAUUGCUCCAACUAAGAUGGUUUUUAGUCGAAUAUGGUAAAUGAAAUCAAUGAACACCAGCUACUUGAUGAACGAGUGAAUCAAAGUCCUGAUAUGUGCCGGCUUAUUGGUGAAAAAAUACAUGGGUUAGUUUUGCAGCAAUUCAUGAUCUUACAUUUUAUAACCUUUGCUUACAAUUAUUCACUGACUAAUCAUUCAAUGAAUGUAGGCCUCAAAUUUAGCCACUAAACUUUAUUCUUUAUUUUUAGAUACAUAUUAUUUGAUCACUUCAUACAGCCUAUUACUCAUAAUAACUUCCAAUUUCCCUUCUUUAGGUUAGUUGCAAAUGUACAGCUUUUUCUAGAAGAAGAAAAUUGUCAAGAGCCACCUGUUCAAGAGAGGCGCAAACAGAAUGUAACAAUACCUGACCUACUUACGGUACAGCCAAGUAAUCAUGUGUUUCUAUGCUAGAACAUUAAAUCAAUGACUACAAAUUUCAUGUCAUGGUUGUGUAUCAUUUAUGCCACUGAUGCUGCUAUUUUCUAUUCUAAUGCAUAAUAGGGAUUUAGUGUUUUUACCGUUAAAAUUGUGUCCUUUAAUUUUGGCUCUUUUCAAUUGUUGAUCAUGUCCACCUAUGCUUUAUUUUACUACUAUUGCUUUCUUCAAUGAUAGAUGAUUGAAUCGGUAGAAUUUUAUUAAUCCUCUACAUGUUUUAGCUUGAUAUGUGGAUCCUAAGCAUUCCUUGGAUUGUGCCCUCUUUGUUCAUUUAUUUUUUUUCCUGGAACCUUAUUACAUGUUGUAACACUCCAGUUUUUUGGAGACAUUGAAGACGACUAACUGCUGAAUUCUUUCUUCUGCAGAGGAACCAAUGGCAAGAGACUCUAAAACUCCUACUCUUUUUUAUACCUUCCUCACCUCUUUGUGACAUUAUAGCUGAAAAAUGAUGUAUGCUAAUACAUGAAAUGUUUCCUCUUGCCUUUCUUUUUGUAGUACUAAAACUACAAAUAGUGUCUGUAAAUCUCUUUUCCCGUAAUCUUAUCUUUUCCUCAUUGUAAUAGUUGGAAAACAGCUUUGUUGAAGACAAUGUCAACUACUGGGAUAAGUUACAAACACUGUUAUUGUUUAUUUUGUAGUCUAAAUUAUGAUAAUUUCUGCACAAAAUUCACAUAAAUGGUUACCCUCCCGAAGCGGAGCGAGGGUGAUGCUUACUAGUUAUUAAGAAAACAGGACCUUGUAGGGCUUAACUGUUGAAUCAAGAAAGAAAUUUCUUUUAAUGCCUUAAAAAAAAGAAAUUUCUUUUAAUGCCUUCAAUUUUUUUUAAAGCUGAUUUUUUUUUUACAAAUUAAAGUUUUGAUUGUAUGUUAAUUGCUUGAGGGAAGGUCGGAUACUUUAUUAUCCCUAUUUUUAUUUGUUAUAUAUUUUAACCAUACUGAUUUUUUUGGCCCUACAAUUUUACCAAAAAAAUCAUAUUAGCUUUCAUUUAAUUUUCGUCUCUUUUAACCCUUUAACUUGUAUUUUUUUUGUCAAAUCACCCCAAAAUGGAUCGAAAACUUUAACAUUUGUGAACUUUGAUUAUGUGACAUACACAUGAAUUGUCACAUGGAUGACAAGUCAACAUUUCUUUAAAAAAAAACUUAAAAAAUAUUAAAUAAAAUAUUUUUGAUAUUUUUUAAUGAUUUUUAAAUUAAAAAAAGUUUUUAAAUAUAUUUUAAUUUUUAAAAAUUAAUAAAACGCAGACAUGGAAAUUCACAUCUAUGUGUCACAGACCGUGGAUUAAAGCCUGUGACCAUUGCGCAUAGAACACCCCAUAGAAUUUUGGCUUUUUAUUUGGUCAAUCAUGUCCACCUAUGCUUUAUUUUUACUAUUAUUGCUUUCUUUAAUGAUAGAUGAUUGAAUCGGUAGAAUUUUAUUAAUCCUCUAUGUAAUAACCAAAUUUUUCCCGGGCCCAAUGCCAAACAAAUAAAACCCAAACCAAAUAAAUAAAAUAAGAGUCCAAAUUACAGUCCAUCAGAGCUCAAUUCAGACCAGCCCACUAUUCAAUCAGACUGGCCCAACACCCAAAUAACCUAACAACCCUAGCCCAACAAAAUCAGAAAAAUGAACAGCAAAAAAACCCUAGGUGCGCCGCACCUAGGUCUUCUGGCCUAACCGCCGUUGUUCGCCUAUCACCAGCCUCCACGCUGCCACCGCCGCAUGCGCACCAGGCCUCCUCCAUGUGUGUCUGACACCUGCAAAGAGAGUCACACGCAACAGUAGAAACAAAAACAAAAAACAAAUAGCAAAACGACAAAAAAAAUAAUGAUUAAGGAGUUCGUAAUCCGACUAUAAAAGCCCUAAUCUGUGACUUGUAAUUUUUUGACACACAUUAGAAAAUAAAAACCAAAAAAAAAAACUUUAAGGUGAUACUCAUUUCAUUUUAUUUUUGUUUUAUUUUAUUUUAUCAUUUUUAUCUUUUUAUUUCGAAAUAACAUAAAUAAAAAGGGGAGGCUGGGUUGCCGUUGCCAGAGCAUAUUUUGUGCUAAAGGGGGUUGCGCCGGAGGAAAAGAGGAAACUUUUCAGUUUCCCGCCGCCGUGAUGGCCAAACCUCUGACUGGCGCUUGGAGAAAGAAGGGGAGAGUUUGAGAGAAUUUUAGGUUUUUUGUUUAAUAAAAGUGAAAAAUGAAGAAUUCUGAAAAAAUUAAUAUUUAUAGCACCUAGAAAUGGCGUCGUUUUGGCCAGUUUCAUUUGGCCCCAAAAUGACACCAUUUAAUGGCCUAUACCGGCACAGUGACCCAACCCGGGGAAGGAUCCGAGCGUUUUGUGCUAUUGGGUAAUUUUCACAUUUGGUCCCUCUUAUUUUGUAGUGUUUUCAAAUUAGAUUUUAUUUAUUUUAAAUUUCAACUUACAUUUUUGUUUUUGUUUCACUUAGAUCCUGAACAAUGCGCAGCGUUUUGGGGGCGAGGAAAUAUUUCCAAUAUGGCCCCAUGUAAUCUGCAUAUUACACUUUAACCCCUCGUCUUGUUUAUAAUUCUAUUCUUUUCUUGUUAAUUUAGAUUCAAUUGCGAUUUAAUCUUUUGUUAAAACAUUUGUUUUCUUUAUUAAUUUAUUAACUAUUUUAUUAUUAUUUUAGUGGUAUAUUCGGUCAUAUUUUCAUUAUCUUAUUAUAUAUUAUCAUUUUGAGUUUUACUUAUAUUAUUAUUAUAAUUUAUAAUGUGUUAUUUUAUUAACUCAAUAUAACAUAUAUAUAUAUGUAUUUUUUUGUGGUUUUAUUUUUAUAAUAUAUUUUUUAAAUCCAUUUUUAUGCACUUUAUAUUUAAGUAUUUAUACAAUAAUAUUCUUAUAAUAUUUUUAUACAUGUACAAUUUAUAUAUAAUUAUUUCUUAUACGUGUAUAUAUACAUAAUAAAUCAUCGAUUACAUGUUAUUAUAUUAUUUCCACUUAUUUCAUAUAUAAUUUAUUUCUUUUAAAAUACUCUAUUAUAUACUUCAUUUAUUUCAACCUUUUAUGUGUAUCAUUAUAGAUAUACUAUUAUAUGAAGUUUUUCAAUCCCUAUGCAUUACUUAUUUAAAUUAAUAUAUGUAUAUUAUUUUAUGUAUUUAGAUUUAUUUUGUAUAUAAUAUCUACUUUUAAAUUUAUUUGGAUACUAUUAUUUUAAGUGGAAUUUAUUUUUAUCUAUAUUUUUUUUAUUUAUUUCAAUUUUUCAUAUAUGUAUAUAUUAUUUAUUUUAAAUUUAUUUUAAUCAUAAUUUCCCUUCUUUCAUAUUUCUUAAGUUUAAAAAAAAACUUGUACAAUUUCAUUUGGUGCUUUGAUUGUUUUUUAAUUCAUUAGCCUUUGAAUGUUAGCAUAAUACAUUAUGUGAGAUUAUUGCUCUUAUACGUAUUAUAUUGCUUAUUUUUAUUUACUAAUUAUUCGUAGAUCAUUAGAAUACAUUUUGGUUUACAAAUUAUCGCUUUGUAUUGUACAUUAAUAUUCAAUUGUUUUUUUAUUCGUUCGAAAGAUUACGUUUAAUAUCAUUUAAGUAUCAAAAUCGAUUUAUUCAAAAACUUUCAAGAUAACGUAAUAUUCUGUAUUUGGGAUAUUCGAGAGAAUUGAGCCUUAAUGUAUUGGGUUCCAAUUUUCCUCGUUGAAUCUAGAUAAUCGAGAAUAAUCUUCAAUCAAAAUACAUACAUAAAAAGCUCAUUAUCGGGAAUUCGAUACAUUGUGUCCUAACGCAUUGGAUACGACAUGUUGUUUUCUCGAGAUGAGGAUUUUUCUAAAAAAAAUAAUAAAGGCAAUAUUCCGUAUUUGGGAAAUUUGAGAGAUCGUGCCCUAACUUACUGGGUUUCGAUUUUUCUCCUUUAACCCAAAUAAUCAAAUAUCCUUCUCAAAAUGCAUAGGUUUUAAAAGUCAAAAGAUAAACUUAAUUUUGAAGAUUAAGAAUGUUGCGCCCUAACUCACUGGGUGUGACAUUUUAUCUCUUUGAAAUAAGAGUGUCUUAUCAUUUAAUUCAAUUUAUUCAAGGUUAAAAGGAUCGUAUUUUAAAACCUUUUCAAAAUUUCAACACUAAGACAUUAAGUAAUCAACUAGGUACCAAUUUUUGGGCGUUACGAGGGUGCUAAUCCUUCCUUGUACGUAACCGACUCCCGAACCUAUUUUUUUGAAUUUCGUGGACCAAAAUCAUUAUUUUAAUAAAAUCAAACCAUUUAUUAAAAACAACCACUUUUCGAGGUGACCCGAUCACACUUCAUCGAAAAAGAUCGGUGGCGACUCCCAUAUUCAUUUUCAUUUUCAAAAUCCAAAUUGACCCUGUUUUAUCAAAAAAUGGUGUCAACACUGCACAUGUUUUAUCUUGACAUAUGGAUCCUAAGCAUUCCUUGGAUUUUGCCCUCUUUGUUCAUUUAUUUUUUCUUGGAACCUUAUUACAUGUUGUACCAUUCCAGUUUUUUGGAGACAUUGAAGACGACUAACUGCUGAAUUCUUUCUUCUGCAGAGGAACCAAUGGCAAGAGACUCUAAAAAUCCUACUCUUUUUUAUACCUUCCUCACCUCUUUGUGACAUUAUAGCUGAAAAAUGAUGUAUGCUAAUACAUGAAAUGUUUCCUUUUGCCUUUCUUUUUGUAGUACUAAGACUACAAAUAGUGUCUGCAAAACUCUUUAGAGAAAAACAAAUGUCUGUAAAUCUCUUUUCCCGUAAUCUUAUCUUUUCCUCAUUGUAAUAGUUGGAAAACAGUUUUGUUGAAGACAAUGUCAACUACUGGGAUAAGUUAUUGUAAGCAUCUUUUCUUUAAGUGUUUCAUAUUAAAAACAAACACUGUUAUUGUUUAUUUUGUAGUCUAAAUUAUGAUAAUUUCUGCACAAAAUUCACAUAAAUGGUUACCGUCCCGAAGCGGAGCGAGGGUGAUGCUUACUAGUUAUUAAGAAAACAGGACCUUGUAGGGCUUAACUGUUGAAUCAAGAAAGAAAUUUCUUUUAAUGCUUUCAGUUUUUUUAAAGCUGAUUUUUUUUACAAAUUAAAGUUUGGAUUGUAUGUUAAUUGCUUGAGGGAAGGUCGGAUGCUUUAUUAUCCCUAUUUUUAUUUGUUAUAUAUUUUAGCCAUAAUGAUUUUUUUGGCCCUACAACUUUACCAAAAAAAUCAUAUUAGCUUUCAUUUAAUUUUCGUCUCUUUUAACCCUUUAACUUAUAUUUUUUUGUCAAAUCACCCCAAAAUGGAUCGAAAACUUAACAUUUGUGAACUUUGAUUAUGUGGCAUACACAUGAAUUGUCACAUGGAUGACAAGUCAACAUUUAGUUUUUUUUUUAAAAAAAAAAACUUAAAAAAUAUUAAAUAAAAUAUUUUUGAUAUUUUUUAAUGAUUUUUAAAUUAAAAAAAGUUUUUUAAUAUUUUUUAAUUUUUAAAAAUUAAUUAAAUGCAAACAUGGAAAUUCACAUCUAUGUGUCACAGGCCGCGGAUUAAAGCCCGUGACCAUUGUGCAUAGAACACCCCAUAGAGGUCAACUUAUUAAACAAGGUUCAUUUGACCCGCAUGAACUGGCCCGACCCAUGGAACCCGUGGAGAAGCCCAUCUACUUGAAGCCUUGGUGGUCUAGUGAAAUAUAGUUUAAUUUUUUUUAAACAUAGGGUAAGGGAAGAAGAAUGCCUUAAAAUUAAUUUUUGUUAGAAAACUAAUAAGAAUGAGUUUGUUGGUUUAGUGUUAAGGCCUUAUCCUAUCCAUAGAUCCCAAGUUUGAAUCCCUUGGUGAGCAUUCAACCAAAAUAUUUUUAUUUCCUUGUUUUUACCACACCAAAAGUGACAAAUUUUAAAAUAACCCAGCCCAAAAACUAUUUUUUUUUAAUUUUAGUCCUUAAUUUAAAAUUUUCCCAAACCUACAUAAAUUUUUAAAACCUAUUCCAAUUAGGAAAAAUAAGUAUUAUAAAUAGACAAUUUCAAAACAAACUCUAGAAUUUCAUCUAGCAAAUUUUCAAGAAAAAAUCCAUAAACACUUUCUUUUCCAAAUCAAACUUUCAAGCUAAAGAAAUCAGAAUCUUCAAAAUCAUCCCUCAAGUAGAUCUUCAAUCUUUUCUCCAGCACUAAGGUUUCUAAGUAUUCAAAAUAGGUGUGGGAACAAAACCUAAAUCUUUGUGUAUAAUUGAAUCUAAUAGCAAGUAGAGAACCAGUAUAGGCUAACCCUAGGAGAAACCCCCUGUAUGUGCAAUCAUGUAGGUGUGAGCCUAUAGAUGCAAAACCCCUUGUACAUGAAAACCCCAUGCAUGCAAACCCUUACGUGAAACCCCCCUUUCAUGCGAACCCUGUAUGAAUACCAUGUGAACCCUAGAUUAUAGUUGCGAACCCUAGGUUGUUAUGUGGAUACCCAUACUGUGAACCCAAGUGCACAAACAUAUAGGAAUAUUCAUGCGAGCCCCCUUGCAUGCGAACCCUAGUUAGUGUACAUACGGGUCUCAUAUUUACAUGCAAACCACUACUAGUGCGAGUCAAUUAUAUGAUAUCACAUACGAACCCUACUAUUACAUGCAAACCUUUAUACAUGUUAUAUUCGAACCUUUUUUUGUUAAAACAGGUGAGACUUGUCUAGUAUUACAUACGACCUAAUUUGCGAACUCAUAUGUUAAAAGUAUGUGAACCUAUCUAUGUUUGUUAUGCGAGCUCACAUGUUAGCAGUAUGUGAACCUAUAUAUAUCAGUUAUGCAAACUCACAUGUUAGCAGUAUACGAACCAUAAGUCUGUUAUGCAAACUCACACAUUGGCAGUAUGCGAACCCUAUAUACACCUUUAUGCAAACUCACACAUUAACAGUAUGCGAACCCUAUAUACGCCUCUAUGCAAACUCACACGUUAGCAGUAUGCGAACCCUAUAUACGCCUUCAUGCAAACUCAUAUGAUUUGCAGCAUGCGAUCUCUAUAUUUAUGCGAACCCUUGUAAUAAAAAAUAUGCGAACCUUAACUUGCGAACCCUUGGCAGGAACCCUGCACUCGCAAAGCCUUCUUCCGGACCUGUACAUAUGCUAGAUAACCAAGCCUAUUAGUUUACAUUAAAUCACUGUACAUAUGAGACUGUUUGUUUACUUGCACAAGUUAUAUGUGUAUUUACUAUUCGAUACAAGAGUACCUAUCGACCUUUUGAUGAGAAUUCAGAGAUUAACGAUGAUAAUUCCAACAAUCAGUGUAAGAACGAGUUAAAUCGAGAGUUGAUGUAAUUUAAGGUAAUAAAGUUAAUUUUUCAGUAAUAAAUGUAAAAUUGUUAUGGAAAGAAACGAUGGGUAAAAAAAAAUGAGAGUUUUAAAUAAAAGAGAGGAAAACUUCAAUUUAGGGUUGAAGAGGAACUAAAAAUUUACGUGAAAUUAGGAAAAAAUAUAAAAUACCUAGGAUUAAGAAAUUUGAGGGGGUUGAAUGGUAAAAUACCCUUUUUUCUUAAAAAUGAAAAAAAAUGGAAAUGGGUAUUAAGUUUGGCACGACUUGAACCUUGGAAGCAAAGGAAAAAAUUACAAAGGCCUUACCAUUUGGGUUGCUACCCACAUUUGGCAUUUUUUUACACUAUUUAAAAUAUAUCCUAGCUUAGUUUUGAUCAUAGGUUGUUGAAAAAAAAAAAAAGGGGUAAGAGUGUGGCUUCAACCUUAAUUCUCUAGUUAGUAUACUAAGCUCUGAACCAUUAAGAUUAAGGCCCAUGUCUUAGUCAAUUAAUUCAUCUAACUCUAUAUAUUUUGAGGUGUUACAUCUUGAAUUAGAAAAACCCAUAAAAUGCAUGUAGACUUGUAUUGCUCGGUACUUGGUAGUAUAUAUGUAGACUUGUAUGUUGAUUAAGCUAGCUUAAUUAAGACCAAUGUGUUAGACUUGUCUAUGCAUUGAACAAUCUAGAAGAAAAUGAAGAAAAAGACUCUGAAAACACUUGAAAACAGAUAAAACUCAUAUGUCAUCGACUAGUUAAACUAUGAUCACCCAUAAUAGACCUUGUAUUUGACUUUUUGUUGAGGGAGAAGUUUCGUGAGUGUUGUUUGUCAGGGAGUCAGUGUUGCCCUAAACAACUAAAGGUAUUGUCCCCAUGUCGAGAUUUUACCCCCAGCCUCUGCAAAAUAAUCAUGAAGAAUACGUGCGAAGGAAUUCAAACACCAACCAAUGCAUGUGUAGCCUUUACCUUCCCACUAUCUUUGGGAACUCAUAAGGAUAAAAUCCCAACAAGAGAAUUGUAUCAGAGGGGUCUGUCAACACAAUGAAUGAAAUUUCAUACUUUUUUUUUAAUGAAAGUAAAUAUCAUAUUUAGUUAGAGAAAAGCAACGAAAAAUCUAACAAUAAAAUCCUUAGCAAAAGAUUAAAACACAAUUGUACCAUAAAUUAAAUAAGAAAUUAAAAAAAUUCAAAUCUAACAAAGACAGUAACUUGAUUCCUCAAAGCUACCACAAACAGUAAUUCAUAGGAAGGCCUGCUGCUCAUUUAUAACACAAACUUCAUGGUGACGGAUACCAACAUACCAUCAACUGAAGUCAUAGUUGACGAGGUUGUAGUUGGCCGAGGUGAUGGUGACAAAAGCCACUCUGGAAAAAUAUUAAUAGCAAUCGCCCUCCAAUUAAUGAGAAUUUAUAAAGUGACCUAAUUAAAUGGUAGCAGUUGUCCAUAAGUGUCAUAUCUGUUGUAAGGCAUGAGCUCAAACCCUACCAAACUCAAAUGAUCAAAUUUCCUUGGUAGGUGGUCAUACGUCACGUACCGUUUGUCCCAACAAGGCGCUCCCACUCUGUUGAACCUCUCAUCUCUUUAGGUAGCUUUAGGCACUUGAGAUCUUUACAAAGUCGAGAGGUAAAAUUAUUGGAAAAAAAAACUCGGUUUGAAAAUGGUUUUCUUGCACAGUAGAAAAAUAAAAUUUUGAAAAUUGACUUGGUUUGUGAUAUUUAUAACAAAAAAAAACCUUAACUGAAUUCAUACAUGUGUUUUUGGAUAAGUGGAUCCUUGAUGUUUUCAGGCUUUCAACCAAACGAUCUUUUGCACUAUUCUCGUACCACGAUCUGCUUCGAGUGUGGCCUCGAACCAAUUGAAUCAAAACACAAAACUAGAAAAGGUUUUCCUUUUUGGGUGAAAACCAAAAUUCUCUCUUCUUUAAUAGAAAUCGGUAAAAUUAUUAUUAUGAAAAAUAUGUUUAUAAGUUGAGAAUAAAUUCUCUCUAUUUUUCGACAGAAUAAAAAUCUCUGAAAAGUUGUGUAAAUAGCUCUACUGGUGCCAUUUAUUUAUAAGAAGAGAAAGUAGAACCCUUGUAGAGUUGUAAAAGUUUAUAUCCACUAGAAAAAUAAUAUCCUAGCCUAUCUAGGAUAUAGGGAGCAACAACCCUAGUUAAUGAUACUAGGGUUUUGUCGUCCCACCUCCUUAUAUGAGGGGUUUUAGGCCUCUCUCACAUCAGGUCCAAGUACAAGUAAUUCUUAAAUAUAAAUUUGAAUUUGAUAUAUUGAUUACAUAUGAAUUUAUAUAUUGUGAGUAAAAUUUUUAUUUGAUAUAUUAAUAAUGUAUAAAUUUAUAUAUUGUUAAUACAUCAUAUGUUUAAAAAAUCUAAUAAUUAUAUAUUAUUUUCAAUAAUUUUUAAAUUUAUUAAUUGAUUUAUUGGUAUAUUAAUAUUAUUUAUUAGUAAUAUGUAAAUUUAUACCCUGUCAAUUUAUGAAAUAACAUUUAGUGAGUGGAAUAUAUAUAAAAGAAGAUAUUCUAAAUCUUUCUAAGAUUUCUAAUUCUUCCUUAAAAUAGAAAAAGAAAUAAAUUGUUGAUAUAGAUAUGUUGAUAAGAUUUUCAUGUAGGGCUUUUCUGUAAUUCAUGAUUUUGUUACAUGCAUAAAUUGUAAUUGUGAUAUUUUAUAUUUUAUUUAUAUAAAUCAUGUUAAAUUUGAUUUAAAUUCCUUUUUUAAUUAUUUAUUCUUUUAAGAAAUUUCAAGUAUUCAAUAAAUAUUAAUGUAUACUUUUUCUUAAAUUGAUAUAAUAGUGAUAUCAGAUUAGUUUAAAAUUUUGCGUGUAUGACAAGUACAAUUAUAUCGAUAGAUUCAAUAGUCGGAUUAUUCAAAUAUUACUCCUACAAAUAUAUAUUUGAAGAAGUAUAAACUGCUUUAAUUUUACACUGGUAUAAGUAGAUCUCUCUCUUACAUCUGUUGUAUAUAUGAAAUUUUGAUUUUGAUUCAAACGUACUCAUUUAAAGAAAUAAAUAUAUCAAUUUAUUUUUAUAUUGAAUAAGUAUAAUUAUUUGGAUAUGCAAUAUAUAGAUGUAAAAUGAUGGUAUAUAAAUAACGAUGUUAGAUGUUUGUGAAAAUUGAAUCAAAUCAAUAUUUCAUGUAUAAAAUUGCACAAUGGACCAAAGUUCAUGUACAAUUUUGAUCUUUAUAUCUGAAAUUUAUUAAUGCAAAUUAUUUUCCAAAAGAUCACAUUGAGUAAGUUUAAUUUAAAUUUCAAUAUUUAAAUUUUUUUCUCAUAUAGAAAUAUAAUUUUUUUAAAAGAAGUGUAUACUAAUUGUUGAAAGAUUUUCGACUCUUUUGGAAAGUCUUCGAAGUGGCAUAUUUUGAAGAUGGUGGACCCUCAACACGUCCAAUAUUAUCAUUGGUUAAGGUUUUUGUUGGAUCUAGUGUCCUAAGUGUAGUACUUUUCAUCAAUAUACAGUUGUAAAUUUUUUUAACAAAUUGGUUAAUAAAACAAAUUUAUUGAUUAUAUUAAUAUACUUUAUAUAAUUGUCCUAACAUAGUUUUUGCACGCAAAGCAAAAUGGAAGCAAAUGUUGCUCAUUGGUUGCCUAAAUAUUUAAUUAAUACUAAGCGGUAUUAUGUGUAUAAAAAGACAGCUUGUAUUAGUAGACAAACCUAAACAUGUCCUUAGCAUAAUUGGAAAUUAGUAAAUUGAUUGAAAGACUAAUAUGUCGUCUAUCAAGUGUAUUUGGGGAAAUGCCUUGUCUUGGGCAUCGAAACGGAUGACUCCCAAAAGGUAGAGACAUAGAUGUGACUGACUGGACUGGUAGUAAAUUGGAUAGGACACAAACAGAAUAGAUCCUGAAUUCGUUUAUGGACUUAUUCACUUGUGAUGUCCAUAGUGUGGCAUACAUAAAUCUUGAAUGGAUAGCGGAGUACGUAUGUGUGACUUUUACACUUUGAUGUAAGUAAAAACAUAAGUUCAAUUAGAUAAGGAACCAGAAUCUGGUACAUUUGGUUUACGACUUCUAUAGUAUGUAGCAUCAUUUAUAAUAGUGAAAUUCAUAGCGCAAAAAAUGGGUAAAUGAUAUCCUCUCAUUGACAUUACAUGGUUAAUGAAAAGUAAACGUGGCCACGGGUUGUCCGUCUUUGUGAUGGAAACUUGAUCACUAAUUGAUAAUGAUUGAUUUUUCACGAAAGAAGAUGUAAUGGCUACCAUGAGAUAAAAUAUGAUCAUAUUAGGAGAACAAAUAUUAUCCCAAAGAGAUCAAGGAUAUCCUAUGAGGGUAACACACUAAUGACAAGGUUAUUGGACGAGCAUUAAGUAGUUGCUUUCGUAAUGGUAUGUCGUUAGGGAUAUUUCAUUCACGACACUAUAGUGGAAUGACUUCGUGACUAAAUGAUUUUAUAAUUAAUAGGUGAAAAAAUAGAAUUUAAUUAUAAAUCAUUUGAGCCUCAAGUUUAUAUGUCUACUCGGUCCCCCAACUGUUAGUUCAUUGAAACCAAAAAUUAAUUGCACGUUUGAAUGGAAAUCAGCGAAAUGGAUAGAAAAAGAGAAAUGAGAAACAUUCAGGAAUGAUUAUGGUUUCCUCUAAAAUGGAGAAAUGGAAUAAUUUGAAAAUGAAUGUAGGUUUCCAAAAAUGGAAAUAGAAAUGAAAAUGGAAACUUGCAAUUUUAUAUAUGAUUACUUAAAAAAUGAUGGAAGAAUGAGUUUAUAUUUUUGGACUAUUUUGAAGCUCGAAAAUGAAAAUAAAUCAUUCAGUCAUAGUGAACAUAUUGAGUUGUGUCAUAUUAAACGAAUUUUCUUGAAAUUUUAUUGGAGGUAAAAUUGCCAAAAUUUUACUGGGUAAAAUUGUCGUGAGAAAAUAAUUUAAUAUGUAAAUAUUAAAAUUUAUUUUGGAAAUAGAAAAAUUGAAUUGGGUUGGACCAUAUUACAAAGUACUAGAUCAAAAAGGCCCAGAAAGUACUCGUACUUGGACCCGAUGUGAGAGAGGCCCAAAACCCCUCAUAUAAGGUGGGACGGCAAAACCCUAUUAACUAGGGUUGUCGACCCUUAUAUCCUAGAUAGGCUAGGAUAUUAUUUUUCUAGCAGAAAUAAACUUUUACAACUGUACAUGGGUUCUACUUUCUUCUCCUAUAAAUAGAUGGCACCAAUAGAGCUAUUUGUACAACUUUUGAGAGAUUAUUAUUCUACCGAAAAGUAGAGAGAAUUUAUUCUCAACUUAUAAACAUAUUUUUUAGAAUAACAAUUUUACCGAUUUCUAUUAAAAAAGAGAGAAUUUUCGUUUUCACCCUAAAAGGAAAACCUUUUCUAGUUUUGUGUUUUGAUUCAAUUGGUUUGAGCCCACACUCGAAGCAGUUCGUGGUACGAGAAUAGCGCAGAAGAUCGUUUGGUUGAAAGCCUAAAAACAUCAAGGAUUCACCCAUCUAAAAACACAUGUAUGAAUUCGGUUAAGUUUUUUUUGCUACAAAUAUCACAAACCGAGUUGAUUUUCAAAAUUUUAACUUUUGAUGUGCAAGAAAACCAUUUCCAAACUGAGUUUUUUUUCAACAGUUUUAUCUCUCAACUUUGUAAAGAGCUCAAGUGCCUAAAGCUACCUAAAGAGGUGACAGGUUCAAUAGAGUAGGAGUGCCUUGUUGGGACAAACGGUACGUGAUGCAUGACCACCUACCAAGGAAAUUUGAGUAUUUGAGUUUGGCAGGGUUUGAGCUCAUGCCUUACAACAGAUAUGACACUUAUGGACAACUGCUACCAUUUAAUUAGGUCACUUUAUAAAUUCUCAUUAAUUGGAGGGCGAUUGCUAUUAAUAUUUUUCCAGAGUGGCUUUUGUCACCAUCACCUCGGCCAACUACAACCUCGUCAACUAUGACUUCAGUUGAUGGCUACACUUUGCCAGCUAUAGACCUCAUCAAUACAUAUAUGCCUAGUACAUGAUACUUCUAAUAUACCUCGUUAGUGAAAGAUGUUGGAUCCUUCUAUGCAUGGAUCACACGUAGGGUACUCUUGCUUAGGAAUGGCAAUAGGUUAGUAUCUACAUUUCUUGAAUUAUUAGAAUUUGGAUAUGCAUAUUUGCUUAAAAAUCAAAAUUUUUUUAUUAUCUAUAAAUCAUCUGAGUAUUACUAUCUAAAUUUGGCUUAAUUUAAGUACUAUUAUCUGUCAAAUAUCUGAAUCCACAAAAAAAGGGCAAUUUUAAAAUUUUCAAUCAUUUUUUGGAUAUCCAAAUUCACGAAAAUUCAAAAUUGAAUCCACCAAAUUUUUUUAUAUAUAAUCAAAACUAUACAUAUUUCGUGACUAGUUUAUUUAGAUAUUGAAAUUCCAAUCUACAUCUGCUAUUCGAAUAAGUAAUGUUGUAACACCUUAAAUAAUUUAAGUUUGUUUUUGUGAAAUUUAACACAAAAUGUGUACCUGCUUCAGUGGUUAAGUGUUCUAGGUGUGUGUGUGAGGUAUUGGGUUCAAUUCCCACUUUUGGCAAAACUUUGUUAUUUUAUAUCCAAGCCUAACUCUUAUUGAGUGGGCUUAUGUUAAUUGUUUGUUAAUCCAUAUCAGAAUAAGCUUGUUGGUUUGAGUGGUAAGGAGUUGGUGUGUAGGAGGUCUUGUUUUUGAAUCCCUACGUGAGUGUAGGUAUUAAUUUUUGCUCGGUUGUCUGAUAGAGUUUGAGUGGUCUUGAAAGUCUGAGGUUGUUAAGGUUGAGUGUUAGUCUGAAGUUAGGAUAUUGUGAGGGGAUUUUUAUGUUGAUUAUUAUUAUUUUAUUUUAUUCCUUUUUCAAAUUUUCCUCUCUCUUUCCAAAAUUUCCCUUUAAUGUUAUUCUUCAAGUUUUUUUUGUUGUCUCUGAUAUUUUUCCCCCUUUUCAUUAAAUCUUUAUUUUGUUCUUCUUUUUUGAUUAUGUUCGUCAACCUAUCAUUCGAUCGUGCCAUUGGAGUUGUCGGGUUAUCUAAUCGGUUGGUAAGUAAAACCUUGCUUCCCUUUAACUUUUGAUUUGGGAUUAUAGUGAUUUCAAUAUGUAGCAAUUGAUUAGUGGAACUUCGUGUUUAGGAGAAGAUUAUGGAGCAAUGAAUUGCACUCCAACAGUUUAGUGUGUAUUGAAGUGGUUUGUCAUCGACGGUAAGUCAGUUUCGUGUUGUUUCUUGUUGUCAAAUUCAUUAAUCAAACUACUAAAUCAAUGUUGGGUACUUUAAUUUUAGGAUUCGGAAGGCUCGGGAGUAUUUUUGCAUUAAAAUCGUAAUAGGUGUGUCCCCAAAACACAGAAAGUCAGGUUUCGAUAAAAGUCAAAAAUGCAUUUUGUCGAUGCGACAAGGGCAUGUGCCUGGUCGUGUGGCUAGUCCUGUGUGAGACACGGCCAUGUAUUUGACGAGGGUGUGGCUGUGCGCAAGCCACGGUCAUGUGGUAGUGUAAGUGUGGCUGUGUAGGCCAUACGGGCUAGGCCAGUCUAGGUUUGUGGGCCUACACAGGCAUGCCACACGGACGUGUAGGCCCAUACGGCCAUGUAGGCCCACAAUUUUGAGAUUUUCCCUUAGGUCGCACGGUUCGUUUCGAACGAUUGUGGACCUACCAUAGGGUCGGUAAGGGCUAAUCAAACCCUAAAUUAUGUGAAAUGAUAUUUUGAUCGUUCGCCUUGUGUAGGAUGUCAAUAUGUACAUCUGUUUUAUUUACGUAUAUAUAUGCUAUCUGUAUAUGAGCAUGUUAUGCAUGAUAUUACUGUAUCUGUUAUUUCUAUAUUAUGUAUCUGUAAUUGGGGUGGGUUUUGUAUAUGUAGAGAAAGUGAUCUGUACGAUAACACUUCCAUUAUAUUUUGACAGUUGACUGCAUAUUAUUUGUAAUGUGUCGCAUUGACACUAUAUGGUGUGUAGGGAUGGGUGGGUGCUUUUAACCCCAUAUGGUGUGAUGGGAUAGUCGAAGAUGUUGUGUAGAGGAUGGGGGUAGGAUUCUGUAUAUCUGUACUACUUAUCUGAUUUUGUUAUCUGUAUCUGGAAUGGAUAUAAGUCCGGAUCUUGAUCUGACUGUAUAUAAGACUUCUAUUUGUAUUGCAUGUCUAUUUUUGUUAGGUUACACAAUAAGUUUACGAAAACUCACAUCUGUUUGUCUGUUCUGUUUAGGUCUAUAGACUUAGGCGGAUCAGUGUGACGGAGCCUCACAGUAACCACGAGAUUGUAAACUAUUUAAGAUUACGGUUUUUAUUUAAUUUAAGGAUUCUUUCUGGAAGUUUGUAAUAAUUGGACUUUCUAGAAUAUUUGACUUUUAUUUCAGUUUUGGAGGUGUUUUAACUUUUAUGGCCACGUUUGACCAAAUUCACGGUUUUACUAAAAUAAAGGAUUUUCUGAAUACACGAAUUAAAUUUCCAAGAUUCAAUGCUUUUUGAAAACUUCCGCUGUAGAUUAUGUUUUGGAAAAUGAAUGAAUUAAAUAACGCUUCUAGUAACAGAUAGUACACUUGGGGUGAUUUAUCGAACGACUAAACAAAGCUUUAUUAAAAUAUCACUAUUUUAAAAACCCUUCCAUGUAACACUCUUAGAUUAGGCCACAACGUCUAGGCCAGGAUUAGGGUGUUACAUUUAAUGGUAUCAGAGUCAGGUUACAAAACUCGAGCUGUGAAUUUUGGGUUUCAAAAUUAUGUUUUGAAAAGAACAGGUUUUCAAAUAAUUUGGAUCAUUUUGAAUAAGUAUGUGGUACACUGAGUCUCCGGCGUUGAUCCUAUAAGUACUUUUGAACUUAGAUAAAACUUUCUGAAAACACUAUAGUUAGUACUUUCUGAAAUUGUACUGAGUUAGUUAAAAAAUAAAAACUUUUGAAAUAUGUUCGAACUUUUGAUAAUUUGAGCAUGAAAUAUAUGUUAAUAAACAUUGGAGCUGAUGCAUAAAAUUUUCUAAUGUAGAUAAAUUUGAAAAUAUACGAUGAGCGCUUGUGGAACUUGCGGUCAUGGUAUUCGUAGGCUCAGUGGGGGCCGUAAGGGGCUGGAGCUGAGUCUUUUUCUCUGGGCAGUAUGCCAAACUUAGAUAUGAGUAAGCCACCAGUGUCACUUGCUACUGAGACAAGGUCUCAAAGCCACUUGGCUGGGGACGACACACUAUCCCAAGCCAUGUUGAGGGUGUUGGAGAGGGUCACUGGACCCCAUUCUGGAUCUGUGGGCCGUAGGACGGUAACUGAACGACUCUGGUCCAAUAGAGCUGAGUUGUUUAGGGGUGUCAUUGAAGUCGCCCCUAUUGUGGUCGAGUAUUGCUUGGAGGGCACAAAGAGGAUUAUGAACGACAUCAAUUGUACUCCUAAGUAGAAAUUUAAUGGUGCAGCCUCUGUACUUCGCGAUGAGGCAUAUCAGUGGUGGUUGUCGGUUGAGGAGGGUACUCAACGGGACUGUCUGAACUGGGAUUAUUUUAAGACUACCUUUCAGGGGAAGUUUGUGGGCGCAAGCUAUGUUGAUACUUGUAGGCGUGGGUUCAUGAAUCUCACGCAAGGUGAUAAAUCUGUGGCUAAGUAUGAGGCCGAGUUUCUAAGGUUAAGCCGCUACGCUUGAGGCAUGGUGGUGACUAAAUAUGAGAAAUUCAUCUAUUUUAAGGAUAGCUUGAGGUAUAAUCUGAGGGUAUUGAUUGCUCCACAAAGGGAACGACAGUUCGCAGUUCUUGUGGAUAAGGUGAAGAUCGCCGAGGAGAUUAAGUGCGUGGAGCGCUAAAAUAGGGAUCGUGAGUGAGGCAAGAAUAAGAGGGAUUCAGAGCCCUCUAGUUCUGUUUAGAGGGCUAUUAGAGUAGGGGUUCCUAUUACUUCUAAUAGGAUUCAGCCACGUGAUGAUUGUGGUAGGCACCAUCCGGGUGAGUGUUAGAGGAGGUUAGGGGCUUGUUUGAGGUGUUGGUCUUUGGAGCACCACAUUAGAGAAUGUUCACUCCAUGCGGAUUAGAUGCAAGCUGUAGGAUCAAGUUUUAUACAACCUUAGAGGGCAGUUCAGCAGCCAUCUAAGGGUCGUGGUCCUACUAGGGGUGGUAAUGGUAUGGGUCGAGGACAUAGAAUAUCGGGAAAAGGUGUUAGUUAGAUUGAGGCAAGGCAGCCUGCACUGGUUUAUGCUACUCGAUGCCGAGAGGAUAGAGACGCUCCUGAUGUUAUCACAGGUACUUCUUUAUUUUUGGUGUUCCAUAUACUGCUCUGAUAGACAUAGGUUCUACUCAUUCCUAUGUAGGUAGUACUAUUUCUAAAAAUUUAGGGAUUUUUGGUGAGGGUACUUCUAGUGAAAUUAUUGUACUGAGUUCGUUGGGGCAGUCUGUUCAAGUAAGUAGGCUUUAUAGGAAUGUAACUUUGGAAGUACAAGGGAUUGUGUUUUCGGCAGAUCUGAUGGAGUUACUGUUUAGGGAGUUUGACUUAAUUUUGGAUAUAGAUUGGUUGGUUGAGCUUCGAGUUAGCUUGGAUUGCACGACUAAGAGGGUCAGUCUAAGGGCUGUGGAUGAAAGAGAGAUAGUAGUGAUCGGUGAGCAUCGAGAUUAUCUACUUAAUGUGAUCUCUGCUAUUGUGGCUGAAAAAUUGGUUCAGAAAGGGUGUGAGGCGUAUUUAGCUUACGUCAGUGUUCCAGUUUUUGGGGACUCUUCUGUCCGGGAUAUCAGAACAAUAAGGUAAUUUUUGGAUGUAUUUCUUGAGGAAUUAUCGGGUUUACCUCCGAAUUGAGAAGUUGAGUUCGAUAUUGAGCUUCUACCAGGUAUAGCUUCAGUGUCCAUCGCUCCCUAUCGAAUGGCAUCGAAGGAGCUUACAGAGCUUAAGGCUCAACUUCAAGAGCUUUUGCAUUGUGGUUUCAUCUAUCCUAGUGUGUCUCUAUGGGGGGCACCGAUUCUGUUUGUAAAGAAAAAGGAUGGUACCACAAGGAUGUGUAUUGACUACCUGCAGUUGAAUAAACUAACAGUAAAGAAUAAGUAUCCACUUUCGAGGAUUUAGGACUUGUUUGAUCAGUUCCGAGGGGCUGCAGUGUUUUCAAAAAUAGACCUUCGUUCUGGGUAUCAUCAGCUUAACAUUAGAUUUUCAAAUUUAAAAAUUAUUUUUUUUACAGCUGCAUAAUUAAUAAGAUAUCAAUUUUGAGUGCUGUAGAAGUGUUAUAACCUUCUCAACGCAUAACCAACUCUUGAAUUCACUUUUUUCUCUAAAAUUCUACAUAGAACACAAAUUUAUUUUUUAAAAGAAUUUUAAAUCUCACAAUUUUUUUAGGUGAUUCACCAAAGAAUAAAAAGAUAGGAGGUGAUUCCUCCUUUUUCAUAAAACCUUGUGCUUUUGCAAACACCAAAUUAUUGCUAAGCUUUACAUUAAUAGACAUGAUUUAUUUGUUCGUUAUUACUAUUUCUAUGAUUAUAAUACUAAACUUAUCGGACUACAAUCAUAACCAUGUUUAUUAUAAUUCAAUAAAAAGAAAUAAGUGUUGGGUGUAAUGGCAAGGUUCAUUACACUCUUAAUAAGAGAUCAGGGUUUUGGACAAAGGAAGAAUAUGAUUCGAAUUUUGGAGAUGCCAUUCUUAAAAUGAGCAACCACGAAGCCCGAUUAUGAACCAUAAAAUGAACAAGAAAAGUACAAAAAAUACGUCUAUUAUCAAAUUAGUAAUCCAUCCCAAGGCUUAAAUUAACAAAAUUCACCAUGCAACCGUGUAGACUAUUUUACGUAUAUACUAUAUUCAUUCUUCAUGCAAAAUGUUUAUUAUAUUUAAAAAUUAAAAUAUAUGGUUGAUUGAGUUUUAGUUGAGUUAAUAUUGAUAUUGUUGUUAGUGCAGAAGAAUGUGAGUUCAAUCAUGUUUAAACGCGUUUUUCUUUCAAUUUAGGAGUUGGAAAGGGUUCUCAAUAGUUAAAUUAUAUAAGUUUUUUUGUCUAUUUAAAAUUGAUUUAUAAACAAUAUAAAUAAAAAGAUUUAAAAUAUAUAUAUUCAUAUUGAUGGGCUUUUUCAUUAUUAGACUUUUUUCCUUACAGGUAAAAGUAUAUAUGGACAUGAUGAUGUAAAAUUAUGACCUGAAUAAUUUUAAACCUUUCAUCACUGCAAAAAUGAAAAUAAUAGAAAUGAAAGACUAGCCAUUGUAUGAAAUUUAUAAUUGAACUGCCAACAAAAUUGGGAGAAAUUUUUAAAUUUUAUGAAAUUUUAAAAUUAAACUAUCAAUAAUAGAAAAUUGCCUGAGUGACUUGGGAUUAGAGGUUGAACAUUUCUGGACCACAAUACAUUUAAGAUGGGUCUUUAAAGUUAUACUUUAGUUAUUGAGAACAUUUUCCACAAAUUGUCAUUAUUGUUUACUGCAGCAAAACAGGCUUUUAGCAUCGUUUUUUUAGGCCUAUAGCGGCGUUUUCACAAGAGUCGCAAAAAAUGCCACUAUAAAAAACGCUGUUAAAUUUUGCGGCGUUUUAGAACAUGACCUUUAGCGGCACUUUACCCACAAAUGCCACUGAAGAACAUGAUCUUUAGCGGCGCUUUCCCAUAAACACCACUAAAGAACUUGAUCUUUAGCGACACUUUUAUCACAAACGCCGCUAAAGAACAUGACCUUUAGCGGCGCUUUUAUCACAAACGCCGCUGAAGAGCAUGGCCUUUUGUGGUGCUUUUAUCACAAACGCCGUUAAAAGUACCAUUCUUUAGCGGCGUUUAUGAAAAAACACCACUAACUUUGGCAGAUUUGUAACAUCCAAUUUUCAUCCAUAUACAACCCUUCCUGUAGCAUGAAAUCCAACCAAAAACAACAAAUCUAAAUGAUACUUCAAAUUCUACAAAAGAUAUAUGAUAUAAAUUGAUAACUGAAGUAUAAUUCAAAAUAUUCUUACAAUAAUGUUAAAAGUUACAACGUUAAAAAUAUUCUUACGAUAAGAAAGCAAUGUCUAAGAUGGCGGAUUUUGCGACUGCUGAAACAUCUUCAUCAUAUUCUGAAGCUGUAGCUGGAGUGCGUAGUACUUUUUGACUGAAUAAACACAAAUCUAUUUUUCGACAGCUAUAUCAAAUUAGCUAUAAACCUUCAACAGGACCAGUACUUGCAAAAACCUCUUGGAGUAGUGGUUCAGCCCACCAACCUGCAGUUUCUCAAAAAUUAAAAUAAAAAAUUAAAAGUUAAAGAAAAAAUAGAAAAAAGAAGAGAUAAAUAAAACUAUAUAAGUAACUUUCUAAGUUGUUAAAAAGAUGCAAGAACAUGCAAGCAUCUAUCAGAUUCCAAAAACCAUUUAACUAGCAAUUAAAAGAGCCAUUAGCUUAGAAUUUUGCACAGAGGGUCAUAGCCACAUAUCCAAUCAGCAACUCAUGAAGGAAAGUGUCUCUAAUUCAUGCAGUUAUAAGCACAAAAGUGACUAGGGUAUGUGCUUAAGCAAGAAGGGGAAAUAAGAGACUCACAAUAUACAAAUAAAACAAAAUGGAAAAAAGGGGAAAAAGAAGUAAAAAAAACCUAGGCAAACACUCACACACUGCGGCAAGUACUUGGAUCAAAACCAUGAGGCAAAUUUCCACUUGGUAUUGGCUCUGUUUGUAGAAUAGAAAAGUGAAAAAUAAAAAAGAGGAGAAAAGAAGAAACGAUGUACAAAAAAUUCAAAUCCCACUCAACUCAAUUCUAAAGCCUCCAUAUCCAAGAAAAAGGAUGAGUUUUUGAAGAAAUCCAAUAGUCAACCUAAAUGAACAAACAAGAUGCUAACUACGACCAUGACAAAUGUAAGCAUCACUUCUCCUACUUUGGAAACACUUUCCACUUGAAAAGACAACAGACUUCCUUGCUUUUACUAUUAUCACAUUUUCCCCCUUCAUUUUUUUAGUGCCGACCAGAAAAAAAAUAUUUUAGCCUCAUCUAAAUAAGACAAAUUUCAGCAGAACAAUAGACAGUAGAUCAGACCCAAUUCAAGGGUAAUGUAGUCCAAAGUUCCUUGAACUCCCUCCUUCAAAGUGAAAAACAAAUCUAUAUCUUUCUGCAUGAUUCAAACAAAAAUGACUGUUGGACAUGUAACUCAGAAAGAAUGCAAAUACAUUGAAAGCACCACAGACUUUAUAAAUUAGCUUCAUGCUGCUAAAUUUCAACACUAUAAACCUAACAAAGCCCAGAAUGAAAUGCGGGAAUCAUGUCUUAAACUCUAAUACUCAAACAAGAGACAGAUAAAUUGCACGUUUUUUUAUAUAAUAUUUACAAACUAGAGAUAAAGAUAUAGAAAAAUAUAAACAUGGACAUGGACAAAAAGACUAAUUGACUGUGCAUGUGUGCCAAAGAGAUGGCAACUAAACAUUAUCCAAACACAAUCAUUUCUCAACAUUUGCAAAACAAAAUGAAGAUUAAGAUUAGCGGUAAACUAAAUAAAACCAAAGAAAUGAGAACCACAAGUAAAUGAGAAAGAAAACAAAAUAGAGAACCUAAUAGCUUUCCCAUUGAACUUCGUAUAAAAGAAAUAACAACAUUCGAACUUCAAGCAAAUAAAAAUGUAAAAUAUUUAGAAUCAAAACAAUCUUUUAUCAAAAUUCAAACCAAAAACAAUGAGCUUCACUCUAUACAAGAAGCAUGUUAACCUCAUAGGCUUUCUGAUUUCUGGAAACCAAAUCCAGAAACGUCUCCCACCAAAAAUCAAGAAAAUAAAUUUUGUUUUUAAAAAUUACAUUCAAAUCGUGAAAUAGGAGCAAGGUCCUUCGAAUUCAAGCAAAGUUGAUGGUAAAAGCUUAGCUUUCAAAGGUCAAACAUCACAGCAUUAAAUAUAAAACUAACCCAAUCUCCACCAAUUCAAAAACAAGAAACCAAACACGAACCAGAAGAUCCAAACACGAUUUCGAAAAAAAGAAAAAUAGAUAUUCCUGAAAACUGGAUCAAAAACUAGCAUAUACUUAAUAAAAAGAGAAAUUGACGGAAAAUCAUAGGAGAUCUGCAUGCAAAUAGAGGCACACUUUUGCUUGAUUAUUCGCUUAAAAAAGUAACAAUGGAAAAUAAGAUGCAAGUUCUAGGUAAAACCAUCAUGUCUUCUUACUCACCACAAACAAAGGCCCUCUAGGACCUUCAUGAAUUUUUGUCUCAUAAGUGCUUCUAUUGUGAGCCCGAACAGCUUGAUAGCCCACAAGAUAAGGAUAUCGAUCUUCAUCCUACAGAUUAACAAGGUUAAAUCCACUUAAAUGAAACACCAUUAGUCCAUAACAAUUUACUUCAAUUUUCUGCUGUUAGUUCAAAUAUGUAUUUUUUUUAAUUUGACAAAACUUGUUAGGAUCGAAUAUUCGGAAUUCCUAAAUUUCAAUUCAAAUUUACACCAUACUUGCAGAAAAAUAUACUACUAUUAGAGACACCGGCAAUCAACCAGAGUUCUUUAGUUUUCAAUCAAGUUAUUCGGCAGGAAUCUAUAUUGAUUACACAAAAAAAAAAUCAUACACCGUGAGAAUGUCGAGUAAAUUGCAAAUAGAAAAGCAAACGAACCCUAGAGGAGCUCCAAUACUUCUUCUCCCAAGGGCCUUUGUAUAGAGAUCCAAUGGAAAUGAUCUCUAGAUCGUCUAAUUUCGCUGUUUGUUCUGCUUCUUUAGUUUUUGCCAUUCAAAGAAAUGAGAAGAAAGCAAGAUUUCCAAACAACUAACAAUAAGCGAGUAGACAGAAUUUUCAAGAUAGAUGAAGAGAUGGCAUUUUAAAAUAGCGGGAACUAAAAUCUUGAAAUGCGUCAUUUCCCUCAAAAUUCUAAAUAAAAACUUUAUUUAAUUAGGAAAAAUGUGAAUCGAUUUUGGGAAAAAUAAGAGGAAAAAAAAAGAAGAUAUUUCAUUUGAAAUUUUGGGAUAAAAAAUAUAAUUACAAAACGACGCUGUUUUGCAAAAUAUAUAUUCGUGGCAUUUGGACCAAAAACGCUACUAUUGUUCAACUUUUUUGCGACGAUUGCAACAAAAACGCCGCUAUUGCUUACCUUUUGUGGCAUUUUUUUUAUAAACGCAGCUAACGCUCGACUUUUUUACAAUUUUUAUAUUGAAUUAUUGUAUCUUUCAUAUAAAUUUUAAAUAAAUAAUUUUUUAAAUUUUACGUAAUAUUUAAAAGAAUUAGAUAAAAUUAUAAUUUUUUAUUUUUUGUAUUUCAUUUUUAUUUUUGUAUUUCAUUUUUAUUUGUUAUAAUUUGGUCCUAUCCAAAAUAGAUAGUUACCUAUCCAUAUCAAUCUGUUACUUUUUUUAUUUAUUUAUCAAUGUUUUUUUAAAUCUAAUAUUUAAAUAUAUCAAAUGGUUUAGAUUAAAUAUUUUUAAAUAUAAAAGCAUUAAUUGAUUGUAUAAAAUUUCAUCAUUUAACAAAUCUCAAGUAAACCUUAAAUCCUAAACCAUUUAAUAUUUAUAAAGUUUAUCUAUUAUCUCUUAUAUAAUUUAAACUAUAAUCAUAAUUUUAAUAUAUUAAAAUUAAUAUUAUCUCUUUUACAAUUAUAUAAGAAAUGAUUUAAUAUAUAAAUUAAAAAACACUAAUUAAUCUAAACUCUAAACCCCUAUCCCCUAUCCCCUAAACCUUAAAUCAUAAAACAUAACCCUUAACCCUUAACCCUUAACCCUUAAUCCUUAAUCCUUAACCCCUAAACCUUAAACCCCAACCCUUAAACCAAAAAUCAUAAACCAUAAACCAUAAUCCCUAAACCCAUAAUCCAUAAACCUUAAAAUAGUAACUCCUAAGCCAUAAACCAUAAACCAUAACCCUAAACCCUAAACUAUAAUGAUAAUUAAUUCAAUAUUUUAAAAUUAAUACUAUCUCUUUUACAAUUAUAUAAGAAAUUAUUUAAUAUAUAAAUUAAAAAACAAUAAGUCAUGAACCCAAAAAACUUUAAAAUUAUUUUAAAUAAUAGUAUUUUAAUUUUUUUCAUUUUUAACAAAUAUUUUCUAUGUUUUUACUUCCAAAAAUUGUCUACAUGUCAUUAUUUUUUUUUGAAGAAUUUAAAUAUUCAAUUAAAAAUAAAUUUUAUUUUAAUUAUAUAAAUAAACCAGUUAAAUAAUAAAUAGACAAAUAAAAUAUUUUUUGCGGCAUUUUUGAUAAAGUGCCGCUAAAGCUCGAUCUAUAGCAGCGUUUUACAAAAAAGCGUCGCUAAUGCCACUAAAGCUCAUUACUGAAUUUUUUGCGGCAUUUUUCAAAAAGCGCUGCUAAUGCUCGACCUAUAGUGGCGUUUUUCAAGAAGCGCCGCUAAUGCCACUAAAGCUCAACAUAAAGGUACUUGAGUCUAGUUUCAAAGACAUCAAGCGGAUAUUAAUUCGGAAUUCUGUAGCUCAAGAUAUAAAUUUAUGUUAAUCUUGUUAUCUUUCUUAUUUUAGAAUUGAUUACAUGAAAGUUAAUUGCUAAUACUAUUAGUUAAUUAUUAGUUUUCUUCAAAUCAAAUUAAAACCCGAAAGGUCCCUCUUUUUUUAUAUUAGUUUUAGUUUUCCAUUAAAUUUGUUUCUUUGUAAUAAAAUUAAAUUAUAGAAAUAACAUUAAAAUUUUAAAUAAAAAUAGUUCACAAUAAUUUAUUAUUUAAAAAACUCCCUGAAAUUUAAAAUUAUUGUUAUAAGUAUACCAUUAAAUUAUACAGAAUUUAAUUUUUCUUUCAAAUACUACAGUUAAUAAGGAAAGAGAAUAUAGUUCAUAUCAAUAAAACUUUAAAAAAGAAAUAUUGUUUAAUUAGUUAAUUUAAAAAUCAAUAGCGUCUAAAAACGGUCAGAAUGAAAUAUUAGAUUUUGUAAGAUUUCAUUAUUCUAAAAAAUAAAAUAUGACCAUGCUUAAAAAUUUUAUUAAAAAAGUUUUAAAUUUUAUAUAAAAAUAAAAAAAUAGUACUAAAAAUUUUUAUAAGCAAAUUUAAAUAUUAAUUAGUAAAUUUUUUUUGUAAUAUUUAUAUGUAUUUUCAUUCUUAUAAAUACUAUUAAAACUUUUUAAAAAAAUUUGAAUGCUAUUUAAAAACAUUAUUAAAAAUAAAAUAUUAUAUGAAAGUUAAAAUGAUCUAAAAACAUAUUUUAAAAAUUUAAAUACUUUAUAAAAUAUUUAAAACUGUUUAAAAAUUUCUAAACCCUAAAAAAAUAAUAAAAUAUAAUUCUUUCUAAGAAAUCAACAAAAAUAUAUUUAUAAUUGAACUCUCAACAAAAUUGUGAGAAAUAUUUAAAUUUUAUGAAAUUUUAUACUUAAACUGUCAAUAAUAGAAAAUUGCCUGAGUGACAUGGGAUAAGAGGUUCAACAUUUCUGGAUCACAUUGCAUUUAAGGCGGGUCUUUAGGGUUAUACUUUAGUUUUUUAGAACAUUUUCCACAAUUUGCCAUCAUUACUUGUGAGUGAUUUGUGGGGUAAGAGGUUGAACACUUCUGGAUCACAUUGCAUUUAAGACUGGUAUCAUUCAUAAAUUAUAUAUCUACAACAAGAAUGGUAGCCUCUUAUAUUAUAUUCAUGUAUCUAUUUUGCAUCUUUCAUUAUAAUAUGAUUUAGUAAUUUUAAUAUUUUUAUAGAAUAAUAUGAUUUAAAUUUUUUUGUAUUUUUCGUAAAAAUUAUAAUAAACUUACAAAAUGAUUUAAUGAUAUUUAAUUAUUAACGGAAAAAUUAUAUCAUAUAUAUUCUGUAUAUAUUAAGAUUCUGAAUUAUUAAUUAUAUAUCUACAUAUUAUAAUAAAUUCAUCUUUCAAAAUUUUCCUAAACUAUAUUCACAAUAUUAUAAAUAUAUUAUAUCAAAAAUAUUCUUUCAAAUGUUUUUUAAUGUUUAAUAAUAAAUUAAUUUAUAAAAUAUUCUUUCAAUAAAUUAACGUGAUGAGAUCGUUAAUUAGGUGCUUGGAUUUGGUGAUGGGGACGAAGAGAAAAGGGAUGGAAGUGAAGACAAAUGUUGGGAAAUUGAAAGGGUUAGCGAGGGAGGCCAGCGUGAAAGGUGGUUCUACGGAUAUGAACCUUCAAGCUUUUGUGGAUGAUGUUACUAAAGGUUAUUGCAAGUAAAUUUAAAAAUGUUUUUUAAUUAUUUUUUGUUAAAAAAUAUUUUUUUUUCUAUGUGGCUUUCCACAUUAGCAUGCUACCAUGUGGUAACUUCUAGUGAUUUCCGUCUGUAAUAUUAGACAGGUUAACAGUUAAACCAUUCAACUGACAAAUUUCGUUAAAGGAAGAGGUCAAUUAAUUUUUUUUGGACUCAUUGAGUACUCAAUUGGUGCAUUUUUUUAUAAAGACUAAAUUAAUUUUUUUAAUUUGUUAUUGCUGAGGGCUACAGUAAUAAAAAGUUUUGAGGUAAAAUUGGAAUAACGUCCCAAAAAUCUAAUACUUAAUUUUUAAAAUUUUAUCAUUAAUAAAUAUUUGUCUUAGUGAUUAAGUAUUUGAGUCGUGUUUAUAAGAUAUUGUAUUCAAGUUCCUACGUGAAUGGAUUGUUAUUAUUAUUAUUUUUUAAUUUUUGAGUUUGAGUCCAUUUCGAACUCUGGAAAAAGGUGGUUACUUAUCUGAGAUGGGGUUAGUGCUUAGUAGAUUUGGAUUUGGUUUAUUUUAAAAUUUAUUAAUUAAUUUGUUAAAAAAUUAAAUUAGUUUUUUCCUAAUUUUUGGCUCACCGUUCUUUCUCUUGUUUUUCUUUAUGCUUUCUUUUUCUUUUCUUUUUCUGUUACCUUUCAAAUCACGUCGAUUUGUUCCUAUUUCGCUUUUGAGUUUUUCUUUUCUUUCCUUUACGCUCCUCUACGAUCGUGUCUUAAUUCCUUCAUUAUUUUCUCUUUGUUGGCGUUGCUCGUUCGUAAGUGGGUUAGUUUCCGUUUUGAUGUAUUUUUACGUGGUUAGUAAAAGAAAUGUGUUAAUUUUUGGAUUAUGGAGUUGAUCGUUUUUAAUCAAUUCUCCAGUAAGUUGACUCGUUCGCUGUUAUUAUGUCCUAGGGUAAAGGAUUAACUCUGAUUUGGGCCCGUGUGGUUGUGUAGAUUUUUCAUGUGAAUUCGUUUGGUAUUUUUAGGAUAAAUCAUUCUUUAAGUCGUAUUGCUACCAUCGCUAAUGUGAUGUUUUAAUUUAUGCAUUUAGGAUUUGAUAGUCUUAUGGGUGUUUUCGUAUAAAAAUCAAACCAAGUGUGUAACGAAAAACCCGACAACAACGAGCGACGAAAGUCAAAAAAUUGCACUGUCGACACCACACGGCCGUGUGUCGGGCCGUGUGACAAGCCGUGUUUCAGACCGUGUGCGACAUAUUGUUUGGGCUAGUUGAGCCGUGUGGAACACACAGGUGUGUGUGAGGAUGUGUGCCACGCCAUGUGAGCCACACGGGCUGGCCAUUUAGGCCGUUUGAGACCAAAAUACUAAAUUUUUCCCUAGGGUUAUACACAUCGUUAUGAUCGAUCGUAGGCCUUUCGUGGGGUCGAUAUAUAAUCAAAUAGACUGUAAAGUAUGAAAUCCGGUCAACUAAUAGUAUAAAUUCUGAUAUCUGUUCAUAUAUUUGAGAUGUUAUUUGUUCAAUAAACCUUGUAAUAGGCUAUGAGAAACUUGAGAAAUAUUAUGUAUGCUUUGUAUCUGUUAUGUCAUACAUGUAUAACUGUAUUAUGUCUGAUUUUGUUCUAUUCUUUUCUGUAUUUGCAUUUGGGGUGGGUUAUAUUAUGUGGAGGAAGUGUUUCUUUGAAUGGCGAUAAUUCGCCUAUUACACUGGCAGCUCAGCUACAAAUAUUCUGAAAAGUGUUAUAUCGACACUAAAUGGUGUGUAAGGUUGGAUGAGUGUUUCAUACCCCAUAUGGUGUGUUGAGCUGGUCGGAGAUAGUGUGUAGCAGAUGGGGGUAGGAAUAUAUGUUUGUAUCUGUACUGCUCUGAUAUGAAUAUGUUCUGCUAAAUCUAUCUGAUAUAAAUUAACUGUUUAAAGUUAUUUGUUAUACAUUGAGUUUUGUAAACUCACUUUCUGUUUGUUUGAUAUUUUUAGGUAACCCUCAGACUUUGGCAAAUUGGUGCGAAGGAGCUCGGUUAAAUUGAUUUAGUUUCAUCAUCUAUUAUAAUCAAAUUUUGUGUUAUUGUGUUUCAUUAUUUUUGAACUUUUGGGACUUUUUGGACUGUUUUGGUUUUUGAGAUUUUAUUUUCAAUUUUUGCAUGAUAUUAUUAAAAAUGUUUUAUCGGAAAUGUCUGUUUUCUUGAAAAACAACUGAUUUCAAAAAAAUAAACUUAGUUUUCCAAACAUAAUGAUUUGAGAAUUUCCGCUGCUAAGUAUUCAUUUUAGAAAAUGUAAGCAAACAUCGUUUUCAACUACAAAGUUAAGUUAGAUGUAUUUUCUCUUAAAUCGAGGUUUAAGUAAUAAAAGAUUAUGUCAUUUUUCCAAAUUUUACGAAAAAUUGGAUUUACAAUUGUUUUAUGUAACAUCUCUAGAUUUGGCCAUAACGUCUAAGUCGGAUUUCGGGCGUUACAUUUUGUGAUAUCAGAGUCAGGUUGCAAAACUCGGGCUGUGAAAUUUUCGGUUCAAAAUUUUGUGAAAACUAUUUUUCGAGUAAAGUUCAUUUCUGCAUUAAUUUGAAAAAUUAAUUAUAUGAAGUAUCGAGUCUCUAACGUUGAUCCUGUAAGUACUUUUGACUUAGAUAAACUUUAGUUUAGAAAACUCUGAAAUGAUUAGAACUAUACUUGGAUAGUUAGAGACUGAAACAUCUUUAUAAAUUCUUUUGAUAACUUUUUGAGAACAAAAUAUCUGCUAAUAAAUACUAAAAUUGAUACAUAAAAUUCGUAAUGUAAGUAAUAUAUACGAUGAGUACUUGUGGAACAUGUGGAUGCGUUACCCGUAGGCGUGGCGGGCGCCGAAGAGGGGCUCGAGCUGAGUCAUCCUCGAUGGGUACCUGAUAGGCUAUUGCUGGAGAGAGCAAUAGUCUUGAGAGAAGAAAUGUUGAAGAUCGAAGUCAAAAUCUGACCUAUAAAGCCUUUAAUUGCUUGAAUGAUAAGCAUUUCUAAACUAAAAAGAUUACCGAUUUUUUCAGGAAUUUGACCUGCAGACAUAGUUGAAACAUCAAGGUGUUAAAUUACCUAUUUUGUUAGUGUAAAUCAAAGAGGCGUUUUAUUUUUUUCGUUUUGAAAUAAUAUGGAUAUGUUAGAUUCUAAUCAUAUUUAAGUAUAUAUUAGUUCUUGAAAGAAAGAGUUCUUAUUUUUGGUAUUUAUAUUGCAAAUAUAUUUUUUUAAAUUUAAAAAAGGGGGGGGGCAAAUGUGUUUAAAACUAAAGACAUCAAGGAAAAGGCAUACCUUCUAGGUUAUUUAACCCCAAGUAUAAUUGUUUAAGUUGUGUCAAAUUCCCAAUGCUUUUUGGAAUGAUCCCACUAAAUUGAUUAAUAGACAAUUCCAAAAUUUGAAGGUUGCAGCAUUUGUCUAUACUUGAUGGAAUAGAACUUGAUAAUUCAUUUCUACUCAAGUAAAGCUCUUUAAGCUUGGGAAGAUGGACACACUAAAUUGAUUAAUAGACAACUCCAAAAUUUAAAAGAUAUUCUGGCUUCGCCCUUAAUAAAAUUUUUGGAAAAAGAUUAAAAAAAAGUUAUACGGUAAAUGAAAAAAAGAAGAAAAUAACUUGAUGUCCAAAAGCUACCAUAAACAGUAAUUCGUGGGAAGGCUUGUUGCUCAUUUUAUUGGUUUCCAUUUUGAUUUUGCAAAAGAAGUUUGAAUUUUGAAGAGAGCAUACUACGUGAGAGCAAAAGAAAAAAUAUAGUUUAUUAAUUUUUACGAAUACCGACAUAUUAUAUAUACGAUUAAAAUUCAGAAUAGAUUAAAAAUGUUCAAUUAAAGAUAAAAUUAAAUGUGAAUUAAUAACCACAAGUCUACUCAUUACUCAUUACUCACCGUCUCUGUUAAAAAUGUUGGAUGUUGUUCAGCAACCUUUGUUUGAUUUUCUUCAGCUCAACCACAACAUCUUUCAUAUCUUUUCUUUCUUCUGGUAACUCAGCUGAACAAUUCAAAGCCAACUCCAUGAUAGAUGAAAUGCAAUUUGCUUUAACAACAAAGUACUCAUCGUCUCUUCUUAGUAAAUCAACAUCUGCAAUUUCUAUCGCUCCUUUAGGCAAUGAACUUUCCAUCCAAUGCCUUAUAGUCUCUUCUUCAACAAAAACAUUAUCAGUUGGCUUUUUCUUUGUAAAAGUUUCUAUAAGGACGAUCCCAAAACUAUAGACGUCAGAUUUUAUAGAAACAAUUCCUGCCGAUCCAAAUUCUGCAUUUCAAGUAUAAUUAGAACAUCAUUCAUCCUCAAUUAUUUCUAAAAUGCUUAUUCAAAUAUAUAUCCUCAUACACAUGAAACAAAAAUAUAAAAUGCAAAUUAGGAAAAUAAUCAUACAAAAAUAAAAAUGAAUUCACCUGGUGCCAUAUACCCGAUAGUUGCAAGAGUCAUGGUUUGCUUCAUUACUUCACCUUCCCCCAACAAUUUGACAAGGCCAAAAUCUCCAACAUGUGCAACCAUGUCUUCAUCUAGUAAAAUAUUGCUUGGUUUUAUGUCACAAUGAAUUGUAGGUGUUGGAUGUCCAUUGUGGAGGUGUUCUAUAGCUACCGCAACAUCUAUCAUUAUGUCGACCCUUUGUAUGAUAUCAAGGAAACAAUUUUCAGAAUGUAACCAUUUCUCAAGGUUUCCAUUAGACAUGUAAUCAAGCACCAAGGCUUUGAAGCCAACACUUGAGCAGCAAGUAACGACCUUCACAAUAUUACGAUGAACUACAUUACGCAUAGCAUCACAUUCAAUGUCAAAACUCCUAAAUGCUCCCUCUGUUUGCAAAUUGAAAACUUUUAUUGCAACUUCCAUUCCAUCCGAAAGCCUCCCUUUAUAUACAUAUCCAAAACUCCCUGAACAAAGCAUAUUGCUUUCCUUAAAUCCAUUAGUUGCUCGUGAAAGUUCAGCAUGUGAAAUUCUUCUCGGUGUUUUCAAAGACAACAAAUCAUCUUUAAUUGGUAGAGUUGUACUCCUUCUUUGGCAUCUUCUAUACAUAAUAGUUAAGACUAUUAGUACUACGACAACACCAAUUGUUGGUAAACCAUACCUAAAAGCAUGCAAUAUAAUCAUUUGGGAGUUUUUGUGGAUGUCGUUUUUGCAAGGUGGAACUAGAAAUCUAUGUGGACCACAAAGUGCAUAAUUCUUCAUGAAUGAUGUGCUAGAAAAGUUUGAAAAACAUCCUUUGCUGGGAAUUUCCCCUUCAAGUCUAUUGAAAGACACAUUAAAAUACUUUAGAUAUAAAAGCUUUUCCAAAGAUUUGGGAAUGACUCCAGAGAGAUUGUUAUUGCAUAAAUCCAAGAAUUCCAAACUAAUCAACCCAUCAAAUGAUUCAGGGAUAUGACCAUGUAGUAUAUUAUUUGAUAAAUCUAAUGAAACCAAAGUUUGAAGACCCCCAAAUGUGGAUAAGAUAUCACCCGUGAGAAGAUUCCUAGAUAAAUUUAGUUUCAGUAGACUCCUCAAAUUUCCAACAUCAAUAGCGUGUGAAUUGUGAAGAUGGUUUGAUGAUAAAUCUAUUUCUAAGAUAUCUUUAAGAUUCCACAAAGUUGAGGGAAUUGCGGAACUCAAUUUGUUGGAAUCUAAGCAAAGAUAUCCCAAAGAAGUAAUAUUACCUAAACAAGAGGGUAUGGAUCCAUGCAGCUUAUUCAACCCUAAACACAAGUUGUAUAGUCUCUCCAAACCACAGAGGCUUUCUGAGAUGGGCCCUCCUAAUUUAUUAGAGGAAAGAUCUAGACCUUGGAGAUUUCGCAGUCCUCCUAUUGAUGUUGGAAUGAAUCCACUUAAUUUAUUAGAGCCAAGUUCUAAACCGAACAUAUUGGUUAAGUUACCUAUUUCCAUAGGAAUAAUGCCUUGAAGCUCACACUCUUCGGCAUAAAAGUAUUGAAGGGAUUUUGAAAGGUUCCCAAUAUAAGUAGGAAGAACGCCACUCAAUGGAUUUCCUGAAACUUCUAUGUCUUUCAAAUUCUUACAAUUCGUCAAAGAAGAAAGAAAGCUCCACUCAUGAUCAGUAGCAGAUCCUGUGAUCAAAUUAUUGUCAAAGAUUUUGAGCACUUCAAGGUGUUUUAAGCUGCAAAGCAUUCUAGGGAUUGGGCCAGAGAAUAAGUUUUGUGACAAUUCUAGUUCCUUAAGCAUGGAAGCAUUGGAGAUAGAGUUGGGAAUGUUUCCGCUAAGUUUAUUUCUCCACAAUAAAAGAAUCUCAAGCUUUGGAGCAUUGGUGAUGGGUGGUAAAUUACCUGUAAAAUAGCAUCUUUUAGUAUACAUAUUCAUUGAAUACCAAAUUUACAAAAUAUAUAAUACAUUAAAAUAAAAACUGUACAACUUUAAAUCAAUUAAGAAUAGAAUUUUGGCAUGGAAAAAUGUGAUGAAAUCACUUAGAAAGUUGAGACAUAAUAAGAAGUUUUAAGUAGUAAUUAUUCCUUGUGAUUUGUAUAGAAAAAACAUAUAAUACACUAACAAUUUUUUAAAAAUAAAAAUAAAAGUUUGGCAUGAGAAUGUGGCAUCUAAUCCAUCUUAAAAAUGAGUCUGACACUGAAUAAUAAUUAGUUAUGAUUUGGGAAAAAAAUGUUAAAGCCAUUGUUUUUAAUGUAAACUGGUAUGAUUUUUAUCUAUUGGGUAUAUUAUUUAUUUUUAUUAAAUUAUAGUGUAAAAUUUAAAGAUUAUUAUUUGCUCAAAAUUUUUGUAUUUUUCGUAUAUUUGAAAUUUAAUCUUUAUAUUUUUUAUUUUCUGUGAUUUAGUCUCUCUACUUUUUGAAUUGUAAAUUUUAGGUUUAUUUAUUAAUGCUGUUAAAAAGUUUUUGUGUUAGUAUGGCAUUUUGAAAAAUAAAAUAAACUUGAUAUCUAUGUUUUUAAUUAUUCCAAAUAUUGUUUUACUAUUUCAAGAUAAAUUAUUUGUGUCUAGACCAAUAUCUUAAGAACUAUUAUUGCAUGUUUAAUUAUUCUAAAGAAUUGUCGAUUGAGUCUUAGCUUGAUUGGCAUGUGCAUUGUUGCCAAUGUAGGAGAAUGUGGGUUCAAGUAUGCUGAAGUGUAUUAUCCUUCUAUUUAUGAAUCAAGGAGUUGGCAAAGUAUUAUAUUUUGAUAUAUUUUAGAAUAUUAAAAAAUUAUUAAAAUAUUUUUUUAUAAAAAUUGGUUGUACCACAAUAUACAUCAAAUUUUUAAUUUUUUUAAAAAUAUUAGCGAAUUUAUAUUUUAUUUCAAGUUACACAAUUUUUACUAGUUUUUAACUUUUUUUUAAAAAUUUUUAUCGUCUUUCAUAAUUUCUAAUAAAUUUUUAUAUAUUUUUGACAAUAUUUAACAAUUUCUAACAAUUUUUAAUAAUUUUAUUAUUAAUUACAAAUUUAAAAAUUAACACAUUUUUAUUUUUUAAAACAAUUUUAUAUUUAUAAUGUAGUUGUUUUUUUUAUAAUUUUAUUUGAAAAUUUAAAGCUUUUUUGGUUUUUUUAAGAUAAUGAUGCCAUCAUGAUGUCAUCAUAUGCCACAUGGCAAUUUAUGAUUAGUUGGAUAUCUCAAUCUAUUUUUUUAACGUCCAAUUGACUAAACCAAGAACACCUGAUAAUGUUAGAGACUACACUAGAAAUGCUUGAUAAUAUUAGGUACUAAAGUGGGCAAAAACUCAUUAAGGACCAAAGUAAAAAAAAAAAAAGAGCAAUAUGCUGUAGGGAAUAAAUGCAUGAAUUUUGAGAAACUUUUGAACUAAUAAUUACAUAGUAAUUAUUAGUGAAUUUGUUAUUUUAAAUAUUUUUAUUACUUUUAGGAUUUAUCAUAUGUAUGGAUAAGAAUUUUGGUUUUACUAAAAUAUUUGGUUAAAUAAAUUCAUAAAAAAAUUUAGCAUCCUUAUAAAUAACAAUUUUGAUUCUAUUAAAAAAAUCAUUUUAAAAAAUAUAUAAUAAAAAUUUAAAAUUUAUAUUGAAUUACUUUAUACGUAAAUUAUUAUUAGAAACGUUAUCAUACACAUAUGUAUAUGAGAACUACGUAUUUAGAACAUAAAUUUAUGUUUGAAAAUAACUUAUGAUAAAUAAUGAAAUGUAUAAUUUGAAACUAUUUAAUAAUAACACAUGGCAUAUCUACCAUAUUAAAAAUAAAAAUAGAUUAAAUUGUAAGUAAAACAUAAUUUAAACAUAUGGAUACAUCAAAUUAAGAAUACUAAAUGAAUACAGUUAUUUAUGAUGAUGUUGUUGUCAAUUCUUAAGUUGGUGUCGAGUUAAUUUGUGACAUCAUAAUUUUAAGUGAUAAAUUUAAAGUUUUAUGUAUUGAUGUGGAUUCAAAUAUCACCAUAACUUUUUUAAAAUAAAAAAUUAAAUUCAACACAAUAAAAUGAAACAAAUUCAACACAAUGUUUUUGGAGUUUGCAAAAAAUUAAAGUGAAAAACAUACCUUCUAAUUUGUUGUCAUAUAGAACUAUUUCUUCGAGCGUAGUUGAAUUAAAAAUACUUGAUGGAAUCUGGCCUGCACACAUAGUCGAAAAUUGAAGUGAAAAAUACACCUUCUAAACUGUUCAACUAAAAAUACUUUAAGCAUAUUUUUUUUUCCAUCAAAUUAACUAUUUUGCCUUGAAUGAAAUAAAAUGCUCUUACUUUUGUUAUCUAUUACAAAUCAAACUCUUUUGUGAAUAAAAUAUUACCAGAUAAUUCAUUCCAACCCAGGUUAAGCCCUUCAAGCUUGGGAAGUUGUUGACACAUAUCAUUAGGCAAACUACCUGAUAGGCUAUUGCUGGAGAGGUCAAUGGUCUUCAGAGAAGAAAUGUUGAAGAUCGAAGUUGGAAUUUGACCUGUAAGGCCUUUAGUUGCUUCAAUAUCAAGCAGUUCCAAACCAAGAAGAUUACCGAUUUCCUUAGGAAUUUGACCUGCAGACAUAGUUGAAAAAUCAAUGUUUUUUAGCAUAUAUUUUUCAUCAAAUUAACUAUUUUUCUUCGAAUGAAAUAAAAAGUUCUUCCUUUUGUUAUCUAUUACAAAUUAAACUCUUUCAUAAAAAAAUACUUUAAAUUCAAGAAAUUAAGGAAAUUGAUUACCUUUUAGAUUAUUAAACCCUAAAUAUAAUUCCUGGAGUCGUGUUAGAUUUCCAAUACUUCUUGGAAUGAUCCCCAUAAAUUGAUUACCGAACAAUGACAAAUUUUUAAGGUUGUUGCAUUUGCCCAUGCCAAAUGGAAUGUAACCAGAUAAUUCAUUCCAACUCACGAAAAGCCCUUCAAGCUUGGGAAGAUGUUGACACAUAUCAUUAGGCAAAGUACCUGAUAGGCUAUUGCUGGAGAGAUCAAUAAUCUUCAGAGAAGAAAUCUUGAAGAUGGAAGAUGGAACCUGACCAGAUAAUUGAUUGAAUCCUAAGUUCAAGAUCCCUAGAUUAGACAUGUUAACAAGUGUUUCAGGGAUUGUGCCUGUAAAGUUAUUAUUUUUCAUUUGCAGCCUUCGAACUCUCUGUAAAUUCCCAAGCCAUGAUGGAAUUUCCCGAUUAAGACGGUUGUAGCUUAAUUGAAGGAUCCUCAAACGAUGCAAUUGGCCCAAUUCUUUAGAGAGAUGGCCAUAGAAAUGGUUGCUACUCAAGUCGAGAGAGACUAGAAAUGAAAGAUUUCCAAGGUGUGGAGGGAUAAUACCCCUAAGAUUCAUGCUUGUAAGAUUCAAUGCUAUAACUCUUUUAUGGAGGAUGCCACAAGAAACACCAAUCCAAUUGCAAACAGAGGUUGAGGCUGUCCAAUUGUCUGCCAAGACAUUUUGAGGACCGGCAAUGCGAUCCUUAAACUCGAGAAGUGCAAACUGAUCAGAGUUGAGAUUCCUGGCUGUCAUAGCCAAGCGAAGUACGGAACAUGGUAUGAAUAAAGCUAAGAGAAGAUGAAAGCAAGUGUUGUAGUUCAUGAUUGCAAGACGGAAUAAGGCAAGAAAAAAGGAAAAAAAAAGUAGGAAAAGGGAAGUUAAGUUGAUAAAAUAGUUUGGAUGAUGAAGAAAAGCCCAGAGAGCAUGCUUUAAUAUGUUUCAACCCUCGCACACUUGAUAAACUUGAUAAAUUUAAGACUACCCUAAAAAUUAAAAAGGAAAACAAAGUUUUGAUGAGAUUUCAAAAAAAAUGUCAAGUAUUCUUCUUUUAAAAAUACGUACAAAGAAGCGAAUUUUCAAAAUUUCUCCUAAAUUUUCUUCAAAUUACUCCACAUAAUCCAUUAAAAAAACUUAAAAAAUAUAUUUUAUUAAUUACUAUAUAUUCUUUUGUUUUCAUAAUAAUAAAUUGUUUAAAAUAUGCUAUUAGUGGCCGUAAUUUAAAGUUUAAAAAAAAAUCCAAUCCUCCUUUUUUUUAAUUUAAAAAUUCUAAUCCAAUCAUUUUUAAUUCCAUUAAAAAGUUUUCAACUUAAUAGAUUUUUUAUUAUCAAUCUUAUGCAACAUUAUAUGAAGGCAGUCUACUCAGCAUAUAUCCAAGUUUACAGAUUUUAAUAGAAAAUACUUACAAUCCUAAUGGUAGGACUAAGUUUUUUAAACUAGAAAAGUAAAAAAAAAAAAAACUUAAUUUUUAACUUUUUUAAGUACAAGGAUUAAAUUUUAAAUGUUGUCAAAGUACAAGCACUAACAAAAUAUUUUGAUCUAAUAAAUGUAAAAAAGCAUUUUAAACAAAAGAAGGUUGAAAUAAUCUAUUUGUCCUUAUACUUUGAUAAAAUUUGAGAUACCAUAAAAUUUGUAUCUUUUUUCGAAUUAUUUAAUGACAUUUCAACAUUUUCAUUCAAAAAAAAAUAUCAUUUUGAAUUUGAUCUUUUUCAAGAUGAAAUAUUGAAAUGAUGUUAAAUUAUUAGAAAGAGAUACAAGUUUCAUGGUGUCCCAAAUUCAUUUAAUCUUAUCUCUCUAAGAAAGCUGAAUUAAGAUAUUAAUGACAUCAUUUGAAACAAAGUUUUAGGUCAAAUUAUUCAUCUAUUCCUUGUAAUUGUUCUUUAAGGUGAAUUUCAUUAUUAUUCUUUUAUUUUCUUUGGCUUAAAUACACAAUUACUCCUAAUUUUAUCACAUUCUCCUUAAUUGGUAUUUAUAGUUUAUAAAAUUUUAUAAAUAUAUUAUUUUUUAAGAAAUUAUAAGAAGAUUACAAAAAUUCCAAAAUAAUAUAAAAAAGCUAAGAAAAACCUAGAAAUUCAAAAAAAAAAAUCAUGUUUUUACAAAUUGGAAAAUACCUAAAUUUACUUUUCAGCCCGUCCGAUGCUAUGAAAGAAGAAGAAAGAGAGUCUUUGCUAACAUUUUUUUUUCUUCGUCAUCUCUAUGUUUCUUGGCAAAUACAAUGAAAGAAGAACAAAGAAAACUGUUGGCUAUUUAUUUCCCAAUAAUCCUGAAAUUACUUGCCAUAGGCGUAGAAUUUGCUAACCAAUUUUCAAGCAAUCUGACAUGAAUUCUUGUUAAGUAUGACUCCUAUUUUCAGUCAAAUUUGAGAAAUAAUCUUCUAGUUAAUUCUGUUUAUUUGUUUCAAUCAAACACUGAUUAGUUUAGAUUAUUUUAUUAUUAUUUGACAUAUGAAUUUAGCCUAUAAAUAGGUUAUUUUACAACCUUAGAAAAUACACCCAAUAGAGUUUAGAACUCAUAACAUAUUUAGAGAAUUUUGUGUUUACGUUUUGAGAGUUCUUUGUUUUCGGAUUUUCGGGGUUUAGUUUUUAUCUCCAUCUCUUGUAUUCUUUGUUCUUUUGCCAUUAUAAUAAAAUUAUCUUUACCCGUGGUUUUUUAUCCUUUUUGGAGGAGUUUUUUCACGUUAAAUUUGUGUGUUCAAUUUCUCAAUUUAUUCCGCUAUUUUGUUACUUGUUGCUUAAUCGGGUCGAUCCCUAACAAUUCUCAAUCACAAUUAAUUGAAUUCAAGAUAUAUUUGGAUGAGAACACAAAUAUUUCAAUUUUACCACAAUCCAAUGUUUGGGAUGAUUUGGGAUAAGAACUCCAACAUUUUAAGAUCACAUUUUCUUUUAUAAUUUCAGGCUUAUCAACUAUUUUGAAAACAACAAAACGUCUUACACCAAAAACUAAAAAAUUAAAACGUCGACAUUAAAUUUGUUGGUAUGCAAUCAAUUUUAAGAUGGGUCUUGGAGUUAUAUAUCACUUUAGCAUUGACUUACUUUUCUACUCUUAGUCUUCUCCAAUAAGUUAAAUAUUUCAAUUUUAACAGCACUGACAGGUCUUUGGGGUAGGGUCCAGCAAAACUCAAUAGAAACAGAUGAUAUAGGCAGAGUUGGCUCGGCCAAGUCGAGUCGACUUGUUCAAAUUAGUUAAAUUAGUAAAUUUUAGGGUGCAGUUAGAACUUUUUUUUUUUUUUUGAGAUGCUAAUAUUAAAAAAUUUUAGUUGCUAAAACAAAAAAUUUAUAUUUAAAAAGGAAUAAAUUAAAUUAUUAAGUUUUUCAAGUUUCCAUUUAAUCAAAGGUUAAAAGGACUAAAUUGAAGCUUUUUAUUUUAAAGAAAGGCUGAAUGACAAAUUGCCCAAAGCCCAUGCCCCUAGCUAUAUGCCCCUGGUAAAAUCAAUUUUAAAAUUAGUUAUAAUAGUUGAAGCGAAUUGAUUAUUGAGUAUUGAAAUACAUAGUUCAACAAAAUAAACAAACUGACAAAUUUUGACCAAAAAAAAAAAUCAAAGGUGAUAAUAAUUAAAUUAUAAAAUUUAAAUUGAGAAAAUAGGGGAUUGAAUUUAUAAUUUUUAAAGUAUAAAGAAUGAAUUUAUAACUAACAUCAUAUUUUAACCACAUAAUAAAAGUAGUUAUGGAGAGGAUCAUGUAAAAUAAUGACCUGAAUAAUUUUAAACGUCUCAUCCUUGCAAAAAUGAAAUAAUAGAAAAGAAAGAGUAAAGAGUAGCCAUUUUAUGAAAUCUAUAAUUCCAACUGUGAAUAAAAUAUAAAUUUUAUGAAUGUGGACAAGCCAUUUUAUUUAUAAUUUUCUGUGUUUUUCUGACUUUUUUUUAAGUCAUUUUCUUUGUUUCCUAACCAAAAAGUUUGCCCAUCACUUUCAAUAUAAAUUUAAAUCUAAAUUUUCUUUUUAAAAUAUAAGUUACUCGUCACAAUUCAUCUUUCGAAAACAAUUUGCCAUCACUUUAACAUACACUAACUUUUCUAUGAUUAGUCCUUGGUUUGCUUUGGGUGCAAUCUUCCAACUAGCCACAUCCUUGGUUUUACUUUCCAACAAUUAGUGUAUCACGGGUUUUGUUUUCUUUAAAAAAAUAUUUUUGUGGAUAUUAGGAGAUAAUGAAAAUUAUUUUACUAUUAAAUUUUAAUAAAACUGGAAAAUAAGUAAUGUCUUUUAAGUGAUCACAAUUAAACAUUAGAUUUUUAAUUUUAAAAUUUUAAAAUUUUUUGAUAAUUGCAUAAUUAAUAAGGUACCAAUUUUUUGAUAAUGCUAUAAUCUUCUCCACACAUAAUCGACUCUUGAGCAUGAUGGAUCUAGACCUUAUCCUGUAUUCUCGUACCACAAAUUGCUUCGAGUGUGGGUUCAAACAAUCACAAAUUAAACACAAAAUCAGAAAUGAUUUAUUACUUUCAAUAGCAAAGUAAUUCUCUCUCAAUAGAAACCAACAGAAUUGUAAUUCCGAAAAAUAAAAUUUAUUUUUUGAAAAUAUAUUCUCACUACUUCCUAGCAUAAUAACAAUAUUUAAAACUUAUGUCUUGUGUUAAUAGCUCUACCAGUACUAUCCAUUUAUAGAGAGAGACACAAGAAUCCUGGUUGAAUUAGUAAAACACGAGUAAUAUUUAUUUCAUAGAAAACAAUAUUCUACCCUAAGUAGAUCAAGUUUGGAUGACGCAUGGGUCGAAGUUCAAUCUAAGAGAAAAAAAUAAAGGAAUUUUCUUUGUAAAGAAAAUUUGAGAUUGUACUAUUUUCGAAGUUAUAAAUAAAAUUAUAAGCCAAACUUUCAAGUCAAUUUUUGACUCGAAUUUUGUACGUACAAAUUUCUAAUACACUUGGUGGGACAUUCUUUGACUUUUAUCUAUUCUCUCAGAAAGUUAAAAGUUAAAAGUUGCAUUAAACUCAAAGAAGAUAAUCAUUAGUAAACCAGCUCACAAGCCUGCUCAAGCUAAUCCUACAACUCGUUCCACUUCAUCAUCAAACACCAAUGUUCUUGCUUAUCCUUAUGGAAUUAAACAAAAGACAAAAGCUCUUUAAGAGUUAUUUGAACAGACAAAAGAUUCAGACGUGUUGAGAUGGAAAGUGACAAUGCAAUGUUGAUUGAAGCUAUUCGUAACCGGUUGGCUACAAUAAGUAGUGUUGCUGAAGUAAGACAGAUUCACGAUUGGUGUUCUAAAAAUUGGGAAGUCAAAUUUUGAUAUAUUUAGUAGAAUGCCAAAAAAGUUGUUGAUUGCAUAGCUAAGGCAGAUGGAGGAGUAAUUGAGCAGCUAGUUUUUUGGAAGAUCCUCCGCAUUUUGUGAGAUGUUGGCUUGAAGAAAAUAUUAGACAAUCGCUGGUGACUUAUGAUAAUUUUCAUUUGGACUGAUGCUCGCUUAGUUUUCUAAGGUUAUGUUCAACCAAAAAAAAAUAAUUUAAAUAUGUCUAUAUUAUCAUAGAGUUAGCAUUUAGUGUAUAAAAAAAUAGUGUAUAAAAUUUUUUCAAUUGCAGUUUAGUUCCACAAAUACUGACGAUGAACCUUAAAACGAAAAUGAAAAUUACAAAAAGAAAAACAAACCACAUCUAUUAUCAAACCAGCAAUCCGUGUCUAAACUUAAAUUAACAAAAUUCAUCAUGCAACUCGGUACACUAUUUUAUAAUAUAUAUAUUAGAUUUAUUCUUGAUGCACAUGUUUUAUUAUAGUUAAAAAUUAAAAUAUAUGAUUAACUGAGUUUUAGUUGAGUUAGUAUUGGUAUUAUAUCAGUGUAGAAAAAUGUGAGUUCAAUCGUACUUAAAUAUGUAUCCUCCAACUCAACAGUUGGGAAAAGGUUAUUGAUAAUUAAAUUACACCAAUUUUUACAAUAUCUAAAAAGCAUUCAUAAACAUAUUCAUAUUGAUGGGCUCUUUCAUUAUUAAACUUUUUUUCUCUCACAAGUAAAAGUACUUGUGGUGAGGAUCAUGUAAAAUAAUAAACUGAAUAAUUUUAAACGUCUCAUCAUUGCUAAAAUGAAAUAAUAGAAAAGAAGACAUUUUAUGAAAUUUACAAUUCCAACUGUGAAUAAAAUAUAAAUUUAUGAAUGUGAACAAGCCAUUUUAUUUAUAAUUUUCUGUGUUUUUCUUCUUUUUCUGACUUUUUUUUAGUCAUUUUCUUUGUUUCCUAACCACCAUGAAAUUACUUGUCACAAUUCAUCUUUUUAAAUGAGAAGCAUUUUCCACAAUUUGCCAUCACUUUAACAUACACUAACUUUUCUAUGAUUAGUCCUUGGUUUGCUUGUCACCAUGAAAUUACUUGUCACAAUUUUCCACAAUCUUCCAACUAGCCUCAUCCUUGGUUUUACUUUCCAACAAUUAUUGUAUCCUUCUCAUUACUUGUACUUACCCGACUGAUAAAAAAUUCACUGAUCAAAUUAGUUCAAAGUUUUUUUUUUUUUUCUAAAUCAUGUGAAUUCACGAGUUUUUUUUCUUUAAAAAAUAUUUUUGUGGAUAUUAGGAGAUACUGAAAAUUAUUUUACUAUGAAAUUUUAAUAAAACUGGACAAUAAGUGAUUUAUUUAAAGGGAUCACAAUUAAACAUUAGAUUUUUAAUUUUUUAAUUUUAAAACUUUUUGACAAUUGCGUAAUUAAUAAGGUACUAAUUUUGAGCGUUGUAGGAGUGCUAUAAACUUCACUACGCAUAAUCGACUCUUAAAUCCACCUUUUUCUCUAGAAUUAUAACAAAUUUACAAAAUGAUUUAAUGAUAUUUAAUUAUUGACCGGUAAAAAAAUUAUAUCAUAUAAAUUCCGAAUUAUUAAUUAUAUAUCUACAUAUUAUAACCAAUUCAUCUUUCAAAAUUAUUUCCUUAUAAUUAAAGCAAAAAUUAUAUUUAUAAAAUUCUAAAUAUAUUAUAAUUCUUGUAAAUAUAUAUAUUUAUAUAUAUAAGUUCAAAUUGUAAUAGAGUUAACAUUUAAUGUAUAAAAAAUGUCUUGAAAAUUAUUAUUUUUUUCAAUUCCAAAAGAACUAUUCCAUUUAUAGAACCAUAAAACUUUAAAAAUAUAAACUCUAUUAAAUAAAAAUAAUAAUAUAUUUAAACAAUAAAUAUUGACUUUAUUUUAAAUUGACAUUAUCUAAUUCUUUUUAAUAAAUAUAGCUAAGCUUUACAUUAAUAUACAUGAUUUAUUUGUUCGUGGUUGUUAUUAUUAUUAUUAUUAUUAUUAUUAUUAUUUCUAUGAUUUUUAUAUCAUACUUAUCGGACUACAAUCAUAACCAUGUCUAUUAUCAUUUGAUAAAAAAAAUUAAGUGUUGAGUAUAAUGACAAGGCACGUUACACUCUUAAGGGGAGAUCAAGGUUUGGACAAGGGAAGAAUAUCAUUUAAAUUUUGGAGACAACAUUCUUUAAAUGAGCAACCACAAACCCCGAUUAUGAACCAUAAAACGAGCAUGAAAAGUACCCAAAAAAACAAGUUUAUUAUCAAAAUAGUAAUCCAUCCAAGGAUUAAAUUAACAAAAUUCACCAUCCAACCGUGUAGACUAUUAUAUAUAUAUAUACCAUAUUUAUUCUUCAUGCAAAUGUUUAUUAUAUUUAAAAAUUAAAAUAUAUGAUUGAUUGAGUUUUAGUUGAGUUAAUAUUGAUAUUAUUGUCAGUGCAAAAGAAUAUGAGUUCAAUCAUGUUUAAAUACAUUUUAUACUCCAAUUUAGGAGUUGGAGAGGAUUCUCAGUAGUUAAAUUAUAUCAGUUUUUGUCUAUUUAAAAUUGAUUUAUAAAUAAUAUAAGUAGAAAAUUUUAUAAAAAUAUACAUACUCAUAUUGAUUGGCUUUUUCAUUAUUAGACAUUUUUCCCCAUAGGUAAAAGUAUUUAUCGAAUUCAAAUUUUGGGUUUUAAAUAAGGGUUUUCGGAUUUUUUUUUAACAUUUGUGAGAGUUUUUGCCAAAUUUUAUGUUUUCAAAAACGCAUAACUAAGUUGAUUUUUAAUUAGUUUUUCAAAUGAGUCAAUGUAAUUCCUUAAAAAUCUAGUGAUAGCGUCUAGCCUGGGUUUGGGGGUGUUACACUGACGUUACUAAAGUUAAUCUUAAUCUAUUUAGUCUAGAUCUGAACAUUAAUAUUCUCUUCCAAUAAAAAUAAAGAUCAUCAAAUUAUUACAAUUGUGAAGCCAGACAAUCAUAUUAAAUAAGCAUAAAACUUAAUAAAUAAUUAGCGAAGAUUGAAACAAUCAAAGAAAAAAUAAAUUAAUUAACUAAGAAAUAAGGAUCCAUUAUUGUUUCAAGAAAACAGAGUUUAGUUCAUAUUGAGUUGAGAAAACCAAAAAUUAGAUUCAAAACAAACUUGUGAUAAGGGGAACAAUGUCAACAGAUCAUAUUCAAGUUGUUCGACUCGAGAAAGCAAGAUUCGGAUUUGACCUGAAAAGAAGAAACCAAACAGAUUAGGAAAACAAGAAAAAAACAAAGAAAAAAAAAUAAAAUGAGAAAUUUAAGAAUAAAGAAUAAAUAUUAAAAAAUAAUAAAGAAAUAAAUAAAUUAUAGAAUAAAAAGUGGCAGAUGGAAUGAAUAAAUGAUGGAUAUGACAUAUAGAUGGAUAAGUGUCUGAUAACCCUUGAAAAAAAGUUAUAUUUUGUUAGGGAUCGACCCGAUUAAGCAACAAGUAACAAAAAAAGGGAAUAAAUUGAGAAAUUGAACACACAAAUUUAACGUGAAAAAAACCUUCCGAAGAGGAUAAAAAAACCACGGGAAAAGAUAAAUUUACUAUAAUGGCAAAAGAACGAAGAGUACAAAAGAUGGAGAUAAAACUAAACUCCAAAAACCCGAAAAUAAAGAACCCUCAAAACGUAAACACAAAAUUCUCUAAAUGUGUUAUGAGUUCUAAUCUCUAAUGUGUGUCAACUAAGGUUGUAAAAGAGCCUAUUUAUAGGCUAAAUUCAUAUGUCAAAUAAUAAUAAAAUAAUCUAAACUAAUCAGUGUUUGACUGAAAUAAAUAAACAAAGUUUAACUAAAAGAUUAUUUUUUAAAUUUGACUGAAAAUAGGAGUCAUACUUAACAAAUCUCCACCUUGACUCAUAUUUCUACAAUGCCAUCUUUGCCAAAGCCCGCUACGAGCCUAUCUUGAACUAUACAGGGAAUUAACUGAGUCGAAUCUGUGCUUAGAAACUGGAAGACUUCUAGCUUUCGACUUGUACACUGCCAAAUCAAAACUAACCCGAGUUUGAUUUUCACGAACACAGUGUCCUAACUUUUCAAAACCUGCAUCCAAAAGAGAACCUCUCUUCAAUGAAACGGUCAUACAUUUUUCCCUCCUAUGACCAAGUUGCCUCUGCUCCAAACGAGUUGACUUCGACUCUGUAACAGACGAGGGAUGUCCGAUUUCACCGGUCAUUGUAGAACCUUCCAGAAUAUAAAGACUGCCAUUUCUUUUACCUUUGAACAAAAUGAGAGCUCCACGAGAUACUUUAAUGCUGCUCGACUCGAUGUUGAUUCUGCAUCAUUUCAAGUCUAAAAUACUCAAGGAGAUGAGAUUCUUUCGUAAAUUAGGUACAUACCUGACAUCUGAGAGUGUCCUAAUCGUCCCAUCGUGUGUCCUAAUUUUAACAGUACCAACACCAAUUACCUUACUAGAUGAAUUGUUUCCCAUGCGCACAACUCCACCUUCAACCGAACUGUAUGUGGAGAACCAUUCUCUAUUGGGACACAUGUGGAAAGAACAUCCCAAAUCUAGGAUUCACUCGAACGUGAGCUUGGAGUUAUCACUCGUUGACACUAACAAGAAAUCAUCACCACUUUCAUCGAUCAAAUUAGCACUAGCUACAUCUUCCUCGUUACUCUCAGCAGCUCCUUUAUUUCGCAGUUUAUAACAAUUUGCUUUGACAUGACCUAACUUUUUACAAUAGUGACACCUUUUGUCUCGUUUCUUUGAUGCCAUCAAAAUGGAAGAUUGCCUAUCUGCCUUGCUAUCUAAAUGAAACUCAUUUUCGAGUUUGUCUCUACUCAACAAAUGACCCUUCACAUCUUCGAACGAGAGUUUGUCUCUGCCAUAGGGUCUCCUUGAAAGAUUUGUAUGAAGGGGGUAAAGAGCAUAAUAAUAGCAUAGCUUGAUCUUCAUCAUCAAUAUGAACCUCAAAGUUCUUUAAAUCAUUUAAAAGAAUAAUGAAUUGACUGAUGUGAUCUCUAAGAAGCUCACAUUCGUUCCUGCGAAACGUAAAUAGACGUUGUUUCAACAGUAAACGGUUAGCCAGAGACUUAGUCGCAUAAAGAGUUUCUAACCUUUUCCAUAAGGUGGAUGAGGUCUUCUCCAUCAAUACCUCCUGCAAUACCGUAUUCGCGAGGCACAACUGGAUUGCAGACAAGGCAUUUUCAUCAAGCUCUUCCCAUUCUGUUUUAUUUAGAUUCUCAGGCUUUUUUUGGUAACAACCUUUUUCAAACCGGAUUGAACUAGAAUUGCCAUCAUCCAAACUUGCCAUAGAUUGAAAUUGGUCUCACCAUCGAACUUCUCAAUUUCAAACCUUGUUGUUGCCAUAUCUGAAUGGGCUGAUUUAUGAAAAUUGAACUAGCUCUGAUACCACUUGUUAGGGAUCGACCCGAUUAAGCAACAAGUAACAAAAAAGGAAAUAAAUUGAGAAAUUGAACACACAAAUUUAACGUGAAAAAAACCCUCCGAAGAGGAUAAAAAAACCACAGGAAAAGAUAAAUUUACUAUAAUGGCAAAAGAACGAAGAGUACAAAAGAUGGAGAUAAAACUAAACUCCAAAAACCCGAAAAUAAAGAACCCUCAAAACGUAAACACAAAAUUCUCUAAAUGUGUUAUGAGUUCUAAUCUCUAAUGUGUGUCAACUAAGGUUGUAAAAGAGCCUAUUUAUAGGCUAAAUUCAUAUGUCAAAUAAUAAUAAAAUAAUCUAAACUAAUCAGUGUUUGACUGAAAUAAAUAAACAAAGUUUAACUAAAAGAUUAUUUUUUAAAUUUGACUGAAAAUAGGAGUCAUACUUAACAAAUCUCCACCUUGACUCAUAUUUCUACAAUGCCAUCUUUGCCAAAGCCCGCCACGAGCCUAUCUUGAACUAUGCAGGGAAUUAACUGAGUCGAAUCUGUGCUUAGAAACUGGAAGACUUCUAGCUUUCGACUUGUACAUUGCCAAAUCAAAACUAACCCGAGUCUGAUUUUCACGAACACAGUGUCCUAACUUUUCAAAUCCUACAUUGAAAAGAGAACCUCUCUUCAAUGAAACCGUCAUACAUUUUUCCCUCCUAUGACCAAGUUGCCUCUGCUCCAAACGAGUUGACUUCGACUCUGUAACAGACGAGGGAUGUCCGAUUUCACCGAUCAUUGUAGAACCUUCCAGAAUAUAAAGACUGCCAGUUCUUUUACCUUUGAACAAAACGAGAGCUCCACGAGAUACUUUAAUGCUGCUCGACUCGAUGUUGAUUCUGCAUCAUUUCAAGUCUAAAAUACUCAAGGAGAUGAGAUUCUUUCAUAAAUUAGGUACAUACCUGACAUCUGAGAGUGUCCUAAUCGUCCCAUCGUAUGUCCUAAUUUUAACAGUACCAACACCAAUUACCUUACUAGAUGAAUCAUUUCCCAUGCGCACAACUCCACCUUCAACCGAACUGUAUGUGGAGAACCAUUCUCUAUUGGGACACAUGUGGAAAGAACAUCCCAAAUCUAGGAUCCACUCGAACGUGAGCUUGGAGUUAUCACUCGUUGACACUAACAAGAAAUCAUCACCACUUUUAUCGAUCAAAUUAGCACUAGCUACAUCUUCCUCAUUACUCUCAGCAGCUCUUUUAUUUCGCAGUUUAUAACAAUCUGCUUUGACGUGACCUAACUUUUUACAAUAGUGACACAUCUCGUUUCUUUGAUGCCAUCAAAAUGGAAGAUUGCCUAUUUGCCUUACUAUUUAAAUGAAACUCAUUUUCGAGUUUGUCUCUACUCAACAAAUGACCCUUCACAUCUUCGAACGAGAGUUUGUCUCUGCCAUAAGGUCUCCUUAAAAGACUUGUAUGAAGGGGGUAAAGAGCAUAAUAAUAGCAUAGCUUGAUCUUCAUCAUCAAUAUGAACCUCAAAGUUCUUUAAAUCAUUUAAAAGAAUAAUGAAUUGACUGAUGUGAUCUCUAAGAAGCUCACCUUCGUUCCUGCGAAACGUAAAUAGACGUUGUUUCAACACUAAACGGUUAGCUAGAGACUUAGUCGCAUAAAGAGUUUCUAACCUUUUCCAUAAGGUGGAUGAGGUCUUCUCCAUCAAUACCUCCUGCAAUACCGUAUUCGCGAGGCACAACUGGAUUACAGAUAAGGCCUUUUCAUCAAGCUCUUCCCAUUCUGUUUUAUUUAGAUUCUCAGGCUUUUUUUGGUAACAACCUUUUUCAAACCGGAUUGAACUAGAAUUGCCAUCAUCCAAACUUGCCAUAGAUUGAAAUUGGUCUCACCAUCGAACUUCUCAAUUUCAAACCUUGUUGUUGCCAUAUCUAAAUGGGCUGAUUUAUGAAAAUUGAACUAGCUCUGAUACCACUUGUUAGGGAUCGACCCGAUUAAGCAACAAGUAACAAAAAAGUGAAAUAAUUUGAGAAAUUGAACACACAAAUUUAACGUGGAAAAACCCCUCCAAAGAGGAUAAAAAACCACGGGCAAAGAUAAGUUUACUAUAAUGGCAAAAGAACGAAGAGUACAAAAGAUGGAGAUAAAACUAAACUCGAAAAACCCAAAAACAAAGAACCCUCAAAACGUAAACACAAAUGGGUGUCAACUAAGGUUGUAAAAGAGCCUAUUUAUAGGCUAAAUUCAUAUGUCAAAUAAUAAUAAAAUAAUCUAAACUAAUCAGUGUUUGACUGAAAUAAAUAAACAGAGUUUAACUAAAAGAUUAUGUUUUAAAUUUGACUGAAAAUAGGAGUCAUACUUAACAUAUUUCAUGCCUUUAAACCUAACUAAUUGUUUGUACUUAAGUAUAUUUUUUUCUUUUUAAGACAUUGUAGCGAACAUUUUUAAUAUUGUAUUAGGACAUAGACUAUGUUGGAAUUAGGUGCUUUUAAUCUCUUGUGGUGGAGUUUUUGUGUGUUGGUAUGGCAGGAACAUGUUUUAAAACGAGGAAAUAAAUGAGUGAAGUUUUGUUAGGGAAAAAGUGCAAACAGUUUGCCAACACAGAUGUCGUGGCAAUGCCGGGAAGACCAAGUUCAUAUUUUUUGUGCAGCAAUCCCGGUUCAAACUCAAACUUGUAUGAGAUAAAUCCCCCUAAAAGAGGAGAAGAUAAUCACAUUGCUGUUAGCUGACCCUAGCCUAAUCUAUCUAUUAAAGCCAAUGAAAAGGAUCUCACAAAGGGUAGAAAAAAGUGAGAGAGAUCCUUAGGGAUGAAUAAGGGUUUGGCUGCGCAAAAGAACAGAAGUCGAAGGGAAUCAUUCUUAGCCAUCACAGAACGUUGUGCUGCCAAAGUGUGGACUAGGCAAGUGAAAGAUGUUUCCAAAAGUUCUUCUGUUAUUUCCAUUAGUGUUCCUUCCAAAGAUUGAAUUGAAGUAGUUGAACACAAUGUCGGAUAAUAUUUUGGUUUGAAAUUUUAUUUCCCAGCUUAUGAGCUAAAUCUCAUAAGGUUAGGAUUACUUUCGAUGAAACCUUAAAUUUUUUUAUAGAUGAAGUAUAUAUCUAAUUUACAUUAUUGUUUCAUUUGAUUGUUCUAAUUUCUUAAUUAAAAUGCAAAUGAUCUCUAGACAUAGAAGACUGUUCGCAUACUUAUAAAUUGAUUGUAAUUAUAAAAGGGUUGGAUUAAAAUUAAAUGAAAUGAGCAGGUAUUUGAUAGACACUUGUAGUCGACUCUAGACAUAGAGUCACGAUCAUACAGAAGAAGCCCAUGCAAGAUAUCGAAAAAGCCUUUAGACACCAGGCAAGGCAACUUGAGGUUUUUCUCUCACGAGAGGCAGACCAUUUUAGAACUCUUCUGUGUUGUAAAGUAGAUACAAUUUUGCCAAGACAAUAUUGACAAUGAGGGUUGAUUCUGGGUAAUCCCGACCUUCCAAAUCCACUUCGUAUAUCCUUUAAUCUUUUUCAUAAUAUCUUUGCCACAUAAUUAUUAGUUAUUUAUUUGUUCAUUUACAUAAUAUUCCCAUAGUAAUUCUCAUAAUUGCCAUUAUGUUUCUACUCUCGGUUGGCCAUAGCAUUACUAAUUAUUCAUUAAUUCCACAUAUUGAUUACAUCAUUAAUCUACUCAUUGUCAUUGCAUAUUUAUCAUUGACUUUGUCAUAGCAUUAAUUGCAUUUUAUUAUAAUAACUUGACCAAUUUUGUGCCUCAAUCCGAUUUUCGUGGGAACAAUACUCACUCAUCACUUUAUUACUUGAUUCAACGUGUAUACUUGCACAAAUCGCAUAUCAUUUCACAUGCGACAGUGUCCAAUUUAACCUUUUGAGAUAUAAACUCAAACAAACUCAAUUAAUGGCUUUAAUCAACCCACCAAGAAAUAAUAAUUGGCAAAUUGAAGGAUGAAGAAUGAAUUCCCAUGACUCCUUAAAGAAAAUUGAGAAGAAAACUGCUUCUAAAAAUUACAAGAAAUAAUCUUGCACAAAGAAACUUACCCUCAGAGUUGGAAAUUUUAGUAAUGAGCAAAAACAAUUGUGUCUCUAAUGAACAUGAAGGGGCCUUUACAUAGGAUAGAUAAGUACAUCCAAAUAAAAUUUUGAAGUAUAUUAAAACUUUAAUUAAUGUAAGAAAAAAAGUAAUUUUCAACUAAAAUAGUCAUAAUUUCUAUAAUAAUCCCGUCUAGAAAUUCUGCUCACAUAGCCAUCACUAAAAUAGUCAUAAAUUGAGCUCUUGAACUCGAAAUUGAAUGAAUAAAAGUGUGUUUGAAAGUUAAGUAAUAGAUCUUAGAACUCCAUCAAGACAUAUCAAUCAAAAAAUGUCUGGAUCCCAUCCAAAAAGUCAUUGCAAGUUAACUAAUUUUCCAAACUUGAAAAUUGACAGCUUCGGGGAAUGGAAUUUAAUAAAGUUCACCCCAUCUACUCAAGUAUAAACUUGCAGUGGUAAAAAGUAAAAAUAAAUAAUCUAUAGAGAAACUAGUUGAAGAAUUUAUGACAAUUUAUUUAGAUCUUUUUUUCUUCUAGCCUUUGCAAACUUGAAGUUUCCCUUGGUGUGAGAGAGUUGUUCCUUACCCUCUAAGUUAUUUUUUUUCUUUUCCUUUUUUUUUCUUUCUCUUCGAUCUUGUCACCUAAGGGUGUUCAAAUGAUUGAUUCAGUUAAUACCCGAACAAUGCUAUCAUUAACUGAAAUUUUGAAACCUUAAUCGUUAAUGAAACCAAUUUUUUGUUGAAACCUAUUAACCGGCCGGAUUGAUUUCGGUUAAUUCAGGCGGCUAGCCGGAAUUUAUACAUUAUUUUUUUCAAACAAUUUUAAAACAAAGAACAAUCCAUGACAACUUUUUCCUUGUUUUUUAUUCAAAAAUUAUUAAAAGAAUUUUAAAAAAUAACAUAAUAACAACACUAAAUUAAAAACAUAAUAGCAUUCAUUACAUUACAAAGCAUAAUUUCUUUUUUUUUUUACUUUUUGUUGACUUUUUAGUUUAAUUUUAGUUUUUUUUUUCAAAUAUUUUUAGUUUUCAUAUUUUUGUUAAGCUUAUUAUAAGAAAACUUAUAAAUCCAUUAGUUUUUAUAUAUUAGGUUUGUAUAAUGUAUUGGACCUAUCUCUAACAUAUUGGGCCUAUAAUAUAUUUUUAUUGAUUUCGGUUAAUCAAUUAAUUUGGUUAAUUAGUCGAUUUCAAACUAAACUAAUCGAUAAACAAAAUUUUCUAAAACAUUUAACCAACUCCCAACCAAAUUAGAUUCGUUGAUCGACUGCUUAAUCAAAUUAAUCAUAUGGUAGAAUGGCAUGUUUUUGGAAUGGCUAUUUGGCAUUAUUGGUAUAGGUUUAAGUUAUGAUCUAAAGAUGUUGAAUUGAAUUAAGUUUGAUAUGUAUACUAUGAUGUCUUCAUUGGCAUAUUGGUUAGAUAUUAAAGGAUGGUUGAUUUGGUAUGUUUUGAAAAUGGUUCUUGGUAUGUUUGAUCUAAGUUGAUUAAAUGAACUUGUAAUGUUGAAUGGUAUAAUAUUUGUUGUUACAUUAGUUAGUCUUAUAGGUUGAUGGAAUUGGUAUGUUUUAAAUGUGUUUAAAAUGUGUUUUGAUUAUUUAAAUGUUUGUGGAAAUGGUGUGUCUUGGUGUACAAGAUUUGAAAUUGAAAUGGCUUGAUUUAGAAAGCAACUUAUGCUGCACACCGCCUAGGACAUGGGUUGUCACAUGGCUGUGUGUCAUUAUUGUUUUAGGUACAGGUUUCACACAAUCUAAGACUUGGCUCACGACAUGGCUACGUAUCAUAAGUCAAUAUGUAACACGGUUUGGUACAUGGCCUGUAACACGACCGUGUGUCCAAACUUCAAAUGUUUACACGUCCUGGGCUAUGUCACACGACUUGGCCACAUGGCCGUGUGACCCUUGUUUUAAAGUUUUCUGAAAUUUUCUAUUUUAUUUCAAAUUGAUCCUAGAAUAUUCUCAAACUAUUUUUAGGGCCUCGUAGGUUCAAAUUAAGGCCCACAAAUGUAUGCUUGCUAUAAUUAAGUUGUGCUAAUUAAUGUUAUUAAUUAAAUGGCAUGAAUAUUUUAUUGUAAGUUAAAUUUUUUAAUUUGUCCUAUAAUGCUCCGUAACCCAAAUCAAGUGACGGAGAUAGGUUUGGGUGUUACAAUUUUGGACUGUAAAUUUGUUUUGAGGCUUUGUUCUUUGGUUCUUGCAAUGUUUGUUGGAUUUUAGUGUUUUAACAUUAAACUGCAAAAUUGUAUGAUUUAACAAACUAAAAAUUAGGUUUUCAAAAUUAAAACUCUAGAAAUUUUCAUUACAAAGAUUAAGUAAUCACUUAAGUGUUUUCCCAUAAAUAAUUAAAUGGUUUUUAACAAAUGUUUUCCUUAGUUUUGGGAAUGAUAUGCCAACAUUAGUACUUUUAAAACACAUGGUUUUAAAUAAGGGUUUUCAAACUUUGGUUUUUUAACAUUUGUGAGAGGUUUUUGCCAAAUUUUAUGUUUUCAGAAUGUGUAACUAAGUUGAUUUUAAUUAGUUUUUCAACGAGUUUAUGUAAUUCCUCAAAAAUCCAGUCAUAGCAUCUAGGCCGGGUUUGGGGUGUUACACUAACAUUACUAAAGUUAAUCUUAAUCUAUUUAGUCUAGAUCUAAACAUUAAUAUUCUCUUCAAAGAAAAUCAAGAUUAUCAAAUUAUUACAACUUGGUAGGCAGACAAUCUUAUUAAAUAUGCAUAAAAGUUAAUAAAUAGUUAGCGAAGAUUGAAACAAUCAAAGAAAAAAUAAAUUAAUUAACUAAGAAAUAGGAUCCAUUAUUGUUCCAAGAAAAUAGAGUUUAGUUCAUAUUGAUUGAGAAAAUCAAAAGGGAGAUUCAAAAAACACUUGUGAUAAGGGGAACAAUGUCAAUAGAUCAUAUUCAAGUUGUUCGACUCAAGAAAGAAAUAUUUGGAUCUAGCCUGAAAAGAAGAAACCAAACAGAUUUAGGAAAAAAAGAAAAAAAAGAAAAAAACUUAAAUAAUAAAUUUAAGAAUAAAUAAUAAAUAUUAAAAAUAAUAAAGAAAUAAAGAAAUUAUAGAAUAAAUAGUGGAAGAUGGAAUGAAUAAACGAUGGAUAUGACAUAUAGAUGGAUAAGUGUCUGAUAAUUCUUGAAAAGAGUUAUAUUUCAUGCCUUUAGACCUAACUAAUUGCUUGUACUUAAGUACAUUUUGUUGCAUUUUAAGAUAUUUUAGUUAGUAUUUGUAAUAUUGCAUUAGGAUUUAGAUUGUGUUGGAAUUAGGUGUUUUUAAUCACUUGUGGUGGAGUUUUUGGUGUGCUGGUAUGGCAGGAACAUUAUUUAGAACGAGGAAAUAAAUGAGUGAAGUUUUGCCAAUGCAAAAGUGCAGAUAGUUUGCCAGCACAGAUGCCGUGGAAAUGCCGAGAAGACCAAGUCAACAUUUUUUUGUGCAACAGUCCCAGUUCAAAUUCAAACUUGUACCAAAUAAAUCUCCCUAAAAGAGGAGAAGAUAAUCACAACUUGUUAGCCAACCCUAGCCUAAUCUAUCUAUAAAAGCCAAUGAAGGGGAUCUCACAAAUGGCAGAAAAAAGUGGGAGAGAUCCUUAGGUGUGAAUAAUGAUUCAGCUGUGCAAAGGAAAGGAAGUCAAAGGCAGUCCCUUUUAGCCAUCACAGGACGUUGUGCUGCCGAUGUGUGGACUAGGCAAGUGAAAGUUGUAUCCCAAAGUUCUUUCGUUAUUUCCAUUAGUGUUCCUUCAAAAUAUUGAAGUAGUUGAACACAACGUUGGAUAAUAUUUUGGUUUGGAAUUUUAUAUCCCAGCUCAUGAGCUAAAUCUCGUAGGGUUGAGAUUACUUUUGAAGAAACCUUAAACUGCUUUUAUGAAUGCAAAUGAUCUCUGGACAUAGAAGACUGUUCGUAUACUUAUAAACUGAUUCUAAUUCUAAAACGGUUGGAUUGGUUGGAUUAAAAUUAAAUGAAAUGAGCAAGCAUUCGAUAGACACUUGUAGUAGACUCUAGACAUAGAGUCACGCUCAUACAAAAGGAACCCAUGCAAGAUAUCUAAAAAGCCUUUAGACACAGGCAAGGUAACUUGAGGUGUUGCUCUCACGAGAGGCAGGCCAUUUUAGUACUCUUCUGUGCUUUAAAGUAGAUAUGAUUUUGCCAAGGCAUUAUUGAAAAUAAGGGUCGAUUUUGGGUAAUCUCGACCUUCCAAAUCCACAUCGUAUAUCUUUUAUUCUUUCCCAUAGUAUAUUUGCCACAUCAUUAUUAGUUAUUUAUUUGCUCAUUUACAUAAUAUUCCUAUAGUAAUUCUCAUAAUUGUCAUUACAUUUCUACUCUCGAUUUGGCACAACAUUACCAGUUAUUUAUUAAUUCCACGCAUUGCUUACAUCAUUACUCUACUAAUUACCACUGUAUAUUUACCAUUGACUUUCCCAUAGUAUUAAUCGUAUUUUAUUAUAAUAACUUGACCAAUUUUGUGCCUCAAUUCGAUCCUCAUGGAACGAUACUCACUCAUCACUUUAUUUGUAACAUCCCAAACUUGGAUUAGAAGUUAUGACUGAAUCCGGCGAUAUCACAUGGAAAGGGAUUUGAAGACAAGAUUGUCGAGUUUAAAAACCAUUAUAGAAAGUUAGCUUUUAUUUAAUUCGGGAAAAAAACUAGUUGAUUUUCUUUAAAACUUGUCUCUUAGCAGAAGCUUUUGUAACCAAUUAAUUUACGAAAAAUCGUUUCUAUUUACAAAAAACUUUAGUAGGAAAAACUAUGUUUUGUGGAGUUGCAGUUUUUAAAAGAAACCCAUAAAAAAAGUAUAAAGUCCCAAAUUUAAAACCAACCAGUCCAUAGUCUAGAAGAUACAUCAAAAACUCCAAANNNNNNNNNNNNNNNNNNNNNNNNNNNNNNNNNNNNNNNNNNNNNNNNNNNNNNNNNNNNNNNNNNNNNNNNNNNNNNNNNNNNNNNNNNNNNNNNNNNNNNNNNNNNNNNNNNNNNNNNNNNNNNNNNNNNNNNNNNNNNNNNNNNNNNNNNNNNNNNNNNNNNNNNNNNNNNNNNNNNNNNNNNNNNNNNNNNNNNNNNNNNNNNNNNNNNNNNNNNNNNNNNNNNNNNNNNNNNNNNNNNNNNNNNNNNNNNNNNNNNNNNNNNNNNNNNNNNNNNNNNNNNNNNNNNNNNNNNNNNNNNNNNNNNNNNNNNNNNNNNNNNNNNNNNNNNNNNNNNNNNNNNNNNNNNNNNNNNNNNNNNNNNNNNNNNNNNNNNNNNNNNNNNNNNNNNNNNNNNNNNNNNNNNNNNNNNNNNNNNNNNNNNNNNNNNNNNNNNNNNNNNNNNNNNNNNNNNNNNNNNNNNNNNNNNNNNNNNNNNNNNNNNNNNNNNNNNNNNNNAGUUCUACACUUACGCCCAUAUAAUGCUUCAUACGGUGCCAUUCGUAUACUUGACUGAUAGCUAUUGUUAUAAGCAAAUUCAACCAAUGGUAGAUAUUUCUCCCAACUGCCUUUCAAUUCUAAAAUACAACACCGGAGCAUAUCUUCAAGAAUUUGAAUCACUCUUUCCGAUUGCCCGUCAGUUUGCGGAUGAAACGCAGUACUGAAAUUCAAUUUUGUACCCAAGGCUUCCUGCAACUUUAUCCAAAACCUCGAAGUAAAUCUCAGAUCUCUAUCCGAUAUAAUAGAUUUAGGCACCCCAUGUAAUCUCACUAUUUCAGCAACAUAUAAUUCUGCCAACCUGUCAAGUGAGUAAUCAAUGCGUAUCGGAAUAAAAUGAGCCGACUUUGUCAAUCUAUCAACAAUUACCCAAAUAGCAUCUUUCUUCUUUGGAGUUAAAGGCAAUCCUGUCACAAAAUCCAUCGUAAUACUAUCCCACUUCCACUCUGGAAUCGUUAUCGGUUGAAGUAAACCCGAUGGUACUUGAUGCUCAGCCUUCACUUGUUGACAGAUUAAACACUUUGAUACAAAUUCCGAGAUAUCCUUUUUCAUGCCUGGCCACCAAUACAACUUCUUCAAAUCAUUAUACAUUUUCACACUACCCGGAUGAACUGACAAGUCACCACUAUGUGCCUCACAUAAAAUGGUCUGAAUUAACUCAUCAUUUCUUGGUACACAUACUCUAUCCCGGAACAUCAAGCAAUCAUCUGAACCAAUUUGAAAAUCUGAGUCAACACCUGCUUCACACUGAGCUCUCUUGGCUUGCAAUUUACUGUCAUUCUUUUGAGAUUCCCGAAUUUACUGAAGAAAUAAUGGUCUAGCUCUCAAUUCAACCAACAUUGAGCCAUCAUCAGAUAAAGUUAACAUCGUACCCAUAGCUCUCAAAGCAAAUAAAGAUUUUCUGCUCAAGGCAUCAGCAACCACAUUAGCUUUCCCGGGGUGAUAAUCAAUCACUAGCUCAUAGUCUUUGAUUAGCUCGAGCCAUCUUCGUUGCCGCAAAUUCAAAUCUUUUUGGCUCAUCAAAUACUUCAAACUCUUAUGAUCAGUGAAGAUUCGGCACUUUUCACCAUACAAAUAAUGACGCCAAAUUUUUAAAGCAAAAACAAUGGCAGCCAAUUCUAAAUCAUGCGUCGGAUAAUUCUUCUCAUGCGGUUUCAAUUGUCUCGAAGCAUAAGCUAUUACUUUGCCCUCUUGCAUUAACACACACCCAAGACCAUUCAACGAUGCAUCACUGUAAAUUACAAACUCCUUCCCGGACUCAGGUUGCACCAACACUGGCGCCUCAGUCAAUAAUGCCUUCAACUUUUCAAAACUCUGUUGACAUUUAUUGGUCCAUUCAAACUUGACAUUCUUCUGCAGUAACUUAGUCAUAGGAGAAGCAAUCAUCGAAAAUCCCUUGACAAAGCGUCUGUAAUACCCAGCUAAGCCCAGAAAGCUUCUAACUUCUGUCACAUUCUUUGGUGGCUCCCAAUCAACAAUUGCUGAAAUUUUGCUUGGAUCAACCCGAAUACCUUCACUUGAAACUAUAUGUCCCAAGAAUCCAACCUCACGAAGCCAAAACUCACUUUUGCUGAAUUUAGCAUACAAUUUCUUUUCUCUCAGAAUCUGCAACACAGUUCUUAAAUGUUCUGCAUGCUCAGAUUCAUCCCGAGAAUAGAUUAAAAUAUCAUCUAUGAACACCACCACGAACUUAUCCAAGUACGGCCGAAAAAUUUGGUUCAUCAAGUCCAUAAAAAUAGCUGGAGCAUUUGUUAACCCAAAAGGCAUUACCAGAAAUUCAUAGUGUCCAUACCUUGUUCUAAAGGCGGUUUUCGGCACAUCAGACUCUUUAACUCUUAACUGAUAGUAACCAGACCUCAAAUCAAUCUUAGAAAACACUGUUGCCCCUUUUAAUUGAUCAAAUAAAUCAUCAAUUCUCGGCAAAGGAUACUUGUUCUUUAUAGUCACCUUGUUGAGCUGACGAUAGUCAAUACAAAGUCUCAUAGAGCCGUCCUUUUUUUUCACAAAUAACACAGGAGCACCCCAAGGAGAAAAACUCGGUCUCACAAAUCCUUUAUCUGUCAACUCUUGUAACUGAGCUUUUAAUUCCUUCAACUCAGUCGGAGCCAUUUGAUACAGUGCAAUAGAAAUCGGUGCAGUACCAGGUAACAGAUCAAUAGAAAACUCAACUUCUCUAAUCGGAGGUAACCCAGGCAAUUCCUCUGGAAAUACAUCUGGAAAUUCACAAACUACCGGCACUGAUUCAAGCUUCGACCCAGUAAUAUCCGUGUUUAGCACAUAAGCAAGAUAAACUUCACAUCCCUUUCUCAAGUAUUUCUGAGCAGACAUGUGCGAAAUCACCAUAGGCAACUUAUUCGGCUCCUUUGUUUCAACCCGGAGAAUUUCACCGUUUUCACAAUUUAAUUCAAGAAUUUUCUGUCUACAAUUUCCCUUGGCAUCAUGCAAUAUCAACCAAUCCAUCCCCAAAAUAACAUCAAACUCAUCAAAUGGUAACAACAUCAAAUUAGCCGGGAAACAGUGGCCUUGAAUCAUCAGGGGACAAUUCUUGCAAACCUUAUCGACUAAGACAUAUUUGCCUAAAGGAUUUGAUACUUUAACUACAAAUUCAGUUUUUUCAACAGGCAAUUUCUUACUAGACACCAAAUUCAUGCAUAUAUAUGAAUGAGUAGAGCCGGGAUCAAUCAAAGCAAUAACAUCAAUAUCAUGAAGAGAAAAUGUACCAGUAAUCACAUCGGGAGAUGAGGCAUCCUCUCGAGCGCGUAUAGCAUAAGUCCUAGCAGGCGCUCUAGUUUCUGAUCCUCCAGCUGUAUCUUUUAUCACACUCUUACCACUGGCUUUGCUUCCCACAUUUCUCGGUGGUCUGCCUCUACUGACAACAUCACCCGAUCCAGCUCUUUGUAAUCUUUCUUCUUCUAUUCUCUCAGGGCAGUCUUUUACAUAAUGCUCUUGGGAACCACAUCUGAAACAAGCUCGUUUAAAUCCCCAACACUCACCAGUAUGUCGCCUGCCACACUGUUGACAUUCAGGUCUGGUGUUUCCUACAUUACCCACACUUGCCACUGAGGUAGCUCGAGUUGUAGUUCCGGAAUAUGACCUCCCUCGGUCUCUGCGUGAAUACCCAACUGAACCGGUUGGUCGUGGAUCCAUCCCUUUAAACUUCUUCGGGUGAGAUUGAAAUGUUCUGCCCAUUGACCUCUUCCUUACAUCUCGAGCUUCCAUCUCUGCCCUUCUCUUUUCUCUACUCAGCUCUUCAGCUUUGCAAGCACGAUCAACUAAUACCACAAAUUCUUUUAACUCUAAAAUUCCAACAUGUAAUCUGAUGUCUUCAUUUAGCCCCUCUUCAAAUCUUUUACACAUAAUAGCCUCCGUAGGCACACAUUCCUGGGCAUAUUUACUAAGCCGGACAAACUCCCGUUCAUAUUCUGCUACUGACAUUCGGCCCUGUUUCAAUCCGAGAAACUCUUUGCGCUUCUGAUCAAUAAACCGUUGGCUUACAUAUUUCUUUCUGAAUUCUUCCUGAAAGAAGUCCCAAGUAACUCUUUCUUUUGGAACCACCGUUAUUAAUGUUUUCCACCAACGGUAUGCCGAAUCCUUCAAUAAAGACACAGCACAUUUCAAACAUUCCUCAGGAGUACAAGAUAAUUCAUCAAAUACCUGGAUAGUAUUUUCAAGCCAAAACUCGGCUUUUUCCGGAUCAUCAUCAACAUUGGCCCUGAAAUCUUCAACCCCAUGCUUUCGAAUUCUAUCAACGGGUGGUUUACUUGAUCUCACCAAUUCAGCACUUCGUGGAGCUACGGGGACCGGCGGAGGAAUAGGAGGGGGUGGAGGAGGUGGAACAUUCGGAUUUACACGGACAUAUUCUGUAUACCAAUCACUCAUCAUUCGGAGGAAGGCUUCUCGAGCCUCAUCCUGUCCAUGUGUCUCAUGUCUACUCUCUUCAUGCGCGGUCCCUUGUGUGGGAACCGGCGUGUUACUUUCAACAUCAUCUGCCAUACUUCGAUUAGGAUCCAUUUACUAUAUAAAACAAAAUUUUAAAUUGUCAGAAAUCAUCACACUAUCACAAUAUAUUGAUGGCAUGUAUAGACUGACUUUCACACAUAUUUUAUUGGUCCGAGAACUGACUAAACCGUAGCUCUGAUACCACUAAAAUGUAACACCCCUUACUCGUAUUCCGGCUCGGAACAGAGUAUGAGGUAUUACUAAGUUUUUUAAAAAAAAUUUCGACAGCAUUUCUUCUUAAUUUUGCUUAAACCUCCUGCAAAUUUAAAUCACAAUCCAAUAUAUAUAUAUCAACCAAACUCAUUUAUAAUAAUACUCACAAUUUAACUAUUAAUGAACACCACAUUUUAAAUCAAACCAUAACAUAUAUUUACAUGAUGAUUCCAUAUUUCAUAGGUCGUCUAUACAUGCCAUAAUUUUCCGGAACGAUAGUAGCAAAAUACCCCAAGUGUGAAGGAUAGUGUGGAUGAUUGUCUGACUUCGUUCCAAAUUUCCGAGUUGUCGGAAGUCACUAUAAUCAAGGGAAAAAUAAAAUCGAGUAAGCAUAUAGCUUAGUAAGUAAACACAUGAUAAAUAAGUAAUUACUCACAUAACUACACCAAAAUAUAAACUUAUUCAUGAAUAACUUCAUUGUUUAGGCAAUUUCCAGCAAACUGUUUUUCUGCGUCAUAUUCGCUAAUUUAUUUUUAUCCGGAGCUACAGGGCUCCAAAUUGAGUUUCGUAAAUUUUCCCUGAAACUAGACUCAUAUACCAUUUCACCAUAAAAAUUUCAGAAUUUUUUACCCAGCCAAUUAGUACAUUUUAUUCAUUAAAACUUCCCCUGUUUCACUGCCCAACGGUUCUGACCCUUCCUCAAAAAAAUUCACUUAACUCUCUGUACAAAAUUUUAAAAAUGGUUUCGCUUGUUUCUAUUAAAAAUAGAGUCAAUAAGGAAUCCAGGAAUAUAAAUUUCACACCAUAAUUAUUUUUGUACAAUUUUUGGUGAUUUUCCAAAGUUAGAACAGGGGAUCCCGAAAUCAAUCCAGCCCUGUUUCAGUAAAAUUCAGAUAUCUCCAAAAAUACAACUCUUUUGCUUAUUCUAUUUAUUUCAUAUGAAAAUAGACACAUUCAGCUUCAAUUUCAUAUAUUAUUCAGCUUCCCAUUCAUUUUCCACCAUUUAUGGUGAUUUUUCAAAGUUACCCAUCUGCUGUUGUUCAACACAGUUUAUAACUAAAUCGUUCCUUUUUUCGUUUUUGAUAUUUUCUCCCAUCUCAUACAUGGAUCGAUUUAGUAUCCAACUCAAUAUUUGCCCCAUAAAAAUUUCCACCAUAUGGCAAUAUUCACCUUCCACACUUUUUCGUUGAGCACUCGGAAUGUUAACCGUUAUUGGUGGAUCUCGCACUUAGCACCACCACUUAAUCGGGGAAUCAGCACUUAGCAACCCCUUGGGGGAAUCAGCACAUAGCAACCCCCUUUUUAUUUCAGAGAUACGGUGGAUAUCGCACUUAGCACCACCAAUGAACCGGGGAAUCAGCACUUAGCAACCCCUCGGGGGAAUCAGCACAUAGCAACCCCCUUUCACAUUUCAAAGAUACGGUGGAUAUCGCACAUAGCACCACCAAUGAAUCGGGGAAUCAGCACACAGCAACCCCUUUAUGUACAACAUACUUCGGCUUAUUCCGAGUGUUCAACCCAUAAAUCAUAUAUUGCAACCCUUUACCACAUUUCCCGAUUUAACAACAUUUUUAGGAUAUGGCCAAACAUUUAUUUUAAUUCCAAAUAAAUCUCAACAUAUAUCAAUUAAUGUCAAAAUAAUACAUCAAGUCACGUGUUUACUUACCUCGGUGCAAAAUAUCGUAAUUUUGCACUUCACUUCACUCCACUAUCUUUUCUUUUCCUCGUUUGAGAUAAUCUUCACGUCUUUCUUGAUCUAUAAUAGCAAAUUUAACUCAUUUAAUGUUCACAUUCAUUAAAAUAAUCCACCACCCAACUUUUUGAAAAAUUACAAUUUUGCCCCCAAACUUUUGCAUAAUUACACUUUUGUCCCCAAGCUCGGAAAUUAAACUUCAUCACUUAUUCUUAGGUUUUAUGACAUGCUGAACAUUUUUCCCUUCUAUGGCAACAUCAAAUUCUCACUCUAACAUACACUUAUGAACAAUAAUUAUUUUUACCGAUUAUGCCUAUUUACCCGUUUUCGCUUAAAAUCGCUUAGCAAAAGUUGUUUAACAUAAUUUAUAGCUUCAUAUUCCACCAUAAAACAGAAAAAUAAACACAUUUCACCUAUGGGUAUUUUUCCAAAUAUGAGCCCUAACACGAAUUAUUGCUAGAAUAAGCUAAAUCGAGUUACGAGGAUUCCAAAAAUGCGAAGAACAUUAAAAACAGGGCUAGGAUGCACUUACUAUGAGCUUGAGAAAGCAAAGAAAACUUAGCUAUGGCUUCCUUCAAAUUUCGGCAGCAACUAAUGAGGAAGAUGAUGAUUUUUGUCAUCUUUUUCCCAUUUUAUUUUAUUUUAUUACCAAAUGACUAAUAUGCCCCAUUUAAAAAAAUCUAUUUCUCUCAUUUCUUAUGUCUAUUUUUGUCCAUCAACUAACUAAUGGUCUAAUUACCACAUAAAGACCUCUAAUUUAAAAUUUCAUAUCAAUUAGAUACUUCUACAUAUAGAACUCAACUUUUACACUAUUUACAAUUUAGUCCUUUUGACUAAAUUGAGUGCCCAAACGUCGAAAUUUUCGAACGAAAUUUUUACGAAAAUUUUCCGUGAAAUUGUAGACCAUAAAAAUAUAAUAAUAAUCAUAUUUUCCCUCGUCGGAUUUGUGGUCCCGAAACCACUAUUCCGACUAGGCCCAAAAUCGGCCUGUUACAUAUAGGCUAUUAAAAUGGUGAAAUUAUAUUUUUACAAUAGUAAAAAUUACAAUUUAAUUUCACCCCUAAAAGGAUUUUUUGGCUUCGACCCUAAUAAAAUCUUUGGCAAAAGAUUAAAAUAAAAUUAUACCGUGAAUGGAAAAAGAAACUAAGAAAAUCCAAUCUAACAAAGAAAAUAACUUUGUUUAGCAACCUUUGUUUGAUUAAAAAUGUUGAAUUAAAAAUUCCAGAAUAGAUUAAAAAUUAUACCGUGAAUGGCAAAAGAUUACAAUUUUUUUGGUAAUAUUUUAAAAUUCCAGAAUAGAUUAAAAAUGUUGAAUUAAAGAUAAAAUUAAUAACCACAAGUGUACUCAUUACUCACCAUCUCUGUUAAAAAUGAUCGAUGUUGUUUAGCAACCUUUGUUUGAUUUUCUUCAGCUCAACCACAACAUCUUUCAUAUCUUUUCUUUCUUCCGGUAACUCAGCUGAACAAUUCAAAGCCAACUCCAUGAUAGAUGAAAUACAAUUUGCUUUAACAACAAUGUACUCAUCCUCUCUUCUUAAUAAAUCAACAUCUGCAAUUUCUAUCGCUCCUUUCGGCAAUGAACUUUCCAUCCAAUGCCUUAUACUCUCUUCUUCAACAAAAACAUUACCAGUUGGCUUUUUCUUUGUGAAAGUUUCUAUAAGGACGAUCCCAUAACUAUAGACGUCAGAUUUUAUAGAAACGAUUCCUGCUGAUCCAAAUUCUGCAUUUCAAGUAUAAUUACAACAUCAUUCAUCCUCAAUUAUUUCUAAAAUGCUUAUUCAAAUAUAUAUUCACAUCCACAUGAAACAAAAAUAUAAAAUGCAAAUUAGGAAAAUAAUCAUACAAAAAUAAAAAAUAAUUCACCUGGUGCCAUAUACCCGAUAGUUGCAAGAGUCAUGGUUUGCUUCAUUACUUCACCUUCUCCCAACAAUUUGGCAACGCCAAAAUCUCCAACAUGUGCAACCAUGUCUUCAUCUAGUAAAAUAUUGCUUGGUUUUAUGUCACAAUGAAUAUAGGUGUUGGAUGUCCAUUGUGGAGGUGUUCUAUGCCUACCGCAACAUUUAUCAUUAUGUCGACCCUUUGUAUGAUAUCAAGGAAACAAUUUUCAGAAUGUAACCAUUUCUCAAGGUUUCCAUUAGACAUGUAAUCAAGCACCAAGGCUUUGAAGUCAAGACUUGAGCAGCAAGUAAUGACCUUCACAAUAUUACGAUGAACUAUAUUACGCAUAGCAUCACAUUCAAUGUCAAAACUCCUAAAUGCUCCCUCUGUUUGCAAAUUGAAAACUUUUAUUGCAACUUCCAUUCCAUCUGAAAGCCUCCCUUUAUAUACAUAUCCAAAACUCCCUGAACCAAGCAUAUUGCUUUCCUCAAAUCCAUUAGUUGCUCGUGAAAGUUCAGCAUGUGAAAUUCUUCUCGGUGUCUUCAAAGACAACAAAUCAUCUUUAAUUGGUAGAGCUGUACUCCUUCUUUGGCAUCUUCUAUACAUAAUAGUUAAGACUAUUAAUACUACGACAAUACCAAUUGUUGGUAAACCAUACCUAAAAGCAUGCAAUAUAAUCAUUUGGGAGUUUUUGUGGAUGUCGUUUUUACAAGGUGGGACUAGCAGUCUAGGUGGACCACAAAGUGCAUAAUUCUUUAUGAAUGAUGUGCUAGAAAAGUUUGAAAAACAUCCUUCGCUGGGAAUUUCCCCUUCAAGUCUAUUGAAAGACACAUUAAAAUACUUUAGAUAUAAAAGCUUCUCCAAAGAUUUGGGAAUGACUCCAGAGAGAUUGUUAUUGCAUAAAUCCAAGAAUUCCAAACUAAUCAACCCAUCAAAUGAUUCAGGGAUAUGACCAUGUAGUAUAUUAUUUGAUAAAUCUAAUGAAACCAAAGUUAUAAGACCCCCAAAUGUGGAUAAGAUAUCCCCCGUGAGAAGAUUCCUUGAUAAAUUUAGUUUCAGUAGACUCCUCAAAUUUCCGACAUCAAUAGCAUGUGAAUUGUGAAGAUGGUUUGAUGAUAAAUCUAUUUUUAAGAUAUCUUGAAGAUUCCACAAAGUUGAGGGUAUUGCGGAACUCAGUUUGUUGGAAUCUAAGUAAAGAUAUCCCAAAGAAGUAAUAUUACCCAAACAAGAGGGUAUGGAUCCAUGUAGCUUAUUCAACCCUAAAUACAUCUCGUAUAGUCUCUCCAAAUCACAAAAACUUUCUGAGAUGGGCCCUCCUAAUUUAUUAGAGGAAAGAUCUAGACCUUGGAGAUUUCGCAGUCCUCCUAUUGAUGCUGGAAUGAAUCCACUUAAUUUAUUAUGGCGAAGUUGUAAAAGCAAUAGGUUGGUUAAGUUACCUAUUUCCAUAGGAAUAAUGCCUUGAAGCUCACAAUUAGAGGCAUAAAAGUAUUGAAGGGUUUUUGAAAGGUUCCCGAUAUAAGUAGGAAGAACACCACUCAAUGGAUUUCCUGAAACAUCUAUUGUGCUCAAAUUCCUACAAUUCGUCAAAGAAGAAAGAAAGCUCCACUCAUGAUCGGUAGAAGAUCCUGUGAUCAAAUUAUUGUUUUUGAUUCGGAACCAUUCAAGGUGUCUUAAGUUGCCAAGCGUUUUAGGGAUUGGGCCAGAGAAUAAGUUAUGCGCCAAGUCUAGUUCCUUAAGCAUGGAAGCAUUGGAGAUAGAGUUGGGAAUGUUUCCGCUAAGUUUAUUUCUCCACAAUAAAAGAAUCUCAGGCUUUGGAGCAUUGGUGAUGGGUGGUAAAUUACCUGUAAAAUAUCAUCUUUUAGUAUACAUAUUCAUUGAAUACCAAAUUCACAAAAUAUAUUAUACAUUAAAAUAAAAACUGUAAAACUUUAAAUCAAUUAAGAAUAAAAUUUUGGCAUGGAAAAAUGUGAUGAAAUCAAUUACAAAGUUGAGACAUACUAAGAAGUUUCAAGUAGUAAUUAGUCUUGUGAUUUGUAUAGACAAAACAUAUAGAUUUGGGAAUGUGGCAUCUAAUCAAUCUUAAAAAUGAGACUGGCACUGAAUAAUAAUUAGUUAUGAUUUGGGAAACAAAAAGGUUAAAGCCAUUGUUUUUAAUGUAAACUGAUAUGAUUUUUAUUUAUUGGGUUAAUUAUUUAUUGUUAUUAAAUUAUAGUGUAAAAUUUAACGAUUAUUAUUUGCUCAAAAUUUCUGUAUUUUUCGUAUAUUUGAAAUUUAAUCUUUAUAUUUUUUAUUUUUUGUGAUUUAGUCUCUCUACUUUUUGAAUUGAAAAUUUUAGGUUCAUUUACUAACACUAUUAAAAAGUUUUUGUGUCUAGUAUGGCAUUUUGAAAAAUAAAAUAAACUUGAUAUCUAUGUUUUUAAUUAUUCCAAAUAUUGCUUUACUAUUUCAAGAUAAAUUAUUUGUGUCUAGACUAAUAUCUUAAGAACUAUUGUUGCAUGUUUAAUUAUCUAAAAAAUUAUCGAUUGAGUCUUAGCUUGAUUGGCAUGUGCGUUGUUGCCAAUGUAGGAGAAUGUGGGUUCAAGUAUGUUGAAGUGUAUUAUCUUCUUAUUUAUGAAUUAGGGAGUUGGUAAAGUACUAAAAUUUGAUAUAUUUUAAAAUAUUAAAAUUUAUUAAAAUAUUUUUUAUAAAAAAUGAUUCUACCACAAUAUACAAUUUUAAUAUCAAAUUUUUAAUUUUUUUUAAAAAUGUUAGCGAAUAUAUACUUUAUUUCAAGUUAUGCAAUUUUUACUAGUUUUUAACUUUUUUUCAAAUUUUUAUCGUCUUUUAUAAUUUCUAAUAAUUUUUUAUAAUUUUUUUACAAUAUUUAACAAUUUCUAAAUUUUUUUUAAUAAUUUUAUUAUGUAUUACAAAUUUAAAAAUUAACAAAUUUUUAUAUUUUUAAAAAAAUUAUAUAUUUAUAAUGUAUUUAUUUUUUAUAAUUUUAUUUGAAAUUUUAAAGAUUUUUUUGGUUUGUUUUCUAGAUGAUGAUGCCAUCAUGAUGCUAACAUAUUAUGAUUAGAUAUCUCAAUCUAUUCUUUUAACGCCCAGUGAAUGAAACCAAGAACACCUAAUGUUAAAGUGGGUAAAAACACAUUAAGGACCAAAGUUAAAAAAAGAAAAAGAAAAAGAGCAAUAUGCUGUAGGGAAUAAACUGUGCAUUAAGCCAUUAAAAAUAUAUGUAUAAUAUAUAUAAAUGCAUGGAUUUUGAGAAACUUUUGAACUGAUAAUUAUAUAGUCUUUGUUGUUUACUAUAUUAUUGAAUUUGUUAUUUUAAAUUAAUUUUAUUACUUUUAAGAUUUAUAUAAGAAUUUUGGUUUUACUAAAAUAUUUGCUUAAAUAAGUUCACUUCAUAAGAAAAUUUAGCAUCCUUAUAAAUAACAAUUUUGAUUCUAUUAAAAAACUUAUUUUAAAAAAUUAUAUAAUCAAAAUUUAAAAUUUAUAUUGAAUUACUUUAUACUUAAAUUAUUAUUAGAAACUUUAUCAUACACAUACGUGUAUGAGAACCACGUAUUUAGAACAUAAAUUUGUGUUUUAAAAUAACUUAUGAUAAAUAAUGAAAUGUAUAAUUUGAAACUAUUUAAUAAUAACACAUAGCAUAUCUACCAUAUUAAAAUAAAAAUAGAUUAAAUUGUAAGUAAAACAUAAUUUAAACAUAUGAACACAUCAAAUUAAGAAUACUAAAUGAAUAAAGUUAUUUAUAAUGAUAUUGUUGUCAAUUCCUAAAUUGGUGUCGAGUUAAUCUGUGACAUCAUAAAUUUAAGUGAUAAAUUUAAGGAUUUAUGUAUUGAUGUGGAUUCAAAUAUCACCAUAAGUUUUUUAAAAAUAAAAAACUAAAAUACCUUAAAAUACUAUAACUUAUAUUAAAUACGAAAGAGUAUUUUUGUAAUUUUCCUAACCGAGUUGGUGCCCGGUUGACUCAUGACACCAACUCAAUUAAAAGAUUUAAUAAUAAUAUAGAUAUUCACGUUAAAAAAACAAAAAAAAAGUACUUUAGUUCCAAAUAAUUAUAUAACAAGUAAAUUUAUAAUUGAUGAAUAAAUUUAUAGAUAAUAUAUUUAUAUGAUCUAAUAUAUUAUAUUAAUAUUAAUUAUAUAUCAUCUACAAUCUUUGAAGAUCAAUUUAUUAAGUAUCAAGAAAAGAAAAAAAUGAAAUUGAGUUAACACUAAAUCAAUUUUUAGAUUUUGUACAGAUGAUUUAAUGAUGAUAAAAAAAUUAUUAGCACUAUUUUUGAAUUAACAAAAAAUUAGUGAUAUAUUUUAAUUAUAUUUAUUAUUUAUUAUUUUUAAUAAUAUUUUUUAAAAUUAUAUGAAGUAAAAUUAUACUGUAUACUAAAUAUGGUACAUAUACUUUAAUUGUAACUUGAAAAUUUAUUAUAUAAAUUAAUAUAUUUUAAUUAUAUUCAACCAUUUGAAUAACAAAAUAAAAAAAAACUAAUUAGAAUAAUUUUUAGAAAAAAGAAAAAACAUUAUUUAAAGGCUAGUUAAAAAUCACGUGCAACAGGUGAUAUGAGAAUCUAUGUAUAUAAAUGUGUAUAUAUAUAUCGUUGUUUCAUUUUUUUUUUAAAUAAAUAUAUUUUCCACAUUGGUUUCUUUUCUUGUACAGACAAAGGAUUUCUAAUGAUUUUAAAAAAAAAAAUUUACUUAUAUAAAAUAGAUCAGUUUAUUCAGUAAAAUAAAUCAAUUCAUAUAAAUGUUAUUGUUUAUUAUCAGAUUGAAAUGAUAAAAGUAUAUGACAUAAAUAGAAGAAACAAAUUCAACACAAUGUUUUCCGAGUUUGGAAAAAAUUAAAGUGAAAAACAUACCUUCUAAUUUGUUGCCAUAUAGAGCUAUUACUUCGACCAUAGUUGAAUUAAAAAUACUUGAUGGAAUCUGACCUGCAAACAUAGUUGAAAAUUGAAGUAAAAAACAUACCUUCUAAACUCUUCAACUAAAAAUACUUUAAGCAUAUUUUUUUUCCCAUCAAAUUAACUAUUUUGCCUUGAAUGAAAUAAAAUGCUCUUACUUUUGUUAUCUAUUACAAAUCAAAUUCUUCUAUGAAAAAAUAUUUUAAAUUAAAGAAACAAAGAAAAUUCAAUAUCUUCUAAGUAAAGCACUUCAAGCUUGGGAAGAUCAUUAGGCAAACUACCUGAUAUGCCAGUGUUGGAGAGAUCAAUGAUCUUCAGAGAAGAAAUGUUGAAGAUCGAAGUUGGAAUCUGACCUGUGAGGCCUUUAAUUUCUUUAAUACUAAGCAGCUCCAAACCAAGAAGAUUACCGAUUUCCUCAGGAAUUUGACCUGCACACAUAUUUAGUCGAAAAAUCAAGAUGUCAAACUGCCUAUAUUGUUAGCAUAAGUCAAAGAGGUUUUCGUUUCUGCUCUACAGUAAUUUGGAGAUGUUAGAUUUAAUAUAUUUCAGCAUAUGUUUUUCAUCAAAUGAAAUAAAAAAGUUUUUCCUUUUGUUAUCUAUUAAAAAUCAAACUCUUUUAUAAAAAAAUACUUUAAAUUUAAGAAAUCAAGGAAAUUGAUUACCUUCUAGAUUAUUAAACCCCAAAUAUAAUUUCUGGAGUUGUGUUAGAUUUCCAAUACUUCUUGGAAUGAUCCCCAUAAAUUGAUUAUAGGACAACGACAAACUUUUAAGGUUGCUGCAUUUGCCCAUGCCAAAUGGAAUGUUACCAGAUAAUUCAUUCCAACUCAGGUAAAGCUCUUCAAGCUUGGGAAGAUGUUGACACAUAUCAUUAGGCAAACUACCUGAUAGGCUAUUGCUGGUGAGACUAAUAGAUUUCAAAGAAGAAAUCUUGAAGAUGGAAGAUGGAACCUGGCCAGAUAAUUGAUUCAAUUCCAAGUUCAAGAUCUCUAGGUUAGACAUGUUAACAAGUGUUUCAGGGAUUGUGCCUGUAAAGUUAUUAUUUUUCAUUUUCAGCGUUCGAACUCUCUGUAAGUUCCCAAGCCAUGAUGGAAUUUCUCCAUUAAGACGGUUGUAGCUUAAUCGAAGGAUCCUCAAACGAUGCAAUUGGCCCAAUUCUUUAGGGAGAUAGCCAUAGAAAUGGUUGCUACUCAAGUCGAGUGAGAGUAGAAGUGAAAGAUUUCCAAGGUGUGGAGGGAUAGUACCCCUAAGAUUCAUGCUUGUAAGAUUCAAAGCUAUAACUCUUUUAUGGAGGAUGCCACAAGUAACACCAAUCCAAUUGCAAACAGAGGUUGAGGCCGUCCAAUUGUUUGCCAAGACAUUUUGAGGACCGGCAAUGUGAUCCUUAAACUCGAGAAGUGCAAACUGAUCGGAGUUGAGAUUCUUGACUGUCAUAGCCAAGCAAAGUACGGAACAUGGUAUGAAUAAAGCUAAGAGAAGAUGAAAGCCAGCGUUGUAGUUCAUGAUUGCAAGACGGAAUAAGGCAAGAAAAUAAAAAAAAGUAGGAAAAGGGAAGUUGAGCUGAUAAAAUAGUUUGGAUGAUGAAGAAAAGCCCAGAGAGCAUGCUUUAAUAUGUUUCAACCCUCGUACACUUGAUAAACUUGAUAAAUUUAAGACUACCCUAAAAAUUAAAAAGGAAAGCAAAGUUUUGAAGAAAUUUCAAAAUAAAUGUCAAGUCUUCUUCUUUAGAAAAUACGUACAAAGAAUCGAAUUUUCAAAAUUUCUCCUAAAUUUUCUUCACGUUACUCCACAUAAUCCAUUAAAAAUACUUAAAAAUAUAUUUUAAUAAUUACUAUAUAUUCUUUUAUUUAAUAAAUUGUUUAAAAAUGCUAUUAGUCCCUGUAAUUUAAAAGUUAAAAAAAAAAUCCAAUCCUCCUAUUUUUCUAAUUUGAAAAUUCUAGUCCAAUAAUUCUUAAUUCCAUUAAAAAAUUUCAGCUUAAUAGGUUUUUUAUUAUCAAUCAUAUGCAACAGUAUAUGAAUGCAGUCUACUCAGCAUAUAUCCAAGUUUACAGAUUUUAAUAGAAAAUACUUACAAUCCUAAUGGUAGGACUAAGUUUUUUAAACUAGAAAAGUGAGAAGACUUAAUUUUUAACUUUUUAAGCACAAGGAUUAAAUUUUAAAUGUUGUCAAAGUACAAGCACUAACAAAAUAUUUUGAUCUAAUAAAUGUAAAAAACUUUUUAAACAAAAUAAGGUUGAAAUAAUCUAUUUGUCCUUGUACUUUGAUAAAAUUUGAGAUUUAGUCCUUAUAUUUAAAAACUUAAAAAUUAAGUCUUAUUGUUUUUAUUUAAAAAUCUUAGUCCUAUCCUUAAUUUUAUUUUAUCAAAAUUGGUCAACUUUACAUAUUAAUUAGGUUUCCCUUAUAUGUCGCGGUAUCAAUCAAAACUUAAUUAAUAUCCAUCAAUAUCCAUCAAUACGUCAUACAUAAAAAAAGCAAGCAUAAAAUACAGUUAAAAGUCCUCCUUUUAUUAUUAAAUGUUUUAUUUUAGUUAUUUUAAUCAAAUAUAUCCAAAUUACAAUAGAGUUAACAUUUAUUGUGUAAAAAAUAUUUUAAAUUUUUUUUUCAAUUUUAGUUUAAUUCUAGAAGAAAUAUUUCAUUUAUAAAAUCAUAAAACUUUAAAAAUAUUAACUCUGUUAAAUAAAAAUUAUUUUUUUAAAUAGUAAAUGUUAACUUUAUUAACACAAAUGGGCCUCAGUAAUUGACAAGCUCUUCCACAAACUGUGGAAGAUUUGGGGAUAAAAGCUUCAAUAAUUAUGGAGUUAUAGUGUAAAUUUGCCACUAUAUUAUAAGUGUAUUGAAAUUUAUCACUAUAUUUUAUUUGAUGUUUAUCAUUACACUUUGAAAAUAUAAGUAAAUUUACCAUUUAACUCAGAUUUACCUUUGCAAGUAAACUUAAAAUUUUAUUUAAUUUUGUCACUAAAUUUGAUUUGUUCAAUAUAGAUUUUGGUGACUUAAAACUCACUAAAUUUGAUUUUUUCAAUAUACAUUUUGGUGACUUAAAACAAAAUUAAUAAAUAAUUAUUCUUUUGGAUAUCUUUUUAAUGUUUAAUAAUAAGUUAAUUUAUAAAAUAUACUGUCAUUGGACACAAGCCUCUAAGGCGGUGAACCACUAAUCAAAUUAAUUUGGAGAUAUCUUUUUUUCUAAAUAAAGUGAAUUUACGAGUUUUGUUUUCUUUUAAAAACAUUUUUAAUAUUUUUGUGGAUAUCAAAAAAUUUUUCAAUAAGAAAUUUUAAUUCACUCGAAAAGUUAGUGUUUUAUUUCAAGGGGUCAUAAUUAAUCAUUAGAUUUCCCAAUUUUAAAUUUUAAAUUUUUCGACAAUUGCGUAAUUAAUAAGUACCAAUUUUGAGUGUUGUAGGGCUAGUACAAUCUUCCUUACACAUAACCGACUCUUAAACCUACUCUUUUCUCUAGAAUUCAAUGCAAACAUCGAAUUUAUCUUUUGAAAAGAAUUUUAAAAUAAUAUAAAAGGUGUUUUUUUAUGACUGAUCACACUUAACAAAAAUUUAAAAAUUAUUAAAAAAAUUUCAUUUUGAAAUUUAAAGUGAUCUAAAAACAUAUUUUUAAGUGCUUUGGACCAUCUGUUGCUGAUUUCCUUAUUAUAUUAAAUGUUUGCAAUCACUCCUAAUAUAUUGUGCUUGAGUUGUGACAGAGCAAAUCGCCAACGUGCCAUAUUGAUCUAUUGAUGCUGAAACUGAAGUUUUUGUUAUAUUGAUAGAGCUUGUCCUUCAACGCAUACAACGUGUUUGUUAUUUUUCUCCCUUCAAAUUGUAUGAUCUUAUUUAUUUAAUGAAUUAAUGAAUUUCCCUUUUAAAAAGAUAUAUUUUUAAAAUUAAAUACUUUAUAAAAUAUUUAAAACUACUUAAAAAAUUGUAAGCCUUAAAACAAUCAACAAAAUAUAUUUUUCUCUAAAAAAAUCAAUAAAAAUAUGUUUAAAAUUUUAUAUGAAAUUAAAUUUUUUUUAACAAUAAUAUAUUUUAAAAUUAUAGUAACGCUAUAAAAUAUAUAUAUACAUAUAUAUAUAUAUUUACUAAUUAUAUACACCUUUCCAUACAUCCUUUUUCUACAUAGAAUUUCAAAAGUAAAUGUGAAUUAAUGUAGGCGUAAGAAGACUUACAGGUAAGUCACCCAACGAAAGUGUCCUAAACCGACUUAUGGAAGAAUCAAACAAUAAUUUUGUAUCGUAUAAUAUAUUUAAUUACAUUUAUUAGUUUAUCAAUCAAAACUUAAGUAGAAUCCAUCAAUAUUUCACACAUCAAAACCCAAACAUAAAAUUCACUUUUAAAUUAUUCGGGGAAUAUUUGUAUUAUAGGAAAUGGAUUAAAUUAGACUUUUAUUAUUAAAUGUAUUAUCUUAAUCUUUGUAUUAGGUAUGAAUGAUAUCUCUUAGAUUGAAGCUAGAGCUAUUCUUGAAUGAUUGAAAUUAAGAUUAAGAUGUGUUGAGAUGGAAAGUGGCAACACAAUGCUGAUUGAUGCUAUUUGUAAUGGGUUGGCUACAAUAAGUAGUGCUGCUGAAGUAAGACAAAUUUAUGAUUGGUGUUCCAAAAUUUUGGGAAGUCAAAUUUUGACAUUUUCAGCGGAAUGCCAAUAAAGUUGUUGAUUGCAUAGCUAUGGCAGAUGGAGGCAUAAUUGAGCAGCUGGUUAUCUUGAAAGAUCCUCUGCAUUAUGUGAGAUACUAGCUUGAAGAAGAUAUUAGACGGUCACUGGUGACUGAUGAUAAUUUUCAUUUGGACUGAUGAGCGCUUAAUUUUCUAAGCUUAUGGUCAACCAAAAAAAAUAAAUAAAUGCGUCUAAAUUGUAAUAGAGUUAACAUUUAGUGUUUAAAAAAAUCUUAAAAUUUUUUUUUCAAUUGCAGUUCAAUUCCAAAAAUAUCGAUGAUGAACCCGAACAUAAAAAUUACCAAAAAAAAAAACACAUCUAUUAUCAAACCAACAAUCCAUGUCUAAACUUAAAUUAACAAAAUUCGCCACCCAACCCAAUACACUAUUUUAUAUAUAUAUUAGAUUUAUUCUAGAUGCGCAUGUUUUAUUAUAUUUAAAAAUUAAAAUAUAUGGUUGACUGAGUUUUAGCUGAGUUGAUAUUGGUAUUAUUGUUAGUGUAAGAAAAUUUGAGUUUAAUCGUGUUCAAAUGUGUUUUAUCCUCCAAUUUAAAGGUUAGGAAAAUAUUAUUGAUAAUUAAAUUAUACCAACUUGAUGAUAUUAAAAAAAGGAUGUAUAAAAAAUAUAAGGGAGAAAAAAAAAAGGAGAAACAUAUUCAUAUUGAUGGGCUCUUUCAAUAUUAGACUUUUUUUCUCUCACAAGUAAAAGUAGUUAUGGAGAGGAUCAUGUAAAAUAAUAGCCUGAAUAAUUUUAAACGUCUCAUCAUUGCAAAAAUGAAAUAGUAGAAAAGAAAGAGUAGACAUUCUAUGAAAUUUAUAAUUCCAACCGUGAAUAAAAUAUAAAUUUUAUGAAUGUGGACAAGCAAUUUUAUUUAACUUUUUUUAAAGUCAUUUUGUUUGUUUCCUAAUCACCAUGAAAUUACUUGUCACAAUUCAUCUUUUUAAAUGAGAAACAUUUUCCACAAUUUGCCAUCACUUUAACAUACACUAACUUUUCUAUGAUUAGUCCUUUGUUUGCUUUGGGUGCAAUCUUCCAACUAGCCUCAUCCUUGGUUUUACUUUCCAACAUUUAGUGUAUUACGAGUUUUGUUUUCUUUAAAAAAUAUUUUUGUGGAUAUUAGGAGAUAAUGAAAUUAUUUUACUAUGAAAUUUUAAUAAAACUGGAAAAUAAGUCAUUUAUUUUAAGAGAUCACAAUUAAACAUUAGAUUUCCAAUUUUUUAAUUUUAAUUUUUUUUGACAAUUGCAUAAUAUUUUGAGCGUUGUAGGAAUGCCAUAACCUUCCCUACGCAUAAUCGACUCUUAAGUAUGAUGGAUCCUAGACCUUCUCCUCUAUUCUUGUACCACAAAUUGCUUCGAGUGUGGGUUCGGAAAAUCACAAAUUAAGCACAAAACCAAAAAUGAUUUUGUAACACCCCAAACCCAGCCUAGUCAUUAUGGAUUAAUGUAGACCUGAGAAGACUUAAUUACAUUUAUUAGUUUAUCAAUCAAAACUUAAUUAGAAUCCAUCAAUAUUUCACACAUAAAAAACCCAAACAUAAAAUUCACUUUUAAAUUAUUUGAAGAUAUAUUUGUAUUAUAGGAAAUGGAUUAAAUUAGUCUUUUUAUUAGUAAAUGUAUUAUUUUAAUCUUUUUAUUAGGUAUGAAUGAUAUCUCCUAGAUUGAAGGCAGAGCUAUUCUUAAAAGACUAAAGUUAGGAUUCAGAUGUGUUGAGAUGGAAAGUGACAACGCAAUGUUGAUUGAAACUAUUUGUAACGGGUUGACUACAAUAAGUAGUGCUACCGAAGUAAGACAGAUUCACGAUUGGUGUUCCAAAAAUUGGAAAGUCAAAUUUCGACAUAUUCAGCGGAAUGCCAAUAAAGUUGUUGAUUGCAUAGCUAAGGCAAAUGGAGGCAUAAUUGAGCAGCUGGUUAUCUUGGAAGAUCCUCCGCAUUAUGUGAGAUGCUAGCUUGAAGAAGAUAUUAGACAGUCACUGGUGGCUGAUGAUAAUUUUCAUUUGGACUGAUGAGCGCUUAAUUUUUUAAGCUUAUAUUCAACAAAAAAAAAAUUAAAUACGUCUCAAUUGUAAUAGAGUUAACAUUUAGUGUUUAAAAAAUAUCUUAAAAAUUAUUUUUUCCAAUUGCAAUUCAAUUCCACAAAUAUCAACGAUGAACCUGGACAUAAAAAUUACAAAAAAAAAAAAACACAUCUAUUAUCAAACCAGCAAUCCAUGUCUAAACUUAAAUUAACAAAAUUUGCCACGCAACCCGAUACACUAUUUUAUAUAUAUACUAGAUUUAUUCUAGAUGCACAUGUUUUAUUAUAUUUAAAAAUUAAAAUAUAUGGUUGACUAAGUUUUAGUUGAGUUAGUAUUGGUAUUAUUGUCAGUGUAGGAAAAUGUGAGUCUAAUUGUGCUCAAAUUUGUUUUAUACUCCAAUUCAAGGGUUAGGAAAAGGUUAUUGAUAAUUAAAUUAUACCAACUUUUAUGAUAUUAAAAAAAGGAUUUAUAAAUAAUAUAAGGAAAAGAAAAAAAGAGAGAAACAUAUUCAUAUUGAUGGGCUCUUUCAAUAUUAGACUUUUUUUCUAUCACAAGUAAAAAUAUCAAAGGUGAUAAUAAUUAAAUUAUAAAAUUUAAAUUGAGAAAAUAGGGGAUUGAAUUUAUAACUUUUAAAGUAUAAAGAAUGAAUUUAUAACUAACAACAUAUUUUAACCACACAAUAAAAGUAGUUAUGGAGAGGAUCAUGUAAAAUAAUGACCUGAAUAAUUUUAAACGUCUCAUCCUUGCAAAAAUGAAAUAAUAGAAAAGAAAUAAGUGUUGGGUGUAGUGGCAAUGUACAUUAUACUUCUAAGGGGAGAUCAGGGUUUUAUACAAGGGAAGAAUUUUAAACCUGCUUUUUUCUCUAGAACUCAACGCAAACCUCAAAUUUAUCUUUUUAUAAGAAUUUUAAUAUAUCUAUAUAAAAGGUGAUUUUUUUGCCGAUCACACUUAACAAAAUUUUAAAUUUUUUUUUUUGAAAUUUAAAGUGAUCUAAAAACAUAUUUUUAAGUGCUUUAGACCAUCCUGUGUUGAUUUCUUUAGUAAUUUGAUUUGUUCAAUAUAGAUUUUGGUGACUUAACACAAAAUUAAUAAAAAAUAUUUUUUCAGAUAUCUUUUUAAUGUUUAAUAAUAAGUUAAUUUAUAAAAUAUACUUUCAUAGGACACAGGCCUCCAAGGCGGUGAACCACUAAUGAAAUUAAUUUUGAGAUACUUAAAUUUGUUUUCAUCAAUUAAGAAAUUUGAAAAAUUGUUGAGACCUCAUGAUUAUCUUUUAUAAUUUCAGGCUUAUCACCAAAAAACUAAAAAACAAAAUCGUCGACAUUAAAUUUGUUGGCAUGCAAUCAAUUUUAAGAUGGUUUUUGGAGUUAUAUAUCACUUUAGCAUGGACUUACUUUUCUACAGUUAGUCUUCUCCAACAAGUUAAAUAUUUCAAUUUUAACAACAUUGACAGGUCUUUGGGGUAGGGUCGAGCAAAACUCAAUAGAAAUAGAUGAUAUAGAUUGAGUUAGCUCGGCCAAGUCGAGUCGACUUGUUCAAAUUAGUUAAAUUAGUAAAUUUUAGGGUGCAGUUAGAAUUUUUUUUUGUUUUGAGAUGCUAAGAUUAAAAAAUUUCAGUUGCUAAAACAAAAAAAUUGUAUUUAAAAAAAGGCAUAAAGAAAGGCUGAAUGACAAAUUGCCCAAAGCCCAUGCCCCUAGCUAUACGCCCCUGGUAAAAUCAAUUUUAAAAUUAGUUAUAAUAGUUGAAGCGAUUGAUUAUUGAGGAAUGAAAUACAUAGUUCAACAAAAUAAAUAAGUUGACAAAUUUUGACAAAAAAAAUCAAAAAUAAAAUAAUAGAAAAGAAAGAGUAGCCAUUUUAUGAAUUUAUAAUUCCAACCGUGAAUAAAAUAUAAAUUUUAUGAAUGUGGACAAGCCAUUUUAUUUAUAAUUUUCUGUGUUUUUCUUCUUUUCCUGACUUUUUUUUAAAGUCAUUUUCUUUGUUUCCUAAUCACCAUGAAAUUACUUGUCACAAUUCAUCUUUUUAAAUGAGAAACAUUUUCCACAAUUUGCCAUCACUUUAACAUACACUAACUUUUCUAUGAUUAGUCCUUGGUUUGCUUUGGGUGGAAUCUUCCAACAAUUAGUGUAUCACGAGUUUCGUUUUCUUUAAAAAAUAUUUUUGUGGAUAUUAGGAGAUAAUGAAAAUUAUUUUACUAUGAAAUUUUAAUAAAACUUUAAAAUAAGUAAUUUAUUUUAAGAGAUCACAAUUAAACAUUAGAUUUCCAAUUUUUUAAUUUUACAAUUUUUUGACAAUUACAUAAUUAAUAAGGUACCAAUGUUGAGCGUUGUAGGAAUGCUAUAACCUUCCCUAAACAUAAUCGACUCUUGAGCAUGAUGGAUCCUAGACCUUCUCCUCUAUUCUCGUACCACAAAUUGCUUUGAGUGUGGGUACGAACAAUCACAAAUUAAACACAAAACCAGAAAUGAUUUAUUACUUUUAAUAGCAAAGUAAUUCUCUCUCAAUAGAAACCAAUAGAAUUGUAAUUCCCAUAAAAUAAAAUUUAUUUUCUGAAAUAUAUUCUCACUACUUUCUAGCAGAGUAACAAUAUUUAAAACUUAUGUCUUGUGUUAAUAGCUUUACUAGCACUAUCUAUUUAUAGGGAGAGAGAUGAGAGUCCUGGUUGAAUUAGUAAAACACGAAUAAUAUUUAUUUCAUAGAAGACAAUUUCAUAGAAAACUUAUGUCUUGUGUUAAUAAUGUUGAAUUUGUAUGUACAAGUUUCUAAUACACUUGUUGGGACAUUCUUUGACUUUUAUCUAUUCUCUCAAAAAGUUAAAGUUCAAAGUUGCAUUAAACUCAAAUAAGAUAACCAUUAGCAAACCAGCUCACAAGCCUGCUCAAGCUAAUCCUACAAGUCAUUCCACUUCAUCAUCAAGCACCAAUGUUCUUGCUUAUCCUUAUGGAAUUAAACAAAAGAAAAAAGCUCUUUAAGAGUUAUUUCAAUAGACUUCUUUAAUGGUAAAUGACAAUCCACUCUAUUGAUGCUUCUUCGCCCAACUCAUGAUUUAAAAGAAGUUUAUACUCAUGGAUCAAGUGUAGCUCACCAGUUAUCAUUAAGGAGAAAAAAGAGUCAAUCAAGUGAAAAUUAUAUUCCAACAUCCCCCCUGAACCAAAUUUUAGAGUGAUGAAUGUCAUGACAACUGACACUACAUUCUUAGAAGAAUAAGUAGAUCUCUAGCAAAAACGAUGGAGAGUCUUACUACAAGCAUAAAAGGAAUGGAUGAUCAAAUUGAACAUCUUAGAGGAAGUAACCAAACCUUUUCCUACGAAACUCAACAUCCUCUUCACAAAGUUGUUGGAAUCAAAAUUGUUGAAGGACUUUAAAGUGUUUCUUUAGAUCAAGUUAAGGAGCUCAUUAAAGAAACCAUUAAAGAUCAAGUCAAAAGUGUUGCUCUACCUUCAUAUACAUACUUGAAGCCAUACAUUUGAAGGGCUUAUCAUUUGAAUAUGCCUGAACAUUAUCCACCUCCAAAAUUGCAAUAGUUUGAUGGUAAAGGAAAUCUAUGUAAACAUGUCGCUCACUUCGUGGAAACUUGUGAUUGCGUCGAUGUAACACCCCACUCGCGACCUAAUCGCUGGAUUCGAGAAGAGAGAUACCGAAAUCAUGUUGGAAAAAUCUAGUUUGAAAAUGGUUUUAUUUAUAGAGGAAAAUAAAAAUUUUGAAAACUGACUCGGUUUGUGAUAUUUAUGGCAAUAAAUGUUAAACUGAAAUCAUAAAUGUGCUUUUGAAUAAGCAAAUCCUUGAUGUUUUCUAGCUUUAAACCAAAUUAUCUUCUUCACUAUUCUCAUACCACAAAAUGCUUUGAAGUGUGGACUUGAACCAAUUGAAUCAAAACACAAAACUUGAAAAAGCUUUUUAUUCUUUUCGGGGUGAAACCUAAAAUUUUCUCUUAUUUAAUAGAAACCAGUAGAAAUGUUUAUUUUGGAAAAAUAUAUUUAAUAGUUAAGAAUAAAUUCUCCUUAUUUUUCAAUAGAGUAACAAUCUCUCAAAGUUGUAUAUAAAUCCCUACUGAUGCCAGAUAUUUUUAAGAAGAGAAGAUAGAACCCUUGUGGAAUUGUAGAAGCUUAUUUCAACUAGAAAAAUAACUUCCUACUUAGAGUAGGAGCAGGUUGGAUGGCAUCCCCUGUCGCCCCUUCGUUUUCCAUGAAGGGAUUUUGGAUCUCUCUCACAUUAGAUCCAACUAUGAGUGCUUUUCGAGCAUUUAGACUCAGUACUUUGUAAUUUGACCCAACUCAAUUCUAUUUUUUUAUUUCCCAAAAUAAACUUCAAUAUUUUAUAUUAAAUAAUUUUCUCAUCCAAAUUUUACCCUCAAUAGAAUUUUUGAGAAAAUAUAUUUAAUAUUUCACAAUUCAACUUGUUCAUUAUGAUCGAAUGAUUUAUUUUCAUUUUCUAGAUUUUAUAUAGCUGAAAAACAUAAACUCAUUCUCCUGAUCAUUUUUAAGUAUAUUCAUCUACAUUUGAAAAUGAAUCAUUUCUCAUUUUCGUUUCCAAAUGAUUUCAUUUCUCCAUUUCGAAGAAAUGUAUAAUCAUUCCUGAAUGUUUGUCAUUUCUUUAUUUCUAUUCAUUUCGAUUCAAACAUGCAAUUCAUUUAUGGUUUCAACGAGCUAGUGAAGGGACUAAUUGGACAUAUACAAUUAGGGCUCAAAUGAUUUAUAUUUGAAGUUUCAACUUUUCAUCUAUUAAUUAUAAACUCAUUUAGUCAUGAAGUCAUUCCACUAUAGUAUCAUGGCUGAGCUUGUGGUUCCCCAAACUUGGACGAGACAGUCUGACCCAAAAUUUGAAACUUACAUUAGCCACCAAAAUGAUUCUCUGUUAAAAUACUACAAAACAGACCAACCAACCAUGCAGGCCACACAUUUUCAACAUAAAUCAUAAUACAAUUAAUCCUAAUUGCAUGCCUUUCUAAACAUACCAUAAAAAAUGAAGAAAAAAAAUUCAUAUUUAGGUCACCUGUGAACCCACCCACUUAGAAACCUAGUAGCACGCAUCAACUUGGCGAGCACCAGCUGAAGACCUCCUCGCGACCCCCAGCUCAUUGCUAGCCCUACGAACCACUAGUUUGCUACUACCCUGUGAUCCCUAAAUAUUGGCAAACCUAGACACACAACUCCCCUUUUAUUUUAAUAGACUACUCAAGUCGUUGGCUCACUUGCGAACUCCUCUAUUUAGUGAACCUACCUAAUAAGGCAAACUCACUAUCCUGACGUACGCAUUAACUAUGGAGAACCUUCUAUUGCUUGGCGUACUCCCUCCUAAUGGCAAACACUAGGUUAUAUAGGGCUAGUCUAUACUAGCGGACUCCCUAUACUUUGGCGAACACUCUAUUAGGGAACUUAUGGUUUUUGGUGAACACACUUUUGUUUGGCGAAACCUACCUUUGGUGAACUCACCCCUAUUGUUGAACACUGUGUUAUGGUAAGGUCCUAUUCCCUUAUGACCCCUGUCUCACACUAUGCUAGGUUGGCUCGUAAGUAUUCUUUCAAUGCGUUAUUACUUCUAUAACAUGCAUUCUAUGUUAUCACUUUAUCUCAACCAAAAAAUUGGUUCAAGGGCGUACCUCAAAAUUCGGCGAACUCCUUGUUUUACAUAAGUAUGUUAGUUCAUCAAUUUACCUAGCAAAAUCAUGUAUUAUAAUCCAAACAAUCAAGCAUUCAAUCAAGCACUUAUAAAGUCUAAAAAUCCAAAAUUUAAAUAGUUCGUAAUAUCUGUUUACAACUUGUCAAAGUUUAUUUAAAAAUUCUAGGUCUACAUCUGAUUCCUUAGGAUAGUCCCACAUUGCCUUCAACUAUAGGGUUUGUAAAAACAAAUCACGUACUCGAAUGGAUUUGCCUUAUGUUGCAUCACUAGAUUGCCAUGCUUCACAACUAGUCACGUGAACUACUUAUCUGCAAGAUAUAUGCAAGGAGUGUGAGCUUAUUGAAGCUCAGAGAAUGCUUAAGCACACAACACAUAAAACACAUCAGUCAUGCUAAAAUUUAGACAUGUUGUAACAAUUCACAUAAAAUAUAAUAAUCAUGCUCGUCAUAGUAAAAUAAUGGCAAUUUGUGAAUAUGAAACAUAAUCAUAUUAUAUAUGCAUUGGAUAAGUAGAUCUUUAGAAUACUCCAAAUGACAUAGAGAGUCAUGCGCUAUCUUUGAUAAGUGUAGUAUGAAUGCUCACACUCUCCAAACACUCCAUACUAUCCUCAAAAUUGGAGCUAAGCUCGACAUUCCCUUAUCUCUCCAAUGCUAUCUUCAGGCCAUAAUGCCCCAUCAUAUAGUAAAAAUGGUGAGUACUCACAAUCCUAUGACAUGCCAAUGAUAUCUAACGGUUUCAAGUGUUCACAAUGCCAACAUAUGAUUUUUAUUUCAUUCACUUUACACAAUUUAAAAGGCCCACAAUAUAGUAGAUCUCACAUAUAAUAGUUCUUAAUAACACAACUCACAUUUUUGUAGGGCUCGCAUGAUACAUAAGUUCGUAAUAACAUAGAUUCGCAUAACACUUAUGGCUCACAUAUAUUUAGGGCUCGAAUGCAACAUUUGGGUUUCCAUAUAUUUAAACUAGCAUAAUACAGGGGCUCGCGUAACAUGUUUUGGCUUGCAUGUAAUAUAGGGCUUGAUCACAUAUAUAGGUUUGCAUGAUCUUAGGGUUCGCAUCACAUAUAUAAGUACGCAUGAUACAUGGGUUCACUCAACAUGUAUAUAUAAACUUGCACAUCAAAGUAUAGGCUCGCAUGCAUUAAGGUAAUAGAUUUUGCAAACAAUUUAGAGCUAGCACACAUCUUAGGCUUGCAUACAUACAUGUUAGCAAGGUCUGCAGGUCACAAAUCGGGGCUCGAAUAACUAUAGAGGCUUGCAUAGAAAUAUAACAGUGUUCGCAUAUCAUUUUAAUCAGCUUCACACAUUAAAUCAGAUAGUUUGUAUGCCUUACUUGGCUUUCAUUAGCAUGCGAACUCUUGUUUUUGACGUAGUGUGUAAGGACACUCACUAGUUGUUUGUUGAUACUGUCAAACCUAUACCACAUUUUGCUUGACUUUUUCCUUGCUUGUAGAUGCACCUUUAUAUUGAGAGGCUUUGCAUAAAACAAGAAAAUAUACAGAUUGCUACUUUCACAAACAUAUUAACCUUCUUAACUAACAUAGCAGCUCACCACUUCUAAAUUUACCGAACUCACCUCAUGUGACCUUAAACUUUUAGUUACUUUAUUUUAGUUCAAUUAAAUCCCCAAUUAUUACUUCCUAAUCUCAUAAGUAAGGUUUAAUUAUAGAUCUAGGCCAUUAAUUUUAGUCAAUUCUUAAAAUCAACAUUUUUCAAAAAAUCAUGCUCAUUUUCUAUCUCAAGAAGAAAAAUCACUUGAUUCAUGCAAUUCCUUUAAGGAUUUGUUAAAUCAAGUUUAUAAACCUCUUAAUUAUGCCAAAAUGAGUUAAAAAUUAUUUUAAAAUCAUGACUUAGCUCACUAUUAUGAGAUUCACCAUUUUUUUAUAUAAACCAAGCUUUAAAGCCAUAGAUCCAAUGAUUUCUCUUGAAACUUCAGGUGCAGUGCACUAACUAUGAAUAAUGUGGACUGAAUAUGUUUUUGGUACUCCAUGGAACUCCUCCUUCAACCACAAAAUCCCAACCCAAUUUAUAUGCAAUAUGUCACACAAUCUCAUACAUAAUCCUAUCUUAAUACUUUUCACAUUCAUUUGACAUGCUCAGCAUGUCCUCAAUAAUCACAUACUUUCAUACUUUUAGAAAAUGGAAACAGUGUUCCAAAGUUUCAAUUACCAUUGUGUUGGUAUCAAUCAAUAUCAUUCAAUUACACAUACUUUAUAGAUUUCCAUUGUGUUUAAAUAGCACCCUUUUCAAUACACAAUAUAAAAAAUAUCUCAUGCAUUUAAUCAUACAUAAGCUUUAUAUCUCAACACAUUAUAUCAUUCAGUCAAACAUUCUCAUAUCUUAUAAUUCAAAUAUGCAAUUACAAACUCAAUCAAACAUUCAUACUAUCAAACUAGCAAUUUUGCCAACAUGUUAAUCUUUUAAGGCUCAAAACAUAAUUGGUUCAGCCACUCACAAAAUCAAUAAUUUGGCUAUUAAGCCAAUCCAAUCAACAAGCUAAUUUAUCACAUAUAACAUGAUAUUUAACAUUUUCAAAAAAAAUUAUAAGUUUAGGACCCACGCAUUAUUUUUUGCUUCCUCGCAACAUACUAGCGAAUCUUCCAAUCUUCCUUAAUAAUUCCUUAAACGAACCUAAACCAAAAUGAAGCAUAAAUUCAAUCAAUUUACCAUUAAGCCAACCCCCAAACACCCACUUGUGAGUUCAAACUGAUCAUUGAAAUUAAAACUACUUUAUGAAUCCAAACUAGUUAGAUUCCUUAAACUGUAUCGAUGCAAAUCGUACGUACAAUCGUUCUUCACCUUUAUGGAUGAUUGGGGGUGUUUGGGUCAGCACCUAAUUCAAUAAUAUACUGGAAAAUCAGUAGUUAAUCAAUGAUUAACUUUCUUUAUUUAACCAAUUCAUAACCUUUACCCAACAACUAUGCCAAAAUAACAAACUAGUUUACAAUUAAUCGUACUUAUACUUCUCAAAUUAUAAGAUUCGAAUGGCUAAUUGAUCAAGAAUGUCUUUUGUAACAUCCCAAAAAUUAGGUUAGAAGAAAUGAGAUUUUGAAACCAAGAGUGGUCAUCCCUCGAUUAUGAGUUUAUAUCUUGGAAAAUUUGACAAGUAAAUUGAUCUGGCUUAAUGGUUAAUUGCUAUGGUUAUAUGUGUUAGGUUCUGGGUUCAAAUCUUGUUUUUGGAAAAUUUGUUACUUUUCUUAAACCCUUACCUUGAAUGUUUGGCUUUUAAGUUAAAUUUAGUCAAUUGAGGUCAAGAAUGAGCCUGUUGGUUUAAUGGUUAAGUUUCUGCAUAAUCCUUGGUCUUGUGUUCGAAUCUCAGCGAAAGCAACAGGGAAUGUUUUGUUUUUGAAUUUUUUAUAAGGUAGUUAGUUUCGAUUGGUUAUUUAAAGCCUUCUAGAAACCUCCGUUGCUUUUACUUUUAUUUUGUUCUUUCUUUUUCUACAAUGUUUUCUAUCAUUUUGUUUUCGAUCUUCAGUUUCCUCAUUUUGGUUUUUUAUUUUCAAGCAACCUUCUUUUUGUUAUGUUACGUUACACUAAUUGUGUAUAAGGUUUAACUUCUCCUUCUAGUUAAUUUGCUGGUUGGUAAGUUCAAUUUAAAGUUUUGGUGUCGAAAGUUCUUUAACAUAACUUCAAUUUUGGAAUGUUAGUUUCUAGUGGUUUGACUGCGAAUUAAUCGUUUGUUAGGGAAUUGCUUGUCGUUUAGGGACCUGAAUUUAUCCUUGUUACUCCUACAUCGAGUUCGUAUCAAGUGGGUAUCAAAAAUAUCUUCUUCUUCAAAUUUUAGUCGUCGAAGAAUAGGACUAUCAAUGCCACAUGGUCAUGCGCAAACUAUCUAGGUACAAUCUGUAUUCUAUUAAGUUUGUUGGUAUGCCUCUGCAUUACUCUAUUGAUAAAGAAUAUGUGACAUUUGAUUAUGUUAGAUUGGUUGUUACUGAUUCUAAUUUAUAACCCUCUGUUUUACUUUAUAGAUGUGGAAUACACAAUAUCUGAAAAUGUUAGACUAAUUGUUACUGAUUCUGAUUUAUUGUCGUGCAUGUGACUUCAUGGCAAAUAUGAUAUGAUCUGUUGAGGUUUGAUAGGUCUAUUUUCCAAAACAUGGACUCUCAUGUCUCCUAAUUCUGUUAUUGAAAGAUAUCAUAACUUACAUGCUCAUCACUCUGAUUCUGCAUAUGUAUGUCAUGACACGUUGCAUGGGAUUUGGGUUGAUGUGAAAGGUAAAAGUUACUGGCAGUUAAUGAUCCGCAUUAUCUGAGGUUUAUCCUCAAUUCUGUUUCGGCAGCUUAGUUGUACUAUAUUAACUUGACCACAUGUAACCGAUAUGGCAGUCUUAACUACAAAAUUCUAGUGGCACCAUCCACAGUUAUCUGUUGGUGUGAUUUGGCUAGACGAGUUCUGAGGGAACUCUAUUUUGGAUUGUAGUGGAGUUUUGGUAGGAUGUUUUCUGAUAAUUCUGCAUUCUGAUCUAUUUGAGAAAUACAACAUCUUCAUAACACAUUUUCUACUUUGCUCUAUUCUGUUCUAUUCUGUUCUGCUCUCUUCGGUUCUAUUCUAUUUGAUUUGUUAUGUUCUGCUUCAUUCUGUUGUGCUUGGUUCUAUUGUACUAUCGUUAUGGAAAUUUUCAUGAUAUUCUCGAUCUAUUCCAUACUAGCUAUAAAACUAUUAUUAAGUUCUUUGAGUUACUUUGAUUUAUAUAAUAAAAUCUAUUUAUUUGUAUCUAAGUUUGGUUAUACGCGACGCUUGGUAGUUCUCCCUUUGUCUUAUCUUAAUCUAUUUAGGUGGAUGUUUUACAUUGAUAUAACUAUGAUUUGAUCUUUUAGGUUGUAAUUUGUUUUUGGACUUGCAUUGCUUUUCUUUUGAUAAUCUCAUCAAUAUUUGUCAUUUUCUUACACAAAAAUAAAAAAACCACCUAAGUCGACUAAAAUGAAUUUCUGGUUUUCAAUGUUAAAAUUUUGAAAAGAAAUUAGUUUUCUACAUGUUGGUGUAGCUCGUCCAAAUUUGACUUAAACUUCUAGGUUGGGUUUGGGGUGUUGUAUCUUUCCAUAAUUAACAUGUGAUUAAUCUUUUAUUAGGAGGAUUCAAGAACUCAACUUAAUGAUGGAAAAAUAUAGGUAAGAACCAAGAAACAAAACAACCCCCUUUCUUGCACACAGGCGUACGCACCACCACCCAUGGUGGCCAAAAUUGGGGAAGAAUUUUAAAAUGGUUUGAAAUCUCAUUAAAAUCUAGAAAAAUACAAUUGAAUUCAUUUAAAAUCCCCCAAAUUCCAGAUCUAAAAAUUUUUCUUUUUAAUUGACAAAAUUAAUUAAGAAUUUGAAGAGAAAAGAGAUCUUCCCAAGCUAGUUAAAAGAAACGACAAUGACACUUUCUUGGCAAUGUUCAAGAUUGAUCUUGGGUUCAAGAUUUUAGAAUUGGGGAUGAUUUAGAUGAGAAAAAAUGGUAGGAAUAGAGUAAAGGAGAUGGUGUACAAUCUUGAUGCAAAAAGAAGAAGAAAGAGUUGGUAAAUGGGAGGUGUAGGCGACGACAACAAUAGGAGAAAGAAAGAAAAUUAAAGAGAAAAGUGGAGAGGAAGAUGGUGAACGGAUAGAGUAGGGAAAAUUUGAAUUAAAGGCUGAAAAAUACAAUAAAAAUUUCUAUUUAUACUUAGGGUUCAAGGGUAUGGAUCGCACAUACAUUUAAAAAAAUAAAGGAUUUUACGAAAUUUAAAAUUUCGUAAAGGAAAGGAUUCGAAAUUGGGACCUCAUUUAAUUUUCAUGUGUUCUCAUAUUUCUUUUAACCAUUAUGAUAUUUUCUCAUUCUUAAAAUCAUUUUACAAGAUUUAGUUUAAAAAUAAGGCAUGCCACAUUCUAGGGUUUAAGGCAAAAUUAGCAAAAUAAUAAAAAUAGUGAGAGAGAAGGGAUUUGAACUUGGGUUUCAUGGAAUGUUUGACUAACACUUAUCCAACAAACCAACACCUUAUUGAUUUCCUAAAAAUGCAUAGAUAAUCUCAAAAAUUAAGGCAUGACCACUCUUUCUCGAUUCACAAACCCGAUUAUGCUAAACCCUAAUUUUUGGAAUGUUACAAGGUAAGUUUGUAGUGUAACAAUAUAUAUGUGUGUGUUUUAGGGAUACGAUUGGCAUGCCAAUAGGGUUAGUAUGCAUGCUUGUACUGGAUCACACUUUGGUUCUUCUCUUUACACUUUGGUGCCUCUCUUUGCACUUCAGUGCCACUGUAUUUGCACUACAGUGCCUCUAUUAGCAUUUCGAUGUUUGGGGGAAACCCAAGUAUCGAAGUCAUUUUGCUGUAGUUCAACAUGCUGUGAAAUUUUAUGUUUAAAUGUUAAAUUACUCUUGAAUUUGAUUUAUAUACAAUGAUAUAUUUGUGUAUCUAUGUACAUAAGCAUUGAUUGCUUUGGUUUGAGCCAUUGUUUAUAUUGAAUCAUAUGAGAUGAAUGUUUUGAUUACUAUAGUUUGAGAAUAAAUAUUAAUUCCUUGGUGUAAUUAUAUGAUUCAUAUGUCUUUAAACAUGUUAUCUAAUUAUGUUUAUGGUGUGUUUAGAGAAUUAAAUUAUUAUAUGAGUAUUUUCCAGGUAUUCAAUGUUGUUUCAUUUGGUUUAAUGGGUAAAUAAAGCUUUAAAGGGUAUGUGAUUACACGAAAUGCACUACGAUAUUUGAGCAAUGAUAUGGAUCAUGAUGAAAUGUUUAAUUGAAAAGGAAAUAUGGUUUAGUAUAUAUAUAUGAGUGGUGAAUUAUGAAAGUGAAAUAUAGAUAUGUUAUAUACCAUGUUUUAUUCAAAUUAUAUAUGAUAUGUUACACCAACUAACCUUGUGAGGUGGUGGGUAUAGGAAAGGAAAGUUGGCUUAAAACAUAAUGAAAUUAUGCCUGCCUUUUUAACAUAAAAUAUUCAGUAAAUUAAGUUUCCUUUAUAUGAACUUACUCAACAUUAGUUGCUUGCAUAGUUAUUUUUCUUUAUUUUAUAGUUCAUCAGAAGCUCGACCGGUUGGAAUCAUGUCAAAGCACGAUCACACUAUCCAUUCAACAUUUUGAUAGCUUUUUUUAUUUUGGUAAAUGGUUAUAAAUGACAUGUAAUAGGGUUUAAAUGUCAUUCUAGUGAUUUGACUUGUUUUGAGUUGUGUCAAACUUCUUGUGAUUGAUGUUGUUAGUUGUUGGCAUGUAAAUAAUGGUGUAAAUAUGUGACAGCCCAAAAUUGACCCUAGUCGGGAAGUGGUUUCGGGACCGCUAAACCGAGUCACCGAAAGGUUUGAAUGUGAUGUUUAUUAUCUAGAAUAUGUAAUAAUGAAUGUGUGAAAAUUUCAAGCUUCGAUUUAGUCGAUUGCAUGCGAGUUUAGUCAAUAGGACUUAUAUGAGAAAAACUUUAAAAUGUGAUAGGUCAAUGCAUGAGGACCUAUUAGUGCAUGUGGAAGAAAAAGGGGACUUGCAUGUCAAAUUCCCCCUCCCUAAUAUGUAGUGGCCGGCCAUGCUAUGGGUGGAAACAUGUCACCAACAUGUUGUGUUAGUGAUGUAUGGUAAGGAAAAUAAAAUAUUAAGCAUGAUAAUUAAAAUAAAUUAAAGAAAGGAAUUAAACAAUGAAAAGGAAGGGUGAUGAAAAAAAUGGUCUCAUCCAUACCCCCCCCCCUUGUUGCCGUGAGUUGAGGAAAGAAAACAAAAAAAAAUGUGUGUUCAUUCUUGAACACCUUUGGCCGAAUAGAGGAAAGAAAGGAAGGGGAAGAGCUUGAGAAAAUCGGCUAUGGUGGUUUGCUAGACUAAGGUAUGUUUGAUGUUGUUCUUGAGAUGCAUGCAUGUUUUAGUAGUUGACUUGAGUUCUAAAAACCCAUGGUUCAAUUUUGUGGAUUGAUGAAGAUUUUGUGUUUUGCCAUUGAUGAGUGCUUGAGCUUUUUGAUAGUUGUUGAUGAAAAGUGAAAGAUAUGUUAAAGAUUAAUAUGUUUUGUGUUGAAGUUUUUGGUGAUUUUGAGUAGUUAGGGCUAUAUUACAAAAACAAAUUUUUGAAGGACUCAAAGGUGAAAUAAAUGAGAUGUAUGGACUUAUAUGGGCACUAGGAAGAUUCGGCCCUUAAGGAGUGUGACCAAACUUUGUGUAUUUUGUGUUUUGUGGAAUAAAGACUAAAUUGUGAAAGUGCGAAAUAUUAGGGGUAAAAAUGUAAUUUACCCAUUUAUGCGUUAUUAGACUAAAUUGAAUGAAAAUAUGUUAAAUUAAGGCUUGGCAAGCUAGCUAUUAAGGUGAAAUGCUAAUGUUAGUAUUUGAUUCGGUAAUAAUCUGUUUGGGGACAGCAGCAGUAAGGUGAUUUUGGAAAAUCGCCAUAAUUUGUAGGAGUUGAAUUAGAAGCUGAGUGAAUUAUGCCAUUAAAGCUUGAAGAGUCUAUUUUCUUACAAAAGAAACUAUGAAAACAAAAGAGUUACCGAUCUUGAGAUAUUUGAAGUAUUGUGGGGCUGAGUCAAAAUGACUACUAGAUUCCCUGUUCUGUUUUUAGAAAAUCAUUAUAAAUUGUACAAAAAUUAUUAUAAGAUAAAAUUUAUAUGCUUAGACUCCUUAAUGAGUCUAGUUUCAAAUGAGAUCAAAUACAACACAUUUUGAAUUCUGUAAAAUGAGAAAUUUGAUUCGUAGUGAAGAGUGGUCAGAAUAGUCAAACAGUGAAACAGGGGAAACUUUAAGAAAAAUCUGGUAUUGAUUGGCCAAGCCAAAAAUUCUGAAAAUUUUAUGGAUGGAAGAUAUAUGAGUCUAUAUUCAGGGAAAAUUAACAGCUAGUGAUUUGGAGUUUUGUAGCUCCAGUUAUAAACAAUUUAGCGACUACUGCUCAGGAAAACAGCUCGUAGUGAAUAUGUGAUUUUGUUGUAAACAUUAAUGAAAAUUUGCCAAUGAGUUAUUUAUUGACUAUUACAAAGCUUACUAUAAUCUAUGUGUGUGAAAGUCAAAUCAAUAUAUAUAUUAUUCUGAAAGUAAUACUUGAAUAGUCGAUUAAUGACUAUUUUAAGUUAUUGAUUUGGCUCAAGGAGUUAAAGGAGGUGAAUCGAGCAAAGGCAAAGAAAAGGUUAUCGAGUAGCCGAGUUGGAACCGUCUUACCCAACACGAGGUAAGUCAUUAAGCAUGUAGUUGGUAUUAUUUCAAUGGUCAUAAUGUUUAUGUAUUGAUGCUGAAUGGAAUGAAUAAAUAUACAUAUAUAUAUAUAUAUGUGCAUGUACGUAUGUGAUGAUGAGAUUGUUGAAUGAAAGAAAAGAGGUAAGAUGUACUGAGUUGUUGAUCUCGGCACUAAACGUGCGGGAUAACCAUUUAUGACCAUGAGAUUGGCGCUAAGUGCGCGGGAUUAAAUUGUACAGCACUAAGUGUGCGAUUUGACUAUGUUGCACUAAGUGUGCGAAAUGAAUAUGAUGCACUAAGUGUGCGAAUUGACCAUGCGGCACUAAGUGUGCGAGUUUGACUAUGUAGCACUAAGUGUGCGAUUUGAUUAUGUAGCACUAAGUGUGCGAGUUGAUUAUAUAGCACUGAGUGUGCGGACUCGAUAUACAUUCGUGAAUCAUUAUGGACACUAUGUGUGCGACACUAUUGAGUCGAUCGCGGACAGCGGAUCGGGUAAGUGUCUUGAGUACAUGGCUAAUAGGUGCUAUGCUUAUACUUGGUGUUGAGCUCGGUAAGUUUGAACCUAUGUGACAAAUAUACUUGAAGUCACGUACAUAAAAUUUAUCGUAGGAUUGGUGAAAGGCCGUUUAGUCGUUUGAUUGUAACGAAAAUAAAUUGAUUUAUGAAAAUGCUUCAAUGUCCUAUUGAUGAGUAUAUGGAAUGUGAAUGCAUGAAUUGAUAUGAAAUUGAAUUGAUAGGUUGGAGGAACUAUGGUAUGGUUCGGAAUGGAUGGAGUAAUUAGCCUCGUUCCAUUUUGUUUUCUCUUGUGAUAAUGUUAUUGAUGGAUGGUAGUGCAUAGCUUAUGACUUACUGAGUUAUAAACUCACUCGGUGUUUCCUUGUCACCCAUUAUAGGUUGCUUGGACUCAUCUAUUUUUUUGCGUGGUCGGGCCGUCAUCGAAGUCAUCACACCGGAUAGCAAGUUUUGGUACUUUCUUCUUAGUUGGCUUAGAAGAACAUUUUGGCAUGUAUAAGCUAUUACGUUGUGUUUGAACUUUGGCAUGUAAACUUUAAGCCAUGUGAAAAUGGCACGAAUGUUCGAUUGAGUUGGAUCAAGGGUAGGCAUGAAAUGGACCUAGUUACUUUCGUAACAGAUGCUGGCAGCAGCAGUGUCAUGAGAUUGAAAAAUCAUUAAAAAUAGUAGGAGUGGAAUUAAUUGAUGAAUAAAUUAUGUAAUCGAAGCUCGAUGAGUCUGUUUUCAUGAGGAAGUAACGAAAAGAUCAUAUGGGCAGUAUAUUAAGAGAUAAUCAGAUUUUUGUGGGACAGGGCCAGAACGGUUUCUGGAUUCCCUUCUCCGACUUUGGAAAUUCAUUACAAAUUAACCAGAGAUAAUUAGGGGUCGUACCAUAUAUGUACAGAUUCCUCUCUGAGUCUAGUUUUCAUAGAAAUAAACGGCAUCAGUAUUGGAGCCCCGUGCAGGGAGAUAUCCAAGUCGGAAUGGGAAAAGGUCAGUGUAGUCGACCCCUGCAACUGGGGAGACUUUGACUAAUAAACUGUACUAAUUGGCCCGACCAAAAAUUCUAGAAAAAAAUACAUAGAUGGGCACAUGAGUCUAGUUUCUGGGAAAAAUUACGAAACUGAUUUUCGAGUUAGGAAACUCAAGAUAUGAUUUUUAAAACGACUAGUACACGGAUUGGGCAGUGUCUGGAAAAUAAAUUUUGUAAGGGGUUAAAGCCAGUUAACACCUCGUGUUCGACUCCGGUGUCGGUUUCGGGUUCGGGGUGUUACAAAAUAUGUGUGGUUGGACCCUUAUGCAUGCUUUAUUGAUUAAAGAUAUCAUAUGGUAAAAUGGCAUGUUUUUGGAAUGGUUAUUUGGCAUGAUUAAAAUAGGUUUAAGUUUUGAUCUUGAGACGUUGAAUUGAAUUAAGUUUAAGAUGUAUAUUGUGAUACCUUCAUUGGCAUAUUUGUUAGAUAUUAAAGGAUGGUUGAUUUGGUAUGUUUUUGAAAUGGUUGUUGGUAUGUUUGAUCUAAGUUGAUUAAAUGAACUUGUAAUGUUCAACGGUAUAAUACUUGUUGGUACAUUAGUUAGUCUUAUAGGUUGAUGGAAUUGGUAUGUUUUAAAUGUGUUUAAAAUAUGUUUUGGUUAUUUCAAUGUUUGUGGAAAUGGUGUGUCUUGGUGUACAAGAUUUGUAAUUGAAAUGGCUCUAUUUAGAAGCAACUUCUGCUGCACACUACCUGGGACACGAGUUGUCACAUGGUUGUGCAUCAUUAAUGUUUUAGGUGCAGGUUUCACACAAUCUAAGACUCGGCUCACGACACGGUCUGGGCUAUGUCACACAGCUUGGCCGCAUGGCCAUGUGACCCUUGUUUUCAAGUUUUCAAAAUUUUCUAUUUUAUUUCAAAUUGAUCAUAGAAUAUUCUCAAACUAUUUUUAAGGCCCCGUAGGUUCGGAUUAUGGCCCGUAAGUGUAUGUUUGCUAUAAUUAAGUUGUGUUAUUGAAUGUUAUUAAUUAAAUCACAUGAAUAUUUUAUUGUAAGUUAAAUGUUUUAAUUUGUACCAUAAUGCUUUGUAACCCUAAUCUGGCGAUGAAGACUAGUUUGGGGUGUUAUAAUUUUGGACUGUAAAUUUGUUUUGGGGGCUUUGUUCUUUGGUUAUUGCGAUGUUGGUUAGAUUUUGGUGUUUUAACAUUAAACUGCAAAAUUGUAUGAUUUAACAAACUAAAAAUUAGUUUUUCAAAAUUAAAACUCUUGAAAUUUCAGUUGCAAAGAUUAAGUAAUCACUUCAGUGUUUUUCCAUAAAUAAUUAAAUUUUUUUUAACAAAUGUUUUCCUUAGUUUGGGAAAUGAUUUGCCAACAUAUGUACUUUUAAAACACAUGAUUUCAAAUUCAAAUUCUCAAUUUUAAAUAAGGGUUUUCAAACUUUAGUUUUUUUUAACAGUUGUGAGAGGUUUUUGCCAAAUUUUAUGUUUUCAGAACAUAUUAGUAAGUUGAUUUUUAAUUUGUUUUUUAAACGAGUCGAUGUAAUUCCUCAAAAAUCCAUUCAUAGCGUCUUAGUCUAGAUCUAAACAUUAAUAUUCUCUUCCAAGAAAAAUCAAGAUUAUCAAAUUGUUACAACUUGGUAGGUAGACAAUCAUAUUAAAUAAGCAUAAAACUUAAUAAAUAAUUAGCGAAGAUUGAAACAAUCAAAGAAAAAAUAAAUUAAUUAACUAAGAAAUAGGAUCCAUUAUUGUUUCAAGAAAACAGAGUUUAGUUCAUAUUGAGUUGAGAAAUCCAAAAGGGAGAUUCAAAACAAACUUGUGAAAAGGGGAACAAUGUCAAUAGAUCGUAUUCAAGUUGUUCAACUCGAGAAGGAAAGAUUCAGAUCUAACCUAAAAAGAAGAAACCAAACAGAUUUAGAAAAACAAGAAAAACAAAGAAAAUAACUAAAAUGAGAAAUUUAAGAGUAAUUAAUAAAUAUUAAAACUAAUAAAGAAAUAAAGAAAUUAUAGAAUAAAUAGUGGAAGAUGGAAUGAAUAAACGAUGGAUAUGACAUAUAGAUGGAUAAGUGUCUGAUAAUUCUUGAAAAGAGUUAUUUUUCAUGCCUUUAGACCUAACUUGUAAUGCCCCAAAAAUCCCUUAUAUAUUUAUUUUCGUAAGUUUGUAACAGAAAUAUCUGUUAGCUUUAGUGGUUAUAUGCUUUGGGAGUGUUUAGGAGGUCCCAAGUUGAAACCUUAGCUUGGGCAAUUUUUUUUUGUUUUAAAUGAAUAAAACUCUAUCUUUGAUUAGUAGGCUUAUAAAUAGAUGUUGGUAAAAAAUGUCAGAAUGGUUUUACUGGUUUAGUGGUUAAGUGGGGUGUAAAUAUGCAGGAGCUCUUAUGUUCGAAUCUUUGUGCGAUCAAGAGCAUUUAUUUUAUUACUUGUGUCGUGUAGGUAUUUUGGUCCAGCCAAAAUACUGAAGAGGUUGACUAAGGGUUGGUUUCGGUUGUUGAGAGGUUUAUGGUGGGUUAGUAGAGAGGAUUUUAAGGAGAAAUUUUAGAGAUAUGAAGAGAGAGUUAGUGCCGAAUUGAAUUUCUUUUGCUUUCUCAAAUUUCAGCUGGGGUUUGAUUUUUCUUUUCAAUUUGUUUCUAUUGACUGUUUUCCAUUCUAGAGGGUCAAAUAUUGCUGAGGGUUCCUACUAGUUUCUUUUUUUUCUUUUUCUCUCUUCUCUCUUUCGACUUUGUUCUUCCCAACUGCAAAAGUGCUCUUCCCUAAACUGUUACUACCGUCUACUUUCUCUUUUCCUCCCUUGCUUUUUUUAUUGUCGAAUUUUGGGUUCUUUAUGCAUUUAAUUCUAAUGUCAAUUUAUCACUUCUCUACCAAAAGAUUAUUAUUUUCUCUCAUUGAUUUUCGUUUGGUUCAUCCUUGCUACCAGAAGUGUGGUUGCCCUUCUUUCUUGGUUUCGUUUGUCAUCAUCUGCUACAUGUUCUUUAACACUCUUUUGGUAAGUGUUCGUUUCUUCACCGCUCAGUUACUUGAAGUUAGUUUUUAAAUGGUUGUGUAUUGUUUUGAAUAAGAAUCUGAUAAAUCGUGUGUUCCAACCCUAUUUAGAUCAGUUCAUGGUGGUGUUUAUUGAUGAUAUACUGGUGUAUUCGAGAACUAAGGAUGAGCACGAUGAACACCUCAGAGUGGUUCUACAGAUUCUACGAGAAAAAGAACUGUACGCCAAGUUUAGUAAAUGUGAGUUCUAGUUAAGUGAAGUAACGUUUCUGGGACAUGUGGUUUCUACUGAGGGGAUUAGAGUUGAUCAUCGAAAGAUUGAGGCUGUCUUGGAUUGGAAGCAGCCUAAGACUGUAUAUGAGAUCUACAGUUUUCUCAGAUUGGCAGGGUAUCGACAAUUUGUGUAAAGGGUUUUCUCUAAUUGCCGUACCCUUGACUAAGCUGCUACGUAAAGGCUUACCGUUUAACUGGACUGAUUCAUAAUAAGAGAGCUUUGAGAAGCUCAAGACUGUACUGACUGAGGCCCCUGUUCUAAUAUAGCCAGAGUCUGGAAAAGAGUUUACUAUUUACACUGAUGCAUCACAUGUCUGUUUAGGAUGUGUGUUGAUGUAAGAAGGUAAGGUGGUAGUGUACACGUCUCAUCAGCUUAAGAAUCAUGAGGUGAAUUAUCUUACGCAUGACUUGGAGUUGAAGUGAUUGAGUAUAAUAACAUUUAACAUAUUAGAGCCAAUUGGUUGUCCAUAAACAUAAAAAGGUGACCUUAAUGAGAUACGCCAUAGACUCAAAAGUGUAUCAUUUACACUGAUCACAAGAGCCUCAACUACCUCCUCACUCAUAAGGAGCUGAAUCUUAGGCAACAUAGAUGGAUUGAGAUGCUUAAGGACUACGACUGUACUAUUGAAUACCACCCUGGUGAGGCUAAUGUGGUGGCUGACGCACUAAGCCGUAAAACUAUGACUGAACUGAGGGUGAUGUUUUCUCGCCUUAUUUUAUUUGAUAAUGGUAGUCUGUUGGCCAAACUUCAGGUUAAACCGAUUUGGAUAGAGUAGAUUAAGUGUAUACAAGUAGAGAAUGAGUUGUUGGGUCUUCGUUUUUGACAGGUUGAGAGUGGGAAUACCAAGGAUUUUAGACUGAAUAGUGAAGGGGUGCUCUAUAUCUGUGGGAGAAUCUAUGUAAAGACCUUCGUGAGUUAUACUAGUGGCCAGGUCUUAAAUGAGAAUUUACUAAAUUUUUGGCUAAGUGUCUGACAUGCUAGCAGGUUAAGGCUGAACAGCAGUUACCUUCGGGAUUGUUGCAGCCAGUCAAGAUUUCAGUUUGGAAGUGGGAGCAUGUAACUAUGGAUUUCAUUAGUGGGUUACCCCUCACACCCACUAAAAAGGAUUCGAUGUAGGUCAUCGUGGAUUGAUUGACCAAAUCCGCCCACUUCAUACCAAUUUGUACUGAUUACUCUCUGUAGAAGCUGGCUAAAUUGUAUGUGUCUGAAAUAGUGAGAUUACAUGGGGUACCGAUUUUAAUAAUAUCUUAUAGGGAUCCUCAUUUCACAUCUCGGUUCUGGAAGAAGCUAUAUGAAGCUUUGGGUACAAGAUUGGAGUUUAGUACUGCGUUUUAUCCUCAGACUGACGGUCAGUCAGAGAGGGUGAUUCAGAUACUAGAGGAUAUGUUGAGAAGUUGUGUGAUUGACUUUCGAGGUAGUUAGGAGGAUUACUUACCGCUAGUAGAAUUUGCAUAUAACAACAACUAUCAGUCUAGCAUUCAAAUGACACCCUAUGAGGCAUUAUAUGGUCGUAGGUGUCGCACACCUUCAUGUUAGACUGAGUUAGGCGAGCAGCGUAUUUUGGGGCCUGAACCAGUUUCUGAUACAGAGGAUAAAGUUAGACUAAUUCAGGACCAACUGAAAGCGAUAUCUAAUAGGCAUAAGUCCUACACCGAUCUAAAGAGUCGAGGGAUUGAGUAUUCUGUGGGGGACUUCAUUUUUCUCAAGGUCUCACCAUGGAAGAAGGUAUUAAGGUUUGGUCGUAAGGGCAAGUUGAGCCCUAGUUUAUUGGGCCCUAUCGCAUACUAAAACGUGUGAGAUGAGUUGCCUACCAGUUGGAGUUACCUCUAGAGUUAGAUCGGAUUUAUGACGUGUUCCAUGUCUCUAUGUUGAGGUUACCGCUCUAAUCCUACGCAUAUUAUUCCUAUUAAGGAAAUCAAGGUUAGGCUAGAUCUAACCUUUGAGGAGGAGUCAAUUCAGAUAUUGGAGUGAGAUAUAAAGGUUCUAAGAAGAAAAUUCAUCCCACUAGUUAAGGUUAUUUGGCGUAACCAUAGCACUGAGGAGGCCAUAUGGGAGUCUAAGGAUGUAAUGCUUUAGCAGUAUCCUCACCUAUUCUGAUCAGGUAAAUUUUCAAGGCCAAAAUUUUCUUUUAGGGGGUAGAGUUGUAGCGCCCCAAAAAUCCCUUAUAUAUUUAUUUUCGUAUUUUUUAUACAAAUAUCUGUCAGCUUUAGAGGCUAUGUGCUCUGGUAGUGUUUGGGAGGUCCCAAGUUCAAGCCUUAGCUUGGGCAAUUUUUUAGUUUUAAAUGAAUAAAAUCAUAUCUUUGAUCAAUAGGCUUAUAAAUAGAUGUUGGUAAAAUAUGUCAGAAUGGGCAUGCUGGUCUAGUGGUUAAGUGGGGUGCAAAUAUGCUGCAGGUCUUGUGCUUGAAUCUCUAUGUAUAGAGCAUGUUGUUAAACUGUACUACAUGCAUAUAUGAUACCAUGAUAUGACAUGACAUGAUUGUGUGGUGCAUGGCAUGGGGAUAGGUUAUUAUUGAUCGAAGGAAGUGUACUGGAAGGCUUUGAGCCUAACUUACUGGCAGCUCAGCUGCAUAUUACUGUAUAGUGUCGCCAUUGGUACUACUUAGAGUGUAGGGAUGGGUGGGUUGAUUAUAUCCCCACAUGAAGUGUAGGGUUGGUCGGAGUUGGUGUGUAGAGGUUGGCUAGGUAGGACUUGUAUACUGCAUAAUCUGUUAAUGUACUGAUUGCUAAUAUUGUAAUGGGCCAAGGCCCAAAUGCAUGAUUACUUUUGUACUAAGAUGGGCUAAAGCCCAAACCAAUACUGUCACUGAUACUGGAAAGGGCUUAGGCCGGACUGAGUUUAUUCUGUUUUCUGUCUGAUUAUUUUGUGUACUGUCUAUUUGUUUGCACUAGGAAUAUCACACUGAGUUUUGAAAACUCACCCUUUCUGUUAAUCUGUGUAGGUAAUCCCCAGUCGUAGGUAGAUCGGUGUGGCGGAGGAUUCAGCGGUGGCCACACGACUCCUUUUUAUUGUUUCGUAUCUAAUGAUAUUUAUUUUUAAGUCUUUAUUUGGGGUUUUUAUCUGUAAUAAUUGCUGCUAUGGAUUUUUUAUUUAAAUUUGGAUUUAACACUACUUCAUGUUUACAUCUGCUAGAGGUAGAUAUAGCACGGAUUUUUGAAAAGAAAUGCAUGUGUUUUAGCAAAAUACCCCAAUGUCACAAACUGUUUUAAAAAGCUUCCGCAACGUAUAAUGAUUUGCAAACUAACAAUUGAAUAAAAAUCACUAUUUUGGGAUUAACAAAAGAUAACGACGACCUCUAAUCGAAAAAUGUUUUAAGCAAAGUUACCAUUUUUCAACAUGAGCUUCGGUUUUGAAAAAUACCACCAUGUGACAUCGCCAAAUUCGCCCGUAACAUCCAGGCUGGGUUUGGGGUGUUAGAUAACUAAUUGCUUGAACUUAAGUACAUUUUGUUGCAUUUUAAGACAUUUUAGUUAGCAUUUCUAAUAUUGCAUUAGGACUUAGAUUGUGUUGGACUUAUGUGUUUUUAAUAUGGUGGAGUUUUUUUGUGUGUUGGUAUGGCAAGAACAUAUUUUAGAACGAGGAAAUAAAUGAGUGAAGUUUUGUCAGGGAAAAAGUGCAGACAGUUUGCCAGCACGGAUGCCGUGACAAUGCCAGGAAGACCAAGUAAACAUUUUUUUGCGCAACAGUCUCAAUUGAAAUUAAAACUUGUACCAGAUAAAUCUUCAAAAAAGAGGAGAAGAUAAUCACAAGUUGUUACUUGACACUAGCCUAAUCUACCUAUAAAAGCCAAUAAAGGGGAUCUCACAAAUGGCAGAAAAAAGUGGGAGGGAUCCUUAGGUGUGAAUAAGGUUUUAGUUGCGCAAAGGAAAGGAAGUCGAAGGCAGUGCUUUUUAGCCAUCACAGGAUGUUGUGCUACCGAAGUGUAAACUAGGCAAGUGAAAGUUGUUUCCCAAAGUUCUUUCGUUAUUUCCAUCAGCGUUCCUUCAAAAUAUUGAAGUAGUUGAACACAAUGUCAGAUAAUAUUUUGCUUUUGAAUUUUAUUUCUCAGCCCAUGAGCUAAAUCUCGUAGGGUUGGGAUUACUUUUGAUGAAACCUUAAACUAUUUUUAUGGAUGCAGUAUAUAUCUAAUUUACUUUACUGUUUCAUUUGAUUGUUCUUAUUUCUUAAUUAAAAUGCAAAUGAUUUCUAAACAUAGAAGACUGUUCGCAUACUUAUAAACUCAUUCUAAUUCUGAAAGGGUUGGAUUGGUUGGAUUAAAAUUAAAUGAAAUGAGCAAGUAUUCGAUGGACACUUGUAGUAGACUCUAUACAUAGAGUGACGAUCAUACAGAAGGAACCCAUGCAAGGUAUCUAAAAAGUCUUUAGACAUAGGCAAGGUAACUUGAUGUUUUCCUCUCAUGAGAGGAGAGCCAUUUUAGUACUCUUCUGUGCUUUAUAGUAGAUACGAUUUUCCCAAGGCAUUAUUGACAAUAAGGGUCAAUAUUCGGUAAUCCUGACCUUCGAAAUCCACAUCGUAUAUCCUUUAUUCUUUUCCACAUCAUUAUUAGUUAUUUAUUUGUUCAUUUACAUAAUAUUCCCAUAGUAAUUCUCAUCAUUGUCAUUACAUUUCUACUCUUGGUUUGACACAACAUUACCACUUAUUUAUUAAUUCUAUGUAUUGCUUACAUCAUUACUCUACUAAUUGCCACUGUAUAUUCAUCAUUGACUCUCCCAUAGCAUUAAUCGUAUUUUAUUAUAAUAAUUUGACCAAUUGUGUGCCUCAAUCCGAUCUUUAUGGGAACGAUACACACUCAUCACUUUAUUACGUGAUUCAACUGUAUACUUGCACAAAUCGCAUAUCAUUUCACACACGAUAGUGUUCAAUUGAACCCUUUGAGAUAUAAACCUAGACAAACUCAAUUAAUGGCUUUAAUUAACCCACCAAGAAAUAAUGAUUGGCAAAUUGAACGAUGAAGAAUGAAUUCCCAUGACUCCUUAAAAAAUUGAGAAGAAAAAUACUUCUAAAAAUCACAAGAAACAAAUCUUGGACAAAGAAACUAACUUUCAGAGUUGGAAAUUUUAGUAAUAAACAAAAACAAUUGCAUCUCUAAUGAACAUGAAGGGCCUUUACAUAGGCUAGAUAAGUACAUCCAGAUAAAAUAUUCAAGUAUCUUGAAACUUUAAUUAAUAUAAGUAAUAAGUAAUUUUAAACUAAAAUAGUCAUAAUUUUCGUCAUAAUCCCGUCCAAAAAUUCUGCUCACAUAAUCAUCAUUAAAAUAGUCAUAAUUUAAGCUCUUGAACUCAAAAUUGAGUGAAUAAAAGUGUGUUUCGAAGUUAAGUGCUAGAUCUUAGAACUUUAUGAAGACAUAUCAAUCGAAAAUUGUCCGGAUCCCAUCCAAAGAGUCACAGCAAGUUAACUAAUUUUUCAAACUUGAAAAUUGGCAACUUCGGGGAAUGGAAUUUAAUACAGUUCACCCCAUCUAUUCAUGUAUCAACUCGCAUUGGUAAAAAGUAAAAAGAAAUAAUCUAUAGAGAAAAUAGUUGAAGAAUUUAUGAAAAUUUAUUCAAAUCUCUUUUUUUUCUAGUCUUUGCAAGCUUGAAUUUUCCCUUGGUGUGUGAGAGUUGUUCCUUACCCUCUAAGUGAUUUUUUUUCUUUUUCUUUCUCUUCGAUCUCGUCACCUAAGGGUGUUCAAACAAUUGAUUCAGUUAGUACCCGUGCAAAACUAUCAUUAACUGAAAUUUUGAAACCCUUAAUCAUUAAUCAAACCAUUUUCUUUUUUGAAACCUACUAACCAGCUUGAUUGAUUUGGGUUAAUUUGAGUGGUUAACCAAAAUUUAAACAUUGUUUGUUUUUGUUCAAACAAUUUUAAAACAAAGAACAAUCCAUGACAAUUUUUCCUUGUUUUUUAUUCAAAAAAAUUAAAAGAAUUAAAAAAAUAACAUAAUAACAACACUAAAUUAAAAACAUAAUAGCAUUCAUUACAUUACAAAGCAUAUAUAUAUAUUUACUUUUUCUUGACUUUUUAGUUUAAUUUUCGUUUUAUUUUCCUAAUAUUUUUAGUUUUCAUAUUUUUGUUAAGCUUAUUAUAAGAACACUUAUAAAUCCAUUAGUUCUUAUAUAUUGGGUUUGUAUAAUGUAUUCGACCUAUCUCUAAUAUAUUGGGCCUAUAAUAUAUUUUUAUUGAUUUCGGUUAAUCAAUUCAUUCGAUUAAUUAGUCGAUUUCAAACUAAAAUAAUUGGUAAACAAAAUCUUCAAAAACCUUUAACCAACUCCAACCAAAUUAGAUUCAUUGAUCAACUUCUUAAUCAAAUUAAUUAGGUUUGAUAAAUUAAUUCGUUAAAACUGAAAAAUGCACACCCCUAUCAUCACCGUUGUUUUUAGGGAUUUUAAUCAUGUUGCUCCACCUGAUGCAGAAGUUGAGGUGGAAUGAACUACUUGCUACCAAAAUUUUUGAAUUAUAGAGCAUGCUCUACCGCAGUGAAUCAAAUUCGGUGGAGUGGAAGACUUUUCUUUACUACUUUAUGCUCUAUGCUCCAAGUCUUCUAUUCUUCUUCUGAGACCUAAAAUGGGAAAAAAAAAGAAGAAACAAGUCUAAACUAACUUUGAAAAUUAGAAAUUCUCAACAAAAUUGAAAUAAAAUAUAAUUAAUCCAUAAAAACUAUAAAAAAUACAAUAAAAACGAACCUAAAUACUAAAAUUACCUCCUAAAAAGCUAUGGAAACUAUACUAAAAUAAUUCUAAAUAUGAUAGUUAUCAAAAAUGACAUGAGGAAGCCAAUCGAGUAGAUGCUUUCAACUAUUGCAAAUACCAUUAGUCGAUUAGCCAUCAUCUUGAGAACAUCAUAGAGUUGAAAGAAAAAAUCAUACAACUCCAUAAAGAAGAAAAAAUCAUUUUUGAAAAAGAAUUGGCAUUAUCAAACUUGACAUCAAUGCUUUGGUUUCUCAAUACAAUAUUAUGGACAAAUUCAUCAAAUUUGGCUCUUUCAAUCCUAUUACACUAGCUCUAAGUAGAAGUAAGAUGGUGAGUUUCGAAGGGAUUGAGGGCAAUCAUCUAUUUUUGGAAUAUCAGAAUGGUCAUGAUUGGACUCUAGCCACAUGUCAAAGAAGCCAAUGAAAAGCAUCUCUCCUAGGUAUAAGCUUAUAUUAUCACAUUGCUCCUAAGCAUGAGCAUAAAUCGUUCAUCCAGAAUGAUGAUGAUCCUAAGCAUAAGCUUAAACUAUUCAUCUAAUGCUCCUAAGAUGGAGCUUAAUCUAUUCAACCUAAACGAUCAUGCUUUAAGCACAAUCUUAAACUAUUCACAAAAAAUAAAUGAUGAUCCAAUGAAGCAUGAGCUUAAACUAUUCAUACAAAAUAAGCGAUGACCUUCUAAGCAUGAAUUUAAAUUGUUCAUACAUAAUAAAUGAUGAUAUUACUAAGAACAAGCUUAAACUGUAGUCUAAAAAAUAUUGAACUAUAUUAUAACUUGAUCUUUUAAAAAUGAAGGUACGUAGAUAGCUUGGUUUCAUUGCCAAGUUCAGUCUAAUUAAAUAUGUUUAUGGUGUGUUUAGAGAAUUAAAUGAUUAUAUGAUUAUUUUCCAGGUAUUCGAGGUUGUUUCAUUUGGUUUAAUGGGUAAAUAAAGCUUUAAGGGGUAUGUGAUUACAUGAAAUGAACUAUCAUAUUUGAGUAAUGAUAUGGAUGAUGAUGAAAUGUUUAAUUGAAAAGGAAAUAUGGUUUAGUAUAUAUGUAUGAGUGGUGAAUUAUGAAAGUGAAAUGUAGAUAUGUUUUAUACCAUGUUUUGAUUCGAAUUAUAUAUGAUAUUUAAACCAACUAACCUUGUGAGGUGGUGUGUAUAGGAAAGGAAAGUUGGCUUAAAACAUAAUGAAAUUAUGCUUGGUUUUUUAACUUAAAAUAUUCAAUAAGUUAAGUUUCCUUUAUAUGAACUUACUAAACAUUAGUUGCUUACAUAGUUAUUUUUCUUUAUUUUGUAGUUCAUCAGAAGCUCGACCGAUUGGAAUCAUGUUAGAGCAUGAUCACACUAUCCAUUCAACAUUUUAAUAGUUCUUCGUUAUUUUGGUAAAUAGUUGUAAAUGACAUGUAAUGGGGUUUAACGGUCAUUCCAGUAAUUUGACUUGUUUUGAGUUGUGUCAAGCUUAUUGUGAUUAAUGUUGUUAGUUGCUGGCAUGUAAAUAAUGGUGUAAAUAUGUGUGAUCGGACCCUUAUGCAUGCUUUAUUGAUUAAAGAUAUCAUAUGUUAAAAUGGCAUGUUUUUGGAAUGGUUAUUUGGCAUGAUUGGUAUUUAUGAUCUUGAGAUGUUGAAUUGAAUUAAGUUUGAUAUGUAUAUUGUGAUACCUUCAUUGACAUAUUGGUUAGAUAUUAAAGGAUGGUUGAUUUGGUAUGUUUUUGAAAUGGUUGUUGGUAUGUUUUCUCUAAGUUAAUUAAAUGAAUUUGUAAUGUUGAAUGGUAUAAUAUUUGUUGGUACAUUAGUUAGUCUUAUAGGUUGAUGGAAUUGGUAUGUUUUAAAUGUGUUUUGGUUAUUUCAAUGUUUGUGGAAAUGGUGUGUCUUGGUGUACAAGAUUUGAAAUUGAAACGGCUUGAUUUAGAAGCAACUUAUGCUACACACCGCCUGGGACAUGGAUUGUCACAUGGCUGUGUCAUUAUUAUUUUAGGUAUAGGUUUCACACAAUCUAAGACUCAGCUCACGACACAGCUGUGUAUCACAAGUCAGUAUGUAACACGGUUUUGUACAUGGCCUGCGACACGAUCGUGUGUCCAGACUUCGAAUGUCCACAUGGUCUAGGCUAUGUCACAUGGCUUGGCCACAUGGCCGUGUGACUUUUGUUUUCAAGUUUUCCAAAAUUUUCUAUUUUAUUUCAAAUUGAUCCUAGAAUAUUCUCAAACUAUUUUUAAGGCCCCGUAGGUUCGGAUUAAGGCCCGUAAGUGUAUGUUUGCUAUAAUUAAGUUGUGUUAUUGAAUGUUAUUAAUUCAAACACAUGAAUACUUUGUUGUAAGUUAAAUGUUUUAAUUUGUACUAUAAUGCUUCGUAACCCUAAUCUGGCGAUGGAAACAAGUUUGGCGUGUUACAAUUUUGUAUUGUAAAUUUGUUUUGGGGCUUUGUUCUUUGGUUCUUGUGAUGUUGGUUGGAUUUUGGUGUUUUAACAUUAAACUGCAAAAUUGUAGGAUUUAACAAACUAAAAUUAGGUUUUCAAAAUUAAAACUCUGGAAAUUUUUGUUGCAAAGUUUAAGUAAUCACUUAAGUGUUUUUCUAUAGAUAAUUAAAUGGUUUUUAACAAAUGUUUUCCUUACUUUUGGAAAUGAUCUGCCAACAUUAGUACUUCUAAAACACAUGAUUUCAAAUUCAAAUUCUCAGUUUUAAAUAAGGGUUUUCACACUUCGAUUUUUUUUAAACAUUUUUGAGAGGUUUUUGCCAAAUUUUAUGUUUUCAGAACGUGUAACCAAGUUGAUUUUUAAUUAGUUUUUCAAAGUAGUCGAUGUAAUUCCUCAAAAAUCCAGUCAUAGCGUCUAGGCCGGGUUUGGGAUAUUAUACUGACGUUACUAAAGUUAAUCUUCAUCUAUUUAGUCUUGAUCUAAACAUUAAUAUUCUCUUCAAAAAAAAUCAAGAUUAUCAAAUUGUUAAAACUUGGUAGGCAGACAAUCAUAUUAAAUAAGCAUAAAACUUAAUAAAUAAUUACCGAAGAUUGAAAUAAUCAAAGAAAAAAUAAAUUAAUUAACUAAGAAAUAGGAUCCAUUAUUGUUUCAAGAAAAUAGAGUUUAGUUCACAUUGAGUUGAGAAAACCAAAAGGGAGAUUCAAAACAAACUUGUGAUAAGGGGAAUAAUGUCAAUAGAUCAUAUUCAAGUUGUUCGGCUUGAGAAAGAAAGAUUCAGAUCUAACUUGAAAACAAGAAACCAAAAAGAUUUAGAAAAACAAGAAAAAACAAAGAAAAUAACUAAAAUGAUAAAUUUAAGAAUAAAUAAUCAAUAUUAAAAAUAAUAAAGAAAUAAAGAAAUUAUAGAAUAAAUAGUGGAAGAUGGAAUGAAUAAACGAUGGAUAUGACAUAUAGAUGGAUAAGUGUCUUAUAAUUCAUGAAAAGAGUUAUAUUUCAUGCCUUUAGACCUAACUAAUUGUUUGUACUUAAGUACAUUUUGUUGCAUUUUAAGACAUUUUAGUUAGCAUUUCUAAUAUUGCAUUAGGACUUAGAUUGUGUUGGAAUUAUGUGUUUUUAAUAUGGUGGAGUUCUUUUGUGUGUUGGUAUGGCAAGAACAUAUUUUAGAACGAGGAAAUAAAUGAGUGAAGUUUUUUCAAGGAAAAAGUGCAGACAGUUUGCCAGAACAGAUGCCGUGACAAUGCCAGGAAGACAAAGUUAACAUUUCUUUGCGCAACAGUCUCAGUUGAAAUUAAAACUUGUACCAGAUAAAUCUCCCUAAAAGAGGAGAAGAUAAUCACAAGUUGUUACUUGACACUAGCCUAAUCUAUCUAUAAAAGCCAAUAAAGGGGAUCUCGCAAAUGGCAGAAAAAAAUGGGAGGGAUCCUUAGGUGUGAAUAAGGUUUUAGCUGCGCAAAGGAAAGGAAGUCGAAGGAAGUGCUUUUUAGCCAUCACAGGAUGUUGUGCUACCGAAGUGUGGACUAGGCAAGUGAAAGUUGUUUCCCAAAGUUCUUUCGUUAUUUCCAUCAGCGUUCCUUCAAAAUAUUGAAGUAGUUGAACACAAUGUCGGAUAAUAUUUUGCUUUUGAAUUUUAUUUCUCAGCCCAUGAGCUAAAUCUCGUAGGGUUGGGAUUACUUUUGAUGAAACCUUAAACUAUUUUUGUGGAUGCAGUAUAUAUCUAAUUUACUUUACUGUUUCAUUUGGUUGUUCUUAUUUCUUAAUUAAAAUGCAAAUGAUUUCUAAACAUAGAAGACUGUUCGCAUACUUAUAAACUCAUUCUAAUUCUGAAAGGGUUGGAUUGGUUGGAUUAAAAUUAAAUGAAAUGAGCAAGUAUUCGAUGGACACUUGUAGUAGACUCUAUACAUAGAGUGACGAUCAUACAGAAGGAACCCAUGCAAGGUAUCUAAAAAGUCUUUAGACACAGGCAAGGUAACUUGAUGUUUUGCUCUCACGAGAGUCAGGCCAUUUUAGUACUCUUUUGUGCUUUAAAGUAGAUACGAUUUUGCCAAGGCAUUAUUGACAGUAAGGGUCGAUUUUGGGUAAUCAACUUUCCAAAUCCACAUCGUAUAUCCUUUAUACCUUACCAUAGUAUAUUUGCCACAUCAUUAUUAGUUAUUUAUUUGUUCAUUUACAUAAUAUUCCCAUAGUAAUUCUCAUAAUUAUCAUUAGAUUUCUACUCUCAGUUUGCCACAACAUUACCAAUUAUUUAUUACCUCCACGUAUUGCUUACACCAUUACUCUACUAAUUUCAACUAUAUAUUUAUCAUUGAGUUUGCCAUGGCAUUAAUCGUAUUUUAUUAUAAUAACUUGACCAAUUGUGUGCCUCAAUCUGAUCCCCAUGGGAACGAUACUCACUCAUCACUUUAUUACGUGAUUCAACUGUAUACUUGCACAAAUCGCAUAUCAUUUCACACACGACAGUGUUCAAUUGAAACCUUUAAGAUAUAAACUCGGACAAACUCAAUUAAUGGCUUUAAUCAACCCACCAAGAAAUAAUGAUUGGCAAAUUGAACGAUGAAGAAUGAAUUCCCAUGACUCCUUAAAAAAUUGAGAAGAAAAAUACUUCUAAAAAUCACAAGAAACAAAUCUUGCACAAAGAAACUAACUUUUAGAGUUGGAAAUUUUAGUAAUAAACAAAAACAAUUGCAUCUCUAAUGAACAUGAAGGGCCUUUACAUAGGCUAGAUAAGUACAUCCAGAUAAAAUAUUCAAGUAUCAAGUACAUCCAGAUAAAAUAUUCAAGUAUCUUGAAACUUUAAUUAGUAUAAGUAAGAAGUAAUUUUAAACUAAAAUAGUUAUAAUUUCCGUCAUAAUCCCAUCCAAAAAUUCUGCUCACAUAAUCAUCAUUAAAAUAGUCAUAAUUUGAGCUCUUGAACUCAAAAUUGAGUGAAUAAAAGUGUGUUUCGAAGUUAAGUGCUAGAUCUUAGAACUUUAUGAAGACAUAUCAAUCGAAAAAUGUCUGGAUCCCAUCCAAAAAGUCACCACAAGUUAACUAAUUUUUCAAACUUGAAAAUUGGCAGCUUUGGUGAAUGGAAUUUAAUAAAGUUCACCCCAUCUAUUCAUGUAUCAACUCGCAUUGGUAAAAAGUAAAAAGAAAUAAUCUAUAGAGAAAAUAGUUGAAGAAUUUAUGAAAAUUUAUUCAAAUCUCUUUUUUUUCUAGUCUUUGCAAGCUUGAAGUUUCCCUUGGUGUGUGAGAGUUGUUCCUUACCCUCUAAGUGAUUUUUUUUCUUCUUCUUUCUCUUCGAUCUCGUCACCUAAGGGUGUUCAAACAAUUGAUUCAGUUAAUACCCGUACAAAACUAUCAUUAACUGAAAUUUUGAAACCCUUAAUCAUUAAUCAAACCAAUUUUUUUGAAACCUACUAACUAGCUUCAUUGUUUUCGGUUAAUUUGAGCGGUUAACCAAAAUUUACACAUUGUUUGUUUUUUUUCAAACAAUUUUAAAACAAAGAACAAUCCACGACAAUUUUUCCUUGUUUUUUAUUCAAAAAAAUUAAAAGAAUUAAAAAAAACAUAAUAACAACACUAAAUUAAAAACAUAAUAGCAUUCAUUAUAUAUAUAUUUACUUUUUCUUGACUUUUUAGUUUAAUUUUAGUUUUUUUUUUCCAAAUAUUUUUAGUUUUCAUAUUUUUGUUAAGCUUAUUAUAAGAAAACUUAUAAAUCCAUUAGUUUUUAUAUAUUGGGUUUGUAUAAUGCAUUGGACCUAUCUCACAUAGUCAUCAUUAAAAUAGUCAUAAUUUGAUCUCUUGAACUCAAAAUCGAGUGAAUAAAAGUGAGUUUCUAAGUUAAGUGAUAGAUCUUAGAACUCUAUGAAGACAUAUCAAUUGAAAAAUGUCUGAACUCCAUCCAAAAAUUCACGCAAGUUAACUAAUUUUUCAAACUUGAAAAUUGGUAGCUUCGGUGAAUGGAAUUUAGUAAAGUUCACCCCAUAUAUUGAUGUAUCAACUUUCAUUGUAAAAAGUAAAAAGAAAUAAUCUAUAGUGGUUAGUGUUUUAAUGGGGGUUUUGUGUUUACUCUCGGUUAGGGGAAGGGCAAGAAGAGUUGGUACUCCUGCAGCAAUUUGAGCGUUAAGGGUGUCUGUUCGUCGGCGGUAAGGUUUCAAAUUCUUUGUUGGUUAUUGUAAGGCUCCGUUUGUGGAAUGGUUUUGGAUUGAGUUUCGUAAGUGUACUGAAUUUGGGCUUCUGGAUGCUAUUUCUUAGGUUCGAUGGUCUCGGGGGUGCUUGUGCAUCAAAACGAUAUCAGGUGUGUACCCGAAAUGCAGAAAAUCGAGCUUCGAUGAAAUCUAAAACACCUUACUAUCGACACCACAAGGGCAUGUGCCUGGCCGUGUGGUUGGCUGUGUGUAGGACACGGUCAUGUGUUUGACGAGGGUAGGGUCGUGAGGAAGACAUGGCCGUGUGACGAUGUGGGCCCGCAGGCUAGGCCAAGUUAGGCUUGUGGGUUUUGGGCCACAUGUGCAUGUGGGUUUUGGGCCAAGCCAUGUGAACCACAUGGACAGGGCUAAUCUGGGUGUGUUGACCACAUGGGCAUGUGGGCCCGAAAUUCUAAAAUUUUUCGUAGGGUCUCACAGGUCAUUUUGGUCGACUUUGUGCCUACCGUAGGGUCAGUAAGGGCUAACCAAACCCUAAAACUAUGUGAUCUGUUAGUUUGAUAUUUGUUCUAAAUAUGAUACUACUAUGCAUGUCUGAUUAGUCUGGUGUAUAUAUAUAUAUCUGAUAUAUAUGUAUGAGCAUGUGAGCAUGAUAACUCUGAUUAUAUAUAUCUGAUUGAGGUGGGAUUUCUAUAUGUGGAGGAAGUGUUCUAUAUGGCGGUCAUCGCCUAUGUUCUGGCAGCUUGGCUAUACAUUAUCUGACAUGUAUCGUAAUGGCACGAUAUGGUGUGUAGGGAUUGGUGGGUGUUUUUAACCCCACAUGAUGUGAUGGGAUGGUCAGAGUUGGUUUGUAGAGGAUGGAGUUAGGAUUCUGUAUUUCUAAUAUGCAUAUAUGUUCUAUUAUUUGAAUCUAUAAAGGACUUAGGUCUGAAUCUGAAUCUGAAAUUGUAUCUGAUCGUGUAUGAGUUUAUUGCACGUAUUGCAUGUAUUUUUCUGUUGGGUUACACACUGAGUUUACGAAAACUCACAUUUGUUUGUCGGUUUUGUUUAGGUAAUCCACAGACUUAGACGGGUCAGUGUUACGGAGGCUCAGUGGUGACCACUUGAUUGAGAACUAUUUUACUUAGUAAAUUAUGUUUUAUUUAUAAUUUCGAUUUCAUUUGAGAGUUUGUAAUUUUUGGGACUCUCCGGACUGCUGGUUUUUAUUUUGGUUUUGGAUGCGAUUUUAGACUCUUUUGUUGCGAUGCAUAAUGGAAAACACGGUUUUAUGAAAACAAAGGUUAUUCUGAAAAUACGAACUGGAUUUCUAAAAUAUAACGGUUCAAAAACUUCUGCUAAAAAUCAUGUUUUGGUAAAUAAAUGAAUUAAGUAACACUUUCAAAAAUGGUUAUAAAGAAAUAUGAACUAUGAAUCUUUAAUGAUUUGACAAAAAGACCUUAUUUUCAAAACCAUACAUUGUGACCACUCCAGAUUCAGCUAUAACGUCUAGACCGAUUUGGGGUGUUACAGUAAGGAUGAAAAUUUAAGGGGGAGUGAGCUAUGGCGCUUAGUAUGAGUUCAUUCACAAUAAAUUCAAUGCAAACGGUUGGUAGGACACAUUAAAUAAUAUCACAUAAAAUAAUCACAGUCAGAUAAUAGUUUAGAAUGUCGGUUUUACAAUUUAACCACCAAUAUUAUCACAGUAUUCACAGUUGUAAUUUCAGAAUAUCAAAUUUUCACACCAUUCACAAUAUUUAGAUAUAUAUAAAUAUAUCAUAACAGAAUUCCAGAUUUGUAUGCACAUGAUUUAGAAGAUGCCAUACAAUUUCGGGUUUUAACAGAAUAAAUCCUACCCCACGUUACAUACCAUAAUGGGAGUUCCCCUAAACUCCCUUCUCCAACACACUGGGUACCACUACUGGUUUACAAAUAAUAACUAUCAUUUGGCUGUGGACACACAGCAAUCCCCCACAAUUGGAUUCUAGAUUUGGUUGUGGGUUCACAGCAAAAAAAUCUACAAAUGAAGCAUGCUUUUGCCUGUAGAUUAUACAACAUAUACCCAUAGUUGGAAUCUGCCUUCGGCUGUGGACACACUGUAACACCUCAAACCUGACCUGGACGUUAUGGCCGAAUCUUGAGGAAUUACUUUAACUCGCUAGAAAACCCAAGAGUUUACUUUGAAAUCAUGUGGUUAAACUAGUGUUCACUUUGAUAAAUCGUUUUCCAGUUUUAGGGAAAAUUAUUAUUAAAACUACUACUUUAUUACAAUAAAAAAUUAAAGUGAUUGUAUCAUUUUGUAACGGAAUCUACUGAGCUAUAAGGUUUUGAAAAUCGUGGUUUAAUUUGCAACAAAUCAUUUUGCAAAUAGAAAUUUAAUACUACUUAAUUUGGAAAAGCAUGCUAAAACGAAAGCAAAGUCCAAACUAAUUUACGAUUUAAAUUCUUAAAAGUCCAAAUUAAACAUAAAGUCAAUUUAAACCAGUUUAUCGAAAGUGUAACACCCCAAACCCGGCCUAGACAUUAUGGCCAAAUCUGGAUGUGUUACAAAAAAAAAGUUUAUAAAACGACUUCCUUGUUAUUGGCAAAUCAUCGCAACCAUUAUUACAUAGUAUGUCUGAUUUGUUUGGAGAACUUUUUGAUAUACUUAUUUGAUUUAAGAUCGUUGCUUGCUUAUGCCUUUCUAUUAAACCGAAUGUUUUGCAGUGGAGUUUCUUUAAAAUGUCAUAUUUUGGCAAAUCAAAUUGUUUCUUGAAAAUCGUUAUUUCAGAAAAGUUGUCAUUUUCAGGAAAACUAUUUUAUCGGUUGUUACGCUUAGAAAACCAAAAUAAAAUCCAAAACCAAAAAUAGUCCCAAAAAGUCCAAAGAGUCCCGAAAUUACAAAACUCUCAAAACCAGAAAAGUUUGAACUAAUUUUAAAAGAAUGAAAAUUUAUAGAAAUAUGGUCAACAUUGAGCUUCCGUCACACCGACCCACAUAAAUGUAAGGGUUACUUGAACAGAACAAACAAAUAGAGAGUGAGUUUUGAAACUCAGUGCGUAACGCGAAUAUAAACAAAAAUUUAGAAUCAAUCUAAUGCAUAACAGAUACAAAUGUAAACCUUUUAUAGAAUAAGAAUUAUACAGAUACAAAUGUGCAAAAUCCUACCCUCGUCCUCUACACACCAAUUCUGACCAGCCCAUCACACCACGUGGGGUAUAAAACACCCACCUAGCCAUACACACGGUAUAGUGUUUAUACGACACUUUUCAGAAUAAUCGCAGUAGAGUUGCCAGUAUAUAGGUGAGAUAUUUCCUCACACAGAACACUUCCUCCUCAUAAUACAAAUCCCGCUCCAUAGCCAGAUACAGACAGAAUAUUAGGUAAAACAAAUUAACAGAUACCAGAGUUAACAUAUCAUGCAUGAGCGUAUAACAAAUAUUACACAUGCUUGUACAUAACAGAACAAACCAUACAUACCGUAUUCCAUAAUACUCAUAUAAAUGUUAUUUUUUAAAUUGUAACAAAUAUUAUUAUUAAGAUGUUUUUCUUUUUAUAUUUUUAUAAAAAUAUAUUAAAAAACAAUUAGAAUAAUUUUAAGAGAAAAAACACUCAUAAAUAGUAGAAUUUAAUCUAAAAAUAUCAAAGUUUUAAAGCCUCAACUUUAACAUUUCAACCAAAAUUCCAUUAGUAUAUAAAUAUUUCAUAAAUAUAGAUUUUAUAUAAAAAAUUUAUGUUAACUUUUUUUUAACCCGCAUCACAAGUAUACCAUAUUUAGAGAUAUUCAUAGCUAGGCAGCCCACUUUGGGUCAAGCUUGAGCUUAGGUUUUAUCUCAAGUUGGCCCAAUUUAACCUAUUUUACUAUUUAAAAAUAUAAAUAUAUGUUAUAUUGAUAUUUAUAUAUUUCUAUAAUUAAAUUUUAAAUAAAUUUAUUGUUAACUUCUAAACAUAAAACAAAGAGAACUUUCACCCAAGUUAUAAGUUUGUGGUUAGACAGCCGACUUUCGGGGCAGGAUUCAGCUUACGUUUUUAAUCUUGGGAUUUAACAAUAAUAAAAAAUUUAAAAAUAAUAUUCUAUUAAUAUUUAUAAAUUUUAUAAAUUUAAAUUUAAUUAUAUUUUUUAAACAGUAAAAUGAACCAUUUAUAUGGGCUAAUUAGAGUUAAGUUUGGUUUGAAUCAAGGCUUAACUUUGACCAAAUCCAACUAAAAACACCUCUAACAAUUAUCUAGUAUUGUUUUUAUGAAUUGAAUUUUAACUUCUAAUUUUCAAUUUUAUUACAAAAUUUCUUUGCGGACGAUAAGAAAAUAACAUAUUUGUAACUUCUUCACUCCGACGUAAAGGUUAAGUCUGAAUUUGGAUUACAUCGGCCAUAAAUAUGGCCUAGCAGGAUUAUCGGAGUUUUUAAAAAUAGACAUCUUUAAAACGUUUGUUUAAUUUAUAAAAAAGCUUAUUUAAUUUCCAAAUUAUUUAUUACUUGAAAUCUUAAUUACAUUUUAAAAGCAGGAAGUGGUAACUAUUUAUUUUUAAUAAAAAUCGGGGUUCAUGUAUAAUUCAUUAAUAACCGUAAUUCGAAAACAUUAAAACUUAAAUUAAAUGUCAUGCAAAACAAAACAAACUUAAAUCUAAAUCUCAUGCCACAGUGCAAAACAAUUUAUUGUAGUCUUAGAAAAUAAAAAAAAAUCAUAUAAUGAACCUAAAAUAAUUUUUUUUACUUUAAUAAUGUGUCAAGACCUUACAAAUGUCACGCCCACGUUCAAUCCUGGUGGGUUAUCUAUAAGGAUGAAAAUUUAAGGGGGGUGAGCUUUGACGCUUAGUGUGAGUUCAUUCACAAUAAAUUCAAUGCAAACGGUUGGUAAGACACAUUAAAUAAUAUUGCAUAAAAUAAUCACAGUCACAUAACAGUUCAGAAUGUCGAUAUUACAGUUUAACUACCAAUAUUAUCACAAUAUUCAUAGUUGUAAUUUCAGAAUAUCAAAUUUCCACAUCAUUCACAAUAUUAACAUAUAUAUAAAUAUAUCAUAAUAGAAUUCUAGAUUUGUAUGCACAUGAUUUAGAAGAUGCCAUACAAUUUUGGGUUUUAACAGAAUAAACCCUACCCCACGUUACAUAUCAUAAUGGGAGUUCGCCUAAAAUCCCUUCUCCAACACACUAGGUUGUGGAUAAACCAAUACUCAUCCGCAGAUAAUAACUAUCAUUUGGCUGUGGACACACAGCAAAUCCCCACAGUUGGAUUCUAGGUUUGGCUAUGGGUUCACAGCAAAAAGUCCUGCAAAUGAAGCCUAUUUUUGCAUGUAGAUUAUACAACCUAUACCUGCAGUUGGAAUCUGCCUUUGGCUAUGGAUGCACUAUAACGCCCCAAACCUGACCUGGACGUUAUGGCUGAAUCUUGAUGUAACGCCCUAAAAUUUCUAAUUCUAUUAUUGUAAAAAUAUGACACAAAAUAUUUGUCUGCUUUAGUGGUUAUGUGUUCUGGGAGUGUUUGGGAGGUCCCAAGUUCACGUCUUUGCUUGGGCAAAUUUUGGUAUUUUGAAUGAAUUAGGCUUUACUCUUGUUCAGUAGGAUUUUAUUUGAUUGUUGGGAAAAUUAUAUCAGAAUGGGCUUGCUGGUCUAGUGGUUAAAUUGUGUGUUAUUAUGGUGAAGGUCUUGUGUUCAAAUCCUUAUGUAGGCAAAGGUAUUAUUAUUAUUAUUUUUGCUCAGAUUUCGGGAUAUAGUUGUGUAAUAGGGGGAUUCUGAGUAGUGGAUGUGUAGUGGGAAUUAGGGGAGAAGAUUAAGGGGUUUCGGGAUUUUAUUUUAUUUUUUCCCAGAACGGAAUUUUGACUCUCUUUUCCAAAAAAAUUCUGUCGUCUAUUCUUCUCCCUCUCCUCUUGUCGAUAUUCUCUAAGUUUUUUCAUCUUUCUCUUCUUUUUCUUCUUCUUGAUUUUUCCCUAAUCCAUUUAUUUUUCCUUCAUUUUCGCACGCGAUUAGUGCUCGCUUAGUUUCGGUAAGCGUUUCUCUUUGUUUUUAUCAUGAAUCUCCUAGGGACUAAAGUGGUAAUUUUUUUCUCUGCGAUUUGGGCAUAAGGGAAGGCUCGGACUGGUGAAUUCAGUAUUCUCAUCUUAUCAAUAGUUAAAUGGGGGGUUAUCGUUGGUGGUAUGUUGGGUUUCUGUUCGUUCUUGGUUGUCAAUUCGCUUGUAAAUCCAUUAAAUUGAUGUUUAGUAUCUUGAUUAUAGGCUUUGGAGUGCUUGGGGACUGUUUUAGCAUCAAACAAAACCAGGUGUGUACCCGAAACGCAAAAAAAAAGGGAUUCGGUGAAAAGUUAAAAUUGCUUGCUAUUUGGACAGCAGCAGUAGACUAAUUUUGAAAAAUCACCAUAAAUUGUGGAAAUCGAAUUAGAGGAUGAAAAAAAUAUGAAAUUAAAUCUUAUUGAGUCUAGUUUCUCAUAGAAGAAACGGUGUAAGUAAUGGAAUUGUAAAUCGUGAGAUAUAAUAAACUUUGUGAGACAAGGUUAGAAUAAAUUCGGGUUCCCCUGUUCUGAUUUUGGAAAAUCAUCAAAAAUUGGAGAAAAGUAAUUAGGAAUUAAAAUUUACAUGUUUAAAUUAUUAAUGAGUCUUUUUUUUCAAUAGAAACAAAUGGGAACUUCAUCCAAAUUUUGUACUAAAAGAUAAUUAAUUUUUAGCAAAGAAGGGUCAAAGCUGUCAGACAGCAGAACAAGGGUAAGUUUGAAGAUUUUACUGUACUUAUUAGCUGAACCAAAAAUUCUAAAAAUUUUAUGGUAGAAAGGUAUUUGAGUCUAUUUUUAAAGACAUCAAGCGAAUUUUAAUUAGAAAUUCUGUAGCACAAGAUAUAAAUAAUUUAGUAACAGUGACUCAAGUAGAAAGCUUUGAAGGAACACAUAAGUAAAUUGUGAUAACAUAUAUGAAUAUUUAGCUAACACAGGUUACACUGAAAAUGGAUCACGUGGCCAAGGCCAAUUUGGGCCGAGUGGGCCACGUGGGCGUGUGAGCCCAUUUUUUUGAAAAAUUCUGUAAGGUUGCACGGGUCACCCAAGUCGACUAUGGACCUACUGUAGGGUCAGUAACCUUUACUUAGACGCCUAUAUGUGUGAUCUGUCUAGCUGAUUUCUAUAACGAGCAUGACUUAUAAUAUCUAAAUGUAUGUACUAUUAAUUGCAUAAUGGCAUGGCAUAUUUUGUAUGUUGCAUUGCAUCGGGGUGGGUUGAUGAUAUUUGGAGGAAGUGUCUAAAGGGAUAUUAAGCCAGUUAUCUGGCAGCUCAGCUGCAACCUUCUGAUUAUGUGUCGAUUUCAGUAUAGCAUGGUGUGUAAGGAUGGGUGGGUUAAUUUAAUCCCUACAUGGUGUGUAGGGUUGGACGGAGAUGGUGUAUAGAGGCUGGUGGGUAGGAUUCUAAUUUACUAUAUCUACAUUCUGAAUCUGAUAUGGGCCAAGGCCCUAAUGUAUUUCUGAGACUGUAUCUGAACGGGCUAAGGCCCAAACUGAUUGUGUGAUGGGCCUAGGACGCAGACUGUAUCUAACUGAAUUCUGUUGAUUAUUUGUAUGCAUGUUUUCUAUGGGGAUUACACACUGAGUUUGAGAAAACUCACCCUUUCUCUGUUUAAUCUAUACAGGUAAUCCCCAAACUUGAUGGGUAGGUGCAGCGGAGGAUUCGACGGUGGCCACACGUAAAUUUCAGACUGUUUUCUGUUAAUGCCUAGAAUUUAUUAAUUAUUUGGGGUUUUUGAUGUAUCUUCUGGACUAUGGACUAGUAGGCUUUAAAUUUUAGACUUUAUACUAUUUUUUAUGUUUUUUUUAAAACUGCAACUCCACAAAACACGGUUUUUUUCUAAAAAAUAAGGAUUUUCGUAAAUAGAAAUGAUUUUCCCUAAAUUAAUUGGUUACAAAAGUUUUCUCUAAGAGACAAGUUUUAAAGCAAAUCAACUAGUUUUUUUUCAUAAUUAAAUAAAAGUUAACUUACUAUAACGAUUUUUCUUAAACUCGACAAUCUUGUCUUCAAAUCCCUUUUCAUGUGACAUCACCAGAUUCGGCCAUAACGUCUAGGCCGGGUUUGGGGUGUUACACCUGAUGAGUUACUUUAAAUCGCUUGAAAACCUAGAAAUUUACUUUGAAAUCAUAUGGUUAAACUAGUGUUCACUUUGAUAAAUCGUGAAAGUAUGUGAUUAUUGAGGACAUGCUGAGCAUGUCAAAUGAAUGUGAAAAGUAUUGUGAUAUGACUAUGUAUGAGAUUGUGUAACAUAUUGCAUAUGCAUUGGGUUGGGAUUUUUUGGUUGACGGAGUAGUUCUGUGGAGUACCGUCGGCAUAUUAAGCCCGCAUUAUUCGUAGUUAGUGCACUGCACCUGGAGUACUGAGGGGAUUGGUAAUUUUAUCGCAUAUUAUAUGUUAUUGGUGAUUGUAUAGCACUAUUUGAUAUCCGACAGAUUUUUUGCAUUAUUGAUUAUUCGGUGGUUUUACCACAUUGAGCUAUGCUCAGAAUGUUUUAGAGUUUGGUAGACGGGUUCUAGGGAACACGUGGUGUGUAGCGGAUGGUAUGGGUAGGAACCUUUUUGCAUUGCAUCAUGUGCACGACAUAUUCGAAUGUUAUUGGUUUAUGCUACGUAUUGUAUUUUUUUGUAUUGAAUGGUAUCAAAAUUAAUGAUUGUCACUCGAAUGAAUUAUGAACUAUGCUCAUACACUGUUUGACAUCAAUUUAAUAAUGGCUAUGUAACGAUAUGAAAUUCCUAUAAUGGUUUUAUUUUCUUCUAUUAAAGCUAAUAUGUUUCACUGUAUUUGAUAUUUAUGUUUGUUUAAAUAAUUGUUCGACUCACACUGAGCUUUUCAUAAGCUCACCCCUAAUAGUGUUAAACUUUUCACGUAAACCUCGAAAUUAAGACCAGACUUGGCAUUCGAAGAAUCACCUUGGACCUUGAAUUAUUUUUCUAAUAAGUAUUAAUCAAUCUCUAAUGGUUUUGGUUUGUAAUUUUUAAUUAUAUCUAGUCUGUGGCUUGAUAACUUUUCUUUUGGGAUUUUUGCAUGCAUGGAUUACUCAAGCAUAAUAACCGGAUAAUGCAUGAUAUCAGGCUUAAGUAAAAUUUGAUAUUGUUCCCUAGAUUCUGCUACAUUGCAAAGGAUUUGUUUUUGAAAAACAAAUUGAUAAGGUAACUAAGUUUUUAAAAUGACUUGAAAAAUGGUUUUUCCCCUAGAUUAGUUUAACAUCAAAUUUUUUUUAAAGGAGAGCAACAAGCAAAUGGUUUUUCUAAAACAACACUAUCAACAAUAAAAUGAAUUCUAAGUAUACACAACCUAAUGAAUGAAUGCUUUUAAGCUAACUUAAAGUACAAUUAUGGUUUUCUCUAAAAUGAGUUUAUUUAAGGUUUUCAUAAGUAAUGUAAGUUAGCUUAGCCAUUUCGGUGGCUAAUGUAGCCUUCUCAUUCUAGCCAUAACGUCUAGGCCAGGUUUGGGAGGUUACAGUAUUGAUAGGAACUGUGGUAUAAAUUUUAUUUUGGACAUUCUUAAAGUGUUAUUUGGACUAAACUUUAGAAACUAUGGAUUUUAUACUGAGCCUAAAUUUACGAAGUUCAUGCGUGGUUUUUACGAAAAUGAAACUAAUAUGAAUUUUUAAAACCAUGAUUUUUUUUAAAGCUCCAAUUUGAAAUUGUACAAGAAAUGUCAAUUUGAAUUAUUUUUGAAUGUUUUUUUAUGCCAAUAAAAUAUUGUUUCAAAACAUAGCUAAGUAUUAUUUAAUUUCGUAAAGACGAAGCAAACUCCAAACAAUCUAAAACUUUAAGGACUAGUUUGUAAUUUUUGUUUUUCCUCAAUUGUCUCUGGUUUGAUUCAAUUCUUGAUCUAUACAAUUAUUCCAUUCAAUUCAUCAAUAUUAAACAUUUAUACAUUAUGUCAUGUCAUGAAUGAACCUAGAUAAAUUCAUUUUUUGAUACCCUUAAAGUUUUACAUUUAUUUCAAUUUAGUCUCUAAAAUCGAAAUAGUCAUAACUUUAAAUUCUGAACUUCAGUUUGAAAAUCGACCUCAAUUUCAUUUUAGACUGUCUGUUAAAAAUUAGUGCAUCUUACUGGAUUUUUUAAUUUACUUGUUUUCUUUAUCAAAUAAGUUGGUUCCUAUUAUAUAGGGAUAUGAUCAGAUUAUGUUUUGUUAGUUGAGGUUUUAGUGGGCUAUUAGUUGCAGGUUUUUUAACUUUAACGUUACAUGUAGUUAAGCUAUUUAUAUGUCAUUUUAUCUAAUGUAAUUUUGUGUGUUUUUUUUAGUAAUCAAAAACGUUCUUUAAUACUUUAAGCUUUUCUUGUUAUUAUUUCUUUCAUUACCUCGGUCAUUCUUUUUUGUUUUAUGGUGUCAGUGCCAGGUUAUUCAUUGGUUAAUUGUGUGAAAGGGUGUUUUGCUAGUUGCUGCAAUGGAGGUUUCAAAUGGAGGAAAUAAUCAGAUUGGUAUGGAGAAGCUUGUAGGCACUAACUACAAGUAUUGGAGGAUGUGUAUGGAGGCAUUUCUUCAAGGCUAGGACUUGUGGGGAUUGGUUGUUGACCUGAUGCAACAAUCCCUCCCAAUAUUCUCGAGAAUGCCAAGUCACGAAGGAGGUGGAAGGUCAAAUGCGGUAAAGCUUCAUUGAUCAUGUUCAUGAUGUUAACUCUCCAAAAGAAGUUUGGGAAACGCUUGAAAGGUUGUUUACCAAGAAGAAUACUGCAAGGUUGCAAUUGUUGGAGAACGAAUUGGCCGGGUUAAAACAAUGAGGUAUGUCAGUUUUAGAAUAUUUUUUACGAGUUAAAAAUAUUUGUGCUGAAAUUUCAGAGAUAGAUACGGAUGAGAAAGUUAGUGAAGCUCGUUUGCGUCGUUAUCUUAUCCGCAGUUUGAAGAAGGAGUAUGGGCCUUUUGUCACUUCUAUUCAAGGGUGGUCGACACAGCCUUCGGUGGAGGAGUUAGAGAAUUUUCUCUCUAAUUAAGAAGCUUUGGCAAAGAAGAUGGUGAAAAGUUUCGAAUCUGAUGCCAGUCUCUUCUCAAAAGGGAAGCCAAACAAGAAGAAUGAGUCUGGAAAUAAAGGCAGAUCUGAAGACUCUAGUUCGAAAAAAGAUGGCAACUCACAAAGCAAAAAGUCUUUCAAAUGCUUCAGAUGCAGAAAGACUGGACAUAUCAAGAGAAAUUGCCGUGUGUAGAUUUCCAAGGCCAAUAUCGUGUCCACGGAAGAAACCGAUGAUCGACUCAAAUGGGAGCAUUGCUUUACUGUUGAAGCUAUUGAACAAAAGUCAUCAAAAGCUUUUGUCAAUUAUGCUGAUAACAAGAAGGAGGAGUGGAUCAUUGAUUCUGGUUGUUCUCACCAUGUAACCGGAAAUGAUACUUUGUUCUUAGAGAUGCAUGAACACCAUGGAGAUCGAGUUAUUGUGACUGCAGAUAACUCCACUCAUCCGGUAGCAAAAGAGGGCAUUGUGGUGAUCGAUGUUGUCGACGAUACGAGAACCGAAAGUGUCAAAUUGACUGAUGUGUAUCAUGUUCUAGAUGAAGCUUAUGUGAAGAAAACAAGCCAAACCGAUAACGCUGCUAUUUGGCAUGCUCGAUUGGGUCAUGUGGGGUACCAAAUGCUGCAACAAAUUUAUUCGAAAAGGUUGUUAGAUGGGAUGCCGAUCUUGAAGAGUGUACGUGAAGAUGUGAUUUGUCAAAGCUGUCAAUAUGGUAAAUCUCAUCGUCUUCCUUUCAAAAGCUCAUCAAAUCGGAGAUCUUCUUUGCUCGAAUUGGUUCAUACAGACUUGACGGGACCAACGAGAACACUGAGUUGUAGCAGCCACUGUUAUGUUAUGGUUUUGGUGGAUGAUUACUCAAGGUUCUCUUGGGUGAAAUUUUUGAAAGAGAAGAGUGAAGCAUUAUCCAAGUUUGUGGAGUUCAAAGCUGCUGUUAAAAAAGAGUUUGGAAAGAAGAUUAAGUGUCUUCGAAGUGACAAUGGCGGAGAAUACAUGUCCAAUAAUUUUUUUCAGUAUUGUGUUGACAACGGCAUCUGUCGUCAAAUGACUUGUCCAGAUACUCCAUAGCAGAACAGAGUUGCAGAAAGAAAGCUUGGUUAUCUUGCUUCGAUUUGCCUUUCAUGGCUGCAUGACAAGAAUCUUCCUCGAGAGCUUUGGGCGGAAGCUGUUCUUUGUGCAUGUCAUGUGACAAAUAGGCUGCCUCCUUGGCCAGGUACACAGAAAUCUCCUUUUGAGAUUUUAUAUGGUGAAAAGCCAAAUGUGAAUUAUUUUCGAGUCUUCGAUUCUAUUUGUUAUGUACAUGUUCCGAAAUCGAAAAGAACUAAACUUGAUCCGAAAGCAAAAAAGUGUGUAUUUGUUGGCUAUGAUUCUUAUAGGAAGGGAUGGAGGUGUAUGGAUCCGGAUACAAAGAAGUUUACUACUUCGAGAGAUGUCGUGUUCGAUGAAGUAUCAUCUUUCUACUCCACUCAAAGAUUUGCUGCAGAAAAUAUUAUUCUUGAAGAUGAUGAUGAAAACUUGGAUGAGCUAUUUCCAAGAGUUAAUUUGCAACCAUUCAUUGAUGAUGAGUUGGAAAAUGAAUCUCCAACACCAACUCCAAGUCAAAAUGUUCAAUGACAUGAAGGUGGUUAGCAACAGAGUGAGGAGGUCUACUAGAGAAACGAGACAACCUGAGUAUCUCAGAGACUAUGAGGUGCAGCUUAAUCAUUGUAGUAUCACUUCUUGUUUCUUUGUUUGAGCGUUUGAUGAAGAACCAGUAAGUUAUGAGAAGCCAAAAGCCAUUCAAAAUGGGAGGCAGCCAUGAAAGAAGAAAUUGAAGCUUUAGACAAAAAUGAGACGUGGGAGUUGGUUCUUAAACCAGAAAAUUGUAAGCCGAUCACUUGUAAAUGGGUUUUUUGCGUGAAGAAAAAAUUAGAUGGCACCAUUGAUAGAUUUAAAGCUCGUCUGGUGGCUCGUGGUUUUUCUCAAAAUUAUGGAUUGGACUACGAGGAGACGUUUAGCCUAGUAGCAAAGAUGGUGACGGUGAGAUCGAUUAUUUUGCUUGCUGCGUUUAAAGGUUGGAGACUAUGGCAACUUGAUGUAAAGAAUGCUUUCUUUACGGAGAUUUAGAUCGUGAAGUAUUUAUGGAGCAACCUAUUGGCUUUGUCUCUAAGGAAUUUCAAAAUCGUGUUUGCCGUUUGAAGAAAGCGUUAUAUGGCCUUAAGCAAGCGCCACGAGCAUGGUAUGGUAAAGCUGCUCAAUAUCUCAUUUUUUGUGGCUUUAGAGUUUCUGAAUCAGAUUCUAGUUUAUUUAUAAAAUUGGAAUCAGGUGCACAUCUCUUGGUAUUAUUAUAUGUUGAUGAUAUGAUAAUAACUGGAGAUAAUGAAUCAGAAAUUUGUAAUUUGAGGAAUGACUUGUCUGUUCGUCUUGAGAUGAAAAUUUUGGGGGAGAUUGGAUGUUUUCUUGGUCUAGAAGUGGAAAAAUCAGAUCAAAGUUGUUAUAGCCCGAUUUUGGGUCUAGUCAGAACAGUGGUUUUGGGACCACAAAUUCAACAAAAAGAAAAUGGGUAAAAAAUAUUAUUAAUUUAGUAAGUAUAAGUUAAAUGUGAAGUUAGGAAAAUUUUUUAAAUACUGAAUAGUGCACUAGAAAUAAAUAUUAAAAUAAUUAGAAUCGAAAUGAGGUAUCAAGACCUCGGGGAUUUUAAACCGAGCCAUAAAUAUUUUUAUAAAUAUUUAUGGAGUGUUAAAAAGUUAGUAUUAAAGUUUCGUUAGGAAAUUUUAAAGUUCCGAUAAUUAAUUGAACAAAAAGGACUAAAUUGUAACAAAUGCAAAAUUUUGGGAAAUGAUUAAGUAGCUUAAAUGAUAAAAGGAAGAGGGCUUAAAAGGCAAAUAGACCCAAGGUUUAUUUGGGCUGGACGGCAAAGGCAUGAAAUCAGCAAGAAAGUAAGGAGAAUUAAGGGCAAAAUUGGAAUAUUGCAAAAUUUGCUUAAUAAAGUUAGGACCCAAGUGGAAUUAUCUAGAUUUCUCUUCAUUUUUCUGAAUUCUCAUCAGCAAAAACACCAUGGAAGGGCUUCUUCAAGCUGGUUCUUCAUAUUUUUACUACAAGUAAGUUCAAUUCUUGACUAUUUCUUGAAAUUUUUGUAUUUUUAUGACUUUUACAAUUAGGCUCACUUGUUAAAUUCAUUAGUUUUUGAUUUUAUGAAAGAAGUUGAAAGUUGAUAUGAAUAUGUGCUGGAAUUAUAUGAUGAUUUAGCAUGGAAUUAGAGCUUUAAAUUGUUCAUAUGCUGAUUUUAUUGAAAGAAUUGAAUAGAAAGUGAAUGUUUGGGACCUAAUAGUAAAAGAGUUUGAAGAUAGAAUUAUAUGUGGAAAUUCUGAAUUUCAAUAGUUGUGUAACAACUUAUAAUGUCUAGGUAAAGUAUUAAUUCAGAAAAUUGGAUUAAUUGAGGGGUUAAUUGAGAAAGGACCGAAUUGUAUAAACUGUAAAAUUUGGGGCAAAAUGGAAAUCAACAUUUUGCACUAAAGCAGUUUUGGACAGCAGCAGUAGUGUAACUUUGAAAAAUCACAAAAAAUUGUAGAGAUUGAAUUAGAGGAUGAAUAAAAUAUGAAAUUAAAUCUUAUUGAGUCUAGUUUCUUAUAAAAGAAACGGUGUGAGCAAUGAAAUUGUAAAUCAUGAGAUAUAAUAGAUUUUGUGAGACAAGGUCAGAAUGAAUUCGGGUUCCCCUGUUCUGACUUUGGAAAAUCAUUAAAAAUUUUACAAAAAUUAUUAUGAGUUAUAAUUUAUAUGGUUAGAAUCCUUAAUGAGUCUAUUUUUAUAAGAAACAAACAAAAACAGCAUCCGAAUUCUGUACAAUGAGAUAAUUAAUUUUUAGUGAAGAGUGGUCGGAACUGUCAGACAGCAAAACAGGGAAAAAUUUAAAGAAUAAACUGUACUAUUUGGCUAAACAAAAAAUUCUGAAAAUUUUAUGGAAAUAAUAUAUGUGAGUCUAGUUCCAGGUAAAAUUAACGGAUCUUAAUUUGGAGCUUUUUAGCUCCGGAUAAAAAUAAUUUAGUGACUCUAACUCAGACAGACAGCCUAAAUUUUUCAUACAAGAAAAUAGUGAAAGUAUGAAUAAUGUUGUUUAAAUGUGUUAUACACAUUAAGGAUGAGGAAUGGAGAGGAGGUGGAGGAAAAUUGGGAAAUAUAUGAAUGGUUUAUCAUGUUGUUAGUUCCAAAAAGAGUUAUGUUUCAAUACACUAGCUUGCAACUAUGGUUGAAUGAUAUGUUUAUAUCUUGUGUGAUGUGCAUAGGAAACAAGUGUGGAAAGAUAAUGAAAUAGUAAGUUCAUAUGGCUGAAAUUUAAUGGUUAAAUGUUAAUUCCAUGAAUUAUAUGAUGUAUGAUGAGAUAUUUUUAUUGUUGAAAUAAGAAUAAAAUAAAAGUGCGAAAGCUGAAUAAAUGAUCAAAUUGAGCGGAACGCCGGAUUUGAGUACUUCUGAUCAAGUGACAAAGUGAUAAGUGAUAGCUUUAGCUACACUUAUUUGAUCAAGAACAAGUGAUAAGCGGUGACAAAGUGAUAAGUGGUAGCAUUAGCUACACUUAUCUGAUCAAGUGAGAAAGUGAUAAGUGGUAGCAUUAGCUACACUUAUCUAAUCAAGUGAGAAAGUGAUAAGUGGUAGCCUUAGCUACACUUAUCUGAUCAAGUGACAAAGUGAUAAGUGGUAGCCUAGCUACACUUAUCUGAUCAGGGACAGGUGAUAAGUGAUCAUACGUAAGACCAUAGUUAUACUAUGGCAAAGUGAAAGUGAAGUACUCAAUUUUCCGUGACCGUUCCCUAAUUUGAUUAAGGAUGGUAAGUGACAAAUGAGCCCAAAAGAAUUAAAGUAAAUGGAUAAGUGGUAGUAUAUUUAUAUCAGGACGAUGUUGUUAUUCAAGCUAAAGUGAUAUUUUCAUUGCAAAAUUGAGAAUUUCAUAAAUGUGUUAUUGAAUGGUAUAAUCAAUAAACAUUGAGUUAAAUGGUAAAUACGUAAUAGUGUUGAACUUGAUGUCAUUGAAUUGUAUGUGAAUUAAAUGGAAAUUGCUAGUGAUAUGAUGUAAAUUGUGAGCAUGAGAAAUUGCGACUUGAAUGAAAUGGAAAUGAAGCAUUGAAUUGCAUGAGUAUGUAUCGGGUCUCAUAGGCCCUAAUUAUUAUGAUUAUAAUAUUUCGAGGAUAUAUUGUGAAAAGUUAUAGAAGCAUGUUAAUUAUUUUGAAAGUUUAAAUUUAUAUGAAAUUUUAUAACUCGGUUAAAUAUGCUUACAAGUGCAUAUGUUUUGGUGAUACCUCGUACCCUAUUUCGGCGUUGGAUACGGGUAAGGGGUGUUACAAGGUUACUUUGUUUCUCAAAAAGGCUAUGCAAGGAAUCUCUUGGAGCUUUUCGGUAUGGGGGAGUCGAAAGAAAAAGCUACUCCGAUGGAGCCGAAUUUGAAGUUGAAGAAAGAUGAUGGGAGGCCGUUGGAAGAUGCAAGGAAGUUUCGACAACUUGUUGGAAGCUUAAUCUAUUUGACCAUUACAAGGCCUGAAAUUUCAUACUCUGUUAGUGUUGUUUCUCAAUUUAUGCAAAAUCCAACAAUUAUUCAUAUGGAUGGAGCAAAGAGGAUUUUGCGUUAUGUUAAAGGAACUAUUGGUUAUGGUCUUCUAUACAAGAGAUGUGAUAGCUUUAUGUUGAGUGGAUUUACUGAUGCUGAUUGGGCUGGAGAUACAAACGAUCGUCACUCGACUUCGGGAUAUUGUUUCAGUAUCAAUUCAGCAAUGGUUUCUUGGUGUAGCAAAAAGCAAGGUGUUGUUGCUUUGUUGAGUAUCGAAGCCGAGUAUCUGGCAGCAACUAUGGCUGCACAAGAGUGCAUUUGGUUGAAGAGGUUGAUUGGAGACAUAUGCAAAGUUAAUUAUGCUGUAAAAAUCAAGUGUGAUAAUGAAAGUGCUAUUAAGCUUGCAUCGAACCCGGUUUUUCAUGCUCGAACGAAGCACAUCGAGGUUCGACAUCAUUUUGUUCGAGGAAAGGUUCUAAGUGAAGAGAUUGAGCUUGUAAACAUUCGCACCAACGAUCAAGUGGCUGAUAUUUUCACUAAGGCUUUGGUGAAGCCUAAGUUUCAUCAAUUUAGAGAUGCUCUUGGAGUUCUUGAUCGUAAGCAUGCACUAAGGGGGAGUGUUAAAAAUUAGUGCAUCUUACUAGAUUUUUUAAUUUACUUGUUUUCUUUAUCAAAUAAGUUGGUUCCUAUUUUAUAGGGAUAUGAUCAGAUUAUGUUUUGUUAGUUGAGAUUUUAGUGGGCUAUUAGUUGCAGGUUUUUUAGCUUUAACGUUACAUGUAGUUAAGCUAUUUAUAUGUCAUUUUAUCUAAUGUAAUUCUGUGUGUUUUUUUUUUAGUAAUCAAAAACAUUCUUCAAUACUUUGAGCUUUUCUUGUUAUUAUUUCUUUCAUUACCUCGGUCAUUCUUUUUUGUUUUACUCUCUACUAUCCAUUAUUAUCAAAAUUUCACAUCAAUUUCACAAUUUAUUUACUUUAGUUAUUAUGUACAAAAUUAACAACCAAACAUCACAAUUUAGUCAUUUUUCAUAAUUUAAGCUUAAAAUCUAUAAAUUUAACACCAAUUUCUUCAAGAAAUCAACCAUGAAAUCUAUAAAAAAAAUUUAACAGUUUUGCAAAUUGAUACAUAGGUUAUUUAAAUCAAACUCUCAUGACCUCAGAAACACAAAAAAAAUUAUACGAAAAUGAUUUAGAAAUGCAUACCAAUUGAGGACCGAAAGCUUGAAGCUCAAAAAUGGCUUUUCCCCUUGAGGUUUUAUGUUGAUUAGAUGAAGAAGAAGAAGAAAUAAAGAUGACAACUUGCACUAAGUCACCUUUAUAUACUUAGAUUAAAUCUUAAUUAAUCAAAUUUAAUUAAUUAAAUCUUAAUUAAUUAACCUUAAUCACAAUUAAUAAAAAUUGGUGGAUGUUAACAUCAUCCUACACUAUUUGAUAUAACCAAAUGAUCUAUUUACCAUUUUGAACCUUUAGCUAAUUAGAAAUCUAUAGCGAUAAGACUUUCAAAAUUUAGUCUCUGUAUCUUAAUUAAGCAAUUAAUAGACAAAGUUGAAGGUUUAAAUUUUAAUGUUCUAUUAUACCAACUCUGUAAAUAUUCAUAUUUAAUAUUUACAGACCUGAAUUACGAAAAUGAGAUUUUGAAAUUGUAUUUUCCAGUACCACUGAAAAUCGGACAAUUACGUAACCUAUUUGCACCAAUGGGCCAAACAUGGCAAAUACUUGACAUGUAUGUCUUAAUAUCCUCAUCUAUUCUCUUCAAUAUAAUAACAUCCAAUAAUUGUUCCAUCCACUGUAACUAUCACGAAGAUUAGAUUGACCAAUACAGCCUACAAUUUGAAGAAGCGCGAUAUUUUCAUUCUAGAGAAAGAUAUAAUUGAAACAAAAUUGAAAUAAAGAUUUCAAUACAGAAUCAACAGACAUUCCAGCUAAUACUUAUCAAUUAUUUGCAGCUUUAUUGCUCCAACUAAGAUGGUUUUUAGUCGAAUAUGGUAAAUGAAAUCAAUGAACACCAGCUACUUGAUGAACGAGUGAAUCAAAGUCCUGAUAUGUGCCGGCUUAUUGGUGAAAAAAUACAUGGGCUAGUUUUGCAGCAAUUCAUGAUCUUACAUUUUAUAACCUUUGCUUACAAUUAUUCACUGACUAAUCAUUCAAUGAAUGUAGGCCUCAAAUUUAGCCACUAAACUUUAUUCUUUAUUUUUAGAUACAUAUUAUUUGAUCACUUCAUACAGCCUAUUACUCAUAAUAACUUCCAAUUUCCCUUCUUUAGGUUAGUUGCAAAUGUACAGCUUUUUCUAGAAGAAGAAAAUUGUCAAGAGCCACCUGUUCAAGAGAGGCGCAAACAAAAUGUAAAAAUACCUGACCUACUUACGGUACAGCCAAGUAAUCAUGUCUUUCUAUGCUAGAUCAUUAAAUCAAUGACUACAAAUUUCAUGCCAUGGUCGUGUAUCAUUUAUGCCAUUGAUGCUGCUAUUUUCUAUUCUAAUGCAUAAUAGGGAUUUAGUGUUUUUACCGUUAAAAUUGUGUCCUUUAAUUUUGGCUCUUUUCAGUUGUUGAUCAUGUCCACCUAUGCUUUAUUUUACUACUAUUGCUUUCUGUAAUGAUAGAUGAUUGAAUCGGUAGAAUUUUAUUAAUCCUCAACAUGUUUUAUCUUGACAUAUGGAUCCUAAGCAUUCCUUGGAUUGUGCCCUUUUUGUUCAUUUAUUUUUUCUUGGAACCUUAUUACAUGUUGUACCACUCCAGCUUUUUGGAGACAAUGAAGACGACUAACUGCUGAAUUCUUUCUUCUGCAGAGGAACCAAUGGCACGAGACUCAAAAAAUCCUACUCUUUUUUAUACCUUCCUCACCUCUUUGUGACAUUAUAGCUGAAAAAUGAUGUAUGCUAAUACAUGAAAUGUUUCCUCUUGCCUUUCUUUUUGUAGUACUAAAACUACAAAUAGUGUUUGCAAAACUCUUUAGAGAAAAACAAAUGUCUGUAAAUCUCUUUACCCGUAAUCUUAUCUUUUCCUCAUUGUAAUAGUUGGAAAACUUUUUAUUUGAAAACGAUGUCAACUACUGGGAUAAGUUAUUGUAAGCAUCUUAAGUGUUUCAUAUUAAAAACAAACACUGUUAUUGUUUAUUUUGUAGUCUAAAUUAUGAUAAUUUCUGCACAAAAUUCACAUAAAUGGUUACCCUCCCGAAGCAGAGCGAGGGUGAUGCAUACUAGUUAUUAAGAAAACAGGACCUUGUAGGGCUUAACUGUUGAAUCAAGAAAGAAAUUUCUUUUAAUGCCUUCAAUUGUAACAUCCCGAUUUUGGGCCUAGUCGAAACAAUGGUUUCGGGACCACAAAUCCGAUGAGGAAAAUUUUAUUUUUACUAUAUUAUUAUGGCCUAUAAUUUCACGGAAAGAUUUCUUGAAAAUUUCGUUCAAAAAUUUUGACGUUAGGGCACUCAAUUUAGCCAAAAGGACUAAAUUGUAAAAAGUGCAAAAGUUGAGUUUUAUUGGUUAAAGGUACUUAAUUGCUAUGGAAUUAUAACUUAGGGGUCCUUAUAUGGUAAUUAGACCAUUAGUUAGUGAUGGACAAAAAUGAACAUAAGUGAAAUAGGAUUUUUUUUAUGUAAGGGUAUUUUAGUCAUUUAGUAAAUAAAUAGAAUUAAAAGGGAAAAAUAUGUAAAAAAAAUUGUGUUCAUCAUCUUUGCUAGGUGCCAAAAUUUGAAGGAAGCCAUAGCUAGGGUUUCUUCACUUUCUCAAGCUCAUAAUCGAGAAGAACGAAAUUUGGAGGUAGAUCGGGGAAAGAAAAAAAUUGAGGACUAAAGUGUUAGAUUUGAUCACAUUUUUGUACCGAGGUAAGUUUACAGUAAAUAAAUGCAAUAUUUCAAUAAUUAUUAUUAAUGCUGUAUUUUUUAGCAAUUAUGUAUUUAUUUCAUGAAUAUAUUUAAUGUUGACUCAAGUAUGAGAUGACAGAGAAUUAGUGACACAAGCCUCAUUGAAACACUAGGAAUGUAUUGGAUACAAAUGCCAUGACAUUUGGGUAAAGAGGUCCCAUGUAAGACCAUGUCUGGGACAUGGCAUUGGCACCGAGAUGAGAGGUCCCCCGUAAGACCAUGUCUGGGACAUGGCAUGGGCACCGAUAUGAGAACUCCCAUGUAAGACCAUAUUUGGGAUAUGGCAUUGGCAGUACAGGAAACAUCCCAUGUGAGACCAUGUCUGGGACAUGGCAUGGGCACCGAUAUGAGAACUCCCAUGUAAGACCAUAUCUAGGAUAUGGCAUUGGCAGUAUGGGAAACAUCCCAUGUGAGACCAUGUCUGGGACAUGGCUUUGGCAUGUUAUUAUCAGAUAUGAGACCCAAGUAUCCUUAUUAUUCCAAUGUGACUCAACGGGCUAGAAAACAGAUUAUGUUCUACGAAAGUUCAAGUAAAAGUAUAAUUAGCAACUUCAGGUGAGUUAUAAGAGUUAAGAACAUAUUAUGUUAUUAGUGAGAACCAAUAUUUUAGCAAGAGAAGAGUAAGUUGUAAUCUUAAGCUAUCUAAGUAGAUAAGUAAGUAAACAAGUAAAUGAGAGUCAGUAAAGAGAAAACUUAAGAACAUGAUACUUGUAUAUCAUUAUUUAUGUUAAAUGAUGUCAUUUAUUUAUUUGUAAACUUACUAAGCUUUAUGCUUACUUCUUUUAUUUCUUUUUCUUUCAUAUAGUAUUAUCAAGCAUAGUCGGGAUCUUGAAGACGUCGGAGAGUGUUCACACUAUCAACCACCACAACUCGGUAUUUUAAGACGAUAAAUAUUUUGGGCUAUGGCAUGUAUAGGGACUUGGUCAUUUCAAUUGUAUAUUCUUAAAAUAUGACCAAAAGAUGAUAUGUAAAUGCUUGAUGAUGAAUAGUUAUUAAAAUGGCUAAGUAUGAAGGUGUUUGUGGUUAUAAAUGUCUAGGUUAUAAAUUAUGCAUAGAAAUCAUGAAAGAGUAAAAAUUUGUAGUGAAUCAGUUUUGAGACAGCAGUAGUGACGUGAAUUUGAAAAAUCACCAAGGAUAGUAGAAAAUGAAUUAGAGAGUGGAUGAGAUAUAGAAUUAAAUCUUAUUGAGUCUAUUUUUAUAGAAAAAUAACAGUGUAGACAAAGAAAUGAUAUAUUCCGAGAUAUUUGCAUUUUAGUUAGACAAGGUCAAAGUUGUUUUCGGAAUCCCCUGUUCUGAAUUUGGAAAAUCAUUAAAAAUUGUAAAAAAAUAUUUAUGAGUUUUAAUUUAUAUGUAGAGAUUCCUUAUUGAGUCUAUUUUCUUUAGAAAGAAUUUAGAACACUAUAUGAAGUAUGUACAAUGAGAUAAUUUAAUUUUAGUGACAAGAGGUUAGGACAGUUGAUUAGUGAAACAGGGGAGACUUUAACUAAUAAACUGUACUAAUUGGCUAAACCAAAAAUUCUGAAAAGUUUACAGUAAAAAUUUAUAUGAGUCUAGUUUCAGGGAAAAUUUAUGGAUCUCAAUUUCAAGUUUCAUAGCUCGAGUUAUAAUUAAUUUAGUAACUAUUGUGCAAGUGAAUAGACUUACUAUGAACAGUGAAUUAACUUUUAAAACUAAAUUUUUAUGCCCCGAACUUUUAAGUUAGUCAAGUAACGCCUCAUGCUCGACUCCGGAAAUGGACUCGGUUAAGGGGUGUUACAUCAAUUUUUUUUAAAGCUGAUUUUUUUUUUUACGAAUUAAAGUUUUGAUUGUAUGUUAAUUGCUUGAGGGAAGGUCGGAUACUUUAUUAUCCCUAUUUUUAUUUGUUAUAUAUUUUAGCCAUAAUGAUUUUUUUGGCUCUACAACUUUACCAAAAAAAUCAUAUUAUCUUUCAUUUAAUUUUCAUCUCUUUUAACCCUUUAACUUGUAUUUUUUUAUCAAAUCACCCCAAAAUGGAUCGAAAACUUAACAUUUGUAAACUUUGAUGAUGUGGCAUACACAUUAAUUGUCACAUGGAUGACAAGUCAACAUUUUUUAAAAAAAACUUAAAAAUAUUAAAGAAAAUAUUUUUGAUAUUUUUAAUGAUUUUUUUAAUUAAAAAAGUUUUUAUAUAUUUUUAAUUUUUAAAAAUUAAUUAAACACAAACAUAGAAAUUCGCAUCUAUGUGUCACAGGCCACAAAUUAAAGCCUGCGACCAUUUCGCAUAGAACACCCCAUAGAGGUCAAUUUAUUAAACGUGGUUCAUUUGACCCGCAUGAACUGGCUCGAAUCGUGGAACCCGUAGAGAAACCCAUCUACUUUAAGCCUUGGUGGUCUAGUGAAAUACUCCAAUAAAACUAGAGUUACUAGGGUAAAUAAUGUAAAUCUUAAAUGGAUAAGAUUGUAUAGAGUUUAAAUUCCUUAUAACUCUCAAUUGUAGAUAAGCGGUAACAUUAAUCAUCGAUGUAACUCAAUCUGUAUCGUUGCUUCUAGGAAGCUCAACUAUAACUAGAGGUCUCCCUCUUCAUUUGUAAUCAUUCCAUUCAUAGUUGUGAAUAUAUUUGAGAGCAUUUACUCAAACACCUUGUGUGCAUUGCUUUUCUUUGGCUAUUCUGCUCUUUCGAGCUUCUGUCUUUGAGUGUCACAUCCCAAAAUUGGGCCUAGAAGAAAUAGGGGGAAAAUUGAGUUUUAAUUUUUUUUUAACAUAGGGUAAGGGAAGUAGAAUGCCUUAAAAUUAAUUUUUUGCUAUAAAUCUAAUAAGAAUGAGUUUGUUGGUUUAGUGCUAAGGUCAUAGCCUACCUAUAGGUUCCAAGUUUGAACCCCUUGGUGAGCAUUCAACCAAAAUAUUUUUAUUUUCUUGUUUUUACCGCACCAAAAGUGACGAAUUUUAAAAUAACCCAGCCCAAAAACUAUAUUUUUUUAAAAUUUAGUCCUUAAUUUAAAAUUUUUCCCAAACCUACAUAAAUUUUUAAAACCUAUUCCAAUUAGGAAAGAUAAGUAUUAUAAAUAAACAAUUUCAAAACAAACCCUAGAAUUUCAUCUAGCAAUUUUUCGAGAAAACAUCCAUAAACACUUUAUUUUCCAAAUCAAACUUUCAAGCGAAAGGAAUCGAAAUCUUCAAAAUCAUCCCUCAAGUAGAUCUUCAAUCUCUUCUCCAACACUAAGGUUUUAAGUCUUCAAAAUAGGUGUGGGAACUAAACCUAAAUCUUUGUGUAUAAUUGAAUCUAAUAGCAUGUAGAGAACCAGUAUUGGCGAACCCUAGGAAAACCCCCCUGUAUGUGCGAUCAUGUAGGUGCGAGCCUGUAGAUGCGAAACCCCUUACACAUGAAAACCCCAUGCAUGCGAACCCUUACGUGAAACCCCCCCUUUCAUGCGAACCCUGUAUGAAUACCAUGCAAACCCUAGGUUGUUAUGUGGAUACUCAUACUGUGAACACAUGUGCACAAACAUAUAGGAAUAUUCAUGUGAACCCUACUAUUAGAUGCGAACCCCCUUAUACGUGAAAACCCCCUUGCAUGCGAACCCUAGUUAGUAUACAUACGAGUCUCAUAUUUACAUGCGAACCACUACUAGUGCGAGUCAAUUAUAUGAUACCACAUGCGAACCCUACUAUUACAUGCAAACCUUUAUACAUGUUAUAUUCUAACUUUUUUUGUUAAAAUAGGUGAGACUUGUCUAGUAUUACAGACGACCCUACAUAUACCUAAUUUGCGAACUCAUAUGUUAAAAGUAUGCAAAACUAUCUAUGUUUGUUAUGUGAACUCACAUGUUAGCAGUAUGUGAACCUAUAUAUAUCAGUUAUGCCAACUCACAUGUUAGCAGUAUAUGAACCCAUAUGUCUGUUAUGCAAACUCACACGUUGGCAAUAUGUGAACCCUAUAUACACCUUUAUGCAAACUCACACAUUAACAGUAUGCGAACCCUAUAUACGCCUUUGUUGAUGUUAGUUCCCAUGCAUCUUGUGGUGCAGCAAUCGUGGCCAUGCAGGUCACAUGGAGAAAAGAAGCAGCACAUGAAGGCAGUAACUGGAGCUUGUGGAUGCUGUCCAAAUUCAACUUAUUUUGUUGGUUUGAUUUUAUAGUUUGUAACUUAGUUCUUUUGGAACUUUCUUGGUAAAACUUUCGAUGUAUUUUUUAUGUUGAUUGACUGAAAAUUCAGCAAAGCAACUUAUGCAAGCUAGUUUAGCAAUUUUCAAUGUAUUAAGUGGUGUUAGGUAAGUGUUUAGGUAGUAUUUUGACUUGUAAGCUUAACUCAUGUUUGAUAUAUGUAAUGGCAACUUGCCAAUGCCUUGUUAAUGAAAAAAUUCAGCUUGUUUUCAAUUUCUGUUCUUAAAAACAAAAAGGUUUCUACUUUGUUUCUUCUCCAAGUCACGAGGCUUGCUGACAAAGCAAAGCUAAAUCAGCUUGCUCACUGCCUUUGACUCCAACAGCCUUUAUACAAACUCACACGUUAGCAGUAUGCGAUCCUUAUAUACGCCUUCAUGCAAACUCAUACGAUUAGCAGCAUGUGAUCCCUAUAUUUAUGCGAACCCUUCUAAUAACAAAUAUGCGAACCUUAACUUGCGAACCCUAGGCAGGAACCCUACACUCGCAAAGCCUUCUUCUGAACCUGUACAUAUGCUAGAUAACCAAGCCUAUUAGUUUACGUUAAAUCACUGUACAUAUGAGAUUGUUUGUUUACUUGCACAAAUUAUAUGUGUAUUUACUAUUCGAUACAAGAGUACCUAUCGACCUUUUGAUGAGAAUUCAGAGAUUAAUGAUGAUAAUUCCAACAAUCGGUGGAAGAACAAGUUAAAUCGAGAAUUGGUGUAAUUUAAGGUAAUAAAGAUUAAAUUUUCAGUAAUAAAUAUAAAAUUGUUAUGGAAAGAAAUGAUGGGUAAAAAAAUGAGAGUUUUAAACAGAAGAGAGGAAAACUUCAAUUUAGGGUUGAAGAGGAACUAAAAAUCCAUGUGAAAUUAGGAAAAAAAUAUUAAAUACCUAGGAUUAAAAAAUUUGAGGGGGCUGAAUGGUAAAAUACCCUUUUUGCUUAAAAAUGAAAAGAAAUGGAAAUGGGGAUUGAGUUUGGCAUGACUUGAACCUUGGAAGCAAAGGAAAAAAUUGCAAAGGCCAUACCAUUUGGGUUGCUACCUACAUUUGGCAUAUUUUUACACUAUUUAAUAUAUAUCCUAGCUUAGUUUUGAUCAUAGGUUGUUGAAAAAAAAACAAGGGGUAAGAGUGUGGCUUCAACCUUAGUUCUCUAGUUAGUAUACUAAGCUCUUAACCAUUAAGAUUAAGGCUCAUCUCUUAGUCAAUUAAUUCAUCUAACUCUAUAUAUUUUGGUGUGUUACAUCUUGAAUUAAAAAAACCCAUAAAAUGCAUGUAGACUUGUAUUGCUUGGUACUUGGUAGUAUAUAUGUAGACUUGUAUGUUGAUUAAGCCACCUUAAUUAAGACCAAUGUGUUAGACUUGUCUAUGCAUUGAACAAUUUAGAAGAAAAUGAAGAAAAAGACUCUAAAAGCACUUGAAAACAGAUAAAACUCAUAUGUCAUUGACUAGUUAAAUGUGGUCACCCAUAAUAGACCCUGUAUUUGACUUUUUGUUGAGGGAGAUUGACUCCUUUGGGAGAAGUCUCCUGAGUGUUGUUUGUCAAGCAGUCAGGGUUGUCCUAAACAACUAAAGGUAUUGUCCCCAUGUCGAGAUUUUAUCCCUAGCCUCUGCAAAAUAAUCAUGGAGAAUAUGUGCGAGAGAAUUCAAACACCAACCAAUGCAUGUGUAGCCUUUACCUUGCCACCAUCUUUGGGAACCCAUAAGGAUAAAAUCCCAACGAGAGAAUAGUAUCAUCUAUUGAGGGGUCUGUCAACCCAAUAAAUGAAAUUUAAAUGCAUACUUUUUUUUUAAUGAAAGUAAAUAUCAUAUUUAAUUAGAGAAAAGCAAUGAAAAAUCCAACAAUAAAAUCCUUAGCAAAAGAUUAAAACACAAUUGUACCAUAAAUUAAAUAAGAAACUAAAAAAAUUCAAAUCUAACGAAGACAAUAACUUGAUUCCUCAAAGCCACCAUAAACAGUAAUUCAUACGAAGGCCUGUUGCUCAUUUUAUAGGUUUCCAUUUUGAUUUUGCAAAAGAAGUUUGAAUUCCGAAGCGAGCCUAGUACAUGAGAGAAAAUUGUCGAAACCGUCUUUUUGAAAACAAAAAUUUAGUUGUCGACUUUAAAAAUAAAACUGGAGUCGCCACCGAUCCUUUAUUAGGGUGUGAUCGGCUCACCUUAAAAAUUAUUUUGGUCUACGAGCUUUAAGAAAACGAGUCCGGGAGUAAGUUACGCAUGAGGAAGGGUUAGCACCCUCGUAACGCCCAAAAUCGGUACCAAAUCGAUUAUUUAAUGUCUUAGUGUCGUGGACUAAAAAGAAGUUAAAAAAACCAAAUGAUGAAAUCAGAAAAGGAUAAUCAAUUGUUCAAGACAUGUAAAGAAAUCGAGUCCCAAUACGUUAGGGUACAAUUUCUCAAAAUUCCCGAACUUUGAAUAUCGCUUUUAUUUUAUGCGAAAACAUUCAUUGUGAGAAAGUAACAUGCCACACCCAAUACGUUAGGACACGACAAGUUAAGUUCCAAAAAAUGAUUUUUAUACUCAUGCAUUUUGAAUAAAAAAUAUUCUCGAUUAUUUAAAAUUAACAAAGAAAAUCGGAACCCAAUACGUUAGGGCUCAAUUUUCUCAGAAUUCCAAAUACCGAAUUGUGCCUUUUAUUCGAAAAUUCUUAUUUCGAGAAGUCAAAAUAUCAUGACCAGUAAGUUAGGACUUGACAUUUUUUGAUUCCCGAGAACAAGCUUCUAUUUGAAAUUUGCAUGAAUUUAUUUCAAAAUAAAUACCUGGUUUUCUAAAUUCACCAAGAAAUAAUCGCAAUCCAGUAAGUUAGGAUACUGUUUUUCUCGAGAAUCAUGAAUGCCAAAUAUUUUGGAAUUUUAUAAAAUAUGAUGAUUUUAAUGCUUUGACAGAACCAAAAUAUAUUUUCUUUAAAAAGUGUAGAAAAAUACUAAUGUAUCACAUAAAAUCAAUAUUUUAAUUUUAAAUUAUAUGCAUAUAUGUAUUUUCAAAAUAUAAGUAUGAUACAUAAAUAAAUUUUGAAAAUAUAAGUAUGAUACAUAAAUAAAUUUUGAAAACAUGUAUAUGCACAUAUUAAAACAAGUAUAUAUAAGUAUACACAUAUAAAAUAAAAUAAUGAAUGAGAUAUGUAUAUCAAAAUAAAAAUUAUCAAAAUUUCUACAAAAAAAAAUCAUGUAUGUAUAUACGUAAUGAAAAUUGUAAAAAUAAAAAUAAAAAAUAUGCAGAUGUGUAUAUAUUUACAAAAAAAAAUUUAAGUAUACAUGCUUUAGUAAAACAGAAAUAAUAAUAGUAUAUGAAGAAAUUAGGAAAAUGUGUAUAUAGAUGUACAUAUAUAAAAAAAAUGCAAAAAUAUAUUUACAAUAAUUUUGAAGGGCGUACGUGUAUAUCAAUAUCUAUUUAUGCAUAUAUAUUAUAAAAUAUGAAAGAAUAUAUAACUAUAAUAGAAAUAUAAAUGUAUAUACGUAUAUAUGUAUAUAAAAGCUAAAAAAGAAAUAAUAACAAUAUAUAUAUAUAUAAAUAUGUAUAUGUAUUAGAGAAAUAUUUAAUAUAUAUAUCUAUUAGCAUACAUAUGCGUAUGUAUGUAAGUAUAAUUAUAAUACUAUAUAAUAUAAUAAUAAUAAUAAUAGUAAUAAUAAUAAUAAUAAUAAUAACAAAAACUACAAAAAAAACCUUAAAAAGCACCAUUAAGGAUUAAACUGAGAGCUAAACGAAGUUAAAAGGCCAAAUUUAAAAAUAGAAAACACCAGGAAGGACAAAGUGAUACGCGCGCCAUGAGAGGAGGACUUAAAAAACAAUUUUCCCAAGUCGCUGAAGCACUGUGCAGUGACAUGGAUUAAAUCGUCACGCGAGCAAAAUAUUUGGGCCGAAUUUAAAAAGGAAAAAAAACUUGAUUGAAACACGUAGCAAAAGGGGAAGGGCUAAAAUAUAUAACAAAAAAACACAAAAAGUCAAUCUGGUAAAUCGAUGUUGGGUACUCUAAUUUUAGGAUUCAGAAGGCUUAAGAGUGUUUUCGCAUCAAAAUCGUACUAGGUGUGUCCCCAAAACACAAAAAGUCAGGUUUCGAUAAAAGCCGAAAAUGCAUCCAGUCGAUGCCACACGGACGUGUGCCUGGUCGUGUGGCUAGCCGUGUGUGAGACACGACCUUGUGGUGGUGUGAGUGUAGCGGUAUGGGCCACACGGGCUAGGCCAGUCUGGGCAUAUAGGCCCACAAUUUUAAAAUUUUCCUUAAGGCCACAUGGUUCGUUUCGAAUGAUUGUGGACCUACCAUAGGGUCGGUAAUGGCUAAUCAAACACUAAAUUAUGUGAUAUGAUAUUUUGAUAGUCUGCAUUGUGUAGGAUAUCGAUAUGUACAUCUGUUCUAUUUAAGUAUAUAUAUGCUAUCUGUAUAUGAGCAUGUUAUGCAUAAUAUUACUGUAUCUAUUAUUUCUAUAUUCUGUAUCUGUGAUUGUGGUGGGUUUUGUAUAUGUAGAGGAAGUGAUCUGUAUGGUGACACUUCCCUUAUAUUCUGGCAGUUGAUUGUAUAUUAUCUGUAAUGUGUUGUAUUGACACUAUAUGGUGUGUAGGGAUGGGUAGGUGUUUUAAACCUCAUAUGGUGUGAUGGGAUGGCCGAAGAUGUUGUGUAGAGGAUGGGGGUAAGAUUCUACAUAUCUGUACUACUUAUCUCAUUCUGUUAUCUAGAUUUGGAAUGGAUAUAAGUCCGAAUCUGGAUCUGACUGUAUAUAAGACUUCUGUUUGUAUUGCAUGUCUAUUUUUGUUGGGUUACACACUGAGUUUAUGAAAGCUCACAUAUGUUUGUCUGUUCUAUUCAGGUCUAUAGACUUAGGCGAAUCAGUGUGACGGAGCCUCACAGUGACCACGAGAUCGUAAACUGUUUAAGAUUAUGGUUUUUAUUUAAUUUAAGGAUUAUUUCUAGAAGUUUGUAAUAAUUGGACUUUCUAGACUAUUUGACUUUUAUUUCAAUUUUGGAGGCAUUUUAACUUUUAUGGCCACGUUUGACCAAAAUCACGGUUUUACUAAAAUAAAGGAUUUUCUAAAUACAUGAAUUAGAUUUCCAAGAUUCAAUGCUUUUUGAAAACUUCGACCUUAGAUUAUGUAUUGGAAAAUUAAUUAAUUAAAUAACGCUUCUAGUAACAAAUAGUACACUUGGGGUAUUUAUCAAAUGACUAAAUAAAGCUUUAUCAAAAUAUCACUGUUUUCAAAACCAUUCCAUGUAACACUCUUGGAUUCAGCCACAAUGUCUAGGCCGAGAUUAGGGUGUUACAUUUAAUGCUAUCAGAGCCAGGUUGCAAAACUCAAGCUAUGAAUUUUGGGUUUCAAAAAUUAUAUUUUGAAAAAGAACAGGUUUUCAAAUAAUUUGGAUCAUUCUGAGUAAGUAUGUGGUACACUGAGUCUAUGGUAUUGAUCCUGUAAGUACUUUUGAAAUUAGAUAGAACUUUCUGAAAACAUUGUAGUUAGUACUUUCUAAAACUAUACUGAAUUAGUUAAAAAUAGAAACCUCUGAAAUAUGUUCAAACUUCUGCUAAUUUGAGCAUAAAAUAUCUGUUAAUAAAGAUUGGAACUGAUGCAUAAAAUUUUGUAAUGUAGAUAAAUUUGAAAAUAUACGAUGAGCAAUUGUGGAACUCACGGUCAUGGUAUUCGUGGGCGCGUAGGGUCGUAGGGGGCUGGAGCUGAGUCUUUUUCUCUGGGCAGUAUGCCAAACUUAGAUAUGAGUGAGACACCGGUUUCACCUGCCAUUGAGACAAGGUCUCAAAGUCGCUUGGCUAGGGACGACGCACUGUCUCAAGCCAUGUUGAGGGUUUUGGAGAGGGUCACUAGACCUCAUUCUGGAUCUGUGGGUCGAUAACUGAACGACUCCGAUCCAAUAGAGCUGAGCUGUUUAGGUGUGUCAUUGGAGUCACCCCUACUGUGGCCGAGUAUUGGUUGGAGGCCACUGAGAGGAUUAUGAACGACAUUGACUGUACUCCUAAGUAGAAACUUAAGGGUGCAGUCACUUUACUUUGUGAUGAGGCAUAUCAAUGGUGGUUGUCGAUUGAGGAGGGUACUCAACGGGACUGUCUGAACUGGGAUUAUUUUAAGACUACCUUCUAGGGGAAGUAUGUGGGUGCGAGCUAUGUUGAUGCUUGUAGGCGUGAGUUCAUGAAUCUCACGUAAUGUGAUAAAUCUGUGGCUGAGUACGAGGUUGAGUUUCUGAGGUUGAGCCGCUACGCUUGAGGCAUAGUGGCGACUGAAUAUGAGAAAUGCAUAUGUUUUAAGGAUGGCUUGAGGUAUAAUCUGAGGGUAUUGAUUGCUCCACAGAGGGAGCGAGAGUUUUCAGUUCUUGUGGAUAUGGUGAAGAUCGCCAAGGAGAUUAAAUGCAUAGAGCGCUAAAAUAGGGAUCAUGAGUGAGGCAAGAAUAAGAGGGAUUCAGAGCCCUCUAGUUCUGUUUAGAGGCCUAAGAAACAGGUCAGACCUGAUUGGCUUGUUAGAGUAGGGGUUCCUAUUGCUUCUACUAGGAUUUAGCCAUGUGGUGAUUGUUUUAGGCGCCAUUCAGGUGAGUGUUGGAGGAGGUUAGAGGCUUGCCUGAGGUGUUGGUAUUUGGAGCACCACAUUAGAGAAUGUCCACUCCAUACGGAUUAGAUGCAAGCUUCAGGACUGAGUUUUAUAUAACCUCAGAGGGCAGUUCAACAGCCACCUAGGGGCCGUGGUCCGACUAGGGGUGGUAAUGGUAUGGGCCGAGGACAAAGAGCACUGGGAAAAGGUGUUAGUCAAACUGAGGCAAGGCAGCCUGCACUGGUUUAUGUUGCUUGAUGCCAAGAGGAUAGAGACGCUCUUGAUGUGAUCACAGGUACGUUCUUUAUUUUUGGUGUUCCAUAUACUACUCUGAUAGACAUAGGUUCUACUCAUUCCUAUGUAGGUAGUACUAUUUCCAAAAAUUUAUUGAUUUCUGGUGAGGGUACUUCUAGUGAAAUUAUUGUACUGAGUCCGUUGGGGCAGUCUGUUCGAGUAAGUAGACUUUAUAGGAAUGUACAUUUGGAAGUACAAGGGAUUGUGUUUUUGGCAGAUCUGGUAAGGGUAGUUCUAGUGAAAUUAUUAUACUGAGUCCUUUGGGGCAUUCUGUUCGAGUAAGUAGACUUUAUAGGAAUGUACCUUUGGAAGUACAAGGGAUUGUGUUUUCAGCGUUUUAUUCACAUAAAAGCAGCAAAAUUUAGCGGCGUUGUCUACAGCGGCAUUUUUUACGGUGCUUGUGAAAGCGCCGCUAUAGGCCUAAAAACACCGCUAAAAGCUUGUUUUGCUGCAGUGAAUUAAUAUUAUUAUAAGUGUAUUUUCACCUUUUCAUACUUUUAUAUAAUCUUUAAGUAAAACGAUUGAAAAUUAUUAUUUGAGAAUCAAACACAAGAGUAACAAUAUUCAUAUAGAAAACGCUUACCACUCCACUAAUAAUCAUUUGUUGAUGUAUUUUUGGUAAAAAGACCCCUCCAAUCCCUCUUAAUUUCACAAUUGCUCAAAUUAGUCCCUCUCAUAAAAAUUGGAGCAAUUUAAUCCCUAUCAAUUUUGAAAGUGAGUAACUAAGGACAAUUAAUUAUGGUGUUAAAUUCUUCCAUCAAUUGUACAUAAUUUUGAUUGGUAUAAGAAUAAAUUUAGCCUUCAAUGUUUAUAUAUUUUGUCAUUUUGGCCAUAAUUUAAAAAAAAUUCAAGAAAUUGAACCUCAACAUUUACAUAUUUACACAAACGUUGCGGGAAAAUUUUGUUAAAUUAAGACCAAAUUGCAAGUGUAAGUUUUGAGGGCUAAAUUUAUUAUUAUACCAACCAAAAUCAUGUACAUUUUAUGGGAAAUUAACAUCCUAAUUAAUUAUUCUUAGUUACUCACUUUCAAAAUUAAUAGGGACUAAAUUACUCUGAUUUUUUUAGGGUGACCAAUUUCCUCAAUUUGGAAUUUGAGAGAGACUAUUGAGAUCUUUUACAUAUUUUUUUAUAAAUAUAUAUAUUUAAUAUAAAAUAUAUUUGUUCACACACAUCGUGAGUAUGAUAAAAUAUUUUUAUUGUUAAUUAGUUGGUGUCAAAAAUUAACUCGACGCCAACUCAAUAUUAAUGAUAACAAUAUGAUAAAUAAUUGAUUUAUUUAAUAUUCUUAAUUUAACAUAUUGAUAUAAAUUUUAAGACAUGCUUGUCUUGAAGAAUUGUGAUUAUACUUUUCGAGUAUUGACUCAGUUUUCCACAAUUGUGGGUCUCUAUUUAAGACAAACAAUUUCAACAUUUCUUCAUAUUGUUUAAUCCAAAUGCAUUAAGGAUUUUCUUAUAUCAUUGUUUCAAAAAUGAUAAAAAAAAACAACGUCGACAUUGAAUUUGCUGUUUCACAUUCAAUUUUUGGAGAAGUAGAAUCUUCUAACUUAUUUUCCAUCAACUUCACUUCAAUUUUCAAUCACAAUCAAUUGCAUUCAAGAGCACCACAUAUUUUUUGGAUGAAACAAACCUAUCAAUUUUAAGAUAAACGGGUCUUUAGGGUUAUUAAUUGAGGGCCUUUUCCACAAUUGUCAUCGUUAAGCAUUUUUCAAUCUUGUCUACUGUGAAUAUCGUUUUUAAGCAUUUUUCAUUGAAAUAACGAUUAAUAGACAAAUAAUAUUCAAGUAAAACAAUUUUUGUAUAUUGGUUUGAAAGGUUUUCUAAAUAGUACAAGGACCUGAAACAGAACCACUGGACAAAGCUAACCAAAUCUAAGAGUUGGAAAUAUUUGGGAAUGAAUAGUUUAAAUUGUGAUUAUUUCUUCGGGUUCCUGUCAAAGAUAUCAGCUGAGCAAGAAGGCAGGGUAAUGUGCCAAUGAUAGAACCUUGAUGAACAACGAGCAAAUGUCAACCUAAGCAUUAAAAGGGGAUCAUUCUCAAAAAAUGACAUUCUACAUGUAACGCCCCAAAAUUUUAAUUUUGGGUAUUGUGAAUGUAUGACACAAAUAUCUGUCUGCUUUAGUGGUUAUGUGUUUUGGGUGUGUUUGGGAGGUCUCAAGUUCAAGUCAAUACUUGGGCAAAUUUUGGUAAUUUUAUGAAUAAGCCCUAUCUCUGGUUAUAGGCUUUUAAGUAAAAGUUGGCAAAUAAUUAAUAGAAUGGGUCUGUUGGUCUAGUGGUUAAGUGGAGUGUUGGUGUGAAGAAGGUCAUGGGUUCAAAUCUUUGGGACGGCAAGGUAAGUCGUUUUACUCUCCAUCUUUCUGACGUUUUCUCUCCCCCAUGUCUGCCGAAUUUUUUUUCUUUCUUCUUUACUUGUUACUCGGUUAUCUUUUCUUUUCUUUCCUCUACUACUGUCGAAAUUCCCUUGUUUCCCCUAAACCAUUCUUUCCUCUUGAUUUCGUAGCUUUAAGCAGCACUUGUUCAAAUUUAGUAAGUUGUUGGGUAUCAUUUUAAGAUAUUAUUUUGUAUUCAAUAGUCUAAUUUUGGGGUGUUGACAGUAGCAUUUCACGAGGAUUAAGGCUCUCCUCGUGAUUUUUGCAACGUACCGAUUUUAAGUUUUGCGGUAAGUGUUCAUCAUUUUAUGGGUAAGUAUUUUGGUUUCGGGAUUUUAAUUACUCACAAGGUAAGACUGAUUAUGGUGUUAUUUGCUCAAUUAUACGCUUAGGAGUGCUCGGGGACUAUUUUAGCAUCAAACAAAACCAAGUGUGCACCCGAAUCGCAAAAAUAAGGGAUUCGGCGAAAAGCCGAAAUUGCUUGCUGUUUGGACAGCAGCAGUAGGCUAACUUUGAAAAAUCAGCAUAAAUUGUGGAAAUCGAAUUAGAGGAUGAAAAAAAUAUGAGAUUAAAGCUUAUUGAGCCUAGUUUCUCAUAGAAGAAACGGUGUAAGUAAUGAAAUUGUAAAUCGUGAGUUAUAAUAGACUUAGUGAGACAAGGUCAGAAUGAAUUUGGGUUCCCCUGUUUUGACUUUGGAAAAUUAUCAAAAAUUGGAGAAAAAUAAUUAGGGGUUAAAUUUUACAUGCUUAAACUAUUAAUGAGUCUAUUUUCAAUAGAAACAAAUGAAAAUGUCAUCCAAAUUUUGUACUAAGAGAUAACUCAUUUUUAGCAAAGAAGAGUCAAAGUUGUCAGACAACAGAAAAGGGAUAAGUUUAAAUAUUUUACUGUACUUAUUAGCUGAACCAAAAAUUUUGGAAAUUUAUGGUAGAAAGUUAAUUGAGUCUAGUUUCAAAGACAUCAAACGGAUCUUAAUUCGGAAUUCUGUAGCUCAAGAUAUAAAUUUAUGUUUAUCUUAUUAUCUUUCUUAUUUUAGAAUUGAUUACAUGAAAGUUAAUUGCUAAUAUUAUUAGUUAAUUAUUAGUUUUCUUCAAAUCAAAUUAAACCCCGAAAGGUAUCUCUUUUUUUAUAUUAGUUUUAGUUAUCCAUUAAAUUUGUUUCUUUGUAGUAAAAUUAAAUUAUAGAAAUAACAUUAAAAUUUUAAAUAAAAAUAAUUCACAAUAAUUUAUUAUUUAAAAAACGCCCUGAAAUUUAAAAUUAUUGCUAUAAAUAUAUCAUUAAAUUAUACAGAAUUUAAUUUUUCUUUCAAAUACUAAAGUUAAUAAGGAAAGAGAAUAUAGUACAUAUCAAUAAAACUAUUAAAAAAGAAAUAUUGUUUAAAAUCAAUAGCGUCUAAAAAUUGUCAGAAUGAAAUAUUUGAUUUUAUAAGAUUUCAUUACUCUAAAAAAAUAAAAUAUGACAAUGCUUAAAAAUUUUAUUAAAAAAAGUUUUAAAUUUUAUAUAAAAUUUUAAAAAAUAAAAAAUAGUACUAAAAAUUUUUAUAAGCAAAUUUAAAUAUUAAUUAGUAAAUUUUUUUGUAAUAUUUAUAUGUAUUUUCAUUUUUAUAAAUACUAUUAAAACUUUUUAAAAAAAAAUUGAAUGCUAUUUAAAAACAUUAUUAAAAAAUAAAAUAUUAUAUGAAAGUUAAAAUGACCUAAAAACAUAUUUUAAAAAUUUAAAUACUUUAUACAAUAUUUAAAACUGCUUAAAAUUUCUAAACCCUAAAAAAUAAAUAAAAUAUAAUUUUUUUCUAAGAAAUCAAUAAAAAUAUAUUUAUAAUUGAACUGUCAACAAAAUUGUGGGAAAUAUUUAAAUUUUAUGAAAUUUUAAACUUAAACUGUCAAUAAUAGAAAAUUGCCUGAGUGACUUGGGAUAAGAGGUUCAACAUUUCUGGAUCGCAUUGCAUUUAAGGCGGGUCUUUAGGGUUAUGCUUUAGUUUUUUAGAACAUUUUCCACAAUUUGCCAUCAUUACUUGUGAGUGAUUUGUGGGGUAAGAGGUUGAACACUUCUGGAUCACAUUGCAUUUAAGACUGGUAUCAUUCAUAAAUUAUAUAUCUACAACAAGAAUGGUAGCCUCUUAUAUUAUAUUCAUGUAUCUAUUUUGCAUCUUUCAUUAUAAUAUGAUUUAGUAAUUUUAAUAUUUUUAUAGAAUAAUAUGCUUUAAUUUUUUUUGUAUCAUUCAUAAAAAUUAUAAUAAACUUACAAAAUGAUUUAAUGAUAUUUAAUUAUUAACGGAAAAAAUUUAUAUCAUAUAUAUUCUGUAUAUAUUAAGAUUUUGAAUGAUUAAUUAUAUAUCUACAUAUUAUAAUAAAUUCAUCUUUCAAAAUUUUCCUAAACUAUAUUCAUAAUAUUAUAAAUAUAUUAUAUCAUAAAUAUUCUUUCAAAUGUUUUUUAAUGUUUAAUAAUAAGUUAAUUUAUAAAAUAUUCUUUCAAUAAAUUAACGUGAUGAGAUCGUUAGGUGCUUGGAUUUGGUGACGGGGACGAGGAGAAAAGGGAUGGAAGUGAAGAGAAAUGUUGGGAAAUUGAAAGGGUUAGCAAGGGAGGCCUCCGUGAAAGGUGGUUCUAUAGAUGUGAACCUUCAAGCUUUUGUGGAUGAUGUUGCUCAAGGUUGUUGCAAGUAAAUUUAAAAAUAUUUUUUUAAUUAUUUUUUGUUAAAAAAUAUUUUUUUCUAUGUAGCAUGCCACAUUAGCAUACUACCAUGUGGUAACUUCUAGUGAUUUUCGUAUGUAACAUUAGACAAAUUAAUCGUUAAAUCGUUCAACUGACAGAUUUCGUUAAAGGAAGAGGUCAAUUGAUUUUUUUGGAAUCAUUGAGUACUCAAUUGGUGCACUAUUUUCAUAAAGACUAAAUUAAUUUUUUUAAUUUGUUAUCGCUGAGGGCUACAGUAAUAAAAAAUUUUGAGGUAAAAUUAGAAUAACGUCCCAAAAAUCUUAUAUUUAAUUUGUAAAAUUUUACCAUUAAUAAGUAUUUGUUUUAGUGGUUAAGUAUUUGAGUCGUGUUUAUAAUAUCUUGGAUUCAAGUCCCUACGUGAAUGGAUUGUUUUUUUUGUUUUUAAUUUUUGCAUGGGUCGGGUAGGUGGUUGAGUUUGAGUCCAUUUCGAACUUUGGAAAAAGGUGGUUAGUUAUCUGAGAUGGGUUAGUGUUAGUAGAUUUGGAUUUGGUUUAUUUUAAAAUUUAUUAAUUAAUUUGUUAAAAAAUUAAAUUAGUUUUUUCCUAAUUUUUGGCUCACCAUUCUUUCUCUUGUUCUUCUUUAUUCUUUCUUUUUCUGCUACCUUUCAAAUCACGUCGAUUUGUUCCUAUUUUGCUUUUGAGUUUUUCUUUUCUUUCCUUUACGCUCCUCUACGAUCGUGUCUUAAUUCCUUCAUUAUUUUCUCGUUGUUGGCGUUGCUCGUUCGAGAGUGGGUUAGUUUCCGUUUUGAUGUGUUUUUACGAGGUUAGUAAAAGAAAUGCGUUAAUUUUUGGAUUAUGGAGUUGAUCGUUUUUAAUCAAUUCUCCAGUAAGUUGACUCCUUUGCUGUUGUUAUGUGCUAGGUUAAGAGAUUAAUUCUGAUUUGGGCCUGCGUGGUUGUGUAGAUUUUCCAUGUGAAUUCGUUUGGUAUUUUUAGGAUAAAUCAUUCUUUAAGUCGUAUUGCUACCAUCGCUAAUGUGAUGUUUUAAUUUAUGCAUUUAGGAUUUGGUAGUUUUAUGGGUGUUUUCGUAUAAAAAUCAAACCAAGUGUGUAACGAAAAACCCGACAACAACGAGCGACGAAAGUCAAAAAAUUGCACUGUCGACACCACACGGCCGUGUGUCGGGCCGUGUGACAAGCCGUGUUUCAGACCGUGUGCGACACACUGUUUGGGCUAGUUAAGCCGUGUGGAACACACAGGUGUGUGUGAGGACGUGUGCCACGCCAUGUGAGCCACACGGGCUGGCCAUUUAGGCCGUUUGAGACCAAAAUACUAAGGGCACGUUUGGUUUGCUGUAUUGGAUUAGAGGUGUAUUGGAUUAGAGGUGUAAUGGAAUAGAUGUGUAAUAGCAAAUCAACUGUUUGGUUGAAUGUAAUGGAAUAGAGGCGUAAUAGUAAAACUGUGUUUGGUUGAAUGUAAUAGAGGUGUAAUAGCAUAAUGGAGAAAACUAAAAUGACCAGAAUACCCUUAGCAUAAAUUUGUUUUGGUAAAUGAUUAUUGUUAUUGUUAUUUAAAUUUUAAUAAGAUUAUUUAUUAUCAAAAAUAAAUAAUUUAAUCAUAUUUAAACAUAAUUAUUAUUUAAUAUAUUUUAAUUAAAAUAUAUAAUUUAAUAAAAUUCUUAAUAAUUAGCAGAAAUUUGUUUUGGUAAAUUAUUUUAUUUAAAUUUUAAUAAGAUUAUUAAUAUCAAUAAUAAAUAAUUUACUCAUAUUUAAACAUAAUUAUUAUUAAAUAUAUUUUAAUUAAAAUAUAUAAUUUAAUAAAAUUCUUAAUAAUUAAUAUUCUUAUAUGAAUUUACUCAAAUCAUAAUAUAUGAUACUGUAAAAUAUAAAUUAAAAUAAUAAUUAUUAAAUAUAUUUUAAUUAAAAUAUAUAAUUUAAUAAAAUUCUAAUAAUCAAUAUUCUUAUAUGAAUUUACUAAAAUCAUAAUAUAUGAUACUAUAAAAUAUAAUUUGAAAUAAUUAAUAUUAAAUAUAUUUUUAUUAAAAUAUAUGAUUUAAUAAAAUUUAAAAUAAUUAUCUAGAUUCAAAUUUAAGAAUUAUUUACAUGAACAAAAAUAUAAUAUUUGUUUCUAAGUUAAUUAUUUUAAUAAAAUAAUUAAAUAUUUAUAUAACGGUGUUCUCAUCUUUUGGUAUUUUUAUAUGCAAUUUUAAAGAUUGAAUCCAAACUUAAAAGAAUAUUUAUUUGUAAGCAUUUCACCGGUUUACUUCAACUCAAUUAUUGAUUAAUUUUUAAUAAACAUAAAUUCAAUCACUAAUUCUCUUGGCUCCUCUGUUUCAAUAUAUGAAACAUGACUCAAUCACUAAUCCUCAUAACUCAAAGGUGAGCCAGAUGGUCCAUCAGGGGGUGCAGAAGCAGCAUGAGUCAAAGCAACUAUGGCAUUUUUCCAGAAAGAGGAGCCAAGAGAAUUAGUGAUUGAUCUUAACAAUGGCAGAUCAUUAAGAUCCCGGGUCUGGCUGUCCAACCGAUCAACAUAGACUACAACAUCGGGGGGACACUUCUUUAUGUAUUGCUUUAUAGAAGCUAGGACUUUGUGAUUGGCACCUUGCUCCAUGGCAGAAGAUUUCAAACCUGGGGUAUCAAUGAUUCUCAGUUUAACACCAUCUACCAUUCCAGUAAUCUCUUUCACUACUGUAGUGGCAGGUUCAAAUGCAUGAAUUGAGGUCUUUGACUCACCAAAGAUUGAAUUUAUUGUGGCACUCUUGCCCACCCCAAUCUUCCCAAGCACAAGCAUGUUUAUGGAGAAGCUUAAAUCAUCUUUACCCUCUGUUUCAAGUUCCAAAGCUUUCCUCUUCGCAGAAUCAACACUAAACAGUUCACUGGUUUGUCUCCUUGCAACAUGUGCCAGUCUAUAAAGAACCUGUGCUGCUAAAGAAUCUUCAGUAGAAAGUCCGAGCCUUUGAAGAAUCCUCAAAAAUUUGACUCUUAUAAGCUGUAACUUUUCCAAUUUUAUUUUAUCUUCUUCUGUCAAGUUGUUGUCAGAAUCUCCCCUACUUGUUACAGCAGGACUAAAUAUGUUAGGCCUGUUUGAUCGAGGUGCGGAUGUUGCAUUUUGCAGUGAGGAUCCUAAGCCUGCAGGACGUUCAACAGUGAAAAGCCUAGAUCCAUCUUGAGAGGUUAUAGUAAUGUUGCCGCCAUCAGAGCCAGCACCAGUUGCUGCUUUCAAGAGGGCUGCCAAAGCAGCAGAAUCAAAUAACUCCUUCCCCUCUCCUUCUUCAUCCGUAUCCCCUUCUUCAUCUGAAUCAACAGCAUUUGUCUGUAUAUGAUUAUGAGAAGUAUCAGCACCCGAGUGAGAACCAAUGGCAGAUCCUCGUUCUAGCUCCUCCAAGAAUUGCUUAGCAGCUUCAGCAUUCUUAAAGAACAUACUUUCAGCCUCUCCAUCAGUCUCUGAGCCUUCAUUCUAAUGCUGCUUCUCUUCCAUUUCACCUUCAAAACUAACUUUUCCAGCCACUGUAGUUUGCUCUACUGACUCAGGCCAAUGAGAUUCUUCUCCUGGCAGGGUUACUGACCUUUUGCUUUGAGAAUCACUAUCUAAAUUCUCUGUUUCAUGAGCUGCCAUUAUUUCUGUAGGUUGAGCAGAACUAUCCUUUGCCUGAAUUCCAUCUCCACCCCCUCCAUCUACUUUCUCAGCAAAUGCUUGUUCCAAAAUAUCUAUGAUCUCCUCAUCUUUGAGAUCAUUUAGCUCAGUCCCAGAAUUGUCUUUACCAAGCAUAACCCCACUGGCAAUAUCAGCUUUAUUCUCAGCAUCAACAGCCAACUCGUCUCCGCCGGAAAACUUCGAACCAUCAGCAUGAUUCAAGCCGUUAUCCAAGCUCGCAUUAUCGUCAACUGGAACCACCUCUGUCUCCUUCAUCACCAAUGUCUCAAUGCCUAAAGCAGCUCCAGUCAAAGGUUUCGCAUCGACAGCCAACUCCUCUUCGCCAGAAAAUUUCGAACCAUCGACUUCAACUACCUGAUGAUCUACUGUUUCUACAAUCAUAGGAUUGAAACCCUUAGCUCCACCAUCUAACACCAAAUUAUUCUCAAAAAUCCCAAUUCUACCUUCCUCUCCACUUUCCAUUGAUAAAACAGAUUGGUCGACUUCUCCAAUGGAACCCAUUUCCACCUUAUCGUCCUUUUCACCAUUACCAACACUAUCAACAUCAACCUUCCCCAUCGAACCCUCACCUCUAUAUUCCUCUAAACCAUUAUCGCCAUCCCCAAACGAGUCCUCAUUCAAAAUCACAUUCGAACCAUCAGAACCAACAAAAGGGGCAUCACUAACAUCCCUCACGGUCGGAAUUACUUCAUCAGGGUCAGCCAUAAAUGGCCUCUCGGGUACUGUUUCAAACUUCCCCUCACCAUUCUCGUUACUAUCAUUAGUUUUACCAUUCCCAUUAUCUUCCAAAGUACGUUCACUUACUGAACUAGUUACAAACUCAGAAUCAUCAUUCGAAGUUAAAGAAGAAGAAGAGGAAGAAGAACCUGGAGAGGUAGAGAGCGACUGAGAAGUGAUUUCCGGGGCAGAAAGCAAGGCGUCCAUGGUUGAAAGAGAGGAAAGGGAGAUAGAGAGAAUUGGGUUUUAGGAUAUGGAAUGAAUUUUGAGUGGCACACAGAGGGAGCAAAUCGGCAGAAAGGGUAAAACAGGGAGGGGAAACCGAAGGGGCAACUAAUCUGCAGAAAAGAGGGGGAUUAGAAAUCGGUGGUUUUCACCGAUUAGGAAGGUAAAGGAUUACACCCGUAUUAGAAAUACAUCAAACCAAACGAUGGAAUACAGUCGCAUUAGGUGGGGCCCACCGAUUAGGGGUGUAUUGGCUAUGCCAAUACACCCAACCAAACAUGGUGUAAAUUUUUCCCUAGGGUUAUACACAUCGUUAUGAUCGAUCGUAGGCCUUUCGUGGGGUCGAUAUAUAAUCAAAUAGACUGUAAAGUAUGAAAUCCGGUCAACUAAUAGUAUAAAUUCUGAUAUCUGUUCAUAUAUUUGAGAUGUUAUUUGUUCAAUAAACCUUGUAAUAGGCUAUGAGAAACUUGAGAAAUAUUAUGUAUGCUUUGUAUCUGUUAUGUCAUACAUGUAUAAUGUAUUAUGUCUGAUUUUGUUCUAUUCUUUUCUGUAUUUGCAUCUGGGGUGGGUUAUAUUAUGUGGAGGAAGCGUUUCUUUGAAUGGCGAUAAUUCGCCUAUUACACUGGCAGCUCAGCUACAAAUAUUCUGAAAAGUGUCAUAUCAACACUAAGUGGUGUGCAGGGCUGGAUGAGUGUUUCAUACCCCAUAUAGUGUGUUGGAAAGGUCGGAGAUAGUGUUAGCGGAUGGGGGUAGGAAUAUAUGUCUGUAUCUGUACUGCUCUAAUAUGAAUAUGUUCUGCUAAAUCUAUCUUAUACAAAAUAAAUAUUUAAAGUUAUUCGUUAUACAUUGAGUUUUGUAAACUCACUUUCUAUUUGUUUGAUAAUUUUAGGUAUUCCUCAGACUUUGGCAAAUCGGUGUGAAAGAACUUGGUUAAAUUGAUUUAGUUUCAUUAUCUAUUAUAAUUAAAUUUUGGGUUAUUGUGUUUCAUUAUUUUUGGACUGUUGGGAAUUUUUGGAUUGUUUUGGUUUUUGAGAUUUUAUUUUCAAUUUUUGCAUGAUACUAUUAAAAAUGUUUUAUUGGAAAUGUUUGUUUUCCUGCAAAACAACUAAUUUCAGACAAAUAAACUUAGUUUUCCAAACAUAAUGAUAUGAGAAUUUUCGCUUUUAAGUAUUCAUUUUAGAAAAUGUAAGCAAACAUCGUUUCAACUAUAAAGUUAAGUUAGAUGUAUUUUUCUCUUAAAUCGAGGUUUAAGUAAUAAAAGUUUACGACAUUUUUCCAAAUUUUACAAAAAAUUGGAUUUACAAUUGUUUUAUGUAACAUCUCCAGAUUUGGUCAUAACAUCUAGUCGGAUUUCGGGUGUUACAUUUAGUGAUAUCAGGUCAGGUUGCAAAACUCAGGCUGUGAACUUUUUGGUUCAAAAUUUUGUGAAAACUAUUUUUCGAGUAAAGUUUGUCGAAACCACUUUUUCGAAACAAAAAAUAGCGUCGACUUAAAAAAUGAAAAUUGGAGUCGCCACCAGUCUUUUUUAUUUAGGUGUGAUCGGAUCACCUCCUAAUUUAAUCAUUUAAAUAAAAGUUAAAAUUUACUAAAACGAUUAAUGGGUUUAAAAAACCUUUUUCUUUACAAACAUUAACAAUAAUAAACGAACAUCGAAGAAAUAGAAAAGAAAAAAGAAAUCGAAAAGAAAAAAAAUUAGAUUUCAAAUCACCUCUCAAAAAUUUAAUUGCUUUCUGAUUUCUUUGGUAUCUUUUUUUACUGAUUUCUUAUUGUUCGCGUAAAAAACUUACAAAGGUCUUUUCUUCCGUUUUAUAGGCAAAAUAUGAAAUAAAUAAAAAAAUACAAUAUAUGUUUUUUCUGUGUUGCUUUUCGUCCUAUUUGUAGGUACGAAGACCAGCUAGCGCUGUACAGAGGCGGUGCAGCACGUGCUUGGCUGAGGUGACUAGAGGCGUGCGGUGGCUGGGUCUGCUGUGUAGUUUAGGGUUUCUGUUGAUUUUUGGUUAUUGGGCUGGGGUUUAAUUUGGGCUUGGGAUUGUGUUUGAUUUUUAAUCUGUAAAUGGACUUUUUAAUAUUGGACUUUUAUUUUUUAUUUGGAUUAUUAUUAUUUUUUGUGUAUGCGGGUCCGGGCUCUACAAAGUUCAUUUCUGGAUUAAUCUGAAAAUUAAUUAUGUGAAGUACCGAGUCUCUGACGUUGAUCCUGUAAGUACUUCUGACUUAGAAAAAUUUUAGUUUAGAAAACUCUAAAAUGAUUAGAACUGUAGUUGGAUAGUUAGAGACAGAAACAUUUCUAUAAAUUCUUUUGAUAACUUUUUGAGUAUAAAAUAUCUACUAAUAAAUACUAAAAUUGAUACAUAAAAUUCAUAAUAUAGGUAAUAUAUACGAUGAGUACUCGUGGAACACAUGGACGUGGUAACCGUAGGCGUGGCAGGCGCCGAAGAGGGGCUCGAGCUGAGUCAUCCUCGAUAGGUACCUGAUAGGCUAUCGCUGGAGAGAGCAAUAGUCUUGAGAGAAGAAAUUUGAAGAUCGAAGUCGGAAUCUGACCUUUAAGGCCUUUAAUUGCUUGAAUAAUAAGCAUUUCCAAACUAAAAGGAUUACAAUUUCUUCAAGAAUUUGACCUGCAGACAUAGUUGAAACAUGAAGGUGUUAAAUUACCUAUUUUGUUAGUGUAAAUCAAAGAGGCUUUUUAUUUUUAUUUUUCGUUGUGAAAUAAUAUGGAUAUGUUAGAUUCUAAUCAUAUUUAAGUAUAUAUUAGUUCUUGAAGAGUUCUUAUUUUUGGUAUUUAUAUUGCAAAUAAUUUUUUUAAAUUAAGAAAAAAGGGGGGAGGGGCAAAUGUGUUUAAACUAAAGACAUCAAGGAGAGUUGUGUCAAAUUCCCAAUGCUUUUUGGAAUGAUCCCACUAAAUUGAUUAACAGACAAUUCCAAAAUUUGAAAAUUGCAGCAUUUGUCUAUACUUGAUGGAAUAGAACUUGAUAAUUCAUUUCUACUGAUCAAGUAAAGCUCUUUAAGCUUGGGAAGAUGGACACACAAAUCAUCAGGCAAGCCACCAGAAAGACUAUUAUCACGUAAAUGAAUCCUUUUCAAAGAAGAAAUGUUAAACAUGGUGCAACCUGGCCAGGUAAUUGAUAAAAUUUUGAUUUAAUCCCUUAAAAAAUAUAAAAAUAUAGACUAUUAAAAUGGUAAAAUUACAUUUUUACUAUUGUAAAAAUUACAAUUUAAUUUCACUCCUAAAAAGAUUUUCUGGCUUCGACCCUAAUAAAUUCUUUGGCAAAAGAUUAAAAUAAAAUUAUACCGUAAAUGAAAAAAGGAAACUAUAAGAAAAUCCAAUCUAACAAAGAAAAUAACUUGAUGUCCAAAAGCUACCAUAAACCGUAAUUCAUGGGAAGGCUUGUUGCUCAUUUUAUUGGUUUCCAUUUUGAUUUUGCAAAAGAAGCUUGAAUUUUGAAGAGAGCCUACUACGUGAGAGCAAAAGAAAAAAAAAUUGUUUAUUAAUUUUUAGGAAUACCGAAAUAUUAUAUAUAUGAUUAAAAAUGUUGAAUUAAAGAUAAAAUUAAGUGUGAAUUAAUAACCACAAGUGUACUUAUUACUCACCAUCUCUGUUAAAAAUGUUGGAUGUUGUUUAGCAACCUUUGUUUGAUUUUCUUCAGCUCAACCACAACAUCUUUCAUAUCUUUUCUUUCUUCUGGCAACUCAGCUGAACAAUUCAAAGCCAACUCCAUGAUAGAUGUAAUACAAUUUGCUUUAACGACAAUGUACUCAUCCUCUCUUCUUAAUAAAUCAACAUCUGCAAUUUCUAUCGCUCCUUUAGGCAAUGAACUUUCCAUCCAAUGCCUUAUACUCUCUUCUUCAACAAAAACAUUAUCAGUAGGCUUUUUCUUCGUGAAAGUUUCUAUAAGGACGACCCCAUAACUAUAGACGUCAGAUUUUAUAGAAACAAUUCCUGCUGAUCCAAAUUCUGCAUUCAAGUAUAAUUAGAACGUCAUUCAUCCUCAAUUAUUUCUAAAAUGCUUAUUCAAAUAUAUAUUCACAUCCACAUGAAACAAAAAUAUAAAAUGCAUAUUAGGAAAAUAAUCAUACAAAAAUAAAAAAGAAUUCACCUGGUGCCAUAUACCCGAUAGUUGCAAGAGUCAUGGUUUGCUUCAUUACUUCACCUUCCCCCAACAAUUUGGCAACGCCAAAAUCUCCAACAUGUGCAACCAUGUCUUCAUCUAGUAAAAUAUUGCUUGGUUUUAUGUCACAGUGAAUUAUAGGUGUUGGAUGUCCAUUGUGGAGGUGUUCUAUAGCUACCGCAACAUCUAUCAUUAUAUCGACCCUUUGUAUGAUAUCAAGGAAACAAUUUUCAGAAUGUAACCAUUUCUCAAGGUUUCCAUUAGACAUGUAAUCAAGCACCAAGGCUUUGAAGUCAACACUUGAGCAGCAAGUAAUGACCUUCACAAUAUUACGAUGAACUAUAUUACGCAUAGCAUCACAUUCAAUGUCAAAACUCCUAAAUGCUCCCUCUGUUUGCAAAUUGAAAACUUUUAUUGCAACUUCCAUUCCAUCUGAAAGCCUCCCUUUAUAUACAUAUCCAAAACUCCCUGAACCAAGCAUAUUGCUUUCCUCAAAUCCAUUAGUUGCUCGUGAAAGUUCAGCAUGUGAAAUUCUUCUCGGUGUCUUCAAAGACAACAAAUCAUCUUUAACUGGUAGAGUUGUACUCCUUUGGCAUCUUCUAUACAUAAUAGUUAAGACUAUUAGUACUAGGACAAUACCAAUUGUUGGUAAACCAUACCUAAAAGCAUGCAAUAUAAUCAUUUGGGAGUUUUUGUGGAUGUCAUUUUUGCAAGGUGGGACUAGCAAUCUAGGUGGACCACAAAGUGCACAAUUCUUCAUGAAUGAUGUGCUAGAAAAGUUUGAAAAACAUCCUUUGCUGGGAAUUUCCCCUUCAAGUCUAUUGAAAGACACAUUAAAAUACUUUAGAUAUAAAAGUUGUUCCAAAGAUUUGGGAAUGACUCCAGAGAAAUUGUUAUUGCAUAAAUCCAAGAAUUCCAAACUAAUCAACCCAUCAAAUGAUUCAGGGAUACGACCAUGUAGUAUAUUAUUUGAUAAAUCUAAUGAAACCAAAGUUUGAAGACCCCCAAAUGUGGAUAAGAUAUCGCCCAUGAGAAGAUUCCUUGAUAAAUUUAGUCUCAGUAGACUCCUAAAAUUUCCAACAUCAAUAGCAUGUGAAUUGUGAAGACGGUUUGAUGAUAAAUCUAUUUCUAAGAUAUCUUUAAGACUCCACAAAGUUGAGGGUAUUGUAGAACUCAAUUUGUUGGAAUCUAACCAAAGAUAUCUCAAAGCAGAAAUAUUACCUAAACAAGAGGGUAUGGAUCCAUGCAGCUUAUUCAACCCUAAAUGCAUCUCGUAUAGUCUCUCCAAACCACAGAGGCUUUCUGGGAUAGGCCCUCCUAAUUUAUUAGAGGAAAGAUCUAGACCUUGCAGAUUCCGCAGUCCUCCUAUUGAUGCUGGAAUGAAUCCACUUAAUUUAUUAUGGCCAAGUUCUAAAACCAAUAAGUUGGUUAAGUUACCUAUUUCCAUAGGAAUAAUGCCUUGAAGCUCACAAUUAUAGGCAAGAAAGAAUUGAAGGGAUUUUGAAAGGUUCCCGAUAUAAGUAGGAAGAACACCACUCAAUGGAUUUCCCGAAACUCCUAUGGCUUUCAAAUUCCUACAAUUCGUCAAAGAAGAAAGAAAGCUCCACUCAUGAUCAGUAGCAGAUCCUGUGAUCAAAUUAUUGUCAAAGAUUUUGAGCACUUCAAGGUGUUUUAAGCUGCCUAGCGUUUUAGGGAUUGGGCCAGAGAAUAAGUUAUGUGACAAGGAUAGAAUCUUUAGCAUGGAAGCAUUGGAGAUAGAGUUGGGAAUGUUUCCGCUAAGUUUAUUUCCCCACAAUAAAAGAAUCUCAAGCUUUGGAGCAUUGGUGAUGGGUGGUAAAUUACCUGUAAAAUAGCAUCUUUUAGUAUACAUAUUCACAAAAUAUAUAAUACAUUAAAAUAAAAACUGUAAAACUUUAAAUCAAUUAAGAAUAAAAUUUUGGCAUGGAAAAAUGUGAUGAAAUCAAUUAGAAAGUUGAGACAUAAUAAGAAGUUUUGAGUACUAAUUAGUCUUUGUGAUUUGUAUAGACAAAACAUAUAAUACACUAAUAAUUUUUUAAAAUAUUGUAAAACUUGAAAUAAAAUAAAAAUAAAAGUUUGGCAUGAGAAUGUGGCAUCUAAUCAAUCUUAAAAAUGAGACUCACACUGAAUAAUAAUUAGUUAUGAUUUGGGAAACAAAAAUGUUAAAGCCAUUGUUUUUAAUGUAAACUGGUAUGAUUCUUAUCUAUUGGGUUAAUUAUUUAUUUUUAUUAAAUUAUAGUGUAAAAUUUAAAUAUUAUUAUUUGCUCAAAAUUUUUGUAUUUUUCGUAUAUUUGAAAUUCAAUCUUUAUAUUUUUUAUUUUCUGUGAUUUAGUCUCUCUACUUUUUUUAUUAAAAAUUUUAGGUUCAUUUAUUAACACUGUUAAAAAGUUUUUGUAUUAGUAUGACAUUUUGAAAAAUAAAAUAAACUUGAUAUCUAUGUUUUUAAUUAUUCCAAAUAUUGUUUUACUAUUUCAAGAUAAAUUAUUUGUGUCUAGACCAAUAUCUUAAGAACUAUUGUUGCAUGUUUAAUUAUUCUAAAAAAUUAUUGAUUGAGUCUUAGCUUGAUUGGCAUGUGCAUUGUUGCCAAUAUAAGAGAAUGUGGGAUCAAAUAUGCUGAAGUUCAUUAUCCUCCUGUUAUGAAUUGGGGAGUUGGUAAAGUAUUAAAUUUUGAUAUAUUUUAAAAUAUUAAAAAUUUAUUAAAAUAUUUUUUAUAAAAAUCGGUUGUACCACAAUAUACAAUUUUAAUAUCAAAUUUUUAAUAUUUUUAAAAUAUUAGCGAAUAUAUACUUUAUUUCAAGUUACACAAUUUUUACUAGUUUUUAACUUUUUUUAAAAUUUUUAUCGUCUUUUAUAAUUUCUAAUAAUUUUUUACAAUAUUUAACAAUUUCUAACCAUUUUUAAUAAUUUUAUUACUUAUUAAAAAUUAACAAAUUAACUAUUUUUUAUUUUUUUAAAACAAUUAUAUAUUUAUAAUGUAGUUAUUUUUUUAUAAUUUUAUUUGAAAUUUUAAAGUUUUUUUGGUUUGUUUUCUAGAUGAUGAUGCCAUCAUGAUGUCAUCAUAUGCCACAUGGCAAUUUAUGAUUAGUUGAAUAUCUCAAUUUAUUUUUUUAAUGUCCAAUGGACUAAACCAAGAACACUUGAUUAUGUUAGAGACUACACUAGGAAUGUUUGAUAACAUUAGGUACUAAAGUAGGAAAAAAAAAAAAAGGAGCAAUACGAUGUAGGGAGUAAACUGUGCAUUAAGCCAUUAAAAAUAUAUCUAUAAUAUAUAUAAAUGCAUGGAUUUUGAGAAACUUUUGAAAUGAUAAUUAUAUAGUCUUUGUUUUUUUACUAUAUUAUUGAAUUUGUUAUUUUAAAUAUUUUUUUAUUACUUUUAAGAUUUAUCAUAUGUAUGGAUAAGAAUUUUGGUUUUACUAAAAUAUUUGGUUAAAUAAAUUCACUUCAUAAGAAGAUUUAGCAUCCUUGUAAAUAACAAUUUUGAUUCUAUUAAAAAAUUAUUUUAAAAUAUAUAUAAUAAAAUUUUAAAAUUUAUAUUGAAUUACUUUAUACUUAAAUUAUUAUUAGAAACUUUAUCAUACACAUACGUGUAUGAGAACUAUGUAUUUAGAACAUAAAUUUGUGUUUUAAAAUAACUUAUGAUAAAUAAUGAAAUGUAUAAUUUGAAACUAUUUAAUAAAAACACAUGGCUUAUCUACAAUAUUAAAAUAAAAAUAGCUUAAAUUGUAAGCAAAACAUAAUUUAAACAUAUGAAUACAUUAAAUUAAGAAUACUAAAUGAAUACAGUUAUUUAUGAUGGUGUUGUCUUCAAUUCCUAAGUUGGUGUCAAGUUAAUUUGUGACAUCAUAAAUUUAAGGUUUUAUGUAUUGAUGUGGAUUCAAAUAUCACCAUUUUUUUUAAAAUAAAAUUUAAAAUAAAUACAUUUUCCACAUUGGUUUCUUUUCUUCUACAGACAAAGGAUUUCUAAUGAUUUUUUUUUUAAAAAAAAUUACUUAUAUAAAAUAGAUUAGUUUAUGCAAUAAAAAUAAUUUCUUUUUUAAAGUUUAAUAGAAAUUAAAAAACAAAAAAAAAAUCAAUUCAUAUAAAGCUUAUUGUUUAUUAUCAGAUUAAAAUGAUAAAAGUAUACGAUAAACCCAUACUUGACGGAAUGUUACCAGAUAAUUCAUUUUUAUUCUAGUAAAGCCCUUCAAGCUUGAGAAUAUGUUGACACAUAUCAUUAGGCAAACUACCUGAUAGGUUAUUGUUGGAGAGAUCAAUGGCCUUCAGAGAAGAAAUGUUGAAGAUCGAAGUUGGAAUCUGACCUGUAAGGCCUUUAAUUUCUCUAAUAUUAAGCAGUUCCAAACCAAGAAGAUUACCGAUUUCCUCAGGAAUUUGAUCUGCACACAUAGUCGAAAAAUCAAGAUGUGAAACUACCUAUUUUGUUAGCAUAAGUCAAAGAGGUUUUCUUUUCUGUUCUACAUAAUUUGCAGAUGUUAGAUUUUAAUAUUUUUAAGCAUAUUUGUUUUCAUCAAAUUAACUAUUUUGAACUAUUUUGCCUUGAAUGAAAUAAAAUGCUCAUAUUUUUGUUAUCUAUUACUAAUCAAACUCUUUUAUAAAAAAAAAUACUUUAAACUAAAGAAACCAAGAAAAUUCAAUACCUUCUAAGUUAUUCAACUCCAAAUAUAAUUCUUUGAGUCGUGUCAGAUUUCCAAUACUUCUUGGAAUGAUCCCCCUCAAUUUAUUAUCGGAAAAUGCCAAUAUUUUAAGGUUGCUGCAUUUGCCCAUACUUGAUGGAAUGUUACCAGAUAAUUCAUUUUUAUUCAAGUAAAGCCCUUCAAGCUUGGGAAGAUGUUGACACAUAUCAUUAGGCAAACUACCUGAUAGGCUAUUGCUGGAGAGAGCAAUAGUCUUGAGAGAAUAAAUGUUGAAGAUCGAAGUUGGAAUUUGACCUGUAAAGCCUUUAAUUGCUUGAAUACUAAGCAUUUCCAAAUUAAAAAGAUUACCGAUUUCUUCAGGAAUUUGACCUGCUGACAUAGUCGAAACAUCAAGGUGUUAAAUUACCUAUUUUGUUAGUGUAAAUCAAAGAGGAUUUUUAUUUUUCUCGUUAUGAAAUAAUAUGGAUAUGUUAGAUUCUAAUCAUAUUUAAGUAUAUAUUAGUUCUUGAAAGAAAGAGUUCUUAGUAUUUAUAUUGCAAAUAUUUUUUUUAAAAUUUAAAAAAAGGGGGGGGGGCAAAUGUGUUUAAACUAAAGAGAUCAAGGAAAAGGCAUACCAUCUAGGUUAUUUAACCCCAAGUAUACUUGUUUAAGUUGUGUCAAAUUCCCAAUGCUUUUUGGAAUGAUCCCACUAAAUUGAUUAAUAGACAAUUCCAAAAUUUGAAGGUUGCAGCAUUUGUCUAUACUUGAUGGAAUAGAACUUGAUAAUUCAUUUCUACUCAAGUAAAGCUCUUUAAGCUUGGGAAGAUGGACACACAGAUCAUCGGGUAAGCCACCAGAAAGACUAUUAUCACGAAAAUGAAUCCUUUUCAAAGAAGAAAUGUUAAAGAUGGAAGAUGGAACCAGGCCAGAUAAUUGAUUGAAUCCCAAGUUCAAGAUCUCUAGAUUGGAUAAGUUGACAAGUGUUUGAGGGAUUGUGCCUGUGAAGUUAUUAUUUCUCAUUUCCAACCUUUGAACUCUGUGCAAGUUCCCAAGCCAUGAUGGAAUUUCCCCAUUAAGACGGUUGUAGCUUAAUCGAAUGAUCCUCAAACGAUGCAAUUGGCCCAAUUCUUUAGGCAGAUGGCCAUAGAAAUUGUUGUUGCUCAGGUCGAGAGAAAAUAGAAAUGAAAGAUUUCCAAGGUGUGGAGGGAUAGUACCCCUAAGAUUCAUGUUUGUAAGAUUCAAAGCUACAACUCUUUCAUGGAUGAUGUCACAAGAAACACCAGCCCACUUACAAACAGAGGUAGAGUUCGUCCAAUUGUUUGCCAACACAUUUUGAGGAUCGACAAUGCGAUCUUUAAACUCAAAGAGUGCAAACUGAUAGGAGUUGAGAUUCCGGACUGUCAUAGCCAAGGAAACAAUGGAACAUUGUAUGAAUAAAAGUGAAAGAAGAUGAAAGCAAGUGUUGUAGUUCAUGAUGGCAAGACGAAAUAAGCCAGGAAAAGGGAAGUUGAAUUGAUGAAGAAAUACCCAGCCAACAUGCUUAAAUAGGCUUCAACCCUUGCACACUUCUCAUACAUAAAGUUCACUGCCAUUACAACAAGAAAACUCGUAUCUCCAUUCAUACCUAUCCAUACUUUAUUUGACUAACUUUUCCCUAACAGGUGUUCAGUAAGGAGACAAAUCACUUUGGAGCUAUUCACCGACUUCUCCAACCUUGGUUUCAAACUCCUAGCCCAUCAAUUCACUUUAAUUGAAACGAUAUACACGAGUCUUUCGGCUUAUAUUUUUAACUUACUACUUCUCUUUUUAAUUUAUUUUUUGUUACUUCUCAUAAUAUUUUUUGAGAAAUCCAAUAUUCCAGUCUGAAAUUUCUUCAUUGCCACGUCUAUCUCCUCGGUAAGUUCGUGGCUAGGCGGCCCACUUUGGGGGCAGGAUUGUAAUUUUAGUUCUAUCCGACUCAUUUUACUAUUUAGAAAUAUAAAAGUAAUAUUAUAUUAAUUUUUAUAUUUUUAUAAAUUUAAAUUUAAAUUUAAUUUUUAAACAAUAAAACGAGUCAUUUUUAUUUGCCUAGGCUAAAUUGAAUCAGGAGUGAAAAAUUUUUUAAUCAUAAUUUACUAUUAUUUUAAUUAAUUAAAUUUUAAUUUACUAUAACUAGUAGUUGCAAAAAAAAUGACAUUCCUUUAGAAAAAUGAGAACUUAUGAAGCAUUCAAUAAGAGUUGUUGGAAUACAUGGUAACGAAACCAUAAUUCGAUAUAAAACUAUAUAAAUAAUGUAAGAUUUGUGAUACCUAAAUUGUUAUGUUUUCUAUAAAUAUAUGGAGAUUUUUUAUUAGGAAAUAAUUUUAUAUAUCAACAUUUGUUAUUUUCUUUUGAUAGAAAUUUAAUUAUGUUAUCUGUAGAAAAAAAUAUUUAUAGAAAUAUCAUUAGUAGAAAAUCAUAAAUUUGUGUGUGGCAAAAAAUUUUCACCACCAAGAAAGGGACAAAUUAAACAACUUGAAAGUCAUUGGUUGUUUAAAAUAUUAGAUAAUAAUUUUAGUGAAGAAUCAUUAAAAUUAUGACAAAAUAACCCUAGAUAUUGUAGUAUUAAAUUAGAAAAUCUCAAUAAUAUUAUUAGAGUAAAACCUAUGAUGUAUCUAAACAAGAUAUAGAAGAAUUUGAUAUACAAAUUAAGGGUAGAAAUCAUACGGAAAUAAUAAAAAACAAGAAAAAGCUAGUAUGGUCAUUAAUUAUAAAAGAUUAAAUCAAAAUAUUAUUUUUUGUAGUUACUUGAAUUAAUCAGGAUAAACAAAAAAAAAUAUUUUAGUAAAUUUGACUGUAAAUCAGGAUUCUAGUAAAUCAUGCUAACAGAAAAAUCUAAACCUUUAACAGCUUUUAGUGCACCCAAUGGACAUUAUUAAUGGAAAGUGAUGUCAUUUGAAUUAUGCGAUGCACCACAAAUCUUCCAAAGACAAAUGGAUUUUAUAUUUAAUAAAUAUAAAAAAUUAUGGGUAGUUUAUAUAGAUGAUAUUUUGAUAUUUUCAGAUACACUAGAAUUACAUAAGAAAUAUUUAAAUAUUAUUUCUUAAGAAUUCAUAAAAUAUAGAAUCAUAUUAAACCCUAAAAGUAUGGAGUUAGAAAAAAGAGAGGGAAUUUUUAUAAUAGUGGAAAUAAAAAAUUGUCCUCAAAAGAUUGAAGAAAAAAAGAAGUUACAACAAUUUGUAAUAUAUUCCUCCCAAAUUUUCAGUUGCAAAUUUAUUACAGAAUUUCUUUGCCGACAAUAAGAAAAGAGCAUAUUCACAUUUUCGUCGCAAUUUCAACUAACAACCAAUCUGUUUCCCACUUUCCUUUUUCGGCCAAUUUCAAACGUAACUGUUUUUCGAAUUUUCCUCUUUAUUUCAUUAAUAAAAUGAUCAAUCUAUUUGUUUUUUAAAUAUAUAAUUUUAUUAAUAUUUUUUAAUUAUAAUAUAAGAGUUGUUGUUUAUUUAUAGUUUUAUUACAUUAUUUAAUCUCUUUUUUAUAUCAAGUUUUUAAAAUUAUAAUAUAAGAUUUAUUUUAUCAAAUUGUGGCUUAUCAAAUGUUCAUCUAUUUUAAUAAUAACUUGAGUUCGAAUCAUUAUCAUACCAGAAAGAGUUCCCUUUAUUCUUUAUCGUAAAUUUUAUAAGAAAUUAUAUUUUAUUAUAAUACUAUAUGUGUUAGAAUAAUAUUUUAUUGUGGAUGCCCAUAAUUCUCAAAGUUGUAACCUUGAAUGUAGUAACCUCAAUGAAAUUAUGAGGCUUUUAUAUUGUAAUCAAGCCUCUAUCUAUUCUUUGUAUUCUUUGUAGAAAAUAUGAAGUUGAUUUUACUUUAUUAAAAAAUUUAAAAUAAAUUAUCUUGUUUUUUUUUAAAUGAGUUAACCAAAUUAGCAUAUUUAUUUUGAUCUAAAAUUAUCCAAAAUAAUAUAAAAUAUUAUAUUAAUAAAAUUAAAACUAUGAAAUAAUUUUUUUUAAAGAUUAUUAUUUACUUUUAUCAAACAAUACAAUUAUAUUCAGUACUUAUAUUUACUAGUUUACCAAACAGUUUUCCAAUAUGAAUUCAACACUUAUCAAAUUCAGUAUUAAAAAUUCAGUGCUUAAUUUUUUAGCACUUAACUUUUCAAUUCAUCAAGCACGUCUAAUUCAAUUUAUACAAUUCCCUAUUUGUAUCUCUAUGAAUUUAUAAAAUCCUUCUCGCAUUUAGUUGUUGGGAUCUUUAUAUGAAGAUAGAUGCUUUUAUUUUUUAUUGGUUCAUUUUUAAUUGUAUUGAUUUAUUUAAUUUUAAUUUUGAUUAAUAUAUAUGAUUAUUGUGGAAUGGGAGUAAAAGUAUUUACUUCUCAUAAACUUUGAAAUAUUCACCCUGUCUACAUAUUAAUUAUUGUAAAAUUUGAAUUGAAAUUAUGCCAUAAAAGGUGGAGGUUAGAAAACCUCUUAUUGAGACCUUAUAAUAUUUUGUAAUUUUUUGUGUUAUGGUAUAUAAAAAAAUAUCUAACCAUAGUGAUUGAUUAGUAAUAUAAAUUUGUUAUUUGUUAUGUUUAAUAUAUAUUUUAUUUAUACUUAUUCAUUUUAUUUUUAUAUGAGUAAAUGAAGUGUUUGAAGAUUCGAAAUUUUUAUCAUCCAUGUUGAAAAUAAGUGCAAAAGUGUAUAUUAUUUAAAAUAAAUUACGCAUUCAUUAAUGUUAUGUGAUAAAAUCAUUACAUUUUCUGAAGAACUAAUAUUGCAUCAAACUGUAAAAAGCUCUUGAAGAGCUAAUAUUUAUCUCCCUGUGAUGCAAAAUCUUGUAAAACAUGAUAUUAUUUUUCAAAUCAAGAAGAUUUAUGUUGAAGGAAAUAUUUAUGUGUUUUACAUUAAAACCAUGGAUAGAAAUGACAUGAGACACUCAUGUAUUUGCAUUAUAAAUAUUCCUUGAAGGAAUACACUUCACUUGUAUGAUUGACAUAUGAGAUAAUAGCAAGAAGUUUAUAGUGUUGGUAUGGCCGGCUAGACCAUCUCAAGUCAAUAAUGAUGCAAAAUAAUUUGAAGAGAAUUUAUAUGAUUUUAUUGAAGAAUGAGAAGUUAUUUUCAUUUUGAUAAUUGUCAUCAACAAUAGUUCUUUGGAAAAAAAAAUAUUGAACUAACAUCAACUAAAGUUAGAGGUUGGUUCAUGGUUGCAUUUUUUGAUGAUAUCCAAAUAAUAUAUGAGCUCAUGUAUCACAUGUAUGCAACCCAAAGUUUACAGUAUUAUUUCUUGAAAUAAUUUGAUUCUACACAAUCUCUAUAGCAUGCAAUUUGUGCUAACAACACUGGUGCAUUAUAUCCUAAGCUUGAUUUUCGUAGUUUUAGCUGAGAUAAUAUUAAGUUGUCUAUGCCUAUAUAUAUUAUACUUAAUGGUUAGCAAAAUUAUGCCUCCAUUUAAUUGCUUAACCAUUAAUAUAAGAAUAGCUUUAAAAUAAGCAUGUAAUUUUAUUUGCAUCGAGCCAACAUGUAAGAAAUAUUUGUCCCAUGAGAAUUAGCUUUUAUUUAUAAGCCAAUAGGUUUCAUUUAUGACUAUUUGGAUGUAAAAUAUCUAUUUUAUAUUCCACCAUAAUGCACUAAGAUGGACCAUCAAGUAUGAAGUUGAGAAAAAUUAGAAUUUUUAUUUGAUGGUAAAAGUUGAAAAGAGAUAUAUAUUUAUAAUUUUGAAAAAAAUAGUCAUGUUGCAAAUUUUCUCAGUAUUAGAGGGAGACAAGUUGGACAAAUACGUAUAAUUAUGUCAUCACUUUUUGUGAUCCCUCACUAAUCUUAUGUGCACAAAGUUUGAAGGAAAAAAAUAAUUUGCUAGACAUGUUUAGUGAUGACAUUUAGAGAUUGUAUAUAUUGGAUGAUACAUAUACCAGCUAAAAUGUUCCAAAUAAUUAUGCGUCCUAGAAGGACAAAGUGAUAAAAAUAAUUUUUGGGCACGCUAGAAGGAUGAAAAACUAGUUGGUUCUAUAAAUAAAAAAAUUCUUGACAGAAAAGAGUAAGAAAUGAAUAUGGCCACACGUUAAAGGAGACGAGUACUCAUGAAGAGACCCAAGGUAUAACUUUUAAUAAAACCCCAAAAGAGGUUCAAUACAUGAAAUUAUGAAUAUAAUAAGUGUAAUAACCAAAUUUUUCCCGGGCCCAAUGCCAAACAAAUAAAACCCAAACCAAAUAAAUAAAAUAAGAGUCCAAAUUAUAGUCCGUUAGGGCCCAAUUCAGACCAGCCCACUAUUCAAUCAGACCAGCCGAACAACAAAAAAAAACCUAGUAGCCCACAGCCCAACUAAGCCUAAAAAAUUUUCAGCAAAAGAAAAAACCCUAGCUGCCAUGCUAGCCGCUGCUCCUGCCCUAGCCUCUGCCCACUAUCGUACGCCACCUCUGCCAUCACCAUUAGCCUCUGACACCUGCAAAACAGCAAACAACAUGCAACAACAGAGAAGAAGACGACAAGCAAAAAACAAAUCACUAAAGGACAAAAAUAAUGAUAACAAAUAGCCUUAGUUUGGCUAUAAAAGCAAAAAAAAUGAAAACUUUGUACUUCUUUGGCAAGAUUAAUACAAAAAAGAAAAGAUUUGAACUUUUUAGGGUGAUAUUUCAUUUUUUUUUACGCUUUAGAUCUAUUUUUUUAUUUCAUCUUCAUCUACGAAAAUAAUAGAAAAAAGACUUUGAUUUCAAGGUGAUAUUUUGUUGUUUUUUUAGAUCUAGUGUUUUUUUAUUUAUUUUUAUCUACAAAAAUAAAAAAAGGAAAAGAGAAACGUACCUAAUUCACCCCGUGGCUCCGUCGACGGAAGUCCCAUCGCCAUCGUCGGAAUCGGGCUUAAAAGGGGAAGGUUUUUAUUUUUCUUUACUUUUUUUUGGAUUUUUCGUCUCAAGAAAUGGACUAAGGGAGGGGAAAUGGCCAAAAUGGUCUUUUUCCGAUGAACUCUGGCAACCACAUGUGGCAGUUAACAGUGCCGGUGCUCGGUGGCUGCGGUGGAGCCAUGGUGGUGUCCCAUGGCCGGAUCUAGAGAGGAAGCCUUUAAGAGGGAGAGAGUUUCUAACAUUUUUUUUAUUUUCUAAGGCAGAAAUGAAUUUUUGAAAAAAAAAAGUUGGGUUUUAUAAGUGCGUGAAAUGGCGCCAUUUUGCGCAAGUGCACAUCGACGUCGAAACGACAUCGUUUACCCCUUUACCCGCUUGCCCGAGUCUGGCUCGAUGAAGGUCCGCAUAUUUUCAUGCCUGAUGGGUUAUUUCCCUGCCCGAUCCUUCCGAUUUUGGGCUUCUUCUCAAUCUGGUCCUGAUCCUACUUUUUCCCGCCUUUUAAAUUGUACCAUUUAAUUUCAUUUCAUUUUCAACUCGGUCCCUCGGCUGACCAAAGGAAAUGAUGCGCAUAAAGUUAAGGGAUAUUUUCCCUUUCAAUCCCCAAUAUUUUUAGAGCGAUGCAUUUUAAUCCCUAACCUUUCAUUCCAAUCUUUUACACAUAUUAUUUCAUUUUAUUCGUUUAUUUAUUGACUUAUCAUUUUUACCCUCUUUUUAUACUUAAAAAUAUAUAUUAUUUACACUAUUACUUGCAUUUUUUUACUAUUAAAUUAUUAUUUUUAAUGUAUUAUAUUCCCAUUAUUUUACCAUUUUAUUUAUUUUGAUACUUUCAUGUCACAUUUAUUUAUUUUAAUAUUGCCAUUAUUUAUUUUAUUUUAUUCUUAUGUUUUUUAGUAUUUUAUUAUUUCUUUUAUUGUUCACGGUUUUUUUUUCAUGUUAUACAUUUUUAUCUUUCUAAUCAUGCAUUUUUCCUUUUUUUAUUUUGUUUUAGGUUACGUUAUUUAUUAUUAUUAUUAUGAUAAUAUUAUUAUAAUUAUAUUACCAUUAUUAUAGAAUUCCUUUAUUUGUAUAUUCCAUUAUAACUAUUAUUAUUAUUAGUAGUCUUUAACUCACUUCUAUUUUUAUUAUUAUUUUUUAGAAUAGUAGUCAACAUGCUUAUCCUUAUUGUUAUUUGGUGUUGUUCUUAUGAUUUUAUCAUCAUUAUUGUUGUAUUUCAUUUUUUGUUCACUCUUUAAAUAUUUUGUUCAUAUAGUUAUUUUACACUAUUGCAAUAUUGUUGCAUUACGCAUUAUGUUUCUUAUAUAAUAAUUAUUUCGCUUUCACGCGAUGUUCGAAUCAAUUAAACAUGAAUCUUCUCAAUUAUUACAUUAAUUGUUACUUAAGUUCAAAAAGAAAAUUUUCAAAAUAAGGCAAUAUUUUGCGUUUUGGAAAUUCGAGAAAUCAUACCCUAACUUACGAGGUUUCGAUUUUCUCGUUAAACUUAAAUAGCAAAAUAUUCUUUUAAAUUUCAAAAUGCAUGCAAUUUCAAUAAAAAUCAAAGGCAAGCUUAUUCUCUAAGGUUCCAAAUAUCGCGUCCUAACUUACGGGAUGUGACAUUUCGUUACCUCGAGACGAGUAGGUCUUCAACUCUCUUUUCGAUUUAUUCGAGCGUUUUUAAUAACAUUAAUAAAAAGGGAUCGUAUUUUAAAUUUCUAUUCAAGUUUUCAACCUUGGACAUUAAGACAUUACUUAAUCAACUAGGUACCACCUUUGGGUGUAUUGAGGGUGUGUUUUCUAGAUUUUGUAGACCAAAUAUUAUCGUUUUUAGUAAAUUUAAAUUUUUAUUAAAAUGAUUAAAUUACAAGUGUUGACACCAUUUUUUUGAUGAAAAACGGGGUCGACUUGGGUUUUAAAAAAAAUGAAAAACGGGAGUCGCCACCAAUCCUUUUUGAUAAGGUGUGAUUGGGUCACCUUGAAAAAUGGUUGUUUUUAAUAAAUGAUUUGAUUUUAUUAAAACAACGGUUUUGGUCCAUGAAAUUUAGAAAACGGGUUCGGGAGUCGAUUACGUACGAGGAAGGAUUAGCACCCUCGUAACGCCCAAAAAUUGGUACCUAGUUGGUUAGCUAAUGUCUUGAUGUCGAAAAUUGAGAACUUGGAAAAAAUUAAAAAUACGAUCCUUGUAUUAAAAUGAAAAUUUUAGGAAAAGGGGGGCAUACUUCACGCUAAUCGAGAAAGAGAAUCAUAUCCAGUAAGUUAGGACACAAUGUCUCGAAUUCCCGAUACGCGAAUGAAUGCCAAAAUUUUACUUAUUUAAAAGACAUUUUAGCCGUCUCGAAUUUAAAAAUGAAAUCACGACCAGUAAGUUAGGACGUGAUUUUUUAAAACUUGAGUUUGAAAAGAUUCGUGCAUCUAGAUUUAUCGUGAAAAUCAAUACCCAGUAAGUUAGGGUACGAUUUUCUUGAAUUUAAACACGAAAUGCCAUUUUUUAAAACAAAUUUUGUUAUAUCGAGUGAAAUAAAAACACAAAGUCGUAGUAAAAAAAUGUGUAAGCAAAUUACAUUGUUAUGCAUGGCAAAAUCAUAAUGAAUACAAAAGUAUAAAAAUGAUACGAGCAAUAACAACAAUAUAAAAUAAAUAAAAGUCAAACCUACAAUAAUAUUAAAUAACAAUGUAUAUAAACAAAUAAAAUUAAAACAUUCAUUCAAAAUAAUAAUGAAAAUGAAAUAAAUAAAUAGUAAAUACAAAAUAAAACAAUAGUAAUGAAUAAAAAUAAUAUAAUAUAUAUAUGUAUGUUAGAAUUAUAAAGUAUAAAAAUAUACGUAUGUGUAUAUAAGAAUAUGUAAGCAUGUAUAUACAUAGAUUAUAAAAUAUAGAUAUUUAUAUAAAAAUGAGUAUUUGUAUUAAAUAAGUUGAAAAAAAAUAUAUAUAUACCUACAUAUAUAUAAAAAAUUAUAUAAUAAUAACAAUAUAAUAAAACACAUAUAUCUAAAAUUUACAUAAGUAAAUAUAAAUAAAAACAUACUAAUAACAAUAAUAUUAAUAGUAAAAUGAUAAUACAUAAAAAUGAUGAAGAAAAUAAUAAAAAUGCUUAAAAGGGGACUAAAUCGAAGUAAGAACCAAAAAAAAGGGGCAAAAUCGAAAUAAAGACAAGAGGGACUAAAUUGUAACGCGCGCUGAAAGAGGGGGACCAACAGGGUAACUAAACCAAAGCCUCAAAACGCUGCUCUGUAAAGGACUGAAAUGAGACAAAAAUAAAAUUUUGUGGCCAAAUUGCAAAUAUGCGAAAAACUUCCAUGAAAUCGCUACAAAAUCAAAGGGACUAAUUGCGCAAAUAGACCCUUAAACAAAAACGCGCGGAUCCUUGGGUGCGGGUCGGGUCGACGUGCGGAUCCCCUCACCAAAACGGCGUCGUUUUGUGUUUAAUAUAAAUAUAAAAAAAGGGCUAAAAAAACAGUUUCAUCAUUUUUGUUGAAAAACUGAGAGAAACCUCUCUCUUUUUUCCCUUUCUCAGGCUCAGAUUCCGGAGAUGGCCCGGCCUAGGCUUCUGGCGAAUCUCCGCCGUAGAGCCACCGUGUGUGGCGGCCGGAGGUCCAAAAUCGGACCUUUUCGGUCCCUUUUUGAAACUAAGAAUCCCUAGGGUACGGAUCUGGGACCAAACCCCCGAAAAAAAGAAUCGGAGACCUAAAGAACGAGGGGAAACCGCUCGUCUUCUCUCCUCCGGCGCGGCGCAGGUAAGGUUUCUUUUUCCUUUAUUUAUAUUACGUAAAAAACAUACAAAAAGAAAAAAAAGAAAAUAGAGUUUAAAAAAAAUCUAAAACAGAAAUGAGAGAAAAUCACCUCUCAAGUUUUCUUGUUUUUUAUUUCUUUUUGCUAAUAUCUGUUUCUUCUUUUUACAAAAGUUGAUGGAAGAAGAAAAAAUUACAUUUUGUUGGCUUUUUAUAGCCGACUUCUACUACUGCCUGUGUUAUUUGCUCUCUGUUUCUUUGUUUUGUUUCUUCUUUGCAGGUGACGGUGCAAGUGGUGGUGGUGACGUGACCGUGGCAGUGGCGGUGUGAUGUUGGCGGCGGCGGCAGGCCAAAGGUCAAUAGGUGUGGAGCCUAGGGUUUUAGUUUUUGAAACCCUAGGCAGAUUUUUUUAGGGGAAUUGGGCCUUAGCUAUUGGGUCGUUCGGGUUUGGGCGUUGGGUUAGGCUAGUUGGGCUUUGAGGUUGGGUUGUUUUGUAAUGUGCUUUGGUGUUUGGGUUGGUAGGUGGUGGGUAAGGUUUAUUGUUUUGGGUUCUUGGGCCUGGUUCUGUUUGGUUAGGGUAAUGGGCCAUUUGGGUCUGGGCAUAAAAUUGGGCUAUACAACAAGGUGACCCGAUUACACCUCAUCAAAAAGGAUUGGUGGCGACUCCCAUUUUCAUUUUCAUUUCUUUUUAAAUCAAAGUCAACCCGUUUUUAAAAAAAUGGUUUCGACAAUAAGAUAUAUUGAUUAGUUAUGUCAUAACUAAAGAUGAUGGAGUUGACAAAAGGAAAUUGUAGUUAACAACGAAUAAUCUACGUAGAACAUUUCAAUAUUAUGGAAAAAUGAGUAUUUACCAACCUUCUUUUAGUCAAAUUAUGCAAGCCUAAAAUUUUUAGCUUAAUUUGAGUUUGUUGACUAUGUCUAAUUCAAGUUUUAUUAUUAAGGACUAAAUUGUAACUUAAAAAAAUUAGAAUACCAAUUUAAAGAGACAAAAAUUCAAAACCCCAAAACCCACAUGGGCAUGUGGGUAAGUGACACAGGCGUGUGGAGACUGGAGCUAUCACACACGGGCGAGUGGGACAGAAAAAUAUGAAAUAAAUUAAUCCACUUAAAUUUCAAACAACCAUGCUAUACUACCAAACCAAAUAAUGCUAGAAGCUUUGAAUAGGGGUGAAUCGAAAAAAAAAUAAAAGAAUUAGAAUUAAAUUAUAAAAUUUUCAGAAGUUAUCAUGUAUUAAUUUAUUAUUUUUUAAAGGGUCUUAAUAGAAUUUUUUUUCCAUUUUGGUUUGGCCAAUACCCCUGUCUACCUCUUUCAAUUUGCUUCAACCCUAAACCUAAUAUUCGAUUUGUUGUGGAAGUUUGACGCAUAAAAAUUUCUUUUUUAGAGGUUUAAAUUAUAAAUUUUUGAAAGUUUAAAAUAAAUUUUCAUUUUUAUUAACAAAAUAUAAAAGAAAAAAAACAUGUGUAGACAAACCAAGAAACCUUUGGGAUCAUACGGGUGAUUUUGAUGAUGUUAAUGGUUAUUUUGAUGGAGAGGGUGAAAAAGAAACAAAUGAUUCAUAUAUAUAAUAUAAUUAUGAAAUUCAAGCCAUAUAUUGUAUGUUUCAUCCAUAAAAAUUUCAUGGGAGGUCCGAAGGUAAUUAAAUGACUUGUAGGCUUGCUGAAUUUCUUUGAAAGGCCCAAUGGCAAUUUAACAUUCACAAAAUAAUCUCUAAAUACUGUAAAGACAAAAUCAAAUCCACAGCAGCAUUAGAGUUGAUUAAGCUAAGCAUUGGCAAAUAUUACUUUGAUUUUGCAUGCAAUAUUAGCAAAACCCCCUCUUACAUUAGAUAAACAACAUACUCCAUGAAACAUUGAUAGCCCAAAUACAAAUUUCAUCGACAAAAAAGUCUCUUUGUUUUGUAGAACAUGAUAGUAAAAAUGUGGAGUUUCGUUCUUCUUAUUGGCCUCCUUUAGUUUUCCUUGAUCAACAACCACUAGCCAAAAACACAAUUAGAUUAGAUUAUGAAUGAUACUGACAUUAUUAAAUAUAAAACACUCUAAAUAACUCUAAAUAAAUGGAAAGCAGCAAAUUACCUGACGAGGCAAGCUAGCUCAAUUAAGACCAUUGUGUUAUACUUGUCUCUGAAUUGAAAAAUUUAGAAGGAAAUAAAGAGAAAGACUUAGAAAAUAUUUGAAAACAGAUAAAACUUAUAUGUCAUUUAAAAUAAAAAUUUUGUAUUUAAGCCGUUUAAAAUUUUUAAGAUUUUUGAAAUUUUAAAAUGAUAAAGGUAAAAUUGUACUUUGGCACACCAAAAAUGAUAAAACUUUGAUUUAAUCCUUUAGAAAUUAUAAAAAUAUAGGCUAUUAAAAUGGUGAAAUUACCUUUUUACUAUAGUAAAAAUUACAAUUUAAUUUCACUUUAAGAUUUUCUGACUUCGCCCCUAAUAAAAUCUUUGGCAAAAGAUUAAAAUAAAAUUAUACCGUAAAUGGAAAAAGAAACAAAGAAAAUCCAAUCUAACAAAGAAAAUAACUUAUGUCCAAAAGCUACCAUAAACCGUAAUUCAUGGGAAGAGAGCAAAAGUAAAAACAAAUAGUUUAUAUGAUUAAAAUUCCAGAAUAGGUUAAAAAUGUUGAAUUAAAGAUAAAAUUAAGCGUGAAUUAAUAACCACAAGUGUACUCUUUACUCACCAUCUCUGUUAAAAAUGUUGGAUGUUGUUUAGCAACCUUUGUUUGAUUUUCUUCAGCUCAACCACAACAUCUUUCAUUUCUUUUCUUUCUUCUGGUAACUCAGCUGAACAAUUCAAAGCCAACUCCAUGAUAGAUGAAAUACAAUUUGCUUUAACAACAAAGUACUCAUCCUCUCUUCUUAGUAAAUCAACAUCUGCAAUUUCUAUCGCUCCUUUAGGCAAUGAACUUUCCAUCCAAUGCCUUAUAGUCUCUUCUUCAACAAAAACAUUAUCAGUUGGCUUUCUCUUUGUGAAAGUUUCUAUAAGGACGAUCCCAUAACUAUAAACGUCAGAUUUUAUAGAAACAAGUCCUGCAGAUCCAAAUUCUGCAUUUCAAGUAUAAUUAGAACAUCAUCAGUCCUCAAUUAUUUGAUAAAUCUAUGUAUAUCCACAUACACGAGAAACAAAAAUAUAAAACGCAAAUUAGGAAAAUAAUCGUACAAAGAUAAAAAAAGAAUUCACCUGGUGCCAUAUACCCGAUUGUUGCAAGAGUCAUGGUUUGCUUCAUUACUUCACCUUCUCCCAACAAUUUGGCAACGCCAAAAUCUCCAACAUGUGCAACCAUGUCUUCAUCUAGUAAAAUAUUGCUUGGUUUUAUGUCACAAUGAAUUAUAGGGGUUGGAUGUCCAUUGUGGAGGUGUUCUAUAGCCACCGCAACAUCUAUCAUUAUGUCGACCCUUUGUAUGAUAUCAAGGAAACAAUUUUUAGAAUGUAACCAUUUCUCAAGGUUUCCAUUAGACAUGUAAUCAAGCACCAAGGCUUUGAAGUCAACACUUGAGCAGCAAGUAAUGACCUUCACAAUAUUACGAUGAACUAUAUGAAGCAUAGCAUCACAUUCAAUGUCAAAACUCCUAAAUGCUCCCUCUGUUUGCAAAUUGAAAACUUUUAUUGCAACUUCCAUUCCAUCUGAAAGCCUCCCUUUAUAUACAUAUCCAAAACUCCCUGAACCAAGCAUAUUGCUUUCCUCAAGUCCAUUAGUUGCUCGUGAAAGUUCAGCAUGUGAAAUUCUUCUCGGUGUCUUCAAAGACAACAAAUCAUCUUUAAUUGGUAGAGCUGUACUCCUUCUUUGGCAUCUUCUAUACAUAAUAGUUAAGACUAUUAGUACUACGACAAUACCAAUUGUUGGUAAACCAUACCUAAAAGCAUGCAAUAUAAUCGUUUGGGAGUUUUUGUGGAUGUCGUUUUUACAAGGUGGGACUAGCAAUCUAGGUGGACCACAAAGUGCAUAAUUCUUCAUGAAUGAUGUGCUAGAAAAGUUUGAAAAACAUCCUUCGCUGGGAAUUUCCCCUUCAAGUCUAUUGAAAGACACAUUAAAAUACUUUAGAUAUAAAAGCUUUUCCAAAGAUUUGGGAAUGACUCCAGAGAGAUUGUUAUUGCAUAAAUCCAAGAAUUCCAAACUAAUCAACCCAUCAAAUGAUUCAGGGAUAUGACCAUGUAGUAUAUUAUUUGAUAAAUCUAAUGAAACCAAAGUUAUAAGACCCCCAAAUGUGGAUAAGAUAUCGCCCGUGAGAAGAUUCCUUGAUAAAUUUAGUUUCAGUAGACUCCUCAAAUUUCCAACAUCAAUAGCAUGUGAAUUGUGAAGAUGGUUUGAUGAUAAGUCUAUUUCUAAGAUAUCUUUAAGAUUCCACAAAGUUGAGGGUAUUGUAGAACUCAAUUUGUUGGAAUCUAAGUAAAGAUAUCCCAAAGAAGUAAUAUUACCCAAACAAGAGGGUAUGGAUCCAUGCAGCUUAUUCAACCCUAAAUACAUCUUGUAUAGUCUCUCCAAAUCACAAAGGCUUUAUGAGAUGGGCCCUCCUAAUUUAUUAGAGGAAAGAUAUAGACCUUGGAGAUUUCUCAUUCCUCCUAUUGAUGCUGGAAUCAAUCCACUUAAUUUAUUAUAGUCAAGUUGUAAAAGCAAUAGGUUGGUUAAGUUACCUAUUUCCAUAGGAAUAAUGCCUUGAAGCUCACACUCAUCGGCAUAAAAGUAUUGAAGGGAUUUUGAAAGGUUCCCAAUAUAAGUAGGAAGAACGCCACUCAAUGGAUUUCCUGAAACACCUAUUUUUCUCAAAUUCCUACAAUUCGUCAAAGAAGAAAGAAAGCUCCACUCAUGAUCAGUAGCAGAUCCUGUGAUCAAAUUAUUGUCAAAGAUUUUGAGCACUUCAAGGUGUUUUAAGCUGCCAAGCAUUUUAGGGAUUGGGCCAGAGAAUAAGUUUCGUGACAACUCUAGUUUCUUAAGCAUGGAAGCAUUGGAGAUAGAGUUGGGAAUGUUUCCGCUAAGUUUAUUUCUCCACAAUAAAAGAAUCUCAAGCUUUGGAGCAUUGGUGAUUGGUGGUAAAUCACCUGUGAAAUAGCAUCUUUUAGUAUACACAUUCAUUGAAUACCAAAUUCACAAAAUAUAUAAUACAUUAAAAUAAAAACUGUAAAACUUUAAAUCAAUUAAGAAUAAAAUUUUGGCAUGGAAAAAUGUGAUGAAAUCAAUUAGAAAGUUGAGACAUAAUAAGAAGUUUUGAGUAGUAAUUACUCAUGAUUUCUAUAGACAAAACAUAUAAUACACUGAUAAUUUUUUAAAAAAUAUUGUAAAACCUGAAAUAAAAUAAAAAAUAAAAGUUUGGCAUGAGAAUGUGGCAUCUAAUCAUUCUUAAAAAUAAGACUAACAUUGAAUAAUAAUUAGUUAUGAUUUGAGAAACAAAAAUGUUAAAGAUGUAAACUGGUAUGAUUUUUAUCUAUUGGGUUAAUUAUUUAUUUUUAUUAAAUUAUAUAUAGUGUAAAAUUUAAAGAUUAUUAUUUGCUCAAAAUUUUUGUAUUUUUCGUAUAUUUGAAAUUUAAUCUUUAUAUUUUUUAUUUUCUGUGAUUUAGUCUCUCUACUUUUUGAAUUGAAAAUUUUAAGUUUAUUUAUUAACACUGUUAAAAAGUUUUUGUGUUAGUAUGGCAUUUUGAAAAAUAAAAUAAAAUUGAUAUCUAUGUUUUUAAUUAUUCCAAAUAUUGUUUUACUAUUUCAAGAUAAACUUUUUGUGUCUAUACCAAUAUCUUAAGAACUAUUGUUGCAUGUUUAAUUAUUCUAAAGAUUUGUUGAUUGAGUCUUGGUUGAAGUGCAUUAUUCUCCUAUUUAUGAAUUGGGGAGUUGAUAAAGUACUUUAUUUUAAUAUAUUUUAAAAUAUUAAAAAUUUAUUAAAAUAUUUUUUAUAAAACUUGAUUGUACCACAAUAUACAAUUUUAAUAUCAAAUUUUUAAUUGUUUUUUAAAAAUAUUAGCGAAUAUAUACUUUAUUUCAAGUUACACAAUUUUUACUAGCUUUUAACUUUUUUUAAAAUUUUUAUCGUCUUUUAUAAUUUCUAAUAAUUUUUUAUAAUUUUUUACAAUAUUUACAAUUUCUAACAAUUUUUAAUAAUUUUAUUAUUUAUUUCAAAUUUAAAAAUUAACAAAUUUUUAUUUUUUUAAAACAAUUAUAUAUUUAUAAUGUAGUUAUUUUUUUAUAAUUUUUUUUUGAAAUUUAAAGAUUUUUUUGGUUUUUUUUUUCUAGAUGAUGAUGCCAUCAUGAUGCCAUCAUAUGCCACAUGCCUUCUAAUUUGUUGUCAUAUAGACAUAUUUCUUCGAGCGUAGUUGAAUUAAAAAUACUUGAUGGAAUCUGACCUGCACACAUAGUCGAAAAUUGAAGUGAAAAGCAUACCUUCUAAGCUGUUAAACUAAAAAUACUUUAAGCAUAUUUUAUUUUCCAUCAAAUUAACUAUUUUGCCUUGAAUGAAAUAAAAUGUUCUUAUUUUUGUUAUCUAUUACAAAUCAAACUCUUUUAUGAAAAAACUAUUUUAAAUUAAAGAAACAAAGAAAAUUCAAUAUCUUCUAAGUUAUUCCACUCCAAAUAUAAUCUUCAGUGAAGAAAUCUUGAAGAUGGAAGAUGGAACCUUACCAGAUAAUUGAUUGAAUCCCAAGCUCAAGGACUCUAGAUUAGACAUGUUAACAAGUGUUUCAGGGAUUGUGCCUAUAAAGUUAUUAUUUUUCAUUUUCAGCCUUCGAACUCCCUGUAAGUUCCCAAGCCAUGAUGGAAUUUCCCCAUUAAGACUGUUGUAUUUUAAUCGAAGGAUCCUCAAACGAUGCAAUUGGCCCAAUUCUUUAGGGAGAUGGCCAUAGAAAUGGUUUCUACUCAAGUCGAGAGAGAGUAGAAAUGAAAGAUUUCCAAGGUGUGGAGGGAUACUACCCCUAAGAUUCAUGCUUUUAAGUUUCAAAGCUAUAACUCUUUUAUGGAGGAUGCCACAAGAAACACCAAUCCAAUUGCAAACAGAGGUUGAGGCCGUCCAAUUGUUUGCCAAGACAUUUUGAGGACCGGCAAUGCGAUCCUUAAACUCGAGAAGUGCAAACUGAUCGGAGUUGAGAUUCCUGACUGUCAUACCCCAGCAAAGUCCGGAACAUGGUACGAAUAAAGCUAAAAGAAGAUGAAAGCAAGUGUUGUAGUUCAUGAUAGCAAGACGGAAUAAGCCAAGAAAAUAAAAAAAAGUAGGACAAGGGAAGUUGAGUUGAUAAAAUAGUUUGGAUGAUGAAGAAAAGCCCAGAGAGCAUGCUUUAAUAUGUUUUGAAGAAAUUUCAAAAUAAAUUUCAAAAUAAAUUUCAAAAUAAAAAUUUAAAAAGGAAAGCAAAGUUUUGAAGAAAUUUCAAAAUAAAUUUCAAGUCUUCUUCUUUAAAAAAUACGUACAAAGAGCGAAUUUUCAAAAUUUCUCCUAAAUUUUCUUCACAUUACUCCACAUAAUCCAUUAAAAAAACUUAAAAAAUAUAUUUUAUUAAUUACUAUACAUUCUUUUACUUUCAGAAUAAUAAAUUGUUUAAAAUUUGCUAUUAGUCCCUGUAAUUUAAAAGUUAAAAAAAAAAUUCAAUCCUCCUACUUUUCUAAUUUAAAAAUUCUAGUUCAAUCAAUUUUAAUUUUAAAAUCUUUGUAUAAAAGGUGUUUUUUUUUUGUGACCGAUCACACUUAACCAAUAUUUAAAAAUUAUUAAAAAAUAUUUUUUUUUGAAAUUUAAAGUGAUCUAAAAACAUAUUUUUAAGUACUUUGGACAGUCUAUUGUUGAUUUCCUUAUUAUAUUAAGUGUUUGCAAUCACUCCUAAUAUAUUGUGCUUGAGUUGUGACAAAGUCGAUCAUCAAAUUGCCAUAAUGAUCUAUUGAUGCUGAAAUUAAAGUUUUUGUUAUAUUGAUAGAGCUUGUCCUUCAACGCGUACAACGUGUUUGUUAUUUUUCUCCCUUCAAAUUGUAUGAUCUUAUUCAUUAAAUGAAUUAAUGAAUUUCCCUUUUAAAAAGAUAUAUUUUUAAAAAUUAAAUACUUUAUAAAAUAUUUAAAAAUUUGUAAGCCUUAAAACAAUCAACAAAAUAUUUUUGAAAUUUUAUAAAUAUAUUUUAAAAUUAUAGUAACGCUACAAAAUAUAUAUAUUUACUAAUUAUAUGCACCUUUUUUAUUUUUUUUCCUAACAUAUCAUUAUUUUCAACACUAUCGUAAUCCUGUUUUGAUAAUUCCCUUUCCAUACAUCCUUUUUCUACAUAGAAUUUCAAAAGAAAAUGUGAAUUAAUGUAAACGUGAGAAGACUUAAUUACAUUUAUUAGUUUAUCAAUCAAAACUUAAUUAGAAUCCAUCAAUAUUUCACACAUCAAAAACCCAAACAUAAAAUUCACUUUUAAAUUAUUUGAAGAUACAUUUGUAUUAUAGGAAAUGGAUUAAAUUAGUCUUUUAUUAUUAAAUGUAUUAUUUUAAUCUUUGUAUUAGGUAUGAAUUGUAUCUCCUAGAUUGAAGCCAAAGCUAUUCUUGAAAGACUGAAAUUAAGAUUCAGAUGUGUUGAGAUGGAAAGUGGCAACACAAUGUUGAUUGAAACUAUUUAUAACGGGUUGGCUACAAUAAGUAGUGCUGCCGAAGUAAGACAGAUUCACGAUUGGUGUUCCAAAAAUUGGGAAGUCAAAUUUCGACAUAUUCAACGAAAUGCCAAUAAAGUUGUUGAUUGCAUAGCUAAGGCAAAUGGAGGCGUAAUUGAGCAGCUGGUUAUCUUGGAAGAUCCUCUGCAUUAUGUGAGAUGCUAGCUUGAAGAAGAUAUUAGACAGUCACUAGUGACUGAUGAUAAUUUUCAUUUGGACUGAUGAGCGCUUAAUUUUCUAAGCUUAUGUUCAACAAAAAAAAAUUUAAAUACGUCUAAAUUGUAAUAGAGUUAACAUUUAGUGUUUAAAAAAUAUCUUAAAAAUUAUUUUUUUCCAAUUGCAGUUCAAUUCCACAAAUAUCGACGAUGAACCCGGACAUAAAAAUUACAGAAAAAAAAACACAUCUAUUAUCAAACCAGCAAUCCAUGUCUAAACUUAAAUUAACAAAAUUUGCCACACAACGCCCGGUACACUAUUAUAUAUCUAUACUAGAUUUAUUCUAGAUGCACAUGUUUUAUUAUAUUUAAAAAUUAAAAUGUAUGGUUGACUAAGUUUUAGUUGAGUUAGUAUUGAUAUUAUUGUCAGUGUAGGAAAAUGUGAGUUUAAUCACGCUCAAAUGUGUUUUAUCCUCCAAUUCAAGGGUUAGGAAAAGGUUAUUGAUAAUUAAAUUAUACCAACUUUUAUAAUAUUAAAAAAAAGGAUUUAUAAAUAAUAUAAGGAAAAGAAAAAAAGAGAAACAUAUUCAUAUUGAUGGGCUCUUUCAAUAUUAGACUUUUUUUUCUAUCACAAGUAAAAAUAUCAAAGGUGAUAAUAAUUAAAUUAUAAAAUUUAAAUUGAGAAAAUAGGGGAUAAAAUUUAUAAGUUUUAAAGUAUAAAGAAUGAAUUUAUAACUAACAACAUAUUUUAACCACAUAAUAAAAGUAGUUAUGGAGAGGAUCAUAUAAAAUGCAAAAAUGAAAUAAUAGAAAAGAAAUAAGUGUUGGGUAUAGUGGCAAUGUAUAUUAUACUUCUAAGGGGAGAUCAAGAUUUUAGACAAGGGAAGAAUUUUAAACCUGCUUUUUUCUCUAGAACUCAACGCAAACCUCAAAUUUAUCUUUUUAAAAGAAUUUAAAAAUAUCUAUAUAAAAGGUGAUUUUUUACCGAUCACACUUAACAAAAUUAAAAAAAAAUUGAAAUUUAAAGUGAUCUAAAAACAUAUUUUAAAGUGCUUUUGACCAUCUUGUGCUGAUUUCUUUAGUAAUUUGAUUUGUUCAAUAUAGAUUUUGGUGACUUAAAACAAAAUUAAUAAAAAAAUAUUUUAUCAGAUAUCUUUUUAAUGUUUAAUAAUAAGUUAAUUUAUAAAAUAUACUUUCAUUGGACACAGGGCCUCCAAGGCGGUGAACCACUAAUCAAAUUAAUUUUGAGAUACUUAAAUUUGUUUUCAUCAAUUAAGAAAUUAAAAAAAUUUGUUGAGACCUCAUGAUUAUGUUUUAUAAUUUCAGGCUUAUCAACUAUUUUGAAAAACAACAAAACGUCUUACACCAAAAACUAAAAAAAUAAAAACGUCGACAUUAAAUUUGUUGCCAUGCAAUCAAUUUUAAGAUGGUUUUUGGAGUUAUAUAUCACCUUAGCAUUGACUUACUUUUCUACACUUAGUCUUCUCCAACAAGUUAAAUAUUUCAAUUUUAACAACAUUGACAGGUCUUUGGGGUAGGGUCGAGCAAAACUCAAUAUAGGCUGAGUUGGCUCGGCCAAGUCGAGUCGACUUGUUCAAAUUAUUUAAAUUCGUAAUUUUUAAGGUGCAGUUAGAAUUUUUUGUUUUGAGAUGCUAAGAUUAAAAUAUUUCAGUUGCUAAAACAAAAUAUUUGUAUUUAAAAAGGCAUAAAUUAAAUAAUUAAGUUUUUCGAGUUUCCAUUUAAUCAAAGGUUAAAAGGACUAAAUUGAAGCUUUUUAUUUUUAAGAAAGGCUGAAUGACAAAUUGCCCAAAGCCAUGCCCCUAGCUAUACAACUAACUUCUCUAUGAUUAGUCCUUCGUUUGCUUUGGGUGAAAUCUUCCAACUAGCCUCAUCCUUGGUUUUACUUUCCAACAAUUAGUGUAUCACGAGUUUUGUUUUCUUUAAAAAAUAUUUGUGGAUAUUAGGAGAUAAUGAAAAUUAUUUUACUAUGAAAUUUUAAUAAAACUGGAAAAUAAGUAAUUUAUUUUAAGAGGUCGCAAUUAAACGUUAGAUUUCCAAUUUUUAAAUUUUAAUUUUUUUUUGACAAUUGCAUAAUAUUUUGAGUGUUGUAGGAAUGCCAUAAUAUAACCUUCCCUAAACAUAAUCGACUCUUGAGCAUGAUGGAUCCUAGAACUUCUCCUCUAUUCUCGUACCGCAAAUUGCUUCAAGUGUGGGUUCGAACAAUCACAAAUUAAACACAAAACCAGAAAUGAUUUAUUACUUUCAAUAGCAAGGUAAUUCUCUCUCAAUAGAAACCAAUAGAAGUGUAAUUCUUAGAAAAUAAAAUUUAUUUUUUGAAAAUAUAUUCUCACUACUUUCUAGCAGAAUAACAAUAUGUGAAACUUAUGUCUUGUGUUAAUAGCUCUACCAGUACUCUCUAUUUAUAGGGAGAGAUACGAGAAUCCUGGUUGAAUUAGUAAAACACGAAUAAUAUUUAUUUCAUAGAAAACAAUAUUCCACCCUAAGUAGAUCAAGUUUGUAUGACGCAUGGAUCAAAGCUCAAUCUAGGAGGAAAAAAAUAAAGGAAUUUUCUUUGUAAAGAAAAUUUGAGAUUGUACUAUUUUCAAAGUUAUAAAUAAAAUUAUACGCCAAAUUUUUAAGUCAAUUUCAACUCCAAUUUUGUAUGCACAAAUUUCUAGUACACUUGGUGGGACAUUCUUUGACUUUUAUCUAUUCUCUCAAAAAGUUAAAGUUCAAAGUUACAUUAAACUCAAAGAAGAUAAUCAUUAGUAAACCACCUCACAAGCCUGCUCAAACUAAUCCUACAACUCAUUCCACUUCAUCAUCAAACACCAAUGUUCUUGCUUAUCCUUAUGGAAUUAAACAGUCUCAUUUUCUGCAUUUUGGGUACACACCUGGUUUUAUUUGAUGCUAAAACAGUCCCCGAGCACUCCAAAGCCUAUAAUUGAACAAAUAAUACUAAUUUAAUCUUACAUAACAUGAUCCCAAAUUGAACUUGUAUCGAGGUUUUAACCCAUAAGUGACUAAACCUUACCUUCAACCGAGUGAACAGUAAUUCCCACACAAACUAAGACUCCGAUUGAAGAUUACGAGCCAUUGAAUCCUCCCCUAAUUGGCAUAAACAAAACACUUCAAAAGAAAGUCAACAAAUGGAGACAAAUCACUUAUCUAAAACUUACCGAACGAUCACAGACAAACGUGAAGCGACACGAGGCAGAGUGGGAAAAGAAAAAUCAAGAGGAUGAAGGGUGAAAGAGAGCAGAAAUUCGGUAGCAAUGAAGAGAAAAACGGCAAGAAAGUGGAGGGAUUUUGGGGAAAGUAAAAAAAAAGAUGAAUAGAAUAUUUGAUAACUACCCCAAUCCCUUAUUUCUCUCUAUCAAACUCCCCACUAAAUCCACUACUCAAAUUUUUAGUCCAUCUCAAACUCUCCUGGACGCACGAGCAAAAAAUAAUGCCCAUGCCAAAAUUUAAACAAAAGACCUCCUUCACACCAACACUCCACUUAUCCACCAGACCAAUAGGCUCAUUCUUUUAAUUAUUUUCCAACUUUUACUUAAAAGCCUACUGACCAAAGAUAGGGCUUAUUCAUAAAAAUACCAAAUUUUGCCCAAGACCUGGCUUGAACUUGGGACCUCCCAAACACACCCAGAACACAUAACCACUAAAGCAGACAUAAAUUUUGUGUCACACAUUCACAAUACCCAAAAUUAAAAUUUUAGGGCGUUACAAAAACACAUUAAAUAAUAUCGCAUAAAAUAAUCACAGUUAGAUAACAGUUCAGAAUGUCGAUUUUACAAUUUAACCACCAAUAGUAUCACAGUAUUCACAGUUGUAAUUUCAGAAUAUCAAAUUUCCACAUGAUUCACAAUAUUCACACAUAUAUAAAUAUAUCAUAAUAGAAUUCCAGAUUUGUAUGCACAUGAUUUAGAAGAUGCCAUACAAUUUUGGUUUUUAACAGAAUAAAUCCUACCCCACGUUACAUACCAUAAUGGGAGUUCCCCUAAACUCCCUUCUCCAACACACUAGGUUAUGGAUAAACCACUAUUGGUUCACAAAUAAUAACUGUCAUUUGGCUGUGGACACACAGCAAGUCCCCACAAUUGGAUUCUAGAUUUGGUUGUGGAUUCACAGCAAAAAAAUCCUACAAAUGAAGCCUGCUUUUGCCUGUAGAUUAUACAACAUAUACCCGCAGUUGGAAUCUGUCUUUGGCUGUGGAUGCAGUGUAACACCGCAAACUCGACCUGGACAUUAUGGCUGAAUCUUGAUGAUUUACUUUAACUCGCUAGAAAACCCACGAAUUUACUUUAAAAUCAUGUGGUUAAACUAGUGUUCACUUUGAUAAAUUGUUUUCCAGUUUUAGAGAAAUUUCUUGUUAAAACUGUUACUUUAUUACAAUAAAACAUUAAAGUAAUUGUAUCAUUUUGUAGUGGAAUCUACUAAGCUAUAAGGUUUUGAAAAUCGUGAUUUAGUUUGCAACAAAUCAUUUUGCAAAUAGAAAUUUAAUACUACUUAAUUUGGAAAAUCACGCUAAAACGAAAGCAAAGUCCAAAAUAAUUUACGGUUUGAAAUUCUAAAAAGCCCAAAUUAGACAUAAAGUCUAUUUAAACCAAUUUAUUGAAAGUGUAACACCCUAAACCCGGCCUAUAUGUUAUGGCCAAAUCUAGAUGUGUUACGAAAAAAAGUUUAUAAAAUGACUUCCUUGUUAUUGGCAAACCAUCGUAACCAUUAUUACUUAGUAUAUCUGAUUUGUUUGGAAAACUUAUUGAUAUACUUAUUUGAUUUAAAAUCGUUGCUCGCUUAUGCCUUUUUAUUAAACCAAAUAUUUUGCAGCGGAGUUUCUUUACAACAUCAUAUUUUGGAAAAUCAAAUUGUUUCUUGAAAAUCGUUAUUUUAGAAAAGUUUUCAUUUUCAGAAAAAUUAUUUUAUCAGUUGUUAUGCUGAGAAAACAAAAUAAAAUCCAAAACCAAAAAUAAUCGCAAAAAGUCUAGAGAGUCCCAAAAUGACAAUACUCUUAAAACUAGACAAGCUUAAACUAAUUUUAAAAGAAUGAAAUUUUACAGAAAUGUGGACACCACUGAGCUUCCGUCGCACCGACCCACCUAAAUCUGAGGGUUACUUGAACAGAACAAACAAACAGAGAGUGAGUUUUGAAACUUAGUGUCUAACGCAUAUAUAAACAAAAAUUCAGAAUCAAUCUCAUGCAGAACAGAUACAAGUGUAAACCUUUUAUAAAAUUAGAAUUGUACAGAUACAAAUAUGCAACAUCCUACCCUCAUCCUCUACACACCAACUCCGACCAUCCUAUCACACCACGUGGGGUAUAAAAUACCCAUCCAGCCCUACACACCGUAUAGUGUUUAUAUGACACUUUUUGGAAUAAUCGCAGCAGAGUUGCCAGUAUAUAUGCGAGAUAUCACCUCACAUAGAACACUUCCUCCUCAUAAUACAAAUCCCGCCUCAUAGCUAGAUACAGACAAAAUAUGAUGUAAAAUAAAUUAACAGAUACUAGAGUUAACAUAUCACGCGUGAGCGUAUAAUAGAUAUUACACAUGCUUAUGCAUAACAAAAUAGAUCAUACAUAUUGUAUUCCAUAAUACUCAUAUAAAUGUUAUUUACGUCAAUCUCAAUCUAACAGAGUAGCAGAUUUCAUGCUUUAACGCUUAUACCACACAUAUAGACCCUAUAGAAGGCCCACAGUCGAUCGAGACAACAUGUAUGUCGCUAGGGAAAAAAUUUGUAAUUUGGGCCCAUAUACAUGUAUGAGCCCACACACCCAAAAUGGCCUUGCCCAUGUGGCUCACCAACCUAGCACUCAGCCCAUACGGUCCAAAAUGGCCUAGGUCGUGUGUCACACACAGCCGCAUGUUGCACACAGCCUACCACAUAGCCAGUCACAAAACUGUUUGGAGUUGAAAAGCCCAAUUUUUGGCUUUCGUCAAUCAUCAUUUUCUUACGUUUUCAUUACACACCUGGUUUGAUUCUGACGCAAAAGCAACCCUAUGUCCACCGAAACCUAAAAAUAGCAUUCCAACGCCCAAUUUCAGUGAACAUUUACAAAACUCAAACAAAAACUAUCCAAAAACAUAGCCUCACAAUAGCAUCCAACGCACUCGCACACUUAUCGUCAACAAAUAGGAAACACCCAACACUCAAUUCGUUGGCGGAGCACCAAUUAUGAUAAUGCAAAAAUUUUAUGGAUUCUCAACACUAUCGAUCCGAAUGUAAGAUUGAUGCUUUCCAAUUAUGAUAAUGCGAAAAUUUUGUGGGAUGGUUUACAUGAAUUUUUUUUGUUGUCAACGAUCAACGUAUUCAAUAAUUAAAAUAAAAUAUUAGUCGUUUUUAGAAAACCAAGACUAUGAGUGUUGUAGUUUAUUUCAGUAAAUUAAAGGUUUUGUGGGAUGAACUAGAUAAUCAUGAACCAUUGAUUUGUUGCAAGUGUGGACAAUGUUUAUGUAACUUAGGGAAGGCGCAUGAACAAUGUCGUGAGCAUGAUUGACUUCAUCAAUUACUUCUUGCUCUCUAUUGUAAUUGUUAUGCUCAAACUAGGUUUACACUGUUUUACCAAGAUCCUUUGCCUUCCUUAAAUCAGGCAUUCCAACAAAUUACUUAGGAGGAACAUGUACGUGGAAUUACACUGAUUAAGGAAGAGAAGUCUGAUAUUUUAGGCUUUGCUAUGCGUACAGAGGGUCAUAACAAAGGCCGAGCUAAUUGUAUUGAUAAGUCAACCUUGUUGUGCACUCAUUGCCAUCGCAAAAGGCAUGAGAUGGCUACCCAUUUUGAAUUACAUAGCCACUUGGAUUGGCGGCUUAAGAAGUAUGGGAAGCCAGAGAAGAAAAGUGAUGAUCGUGGUGGUAAGACAAGUGCCACAUCUUCCACGUAAGUGUUUUAUUUCAAAGGAUCACAAUUAAACAUUAGAUUUCUCAUUUUUAAUUUUUUUAUUUUUUUAACAGCUACGUAAUUAACGAGUACCAAUUUUGGGUGUUGUAGGGGUUCUAUAACUUUCCCUAUAUGUAAUCGACUCUUGCACCCACUUUUUUUUCUCUAGAAUUCAAUGCAAACCUUAGAUUUAUCUUUUUAAAAGAAUUUUAAAAUCUCUUUAUAAAAGACGAUUUUUUUAGGUGACCAAUCACACUUAAGAAAAACAAAUCGGUGGCAACUCCUUUCUAAUAAAUGUAAAAAACUUUUUAAACAAAAUAAGGUUGAAAUAAUCUAGUUGUCGUUAUACUUUGAUAAAAUUUUAGAUUUAGUCCUUAUACUUAAAAGGUUAAAAAUUAAGUCUUGUUUUUAUUUAAAAAUCUUAGUCCUAUCGUUAAUAUUGUUUUUUUUUGUCAAAAUUUGUCAAGUUGACAUAUUAAUUAGGUUUCUCUUAUAUAUCGUGGUAUAUGACUAACACAAAAUAAACAAGUUGACAAAAUCUACAAAAAAUAUCAAAGAUGAUAAUAGUUUAAUUAAAAUUUUUAAAUUAAAAAAGUAAGGGAUUAAAUUUAUAACUUUUAAAGUACAAUGAAUGAAAUUAUUGAAAUACAAGAACUAACAACAUAUUUUAAAAUAUUACUAGUAAAUUAUAUAUCUACAACAAGAAUUGUAACCUCUUAUAUUAUAUUCUUGUAUCUAUUUUUGCAUCUUUCAUUAUAAUAUGAUUUAUUAAUUUUAAUAUUUUUAUAGAAUAAUAUGCUUUAAAUAGUUUUUUGUAUAAUUUAUAAAAAUUAUAAUAAACUUACAAAAUAAUUUAAUGAUAUUUAAUUAUUAACCAAAAAAAAUGAUAUCAUAUAUAUUAUGUAUAUAUUAAGAUUCCGAAUCAUUAAUUAUAUAUCUACGCAUUAUAAUAAAUUCAUCUUUCAAAAUUUUCCUUAUAAUUAAAGCAUAAAUUAUAUUUAUAAUAUUAUAAAUAUAUUUUAUCAUAAAUAUUCUUUCAAAUAUUUUUUAAUGUUUAAUAAUAAGUUAAUUUAUAAAAUAUUUUUUCAAUAAAUUAAUGUGAUGAGAUCGUUAGGUGCUUGGAUUUGGUGAAGGGGGAUGAAGAGAAAAGGGAUGGAAGUGAAUAAAAAUGUUGAGAAAUCGAAAGGGUUAGCGAGGGAAGCCGCCAUGAAAGGUGGUUCAAUGGAUAUGAACCAUCAAGCUUUUGUGGAUGAUGUUACUCAAGGUUGUUGCAAGUAAAUUAAAAAAUAUUUUUUUAAAUUAUUUUUUUGUUAAAAAACAUUUUUUAUUUUUUAUGUGGCAUGCCACAUUAUCAUAGUAUCAUGUGACAACUUCUGGUGAUUUCUGUCUGUAACAUUAGUCAAAUCAACAGUUAAAUCGUUCAACUCACAGUUUUUGUUAAAUGAAGAGGUCAAUUGGUUUUUUUGGAAUCAUUGAGUACUCAAUUGGUGCACUUUUAUCAUAAAGGCUAAAUUAAUUUUUUUAAUUUGUUAUUGUUGAGGGCUAUAACAAUAAAAAAAUUAAUGUAAAAUGAAAAAAAUGUUAGAGCUAAAUUUGUCAUUAUAACUAAAAUGUAAAACCAAAAUUUUUUGAAAAAUGAAAAAAAUGGAAAAUCACAAAUUCUAUCACUUAUGUUUGCUUAAAAUUAUAGUUUUGGUCACCAAUCUUUUGAAGUAAAUAUAUGGUCACCAAUAACUCACCUUAAAGUUAUACCCCUACGCAAGAAAGGAUUAAAUGACAUUGGAAUACCAUAAAACUUGUAUCUUUUUUUAUUCAUCUAAUACCAUUUUAACAUUUUCAUUUUAAAAAAUUGACAUAUCAUUUUGAAUUUGAUCUUUUUCAUGGUAUCUCAAAUUCAUUUAAUCUUUCCCUCUCUAAAAAAGCUAAUGUAACACAUUAAUGACAUCAUUUCAAACAAAGUUUUAGGUCAAAUUAUUCAUCUAGUCCUUGUAAUUGUUUUUAUAGGUGAAUUUCAUUAUUAUUCUUUUAUUUUCUUAGGCUUAAAUACACAUUUACCCCUAAUUUUAUCCCAUUCUCCUUAAUUGGUAUUUAUGGUUUAGAAAAUUUUAUAAAUAUAUUAUUUUUUAAGAAAUUAUAAGAAGAUUACAAAAAUUCCAAAAUAAUAUAAAAAAGCCAAGGAAAACCUAGAAAUUCAAAAAAAAAAAAAAAACGUCGACAUUGAAUUUGCUGUUUCACAUUCAAUUUUUGGAGAAGUAGAAUUUUCUAACUUAUUUUCCAUCAACUUGACUUCAAUUUUCAAUCACAAUCAAUUGCAUUCAAGAGCACCACAUCUGUUUGGAUGAAACAAACCUCUCAAUUUUAAGAUAAACGGGUCUUUAGGGUUAUAAAUUGAGGGCCUUUUCCACAAUUGCGGGUGAUUCGUUGAUAAUAACCUCAACAUUUCUGUAUCACAUUUCAAUUUUUAAUUUUUAGAGAGAUGAUUGGGUUACAAGACUGGUUUGAAGUGAAGAUAUUUCAAAAGAAGAUCGAAUACUCUACCAAUAGUCAUAAUUUAAAAUUCAGGUUAUGUUUCAUUUCAGCUAAGUUAAAUGUUAAGAUUGAGGUUAAACCUUUUAGAGGUUGCUCACAAAAGGAUCAAACCUUUAUAAAAUUGCCUAAAUGAAGGUUAAACCUUUUAAAAUAGACAAAUAAGGGCCUAACCUUUUAAAAGGUGUUCAAAUAAGGGUUUCUCAAACGUUGUAUAUCAGGUUAUGUGUUUUACUCUAAACACAUCGACAUUUACCUAUUUUUUCUAUAAAUUUGGUUGAAGUGCAUGAAAAAUCCUUAUUUGAGCACUUUUGUAAAGGUUAAUCUCUUAUUUGACCAUUUUGAAAGGUUUGAUCCUUAUAUAAGUAACCUCUAAAAGAUUGAGCACUAAUUUGACAAGUUUGAGAAAUAUCUAAAUUUGUUUUCAUGAAUCAAGAAAUUAAAAAAGAAAUGUUGAGAAAUAUUUUAGAGAUUCUUAGCUUUGACAAGUUCCCUCCACCAUCUCCCUGCCUCCAGUCCCACCUCUUCUCUUAUGCUCCUUCCAGCUUCUUGCCUUUUGUGUGUUGAAAAUUCAAAGGAACAAAAUAUCAACCUACAUCAUAAGGCACGAUCGCCAGAACUUUACUUUCUAGCCUGUCGAUCCGAUCCAAUCCAAUGAAAGAAGAACAAGGAGUCUUAAGAUCUGUCAACUUUAUUUCAUUUUCAUUUUCUUUGUCAUUUUCUAUGUUUCAUGUCGAAUACAAUGAAAGAAGAACAUAGAAAAAUGUGGCCUAUUUAUUUCCCAAUCAUCAUGAAAUUACUUGCCAUUGACUUAGAAUUUUCUCACCAAUUUUCAAGCAAUCUGACAUGAUUUCUCAAUCACAAUUAAUUGAAUUCAAGAUCUUUUUAGAUGACACAAACAUUUCAAUUUUAACACAAACCAAUAUUUCGGUUAUACUUCAGUGCUUGACAAGCACUUUCACAUUUGUGGGAUAAGAACUCUUAACAUUUUAGGAUCACAUUUAAUUCAAUUGCAUUUAAGACCUCAUGGUUUUAUUCUAUAAUUUCAGUCUUAUCAGCCUUUUCGGAAACAAUAAAACGUCGACAUUAAAUUUGUUGUUGAUGCAUUCAAUUUUUUGAGGGGUCUUUGGAGUUAUAUGUGACUUUAGCAUUGACUGACUUUUUUAUAAUUUAUCUUUUAUAAUAAGGUAAAUAUAUUAAUUUUAAUAACAUCGACAUGUUUUUUAGUAGGGUCGAGCAAAACCCAAUUAAAAUCGAUGAUAUUGGCUUAGUUGACUCGGUCAAGUCCAUUAGAUUGAUAAAAUCAUUUUUAAAAUCAGUUAUAAUGGAUAAAGGUAAUUAAUUAUCGAGUAAUGAAAUACAUAAUCAAAUCAAUUGAUUUUGUUAGAAACUAAAAGAAAAAGGGCUAAGCUGAAAAUUGAUUGCCCUUUAUUAAAAUUAACGAAUCUGUCUUUUACGUAUUAGAUAAUAUGAACAUCGCAUAUAUAAUAAGAAAAAUUACGUAUGAUUAUUUAUUAUCAUAAAAGGUUAGUUUAAAUUUAAAGUAAUCUAAUAUGUUUAUUGAACUUCAACUAUUAAAUAAAGUAUAAGCUAAAUAAGUAUAAAUAUUCUAGAAACCAUUUCUAACUGAUGAUAGGCUAAUUCGAUUAAUUUAUAAAAACUAGAUAGUAGGGUUAUAGUCCUCAAACUACACCUAAUUUAAUAACAUUUAUAUUUUUUUUAGCCUUAAACAUUUAUAGUUUUUGUUAAUUUGGUCCUUACUCUUUAAAAUUACAUAAAAAUUGCAAAAAAAUUAAAAAUUAAUUUUUAUCAUGAUUUUAAUAACAUUUAUAUUUUUUUUGUGGUUUGGUAACUUAUCAACUUGACUCUUACUUGUAACCAACUUUUCUAACCUUUUUCGUACCCUUAACCUAAGUCCCGUUACAAUUUCUAAAGACCUCUUGAUUGGUGUAUCAUCUCGAUUUGUUUUUAUAGUGGUGGAGAUUUGUUUUUUGUAGUGGCAUGAUUGCCAGAACUUUACUUUCUAUCCUGUCGAUCCGAUCCAAUGAAAGAAUAACAAAGAGUCUUAAGAUCUGUCAACUUUAUUUCAUUUUCAUUUUCUUUGUCAUUUUCUAUGUUUCUUGUCACAUACAAUGAAAGAAGAACAUAGAAAAAUGUUGCCUAUUUAUUUCCCAAUCAUCAUUCUAACAGGCCGAAUUAGCCCAGGCCCAAACAUUAAUAAAAUGUCCAGAUUACAAAAUAACCAACCAAAAAUUAAAAGCCCAAAAUAAUAAAAUAAAACCCAUUACAUUAACCCAAAACUCCAGCCCAAUUACAUUGAAGCCCAAAAAAAUAGUUUUUAGAAACCCCUAGGGUUUCUGGAACAAUCCGCGCCGCUCCUCCAUCCGCUUCUCCACGCACGCUGCACCUUUCCACGUGCGCCUCCAGCUGGCAGUGUACCUCCAAUGCAACAAACAAAGCAACAAGCAGCAAAAGAAAUGGAAAAACAACAAAAAAAAAAAGAAAGGAGCAACAAUGUAUAACAGAUUGAUAACAAAUAAUAGAAAAAAUAGCAGUAAAUAGGAAAAAAAAUUAAAAAAUAAUGAGGGUAAUUUCAUUUUUUUCUCUGUUUUGGCUAUAAAGAGAGCCGGUCAAAAUCUCUAAAGGGGGAUUUAGAAAUCAAUCAGAAAACAAGUAUUUUGUACCAACAAUUAGAGAAAAAAAAUACAAAAAUAGGGAUUGAAGGUUUUUUUUUCUUUCGUUUCGAUUUAUUUUAAAAUAGCAUAGAAAAUAAAAAGAAGGCUUACCUUGCGACGCCUUCAGAUCCUCUCGAAAAGGGGCUAAAAGGCCCUAUGUGGCACAGAUUUGACCACUGUUCACGGUGGAACCGCAGCGGAGGCGCAGAGGAUUGGCAUCAAUUUAGGCAGGGUUUGAAACCCUAGCAGAGAAAAAAUUAGGGUUGAUAGAUUUUUUUUAAAAAAAUGGCAAAAUGUUGUUUUAAAAAAUUUUGUUUUAAAAAAAAUUGUUGCUUUUAUAAAGGGUGUAAAACGGCGUCGUUUAGGGCAUGUUUCGAUGGCCCCAAAACGGCGCCUUAUAAGGCAACCCCCGACGACCCGACCUGCUCCAUGGGGGAUCCGCGUGGUUUUUGUUAAAUGGGUUAUGUCUAACCCUGGCCCUUCUACUUUUUAUACUUGUUUUAAUUUGAUCCUCUUUUUAUUUAUUUUUAUUUCUUUAAAUUAAGCCUGAUAAUUUUUUUCCAUUACAUUUUAAUCCUUAAUGAAACGGCGCGUUUUAGAGGAGAAGGGAAAAUUACCCUUCUAGUCCCUUCUUGUUAUUCGAGUGUUCAGAAGGGUCCUUUUUUGUUUAUUUUUUAUUUGCCCCAAAAUUUUGUUUUAAAGCUUAAUUUAGUCCUAUUUUGUUAUUUUAGCUAUUUUAUUAUUAGAUUAAUUAAUUUAAUAUUAUUAUUACUGCUAUUAUUUUACCCCUAUUAUUUAUAUAUUUAUUAUUAUAACUAUAUCAUUAAAUCAAUUAGUUUUUACAUUAUUAUUUCCAUUCUGUUUUUUAUUUACUUACUUAAAUACUUUAAAUGCAUUUAUUUUAUUUCUUAUUUUUUUAUGAAAUUUCAAAACUUUAGACUAUUUUUUUGUUACUAUAACCCUAAUUUCAUUCAUUUUAUAAUAGUUUUUUUUUAAAAUAUUUCUUAGAUUAAUUCCCUCGAUGUUAUUUUGUAUAUUUAUUUAUCUUUUUAAAUUUUCGAUAUUGUCUUAUUGUAUUAUUGUUGUUACUAUCAUUAUUCAUUAUUAUUGUUGAUUUUAUUCUUCUUUGAUUAAUGUUUAUGUUAGAGUAAUAGGUGUUAUGUGAUCAUUGUUAUUAUAUGUUAUAAUUUGUUGACACUCGUAUUGUAGUCAUUCGUCAGCUUAAUAUUUUGAGUAACAUUUUAAAUAUUACAUUAAUUUUGACCCAAAUGCAUAAUUUUUUAAUAAGUAAUAUUUCGUAUUGUGGAAUUUGAGAGAUCAUUCCCUAACUUACGGGGUCUCGAUUUUUUUGAUAAAUCUGAAUAUAAGAACUAUUUUAAAAAAAUACGUUUUAAAAUUAUCUCGGGAAUUUAAAAAGAAGCGUGUUCUAACUUACGGAAUAUGAUCUUUUUUUAAAAAUCGAGAUAAUCAAAUAUCUUUCAAAUAAAUAAACUUUUCGUGUUUAUUCUCGUUUUAGGAUUUAAGAUAUUGUGUCCUAACUCACGGGACACAAUUCUUUUUCUCGAUUAACGUGAAAUACGCCCUUUUUAAUUUUAUCUUUUUAAGUGAUUUUAACAAAAGGAUUGUAUUUUAAAUCUCUUCAAAAUUUUCAAUUUUUCGACAUUGAGACAUUAACUAAUCAAUUAGGUACCAAUUUUGGGCGUUACAAGGGUGUUAACCCUUCCUUGUACAUAACCGACUCCCGAACCUAUUUUUCUGAAUAUUAUAGGCCAAAAUUGUUUUAAUAAAUUAAACCCUUAAGAGGUGACUCGAUCACAGCUCAUAAAAAUUAUCGGUGGCGACCCUUGUUUUAAAAAAGGUGGUUUCAACAGCUUGGCGACUCCGCUGGGGACAAAAAUAAGAGUCAAGCCGCGAGUUGAUUAUUUCUUAUCUUUUUGUCAGAAAUUGUGAAUUCGAUUUAAAUUUAUGAUCUUUUCAUUGCAUUUUAUGGUCUGCAUCAUUUUUAUAUGCUUGCUUUACUACUUCGAGUCUUUUAAUCUUCGCAUAUUGUAUUGCAUAACCGUUCGGUUAUACCCUUUUAAGCGGGAGUGAGAAAUUAUUCUUUCGUGAGGUUUUCACCUUCGUAUAGGAUAGUGGAUUACUUUCAGGAUACAUCCAUACCUAUGUCUUCGUGAGAUUCUCAUCUCCGUAUAGUCAUAGGGAAAUGUAUUCCCCUGAACUGAACUCAGUCCGUAUGAGCCUAUAAUGGGUGAGGAUUGAGGAAUCUGCUGGUUCAGGUACCCUUUCUUUAGAACUAAACCGCAUGUAGUGAGCCCUAAGAGCAUACCCUAGGUAGAACCACUCCAAACCCCUAGUGGUCACCCAAAUAGGUGCUCUAUUUAUUUUUGCUUGCUUGUUUUUGCCUUGUACUAACCUAUUUGUUAUGGUUAUGAGUGCAUUGCAUUUUUAUCAUAAAAAAGAUGUGUUGAUUCACGUUCAGUUGCUAAAUAGAGAGCUUGUCAUGGAAAACGAAUUUCUUGAUAAAGUGGAAGACAAUGCGGUUGUCCGGAUAUGGUCCAAGAAAAUGUGAAGAAAGAAGGGUGAUAGUCUAAUGGAGGACUACACGACCUUGCUUUGUUGCCUGAUGAUUCAAGUUGACAAAGAUUAUUCGAGAGUCUUCAAUGUCCCGACCUUUUUAAAGAAGCUAACGAGCGUCACGAGGAUGAGCGAGUAAUGAGUUGCGGCCCGGAUCAAGCAAAAAAAAGAUAGAGGAGACACCCUUUUUGAAGAGUUCACGAGAUUUAUCUUAACAUCUAGACGAAGAAAAAGAUCAAUCUCUUUGCCUAGAGUAUGAGGGCAAAGCCGUAUAUAUCCGCUUUAUGUAAAUAAAUUUGUUUUCUAGUAAAGUUUUUCUAAUAGGAUUGAAUCAGAAUCAACGUCUCUUUUUGCAUUCAUUCCAUUCAUCUGCAUUGCAUUUCAUUGCAUCUAGAAUUUCACAAAAGGACCCUAAUUAAUCGAAAUUGUUAUAGCUACCUUGAAAAACUAACGAAAAUUUACCAAUUAAAUAUUCCUAUGGUACCCAUUGCAAAACUAAAGUAAUGGAUCAAAUAUUAGAAAGAUUAGAACAAAUGCUGAAGGAUAAACAUAACUGCUUUGGCUUAGGGUACAAGCCAGAUACAAGACAAAGAAGAAAUAGGAAAGGAGAACACGUUUGAGCGGGGAUGAGGUCAAAUGGGAGGGAUUAUUCAUCCCAGGCGAAGAAUGCCAAGAGAAGAAAAUAUUGAAAACAUGUUGGGAAACGUUCACAUCAAUGCCAUAUACGAAGAAGCAAUUGAAGGAGUGACCUUGUUAGAUAUCCGCCCUUAUGAACCUAAGAGUGUGCUAAACAAUUGGACUGCAGAAGAAAUUCUUGUAGUGUUUAGAGCUUACUCAUAGUAAUGUUCAGAACACACUUGUUGCUUUUAGCCUAGAAGUGAUAAGAAUCCCUCUGUGAAAUAGGCUCAUGUAUAAACAUCAUUAUUUUAAUGAAGUACAUCUUUGCAUUCAUUUUGAGCAAAUAUUCUUUUAUUCUUUUCAUACGAGUAAUUAUUUUGGAUUCUUUAAUUCUUUUGGGAUUUUCUUCCAAAAUCAUUCUUUUAUUACAUCCAUAAUCAUACUGUACAAAUAAUGUAAUAGCCUGAAUUUUCAGUGGUGUCGGAAUGGUGAUUCAAGAUCACUAAGUCUGACAAAUGAGUAGAAAAUAUUAUUAAUUUAGUAAGAAUAAGUAAAUGUGAAGUUAGGAAAAUUUUUGAAAUAGUGAAUAGUGUACUAGGAAUAAAUAUUAAAAUAAUUAAAAUAAAAAAUGAGGUAUCGAGACCUCGAAGAUUUUAAACCAAGCCAUAAGUACUUUUAGAAGUAUUUUUAGAGUGUCAUUGAGUUGGUAUUAAAGUUUCGUUAGAAAAUUUUAACGCUCGGAUAGUUAAUUAACCAAAAAGGACUAAAUUGAAAAUAGUGUAAAAUUUGUUAAAUUGUGAUUAAAUAGCUUAAGUGAUUAAAAAGGAGGGAUUUAAAAGGCAAUUAGGCCCAAAUUAUAUGGGCUGGACGGUUGGGUAAGAAAAAUCAGCAGAAUGUAAGGAGAAACAGGGGCAAAAUUGGAAACUUAACAAAUUAAACAUAUAAAACAAAGACAAAAGUGAAAAAUCUAGAGAUCUGCUCACAAUUUAUCAGCAAAAAUGCCAUAGGAGGUCUGAAAGAAGCUGGUUUUUCAUAUAUUUGAAUCAUGUAAGUUUAAUUCUUGAUUAUUUCUUCUAAUUUUUGUGAUUUUGAUACUUUUACAAUUAGGUCCAACUAAUUAUUUCAUUAGUUUUUGAUUUCAUGGCUGAUUUUGAAAGUUACCAUUGAUGAGUGUUGGAUUUUUAUGAUGAAUAAACAUGGAAUUAAAGCUUUAAUUUUGUUAUAUGAUGAUUUUAUUAAGUAAUUUUGAUAGAAAUUGAUUUUUGGGACCUAAUUGUGAAAAAGUUUGGAAUUAGGGUUUGGUGUUGCGGUUUUGAAUAUGAAAGUCUAUGUAGUAGUCUAAAAUAGUUGGAAAAGGUGUUAAUUGAGAAAAAUUAGAUCAAUUGAGGGGUUAAUUGAGUAGGACCAAAUUGUAAAAACUGUAAAGUUUGAGGUAAAAGUGUAAUUUCGAAAAUUUAAGGGCAUAAAUUGUGAAGUGAAUUAGAAUAGAAUUAUAUGCUGAUGAAUGAAUAAAUUUGUAUUUUAGAUCGAGAACCCGAAGCAAGCCGAGGAAAAGAAAAAGUAGUUGAUUAGUCCCUGAACUUUUACAAAUUCUGCAAAUCGACCCAGGUAAGUUCAUAUGGCUGAAAUUUAAUGAUUAAAUGUUAAUUUCAUGAAUUAUGUAAUGUAUGAUGAAAUGUAUUUAGUGUUGAAAUGAGAGUAAAAUAAAAAUGCGAAAAUCGAAUAAAUGAUCAAAUUAAGCGGAACGCCGGAUUUGAGUACUUCUGAUCAAGAGACAAAGUGAUAAGUGGUAGCUUUAGCUACACUUAUCUGAUCAAGUGAAAAAGUGAUAAGUGCUACACUUAUCUGAUCAAGAGACAAAGUGAUAAGUGGUAGCUUUAGCUCACUUAUCUGAUCAAGUGAAAAAGUGAUAAGUGCUAUACUUAUCUGAUCAAGUGACAAAGUGAUAAGUGGUAGCUUAGCUACACUUAUCUGAUCAGGGCCAAAUGAUAAGUGAUCAUACGUAAGACCAUAGUUAUACUAUGGCCAAGUGAAAGUGAAGUACUCAAUUUUCCGUAACCGUUCCUUAAUUUUGAUCAAGGAUGGUAAGUGACAAAUAGGCCCAAAGAAAUUAUGGUAAAAGAAUAAGUAGUAGUGAGUUUAUACCAAGGAACUCUCCAAAGAUUGUGGUUGACAAGUAAACUUAGUAAUGGUGUAUAUUGUAUAAGUGUACAAAUGUUUGGUAAGAUUUAUGUUUGUGCCUAUGAACUUACUAAGCUUUUCUAUAAGCUUACAUGUGUGUGUUUAUUGUUUUUCUAGAUUAACGUAUUUAUACAUUCGGAGGAUCGGAUCUACUUCGAGAAUCACACUAUCCAGAUAUACUCCGGUAGAUUUUGUUAAACAACUUUUUGGAUUUAUAUGGCAUGUACAUAGAAUUGAAGUAAAAAGUAAUAGAAUGAAUGACUGAGUAUGCAAAGUAAAUUUGAAUGUGAUGGUUGUGUUAGAUAUUGAAAAAUACAUGUUUUUAGUUUGAAAUGGUUGAUUGGCUGAACUUCGUUAGUAUUCAAGUGAAGUAGUUGAAAUACUGGAAUUGGUUGUGAUUUGAAAUUUGCAGGGAAGGUUAGAUAAAUAUAAAGGGGUUAUAUUGAUUUUUUUUAAAAAUUUCAAUGGAAUAAUUUUUGGACAGCAGCAUUGAUGUAACUUUUAAAAAUCACCAAAAAUAGUGGAAAUAGAAUUAGAAGUUGAAUGAGAUAUGAAAUUAAAUCUGAAUGAGUCUAAUUUCACAUGAAAGAAGUAGAAUAAGAAAAAGAGUUAUAUAUUUUUAGAUAUUUGAAUUUUAGUGAAACAGGGCAAGAAUGUUUUUGAAGUCCCCUGUUCUGACUUUAGAAAUUUAGUAAAAAUUGUACAAAAGGAAUUAUGAAUUAUAAUUUAUAUGUUUAAAUUCCGUAAUGAGUAUAUUUUAAGUAGAAAUAAUUGGAACCACCAUAUGAAGUCUUUGCAAUGAGAUAAUUGAAUUUUAGCGACAAGAGGUCAGGAUAGUCAAUUAGUGAAAUAGGGGAGACUUCAACUAAUAAACUGUAUUAAUUUGCUAAACCAAAAAUUCUGAAAAAUUUAUGGUGAAUAUACAUAUGAGUCUAGUUUGAGGGAAAAUUUACGGAUCUAAAUUUUUAGUUUCGUAUCUUGAGUUAUAAUUAUUUUAGUGACUACUGCGCAUGUGGACAGCUUUGUUGUGAAUGGUGAAAUUAAUUUUUAAAGUAAAUUUUUAUGCCCCGAACUUUUAAGUUCAGUCAAGUAACGCCUUAUGCUCGACUCCGGCAACCGUCUUGGGUAAGGGGUGUUAUAAAUAAUUAUUCUUAAAUUCAUACAUUCUUUGUAUAUUAUUUUGUACCUACAAUAGGUCCCUAGAUAUUAACAACAUGAGUGACGUUGCUACAGACUCAGAAUUUCCUUUUAAACAAGACAUGUGUUUAGAGGGAUCCCAUGGCUUUGAAGAUGACGUAGACUGUGGCUUAUCUCUGAAUUUGUUAAGGAUGGUAAAACAAGAGGAGAAGCAAAUCCUACCUCACAAGGAAUCAAUGGAAAUUGUGAGCUCAGAAGGGGGAAAAGAGGUGAAGAUUGAGACUAACAUUGCCACAAAGACAAAGCAUGACCUCGUUGAGUUACUCCAAGAAUUUAAAGAUGUCUUCGCAUGGUCAUACCAGGAUACUCCCGGGUUAAGUACUGGCAUUGUAGUACACUACCUUCUUAUAAAAGAAGAUUGCAAGCCAGUUUAGCAGAAACUCUGAAGGAUGAUGCCUGAUAUUGUGCUAAAAAUAAAAGAAGAAGUUAAAAAGCAAUUUGAUGUUGGGUUCUUACAAGUGGUUAAAUAUUCAGAAUGAGUAGCCAACAUCGUCUCAGUCUCUAAAAAAGAUGGGAAAGUACGAAUGUGCAUAGAUUACAGAGACAUGAACAAGGCCAGCCAAAAAGAAAAUUUCCCAUUGCCUCACAUUGACACUUUGGUGGAUAAUACAGUAGGCUACUCACUGUUUUCCUUCAUGGACGACUUCUCUGGAUACAACCAGAUAAAGAUGCAUCCCAAAAACAUGGGAAAGACUACAUUCGUGACCCUAUGGGGAAUGUUUUGCUAUAAAAUGAUGUCAUUCGGAUUAAAGAAUGUGGGAGCGACGUAUCAAAGGGAAUGGUAACCUUGUUUCAUGACAUGAUGUACAAGGAAAUCGAGGUUUAUGUUGGCGAUAUGAUUGCAAAAUCCAGAACAGAAGAGGAACAUGUGUAGGCCCUAAGAAAAUUAUUCUUAAGACUGAGAAAGUUCCAGCUCAAGCUUUCCAACGAAAUGCACAUUCAGAGCUAGGUUAGGAAAGCUGUUAGGCUUCACAGUUAGUGAAAAAGGAAUCGAGAUCAACCCAGAUAAAGUCAAGGCGAUACGAGAUUUACCUCUACCAUGCACUCAGAAGGAAGCUCGAGGUUUCCUAGGAAGACUGAAUUACAUUGCUCGAUACAUUUCACAACUAACCGAAAAAUGUGACACCAUAUUAAAAUAAAAAUAGAUUAAAUUGUAAGUAAAACAUAAUUUAAACAUAUGAAUACAUCAAAUUAAUAAUACUAAAUGAAUACAGUUAUUUAUGAUGAUGUUGUUGCCAAUUCCUAAUUUGGUGUCUAGUUAAUUUGUGACAUCAUAAAUUUAAGUGAUAAAUUUAAGGUUUUAUGUAUUGAUGUGGAUUCAAAUAUCACCAUAAUUUUUGUAAAUAAAAAACUAAUAAGAUAACUUAUAUUAAGUACGAAAGGGUAUUUUUAUAAUUUCUCUAAUCGAGUUGGUGCCCGGUUGACUCAUGACACUAACUCAAUCAGAAGCUUUAAUAAUAAUAUAGAUAUUCAUGUUAAAAAAACAAAAAAAAAGUACUUUAGUUCCAAAUAAUUAUAUAACAAGUAAAUUUAUAAUUGAUGAAUAAAUUUAUAAAUAAUAUAUUUAUAUGAUCUAAUAUAUUAUAUUUAUAUUAAUUAUAUAUCAUCUACAAACUUUGAAGAUCAAUUUAUUAAGUAAAAAUGAAAUUGUUAACACUAAAUCAAUUUUUAGAUUUUGUAUAGAUGAUUUAGUGAUGAUAAAAACAUUAUUAACACUAUUUUUUAAUUAACAAAAAAUUAGUGAUAUAUUUAAAUUAUAUUUAUCAUUUAUUAUUUUUAAUAAUAUUUUUUAAUUAUAUGAAGUAAAAUUAUAUUGUAUACUAAAUAUGGUACAUAUACUCUAAUUAUAACUUGAAAUUUUAUUAUAUAAAUUAAUAUAAAUUUGAAUAACAAAAUAAAAAAAAACUAAUUAGAAUAAUUUUAAAAAACAUUAUUUAAAAGUAGUUAAAAAUCACGUGCAACAGGUGAGAUCAAUGGUCUUUAGAGAAGAAAUGUUGAAGAUCAAAGUUGGAAUCUGGCCUAUAAGGCCUUUAAUUGCUUUAAUAUUAAGCAGUUCCAAACCAAGAAGAUUACCGAUUUCCUCAGGAAUUUGACCUGCACACAUGGUCGAAAAAUCAAUGUGUCAAACUACCUAUUUUGUUAGCAUAAGUCAAAGAGGUUUUCUUUUCUAUUCUACAUAAUUUGCAGAUGUUAGAUUUUAAUAUUUUUAAGCAUAUUUGUUUUCAUCAAAUUAACUAUUUUGAACUAUUUUGCCUUGAAUGAAAUAAAAUGCUCUUACUUUUGUUAUCUAUUACUAAUCAAACUCUUUUAUAAAAAAAAUACUUUAAACUAAAGAAACCAAGAAAAUUCAAUACCUUCUAGGUUAUUCAACCCCAAAUAUAAUUCUUUGAGUCGUGUCGGAUUUCCAAUACUUCUUGGAAUGAUCCCCAUCAAUUGAUUAUAGGAAAAUGACAAAAUUUUAAGGUUGUUGCAUUUGCUUAUACUUGACGGAAUGUUACCAUAUAAUUCAUUCCGACUCAAGUAAAGCCCUUCAAGCUUGGAAAGAUGUGACACAUAUCAUUAGGCAAGCUACCUGAUAGGCUAUUGUUGGAGAGAUCAAUGGCCUUCAGAGAAGAAAUGUUGAAGAUCGAAGUUGGAAUCUGACCUGUAAGGCCUUUAAUUGCUUUAAUAUUAAGCAGUUCCAAACCAAGAAGAUUACCGAUUUCCUCAAGAAUUUGACCUGCACACAUGGUCGAAAAAUCAAUGUGUCAAACUACCUAUUUUGUUAGCAUAAGUCAAAGAGGUUUUCUUUUCUGUUCUAUAGUAAUUUGGUGAUGUUAGAUUUUAAUAUAAUUCAGCACAUGUUUUUCAUCAAAUGAAAUAAAAAGUUUUUCCUUUUGUUAUCUAUUACAAAUCAAGCUCUUUUAUUAAAAAAAUACUUUAAAUUCAAGAAAUCAAGGAAAUUAAUUACCUUCUAAAUUAUUAAACCCCAAAUAUAAUUCCUGGAGUCGUGUUAGAUUUCCAAUACUUCUUGGAAUGAUCCCCAUAAAUUGAUUAUGGGGCAACAACAAAUUUUUAAGGAUGUUUCAUUUGCCUAUGCUUGACGGAAUGUUACCAGAUAACUCAUUGCUAUGCAAGUGAAGCCCUUCAAGCUCGGGAAGAUGUUGACACAUAUCAUUAGGCAAACUACCUAAUAGGCUAUUCCUGGAGAGAGCAAUAGUCUUGAGAGAAAAAUGUUGAAGAUCGAAGUCGGAAUCUGAUCUGUAAGGCCUUUAAUUGCUUGAAUAUUAAGCAUUUCCAAACUAAAAAGAUUACCGAUUUCUUCAGGAAUUUGACCUGCAGACAUAGUCGAAACAUCAAGGUGUUAAAUUUCCUAUUUUGUUAGUGUAAAUCAAAGAGGCUUUUUAUUUUUUUUCGUUAUGAAAUAAUAUGGAUAUGUUCGAUUCUAAUCAUAUUUAAGUAUAUAUUAGUUCUUGAAAGAAUGAGUUCUUAUUUUUGGUAUUUAUAUUGCAAAUAUAUAUUUUUUUAAAUUUAAAAGAAGGGAGGGGGCAAAUGUGUUUAAACUAAAGACAUCAAGGAAAAGGCAUACCAAGUAUAAUUGUUUAAGUUGUGUCAAAUUCCCAAUGCUUUUUGGAAUGAUCCCACUAAAUUGAUUAAUAGACAAUUCCAAAAUUUGAAGGUUGCAGCAUUUGUCUAUACUUGAUGGAAUAGAACUUGAUAAUUCAUUUCUACUCAAGUAAAGCUCUUUCAGCUUGGGAAGAUGGACACACAAAUCAUCGGGCAAGCCACCAGAAAGACUAUUAUCACAAAAAUGAAUCCUUUUCAAAGAAGAAAUGUUAAAGAUGGAAGAUGGAACCUGGCCAGAUAAUUGAUUGAAUCCCAAGUUCAAGAUCUCUAGAUUGGACAAGUUGACAAGUGUUUGAGGGAUCGUGCCUGUGAAGUUAUUAUUUCUCAUUUCCAACCUUUGAACUCUGUGCAAGUUCCCAAGCCAUGGUGGAAUUUCCCCAUUAAGACGGUUGUAGCUUAAUCGAAUGAUCCUCAAACGAUGCAAUUGGCCUAAUUCUUUAGCCAGAUGGCCGUAGAAAUUGUUGUUGCUCAAGUCGAUAGAAAAUAGAAAUGAAAGAUUUCCAAGGUGUGGAGGGAUAGUACCCCUAAGAUUCAUGUUUGUAAGAUUAAUCAAAGCUACAACUCUUUCAUGGAUGAUGCCACAAGAAACACCAACCCACUUACAGACAGAGGUAGAGUUCGUCCAAUUGUUUGCCAACACAUUUUGAGGAUCGACAAUGCGAUCUUUAAACUCAAAGAGUGCAAACUGAUCGGAGUUGAGAUUCCGGACUGUCAUAGCCAAGGAAACAAUAGAACAUUGUAUGAAUAAAAGUGAAAGAAGAUGAAAGCAAGUGUUGUAGUUCAUGAUGGCAAGACGAAAUAAGCCAGGAAAAGGGAAGUUGAAUUGAUGAAGAAAUAGCCAGCCAACAUGCUUAAAUAGGCUUCAACCCUUGCACACUUCUCAUACAUAAAGUUCGCUGCCAUUACAACAAGAAAACUCAUAUCUCCAUUCGUACCUAUCCAUACUUUAUUUGACUAACUUUUCCCUAACAAGUGUUCAGUAAGGAGAUAAAUCAGUUUGGAGCUAUUCACCGGCUUCUCCAAUCUUGGUUUCAAACUCCUAACCCAUCAAUUCACUUUAAUUGAAACGAUAUACACGAGUCUUUCGGCUUAUAUUUUUAAUUUAAUUUUUGUUACUUUUCAUAAUAUUUUUUGAGAAAUCCAAAUAUUCCAGUCUGAAAUUUCUUCAUUGCCACGUCUAUCUCCUGGGUAAGUCCGUGGUUAGGCAGCCCACUUUGGGAGCAGGAUUGUAAUUGUAAUUCUAUCCGACUCAUUUUACUAUUUAGAAAUAUAAAAGUAAUAUUAUAUUAUUUUUUAUAUUUUUAUAAAUUUAAUUUUAAUUAUAAUUUUUAAACAAUAAAACGAGUCAUUUGUAUUUGCCUAGUCUAAAUUGAAUCAGGAGUCAAAAAAAUUUUAAUCAUAAUUUACUAUUAUUUUAAUUAAUUAAAAUUUAACCUACUACAACUAGUAGUUGCAGAAAAAAUGUCAUUCCUUUAGAAAAACGAAAAUCCUUUAGAAAAAUGAGAACUUAUGAAGCAUUCAAUAAGAGUCAUUGGAAUAAAUGGUAACGAAAUCAUAAUUCAAUAUAAAGCUAAAAAAUGUACCAAUCUAUAUAAAUAAUGUAAGAUUUGUGAUACCUAAAUUAUUAUAUUUUCCAUAAAUAUAUGAAGAUAUUUUAUUAGGAAAUAAUUUUAUAUAUAAAAUUUUUUAUUUUCUUUUGAUAGAAAUUUAAUUAUGUUAUCUGUAGAAAAAAAUAUUUAUAGAAAUAUUAUUAGUAGAAAAUCAUAAAUUUGUGUGUGGCAAAAAAAAUUCACCACCAAGAAAGGGGCAAAUUAAACAACUUGAAACAAGUCAUUGGUUGUUUAAAAUAUUAGAUAAUAAUUUCAGUGAAGAAUCAUUAAAAUUAUGACAAAAUAACCCUAGAUAUUGUAGUAUUAAAUUGGAAAAUCUCAAUAAUAUUAUUAGAGUAAAACCUAUGAUCUAUCUAAACAAGAUAUAGAAGAUUUUGAUAUACAAAUUAAGGUUAGAAAUCAUGCGGAAAUAAAAAAGAAAAAAAAGCUAGUAUGGUCAUUAAUUAUAAAAGAUUAAAUCAAAAUAUUAUUUUUUUAUAGUUACUUGAAUUAAUCAGGCUAAACAAACAAAAUAUUUUAGUAAAUUUGACUGCAAAUCAGGAUUCUAGCAAAUCAUGAUAACAGAAAAGUCCAAACCUUUAACGGCUUUUAGUGCACCCAAUGGACAUUACCAAUGGAAAGUGAUGUCAUUUCAAUUAUGUGAUGCACCACAAAUCUUCCAAAGACGAAUGGAUUUUAUAUUUAAUAAAUAUAAAAAAAUUCUAUGUAGUCUACAUAGAUGAUAUUUUUUAUAUUUUUAGAUACACUAGAAUUACAUAAGAAACAUUUAAAUAUUAUUUCUUAAGAAUUCAUAAAAUAUAGAAUCAUAUUAAACCCUAAAAAUAUAGAGUUAGAAAAAAGAGAGAGAAUUUUUAUAAUAGUGGAAAUAAAAAAUUGUCCUCAAAAGAUUGAAGAAAAAAAGAACUUCCAACAAUUUCUAAUAUAUUCCUCCCAAAUUUUCAGUUUCAAUUUUAUUACAGAAUUUCUUUGCCGACAAUAAGAAAUUAAGAGCGCUCUUUAAGUUGAAUAUAGUCCGUCAGAUAUGGCUAUCUAUAACAUGGAACCUUUGGUUUUCAAGCUGAAUAGGAGAAUUGAUUCACUUGAUAAGUAUGAAAAAUUGAAACUGCUAAAUUUAAGUGCACUAACUCUGGAUAUCAUCAUUAUUUUUCUGUACAUUAAAGUACCUGUUUGAUAUGCGAUUUCUGCCUCAAACUAUCAACAUCUUUAACAUCCUUUUGCUAUAGUUAGCAUGGGUACUUCCUUUUAGAUUAACAGUUAGGUUUGAACUGUGAAUUAGAUUUCUGUGGCUGCUGGGAUUGAAGAAGUUAGUAUGCGAAUGACAUUGGACAAAUUUGGCAAAGUCUUCUCCAUCAGUGAAGAAAACCCCUUGGCGUAUGAAAAAUGUUCACCAUCUUAGACAUUUGUUUUCUUAUUGUAAGAAUAUUUUUAACAUUGUAACUUUUAACAUUAUUGUAAGAAUAUUUUGAAUUAUACUUCAGUUAUCAAUUUAUAUCAUAUAUCUUUUGUUGAAUUUGAAGUAUAAUUUAUAUUUGCUGUUUUUGGUUAGAUUUCAUGCUAUAGGAAGGGUUGUAUAUGGAUAGAAAUUGAAUGUUACAAAUCUGCCAAAGUUAGUGGCGUUUUUUCAUAAGAGCUGCUAAAGAAUGCUAUUUUUGGCGGUGUUUGUAAUAAAAGAGCCGCUAAAGGUCAUGUUCUUUAGCGAUGUUUGUGGGUAAAGCGCCGCUAAAGAUCAUGUUCUGUAGCGGUGUUUGUGGAUAAAGCGCCGCUAAAGAACAUGACCUUUAGCAGCGUAUUUUCACAUAAACGCCGCAAAAUUUAGCGGCUUUGUCUAUAGCGACUUUUUUUGCAGCGCUUUAAGUUUUAGCGGCGCUUUUAGGCCUAAAAAAGGGCCGCUAAAAGCCUGUUUUGCUGUAGUGAGCAUAUUUACAUUUUCGUCCCAAUUUCAACUAACACCCCAUCUAUUUCCCACUUCCCUUUUUCGGGCAAUUUCAACUAACACCUUCAUAUCAAACAUAACUAUUUUUCAAUUUUUCUUCUUUAUUUCAUUAAUAAAAUUAUCAAUCUAUUUGUUUUUAAAUAUAUAAUUUCAUUAAUAUUUUUUAAAUUAUAAUAUAAGAGUUGUUGUUUAUUUAUAGUUUUAUUACAUUAUUUACUCUCUCUUUUCUAUCAAGUUUUUUAAAUUAUAAUAUAAGAUUUAUUUUAUCAAUUUGUGGCUUAUCCAGUAUUCAUCUAUUUUAAUAAUAACUUGAGUUCCAGUCAUUAUCAUACCAGAAAGAGUUCCAUUUAUUCUUUAUCGUAAAUUUUAUAAAAAAAUAUACAUUUUAUUAUAAUACUAUAUGUGUUACGAAUAAUAUUUUAUUGUGGAUGCCCAUAAUUUUCAAAGUUGUAACCUCUAAUGUAGUAACCUUAAUGAAAUUAUGAGGCUUUUAUAUUGUAAUCAAGCCUCUAUUUAUUCUUUGUAACUUAAACAGAAGCAUAUUUUCUAUUAUAUUGAUAUUUUUUAUAGAUAUAUAUAUAUAUAUAAGGAAUCAAAUAAAAAGUUAUUUACCUUUCUAUUAUAUUGAUAUUUUCUAUUUGAUUUGUUCUUUUCUUUCACUAUUCCAUAAUAUAUUAUCAGUACGAUUUUAACCAAGAGUAACAUGUUAUUAGAUUGUGUCAAAAUUUUGUUGAGAAUCAUUAGAUUGUUUCCUUUUUCUUCUAUUUAGCCCCAAAUUGCACCCCUACACAAAAUUCAACAAAAACAUGGAAAAAUUAGUGGUGCACUCUCAUAAAUUAACCAAUUUAAUUACAUAAAAUAUGUAACUUUAGCAUUUUAUCAAUCAUGUUCUUUAGCGGCAUUUGUGGGUAAAGCGCCGCUAAAGGUCAUAUUCUUUAGCAGCGUUUGUGAUAAAAGUGCCACUAAAUAUCAUGUUCUUUAGCGGCGUUUGUGGAUAAAGCGCCGCUAAAGAACAUGACGUUUAGCAGCAUUUUUUUACAUAAACGUUGUAAAAUUUAGCGGCGUUGUCUAUAGCGACGUUUUUUGCGGUGCUUUCAAAUAGUUUUAGCGGCGCUUGUAGGCCUAAAAAAAUGCCGCUAAAAGUCUGUUUUGCUGUAUGAGCAUAUUUACAUUUUCGUCCCAAUUUCAACUAACACCCCAUCUAUUUCCCACUUCCCUUUUUCGGCCAAUUUCAACUAACACCUUCAUUUCAAACGUAAUUGUUUUUCGAUUUUUCCUCUUUAUUUCAUUAAUAAAAUUAUCAAUCUAUUUGUAUUUUAAAUAUAUAAUUUUAUUAAUAUUUUUUAAUUAUAAUAUAAGAGUUUUUGUUUAUUUAUAGUUUUAUUAUAUUAUUUACUCUCUUUUUUCUAUCAAGCUUUUUAAAUUAUAAUAUAAGAUUUAUUUUAUCAAAUGGUGGCUUAUCGAGUAUUCAUCUAUUUUAAUAAUAACUUGAGUUCCAAUCAUUAUCAUACCAGAAAGAGUUCCAUUUAUUCUUUAUCGUAAAUUUUAUAAAAAAAUAUAUAUUUUAUUAUAAUACUAUAUGUGUUAGGAAUAAUAUUUUAUUGUGGAUGCCCAUAAUUUUCAAAGUUGUAACCUCUAAUGUAGUAACCUCAAUGAAAUUAUGAGGCUUUUAUAUUGUAAUCAAGCCUCUAUUUAUUCUUUGUAACUUAAACAGAAGCAUAUUUUCUAUUAUAUUGAUAUUUUUUUAUAGAGAUAUAUACAUAAGGAAUCAAAUAAAAAGUUAUUUACCUUUCUAUUAUAUUGAUAUUUUCUAUUUGAUUUGUUCUUUUCUUUCACUAUUCCAUAAUAUAUUAUCAGUACGAUUUUAAUCAAGAGUAACAUUUUAUUAGAUUGUGUCAAAAUUUUGUUGGACUUCAAGUAUUGGAAUUUAAUUGUUUAAGUUAAGAAUCAUUAGAAUCAAUGGCUAUUUGAGAUAUGCUUGAGGAUGAUCUCAUUCUCUUCAUCACAAAGGUGGAGGUUAGAAAAUCUUUAUGUUUAAACAUUUAUAGCUUUAAAGUUAUUUUAACCUCUUAUUGUGACCUUAUAAUAUUUUGUAAUUUUUUGUAUUAUGGUAUAUAAAAAAAAUCUAACCAUAGUGAUUGAUUAGUAAUAUGAAUUUGUUAUUUGUUAUGUUUAAUAUAUAUUUUAUUUAUACUUAUUCAUUUUAUUUUUAUAUGAGUAAAUGAAGUGUUUGAAGAUUCGAAAUUUUUAUCAUCCAAGUUGAAAAUAAGUGCAAAAGUGUACAUUAUUUAAAAUAAAUUACGCAUUCAUUAAUGUUAUAUGAUAAAAUCAUUACAUGUUCUAAAGAACUAAUAUUGCAUCAAACUGUAAAAAGCUCUUGAAGAGUUAAUAUUUUACCUCCUUGUGAUACAAAAUCAUAUACAAUAUGAUAUUAUUUUUCAAAUCGAGUAGAUAUAUGUUGAGGGAAAUCUUUAUGUGGUUUACAUUAAAACCAUGGAUAGAAAUGACAUGAGAUACUCGUGUAUUUUUAUUAUAAAUAUUCCUUGAAGGAAGACACUUCACUUGUAUGAUUGACAUAUGAGAUAGUGGCAAGAAGUUCAUAGUGUUGGUAUGGUCGUCUAGAUCAUCUCAAAUCAAUAAUGAUGCAAAAUAAUUUGAAGAGAAUUUAUAUGAUUUUAUUGAAGAAUGAGAAGAUAUUUUCAUUUUGAUAAUUGUCAUCAAUACUAGUUCUUUGGAAAAAAAAUAUUGAACUAACAUAAAGUUAGAGGUUGGUUGCAUUUUUUGAUGAUAUCCAAAUAAUAUAUGAGCUCAUGUAUCACAUGUAUGCAACCCAAAGUUUACAGUAUUAUUUCUUGAAAUAAUUUGAUUCUACACAAUCUCUAUAGUAUGCAAUUUGUGCUAACAACGUUGGUGCAUUAUAUCCUAAGCUUGAUUUUCGUAGUUUUAGCUGAGAUAAUAUUAAGUUGUCUAUGCCUAUAUAUGUUAUACUUAAUGGUUAGCAAAAUUGUGCCUCCAUUUAAUUGCUUAACCAUUAAUAUAAGAAUAACUUUAAAAUAAGCAUGUAAUUUUAUUUGCAUAGAGUCAACAUGUAAGAAACAUUUGCCCCAUGAGAAUUGGCUUUCAUUUAUAAGCCAAUAGGUUUCAUAUGACUAUUUGGAUGUAAAAUAUCUAUUUUAUAUUCCACCAUAAUGCACUAAGAUGGUCCAUCAAGUAUGAAGUUGAGAAAAUUUAGAAUUUUUAUUUGAUGGUAAAAGUUGAAAAGAGAUAUAUACUUAUAAUUUUGAAAAAAAUAGUCAUGUUGCAAAUUUUUCUCAAUAUUAGGGGGAGACAAGUUGGACAAAUAAGGAUAAUUAUGUCAUCACUUUUUGUGAUCCCUCACUAAUAUUAUGUGCACAAAGUUUGAAGGAAAAAAGUAUUUGCUAGACAUGUUUAGUGAUGACACUUAGAGAUUGUAUAUACUAGAUGAUACAUAUACCAGCUAAAAUGUUCCAAAUAAUUAUGAGUCCUAGAAGGACAUAGUGAUAAAAAUAAUUUUUGGGCACGCUAGAAGGAUAAAAAACUAGUUCAUUCUAUAAAUCAAAAAAUUCUUGAAAGAAAAGAGUAAGAAAUGAAGCUGGCCACACAUUAAAGGAAACGAGUACUCAUGAAGAGACCUAAGGCAUAACUUUUAAUAAAACCCCAAAAGAGGUUCAAUACAUGGAAUUAUGAAUAUAAUAAGAUAUCUCGAUUAGUUAUAUCAUAACUAAAGAUGAUGGGGUUGAUAAAAGGAAAUUGUUGUUAACAACGAUAAUCUAAGUAGAACAUUUCAAUAUUAUGGUAAAAUGAGUAUUUUGAAUGAAAAUAUACUUGAAAGUAUUUAGAUGGGAACAACUCAUCAAAAUAAAUAGACGUUUCUAUUAUAACUUAUGAAAUGUGUCUCGGACAUGAAGUCCAAACAUUCGACAGGUGUAAAGCCAAGUGGAGUAUAUGUUAGCAUAAUAGUGAAAAAAUACAAAUCAUAAUAUAUAAAAUUGACUUGUAAGACAAACUUUCCCAAGACACUUGAUUUUGAUUAUGAAAAAUGAUUAAUUUGUGAUCUUAUCAAUUGAACAUACUUUGUAUAAUCAACAAAUUAUUAAUUAACCUCAUUUAACCAAUUUCCUUCAACACAUUUCAAAUCAAAUUAAUGUGUUGAGCACGCCCUUAACCCUUUUUCUUGAUUCAUUGCAUAGUCUAUUUCCAAGUACCAUAAUCAUCAACAUUUCAAUAUAUAAAGUCAUAACAUAAUGAAUCAUAGUUAGAAUUUUUUUUACCCUAUUAACCAAGUAUGGAACAAAAAUAAAAACCUAAUUUGUCAAGCUCAUUCAAUCAGCUUAUAUAUUAUAAGAAGAGCCUAAGUAUAAAUCCUAUACAUGAUUUCAAAUUCAACUAUUUAUAUUUGAGAUUCAAUUUAAAAUUCAUACUGAAAUUAUCAAAUUAACUCGUAAGCUACUCACGCUAAACAUUAAGGUACUCGAAUUCAAGUGGCUAGAUAUCAUAAACACUUUUAGCUUGUAAAACUAUUUCUAAGGGUCAGCCCAGAAUCAUGGUUGAACCCAAAAUCUGGUAACAAAAAUUUAAUUGAGCCAUCAGCCUAAAACAAAUAAGGCUUAAAAGGUUGGCACCCGAACAAUCAAAGAUAAACACCACCAUAUGCCACUCCCUGAAUCCGAUACAUACAAUAACACCCUUCACCACUUUUAUUCUUCUCCUUUUUUUUAACCUCAAUUUGGAUGGUCGCAUUUCUCUUUUUAGUGCUUUAUAGGGUUUGGGCUUUCAGAAUCCUCAGAGAUGCAAUUCAUGGAUCCCUCUAAGAAAUGCAAGCUUGAUGAAAAUGGUAUUAUUUCAACGGCAUCAGAACCUGACCCAAUCACCAAACUAACCCCACAAGAUGGCCGCAAGCUAAUCGAGCAAUUUAUCGUCGAUCAACUCCUUGACGUCCUCCAAGAUGCUGUUUGUUGUCACCUUGAUGUUCUUUCCGCCGUACACUCUAUUGCCGAUCAAGAUCCAUCUCAAAGGAAGCUUUUCAUCCGUGGUUGGGUUGGGAUACUACAACCCAACCCAACCCACAUUAGCAUACUACCAUGCGGUAACUUCUAGUGAUUUCUGUCUGUAACAUUAGACAGGUUAACAGUUAAAUCGUUCAACUGAAAGAUUUCUUUGAAGGAAGAGGUCAAUUGAUUUUUUUUGGAAUCAUUGUGUACUCAGUUGCAUUUAAGACGGGUAUCAUUCAUAAAGUAUAUAUCUACAUCAAGAAUGGUAGCCUCUUAUAUUAUAUUCAUGUAUUUAUUUUGCAUCUUUAAUUAUAAUAGGAUUUUUUUUGUUUAUUUAUAGUUUUAAUUAUAAUAUUUUUUAAAUAUGCCAAAGUAAAUUAUGUACCAAUUUUAAACUUCUCCUAGGUAAUUUAACGUAAGGGCAUUUAUGUUAUUUUACCACUUAUGAUAAAACUAACCUAAUUUUAGAUCUAAGUGUUUACCAACCUUCUUUUAGUCAAAUUAUGCAAGCCUAAAAUUUUUAGCUUAAUUUGAGUUUGUUUACUAUGUCUAAUUCAAGUUUUAUUAUUAAGAACUAAAUUGUAACUUAAACAAAUUAGAAUACCAAUUUAAAGAGACAAAAAUUCAAAGCCCCAAAACCCACACGGGCAUGUGGGUAAGUGACACAGGCGUGUGGAAACUGGAGCUAUCACACACGGGUGAGUGGGACUGAAAAAUAUGAAAUAAAUUAAUCCAUUUAAAUUUCCAACAACCAUGCUAUACUACCAAACCAAAUAAUGUUAGAAGCUUUGAAUAGGGGCGAAUCUUAAAAAAAAAUAGAAGAAUUAGAAUUAAAUUAUAAAAUUUUGAGAAGUUGUCAUGUAUUAAUUUAUUAUUUUUUAAAGGGUCUUAAUAGAUUUUUUUUCCCCAUUUUGGUUUGGCCAAUACCCCUGUCUGCCUCUUUCAAUUUGCUUCAACCCUUAGCCCAAUAUUCGAUUUGUUGUGGAAGUUUGACGCAUAAAAAUUCCUUUUUUAGAGGUUUAAAUUAUAAAUUUUUAUUAACAAAAUAUAAAAGAAAAAAACAUGUGUAGACAAGCCAAGAAACCUUUGGGAUCAUACAGGUGAUUUUGAGAUGUUCAUGGUUAUUUUGGUGGAGAGGGUAAAAAAGAAACAAAUGAUUCAUUAUAUAUGAUAUAAUUAUGAAAUUCAAGCCAUAUAUUGUAUGUUUCAUCCAUACAAAUUUCUUGUAGCAUUAAAUGACUCGUAGGCUUGCUGAAUUUCUUUGAAAGGCCCAAAGGCAAUUUAACAUUCACAAAAUAAUCUCUAAAUAGUGUAAAGACAAAUCAAAUCCACAGUAGCAUUAGAGUUGAUUAAGCUAAGCAUUGGCAAAUAUUACUUUGAUUUUGCAUGCAAUAUUGGCAAAACCCCCUCUUACAUUAGAAAAACAACAUAAUCCAUGAAACAUUGAUAGCCCAAUACAAAUUUCAUCGAGAAAAAAGUCUCUUUGUUUUGUAGAACAUGAUAGUAAAGAUGUGGAGUUUCGUUCUUCUUAUUGGCCUCCUUUAGUUUUCCUUGAUCAACAACCACUAGCCAAAAACACAAUUAGAUUAGAUUAUGAAUGAUACUUUCAACUAUGACAAUAUUAAAUACAAACCACUCUAAAUAACUCUAAAUAAAUGGAAAGCAGCAAAUUACCAGACGAGGCAAGCUAGCUCAAUUAAGACCAUUGUGUUAUACUUGUCUCUGAAUUGAAAAAUUUAGAAGGAAAUAAAGAGAAAGACUUAGAAAAUACUUGAAAACAGAAAAAAAAAUUAUGUCAUUUAAAAUAAAAAAUUUCUAUUCAAGCCAUUUAAAAUUUGUAAGAUUUUUAAAAUUUUAAAAUGAUAAAGGUAAAAUUGUACUUUGGCACCCCAAAAAUGAUAAAACUUUGAUUUAAUUAUUUAAAAAUUAUAAAAAUAUAGGCUAUUAAAAUGGUGAAAUUAUAUUUUUACUAUAGUAAAAAUUACAAUUUAAUUUCACCCCUAAAAGGAUUUUCUGGCUUCGCACCUAAUAAAAUCUUUGGCAAAAGACUAAAAUAAAAUUAUACCAUGAAUGGAAAAAGAAACUAAUAAAAUCCAAUCUAACAAAGAAAAUAACUUGAUGUCCAAAAGCUACCAUAAACCGUAAUUCAUGGGAAGGCUUGUUGCUUAUUUUAUUGGUUUCCAUUUUGAAAGAAGUUUGAAUUUUGAAGAGAGCCUACUACGUGAAAGCAAAAGAAAAAAAAAUAGUUUAUAUGAUUAAAAUUCCAGAAUAGAUUAAAAAUGUUGAAUUAAAGAUAAAAUUAAGUGUGAAUUAAUAACCACAAGUGUACUCUUUACUCACCAUCUCUGUUAAAAAUGUUGGAUGUUGUUUAGCAACCUUUGUUUGAUUUUCUUCAGCUCAACCACAACAUCUUUCAUAUCUUUUCUUUCUUCUGGUAACUCAGCUGAACAAUUCAAAGCCAACUCCAUGAUAGAUGAAAUACAAUUUGCUUUAACAACAAUGUACUCAUCCUCUCUUCUUAAUAAAUCAACAUCUGCAAUUUCUAUCGCUCCUUUAGGCAAUGAUCUUUCCAUCCAAUGCCUUAUACUCUCUUCUUCAACAAAAACCUUAUCAGUUGGCUUUUUCUUUGUGAAAGUUUCUAUAAGGACGAUCCCAUAACUAUAGACGUCAGAUUUUAUAGAAACAAUUCCUGCUGAUCCAAAUUCUGCAUUUCAAGUAUAAUUAGAACAUCAUUCAUCCUCAAUUAUUUCUAAAACGCUUAUUCAAAUAUCUAUCCACAUACACGUGAAACAAAAAUAUAAAAUACAAAUUAGGAAAAUAAUCAUACAAAAAUAAAAAAAAGAAUUCACCUGGUGCCAUAUACCCAAUAGUUGCAAGAGUCAUGGUUUGCUUCAUUACUUCACCUUCUCCCAACAAUUUGGCAACGCCAAAAUCUCCAACAUGUGCAACCAUGUCUUCAUCUAGUAAAAUAUUGCUUGGUUUUAUGUCACAAUGAAUUAUAGGUGUUGGAUGUCCAUUGUGGAGGUGUUCUAUAGCUACCGCAACAUCUAUCAUUAUGUCGACCCUUUGUAUGAUACCAAGGAAACAAUUUUCAGAAUGUAACCAUUUCUCAAGGUUUCCAUUAGACAUGUAAUCAAGCACCAAGGCUUUGAAGUCAACACUUGAGCAGUAAGUAAUGACCUUCACAAUAUUACGAUGAACUAUAUUAAGCAUAGCAUCACAUUCAAUGUCAAAACUCCUAAAUGCUCCCUCUGUUUGCAAAUUGAAAACUUUUAUUGCAACUUCCAUUCCAUCUGAAAGCCUCCCUUUAUAUACAUAUCCAAAACUCCCUGAACCAAGCGUAUUGCUUUCCUCAAAUCCAUUAGUUGCUCGUGAAAGUUCAGCAUGUGAAAUUCUUCUCAGUGUCUUCAAAGACAACAAAUCAUCUUUAACUGGUAGAGCUGUACUCCUUUGGCAUCUUCUAUACAUAAUAGUUAAGACUAUUAGUACUAGGACAAUACCAAUUGUUGGUAAACCAUACCUAAAAGCAUGCAAUAUAAUCAUUUGGGAGUUUUUGUGGAUGUCAUUUUUGCAAGGUGGGACUAGCAAUCUAGGUGGACCACAAAGUGCACAAUUAUUCAUGAAUGAUGUGCUAGAAAAGUUUGAAAAACAUCCUUUGCUGGGAAUUUCCCCUUCAAGUCUAUUGAAAGACACAUUAAAAUACUUUAGAUAUAAAAGCUUUUCCAAAGAUUUGGGAAUGACUCCAGAGAGAUUGUUAUUGCAUAAAUCCAAGAAUUCCAAACUAAUCAACCCUUCAAAUGAUUCAGGGAUAUGACCAUAUAGUAUGUUAUUUGAUAAAUCUAAUGAAACCAAAGUUAUAAGACCCCCAAAUGUGGAUAAGAUAUCGCUCGUGAGAAGAUUCCUUGAUAAAUUUAGUCUCAGUAGACUCCUAAAAUUUCCAACAUCAAUAGCAUGUGAAUUGUGAAGACGGUUUGAUGAUAAAUCUAUUUCUAAGAUAUCUUUAAGACUCCACAAAGUUGAGGGUAUUGUAGAACUCAAUUUGUUGGAACCUAACCAAAGAUAUCUCAAAGCAGAAAUAUUACCUAAACAAGAGGGUAUGGAUCCAUGCAGCUUAUUCAACCCUAAAUACAUCUCGUAUAGUCUCUCCAAACCACAAAGGCUUUCUGGGAUAGGCCCUCCUAAUUUAUUAGAGGAAAGACCUAGAAUUUGGAGAUUUCUCAUUCCUCCUAUUGAUGCUGGAAUCAAUCCACUUAAUUUAUUAUACCCAAGAUCUAAAAGCAAUAGGUUGGUUAAGUUACCUAUUUCCAUAGGAAUAAUGCCUUGAAGCUCACACUCUGUGGCAUGAAAGUAUUGAAGGGAUUUUGAAAGGUUCCCGAAAUAAGUAGGAAGAACGCCACUCAAUGGAUUUCCUGAAACAUCUAUUAUGCUCAAAUUCCUACAAUUCGUCAAAGAAGAAAGAAAGCUCCACUCAUGAUCAGUAGCAGAUCCUGUGAUCAAAUUAUUGUCAUAGAUUUGGAGCCAUACAAGUUGUCUUAAGCUGCCAAGCGUUUUAGGGAUUGGGCCAGAGAAUGAGUUAUCUCCCAAGUCUAGUUCCUUAAGCAUGGAAGCAUUGGAGAUAGAGUUGGGAAUGUUUCCGCUAAGUUUAUUUCCCCACAGUAAAAGAAUCUGAAGCUUUGGAGCAUUGGUAAUGGGUGGUAAAUUACCUGUAAAAUAGCAUCUUUUAGAAAACAUUCACAAAAUAUAUAAUACAUUAAAAUAAAAACUUUAAAUCAAUUAAGAAUAAAAUUUUGGCAUGGAAAAAUGUGAUGAAAUCAAUUAGAAAGUUGAGACAUAAUAAGAAGUUUUGAGUAGUAAUUAGUCCUUGUGAUUUGUAUAGACAAAACAUAUAAUACACUGAUAAUUUUUUUAAAAUAUUGUAAAACCUGAAAUAAAAUAAAAAAUAAAAGUUUGGCACGAGAAUGUGGCAUCUAAUCAUUCUUAAAAAUAAGACUAACAUUAAAUAAUAAUUAGUUAUGAUUUGAGAAACAAAAAUGUUAAAGAUGUAAACUGGUAUGAUUUUUAUCUAUUGGGUUAAUUAUUUAUUUUUAUUAAAUUAUAUAUAGUGUAAAAUUUAAAGAUUAUUAUUUGCUCAAAAUUUUUGUAUUUUAGGAUUUUAGGAUCGCAUUUAAUUCAAUUGUAUUUAAGACCUCAUGAAUUUAUUCUAUAAUUUGAGUCUUUUCAACCUUUUGGGAAAUAAUAAAACAUCGACAUUAAACUUGUUGUUGAUGCAUUCAAUUUGAUUUUUUGAGGGGUCAUUGGAGUUAUAUGUGAAUUUAGCAUUGAUUGACUUUUUUAGAAUUAAUCUUUUAUACCAAUUUAAUAACAUCGACAUGUUUUUGGGUAGGGUCGAGCAAAACCCAAUUAAAACCGAUGAAAUUGGUUUAGUUAACUCGGUCAAGUCCAUUAGAUGGAUAAAAUCAAUUUUAAAAUCAGUUAUUAUGGAUUAAGGUAAUUAAUUAUCGAGUAAUGAAAUACAUAAUCAAAUCAAUUGAUUUUGUUAGAAACUAAAAGAAAGUGGGAUAAGCUGAAAACUGAUUGCCCUUUUUUAGAAUUAAGGAAUCAGCCUUUUACAUGUUAGAUAAUAUGAACACCCCAUAUAUAAUAAGAAAAAUUAUGUACGAUUAUUUAUUAUCAUAAAUGGUUAGUUUAAAUUUAAAGUAAUCUAAUAUGUGUGUUGAACUUCAACUAUUACAUAAAGUAUAAGCUAAAUAUGUAUAAAUAUUCUAGAAACCAUUUCUAACUGAUGAUAGGCUAAUUUGAAAUUAAGAUUAAUAUAUAAAAACUAGAUAGUAGGGUUAUAGUCCUCAAACUACACCUAAUUUAAUAAAAUCUAUAGUUUUUAUAGCCUUAAACAUUUAUAGAUUUUGUUAAUUUGGUCCUUACUCUUUAAAAUUACAUAAAAAUUGCAAAAAUAUUUUAGAAAUACAAUUUUUUCGUAUUUUUAAUAACAUUUAUAGUUUUUUUUUUGGUUUGGUAACUUAUCAACUCGACUCUUAAUUGUAACCAACUUUUCUGAUUUUUUCGUACCCUUAACCUAAGUCCCGUUACAACUUUCUAAAGACCUCUUGAUUGGUGUAUCAUCUCGAUUUGUUCUUAUAGUGGUGGGGAUUUGGUUUUCAAGCAAGCCUAUGCUAAUCACAUUUUUCGUUCAACUAUUGAGCACACAGUACUUGAACCUUAAACACUUUGAGUGCUUUGAGUGAAUCUUAGUUAGGGUAUUGAUUAUUGUUGAGUUUGAAUUUUAGGUAAUUAUUGAGAUGGAGGAGAUGCCUAUUUUUUUGUGCUUUACAAAUUUCUGCUUAGAUUGCUUUUAUUCUUUAGUUUCAUGCUAGUUUCAAUUUCCAGUGCAUGAUUAUCUAUAGAUUAUUCAUAAGGCAUUGUCGGUGAAAACAAUAAAUUGAGGGAGAUUAACUUGAAAUAAAUUGAGGGAUAUUAACUUGAAUAAAGGUUGAGAAUUUUGCUUAAGGACAAACAAAUGCUUAAGUGUGGGGAUAUUUGAUAAGUGCUAAAAUUGAUAUGUUUUAACAUCAUUCUUAAUGUGUUUUUGGUUGAUUAUUCGAUGUUAAUGAUGCUCCUAAUCCUUACAAUUCGUGUUUUUAUGCUUAAUAGAACAUUUGGGAGGAAAAUGAGCUAAAAAUGAACGAAAACCUGAAAAUGGGGGCAAACUAUAGGACAUGGGCUGACCUAUUCCUCAUGACCGUAUGACUCACACGAUCAUGUGGUAGGUUGUGUCGAUUUCGUAGAUUUGCACUCUGAACUGUAAAAAAAGAAAAUUUUAGAUUUUUUGAGCAUUUUAAUACGUAUAUAUGAAAAAAAUAAGAAGAUAGGAGAGAACCUUCCUAGAAUAUUUAAGAAAACAACUCCAAAGACACUAUUGAAGUCGACUCUGAAGCAAAUUUUCCUCAAGAUUGAAGAUUCCCAGUUGGUUUCUUAAGAGAUUAUCAUGAGUUUCUUUAUUUCUUCUGGUUAUACUGCCCUUUGGAUGUUUUUAUUUUUAAGCAUGAACUAAUUUUCUAAAUACCGAAUUAGAGAGAUGAACCCUAUGAUAGAUUGUGACACCCCAAACCCAACCGGAUAGACCCGCCCGAAUUCAAAGCAUUUCAUUAGCCACCUAAGUGACUCUCCAGCUAACGACCACCCAAGACACACCUCGACCUUAUAACACCUCAAUCUUAUCUAAUUACUAGUUAUUUAUUAAUGUAGAAGUAAAUUAAUAUGAGCCAAUUUUAAACUUUUUCUAGGUAAUUUAACCUAAAGGCAAUUUUGUCAUUUUACCACCUAAUGUAAAACUAACCCGAUUUUAGAUCUAAGUGUUUACUAACCUUCUUUUAGUCAAAUUAUACAAGCCUAAAAUUUUCAGCUUAAUUUGAGUCCGUUUACUAUGUCUAAUUCAAGUUUUAUUAAUAAGGACUCAAUUGUAACUUAAACAAAUUAAAAUACCAAUUUAAAGAGACAAAAAUUCAAAACUCCAAAACCCACACGGGCAUGUGGGUAAGUGACAAGGGCUUGUGGGAUUGAAAAAUAUGAAAUAAAUUAAUCCACUCAAUUUUCCAACAACCAUGCUAUACUACCAAACCAAAAAAACACUUGAAGUUUUGAAUAGGGGCGAAUCUAAAAAAAAUUAGAAGAAUUAGAAUUAAAUUAUAAAAUUUUGAGAAGUUAAAAUAUAAUUUUAUCAUGUAUUAAUUUAUUGUUUUUUAAAGGGUCCUAAUAUAAUUUUUUUCCCAUUUUGGUUGGGCCAAUACCCCUGCCUGCCUCUUUAAAUUUGCUCCAACACUAAACCCAAUAUUCGAUUUGGAUUAACAACAACAUAUAGGUUAGUAUUUGUGGGAGUUUGACGAAUAAAAAUUCCUUUUUUAGAUGUUUAAAUUAUAAAUUUUUGAAAGAUUAAAAUAAAUUUGUAUUUUUUUAUUAACAAAAUAUAAAAGAAAAAAAAAUAUGUUUAGACAAGCCAAGAGAACUUUGGGAUCAUACAGGUGAUUUUGAGAUGUUAAUGGUUAUUUUGGUGGACAGCGUAAAAAAGAAACAAAUGAUUCAUUAUAUAUAAUAUAAUUAUGAAUUUCAAGCCAUAUAUUGUAUGUUUCAUCCAUAAAAAUUUCAUGGGAGGUCCAAAGGUAAUUAAAUGACUUGUAGGCUUGCUGAAUUUCUUUGAAAGGCCCAAAGGCAAUUUAACAUUCACAAAAUAAUCUCUAAAUACUGUAAAGACAAAUCAAAUCCACAGUAGCAUUAGAGUUGAUUAAGCUAAGCAUUGGCAAAUAUUACUUUGAUUUUGCAUGCAAAAUUGGCAAAACCCCCUCUUACAUUAGAAAAACAACAUAAUCCAUGAAACAUUGAUGGCUCAAUACAAAUUUCAUCGAGAAAAAAGUCUCUUUGUUUUGGAGAACAUGAUAGUAAAGAUGUGGAGUUUCGUUCUUCUAAUUGGCCUCCUUUAGUUUUCCUUGAUCAACAACAAUUAGCCAAAAACACAGUUAGAUUAGAUUAUGAAUGAUACUUUCAACUAUGACAAUAUUAAAUACAAAACACUCUAAAUAAAUGGAAAGUAGCAAAUUAAGACCAUUGUGUUAUACUUGUCUCUGAAUUGAAAGAUUUAGAAGAAAAUAAAGAGAAAGAGUUAGAAAAUACUUGAAAACAGAUAAAACUUAUAUGUCAUUUAAAAUAAAAAAAAUUUCUAUUUAAGCCAUUUAAAAUUUUUAAGAUUUUUUAAAUUUUAAAAUGAUAAAGGUAAAACUAUAUUUUGGUACCCAAAAAUGAUAAAACUUUGAUUUAAUUCUUUAGAAAUUAUAAAAAUAUAGGCUAUUAAAAUGGUGAAAUUAUAUUUUUACUAUAUUAAAAAUUACAAUUUAAUUUCACUUGCUAAAAGGAUUUACUGGCUUCGCCCCUAAUAAAAUCUUUGGCAAAAGAUUAAAAUAAAAUUAUACCGUGAAUGGAAAAAGAAACUUAAGAAAACCCAAUCUCACAAAGAAAAUAACUUGUCCAAAAGCUACCAUAAACCGUAAUUCAUGCGAAGGCUUGUUGCUCAUUUUAUUGGUUUCCAUUUUGAUUUUGCAAAAGAAGUUUGAAUUUUGAAGAGAGCAAAAGAAAAAAAUAGUUUAUUAAUUUUUUACGAAUACCGACAUAUUAUAUACAUGAUUAAAAUUCCAGAAUAGAUUAAAAAUGUUGAAUUAAAGAUAAAAUUAAGUAUGAAUUAAGAACCACAAGUGUACUCAUUACUCACCAUCUCUGUUAAAAAUGUUGUUUAGCAACCUGUGUUUGAUUUUCUUCAGCUCAACCACAACAUCUUUCAUAUCUUUUCUUUCUUCUGGUAACUCAGCUGAACAAUUCAAAGCCAAUUCCAUGAUAGAUGAAAUACAAUUUGCUUUAACAACAAUGUACUCAUCCUCUCUUCUUAGUAAAUCAACAUCUGCAAUUUCUAUUGCUCCUUUAGGCAAUGAACUUUCCAUCCAAUGCCUUACAGUCUCUUCUUCAACAAAAACAUUAUCAGUUGGCUUUUUCUUUGUGAAAGUUUCUAUAAGGACGAUCCCAUAACUAUAGACGUCAGAUUUUAUAGAAACAAUUCCUGCUGAUCCAAAUUCUGCAUUUCAAGUAUCAUUAGAACAUCAUUCACCCUCAAUUAUUUCUAAAAUGCUUAUUCAAAUAUAUAUCCGCAUACACAAGAAACAAAAAUAUAAAAUGCAAAUUAGGAAAAUAAUCGUACAAAAACAAAAAAGAAUUCACCUGGUGCCAUAUACCCGAUAGUUGCAAGAGUCAUGGUUUGCUUCAUUACUUCACCUUCUCCCAACAAUUUGGCAACGCCAAAAUCUCCAACAUGUGCAACCAUGUCUUCAUCUAGUAAAAUAUUGCUUGGUUUUAUGUCACAAUGAAUUAUAGGUGUUGGAUGUCCAUUGUGGAGGUGUUCUAUAGCUACCGCAACAUCUAUCAUUAUGUCGACCCUUUGUAUGAUAUCAAGGAAACAAUUUUCAGAAUGUAACCAUUUCUCAAGGUUUCCAUUAGACAUGUAAUCAAGCACCAAGGCUUUGAAGUCAACACUUGAGCAGCAAGUAAUGACCUUCACAAUAUUACGAUGAACUAUAUUAAGCAUAACAUCACAUUCAAUGUCAAAACUCCUAAAUGCUCCCUCUGUUUGCAAAUUGAAAACUUUUAUUGCAACUUCCAUUCCAUCUGAAAGCCUCCCUUUAUAUACAUAUCCAAAACUCCCUGAACCAAGCAUAUUGCUUUCCUCAAAUCCAUUAGUUGCUCGUGAAAGUUCAGCAUGUGAAAUUCUUCUCGGUGUCUUCAAAGACAACAAAUCAUCUUUAACUGGUAGAGCUGUACUCCUUUGGCAUCUUCUAUACAUAAUAGUUAAGACUAUUAGUACUAGGACAAUACCAAUUGUUGGUAAACCAUACCUAAAAGCAUGUAAUAUAAUCAUUUGGGAGUUUUUGUGGAUGUCAUUUUUGCAAGGUGGGACUAGCAAUCUAGGUGGACCACAAAAUGCACAAUUAUUCAUGAAUGAUGUGCUAGAAAAGUUUGAAAAACAUCUUUUGCUGGGAAUUUCCCCUUCAAGUCUAUUGAAAGACACAUUAAAAUACUUUAGAUAUAAAAGCUUUUCCAAAGAUUUGGGAAUGACUCCAGAGAGAUUGUUAUUGCAUAAAUCCAAGAAUUCCAAACUAAUCAACCCAUCAAAUGAUUCAGGGAUAUGACCAUGUAGUAUAUUAUUUGAUAAAUCUAAUGAAACCAAAGUUUGAAGACCCCCAAAUGUGGAUAAGAUAUCGCCCAUGAGAAGAUUCCUUGAUAAAUUUAGUCUCAGUAGACUCCUAAAGUUUCCAACAUCAAUAGCAUGUGAAUUGUGAAGAUGGUUUGAUGAUAAAUCUAUUUCUAAGAUAUCUUUAAGAUUCCACAAAGUUGAGGGUAUUGUAGAACUCAAUUUGUUGGAAUCUAACCAAAGAUAUCUCAAAGCAGAAAUAUUACCCAAACAAGAGGGUAUGGGUCCAUGCAGCUUAUUCAACCCUAAAUACAUCUUGUAUAGUCUCUCCAAACCACAGAGGCUUUCUGGGAUAGGCCCUUCUAAUUUAUUAGAGGAAAGAUCUAGACCUUGCAGAUUCCGCAGUCCUCCUAUUGAUGCUGGAAUGAAUCCACUUAAUUUAUUAUGGUCAAGUUCUAAAACCAAUAAGUUGGUUAAGUUACCUAUUUCCAUAGGAAUAAUGCCUUGAAGCUCACAAUUAUAGGCAUGAAAGGAUUGAAGGGAUUUUGAAAGGUUCCCAAUAUAAGUAGGAAGAACGCCACUCAAUGGAUUUCCUGAAACACCUAUUUUUCUCAAAUUCCUACAAUUCGUCAAAGAAGAAAGAAAGCUCCACUCAUGAUCAGUAGCAGAUCCUGUGAUCAAAUUAUUGUCAGUGAUUUUGAGCACUUCAAGGUGUUUUAAGCUGCCAAGCAUUUUAGGGAUUGGGCCAGAGAAUGAGUUAUCUUCCAAGUCUAGUUUCUUAAGCAUGGAAGCAUUGGAGAUAGAGUAAGGAAUGUUUCCGCUAAGUUUAUUUCCCCACAGUAAAAGAAUCUGAAGCUUUGGAGCAUUGGUAAUGGGUGGUAAAUUACCUGUAAAAUAGCAUCUUUUAGAAAACAUAUUCAUUGAAUACCAAAUUCACAAAAUAUAUAAUACAUUAAAAUUAAAACUUUAAAACUUUAAAUCAAUUAAGAAUAAAAUUUUGGCAUGGAAAAUUGUGAUGAAAUCAAUUAGAAAGUUGAGACAUAAUAAGAAGUUUUGAGUAGUAAUUACUCAUGAUUUCCAUAGACAAAACAUAUAAUACACUGAUAAUUUUUUUAAAAAUAUUGUAAAACCUGAAAUAAAAUAAAAAAUAAAAGUUUGGCAUGAGAAUGUGGCAUCUAAUCAUUCUUAAAAAUAAGACUAACAUUGAAUAAUAAUUAGUUAUGAUUUGAGAAACAAAAAUGUUAAAGAUGUAAACUGGUAUGAUUUUUAUCUAUUGGGUUAAUUAUUUAUUUUUAUUAAAUUAUAUAUAGUGUAAAAUUUAAAGAUUAUUAUUUGCUCAAAAUUUUUGUAUUUUUCGUAUAUUUGAAAUUUAAUCUUUAUAUUUUUUAUUUUCUGUGAUUUAGUCUCUCUACUUUUUGAAUUGAAAAUUUUAAGUUUAUUUAUUAACACUGUUAAAAAGUUUUUGUGUUAGUAUGGCAUUUUGAAAAAUAAAAUAAACUUGAUAUCUAUGUUUUUAAUUAUUCCAAAUACUGUUUUACUAUUCCAAGAUAAAUUAUUUGUGUCUAGACCAAUAUCUUAAGAACUAUUGUUGCAUGUUUAAUUAUUCUAAAGAAUUGUUGAUUGAGUCUUAGUUGAAGUGCACUAUUCUCCUAUUUAUGAAUUGGGGAGUUGAUAAAGUACUAAAUUUUGAUAUAUUUUAAAAAAUUAAAAAUUUAUUAAAAUAUUUUUAUAAAAAUUAAUUGUACCAAAAUAUACAAUUUUAAUAUCAAAUUUUUAAUUUUUUUAAAAAUAUUAGCGAAUAUAUACUUUAUUUCAAGUUACACAAUUUUUACUAGUUUUUAACUUUUUUUUUAAAUUUUUAUCGUCUUUUAUAAUUUCAUAUAUUUUUUUAUAAUUUUUUACAAUAUUUACAAUUUCUAACAAUUUUUAAUAAUUUUAUUAUUUAUUAUAAAUUUAAAAAUUAACAAAUUUUUAUUUUUUUAAAACAAUUAUAUAUUUAUAAUGUAGUUAUUUUUUUAUAAUUUUUUUUGAAAUUUAAAGAUUUUUUUGGUUUUUUCUAGAUGAUGAUGCCAUCAUGAUGUCAUCAUAUGCCACAUGGCAAUUUAUAAUUAGUUGACUAUCUCAAUCUAUUUUUUUAACGUCCAAUGGACUAAAACAAGAACACCUGAUAAUGUUAGAGACUACACUAGGAAUGUUUGAUAAUAUUAGGUACUAAAGUGGGCAAAAAAAAUUAAGGACUAUAUUAAAAAUAUAUCUAUAAUAUAUAUAAAUGCAUGGAUUUUGAGAAACUUUUGAAAUGACAAAUAUAUAGUCUUUGUUUUUUUUUACUAUAUUAUUGAAUUUUUUAUUUUAAAUAUUUUUUUAUUACUUUUAAGAUUUAUCAUAUGUAUGGAUAAAAAUUUUGGUUUUACUAAAAUAUUUGGUUAAAUAAAUUCACUUUAUAAAAAAAUUUAGCAUCCUUAUAAAUAACAAUUUUGAUUCCAUUAAAAAAAUUAUUUAAAAAUAUAUAAUAAAAAUUUAAAAUUUAUAUUGAAUCACUUUAUACUUAAAUUAUUAUUAGAAACUUUAUCAUACACAUAUGUGUAUGAGAACCACGUUUUCAGAACUUAAAUUUGUGUUCUAAAAUAACUUAUGAUAAAUAAUUAAAUGUAUAAUUUGAAAUUAUAUUGAAAUAAAAAUAGAUUAAAUUGUAAGUAAAACAUAUAUAAUUUAAACAUAUGAAUACAUCAAAUUAAAAAUACUAAAUGAAUACAUUUAUUUAUGAUGAUGUUGUUGUCAAUUCAUAAGUUGGUGUCGAGUUAAUUUGUGACAUCAUAAUUUUAAGUGAUAAAUUUAAGGUUUUAUGUAUUGAUGUCGAUUCAAAUAUCACCAUAAUUUUUUUAAAUAAAAAACUAAAGCACCCUCAAAUAAUAUAACUUAUAUUAAAUAUGAAAGGGUAUUUUUGUAAUUUCUCUAACGAGUUGGUGCCCGGUUGACUCAUGACACCAACUCAAUCAAAAGCUUCAAUAAUAAUAUAGAUAUUCACGUUUAAAAAAAGUACUUUAGUUCGAAAUAAUUAUGUAACAAGUAAUUUUAUAAUUGAUGAAUAAUUUUAUAAAAAUAUAUUUAUAUGAUCUAAUAUAUUAUAUUUAUAUUAAUUAUAUAUCAUCUACAAACUUUGAAGAUCAAUUUAUUAAGUAUCAGGAAAAGAAAAAAUGAAAUUGAAUUAACACUAAAUCAAUUUUUAGAUUUUGUACAGAUGAUUUAAUGAUGAUAAAAACAUUAUUAGCACUAUUUUUGAAUUAACAAAAAAUUAGUGAUAUAUUUUAAUUAUAUUUUUUAUUUUUUAUUUUUAAUAAUAUUUUUUUAAUUAUAUGAAGUAAAAUUAUAUUGUAUACUAAAUAUGGUACAUAUACUUUAAUUAAAACUUGAAAAAGUAUUAUAUAAAUUAAUAUAUUUUAAUUAUAUUCAACCAUUUGAAUAACAAAAUUAAAAAAAAACUAAUUAGAAUUAUUUACUUUUUAAAGUUUAAUGGAAAAUAAAAAAUAAAAAAUAAAUCAAUUCAUAUAAAUCUUAUUGUUUAUUAUCAGAUUAAAAUGAUAAAAGUAUAUGACAUACAUAGAAGAAACAAAUUCAACACCAUGUUUUUGGAGUUUGGAAAAAAUUAAAGUGAAAAACCUACCUUCUAAACUGUUGUUAAAUAGAUCUAUUUCUUCGAGCGUAGUUGAAUUAAAAAUACUUGAUGGAAUCUGACCUGCACACAUAGUCGAAAAUUGAAGUGAAAUCAAACUCUUUUGUGAAAAAAAUAUUACCAGAUAAUUCAUUCCAACCCAGGUAAAGCCCUUCAAGCUUGGGAAGAUGUUGACACAUAUCAUUAGGCAAACUACCUGAUAGGCUAUUGUUGGAGAGAUUAAUGGUCUUCAAAGAAGAAAUGUUGAAGAUCGAAGUUGGAAUCUGACCUAUAAGGCCUUUAAUUGCUCUAAUACUAAGCCUUUCCAAACUAAGAAGAUUACCAAUUUCCUUAGGAAUUAGACCUGCAGACAGUCGAAAAUUCAAUGUUUUUCAGCAUAUGUUUUUCAUCAAAUGAAAUAAAAAGUUCUUCCUUUUGUUAUCUAUUACAAAUCAAACUCUUUUAUAAAAAAAAUACUUUAAAUUCAAGAAAUCAAGGAAAUUGAUUACCUUCUAGAUUAUUAAACCCCAAAUAUAAUUCUUGGAGUCGUGUUAGAUUUCCAAUACUUCUUGGAAUGAUCCCCAUAAAUUGAUUAUAGGACAACGACAAAAUAUUAAGGUUGUUGCAUUUGCCCAUGCCAAAUGGAAUGUUACUAGAAAACUCAUUGCUAUCCAAGUAAAGCCCUUCAAGCUUGGGAAGAUGUUGACACAUAUCAUUAGGCAAACUACCUGAUAGGUUAUUGUUGGAGAGAUCAAUGGUCUUCAAAGAAGAAAUGUUGAAGAUCGAAGUUGGAAUCUGACCUGUAAAGCCUUUAAUUGCUUUAAUAUUAAGCAUUUCCAAACUAAGAAGUUUAAAUCAAUUAAGAAUAAAAUUUUGGCAUGGAAAAAUGUGAUGAAAUCAAUUAAAAAGUUGAGACAUAAUAAGAAGUUUUGAGUCGUAAUUAGUCCUUCUGAUUUGUAUAGACAAAACAUAUAAUACACUAAUAAUAAUUAGUUUGGCAUGAGAAUGUGGCAUCUAAUCAAUCUUAAAAAUGAGAUGACACUGAAUAAUAAUUAGUUAUGAUUUGGGAAACAAAAAUGUUAAAGCCAUUGCUUUUAAUGUAAACUAGUAUGAUUUUUAUCUAUUGGGUUAAUUAUUUAUUUUUAUGAAAUUAUAGUGUAAAAUUUAAAGAUUAUUUUUAUCUAUUACAAAUCAAACUCUUUUAUGAAAAAAAUAUUUUAAAUUAAAGAAACAAAGAAAAUUCAAUAUCUUCUAAGUUAUUCCACUCCAAAUAUAAUCUUCAGUGAAGAAAUCUUGAAGAUGGAAGAUGGAACCUUACCAGAUAAUUGAUUGAAUCCCAAGCUCAAGGACUCUAGAUUAGACAUGUUAACAAGUGUUUCAGGGAUUGUGCCUAUAAAGUUAUUAUUUUUCAUUUUCAGCCUUCGAACUCCCUGUAAGUUCCCAAGCCAUGAUGGAAUUUCCCCAUUAAGACUGUUGUAUUUUAAUCGAAGGAUCCUCAAACGAUGCAAUUGGCCCAAUUCUUUAGGGAGAUGGCCAUAGAAAUGGUUUCUACUCAAGUCGAGAGAGAGUAGAAAUGAAAGAUUUCCAAGGUGUGGAGGGAUACUACCCCUAAGAUUCAUGCUUUUAAGUUUGGAAACAAAUUCAACACAAUGUUUUUGGAGUUUGGAAAAAAUUAAAGUGAAAAACAUACCUUCUAAUUUGUUGUCAGAUAGUCCUAUUAUUUCGAGCAUAGUUGAAUUAAAAAUACUUGAUGGAAUCUGACCUGCACAUAUAGUUGAAAAUUGAAGUGAAAAACAUACCUUCUAAACUGUUCAACUAAAAAAACUUUAAGCAUAUUUGUUUUUCCAUCAAAUUAACUAUUUUGCCUUGAAUGAAAUAAAAUGCUCUUACUUUUGUUAUUUAUUACUAAUCAAACUCUUUUCUAAAAAAAAACUUUAAAUUAAGAAACUAAGAAAAUUCGGUACCUUCUAGGUUAUUAAACCCUAAAUAUAACUUCUGGAGUCGUGUUAGAUUUCCAAUACUUCUUGGAAUGAUACCCAUAAAUUGAUUAUAGGACAACGACAAAUUUUUAAGGUUGUUGCAUUUGCCCAUGCCAAAUGGAAUGUUACCAGAUAAUUCAUUCCAACUCAGGUAAAGCCCUUCAAGCUUGGGAAGAUGUUGACACAUAUCAUUAGGCAAACUACCUAGGUUAUUGUUGGAGAGAUCAAUGGUCUUCAAAGAAGAAAUGUUGAAGAUCGAAGUUGGAAUCUGACCUGUAAGGCCUUUAAUUGCUUUAAUAUUAAGCAAUACCAAAUCAAGAAUAUUACCGAUUUCCAAACCAAGAAUUUAUAGAAGAAACAAAUUUAACACAAUGUUUUUUGAGUUUGGAAAAUGUUAAAGUGAAAAACAUACCUUCUAAUUUGUUGUCAGAUAGUCCUAUUAUUUCGAGCAUAGUUGAAUUAAAAAUACUUGAUGGAAUCUGACCUGCACAUAUAGUUGAAAAUUGAAGUGAAAAACAUACCUUCUAAACUGUUCAACUAAAAAAACUUUAAGCAUAUUUGUUUUUCCAUCAAAUUAACUAUUUUGCCUUGAAUGAAAUAAAAUGCUCUUACUUUUGUUAUUUAUUACUAAUCAAACUCUUUUCUAAAAAAAAACUUUAAAUUAAGAAACUAAGAAAAUUCGGUACCUUCUAGGUUAUUCAACCCCAAAUAUAAUUCUUUGAGUUGUGUCAGAUUUCCAAUACUUUUUGGAAUGAUCCCCAUCAAUUGAUUAUAGGACAAUGACAAAAUUUUAAGGUUGCUGCAUUUGCCCAUGCCAAAUGGAAUGUUACCAGAUAAUUCAUUCCGACUCAAGUAAAGCCCUUCAAGCUUGGGAAGAUGUUGACACAUAUCAUUAGGCAAACUACCUGGUAGGCUAUUGCUGGAGAGUUUAAUAAUCUUCAGAGAAGAAAUAUUGAAGAUGGAAGAUGGAACCUGACCAAAUAAUUGAUUGAAUCCCAAGUUCAAGAUCUCUAGAUUAGACAUGUUAACAAGUGUUUCAGGGAUUGUGCCUGUAAAGUUAUUAUUCUUCAUUUCCAGCCUUCGAACUCUCUGUAAGUUCCCAAGCCAUGAUGGAAUUUCCCCAUUCAGACGGUUGUAGCUUAAUUGAAGGAUCCUCAAACGAUGCAAUUGGCCAAAUUCUUUAGGGAGAUGGCCAUAGAAAUGGUUGCUACUCAAGUCGAGAGAGAGUAGAAAUGAAAGAUUUCCAAGGUGUGGAGGGAUAGUACCCCUAAGAUUCAUGCUUGUAAGAUUCAAAGCUAUAACUCUUUUAUGGAGGAUGCCACAAGAAACACCAAUCCAAUUGCAAACAGAGGUUGAGGCCGUCCAAUUGUUUGCCAAGACAUUUUGAGGACCGGCAAUGCGAUCCUUAAACUCGAGAAGUGCAAACUGAUCGGAGUUGAGAUUCCUGACUGUCAUACCCCAGCAAAGUCCGGAACAUGGUAUGAAUAAAGCUAAAAGAAGAUGAAAGCAAGUGUUGUAGUUCAUGAUAGCAAGACGGAAUAAGCCAAGAAAAUAAAAAAAAGUAGGACAAGGGAAGUUGAGUUGAUAAAAUAGUUUGGAUGAUGAAGAAAAGCCCAGAGAGCAUGCUUUAAUAUGUUUUGAAGAAAUUUCAAAAUAAAUUUCAAAAUAAAUUUCAAAAUAAAAAUUUAAAAAGGAAAGCAAAGUUUUGAAGAAAUUUCAAAAUAAAUUUCAAGUCUUCUUCUUUAAAAAAUACGUACAAAGAGCGAAUUUUCAAAAUUUUUCCUAAAUUUUCUUCACAUUACUCCACAUAAUCCAUUAAAAAAACUUAAAAAAUAUAUUUUAUUAAUUACUAUACAUUCUUUUAUUUUCAGAAUAAUAAAUUGUUUAAAAUUUGCUAUUAGUCCCUAUAAUUUAAAAGUUAAAAAAAAUUCAAUCCUCCUACUUUUCUAAUUUAAAAAUUUUAGUUCAAUCAAUUUUAAUUUUAAAAUCUCUGUAUAAAAGGUGUUUUUUUUGUGACCGAUCACACUUAACCAAUAUUUAAAAAUUAAUAAAAAAUAUUUUUUUUUGAAAUUUAAAGUGAUCUAAAAACAUAUUUUUAAGUGCUUUGGACCGUCUAUUGUUGAUUUCCUUAUUAUAUUAAGUGUUUGCAAUCACUCCUAAUAUAUUGUGCUUGAGUUGUGACAAAGCCGAUCAUCAAAUUGCCAUAAUGAUCUAUUGAUGCUGAAAUUGAAGUUUUUGUUAUAUUGAUAGAGCUUGUCCUUCAACGCGUACAACGUGUUUGUUAUUUUUCUCCCUUCAAAUUGUAUGAUCUUAUUCAUUAAAUGAAUUAAUGAAUUUCCCUUUUAAAAAGAUAUAUUUUUAAAAAUUAAAUACUUUAUAAAAUAUUUAAAAAUUUGUAAGCCUUAAAACAAUCAACAAAAUAUUUUUGAAAUUUUAUAAAUAUAUUUUAAAACUAUAGUAACGCUACAAAAUAUAUAUAUUUACUAAUUAUAUGCACCUUUUUUAUUUUUAUUUCCUAACAUAUCAUUAUUUUCAACACUAUCGUAAUCCUGUUUUGAUAAUUCCCUUUCCAUACAUCCUUUUUCUACAUAGAAUUUCAAAAGAAAAUGUGAAUUAAUGUAAACGUGAGAAGACUUAAUUACAUUUAUUAGUUUAUCAAUCAAAACUUAAUUAGAAUCCAUCAAUAUUUCACACAUCAAAAACCCAAACAUAAAAUUCACUUUUAAAUUAUUUGAAGAUACAUUUGUAUUAUAGGAAAUCGAUUAAAUUAGUCUUUUAUUAUUAAAUGUAUUAUUUUAAUCUUUGUAUUAGGUAUGAAUGAUAUCUCCUAAAUUGAAGCCAGAGCUAUUCUUGAAAGACUGAAAUUAGGAUUCAGAUGUGUUGAGAUGGAAAGUGACAACACAAUGUUGAUUGAAACUAUUUGUAACAGGUUGACUACAAUAAGUAGUGCUGCCGAAGUAAGACAGAUUCACGAUUGGUGUUCCAAAAAUUGGGAAGUCAAAUUUAGACAUAUUCAGCGGAAUGCCAAUAAAGUUGUUGAUUGCAUAGCUAAGGCAAAUGGAGGCGUAAUUGAGCAGCUGGUUAUCUUGGAAGAUCCUCUGCAUUAUGUGAGAUGGUAGCUUGAAGAAGAUAUUAGACAGUCACUAGUGACUGAUGAUAAUUUUCAUUUGGACUGAUGAGCGCUUAAUUUUCUAAGCUUAUGUUCAACAAAAAAAAUUUUAACUACGUUUAAAUUGUAAUAGAGUUAACAUUUAGUGUUUAAAAAAUAUCUUAAAAAUUAUUAUUUUUUCCAAUUGCAGUUCAAUUCCACAAAUAUCGACGAUGAAUCCGGACAUAAAAAUUAUAGAAAAAAAACACAUCUAUUAUCAAACCAACAAUCCAUGUCUAAACUUAAAUUAACAAAAUUUGCCACGCAACGCCCAGUACACUAUUAUAUAUAUACUAGAUUUAUUCUAGAUGCACAUGUUUUAUUAUAUUUAAAAUUUAAAAUAUAUGGUUGACUAAGUGUUAGUUGAGUUAGUAUUGCUAUUAUUGUCAGUGUAAGGAAAUGUGAGUUUAAUUGCGCUCAAAUGUGUUUUAUCCUCCAAUUCAAGGGUUAGGAAAAGGUUAUUGAUAAUUAAGUUAUACCAACUUUUAUGAUAUUAAAAAAAGGAUUUAUAAAUAAUAUAAGGAAAAGAAAGAAAGAGAAACAUAUUCAUAUUGAUGGGCUCUUUCAAUAUUAGACUUUUUUUUCUAUCACAAGUAAAAAUAUCAAAGGUGAUAAUAAUUAAAUUAUAAAAUUUAAAUUGAGAAAAUAGGGGAUUGAGUUUAUAAGUUUUAAAGUAUAAAGAAUGAAUAUAUAACUAACAACAUAUUUUAACCACAUAAUAAAAGUAGUUAUGGUAAAAUAAUGACCUGAAUAAUUUUAAACGUCUCAUCCUUGCAAAAAUGAAAUAAUAGAAAAGAAAUAAGUGUUGGGUGUAGUGGCAAUGUACAUCAUACUUCUAAGGGGAGAUUAGGGUUUUAGACAAGGGAAGAAUUUUAAACUUGCUCUUUUCUCUAGAACUCAACGCAAACCUCAAAUUUAUCUUUUUAAAAGAAUUUAAAAAUAUGUAUAUAAAAGGUGAUUUUUUUACCGAUCACACUUAACAAAAUUUUAAAAAAAAAUGAAAUUUAAAGUGAUCUAAAAACAUAUUUUUAAGUGCUUUAGACCAUCCUGUGCUGAUUUCUUUAGUAAUUUGAUUUGUUCAAUAUAGAUUUUGGUAACUUAAAACAAAAUUAAUAAAAAAUUAUUUUUUUAGAUAUCUUUUUAAUGUUUAAUAAUAAGUUAAUUUAUAAAAUAUACUUUCAUUGGACACAGGGCCUCCAAGGCGGUGAACCACUAAUCAAAUUAAUUUUGAGAUACUUAAAUUUGUUUUCAUCAAUUAAGAAAUUAAAAAAAUUGUUGAGACCUCAUGAUUAUGUUUUAUAAUUUCAGGCUUAUCAACUAUUUUGAAAAACAACAAAACGUCUUACACCAAAAACUAAAAAAUAAAAACGUCGACAUUAAAUUUGUUGGCAUGCAAUCAAUUUUAAGAUGGUUUUUGGAGUUAUAUAUCACCUUAGCAUUGACUUACUUUUCUACAGUUUGUCUUCUCCAACAAGUUAAAUAUUUCAAUUUUAACAACAUUGACAGGUCUUUGGGGUAGGGUCGAGCAAAAUUCAAUAAAAACAGAUGAUAUAAGUUGAGUUGGCUCGGCCAAGUCGAGUCGAUUUGUUCAAAUUAUUUAAAUUAGUAAAUUUUAGGGUGCAAUUAGAAUUUUUUGUUUUGAGAUGCUAAUUAGAUUAAAAAAUUUCAGUUGCUAAAACAAAAAAAUUGUAUUUAAAAAGGCAUAAAUUAAAUAAUUAAGUUUUUCGAGUUUCCAUUUAAUCAAAGGUUAAAAGGACUAAAUUGAAGCUUUUUAUUUUUAAGAAAGGCUGAAUGACAAAUUGCCCAAAGCCCAUGGCCCUAGCUAUACAACUAACUUUUCUAUGAUUAGUCCUUGGUUUGCUUUGGGUGAAAUCUUCCAACUAGCCUCAUCCUUGGUUUUACUUUCCAACAAUUAGUGUAUCGCGGGUUUUGUUUUCUUUAAAAAAUAUUUGUGGAUAUUAGGAGAUAAUGAAAAUUAUUUUACUAUGAAAUUUUAAUAAAACUGGAAAAUAAGUAAUUUAUUUUAAGAGAUCACAAUUAAACGUUAGAUUUCCCCUUUUUAAAUUAUAAAUUUUUUUUUGACAAUUGCAUAAUAUUUUGAGCGUUGUAGGAAUGCCAUAAUAUAACCUUCCCUACGCAUAAUCGACUCUUGAGCAUGAUGGAUCCUAGACCUUCUCCUCUAUUCUCGUACCACAAAUUGCUUCAAGUGUGGGUUCGAACAAUCACAAAUUAAACGCAAAACCAAAAAUGAUUUAUUACUUUCAAUAGCAAAGUAAUUCUCUCUCAAUAGAAACCAAUAGAAUUGUAAUUCCUAGAAAAUAAAAUUUAUUUUUUGAAAAUAUAUUCUCACUACUUUCUAGCAGAAUAACAAUAUGUGAAACUUAUGUCUUGUGUUAAUAGCUCUACCAGUACUAUCUAUUUAUAGGGAGAGACACGAGAAUCCUGGUUGAAUUAGUAAAACACGAAUAAUAUUUAUUUCAUAGAAAACAAUAUUCCACCCUAAGUAGAUCAAGUUUGUAUGACGCAUGGAUCAAAGCUCAAUCUAGGAGAAAAAAAACAAAGGAAUUUUCUUUGUAAAGAAAAUUUGAGAUUGUACUAUUUUCAAAGUUAUAAAUAAAAUUAUACGCCAAAUUUUCAAGUCAAUUUUCAACUCCAAUUUUGUAUGCACAAAUUUCUAAUACACUUGGUGGGACAUUCUUUGACUUUUAUCUAUUCUCUCAAAAAGUUAAAGUUCAAAGUUACAUUAAACUCAAAGAAGAUAUUCAUUAGUAAACCACCUCACAAGCCUGCUCAAGCUAAUCCUACAACUCGUUCCACUUCAUCAUCAAACACCAAUAUUCUUGCUUAUCCUUAUGGAAUUAAACAGUCUCAUUUUCUGCAUUUUGGGUACACACUUAGUUUUGUUUGAUGCUAAAACAGUCCCCGAGCACUCCAAAACCUAUAAUUGAACAAAUAAUACUAAUUUAAUCUUACAUAACAUGAUCCCAAAUUGAAAUUGUAUCGAGGUUUUAACCCAUAAGUGACUAAACCUUACCUUCAACCGAUGAACAGUAAUUCCCACACAAACUAAGACUCCAAUUGGAGAUUACGAGCCAUUGAAUCCUCCCCUAAUUGGCAUAAACAAAACACUUCAAAAGAAAGUUAACAAAUGGAGACAAAUCACUUAUCUAAAACUUACCGAACGAUCACAGAAAAACGUGGAGUGACACGAGGCAGAGUGGGAAAAGAAAAAUCAAGAGGAUGAAGGGUGAAAGAGAGCAAAAAUUCGGUAGCAAUGAAGAGAAAAACAGCAAGAAAGUGGAGGGAUUUUAGGGAAAGUAAAAAAAAAGAUGAAUAGAAUAUUUGAUAACUACCCAAUCCCUUAUUUCUCUCUAUCAAACUCCCCACUAAAUCCACUACUCGAAUUUUUAGUCCAUCUCAAACUCUCCUGGACGCACGAGCAAAAAAUAAUGACCAUGCCAAAAUUUAAACAAAAGACCUCCUUCACACCAACACUCCACUUAUCCACCAGACCAAUAGGCUCAUUCUUUUAAUUAUUUUCCAACUUUUACUUAAAAGCCUACUGACCAAAGAUAGGGCUUAUUCAUAAAAAUACCAAAUUUUGCCCAAGACCUGGCUUGAACUUGGGACCUCUCAAACACACCCAGAACACAUAACCACUAAAGCAGACAGAAAUUUUGUGUCACACAUUCACAAUACCCAAAAUUAAAAUUUUAGGGCGUUACAAAAACACAUUAAACAAUAUCGCAUAAAACAAUCACAGUCAGAUAACAAUUCAGAAUGUCGAUUUUACAAUUUAACCACCAAUAGUAUCAUAGUAUUCACAGUUGUAAUUUCAGAAUAUCAAAUUUCCACAUCAUUCACAAUAUUCACACAUAUAUAAAUAUAUCAUAAUAGAAUUCUAGAUUUGUAUGCACAUGAUUUAGAAGAUGCCAUACAAUUUUGGGUUUUAACAGAAUAAAUCCUACCCCACAUUACAUACCAUAAUGGGAGUUCCCCUAAACUCCCUUCUCCAACACACUAGGUUGUGGAUAAACCACUAUUGGUUCACAAAUAAUAACUGUCAUUUGGCUGUGGACACAUAGCAAGUCCCCGCAAUUGGAUUCUAGAUUUGGUUGUGGAUUCACAGCAAAAAAAUCCUACAAAUGAAGCCUGCUUUUGCCUGUAGAUUAUACAACAUAUACCCGCAGUUGGAAUCUGUCUUUGGCUGUGGAUGCAGUGUAACACCUCAAACUCGACCUAGACGUUAUGGCUAAAUCUUAAUGAUUUACUUUAACUCGCUAGAAAGCCCACGAAUUUACUUUAAAAUCAUGUGGUUAAACUAGUGUUCACUUUGAUAAAUCGUUUUCCAGUUUUAGAGAAAAUUCUUGUUAAAACUGUUACUUUAUUACAAUAAAACAUUGAAGUAAUUGUAUCAUUUUGUAGUGGAAUCUACUAAGCUAUAAGGUUUUGAAAAUCGUGAUUUAGUUUGAAACAAAUCAUUUUGCAAAUAGAAAUUUAAUACUACUUAAUUUGGAAAAGCACGCUAAAACGAAAGCAAAGUCCAAAAUAAUUUACGGUUUGAAAUUCUAAAAAGCCCAAAUUAGUCAUAAAGUCUAUUUAAACCAAUUUAUCGAAAGUGUAACACCCUAAACCCGGCCUGUAUGUUAUGGCCAAAUCUAGAUGUGUUACGAAAAAAAGUUUAUAAAACGACUUCCUUGUUAUUGGCAAAUCAUCGUAGCCAUUAUUACUUAGUAUAUCUGAUUUGUUUGGAAAACUUAUUGAUAUACUUAUUUGAUUUAAAAUCGUUGCUCACUUACGCCUUUUUAUUAAACCAAAUAUUUUGCAGCGGAGUUUCUUUAAAACAUCAUAUUUUGGAAAAUCAAAUUGUUUCUUGAAAAUCGUUAUUUUAGAAAAGUUGUCAUUUUCAGAAAAAUUAUUUUAUCAGUUGUUAUGCUGAGAAAACAAAAUAAAAUCCAAAACCAAAAAUAGUCCCAAAAAGUCUAGAGAGUCCCAAAAUGACAAUACUCUUAAAACUAGACAAGUUUAAACUAAUUUUAAAAGAAUGAAAUUUUACAGAAAUGUGGACACCACUGAGCUUCCGUCGCACCGACCCACCUAAAUCUGAGGGUUACUUGAACAGAAUAAACAAACAGAGAGUGAGUUUUGAAACUUAGUGUCUAACGCGUAUAUAAACAAAAAUUCAGAAUCAAUCUCAUGCAGAACAGAUACAAGUGUAAACCUUUUAUAAAAUUAGAAUUAUACAGAUACAAAUAUGCAACAUCCUACCCUCAUCCUCUACACACCAACUCCGACCAUUCUAUCACACCACGUGGGGUAUAAAAUACCCACCCAGCCCUACACACCGUAUAGUAUUUAUAUGACACUUUUUGGAAUAAUCGCAGCAGAGUUGCCAGUAUAUAGGCGAGAUAUCACCUCACACAGAACACUUCCUCCUCAUAAUACAAAUCCCGCCCCAUAGCCAGAUACAGACAAAAUAUCAUGUAAAAUAAAUUAACAGAUACUAGAGUUAACAUAUCACGCAUGAGCGUAUAAUAGAUAUUACACAUGCUUAUGCAUAACAAAAUAGAUCAUACAUAUUGUAUUCCAUAAUACUCAUAUAAAUGUUAUUUACGUCAAUCUCAAUCUAAUAGAGUAGCUGAUUUCAUGCUUUAACUCUUAUACCACACAUACAGACCCUAUAGAAGGCCCACAGUUGAUCGAGACAACAUGUAUGUCCCUAGGGAAAAAAUUUGUAAUUUGGGCCCAUAUGCAUGUAUGAGCCCACACACCCAAAAUGGCCUUGCCCAUGUGGCUCACCUACCUAGCACUCAGCCCAUACGGUCCAAAAUGGCCUAGGUCGUGUGUCACACACAGCCGCAUGUUGCACACAGCCUACCACAUAGCGAGUCACAAAACCGUUUGGAGUUGACAAGCCUAAUUUUUGGCUUUCGUCAAUCGUCAUUUUCUUACGUUUUCAUUACACACUUGGUUUGAUUCUGACCCAAAAGCAACCCUAAGUCCACCGAAACCUAAAAAUAGCAUUCCAAUGCCCAAUUUCAGUGAACAUUUACAAAACUUAAACAAAAACUAUCCAAAAACAUAGCCUCACAAUAGCAUCCAAUGCACUCGCACACUUACCGUCAACGAAUAGGAAACACCCAACACUCAAUUCGUUGGCGGAGCACCAAUUAUGAUAAUGCAAAAAUUUUAUGGAUUCUCAACACUAUCGAUCCAAAUGUAAGAUUGAUGCUUUCCAAUUAUGAUAAUGCAAAAAUUUUAUGGGAUGGUUUACAUGAAUUUUUGUUGUUGUCAACGAUCAAUGUAUUCAAUAAUUAAAAGAAAAUAUUAGUCGUUGUUAGAAAACCAAUACUAUGAGUGUUGUAGUUUAUUUCAGUAAAUUAAAGGUUUUGUGGGAUGAACUAGACAAUCAUGAACAAUUGAUUUAUUGCAAGUGUGGACAAUGUUUAUGUAACUUAGGGAAGACGGAUGAACAAUGUCGUGAGCAUGAUCGACUUCAUCAAUUACUUCUUGCUCUCUAUUCUAAUUGUUAUGCUCAAACUAGGUUUACAUUGUUUUACCAAGAUCCUUUGCCUUCCUUAAAUCAGGCAUUCCAACAAAUUACUUAGGAGGAACAUGUACGUGGAAUUACACUGAUUAAGGAAGAGAAGUCUGAUAUUUUAGGCUUUGCUUUGCAUACAGAAGGUCAUAACAAAGGCCGAGCUAAUUGUAUUGAUAAGUCAACCUUGUUGUGCACUCAUUGCUAUCGCAAAAGGCAUGAGAUGGCUACCUAUUUUGAAUUACAUAGCCACUUGGAUUGGCGGCUUAAGAAGUAUGGGAAGCCAGAGAAGAAAAGUGAUGAUCGUGGUGGUAAGACAAGUGCACAUCUUCCACGUAAGUAUUUUAUUUCAAAGGAUCACAAUUAAACAUUAGAUUUCUCAUUUUUAAAUUUUUUUUAUUUUUUUAACAACUACGUAAUUAACGAGUACCAAUUUUGGGUGUUGUAGGGGUUCUAUAACUUUCCCUAUAUGUAAUCGACUCUUGCACCCUCUUUUUUUCUCUAGAAUUCAAUGCAAACCUUAAAUUUAUCUUUUUAAAAGAAUUUUAAAAUCUCUUUAUAAAAGACGAUUUUUUUAGGUGACCAAUCACAGUUAAGAAAAACAAAUCGGUGGCAACUCCUUUCUAAUAAAUGUAAAAAACUUUUUAAACAAAAUAAGGUUGAAAUAAUCUAGUUGUCGUUAUACUUUGAUAAAAUUUUAGAUUUAGUCCUUAUACUUAAAAGGUUAAAAAUUAAGUCUUGUUUUUAUUUAAAAAUCUUAGUCCUAUCGUUAAUAUUGUUUUUUUUUUGUCAAAAUUUGUCAAGUUGACAUAUUAAUUAGGUUUCUCUUAUAUAUCGUGGUAUAUGACUAACACAAAAUAAACAAGUUGACAAAUUCUACAAAAAAUAUCAAAGAUGAUAAUAGUUUAAUUAAAAUUUUUAAAUUAAAAAAGUAAGGGAUUAAAUUUAUAACUUUUAAAGUAUAAUGAAUGAAAUUAUUGAAAUACAAGAACUAACAACAUAUUUUAAAAAUAUUACUAGUAAAUUAUAUAUCUACAACAAGAAUUGUAACCUCUUAUAUUAUAUUCUUGUAUUUAUUUUUGCAUCUUUCAUAAUAUGAUUUAUUAAUUUUAAUAUUUUUAUAGAAUAAUAUGCUUUAAAUAGUUUUUUGUAUCAUUUAUAAAAAUUAUAAUAAACUUACAAAAUAAUUUAAUGAUAUUUAAUUAUUAAUCGAAAAAAAUGAUAUCAUAUAUAUUAUGUAUAUAUUAAGAUUCCAAAUCAUUAAUUAUAUAUCUACGCAUUAUAAUAAAUUCAUCUUUCAAAAUUUUCCUUAUAAUUAAAGCAUAAAUUAUAUUUAUAAUAAUAUAAAUAUAUUCUAUCAUAAAUAUUCUUUCAAAUAUUUUUUAAUGUUUAAUAAUAAGUUAAUUUAUAAAAUAUUCUUUCAGUAAAUUAACGUGAUGAGAUCGUUAGGUGCUUGGAUUUGGUGAAGGGGGAUGAAGAGAAAAGGGAUGGAAGUGAAUAAAAAUGUUGAGAAAUGGAAAGGGUUAGCGAGGGAAGCCGCCAUGAAAGGUGGUUCAAUGGAUAUGAACCUUCAAGCUUUUGUGGAUGAUGUUACUCAAGGUUGUUGCAAGUAAAUUUAAAAAUGUUUUUAAAUUAUUUUUUUGUUAAAAAAACAUUUUUUACUUUUUUAUGUGGCAUGCCACAUUAUCAUACUAUCAUGUGACAAUUUCUGGUGAUUUCUGUCCGCAACAUUAGUCAAAUCAACUGUUAAAUCGUUCAACUCACAGUUUUUGUUAAAUGAAGAGGUUAAUUGAUUUUUUUUUGGAAUCAUUGAGUACUCAAUUGGUGCACUUUUUUCAUAAAGGCUAAAUUAAUUUUUUAAUUUGUUAUUGUUGAAGGCUAUAGCAAUAAAAAAAAUUGAGGUAAAAAAAUAUUAGAGCUAAAUUUGUCAUUAUGCCUAAAAUGUAAAACCAAAUUUUUUUGAAAAUGAAAAAAAAUGGAAAAUCGCAAAUUCCGUCGCAUAUUUUUGCUUAAAAUUAUAGUUUUGGUCACCAAUCUUUUGAAGUAAAUAUAGGUCACCAAUAUUAUCAAUUUGUUACUUUGUAAUAACUCACCUUAAGUUAUACCCCGACGCACGAAAGGAUUAAAUGACAUUGGGAUACCAUCAAACUUGUAUCUUAAAUACACAUUUACCCCUAAUUUUAUCACAUUCUUCUUAAUUGGUAUUUAUGGUUUAGAAAAUUUUACAAAUAUAUUAUUUUUUAAGAAAUUAUAAGAAGAUUACAAAAAUUCCAAAAUAAUAUAAAAAAGCUAAGGAAAACCUAGAAAUUCAAAAAAAAAAACGUGGACAUUGAAUUUGCUGUUUCACAUUAAAUUUUUGGAGAAGUAGAAUUUUCUAACUUAUUUUCCAUCAACUUCACUUCAAUUUUCAAUCACAAUCUAUUGCAUUCAAGAGCACCACAUCUUUUGGGAUGAAACAAACCUCUCAAUUUUAAGAUAAACGGAAUCUAUUGCAUUCAAGAGCACCACGUCUUUUUGGAUGAAACAAAGCUCUCAAUUUUAGGAUAAACGGGUCUUUAGGGUUAUAAAUUGAGGUCCUUUUCCACAAUUGCGGGUGAUUCGUUGAUAAUAACCUCAACAUUUCUGUAUCACAUUUAAUUCAAUUCCACAUUCAAUUUUUAGUUUUUAGAGAGAUGAUUGGGUUACAACAAUGGUUUGAAGUGAAGAUAUUUCAAAACAAGAUGAAUACUCUACCAAUAGUCAUAAUUUAAAAUGCAGGUUAUGUUUCAUUUCAGCUAAGUUAAAUGUUAAGAUUGAGGUUAAACCUUUUAGAGGUUGCUCGCAAAAGGAUCAAACCUUUAUAAAAUUGUUUAAAUGAAGGUCAAACCUCUUAAAAUAGACAAAUAAGGGCCUAACCUUUUAAAAGGUGUUCAAAUAAGGGUUUCUCAAAUUUUGUAUAUCAGGUUAUGUAUUUUACUCUAAACACAUCGACAUUUACCUAUUUUUUCUAUAAAUUGGGUUGAAGUGCAUGAAAAAACCUUAUUUAAGCACUUCUGUAAAGGUUAAACUCUUAUUUGACUAUUUUGAAAGGUUUGAUCCUUAUAUAAGCAACCUCUAAAAGAUUGAGUACUAAUUUGACAAGAUUGAGAAAUACCUAAAUUUGUUUUCAUGAAUCAAGAAAAUAAAAAAGAAAUGUUGAGAAAUAUUUUAGAGAUUCUUAGCUUUGACAAGUUCCCUCCAUCAUCUUCCUGCCUCCAGUCCCACCUCUUCUCUUAUGCUCCUCCCAGCUUCUUGCUUUUUGUGUGUUGAAAUUUCAAAGGAACAAAAUAUCAACCUACAUCAUAAGGCACGAUUGCCAGAACUUUACUUUCUAGCCUGUCGAUCCGAUCCAAUGAAAGAAGAACAAAGAGUCUCAAGAUCUGUCAACUUUAUUUCAUUUUCAUUUUCUUUGUCAUUUUCUAUGUUUCAUGUCGAAUACAAUGAAAGAACAUAGAAAAAUGUUGCCUAUUUAUUUCCCAAUCAUCAUGAAAUUACUUGCCAUAGACUUAGAAUUUUCUCACCAAUUUUCAAGCAAUCUGACAUGAUUUCUCAAUCACAAUUAAUUGAAUUCAAGAUCUUUUUAGAUGACACAAACAUUUCAAUUUUAACACAAACCAAUAUUUAGGUUGUACUUCAGUGCUUGACAAGCACUUUCACAUUUGUGGGAUAAGAACUCUUAACAUUUUAGGAUCACAUUUAAUUCAAUUGCAUUUAAGACCUCACGAUUUUAUUCUAUAAUUUCAGUCUUAUCAGCCUUUUCGGAAACAAUAAAACGUCGACAUUAAAUUUGUUGUUGAUGCAUUCAAUUUUUUGAGGGGUCUUUGGAGUUAUAUGUGACUUUAGCAUUGACUGACUUUUUUAUAAUUAAUCUUUUAUAAUAUAUCAAUUUUAAUAACAUCGACAUGUUUUUUAGUAGGGUCUAGCAAAACCCAAUUAAAACCGAUGAUAUUGGCUUAGUUGACUCGGUCAAGUCCAUUAGAUUGAUAAAAUCAAUUUUAAAAUCAGUUAUAAUGGAUUAAGGUAAUUAAUUAUCGAGUAAUGAAAUACAUAAUCAAAUCAAUUGAUUUUGUUAGAAACUAAAAGAAAAUGAGAUAAGCUGAAAACUGAUUGCCCUUUAUUAAAAUUAACGAAUCCGCCCUUUACGUAUUAGAUAAUACGAACAUCACAUAUAUAAUAAGAAAAAUUACGUAUGAUUAUUUAUUAUCAUAAAAGGUUAGUUUAAAUUUAAAGUAAUCUAAUAUGUUUAUUGAACUUCAACUAUUAAAUAAAGUAUAAGCUAAAUAAGUAUAAAUAUUCUAGAAACCAUUUCUAACUGAUGAUAGGCUAAUUCGAUUAAUUUAUAAAAACUACAUAGUAGGGUUAUAGUCCUCAAACUACACCUAAUUUAAUAAUAUUUAUAGUUUUUUUUUUAGCCUUAAACAUUUAUAGUUUUUUGUUAAUUUGGUCCUUACUCUUUAAAAUUACAUAAAAAUUGCAAAAAAAAUUAAAAUUAAUUUUUUUUCAUAAUUUUAAUAACAUUUAUAGUUUUUUUUUUGUGUGUGGUUUGGUAACUUAUCAACUCGACUCUCACUUGUAACCAACUUUUCUAACCUUUUUCGUACCCUUAACCUAAGUCCCGUUACAACUUUCUAAAGACCUCUUUAUCAGUGUAUCAUGUCGGUUUGUUUUAUAAUGGUGGAGAUUUGUUUUUUGUAGUGGCACGAUUGCCAGAACUUUACUUUCUAGCCUAUCGAUCCGAUCCAAUGAAAGAAGAACAAAGAGUCUUAAGAUCUGUCAACUUUAUUUCAUUUUCAUUUUCUUUGUCAUUUUCUAUGUUUCUUGUCAAAUACAAUGAAAAAAGAACAUAGAAAAAUGUUGCAUAUUUAUUUCCCAUUCAUCACUCUAACAGGCCCAAUUAGCCCAGGCCCAAACAUUAAUAAAAUGUCUAGAUUACAAAAUAAUCAACUAAAAAUUAAAAGCUCAAAAAAUAAAAUAAAACCCAUUAUAUUAACCCAAAACCCCAGCCCAAUUACAUUGAAACCCAAAAAAAAAAUAGUUUUCAGAAACCCCUAGGGUUUCAGAAGCCCCUCAAUGUUAUUUUGUAUAUCUAUUUAUCUUUUUAAAUUUUCGAUAUUGUCUUGUUUUGUUUUUGUAUUAUUGUUGUUACCAUCAUUAUUCAUUAUUAUUAUUGUUGAUUUUAUUGUUCUUUGAUUAAUGUUAAUGUUAGAGUAAUAGAUGUUAUGUGAUCAUUGUUAUUAUAUGUUAUAAUUUGUUUACACUCGUAUUGUAGUCAUUUGUCAGCUUAAUAUUUUGAGUAAUAUUUUAAAUAUUACAUUAAUUUCGACCCAAAUGCAUAAUUUUUUAAUAAGUAAUAUUUUAUAUUUUGAAAUUUGAGAGAUCAUUCCCUAACUUACGGGGUCUCAAUUUUUUCGAUAAAUCUGAAUAUACUAACUAUUUUCAAAAAAUAUGUUUUAAAAUUAUCUCGGGAAUUUAAAAAGGAGCGUGUUCUAACUUACUGAAUAUGAUCUUUUUUUUAAAAUCGAGAUAAUCAAAUAACUUUCAAAUAAAUAAAUUUUCAAUGUUUAUUCUCAUAUCAGGAUUUAAAAUAUUAUAUCCUAACUCACGGGAUACAAUUCUUUUUCUCGAUUAACAUGAAAUAUGCCCGUUUUAAUUUUAUUUUUUAAGUGAUUUUAACAAAAGGAUUGUAUUUUAAAUCUCUUCAAAAUUUUCAAUUUUUCGACAUUGAGACAUUAACUAAUCAAUUAGGUACCAAUUUUGGGCGUUACGAGGGUGCUAACCCUUCCUCAUACGUAACCGACUCCCGAACCUAUUUUUCUGAAUAUUGAAGGCCAAAAUUGUUUUAAUAAAUUAAACCCUUAAGACGUGACCCCAUCACACCUCAUAAAAAUUAUCGGUGGCGACUCUCGUUUGCGUUUUUGUUUUCGUUUUCAAAAUAAAAGUCGACCCCUUGUUUUAAAAAAGGUGGUUCGAUAGCUUGGCGACUCCGUUGGGGAAAAAAAUAAGAGAGUCAAGCCACGAGUUGAUUAUUUCUUAUUUUUUGUCAGAAAUUGUGAAUUCGAUUUAAAUUUACGAUCUUUUCAUUGCAUUUUAUGGUCUGCAUCAUUUUGAUAUGCUUGCUUUACUGGUUCGAGUCUUUUAAUCUCCGCAUAUUGCAUUGCAUAACCGUUCGGUUAUACCCUUUUAAGUGGGAGUGAGAAACUAUUCAUUUGUGAGAUUUUUACCUCCGUAUAGGAUAGUGGAUUACUUUCGGGAUACAUCCGUACCUAUGUCUUCGUGAGAUUUUCAUCUCCGUAUAGUUAUAGGGAAAUGUAUUCCCCUGAACUGAACUCAGUCCGUAUGAGCCUAUAAUAGGUAAGGAUUGAGGAAUCUGCUGGUUCAGGUACCCUUUCUUUAGAACUAAACUGCAUGUAGUGAGCCCUAAGAGCAUACCGUAGGUAGAACCACUCCAAACCCCUAGUGGUCACCCAAAUAGGUGCUCUAUUUAUUUUUGCUUGCUUAUUUUUGCAUUGUACUAACCUAUUUUUUUGUUAUGAUUGCAUUGCAUUUUCAUCAUAAAAAAGAUGUGUUGAUUCACGUUCAAUUGCUAAAUAGAGAGCUUGUCAUGGAAAACGGAUUUCUUGAUAAAGUGGAAGACAAUGUGGUUAUCCGGAUAUGGUCCAAGAAAAUUUGACGAAAGAAGGGUGAUAGUCUAAUGGAGGACUACACGACCUUGCUUUAUUGCCCGAGGAUUCAAGUUGACAAAGAUUAUUUGAGAGUCCUCAAUGUCCCGACCUUUUUCAAGAAGCUAACGAGUGUCACGAGGAUGAGUGAGUAAUGAGUUGCGGCCCGGAUCAAGCAAAAAAGAGAUAGAGGAGACACCCUUUUUGAAGAGUUCGCGAGAUUUAUAUUAAUAUCAAAAUGAAGAAAAAGAUCAAUGUCUUCGCCUGGAGUAUGAAAGCAAAGCUGUAUAUAUAUCCGCUUUAUGUAAAUAAAUUUGUUUUCUAGUAAAGUUUUUCUAAUAGAAUUGAAUCAGAAUCAAUGUCUUUUUUUGCAUUCAUUCCAUUCAUCUGCAUUGCAUUUCAUUGCAUCCAAAAUUUCACAAAAGGACCCUAAUUAAUUGAAAUUGUUAUAGUUACUCUGAAAACUAAUAAAAAUCUACCAAUUAAAUAUUCCUACGGUACCCGUCGCAAAACCAAAGUAAUGGAUCAAAUAUUAGAAAGAUUAGAACAAAUUCUGAAAGACAAGCAUAAUCGUUUUUGCUUAGGGUACAAGCCAGAUACAAGACAAAGAAGGAAGGAGUUAGAGAAGAAAUAGGAAAGAAUGACAGCAUAUUUGAGCGAGGAUGAGGUCAAAUGGGAGCCUAUGAACUUUCCCUACAUAUCCAAAACUUUUGUAUCGGGAGGGAUUAUUCAUCCCGAGCGAAGAAUGCCAAGAGAAGAAAAUAUUGAAGAAAUGUUGGGAAACGUUCACAUCAAUGCCAUAUACGAAGAAGUAGUUGAAGGAUGGACCUUGUUAGAUAUCCGACCUUAUGAACCUGGGAGUGUGCUAAACAAUUGGACUACAGAAGAAAUUCCUGUAGUGUUUAGACCUUACUCAGAGUAAUAUUCAAAACACACUUGUUGCUUUUAGCCUAGAAGUGAUAAGAAUCCCUCUGUGAAAUAGGCUCAUGUAUAAACAUCAUUAUUUUAAUAAAGUAAAUCUUUGCAUUCAUUUUGAGCAAAUAUUCUUUUAUUCUUUCCAUACGAGUAAUUAUUUUAGAUUUUUCAUUAUUUUAGGAUUUUCUUCCAAAAAUCAUUCUUUUAUUACAUUCAUAAUCAUACUGUACAAAUAAUUAUUCUUAAAUUCAUUCAUUCUUUGUAUAUUCUUUUGUACCUAUAAUAGGUCCCUAGAUAUCAACGACAUGAGUGACGCUGCUACAGACUUAGAAUUUCCUUUUAAACAAGACAUGUGUUUAGAGGGAUCCCAUGACUUUGAAGAUGACGUAGACUGUGGCUUAUCUCCGGACUUGUUAAGGAUGGUAAAACAAGAGGAGAAGCAAAUCCUACUUCACAAUGAAUCAAUGGAAAUUGUGAGCUUAGAAGGGGAAAAUAGGUGAAGAUUGGGACUGACAUUGCCACAAAUACGAAGUAAGACCUCAUUGAGUUACUCUAAGAAUUCAAAGAUAUUUUUGCAUGGUCAUACUAGGAUACGCUCGGGUUAAGUACUGACAUUGUAGUACACUGCCUUCCUAUAAAAGAAGAUUGCUAGCCAGUUCAGCAGAAACUCCAGAGGAUGAGGCCUGAUAUUGUGCUAAAAAUAAAAGAAGUCAAAAAGUAAUUUGAUGUUGGGUUCUUACAAGUGGUCAAAUAUUCAGAAUGGGUAGCCAACAUCGUCUCAGUUCCUAAAAAAAAUGGGAAAGUACGAAUGUGCAUGGAUUACAGAGACUUGAACAAGGCCAGUCGAAAAGACAAUUCCCUAUUGCCUCACGUUGACACUUUGGUGGAUAAUACAGUAGGCUACUCACUUUUUUCCUUCAUGGAUGGCUUCUCUGGAUACAAUCAGAUAAAGAUGCAUCCAAAAACAUGGGAAAGAUUACAUUCGUGACCCUGUAGGAAACGUUUUACUAUAAAGUGAUGACAUUCAGAUUAAAGAAUAUGGGAGCGACGUAUCAAAGGGUGAUGGUAACCUUGUUUCAUGACAUGAUUUACAAGGAAAUCGAGGUUUAUAUUGACGAUAUGAUUGCAAAAUCUAGAACAGAAGAGGAACAUGUGCAGGUCCUGAGAAAAUUAUUCUUAAGACUGAGAAAGUUCUAGCUCAAGCUUUCCAACGAAAUGCACUUUCGGAGCUAGGUCAGGAAAGCUAUUAGGCUUCAUAGUCAGUGAAAAAGGAAUCGAGAUCAACCCAGACAAAGUCAAGGUAAUAAGAGAUUUACCUCCACUAUGCACUCAGAAGAAAGUUCGAGGUUUCCUAGGAAGACUAAAUUACAUUGCUCGGUUUAUUUCACAACUAACCGAAAAAUGUGACCCCAUAUUUCAUCUUUUAAAGAAACAUAAUCCAGAUGUAUAGGAUGAAGAAUGUCAGGAAGUUUUUGAUAGGAUAAAGCAGUACCUAUCAAAUACUCUAGUGCUGUUACCACCUAGCCCAGAUAGGCCACUGAUAUUGUAUUUAACAGUGUUUGAUAAUUUUAUGGGAUGCAUGCUAGGCCAACAUGAUGAGACAGGAAGGAAAGAAAGGGUUAUAUACUAUCUCAGUAAGAAAUUCACUGAUUAUGAAAUAAGAUACUCGUCUAUUGAGAAAUUAUGUUGUGCCUUGAUCUGGAUAACUCGGAGGCUAAGGCGGUACAUGUUGUACCAUACGACUUGACUAAUUUCAAAGUUAGACCCUUUAAAGUAUAUGAUGGAGUCAACUACUUUGAAUGGGAGGAUGGCCAGAUGGCAGAUUUUACUUUUUGAAUUUGACAUACUUUAUGUGAGCCAGAAGGCUAUAAAAUGGAGUGCAAUAGCGGAUUUUCUAGCUAGCAGAGCCUUGGAGGAUUAUGAGCCUUUAAAUUUUGAUUUUUUGAACGAGGACUUAAUGUAUGUGGCAACCACUAAAGAAAAUGCUCAAGUGGAUCGCAUUUGGAAGCUAAAAUUUGACGGAGCCUCAAAUGCUAUGGGUAAUAAAAUUGAGGCAGUCUUAGUAUCCCCGAGCAGAGAUCAUUAUCCUAUUGCUGGCAAAUUGGAUUUUGAUUGUACAAACAAUAUAGCAGAAAAUGAAGCGUGUAUUAUGGGCAUCCGUAUAGCCAAAGAAUGUAAAAUCAAAGUGCUAAAGGUAUAUGGGGAUUCUGCAUUGGUGAUAUAUCAGCUCAAAGGAGGAUGAGAGAUAAGAGACCUCAAAUUGAUUAAUUAUCGAAAGUUUAUUCUCGAAUUGAUUGAUGAGUUUGAUGAUAUUACUUUCUCCUAUCUCCCACUAGAUGAAAACCAGAUGGCUGACACGUUGGCUACUCUAGCUUUCAUGAUCAAAGUAAACAAACUAGAAGACAUGAAGCCUAUCCAGAUGAGCAUUUAUGAGACUUUGGCUCAUUGCUACAGUAUCGAGGAAGAGGAAAAGGAUGAUCAUCCUUGGUACCAAGAUAUACUGCAAUAUGUAAAGAAUCACGAGUACCCUGAUCAGGCAACGAAGAAUGAUAAGAGGACAUUGAGAAGACUAGCCACUAACUAUGUCUUACAUGGAGAGAUUUUAUACAAAAAGGGAAAGGAUCGGGUACUACUAAGAUGCUGGAUGCUAUAAAAGCUUAGAAAAUCUUGGAGGAAGUCCAUGAAGGUAUCUGCAAAAUGCAUGCCAACGGUUUCACAAUAGUAAGACAGAUUAUGAGAUUCGGGUACUACUGGUCGACCAUGGAAGGAGAUUGCAUCAAUUAUGCCAAGAAGUGCCAUAAAUGUCAAAUUUAUAGAGACAAAAUACACGCACGUUCUUCACCUCUCAACGUUAUGACUUCUCUAUGGCCUUUCUCUAUGUGGGAUAUGGAUGUCAUCGGGCCAAUAUUGCCAAAGGCUUCUAAUAGGUAUCGUUUCAUCUUCAUGGUCAUUGGUUACUUCACUAAAUAGAUGGAAGCUGAUUCAUAUGCUAAUGUCACGAAGUCAGGAGUCAGCAAGUUCUUGAAAAGGGAGAUCAUAUGUUGAUAUAUAAUGCCUGAAAGAAUCAUAUCUGACAAUACAUUGAAUUCGAAAAAUAGCAAAAUAGCGGAGGUCUGCAAUCAAUUCAAGAUCAAACACCAUAAUUCGUCACCAUAUCGCCCAAAAAUGAACGGAGCAGUGGAGGCGGCCAACUAAAAUACCAAGAAAAUUGUGGGGAAAAUGUCUGAGACUUACAAAGAUUGGCAUGAAAAAUUACCAUUUGCCCUCUUUGUUUAUCGAACAUCAAUCAGGACUUUCGUCGGGGCAACGCCUUUCUCUCUAGUUUAUAAGAUGGAGGCAGUUUUACCCAUUAAAGUUGAAAUCCCUUCUCUCUGGGUAUUGGCUGAGCUAAAGUUGGAUGAAGCUGAAUAGAUCCAACCUCGAUAUGAUCAGUUGAACCUAAUAGAAAGAAAAAGGCUAAAAGUUAUUCACCACGGUCAGAUGUACCAAAAACGAAUGAUGCGAGCCUACAACAAAAAAGUUCAUCCCAAAGAAUUCUAUGAGGGGGACCUAGUGUUGAAAAAGAUUUUUCCUCUACAAAAGAAUUUUAGAGGAAAAUGGAUGCCAAAUUAGGAAAGACCUUAUGUUGUAAUAAAGGCCUUUUCUGGAGGAGCAUUGAUUUUGAGUGAGAUGGAUGGUAAAAAUUUUCCUAAUCUUGUAAACUCAGAUUCAUUCAAGAAAUACUUCACCUAAAGAAGGAGAAGGGACCAAUGUGAAAACCUGCAAAGGGCACUUUGAGUCUUAAAAAAAAGAGACCAAGGUGAAAACCGCAAAUGGUGUCUUAAGUCCUAAAAAAAAGAGGCCAAGGUGAAAACUAGCAAAGGGCGCCUUGAGACCAAAGGGGAUUUGAGUUGAAAACCCGAAAAGAGCGACUCAAAUAUUGAUUAAAAUGGGGCAUGCAGUGAUCUUGCUAUACUUGAAUUAAUAGGAAAGGGGUAUACGACAUCUUGGGGCAUCGACAAAGUACUAUAGAUCUCCUAAACACAUUUCAAACUCAAAAUGGUCUUUAGGAAGUUUGUACAGAGAAAUUCAAGCUGCGAUGUCUAGGGCACCUAGUCUUCAUACUAUUUAUAUUAAAUUUGCUAUUCUUGGAAUACUUUAUUCUUUUCAAGAUACGUGUUCCCAAUCAAUUCCCUUUUUAUUCUUCUUUAUCCUUGAUAAUUUAUUCAUUUCGAGCUAUGCUCCAAAUCAAUUCUAUUCUUAUCCAUUGUUAUUAUCUUUUGCAAGCAUGUUGUAUUGGAAUAAUGAUUAAUAGACUAAUAAUACUUUUACAAAUAAAGUGCUGUAUAUUACUCUAAAAGUUUCUAAAUAAUACAAGAACCUAAAACAGGACUAUUGUUUAGAACGCACCGGGUUUAAAGGUUAGAAAUAUCUGAGAAGGAAGAGUCCAAAUUAAGACUAUCCCUUCGAAUUUUGUUGUCAAAAUAUUGAUUGAACAAAACGACAAGAUAUCGUAUUGGUGAACAAACGAGCAAUGAUCACCAGGUAAUAAAAAGAGGUUAUUUUGGAAAAAAAAUUACAUUGGUACGACACCUUAGGAAUGGUGUAAGAGACCAAAGAGGUUCACAUCUUGUAUUCUUGAAUUGCAAUAGGAGAGGAUUGAGAAAGAGCUAGAUAUUAUACUCCUGAAUUAUAAUGGAAGGGAAAUGGUACAAAUUUUAUGUACCAAAAGUACAGUGGAUUGAACCUUGAAGAUUACAGUAGGGGAAAUCUGAUUAAGUAAAAUAUGAAGUGUUUCUUUGGAGAUACCAGUCGAACAAGAUGGCAUUAUGACGUGUCGGUGAUAGAGCCUUAAUGAAUAAUGAGCAAUAACAACUCAAGCAUUAAGGGAUCAUUUUCAUAACAUUCUGUAUUCAUUCAUACACAUCUAGUUAGGAGAUUUUGAUUCAUUCCGAUCAUAACAUCCAAAUCACUAGACAUAAAUAGGCCCAUGAAAUGGAUUCUACAGGUCAUGUUCCCCAUAGAACAGAUGGGUGAAACCACAAAUCCUAUACCGCUGAAGUUGCAGUGGGAUGGAUUGAAGUCAUUAUGGCGAGUCUUAUCUCCCUGAAGUUGCAAUGGAGCAUAUUAAAGCUAGUAAUCUUAUCUCCCUGAAGUUGCAGUAGAGCGGAUUGAAGUUACAAGUCUUAUCCCCCUAAAGUUACAGUGGAGCAGACUGAAGAUAGUGAAUCUUAUUUCCCUGAAGCUGCAGUGGAACAAAUUGAAGCUAUAAAUUGUAGAUUUUAUCUCUCUAAAGUUGCAAUAGAGAAGAUCAUAUCAAACUUUAUCUCCCUGAAGUUGUAGUGGAACAGGUUGAAAAUACCAAUCUUAUCUCCCUGAAGUUACAGUGGAGUAGACUGAAGAUAGCGAAUCUUAUUUCUCUGAAGUUGCAGUGGAACGGAUUGAAGCUAUAAAUUACAGAUCUUAUCUCUCAGAAGUUGCAGUAAAGCAGAUCAUAGAAAACCUUAUCUCCCUGAACUUGCAGUGGAGUAGGUUGAAGUUAUAAGUCUUAUCUCCCUAAAGUUGCAGUGGAGCAGACUGAAGAUAGCGAAUCUUAUUNNNNNNNNNNNNNNNNNNNNNNNNNNNNNNNNNNNNNNNNNNNNNNNNNNNNNNNNNNNNNNNNNNNNNNNNNNNNNNNNNNNNNNNNNNNNNNNNNNNNNNNNNNNNNNNNNNNNNNNNNNNNNNNNNNNNNNNNNNNNNNNNNNNNNNNNNNNNNNNNNNNNNNNNNNNNNNNNNNNNNNNNNNNNNNNNNNNNNNNNNNNNNNNNNNNNNNNNNNNNNNNNNNNNNNNNNNNNNNNNNNNNNNNNNNNNNNNNNNNNNNNNNNNNNNNNNNNNNNNNNNNNNNNNNNNNNNNNNNNNNNNNNNNNNNNNNNNNNNNNNNNNNNNNNNNNNNNNNNNNNNNNNNNNNNNNNNNNNNNNNNNNNNNNNNNNNNNNNNNNNNNNNNNNNNNNNNNNNNNNNNNNNNNNNNNNNNNNNNNNNNNNNNNNNNNNNNNNNNNNNNNNNNNNNNNNNNNNNNNNNNNNNNNNNNNNNNNNNNNNNNNNNNNNNNNNNNNNNNNNUCAAAGGAACAAAAUAUCACCUACAUCAUAAGGCACGAUCGCCAGAACUUUACUUUCUAGCCUGUCGAUCCGAUCCAAUCCAAUGAAAGAACACAAGGAGUCUUAAGAUCUGUCAACUUUAUUUCAUUUUCAUUUCUUUGUCAUUUUCUAUGUUUCAUGUCGAAUACAAUAAAGAGAACAUAGAAAAAUGUGGCCUAUUUAUUUCCCAAUCAUCAUGAAAUUACUUGCCAUUGACUUAGAUUUUCUCACCAAUUUCAAGCAAUCUGACAUGAUUUCUCAUCACAAUUAAUUGAAUUCAAGAUCUUUUUAGAUGACACAAACAUUUCAUUUUAACACAAACCAAUAUUUCGGUUAUACUUCAGUGCUUGACAAGCACUUUCACAUUUGUGGAUAAGAACUCUUAACAUUUUAGGAUCACAUUUAAUUCAAUUGCAUUUAAGACCUCAUGGUUUUAUUCUAUAAUUUCAGUCUUAUCAGCCUUUUCGGAAACAAUAAAACGUCGACAUUAAAUUUGUUGUUGAUGCAUUCAAUUUUUUGGGUCUUUGGAGUUAUGUGACUUUAGCAUUGACUGACUUUUUUAUAAUUUAAUAAUAAGGUAAAUAUAUUAAUUUUAAUAACAUCGACAUGUUUUUUAGUAGGGUCGAGCAAAACCCAAUUAAAAUCGAUGAUAUUGGCUUAGUUGACUCGGUCAAGUCCAUUAGAUUGAUAAAAUCAUUUUUAAAAUCAGUUAUAAUGGAUAAAGGUAAUUAAUUAUCGAGUAAUGAAAUACAUAAUCAAAUCAAUUGAUUUUGUUAGAAACUAAAAGAAAAAGGGCUAAGCUGAAAAUUGAUUGCCCUUUAUUAAAAUUAACGAAUCUGUCUUUUACGUAUUAGAUAAUAUGAACAUCGCAUAUAUAAUAAGAAAAUUACGUAUGAUUAUUUAUUAUCAUAAAAGGUUAGUUUAAAUUUAAAGUAAUCUAAUAUGUUUAUUGAACUUCAACUAUUAAAUAAAGUAUAAGCUAAAUAAGUAUAAAUAUUCUAGAAACCAUUUCUAACUGAUGAUAGGCUAAUUCGAUUAAUUUAUAAAAACUAGAUAGUAGGGUUAUAGUCCUCAAACUACACCUAAUUUAAUAACAUUUAUAUUUUUUUUAGCCUUAAACAUUUAUAGUUUUGUUAAUUUGGUCCUUACUCUUUAAAAUUACAUAAAAAAUUGCAAAAAAAUUAAAAAUUAAUUUUUAUCAUGAUUUAAUAACAUUUAUAUUUUUUUUUGUGGUUUGGUAACUUAUCAACUUGACUCUUACUUGUAACCAACUUUUCUAACCUUUUUCGUACCCUUAACCUAAGUCCCGUUACAAUUUCUAAAGACCUCUUGAUUGGUGUAUCAUCUCGAUUUGUUUUUAUAGUGGUGGAGAUUUGUUUUUUGUAGUGGGCAUGAUUGCCAGAACUUUACUUUCUAUCCUGUCGAUCCGAUCCAAUGAAAGAAUAACAAAGAGGUCUUAAGAUCUGUCAACUUUAUUUCAUUUUCAUUUUCUUUGUCAUUUUCUAUGUUUCUUGUCACAUACAAUGAAAGAAGAACAUAGAAAAAUGUUGCCUAUUUAUUUCCCAAUCAUCAUUCUAACAGGCCGAAUUAGCCCAGGCCCAAACAUUAAUAAAUGUCCAGAUUACAAAAUAACCAACCAAAAAUUAAAAGCCCAAAUAAUAAAAUAAAACCCAUUACAUUAACCCAAAACUCCAGCCCAAUUACAUUGAAGCCAAAAAAAUAGUUUUUAGAAACCCCUAGGGUUUCUGGAACAAUCCGCGCCGCUCCUCCAUCCGCUUCUCCACGCACGCUGCACCUUUCCACGUGCGCCUCCAGCUGGCAGUGUACCUCCAAUGCAACAAACAAAGCAACAAGCAGCAAAAGAAAUGGAAAAACAACAAAAAAAAAAGAAGGAGCAACAAUGUAUAACAGAUUGAUAACAAAUAAUAGAAAAAAUAGCAGUAAAUAGGAAAAAAAAUUAAAAAAUAAUGAGGGUAAUUUCAUUUUUUUCUCUGUUUUGGCUAUAAAGAGAGCCGGUCAAAAUCUCUAAAGGGGGAUUUAGAAUCAAUCAGAAAACAAGUAUUUUGUACCAACAAUUAGAGAAAAAAAAUACAAAAAUAGGGAUUGAAGGUUUUUUUUUUCUUUCGUUUCGAUUUAUUUAAAAUAGCAUAGAAAAUAAAAAGAAGGCUUACCUUGCGACGCCUUCAGAUCCUCUCGAAAAGGGGCUAAAAGGCCCUAUGUGGCACAGAUUUGACCACUGUUCACGGUGGAACCGCAGCGGAGGCGCAGAGGAUUGGCAUCAAUUUAGGCAGGGUUUGAAACCCUAGCAGAGAAAAAAUUAGGGUUGAUAGAUUUUUUUUAAAAAAAUGGCAAAAUGUUGUUUUUAAAAAAUUUUGUUUUAAAAAAAUUGUUGCUUUUAUAAAGGGUGUAAAACGGCGUCGUUUAGGGCAUGUUUCGAUGGCCCCAAAACGGCGCCUUAUAAGGCAACCCCCGACGACCCGACCUGCUCCAUGGGGGAUCCGCGUGGUUUUUGUUAAAUGGGUUAUGUCUAACCCUGGCCCUUCUACUUUUUAUACUUGUUUUAAUUUGAUCCUCUUUUUAUUUAUUUUUAUUUCUUUAAAUUAAGCCUGAUAAUUUUUUUCCAUUACAUUUUAAUCCUUAAUGAAACGGCGCGUUUUAGAGGAGAAGGGAAAAUUACCCUUCUAGUCCCUUCUUGUUAUUCGAGUGUUCAGAAGGGUCCUUUUUUGUUUAUUUUUUAUUUGCCCCAAAAUUUUGUUUUAAAGCUUAAUUUAGUCCUAUUUUGUUAUUUUAGCUAUUUUAUUAUUAGAUUAAUUAAUUUAAUAUUAUUAUUACUGCUAUUAUUUUACCCCUAUUAGUUAUAUAUUUAUUAUUAUAACUAUAUCAUUAAAUCAAUUAGUUUUUACAUUAUUAUUUCCAUUCUGUUUUUUAUUUACUUACUUAAAUACUUUAAAUGCAUUUAUUUUAUUUCUUAUUUUUUUAUGAAAUUUCAAAACUUUAGACUAUUUUUUUGUUACUAUAACCCUAAUUUCAUUCAUUUUAUAAUAGUUUUUUUUUAAAAUAUUUCUUAGAUUAAUUCCCUCGAUGUUAUUUUGUAUAUUUAUUUAUCUUUUUAAAUUUUCGAUAUUGUCUUAUUGUAUUAUUGUUGUUACUAUCAUUAUUCAUUAUUAUUGUUGAUUUUAUUCUUCUUUGAUUAAUGUUUAUGUUAGAGUAAUAGGUGUUAUGUGAUCAUUGUUAUUAUAUGUUAUAAUUUGUUGACACUCGUAUUGUAGUCAUUCGUCAGCUUAAUAUUUGAGUAACAUUUUAAAUAUUACAUUAAUUUUGACCCAAAUGCAUAAUUUUUUAAUAAGUAAUAUUUCGUAUUGUGGAAUUUGAGAGAUCAUUCCCUAACUUACGGGGUCUCGAUUUUUUUGAUAAAUCUGAAUAUAAGAACUAUUUUAAAAAAAUACGUUUUAAAAUUAUCUCGGGAAUUUAAAAAGAAGCGUGUUCUAACUUACGGAAUAUGAUCUUUUUUAAAAAUCGAGAUAAUCAAAUAUCUUUCAAAUAAAUAAACUUUUCGUGUUUAUUCUCGUUUUAGGAUUUAAGAUAUUGUGUCCUAACUCACGGGACACAAUUCUUUUUCUCGAUUAACGUGAAAUACGCCCUUUUUAAUUUUAUCUUUUUAAGUGAUUUUAACAAAAGGAUUGUAUUUUAAAUCUCUUCAAAAUUUUCAAUUUUUCGACAUUGAGACAUUAACUAAUCAAUUAGGUACCAAUUUUGGGCGUUACAAGGGUGUUAACCCUUCCUUGUACAUAACCGACUCCCGAACCUAUUUUUCUGAAUAUUAUAGGCCAAAAUUGUUUUAAUAAAUUAAACCCUUAAGAGGUGACUCGAUCACAGCUCAUAAAAAUUAUCGGUGGCGACCCUUGUUUUAAAAAAGGUGGUUUCAACAGCUUGGCGACUCCGCUGGGGACAAAAAUAAGAGUCAAGCCGCGAGUUGAUUAUUUCUUAUCUUUUUGUCAGAAAUUGUGAAUUCGAUUUAAAUUUAUGAUCUUUUCAUUGCAUUUUAUGGUCUGCAUCAUUUUUAUAUGCUUGCUUUACUACUUCGAGUCUUUUAAUCUUCGCAUAUUGUAUUGCAUAACCGUUCGGUUAUACCCUUUUAAGCGGGAGUGAGAAAUUAUUCUUUCGUGAGGUUUUCACCUUCGUAUAGGAUAGUGGAUUACUUUCAGGAUACAUCCAUACCUAUGUCUUCGUGAGAUUCUCAUCUCCGUAUAGUCAUAGGGAAAUGUAUUCCCCUGAACUGAACUCAGUCCGUAUGAGCCUAUAAUGGGUGAGGAUUGAGGAAUCUGCUGGUUCAGGUACCCUUUCUUUAGAACUAAACCGCAUGUAGUGAGCCCUAAGAGCAUACCCUAGGUAGAACCACUCCAAACCCCUAGUGGUCACCCAAAUAGGUGCUCUAUUUAUUUUUGCUUGCUUGUUUUUGCCUUGUACUAACCUAUUUGUUAUGGUUAUGAGUGCAUUGCAUUUUUAUCAUAAAAAAGAUGUGUUGAUUCACGUUCAGUUGCUAAAUAGAGAGCUUGUCAUGGAAAACGAAUUUCUUGAUAAAGUGGAAGACAAUGCGGUUGUCCGGAUAUGGUCCAAGAAAAUGUGAAGAAAGAAGGGUGAUAGUCUAAUGGAGGACUACACGACCUUGCUUCGUUGCCUGAUGAUUCAAGUUGACAAAGAUUAUUCGAGAGUCUUCAAUGUCCCGACCUUUUUAAAGAAGCUAACGAGCGUCACGAGGAUGAGCGAGUAAUGAGUUGCGGCCCGGAUCAAGCAAAAAAAAGAUAGAGGAGACACCCUUUUUGAAGAGUUCACGAGAUUUAUCUUAACAUCUAGACGAAGAAAAAGAUCAAUCUCUUUGCCUAGAGUAUGAGGGCAAAGCCGUAUAUAUAUCCGCUUUAUGUAAAUAAAUUUGUUUUCUAGUAAAGUUUUUCUAAUAGAAUUGAAUCAGAAUCAACGUCUCUUUUUGCAUUCAUUCCAUUCAUCUGCAUUGCAUUUCAUUGCAUCUAGAAUUUCACAAAAGGACCCUAAUUAAUCGAAAUUGUUAUAGCUACCUUGAAAAACUAACGAAAAUUUACCAAUUAAAUAUUCCUAUGGUACCCAUUGCAAAACUAAAGUAAUGGAUCAAAUAUUAGAAAGAUUAGAACAAAUGCUGAAGGAUAAACAUAACUGCUUUGGCUUAGGGUACAAGCCAGAUACAAGACAAAGAAGAAAUAGGAAAGGAGAACACGUUUGAGCGGGGAUGAGGUCAAAUGGGAGGGAUUAUUCAUCCCAGGCGAAGAAUGCCAAGAGAAGAAAAUAUUGAAAACAUGUUGGGAAACGUUCACAUCAAUGCCAUAUACGAAGAAGCAAUUGAAGGAGUGACCUUGUUAGAUAUCCGCCCUUAUGAACCUAAGAGUGUGCUAAACAAUUGGACUGCAGAAGAAAUUCUUGUAGUGUUUAGAGCUUACUCAUAGUAAUGUUCAGAACACACUUGUUGCUUUUAGCCUAGAAGUGAUAAGAAUCCCUCUGUGAAAUAGGCUCAUGUAUAAAAAUCAUUAUUUUAAUGAAGUACAUCUUUGCAUUCAUUUUGAGCAAAUAUUCUUUUAUUCUUUUCAUACGAGUAAUUAUUUUGGAUUCUUUAAUUCUUUUGGGAUUUUCUUCCAAAAUCAUUCUUUUAUUACAUCCAUAAUCAUACUGUACAAAUAAUGUAAUAGCCUGAAUUUUCAGUGGUGUCGGAAUGGUGAUUCAAGAUCACUAAGUCUGACAAAUGAGUAGAAAAUAUUAUUAAUUUAGUAAGAAUAAGUAAAUGUGAAGUUAGGAAAAUUUUUGAAAUAGUGAAUAGUGUACUAGGAAUAAAUAUUAAAAUAAUUAAAAUAAAAAAUGAGGUAUCGAGACCUCGAAGAUUUUAAACCAAGCCAUAAGUACUUUUAGAAGUAUUUUUAGAGUGUCAUUGAGUUGGUAUUAAAGUUUCGUUAGAAAAUUUUAACGCUCGGAUAGUUAAUUAACCAAAAAGGACUAAAUUGAAAAUAGUGUAAAAUUUGUUAAAUUGUGAUUAAAUAGCUUAAGUGAUUAAAAAGGAGGGAUUUAAAAGGCAAUUAGGCCCAAAUUAUAUGGGCUGGACGGUUGGGUAAGAAAAAUCAGCAGAAUGUAAGGAGAAAACAGGGGCAAAAUUGGAAACUUAACAAAUUAAACAUAUAAAACAAAGACAAAAGUGAAAAAUCUAGAGAUCUGUUCACAAUUUAUCAGCAAAAAUGCCAUAGGAGGUCUGAAAGAAGCUGGUUUUUCAUAUAUUUGAAUCAUGUAAGUUUAAUUCUUGAUUAUUUCUUCUAAUUUUUGUGAUUUUGAUACUUUUACAAUUAGGUCCAACUAAUUAUUUCAUUAGUUUUUGAUUUCAUGGCUGAUUUUGAAAGUUACCAUUGAUGAGUGUUGGAUUUUUAUGAUGAAUAAACAUGGAAUUAAAGCUUUAAUUUUGUUAUAUGAUGAUUUUAUUAAGUAAUUUUGAUAGAAAUUGAUUUUUGGGACCUAAUUGUGAAAAAGUUUGGAAUUAGGGUUUGGUGUUGCGGUUUUGAAUAUGAAAGGCUAUGUAGUAGUCUAAAAUAGUUGGAAAAGGUGUUAAUUGAGAAAAAUUAGAUCAAUUGAGGGGUUAAUUGAGUAGGACCAAAUUGUAAAAACUGUAAAGUUUGAGGUAAAAGUGUAAUUUCGAAAAUUUAAGGGCAUAAAUUGUGAAGUGAAUUAGAAUAGAAUUAUAUGCUGAUGAAUGAAUAAAUUUGUAUUUUAGAUCGAGAACCCGAAGCAAGCCGAGGAAAAGAAAAAGUAGUUGAUUAGUCCCUGAACUUUUACAAAUUCUGCAAAUCGACCCAGGUAAGUUCAUAUGGCUGAAAUUUAAUGAUUAAAUGUUAAUUUCAUGAAUUAUGUAAUGUAUGAUGAAAUGUAUUUAGUGUUGAAAUGAGAGUAAAAUAAAAAUGCGAAAAUCGAAUAAAUGAUCAAAUUAAGCGGAACGCCGGAUUUGAGUACUUCUGAUCAAGAGACAAAGUGAUAAGUGGUAGCUUUAGCUACACUUAUCUGAUCAAGUGAAAAAGUGAUAAGUGCUACACUUAUCUGAUCAAGAGACAAAGUGAUAAGUGGUAGCUUUAGCUCACUUAUCUGAUCAAGUGAAAAAGUGAUAAGUGCUAUACUUAUCUGAUCAAGUGACAAAGUGAUAAGUGGUAGCUUAGCUACACUUAUCUGAUCAGGGCCAAAUGAUAAGUGAUCAUACGUAAGACCAUAGUUAUACUAUGGCCAAGUGAAAGUGAAGUACUCAAUUUUCCGUAACCGUUCCUUAAUUUUGAUCAAGGAUGGUAAGUGACAAAUAGGCCCAAAGAAAUUAUGGUAAAAGAAUAAGUAGUAGUGAGUUUAUACCAAGGAACUCUCCAAAGAUUGUGGUUGACAAGUAAACUUAGUAAUGGUGUAUAUUGUAUAAGUGUACAAAUGUUUGGUAAGAUUUAUGUUUGUGCCUAUGAACUUACUAAGCUUUUCUAUAAGCUUACAUGUGUGUGUUUAUUGUUUUUCUAGAUUAACGUAUUUAUACAUUCGGAGGAUCGGAUCUACUUCGAGAAUCACACUAUCCAGAUAUACUCCGGUAGAUUUUGUUAAACAACUUUUUGGAUUUAUAUGGCAUGUACAGAGAAUUGAAGUAAAAAGUAAUAGAAUGAAUGACUGAGUAUGCAAAGUAAAUUUGAAUGUGAUGGUUGUGUUAGAUAUUGAAAAAUACAUGUUUUUAGUUUGAAAUGGUUGAUUGGCUGAACUUCGUUAGUAUUCAAGUGAAGUAGUUGAAAUACUGGAAUUGGUUGUGAUUUGAAAUUUGCAGGGAAGGUUAGAUAAAUAUAAAGGGGUUAUAUUGAUUUUUUUUUUAAAUUUCAAUGGAAUAAUUUUUGGACAGCAGCAUUGAUGUAACUUUUAAAAAUCACCAAAAAUAGUGGAAAUAGAAUUAGAAGUUGAAUGAGAUAUGAAAUUAAAUCUGAAUGAGUCUAAUUUCACAUGAAAGAAGUAGAAUAAGAAAAAGAGUUAUAUAUUUUUAGAUAUUUGAAUUUUAGUGAAACAGGGCAAGAAUGUUUUUGAAGUCCCCUGUUCUGACUUUAGAAAUUUAGUAAAAAUUGUACAAAAGGAAUUAUGAAUUAUAAUUUAUAUGUUUAAAUUCCGUAAUGAGUAUAUUUUAAGUAGAAAUAAUUGGAACCACCAUAUGAAGUCUUUGCAAUGAGAUAAUUGAAUUUUAGUGACAAGAGGUCAGGAUAGUCAAUUAGUGAAAUAGGGGAGACUUCAACUAAUAAACUGUAUUAAUUUGCUAAACCAAAAAUUCUGAAAAAUUUAUGGUGAAUAUACAUAUGAGUCUAGUUUGAGGGAAAAUUUACGGAUCUAAAUUUUUAGUUUCGUAUCUUGAGUUAUAAUUAUUUUAGUGACUACUGCGCAUGUGGACAGCUUUGUUGUGAAUGGUGAAAUUAAUUUUUAAAGUAAAUUUUUAUGCCCCGAACUUUUAAGUUCAGUCAAGUAACGCCUUAUGCUCGACUCCGGCAACCGUCUUGGGUAAGGGGUGUUAUAAAUAAUUAUUCUUAAAUUCAUACAUUCUUUGUAUAUUAUUUUGUACCUACAAUAGGUCCCUAGAUAUUAACAACAUGAGUGACGUUGCUACAGACUCAGAAUUUCCUUUUAAACAAGACAUGUGUUUAGAGGGAUCCCAUGGCUUUGAAGAUGACGUAGACUGUGGCUUAUCUCUGAAUUUGUUAAGGAUGGUAAAACAAGAGGAGAAGCAAAUCCUACCUCACAAGGAAUCAAUGGAAAUUGUGAGCUUAGAAGGGGGAAAAGAGGUGAAGAUUGAGACUAACAUUGCCACAAAGACAAAGCAUGACCUCGUUGAGUUACUCCAAGAAUUUAAAGAUGUCUUCGCAUGGUCAUACCAGGAUACUCCCGGGUUAAGUACUGGCAUUGUAGUACACUACCUUCUUAUAAAAGAAGAUUGCAAGCCAGUUUAGCAGAAACUCUGAAGGAUGAGGCCUGAUAUUGUGCUAAAAAUAAAAGAAGAAGUUAAAAAGCAAUUUGAUGUUGGGUUCUUACAAGUGGUUAAAUAUUCAGAAUGAGUAGCCAACAUCGUCUCAGUCUCUAAAAAAGAUGGGAAAGUACGAAUGUGCAUAGAUUACAGAGACAUGAACAAGGCCAGCCAAAAAGAAAAUUUCCCAUUGCCUCACAUUGACACUUUGGUGGAUAAUACAGUAGGCUACUCACUGUUUUCCUUCAUGGACGACUUCUCUGGAUACAACCAGAUAAAGAUGCAUCCCAAAAACAUGGGAAAGACUACAUUCGUGACCCUAUGGGGAAUGUUUUGCUAUAAAAUGAUGUCAUUCGGAUUAAAGAAUGUGGGAGCGACGUAUCAAAGGGAAUGGUAACCUUGUUUCAUGACAUGAUGUACAAGUAAAUCGAGGUUUAUGUUGACGAUAUGAUUGCAAAAUCCAGAACAGAAGAGGAACAUGUGUAGGCCCUAAGAAAAUUAUUCUUAAGACUGAGAAAGUUCCAGCUCAAGCUUUCCAACGAAAUGCACAUUCAGAGCUAGGUUAGGAAAGCUGUUAGGCUUCACAGUUAGUGAAAAAGGAAUCGAGAUCAACCCAGAUAAAGUCAAUGCGAUACGAGAUUUACCUCUACCAUGCACUCAGAAGGAAGCUCGAGGUUUCCUAGGAAGACUGAAUUACAUUGCUCGAUACAUUUCACAACUAACCGAAAAAUGUGACACCAUAUUAAAAUAAAAAUAGAUUAAAUUGUAAGUAAAACAUAAUUUAAACAUAUGAAUACAUCAAAUUAAUAAUACUAAAUGAAUACAGUUAUUUAUGAUGAUGUUGUUGCCAAUUCCUAAUUUGGUGUCUAGUUAAUUUGUGACAUCAUAAAUUUAAGUGAUAAAUUUAAGGUUUUAUGUAUUGAUGUGGAUUCAAAUAUCACCAUAAUUUUUGUAAAUAAAAAACUAAUAAGAUAACUUAUAUUAAGUACGAAAGGGUAUUUUUAUAAUUUCUCUAAUCGAGUUGGUGCCCGGUUGACUCAUGACACUAACUCAAUCAGAAGCUUUAAUAAUAAUAUAGAUAUUCAUGUUAAAAAAACAAAAAAAAAGUACUUUAGUUCCAAAUAAUUAUAUAACAAGUAAAUUUAUAAUUGAUGAAUAAAUUUAUAAAUAAUAUAUUUAUAUGAUCUAAUAUAUUAUAUUUAUAUUAAUUAUAUAUCAUCUACAAACUUUGAAGAUCAAUUUAUUAAGUAAAAAUGAAAUUGUUAACACUAAAUCAAUUUUUAGAUUUUGUAUAGAUGAUUUAGUGAUGAUAAAAACAUUAUUAACACUAUUUUUUAAUUAACAAAAAAUUAGUGAUAUAUUUAAAUUAUAUUUAUCAUUUAUUAUUUUUAAUAAUAUUUUUUAAUUAUAUGAAGUAAAAUUAUAUUGUAUACUAAAUAUGGUACAUAUACUCUAAUUAUAACUUGAAAUUUUAUUAUAUAAAUUAAUAUAAAUUUGAAUAACAAAAUAAAAAAAAACUAAUUAGAAUAAUUUUAAAAAACAUUAUUUAAAAGUAGUUAAAAAUCACGUGCAACAGGUGAGAUCAAUGGUCUUUAGAGAAGAAAUGUUGAAGAUCAAAGUUGGAAUCUGGCCUAUAAGGCCUUUAAUUGCUUUAAUAUUAAGCAGUUCCAAACCAAGAAGAUUACCGAUUUCCUCAGGAAUUUGACCUGCACACAUGGUCGAAAAAUCAAUGUGUCAAACUACCUAUUUUGUUAGCAUAAGUCAAAGAGGUUUUCUUUUCUAUUCUACAUAAUUUGCAGAUGUUAGAUUUUAAUAUUUUUAAGCAUAUUUGUUUUCAUCAAAUUAACUAUUUUGAACUAUUUUGCCUUGAAUGAAAUAAAAUGCUCUUACUUUUGUUAUCUAUUACUAAUCAAACUCUUUUAUAAAAAAAAUACUUUAAACUAAAGAAACCAAGAAAAUUCAAUACCUUCUAGGUUAUUCAACCCCAAAUAUAAUUCUUUGAGUCGUGUCGGAUUUCCAAUACUUCUUGGAAUGAUCCCCAUCAAUUGAUUAUAGGAAAAUGACAAAAUUUUAAGGUUGUUGCAUUUGCUUAUACUUGACGGAAUGUUACCAUAUAAUUCAUUCCGACUCAAGUAAAGCCCUUCAAGCUUGGAAAGAUGUGACACAUAUCAUUAGGCAAGCUACCUGAUAGGCUAUUGUUGGAGAGAUCAAUGGCCUUCAGAGAAGAAAUGUUGAAGAUCGAAGUUGGAAUCUGACCUGUAAGGCCUUUAAUUGCUUUAAUAUUAAGCAGUUCCAAACCAAGAAGAUUACCGAUUUCCUCAAGAAUUUGACCUGCACACAUGGUCGAAAAAUCAAUGUGUCAAACUACCUAUUUUGUUAGCAUAAGUCAAAGAGGUUUUCUUUUCUGUUCUAUAGUAAUUUGGUGAUGUUAGAUUUUAAUAUAAUUCAGCACAUGUUUUUCAUCAAAUGAAAUAAAAAGUUUUUCCUUUUGUUAUCUAUUACAAAUCAAGCUCUUUUAUUAAAAAAAUACUUUAAAUUCAAGAAAUCAAGGAAAUUAAUUACCUUCUAAAUUAUUAAACCCCAAAUAUAAUUCCUGGAGUCGUGUUAGAUUUCCAAUACUUCUUGGAAUGAUCCCCAUAAAUUGAUUAUGGGGCAACAACAAAUUUUUAAGGAUGUUUCAUUUGCCUAUGCUUGACGGAAUGUUACCAGAUAACUCAUUGCUAUGCAAGUGAAGCCCUUCAAGCUCGGGAAGAUGUUGACACAUAUCAUUAGGCAAACUACCUAAUAGGCUAUUCCUGGAGAGAGCAAUAGUCUUGAGAGAAAAAUGUUGAAGAUCGAAGUCGGAAUCUGAUCUGUAAGGCCUUUAAUUGCUUGAAUAUUAAGCAUUUCCAAACUAAAAAGAUUACCGAUUUCUUCAGGAAUUUGACCUGCAGACAUAGUCGAAACAUCAAGGUGUUAAAUUUCCUAUUUUGUUAGUGUAAAUCAAAGAGGCUUUUUAUUUUUUUUCGUUAUGAAAUAAUAUGGAUAUGUUCGAUUCUAAUCAUAUUUAAGUAUAUAUUAGUUCUUGAAAGAAUGAGUUCUUAUUUUUGGUAUUUAUAUUGCAAAUAUAUAUUUUUUUAAAUUUAAAAGAAGGGAGGGGGCAAAUGUGUUUAAACUAAAGACAUCAAGGAAAAGGCAUACCAAGUAUAAUUGUUUAAGUUGUGUCAAAUUCCCAAUGCUUUUUGGAAUGAUCCCACUAAAUUGAUUAAUAGACAAUUCCAAAAUUUGAAGGUUGCAGCAUUUGUCUAUACUUGAUGGAAUAGAACUUGAUAAUUCAUUUCUACUCAAGUAAAGCUCUUUCAGCUUGGGAAGAUGGACACACAAAUCAUCGGGCAAGCCACCAGAAAGACUAUUAUCACAAAAAUGAAUCCUUUUCAAAGAAGAAAUGUUAAAGAUGGAAGAUGGAACCUGGCCAGAUAAUUGAUUGAAUCCCAAGUUCAAGAUCUCUAGAUUGGACAAGUUGACAAGUGUUUGAGGGAUCGUGCCUGUGAAGUUAUUAUUUCUCAUUUCCAACCUUUGAACUCUGUGCAAGUUCCCAAGCCAUGGUGGAAUUUCCCCAUUAAGACGGUUGUAGCUUAAUCGAAUGAUCCUCAAACGAUGCAAUUGGCCUAAUUCUUUAGCCAGAUGGCCGUAGAAAUUGUUGUUGCUCAAGUCGAUAGAAAAUAGAAAUGAAAGAUUUCCAAGGUGUGGAGGGAUAGUACCCCUAAGAUUCAUGUUUGUAAGAUUAAUCAAAGCUACAACUCUUUCAUGGAUGAUGCCACAAGAAACACCAACCCACUUACAGACAGAGGUAGAGUUCGUCCAAUUGUUUGCCAACACAUUUUGAGGAUCGACAAUGCGAUCUUUAAACUCAAAGAGUGCAAACUGAUCGGAGUUGAGAUUCCGGACUGUCAUAGCCAAGGAAACAAUAGAACAUUGUAUGAAUAAAAGUGAAAGAAGAUGAAAGCAAGUGUUGUAGUUCAUGAUGGCAAGACGAAAUAAGCCAGGAAAAGGGAAGUUGAAUUGAUGAAGAAAUAGCCAGCCAACAUGCUUAAAUAGGCUUCAACCCUUGCACACUUCUCAUACAUAAAGUUCGCUGCCAUUACAACAAGAAAACUCAUAUCUCCAUUCGUACCUAUCCAUACUUUAUUUGACUAACUUUUCCCUAACAAGUGUUCAGUAAGGAGAUAAAUCAGUUUGGAGCUAUUCACCGGCUUCUCCAAUCUUGGUUUCAAACUCCUAACCCAUCAAUUCACUUUAAUUGAAACGAUAUACACGAGUCUUUCGGCUUAUAUUUUUAAUUUAAUUUUUGUUACUUUUCAUAAUAUUUUUUGAGAAAUCCAAAUAUUCCAGUCUGAAAUUUCUUCAUUGCCACGUCUAUCUCCUGGGUAAGUCCGUGGUUAGGCAGCCCACUUUGGGAGCAGGAUUGUAAUUGUAAUUCUAUCCGACUCAUUUUACUAUUUAGAAAUAUAAAAGUAAUAUUAUAUUAUUUUUUAUAUUUUUAUAAAUUUAAUUUUAAUUAUAAUUUUUAAACAAUAAAACGAGUCAUUUGUAUUUGCCUAGUCUAAAUUGAAUCAGGAGUCAAAAAAAUUUUAAUCAUAAUUUACUAUUAUUUUAAUUAAUUAAAAUUUAACCUACUACAACUAGUAGUUGCAGAAAAAAUGUCAUUCCUUUAGAAAAACGAAAAUCCUUUAGAAAAAUGAGAACUUAUGAAGCAUUCAAUAAGAGUCAUUGGAAUAAAUGGUAACGAAAUCAUAAUUCAAUAUAAAGCUAAAAAAUGUACCAAUCUAUAUAAAUAAUGUAAGAUUUGUGAUACCUAAAUUAUUAUAUUUUCCAUAAAUAUAUGAAGAUAUUUUAUUAGGAAAUAAUUUUAUAUAUAAAAUUUUUUAUUUUCUUUUGAUAGAAAUUUAAUUAUGUUAUCUGUAGAAAAAAAUAUUUAUAGAAAUAUUAUUAGUAGAAAAUCAUAAAUUUGUGUGUGGCAAAAAAAAUUCACCACCAAGAAAGGGGCAAAUUAAACAACUUGAAACAAGUCAUUGGUUGUUUAAAAUAUUAGAUAAUAAUUUCAGUGAAGAAUCAUUAAAAUUAUGACAAAAUAACCCUAGAUAUUGUAGUAUUAAAUUGGAAAAUCUCAAUAAUAUUAUUAGAGUAAAACCUAUGAUCUAUCUAAACAAGAUAUAGAAGAUUUUGAUAUACAAAUUAAGGUUAGAAAUCAUGCGGAAAUAAAAAAGAAAAAAAAGCUAGUAUGGUCAUUAAUUAUAAAAGAUUAAAUCAAAAUAUUAUUUUUUUAUAGUUACUUGAAUUAAUCAGGCUAAACAAACAAAAUAUUUUAGUAAAUUUGACUGCAAAUCAGGAUUCUAGCAAAUCAUGAUAACAGAAAAGUCCAAACCUUUAACGGCUUUUAGUGCACCCAAUGGACAUUACCAAUGGAAAGUGAUGUCAUUUCAAUUAUGUGAUGCACCACAAAUCUUCCAAAGACGAAUGGAUUUUAUAUUUAAUAAAUAUAAAAAAAUUCUAUGUAGUCUACAUAGAUGAUAUUUUUUAUAUUUUUAGAUACACUAGAAUUACAUAAGAAACAUUUAAAUAUUAUUUCUUAAGAAUUCAUAAAAUAUAGAAUCAUAUUAAACCCUAAAAAUAUAGAGUUAGAAAAAAGAGAGAGAAUUUUUAUAAUAGUGGAAAUAAAAAAUUGUCCUCAAAAGAUUGAAGAAAAAAAGAACUUCCAACAAUUUCUAAUAUAUUCCUCCCAAAUUUUCAGUUUCAAUUUUAUUACAGAAUUUCUUUGCCGACAAUAAGAAAUUAAGAGCGCUCUUUAAGUUGAAUAUAGUCCGUCAGAUAUGGCUAUCUAUAACAUGGAACCUUUGGUUUUCAAGCUGAAUAGGAGAAUUGAUUCACUUGAUAAGUAUGAAAAAUUGAAACUGCUAAAUUUAAGUGCACUAACUCUGGAUAUCAUCAUUAUUUUUCUGUACAUUAAAGUACCUGUUUGAUAUGCGAUUUCUGCCUCAAACUAUCAACAUCUUUAACAUCCUUUUGCUAUAGUUAGCAUGGGUACUUCCUUUUAGAUUAACAGUUAGGUUUGAACUGUGAAUUAGAUUUCUGUGGCUGCUGGGAUUGAAGAAGUUAGUAUGCGAAUGACAUUGGACAAAUUUGGCAAAGUCUUCUCCAUCAGUGAAGAAAACCCCUUGGCGUAUGAAAAAUGUUCACCAUCUUAGACAUUUGUUUUCUUAUUGUAAGAAUAUUUUUAACAUUGUAACUUUUAACAUUAUUGUAAGAAUAUUUUGAAUUAUACUUCAGUUAUCAAUUUAUAUCAUAUAUCUUUUGUUGAAUUUGAAGUAUAAUUUAUAUUUGCUGUUUUUGGUUAGAUUUCAUGCUAUAGGAAGGGUUGUAUAUGGAUAGAAAUUGAAUGUUACAAAUCUGCCAAAGUUAGUGGCGUUUUUUCAUAAGAGCUGCUAAAGAAUGCUAUUUUUGGCGGUGUUUGUAAUAAAAGAGCCGCUAAAGGUCAUGUUCUUUAGCGAUGUUUGUGGGUAAAGCGCCGCUAAAGAUCAUGUUCUGUAGCUGUGUUUGUGGAUAAAGCGCCGCUAAAGAACAUGACCUUUAGCAGCGUAUUUUCACAUAAACGCCGCAAAAUUUAGCGGCUUUGUCUAUAGCGACUUUUUUUGCAGCGCUUUAAGUUUUAGCGGCGCUUUUAGGCCUAAAAAAGGGCCGCUAAAAGCCUGUUUUGCUGUAGUGAGCAUAUUUACAUUUUCGUCCCAAUUUCAACUAACACCCCAUCUAUUUCCCACUUCCCUUUUUCGGGCAAUUUCAACUAACACCUUCAUAUCAAACAUAACUAUUUUUCAAUUUUUCUUCUUUAUUUCAUUAAUAAAAUUAUCAAUCUAUUUGUUUUUAAAUAUAUAAUUUCAUUAAUAUUUUUUAAAUUAUAAUAUAAGAGUUGUUGUUUAUUUAUAGUUUUAUUACAUUAUUUACUCUCUCUUUUCUAUCAAGUUUUUUAAAUUAUAAUAUAAGAUUUAUUUUAUCAAUUUGUGGCUUAUCCAGUAUUCAUCUAUUUUAAUAAUAACUUGAGUUCCAGUCAUUAUCAUACCAGAAAGAGUUCCAUUUAUUCUUUAUCGUAAAUUUUAUAAAAAAAUAUACAUUUUAUUAUAAUACUAUAUGUGUUACGAAUAAUAUUUUAUUGUGGAUGCCCAUAAUUUUCAAAGUUGUAACCUCUAAUGUAGUAACCUUAAUGAAAUUAUGAGGCUUUUAUAUUGUAAUCAAGCCUCUAUUUAUUCUUUGUAACUUAAACAGAAGCAUAUUUUCUAUUAUAUUGAUAUUUUUUAUAGAUAUAUAUAUAUAUAUAAGGAAUCAAAUAAAAAGUUAUUUACCUUUCUAUUAUAUUGAUAUUUUCUAUUUGAUUUGUUCUUUUCUUUCACUAUUCCAUAAUAUAUUAUCAGUACGAUUUUAACCAAGAGUAACAUGUUAUUAGAUUGUGUCAAAAUUUUGUUGAGAAUCAUUAGAUUGUUUCCUUUUUCUUCUAUUUAGCCCCAAAUUGCACCCCUACACAAAAUUCAACAAAAACAUGGAAAAAUUAGUGGUGCACUCUCAUAAAUUAACCAAUUUAAUUACAUAAAAUAUGUAACUUUAGCAUUUUAUCAAUCAUGUUCUUUAGCGGCAUUUGUGGGUAAAGCGCCGCUAAAGGUCAUAUUCUUUAGCAGCGUUUGUGAUAAAAGUGCCACUAAAUAUCAUGUUCUUUAGCGGCGUUUGUGGAUAAAGCGCCGCUAAAGAACAUGACGUUUAGCAGCAUUUUUUUACAUAAACGUUGUAAAAUUUAGCGGCGUUGUCUAUAGCGACGUUUUUUGCGGUGCUUUCAAAUAGUUUUAGCGGCGCUUGUAGGCCUAAAAAAAUGCCGCUAAAAGUCUGUUUUGCUGUAUGAGCAUAUUUACAUUUUCGUCCCAAUUUCAACUAACACCCCAUCUAUUUCCCACUUCCCUUUUUCAGCCAAUUUCAACUAACACCUUCAUUUCAAACGUAAUUGUUUUUCGAUUUUUCCUCUUUAUUUCAUUAAUAAAAUUAUCAAUCUAUUUGUAUUUUAAAUAUAUAAUUUUAUUAAUAUUUUUUAAUUAUAAUAUAAGAGUUUUUGUUUAUUUAUAGUUUUAUUAUAUUAUUUACUCUCUUUUUUCUAUCAAGCUUUUUAAAUUAUAAUAUAAGAUUUAUUUUAUCAAAUGGUGGCUUAUCGAGUAUUCAUCUAUUUUAAUAAUAACUUGAGUUCCAAUCAUUAUCAUACCAGAAAGAGUUCCAUUUAUUCUUUAUCGUAAAUUUUAUAAAAAAAUAUAUAUUUUAUUAUAAUACUAUAUGUGUUAGGAAUAAUAUUUUAUUGUGGAUGCCCAUAAUUUUCAAAGUUGUAACCUCUAAUGUAGUAACCUCAAUGAAAUUAUGAGGCUUUUAUAUUGUAAUCAAGCCUCUAUUUAUUCUUUGUAACUUAAACAGAAGCAUAUUUUCUAUUAUAUUGAUAUUUUUUUAUAGAGAUAUAUACAUAAGGAAUCAAAUAAAAAGUUAUUUACCUUUCUAUUAUAUUGAUAUUUUCUAUUUGAUUUGUUCUUUUCUUUCACUAUUCCAUAAUAUAUUAUCAGUACGAUUUUAAUCAAGAGUAACAUUGUAUUAGAUUGUGUCAAAAUUUUGUUGGACUUCAAGUAUUGGAAUUUAAUUGUUUAAGUUAAGAAUCAUUAGAAUCAAUGGCUAUUUGAGAUAUGCUUGAGGAUGAUCUCAUUCUAUUCAUCACAAAGGUGGAGGUUAGAAAAUCUUUAUGUUUAAACAUUUAUAGCUUUAAAGUUAUUUUAACCUCUUAUUGUGACCUUAUAAUAUUUUGUAAUUUUUUGUAUUAUGGUAUAUAAAAAAAAUCUAACCAUAGUGAUUGAUUAGUAAUAUGAAUUUGUUAUUUGUUAUGUUUAAUAUAUAUUUUAUUUAUACUUAUUCAUUUUAUUUUUAUAUGAGUAAAUGAAGUGUUUGAAGAUUCGAAAUUUUUAUCAUCCAAGUUGAAAAUAAGUGCAAAAGUGUACAUUAUUUAAAAUAAAUUACGCAUUCAUUAAUGUUAUAUGAUAAAAUCAUUACAUGUUCUAAAGAACUAAUAUUGCAUCAAACUGUAAAAAGCUCUUGAAGAGUUAAUAUUUUACCUCCUUGUGAUACAAAAUCAUAUACAAUAUGAUAUUAUUUUUCAAAUCGAGUAGAUAUAUGUUGAGGGAAAUCUUUAUGUGGUUUACAUUAAAACCAUGGAUAGAAAUGACAUGAGAUACUCGUGUAUUUUUAUUAUAAAUAUUCCUUGAAGGAAGACACUUCACUUGUAUGAUUGACAUAUGAGAUAGUGGCAAGAAGUUCAUAGUGUUGGUAUGGUCGUCUAGAUCAUCUCAAAUCAAUAAUGAUGCAAAAUAAUUUGAAGAGAAUUUAUAUGAUUUUAUUGAAGAAUGAGAAGAUAUUUUCAUUUUGAUAAUUGUCAUCAAUACUAGUUCUUUGGAAAAAAAAUAUUGAACUAACAUAAAGUUAGAGGUUGGUUGCAUUUUUUGAUGAUAUCCAAAUAAUAUAUGAGCUCAUGUAUCACAUGUAUGCAACCCAAAGUUUACAGUAUUAUUUCUUGAAAUAAUUUGAUUCUACACAAUCUCUAUAGUAUGCAAUUUGUGCUAACAACGUUGGUGCAUUAUAUCCUAAGCUUGAUUUUCGUAGUUUUAGCUGAGAUAAUAUUAAGUUGUCUAUGCCUAUAUAUGUUAUACUUAAUGGUUAGCAAAAUUGUGCCUCCAUUUAAUUGCUUAACCAUUAAUAUAAGAAUAACUUUAAAAUAAGCAUGUAAUUUUAUUUGCAUAGAGUCAACAUGUAAGAAACAUUUGCCCCAUGAGAAUUGGCUUUCAUUUAUAAGCCAAUAGGUUUCAUAUGACUAUUUGGAUGUAAAAUAUCUAUUUUAUAUUCCACCAUAAUGCACUAAGAUGGUCCAUCAAGUAUGAAGUUGAGAAAAUUUAGAAUUUUUAUUUGAUGGUAAAAGUUGAAAAGAGAUAUAUACUUAUAAUUUUGAAAAAAAUAGUCAUGUUGCAAAUUUUUCUCAAUAUUAGGGGGAGACAAGUUGGACAAAUAAGGAUAAUUAUGUCAUCACUUUUUGUGAUCCCUCACUAAUAUUAUGUGCACAAAGUUUGAAGGAAAAAAGUAUUUGCUAGACAUGUUUAGUGAUGACACUUAGAGAUUGUAUAUACUAGAUGAUACAUAUACCAGCUAAAAUGUUCCAAAUAAUUAUGAGUCCUAGAAGGACAUAGUGAUAAAAAUAAUUUUUGGGCACGCUAGAAGGAUAAAAAACUAGUUCAUUCUAUAAAUCAAAAAAUUCUUGAAAGAAAAGAGUAAGAAAUGAAGCUGGCCACACAUUAAAGGAAACGAGUACUCAUGAAGAGACCUAAGGCAUAACUUUUAAUAAAACCCCAAAAGAGGUUCAAUACAUGGAAUUAUGAAUAUAAUAAGAUAUCUCGAUUAGUUAUAUCAUAACUAAAGAUGAUGGGGUUGAUAAAAGGAAAUUGUUGUUAACAACGAUAAUCUAAGUAGAACAUUUCAAUAUUAUGGUAAAAUGAGUAUUUUGAAUGAAAAUAUACUUGAAAGUAUUUAGAUGGGAACAACUCAUCAAAAUAAAUAGACGUUUCUAUUAUAACUUAUGAAAUGUGUCUCGGACAUGAAGUCCAAACAUUCGACAGGUGUAAAGCCAAGUGGAGUAUAUGUUAGCAUAAUAGUGAAAAAAUACAAAUCAUAAUAUAUAAAAUUGACUUGUAAGACAAACUUUCCCAAGACACUUGAUUUUGAUUAUGAAAAAUGAUUAAUUUGUGAUCUUAUCAAUUGAACAUACUUUGUAUAAUCAACAAAUUAUUAAUUAACCUCAUUUAACCAAUUUCCUUCAACACAUUUCAAAUCAAAUUAAUGUGUUGAGCACGCCCUUAACCCUUUUUCUUGAUUCAUUGCAUAGUCUAUUUCCAAGUACCAUAAUCAUCAACAUUUCAAUAUAUAAAGUCAUAACAUAAUGAAUCAUAGUUAGAAUUUUUUUUACCCUAUUAACCAAGUAUGGAACAAAAAUAAAAACCUAAUUUGUCAAGCUCAUUCAAUCAGCUUAUAUAUUAUAAGAAGAGCCUAAGUAUAAAUCCUAUACAUGAUUUCAAAUUCAACUAUUUAUAUUUGAGAUUCAAUUUAAAAUUCAUACUGAAAUUAUCAAAUUAACUCGUAAGCUACUCACGCUAAACAUUAAGGUACUCGAAUUCAAGUGGCUAGAUAUCAUAAACACUUUUAGCUUGUAAAACUAUUUCUAAGGGUCAGCCCAGAAUCAUGGUUGAACCCAAAAUCUGGUAACAAAAAUUUAAUUGAGCCAUCAGCCUAAAACAAAAAAGGCUUAAAAGGUUGGCACCCGAACAAUCAAAGAUAAACACCACCAUAUGCCACUCCCUGAAUCCGAUACAUACAAUAACACCCUUCACCACUUUUAUUCUUCUCCUUUUUUUUAACCUCAAUUUGGAUGGUCGCAUUUCUCUUUUUAGUGCUUUAUAGGGUUUGGGCUUUCAGAAUCCUCAGAGAUGCAAUUCAUGGAUCCCUCUAAGAAAUGCAAGCUUGAUGAAAAUGGUAUUAUUUCAACGGCAUCAGAACCUGACCCAAUCACCAAACUAACCCCACAAGAUGGCCGCAAGCUAAUCGAGCAAUUUAUCGUCGAUCAACUCCUUGACGUCCUCCAAGAUGCUGUUUGUUGUCACCUUGAUGUUCUUUCCGCCGUACACUCUAUUGCCGAUCAAGAUCCAUCUCAAAGGAAGCUUUUCAUCCGUGGUUGGGUUGGGAUACUACAACCCAACCCAACCCACAUUAGCAUACUACCAUGCGGUAACUUCUAGUGAUUUCUGUCUGUAACAUUAGACAGGUUAACAGUUAAAUCGUUCAACUGAAAGAUUUCUUUGAAGGAAGAGGUCAAUUGAUUUUUUUUGGAAUCAUUGUGUACUCAGUUGCAUUUAAGACGGGUAUCAUUCAUAAAGUAUAUAUCUACAUCAAGAAUGGUAGCCUCUUAUAUUAUAUUCAUGUAUUUAUUUUGCAUCUUUAAUUAUAAUAGGAUUUUUUUUGUUUAUUUAUAGUUUUAAUUAUAAUAUUUUUUAAAUAUGCCAAAGUAAAUUAUGUACCAAUUUUAAACUUCUCCUAGGUAAUUUAACGUAAGGGCAUUUAUGUUAUUUUACCACUUAUGAUAAAACUAACCUAAUUUUAGAUCUAAGUGUUUACCAACCUUCUUUUAGUCAAAUUAUGCAAGCCUAAAAUUUUUAGCUUAAUUUGAGUUUGUUUACUAUGUCUAAUUCAAGUUUUAUUAUUAAGAACUAAAUUGUAACUUAAACAAAUUAGAAUACCAAUUUAAAGAGACAAAAAUUCAAAGCCCCAAAACCCACACGGGCAUGUGGGUAAGUGACACAGGCGUGUGGAAACUGGAGCUAUCACACACGGGUGAGUGGGACUGAAAAAUAUGAAAUAAAUUAAUCCAUUUAAAUUUCCAACAACCAUGCUAUACUACCAAACCAAAUAAUGUUAGAAGCUUUGAAUAGGGGCGAAUCUUAAAAAAAAUAGAAGAAUUAGAAUUAAAUUAUAAAAUUUUGAGAAGUUGUCAUGUAUUAAUUUAUUAUUUUUUAAAGGGUCUUAAUAGAUUUUUUUUCCCCAUUUUGGUUUGGCCAAUACCCCUGUCUGCCUCUUUCAAUUUGCUUCAACCCUUAGCCCAAUAUUCGAUUUGUUGUGGAAGUUUGACGCAUAAAAAUUCCUUUUUUAGAGGUUUAAAUUAUAAAUUUUUAUUAACAAAAUAUAAAAGAAAAAAACAUGUGUAGACAAGCCAAGAAACCUUUGGGAUCAUACAGGUGAUUUUGAGAUGUUCAUGGUUAUUUUGGUGGAGAGGGUAAAAAAGAAACAAAUGAUUCAUUAUAUAUGAUAUAAUUAUGAAAUUCAAGCCAUAUAUUGUAUGUUUCAUCCAUACAAAUUUCUUGUAGCAUUAAAUGACUCGUAGGCUUGCUGAAUUUCUUUGAAAGGCCCAAAGGCAAUUUAACAUUCACAAAAUAAUCUCUAAAUAGUGUAAAGACAAAUCAAAUCCACAGUAGCAUUAGAGUUGAUUAAGCUAAGCAUUGGCAAAUAUUACUUUGAUUUUGCAUGCAAUAUUGGCAAAACCCCCUCUUACAUUAGAAAAACAACAUAAUCCAUGAAACAUUGAUAGCCCAAUACAAAUUUCAUCGAGAAAAAAGUCUCUUUGUUUUGUAGAACAUGAUAGUAAAGAUGUGGAGUUUCGUUCUUCUUAUUGGCCUCCUUUAGUUUUCCUUGAUCAACAACCACUAGCCAAAAACACAAUUAGAUUAGAUUAUGAAUGAUACUUUCAACUAUGACAAUAUUAAAUACAAACCACUCUAAAUAACUCUAAAUAAAUGGAAAGCAGCAAAUUACCAGACGAGGCAAGCUAGCUCAAUUAAGACCAUUGUGUUAUACUUGUCUCUGAAUUGAAAAAUUUAGAAGGAAAUAAAGAGAAAGACUUAGAAAAUACUUGAAAACAGAAAAAAAAAUUAUGUCAUUUAAAAUAAAAAAUUUCUAUUCAAGCCAUUUAAAAUUUGUAAGAUUUUUAAAAUUUUAAAAUGAUAAAGGUAAAAUUGUACUUUGGCACCCCAAAAAUGAUAAAACUUUGAUUUAAUUAUUUAAAAAUUAUAAAAAUAUAGGCUAUUAAAAUGGUGAAAUUAUAUUUUUACUAUAGUAAAAAUUACAAUUUAAUUUCACCCCUAAAAGGAUUUUCUGGCUUCGCACCUAAUAAAAUCUUUGGCAAAAGACUAAAAUAAAAUUAUACCAUGAAUGGAAAAAGAAACUAAUAAAAUCCAAUCUAACAAAGAAAAUAACUUGAUGUCCAAAAGCUACCAUAAACCGUAAUUCAUGGGAAGGCUUGUUGCUUAUUUUAUUGGUUUCCAUUUUGAAAGAAGUUUGAAUUUUGAAGAGAGCCUACUACGUGAAAGCAAAAGAAAAAAAAAUAGUUUAUAUGAUUAAAAUUCCAGAAUAGAUUAAAAAUGUUGAAUUAAAGAUAAAAUUAAGUGUGAAUUAAUAACCACAAGUGUACUCUUUACUCACCAUCUCUGUUAAAAAUGUUGGAUGUUGUUUAGCAACCUUUGUUUGAUUUUCUUCAGCUCAACCACAACAUCUUUCAUAUCUUUUCUUUCUUCUGGUAACUCAGCUGAACAAUUCAAAGCCAACUCCAUGAUAGAUGAAAUACAAUUUGCUUUAACAACAAUGUACUCAUCCUCUCUUCUUAAUAAAUCAACAUCUGCAAUUUCUAUCGCUCCUUUAGGCAAUGAUCUUUCCAUCCAAUGCCUUAUACUCUCUUCUUCAACAAAAACCUUAUCAGUUGGCUUUUUCUUUGUGAAAGUUUCUAUAAGGACGAUCCCAUAACUAUAGACGUCAGAUUUUAUAGAAACAAUUCCUGCUGAUCCAAAUUCUGCAUUUCAAGUAUAAUUAGAACAUCAUUCAUCCUCAAUUAUUUCUAAAACGCUUAUUCAAAUAUCUAUCCACAUACACGUGAAACAAGAAUAUAAAAUACAAAUUAGGAAAAUAAUCAUACAAAAAUAAAAAAAAGAAUUCACCUGGUGCCAUAUACCCAAUAGUUGCAAGAGUCAUGGUUUGCUUCAUUACUUCACCUUCUCCCAACAAUUUGGCAACGCCAAAAUCUCCAACAUGUGCAACCAUGUCUUCAUCUAGUAAAAUAUUGCUUGGUUUUAUGUCACAAUGAAUUAUAGGUGUUGGAUGUCCAUUGUGGAGGUGUUCUAUAGCUACCGCAACAUCUAUCAUUAUGUCGACCCUUUGUAUGAUACCAAGGAAACAAUUUUCAGAAUGUAACCAUUUCUCAAGGUUUCCAUUAGACAUGUAAUCAAGCACCAAGGCUUUGAAGUCAACACUUGAGCAGUAAGUAAUGACCUUCACAAUAUUACGAUGAACUAUAUUAAGCAUAGCAUCACAUUCAAUGUCAAAACUCCUAAAUGCUCCCUCUGUUUGCAAAUUGAAAACUUUUAUUGCAACUUCCAUUCCAUCUGAAAGCCUCCCUUUAUAUACAUAUCCAAAACUCCCUGAACCAAGCGUAUUGCUUUCCUCAAAUCCAUUAGUUGCUCGUGAAAGUUCAGCAUGUGAAAUUCUUCUCAGUGUCUUCAAAGACAACAAAUCAUCUUUAACUGGUAGAGCUGUACUCCUUUGGCAUCUUCUAUACAUAAUAGUUAAGACUAUUAGUACUAGGACAAUACCAAUUGUUGGUAAACCAUACCUAAAAGCAUGCAAUAUAAUCAUUUGGGAGUUUUUGUGGAUGUCAUUUUUGCAAGGUGGGACUAGCAAUCUAGGUGGACCACAAAGUGCACAAUUAUUCAUGAAUGAUGUGCUAGAAAAGUUUGAAAAACAUCCUUUGCUGGGAAUUUCCCCUUCAAGUCUAUUGAAAGACACAUUAAAAUACUUUAGAUAUAAAAGCUUUUCCAAAGAUUUGGGAAUGACUCCAGAGAGAUUGUUAUUGCAUAAAUCCAAGAAUUCCAAACUAAUCAACCCAUCAAAUGAUUCAGGGAUAUGACCAUGUAGUAUAUUAUUUGAUAAAUCUAAUGAAACCAAAGUUUGAAGACCCCCAAAUGUGGAUAAGAUAUCGCCCAUGAGAAGAUUCCUUGAUAAAUUUAGUCUCAGUAGACUCCUAAAGUUUCCAACAUCAAUAGCAUGCGAAUUGUGAAGAUGGUUUGAUGAUAAAUCUAUUUCUAAGAUAUCUUUAAGAUUCCAUAAAGUUGAGGGUAUUGCGGAACUCAAUUUGUUGGAAUCUAACCAAAGAUAUCUCAAAGCAGAAAUAUUACCUAAACAAGAGGGUAUGGAUCCAUGCAGCUUAUUCAACCCUAAAUACAUCUUGAAUAGUCUCUCCAAACCACAGAGGCUUUCUGGGAUAGGCCCUUCUAAUUUAUUAGAGGAAAGAAAUAGACCUUGGAGAUUUAUCAUUCCUCCUAUUGAUGCUGGAAUCAAUCCACUUAAUUUAUUAUAGCCAAGUUGUAAAACCAACAUGUUGCUUAAGUUACCUAUUUCCAUAGGAAUAAUGCCUUGAAGCUCACACUCUGUGGCACGAAAGUAUUGAAGGGAUUUUGAAAGGUUCCCGAAAUAAGUAGGAAGAACGCCACUCAAUGGAUUUCCUGAAACAAUUAUUCUUUUCAAAUGCUUGCAAUUCGUCAAAGAAGAAAGAAAGCUCCACUCAUGAUCAGUAGCAGAUCCUGUGAUCAAAUUAUUGUUUACGAUUCCGAACCAUUCAAGGUGUCUUAAGCUGCCAAGCAUUUUAGGGAUUGGGCCAGAGAAUAAGUUUUCUGACAAGGAUAGAAUCUUAAGCAUGGAAGCAUUGGAGAUAGAGUUGGGAAUGUUUCCGCUAAGUUUAUUUCCCCACAGUAAAAGAAUCUGAAGCUUUGGAGCAUUGGUAAUGGGUGGUAAAUUACCUGUAAAAUAGCAUCUUUUAGAAAACAUAUUCAUUGAAUACCAAAUUCACAAAAUAUAUAAUACAUUAAAAUAAAAACUGUAAAACUUUAAAUCAAUUAAGAAUAAAAUUUUGGCAUGGAAAAAUGUGAUGAAAUCAAUUAGAAAGUUGAGACAUAAUAAGAAGUUUUGAGUAGUAAUUAGUCCUUGUGAUUUGUAUAGACAAAACAUAUAAUACACUGAUAAUUUUUUUAAAAUAUUGUAAAACCUGAAAUAAAAUAAAAAAUAAAAGUUUGGCACAAGAAUGUGGCAUCUAAUCAUUCUUAAAAAUAAGACUAACAUUAAAUAAUAAUUAGUUAUGAUUUGAGAAACAAAAAUGUUAAAGAUGUAAACUGGUAUGAUUUUUAUCUAUUGGGUUAAUUAUUUAUUUUUAUUAAAUUAUAUAUAGUGUAAAAUUUAAAGAUUAUUAUUUGCUCAAAAUUUUUGUAUUUUUCGUAUAUUUGAAAUUUAAUCUUUAUAUUUUUUUAUUUUCUGUGAUUUAGUCUCUCUACUUUUUAAAUUGAAAAUUUUAAGUUUAUUUAUUAACACUGUUAAAAAGUUUUUGUGUUAGUAUGGCAUUUUGAAAAAUAAAAUAAACUUGAUAUCUAUGUUUUUAAUUAUUCCAAAUACUGUUUUACUAUUCCAAGAUAAAUUAUUUGUGUCUAGACCAAUAUCUGAAGAACUAUUGUUGCAUGUUUAAUUAUUCUAAAGAAUUGUUGAUUGAGUCUUAGUUGAAGUGCACUAUUCUCCUAUUUAUGAAUUGGGGAGUUGAUAAAGUACUAAAUUUUGAUAUAUUUUAAAAAAUUAAAAAUUUAUUAAAAUAUUUUUAUAAAAAUUGAUUGUACCAAAAUAUACAAUUUUAAUAUCAAAUUUUUAAUUUUUUAAAAAUAUUAGCGAAUAUAUACUUUAUUUCAAGUUACACAAUUUUUACUAGUUUUUAACUUUUUUUUUAAAUUUUUAUCGUCUUUUAUAAUUUCAUAUAAUUUUUUAUAAUUUUUUACAAUAUUUACAAUUUCUAACAAUUUUUAAUAAUUUUAUUAUUUAUUAUAAAUUUAAAAAUUAACAAAUUUUUAUUUUUUUAAAACAAUUAUAUAUUUAUAAUGUAGUUAUUUUUUUAUAAUUUUUUUUGAAAUUUAAAGAUUUUUUUGGUUUUUUCUAGAUGAUGAUGCCAUCAUGAUGUCAUCAUAUGCCACAUGGCAAUUUAUAAUUAGUUGACUAUCUCAAUCUAUUUUUUUAACGUCCAAUGGACUAAAACAAGAACACCUGAUAAUGUUAGAGACUACACUAGGAAUGUUUGAUAAUAUUAGGUACUAAAGUGGGCAAAAAAAAUUAAGGACUAUAUUAAAAAUAUAUCUAUAAUAUAUAUAAAUGCAUGGAUUUUGAGAAACUUUUGAAAUGACAAAUAUAUAGUCUUUGUUUUUUUUUACUAUAUUAUUGAAUUUUUUAUUUUAAAUAUUUUUUUAUUACUUUUAAGAUUUAUCAUAUGUAUGGAUAAAAAUUUUGGUUUUACUAAAAUAUUUGGUUAAAUAAAUUCACUUUAUAAAAAAAUUUAGCAUCCUUAUAAAUAACAAUUUUGAUUCCAUUAAAAAAAUUAUUUAAUAAUAUAUAAUAAAAAUUUAAAAUUUAUAUUGAAUCACUUUAUACUUAAAUUAUUAUUAGAAACUUUAUCAUACACAUAUGUGUAUGAGAACCACGUUUUCAGAACUUAAAUUUGUGUUCUAAAAUAACUUAUGAUAAAUAAUUAAAUGUAUAAUUUGAAAUUAUAUUGAAAUAAAAAUAGAUUAAAUUGUAAGUAAAACAUAUAUAAUUUAAACAUAUGAAUACAUCAAAUUAAAAAUACUAAAUGAAUACAUUUAUUUAUGAUGAUGUUGUUGUCAAUUCAUAAGUUGGUGUCGAGUUAAUUUGUGACAUCAUAAUUUUAAGUGAUAAAUUUAAGGUUUUAUGUAUUGAUGUCGAUUCAAAUAUCACCAUAAUUUUUUUAAAUAAAAAACUAAAGCACCCUCAAAUAAUAUAACUUAUAUUAAAUAUGAAAGGGUAUUUUUGUAAUUUCUCUAACGAGUUGGUGCCCGGUUGACUCAUGACACCAACUCAAUCAAAAGCUUCAAUAAUAAUAUAGAUAUUCACGUUUAAAAAAAGUACUUUAGUUCGAAAUAAUUAUAUAACAAGUAAUUUUAUAAUUGAUGAAUAAUUUUAUAAAAAUAUAUUUAUAUAAUCUAAUAUAUUAUAUUUAUAUUAAUUAUAUAUCAUCUACAAACUUUGAAGAUCAAUUUAUUAAGUAUCAGGAAAAGAAAAAAUGAAAUUGAAUUAACACUAAAUCAAUUUUUAGAUUUUGUACAGAUGAUUUAAUGAUGAUAAAAACAUUAUUAGCACUAUUUUUGAAUUAACAAAAAAUUAGUGAUAUAUUUUAAUUAUAUUUUUUAUUUUUUAUUUUUAAUAAUAUUUUUUUAAUUAUAUGAAGUAAAAUUAUAUUGUAUACUAAAUAUGGUACAUAUACUUUAAUUAAAACUUGAAAAAUUAUUAUAUAAAUUAAUAUAUUUUAAUUAUAUUCAACCAUUUGAAUAACAAAAUUAAAAAAAACUAAUUAGAAUUAUUUACUUUUUAAAGUUUAAUGGAAAAUAAAAAAUUAAAAAUAAAUCAAUUCAUAUAAAUCUUAUUGUUUAUUAUCAGAUUAAAAUGAUAAAAGUAUAUGACAUACAUAGAAGAAACAAAUUCAACACAAUGUUUUUGGAGUUUGGAAAAAAUUAAAGUGAAAAACAUACCUUCUAAUUUGUUGUUAAAUAGAUCUAUUUCUUCGAGCGUAGUUGAAUUAAAAAUACUUGAUGGAAUCUGACCUGCACACAUAGUCGAAAAUUGAAGUGAAAUCAAACUCUUUUGUGAAAAAAAUAUUACCAGAUAAUUCAUUCCAACCCAGGUAAAGCCCUUCAAGCUUGGGAAGAUGUUGACACAUAUCAUUAAGCAAACUACCUGAUAGGCUAUUGUUGGAGAGAUCAAUGGUCUUCAGAGAAGAAAUGUUGAAGAUCGAAGUUGGAAUCUGACCUGUAAGGCCUUUAAUUGCUUUAAUACUAAGCAUCUCCAAACCAAGAAGAUUACCGAUUUCCUCGGGAAUUUGACCUGCACACAUAGUCAAAAAAUCAAGGUGUCAAACUAUCUAUUUUGUUAGCAUAAGUCAAAGAGGUUUUCUUUUCUGUUCUACAGUAAUUUGAAGAUGUUAGAUUUUAAUAUAUUUCAGCAUAUGUUUUUCAUCAAAUGAAAUAAAAAGUUUUUCCUUUUUAUUAUCUAUUACAAGUCAAACUCUUUUAUAAAAAAAAAUACUUUAAAUUCAAGAAAUCAAGGAAAUUGAUUACCUUCUAGAUUAUUAAACCGCAAAUAUAAUUCCAGGAGUCGUGUUAGAUUUCCAAUACUUCUUGGAAUGAUCCCCGUCAAUUGAUUCAAGGACAAGGACAAAUUUUUAAGGUUGCUGCAUUUUCCCAUACUUGACGGAAUGUUACCAGAUAACUCGUUGCUAUGCAAGUAAAGCACUUCAAGCUUGGGAAGAUGUUGACACAUAUCAUUAGGCAAACUACCUGAUAGGCUAUUGUUGGAGAGAACAAUGGUCUUCAGAGCAGAAAUGUUGAAGAUCGAAGUUGGAAUCUGACCUGUAAGGCCUUUAAUUGCUUGAAUAUUAAGCAUUUCCAAACCAAGAAGAUUACCGAUUUCCUCAGGAAUUUGACCUGCACACAUGGUCGAAAAAUCAAGGUGUCAAACUACCUAUUUUGUUAGCAUAAGUCAAAGAGGUUUUCUUUUCUGUUCUACAGUAAUUUGAAGAUGUUAGAUUUUAAUAUAUUUCAGCAUAUGUUUUUCAUCAAAUGAAAUAAAAAGUUUUUCCUUUUUAUUAUCUAUUACAAGUCAAACUCUUUUAUAAAAAAAAUACUUUAAAUUCAAGAAAUCAAGGAAAUUGAUUACCUUCUAGAUUAUUAAACCCCAAAUAUAAUUCCAGGAGUCGUGUUAGAUUUCCAAUACUUCUUGGAAUGAUCCCCGUCAAUUGAUUCAAGGACAAGGACAAAUUUUUAAGGUUGCUGCAUUUUCCCAUACUUGACGGAAUGUUACUAGAUAACUCGUUGCUAUGCAAGUAAAGCACUUCAAGCUUGGGAAGAUGUUGACACAUAUCAUUAGGCAAACUAUCUGAUAGGCUAUUGUUGGAGAGAACAAUGGUCUUCAGAGCAGAAAUGUUGAAGAUCGAAGUUGGAAUCUGACCUGUAAGGCCUUUAAUUGCUUGAAUAUUAAGCAUUUCCAAACCAAGAAGAUUACCGAUUUCCUCAGGAAUUUGACCUGCACACAUGGUCGAAAAAUCAAGGUGUCAAACUACCUAUUUUGUUAGCAUAAGUCAAAGAGGUUUUCUUUUCUGUUCUACAGUAAUUUGAAGAUGUUAGAUUUUAAUAUAUUUCAGCAUAUGUUUUUCAUCAAAUGAAAUAAAAAGUUUUUCCUUUUUAUUAUCUAUUACAAGUCAAACUCUUUUAUAAAAAAAAUACUUUAAAUUCAAGAAAUCAAGGAAAUUGAUUACCUUCUAGAUUAUUAAACCCCAAAUAUAAUUCCAGGAGUCGUGUUAGAUUUCCAAUACUUCUUGGAAUGAUCCCCAUAAAUUGAUUAUAGGAGAAGGACAAUUUUUUUAAGUUGCUGCAUUUGCCCAUACUUGACGGAAUGUUACUAGAUAAAUCAUUCCGACUCAGGUGAAGCCCUUCAAGCUUGGGAAGAUAUUGACACAUAUCAUUAGGCAAACUACCUGAUAGGCUAUUGCUGGAGAUAUCAAUAAUCUUCAGAGAAGAAAUCUUUAAGAUGGAAGAUGGAACCUGACCAGAUAAUUGAUUGAAUCCCAAGUUUAAGAUCACUAGAUUAGACAUGUUAACAAGUGUUUCAGGGAUUGUGCCUGUAAAGUUAUUAUUUUUCAUUUUUAGCCUUCGAACUCUCUGUAAGUUCCCAAGCCAUGAUGGAAUUUCCCCAUUCAGACGGUUGUAGCUUAAUUGAAGGAUCCUCAAACGAUGCAAUUGGCCCAAUUCUUUAGGGAGAUGGCCAUAGAAAUGGUUGCUACUCAAGUCGAGAGAGAGUAGAAAUGAAAGAUUUCCAAGGUGUGGAGGGAUAGUACCCCUAAGAUUCAUGCUUGUAAGAUUCAAAGCUAUAACUCUUUUAUGGAGGAUGCCACAAGAAACACCAGUCCAAUUGCAAACAGAGGUUGAGGCCAUCCAAUUGUCUGCCAAGACAUUUUGAGGAUCGGCAAUGCGAUCCUUAAACUCGAGAAGUGCAAAUUGAUCGGAGUUGAGAUUCUUGGCUGUCAUAGCCAAGCAAAGUACGGAACAUGAUAUGAAUAAAGCUAAGAGAAGAUGAAAGCAAGUUUUGUAGUUCAUGAUUGCAAGACGGAAUAAGGCAAGAAAAUAAAAAAAGUAGGAAAAGGGAAGUUGAGUUGAUAAAAUAGUUUGGAUGAUGAAGAAAAGCCCAGAGAGCAUACUUUAAUAUGUUUCAACCCUCGCACACUUGAUAAACUUGAUAAAUAUAUUUUGAUCUAAUAAAUGUAAAAAACUUUUUAAACAAAAUAAGGUUGAAAUAAUCUAUUUGUCCUUAUACUUUGAUAAAAUUUGAGAUUUAGUCCUUAUACUUAAAAGGAUAAAAGUGUUGUAGUUCUUGUUGUUUUUAUUUAAAAAUCUUAGUCCUAUCGUUAAUUUUUUGGGUCAAAAUUUGUCAACUGUACAUAUUAAUUAGGUUUCCCUUAUAUGUUGUUGUAUAUGACUAACACAAAAUAAGCAAGUUGACAAAUUAUGACAAAAAUAAUCAAAGAUGAUAAUAAUUUAAUUAAAAUUUUCAAAUUGAAUUAAUAACCUUUAACAUAUAAGGAAUGGAUAUCAAAUAUUUAUAGGAAAAAAGGGACUAACAACAUAUUUUAACCACAAAAUAAUAUGAGUGAUUAGAAUGAAUCUAAAAGAGACUAACAACAUAUUGAUAACUUUGAAAUCUCCUUCGAUCAUCCUUUUUCUACGUAGAAAAUGAAAAUUAAUUAGCAUCUAAAGUGUCAAUUAAUGAAACCUUCAAAAGAAAAUGUGAAAGUGAUUUAUCAAAAAAUAAUAUUUUAACUUAUAAAAUAUUUAAUUACAUUUAGUAAUUUAUCAAUCAAAAUUUAAUUAACAUCCAUCAAUACUUCAUACAUAAGUAAAUUUACCAUUUAACUCAGAUUUAACUUUGCAAGUAAACUUAAAAUUUUAUUUAAUUUUGUCACUAAAUUUAAUUUGUUCAAUAUAGAUUUUGGUGACUUAAAACAAAAUUAAUAAAAAAUUAUAUUCUUUCAGACAUCUUUUUAAUGUUUAAUAAUAAAAUAAUUUAUAAAAUAUACUUUCAUUGGACACAAGCAAGGCGAUGAACCACUGACCAAAUUAAUUUGGAUAUAUCUUUUUUCCAAAUAAAGUGAAUUUACGAGUUUUGUUUUUUUUUUAAUAUUUUUGUGGAUAUCAAGUGAUACCAAAAAUUAUUUCACUAAGAAAUUUUAAUUCACUUGAAAAGUUAGUGUUUUAUUUCAAGGGGUCAUAAUUAUAAAUUUUAAAUUUUUUGACAAUUGUGUAAUUAAUAAAUACCAAUUUUGACUGUUGUAGGGCUAGUACAAUCUCCCUUACGCAUAACCGACUCUUGAACCUACUAUUUUCUCUAGAAUUUAACGCAGACCUUAAAUUUAUCUUUUAAAAAGAAUUUUAAAAUCUCUAUAUAAAAGGUGUAAAAAUAUAUAUUUUAUUAAUUACUAUAUAUUAUUUUAUUUUCAGAAUAAUAAAUAGUUUAAAAUAUGCUGCUAGUCCCUAUAGUUUAAAAGUUAAAAAGUUUUUGGCAUCUUGAGUGCAUCAAAUUUCUCCUUUUAUUAUUAAAUGUUUUAUUUUAGUUACUCUAAUUAAAUAUAUCCAAAUUGUAAUAGAGUUAAUAUUUAUUAUAUAAAAAAAUAUUUUAAUUUUUUUUCAAUUGUAGUUUAAUUCUAGUAGAAAUAUUUCAUUUAUAAAAUCAUAAAACUUUAAAAUAUUAACUUUGUUAAAUAAAAAAUGAUUUUUUUAAACUGUAAAUUUUGACUUUAUUAACCCAAAUGGGUCUUUAGGGUUAAACUUCAGUAAUUGACGAGCUCUUCCACAAACUGUGGAUGAUUUGGGGAUAAAAACUUCAAUAAUUCUAGAGUUAAAGUGUAAAUUUACUACUAUAUUAUAAGUAAAUAUUGAAAUUUAUCACUAAAUUUUAAUUGAUACUUGUCAUUACACUUUGAAAAUAUAAGUAAAUUUAUCAUUUAACUCAUAUGUGAUUGAAGUUUGCAAGUAAACUUAAAAUUUUAUUUAAUUUUGUCACUAAAUUUGAUUUAUUUAAUUAUAUUUACAACUCAAUAUAGAUUUGGUGACUUAAAACAAAAUUAAUAAAAAAACUAUUCUUUCAGAUAACUUUUAAUGUUAACUAAUAAGUUGAUUUAUAAAAUAUACUUUCAUUGGACACAAGCAUCCAAGGCGGUGAACAAACCACUGGUCAAAUUAAUUUGGAGAUAUCCUUUUUGCGUUUUUCUUUUUUUUUAAAAAUAUUUUUAAUAUUUUUGUGGAUAUCUCCAAAUACCAAAAAUUAUUUCACUAAGGAAUUAAUUAGUAUUUUAAGGGUUCACAAUUAAACUUUAGACUUUUUAUUUUUAAAUUUGGAAUUUUUUGACAAUUGCAUAAUUAACAAGUACUAAUUUAGAGUGUUGCAGGAUUAUUACAACCUUCCCUACACGUAACAGACUCUUGAACCUACUUUUUUCUCUAGAACUCAAUGCAAACCUCAAAUUUAUCUUUUUAAAAGAAUUUUAAAAUAUCUAUAUAAAAGGUGAUUUUUUUACCGAUCACACUUAACAAAAUUUUAAAAAUUAUUAAUUUCUUUUUGAAAUUUAAAGUGAUCUAAAACUAUAUUUUUAAGUGCUUUAGACCAUGCGGUGCUGAUUUCUUUAUUGUAUUAAAUGCUUGCAAUCACUCCUUGUAUCUUAUACUUGAGUUGUAACAAAACCAAUUGUCACGUGUCAUAAUGUUCUACUGAUGCUGAAACUGAAGUUUUUGUUAUAUUAAUAGAGCUUGUCCUUCAACGCGUAUAACAAGUGUUUGUUAUUUUUUCCUUCAAAUUGUAUGAUCUCAUUCAUUAAAUAAAUUAAUGAAUUUCCCUUUAAAAAAUAUAAUUUUAAAAAUUAAAUACUUUAUAAGAUAUUUAAAACUAUUUAAAAAAUUGUAAGCGUUAAAACAAUCAACAAGAUAUAUUUUUCUUUAAAAAAUCAAUAAAAAUAUGUUUAAAAUUUUAUAUGAAAUUAAAAAUUUUUUAACAAUAAUAUAUUUUAAAAUUAUUUACACCUUUUUUUAUAUAUUUUUCCUAACAUAUCGUUAUUUUCAACACUAUCGUAAUCCUAUUUUGAUAAUUCCCUUUCCAUACAUCCUUUUUCUACAUAGAAUUUCAAAAGAAAAUGUGAAUUAAUGCAGACUUGAGAAGACCUAGAGGUAAGUCACCCAAUGAAACUGACCUAAACCGACUUAUGGACCAAUCAAACAAUAAUUUUGUAUCUCAUAAUAUAUUUAAUUACAUUAAUUAGCUUAUCAAUCAAAACUUAAUUAAAAUCCAUCAAUAAAGUUGCUGAUUGUAUGGCUAAGGCAUAUGGAGGCAUAAUUGAGCAGCUGGUUAUCUUGGAAGAUCCUUCGCGUUAUGUAAGAUAUUGGCUUGAAGGAGAUAUUAGACAGUCGUUGGUCACUGAUGAUAAAUUUCAUUUGGAUUGAAGCAGGCUUAAUUUUCUAAGUUUAUGUUCAACCAGAAAAAAAAUCUAAAUUGUAAUAGAAUUAACAUUUAGUGUAUAAAAAAUAUCUUAAAAAUUAUUUUUUCAAUUGCAAUUCAAUUCCACAAAUACUGACGAUGAACCCUGAAACGGACAUGAAAAUUACAAAAAGAAAAAAAGCACAUCUAUUAUCAAACCAGCAAUCCAUGCCUAAACUGAGAGAGAUGAACCCUAUGAUAGAUUGUGACACCCCAAAGUCGACCGGGAUAGAUCGGCCCGAAUUCGAAGCAUUACAUUAGCCACCUAAAUGACUCUCUAGCUAACGACCACCCAAGACACACCCCGACCUUAUAACACCUCAAUCUUAUCUAAUUAUUAGUUAUUUAUUAAUACCAAAGUAAAUUAUGAGCCAAUUUUAAACUUUUCCUAGGUAAUUUAACCUACGGGCAUUUACGUUAUUUUACCACCUAUGGUAAAACUAACCCGAUUUUAGAUCUAAGUGUUUACUGGCCUUCUUUUAGUCAAAUUAUGCAAGGUUAAAAUUUUUAGGUGAUUUUGAGUUCAUUUACUAUGUCUAAUUCAAGUUUUAUUAUUUAGGACUAAAUUGUAACUUAAACAAAUUUGAAUACCAAUUUAAAGAGACAAAAAUUUAAAACCCCCAAAACCACACGAGCAUGUAGGUAAAUGACACGGGAGUGUGGAAACUGGAGCAAUCACACACAGGCGUGUGGGAUUGAAAAAUAUGAAAUAAAUUAAUUAUGGUGUUAAAUUCUUCCAUCAAUUGUACAUAAUUUUGAUUGGUAUAGUAAUAAAUUUAGCCUUCAAUGUUUAAAUAUUUUGUCAUUUUGGCCUUAAUUUUAAAAAAAAAUUCAAGAAAUUCAACCUCAACAUUCACAUAUUUACACAAACGUUGCGGGAAAUUUUUGUUAAAUUAAGACCAAAUUGCAAGUAUAAAUUUUGAGGGCUAAAUUUAUUAUUAUACCAACAAAAACCAUGUACAUUUUAUGGAAAAUUAACAUCCUGAUUAAUUAUUCUUAGUAGCUCACUUUCAAAAUUAAUAGGGACUAAAUUGCUCUGAUUUUUUAAGGGUGACCAAUUUCUUCAAUUUGGAAAUUGAGAGAGACUAUUCAGAUAUUUUACAUAUUUUUUAUAAAUAUAUUUUUUUAAUAUAAAAUAUAGUUGUUCACACACAUCGUGAGUAUGAUAAAAUAUUUUUAUUGUUGAUUGAAUUGGUGUCAAAAAUUAACUCGAGACCAACUCAAGAUUAAGAAUAACAAUAUGAUAAAUAAUUUAUUUAUUUAAUAUUCUGAAUUUAAAAUAUUGAUGUAAAUUUUAAGACAUGCAUGUCUUGUAGAAUUGAGAUUAUACUUUUUGAGUAUUGAGUCAGUUUUCCACAAUUGUGGGUCUCUAUUUGAGCAACACAAUUUCAACAUUUCUUCAUCUCGCUUAAUCCAAAUGCAUUUAGGAUUUUUUUUUUUAUAUCAUUGUUUCAAAAACGAUAAAAAAAAAAGUGGACAUUGAAUUUUCUGUUUCACAUUCAAUUUUUGGAGAAGUAGAAUUUUCUAACUUAUUUUCCAUCAACUUCACUUCAAUUUUCAAUCACAAUCUAUUGCAUUCAAGAGCACCACAUCAUUUUGGAUGAAACAAACCUCUCAAUUUUAAGAUAAACGGAAUCUAUUGCAUUCAAGAGCACCACAUCUUUUUGGAUGAAACAAAGCUCUCAAUUUUAAGAUAAACGGGUCUUUAGGGUUAUUAAUUAAGGGCAUUUUCCACAAUUGGCAUCGUUAUUUGCGGGUGAUUCGGGGAUAAUAACAUCAACAUUUCUGUAUCACAUUUAAUUCAAUUCCACAUUUAAGUUUUAAUUUUUAGAGAGAUGAUUGGGUUACAACAAUGGUUUGAAGUGAAGAUAUUUCAAAAGAAGGCAAAUAUAUCAAUUUUUUAAGGGGUCUUUGGAGUUAUAUGUGACUUUAGCAUUAUUGACCGACUUUUUUAUAGUUAAUCUUUUAUAAUAAGUUAAUUAUAUCAAUUUUAAUAACAUCGACAUGUUUUUUAGUAGGGUCGAUCAAAACCCAAUUAAAACCUUUCAUCACUGCAAAAAUGAAAAUAAUAGAAAUGAAAGACUAGCCAUUGUAUGAGAUUUAUAAUUGUAACUGUCAACGAAAUUGGGAGAAAUUUUUAAAUUUUAUGAAAUUUUAAAAUUAAACUGUCAAUAAUAGAAAAUUGCCUGAGUGACUUGGGAUAAGAGCUUGAACAUUUCUGGAUCACAUUACAUUUAAGAUGGGUCUUUAAGGUUAUACUUUAGUUUUUGAGAACAUUUUCCACAAUUUGCCAUCGUUAUUUGUGGGGUAAGUGGUUGAACACUUCUGGAUCACAUUGCAUUUAGGACGGGUAUCAUUCAUAGACUGACUUUUCUAUAAUUAGUCCUUGCUUUACUUUAGGUGGAUUCUUCCAACUAGUCCAAGAAUUAUUGUACAGUUACAUUUAAUCUUUUUAAAUGAGACAAACAUUUCAAAUUUGUCGUUACUAUUUGUGAGUAAUUUGGGGGUAAGAAGUUUAACACUUCUGGAUGUCUUAUAGAAUUGUGAUUAUACUUUUUGAGUAUUGACUCAGUUGUCCACAAUUGUGGGUCUCUAUUUGAGCAAAACAAUUUCAACAUUUCUCCAUCUCGUUUAAUCCAAAUGCAUUUAUGCAUUUCUUAUAUCAUUGAAUUUGCUGUUUCACAUUCAAAAAUUGGACAAGUAGAAUUUUCUAACCUAUUUUCCGUUAACUUCACUUGAAUUUUCAAUCACAAUCAAUUGCAUUCAAGAGCACCACAUCUUUUUGGAUAAAACAAAACUUUCAAUUUUAAGGUAAACGGGUCUUUAGGGUUAUACGGGGGCCUUUUCCACAAUUGCCAUCAUUAUUUGCGGGUGAUUUUGGGAUAAUAACUCGAAUAUUUCUGGAUCACAUUUAAUUCAAUUUUUAAAUUUUAGAGAGAUGUUUGGGUUACAACAAUUUUCAUCAUUAAGUUUAAUAGAACAUUUGGGAGGAAAAAGAGCAAAAAAAUGAGCGAAAACCGAAAAAUGGGGGCAAAGUAUAGGACCCACACUAGCUGACCUAUUCCACUUGACUGUGCAUCAAUUUCGUAGAUUUGCACUUUGACCUACAAAAAAAUACGAAUUUUAGGCUUUUCGGGCAUUCUAAGAUGUACAUAUGACAAAAAUAAAAAGAUAUAAGAGAACCUUUUAGAAUAUUCAAGAAAACAACUCCAAAGACACCACUAAAGCCGACUCUGAAGCAAAUUUUCAUUAAGAUGGAAGAUUCCUAAUUGACCACUAAAGCCGACUCUAAAGCAGACUUUCAUUAAAAUGGAAGAUUCCUAAUUGAUUUCUUAGGAGAUUAUCAUGAGUUUCUUUAUUCCUUUCAAUUAUACUACCCUUUGGAUGUUUUUAUUUUUAAUCAUGAACUAAUUUUCUAAAUACCUAAGAGAGAUAAACCCUAUGAUAGAUUGUGACACCCCAAAGCUGACCUGGACAACCGACCCAAAUUCGAAACAUUACAUUAGCCAUCUAAGUGACUUUCUAGCUAACGACCAGCCAAGACACACCCUAACCUUAUUGUACAAGCCCAAUUUUGACCAAGACCAAACCAAAUAAAUUAACAGUCCAUAAGAGUCCAAAUUACAACUAGCCUGAUAUGGCCCAAAUAAAAAACAACAACCCAAGCCCAAACCCAACCCUCGUAGCCCAAAGCCCACAAACUAAAAAAUUUCAGCAGAAAAAAGAAAGUUGCUAACCCUACGCGCCAUGCCUGGGUCCUCUGCCACUGACCGCAUGCCUCUGCCACCGUAUCUCACAGCCUCUGCCACGCCUCUGCUGCCUACAAGAAACCAACAAAGCACAAAAUGACAACAGCAAUAGAGGUCAAAUCGAAAAACAACAAAAAAUAGAUUACGAAUCAUUUAGAUUGGCUAUAAAGGCCGAAAUAUUAACCUUGUAAUGCUUCUUCUUUUUUUUUGACGAACAUUAGAAAAAUAAAAAACAGAAAACAAGUUUAGAAGGUAGAUUUUUUUCAUUUUCAAAUUUGCAUUUCUUUUCCCUGUGUAUUUUCUUUUCUUCUAUUUUUUUUUACAUGCAACUAGUAAGAACAAAGAAAGAGAAAGAAAAACCUCGCCUGGAAUAGCCCCUCAAGUCCGGUCGUCGAAGGCCCUUUUCCUGUUGUCAAAAUCGAACCUAAAAAGGGGGCUAGGGUGCCCUCUCCUGGUCUUUUAGGGCAACAUCGGCCACCAGUCAGGUGGCACUACGGCGGCGCUCACGGCCAAAACCGUAGGCCGAGCGGGGUGGGGGUUUGAGAGAGGGAGCUCUCUGAAAUUUUUUUAAACAAAUGGGAUGAAACUGAUUUUCUUUGGGUUUUUUUUUAUUUCAUACUAAGUAUGAAACGGCGACGUUUUGGGCUUAAGCAGCCAUGGCCAAAACGACGCCAUUUUACGUCGUUUCCCCUAUACCCACGCGCGCGACCCGACCCACCAGGGGAUCCGCAUGUUUUUGCUCUGAGGGGAUAUUUGCGCAAUCUGCCCCUACGCCUUUUUGACGUAUUCAAUUCGGUUUUUUAUUAUUUUUUAUUUUAGCCAUGUAUUUUUGCUUCCGAUUCAAGUUGGUCCUUAGACCAUGUGUUGUUCCACAGUUAAAACGCCGCACUUUAGGAUUGGGGAAUAUUUCCCUGAAAGUCCCUCGCGCUUUGAGUGCGUUUCAUUUCGGUCCCGAGCCACCCCUUUUAUUUAUUUGCAAUUUAGACCGCGAGUUCUAAUCCGAUUUCAAUUUAAUCCUUAUUCCAUGUAAUUAUUUUAUUUUCUUUUUCUUUAAAAAUUAAUUUUUUUAUUUAUAAAAAGGACCUCUUUUAUUAUUAUUAUUUAUUUUAAGUUUUACAUAUAUUAUUUAUUUUAAAUGUUUUGCCUAAUAUUUACUUAAUUUUUUUAUUAUAUUAUUUUUUUAAACUACUAUAUAUAUUGCCUCUUAGAAUUUAUAUAUAUAUAUAUUAUUUUAAUAAAAAAUAAAGAAUACUGUUUUUAAUUAUUUUAAACUAUCUUAGUAUUUUUUUUUUCAUUUUAAAGUUUUAUAUUGUUUGUUUGAGACAUUUUGCCAUACAUUUCGAGUUCAUCUCAUAAGUUAUUUGUCUUAUACUAUUACCUACAUAAAAUUGUUCUUUAUUAUUUCAUUUCGUUUGCUUGGACUAUUAAUAUUGAUAUGUUAAAAUGUUGCACGUGGUGUGAUUAUUAUCAUUAUGUACGUUGUAAUUAGUUUAUUUUUUUCGCAUUAUUGCCAUUAUGUGUAUUAUUCCGUUUACUCGUAUUUCCAUGCUAUGGUAAUUCAUUCGUAUAUCAUGUUGUUCGAAAAUUAUUUCACCAUAUUAUAAAUUGUCACCCCAUCAACGCAACCCUUUUGUUCACGCAUUAUUUCAAACAUUACAUUUUUUACCCAAACAUGCAAAAAUGAAAUUUUCAAAUAAGGCAAUAUUUUGUGUAUUGGCGAUUCGAGAAAAUUGUAUCCUAACUUACGGGGUUUCAGUCUUUCUCAUUAAAACUAAUAGCAAAAUACCAUUUUUAAAAUAUCAAAAAAAUGAUGAAAGGAACCUAAAUAAGGCAAUAUUUUGCGUUUGGAAAUUCGAGAAAAUGUACCCUAACGUGCUAGGUUUCGAUUCUUUCGUUUAACCAAAUAGCCAAAUAUUCUCUUAAAAUUUCAAAGUAUGGGUUUUGGAACUGUCGAAACCACUUUUUUUGAAAAACAAAAAAAUUAGUUGUCGACUUUAACAACGAGAAUUGGAGUCAGAGUCGCCACUGAUCUUUUAAUGAGGUGUGAUCGGAUCACCUUGAAAACAAUUUUAGGUCUGCGAAUUUUGAGAAAAUUGAUUCGGGAGUCGGUUACACACGAGGAAGGGUUAGCACCCAUGUAACGCCCAAAAUUGGUACCGAAUUGAUUGUUUAAUGUCUUAGUGUCGAGAAUUUGAAAAGAUUUUAAAAUACAAUCCUUUGAAAAGAAAAUUUGAAUAAGAUGAAUUGGAUGAUGAGACUCACUUAUUUCAAAGAAAUAAAUUGUCACACUCAGUAAGUUAGAAUGCAACAUUUUAAAUCCUCAAAAUUAAGUUUAUCUUUUGACUUUUAAAACCUAUGCAUUUUGAGAAGGAUAUCCGAUUAUUUGGGUCAAAUGAAAAAAUCAAAACCCAAUAAGUUAGGGUUCGAUUUCACAAAAUUCCUAAAUAUCGAAUAUUGCCUUAAUUUUCAUAUAUUAGAAAAAUCCUCGCCUUGAGAAAACAACAUGUCAUAUCCAAUGCGUUAGGACACAACGCAUCGAAUUCCCGAGAAUGAGCUUUUUGUUUAUGUGUUUUAAUUAAAGAAUAAUCUCGAUUAUUUAGAUUCGAUGAGGAAAAUUGGAACCCAAUACGUUAGGGCUCAAUUCUUUCAAAAAUCUCAAAUUCCGAGUGUCGCGUUAUUUUAACAAAACUUUUUGAAUAAAAAUGCUCUCAAUAUUUGAAUGAUAUUAAACGUAAUAUUUUGACAAAUAAAAACCAUGAAAUAAUAACGUACAACGCGAAAUGGUGAUUCAUAAAUUAAUGUACGCUAAUGAACGACAAAGAAUCGAUAGAUACGAGCAAGCAAUACAAUACACGUAAGAGCAAUUAUCUCACAUCAUAUACAAAUAAUAACUUUAAUAUUCAAAAGCUAAUGAACUAAAAACUAAUCUUAAACGAAGCUCCAAGCGAAUUAAUACAAAAAUAUGCAACAAGAUUUGAAGAAUAAAAUAACAUGAAGGAAGGGAAAAUAUAUUUAAAAUAAAUCAUAUAUAUAUAUAUAGAAAUUUGAAGUAAAUUAAAAAUAAGGUUAAAAAUAAAUACUACAUAAAAUAAUAGUAUCCAAAUAAAUUUUAAAACAAAUAUCAUAUAAGAAGAAAAUCAAAUACAUAAAAUAAUAUACAUAUAUUAAUUUAAGAUAAGUAAUAUAUAGGGAGUGAAAAGCUUCAUGUAAGUAAUAAUAUAUGCUAAUAUGCAAAAAGUGAAAUAAACUAAAUAUAUGCGGAUAUUUAAAAGAAGUAAAGUAUCUAUAUAUAGCAAUAGGUAUAAAAAAUAUAUAUAGUUUAAAAUUAAAUAAUAUAUACAUUACGUACAUACAUAUAUGUAUAAUAAAAAUAGUUUAAAAAUAGUAACAAAUAAUAAUGAUAAGUAAUAUAUAUAAAUAGGUAAAUAGAAAUGUAAUCAAAUAUAAUAAUGAUAACAAUAAUAAAUAGUAAUAAAAAUAAUAAUAGUAAAUUAAUUAAUAGCAAAAAAUAUCAAUUAGGACUAAAUUGGAAUGAAAAUAGAAAUUUUGGGGCCAAUCCGCAAUAAAUAAAAACAAAAAGGGGCCGAAUUGGGUGCGCGAGGAACAAUGAGGGAGUAAAGCGGAAACUCCAAAACGCUGCAUUGCGGCAUGGACUAAAAUAAAACGAAAAUCAAAUUAAAGGGCGAAAAUUAAAAAGAAAAGAAUCGAUUCGAACAUGCCACAAAAGAGAGAGGACCAUUUGCGCAAAUCUCCCAACAGAGGCCAAAACGCGCGGAUCCUUCCCCGGGUCGGGUCACCGCACGGGUCAUGAGCUACCAAACGGUGUCAUUUUUGACGUAUGGAUAACGUAAAACGGUGUCGUAUUACACUAUUAUUUAAACAAGGUUUUAAAUAAAAAAACAAAAAAAGACAAAUGCUGCCUACGUUUUAAAAAAAAACUGCUUGUUCUUUGCUAGGGUUUUGCCCUAGCUUCUGCGCCGCUCGAACGUACUGCCGUUCAGAAACUUACAAUCCUCGUCCAAACUCCAAUCGCAAUGAAGCGAACAAGGGUGCGACGGCCACCCUAAAGGUAAAUCUUCACUUCUCUUUUCUCUUUUAUUAUUUUCGCAUAAAAACGAAGCGAAUAAGUAAAAUAAAAUAAAAUAAAUAUGAGAAUCACCUUAAAAAACAAUGAUAUUCGAUUUCUUUUUUCUCUUUUUUGUAUUUAGUAUUCGUAACCGUUUACAGAUUUGGUUGGCUCUUUUUAUAGAUGAAAUUAGUGAGAAAGAGAAAAAAAAUCGAAGAAUAUUUUUUUUACAUUUUUCCUUAUUUACUGCUAUCUUCUCUUAUUUGCUAUCGAUUUCUGCUCUUUUUGUUUGCUUGUCCUUCUUGCAGUUAUGGCAUACGGAGGGUGGACGUGGUGGCCACAAAGGCGCGCGUGAGGCGUGGCUCGACUGCUCGGCUGAAGUUGUAUCAGAAACCGCUAGGGUUUUCUGAUUCCUUCUUUGUUUUGGGCUCAUUGGACUAAAAGUUUUUAGGCUAGUGGGCUAGGUUAAAUUUAGGUUUUGGGUUAUACUUCAUUUAUUGAGGGCCUUUUUAACAAUUGCCAUCAUUAUUCGCGGGUGAUUUGGGGAUAAUAACUUGAACAUUUCAGGAUCACAUUCAAUUCAAUUUUUAAAUUUUAGAGAGAUGUUUGGGUUACAACAAUUGCCAUCAUUAUGUUUAAUAGAACACUUGGGAGGAAAAGGAACAAAAAAAUGAGCGAAAACCGAAAAAUGGGGGCAAACUAUAGGACCCACACGGGCUGACCUAUUCCACUUGACUUUGUGACCCUCACGGUCGCGUGGCAAACCACGUCAAUUUCAUAGAUUUGCACUUUGAACUGCGAAAAAAUACGAAUUUUAGGCUUUUCGAGCAUUCUAAGAUGCAUAUAUGACACAAAUAAGGAGAUAGGAGAGAACCUUCCUAGAAUAUUCAAGAAAACAACUCCAAAGACACCACUAAAGCCGACUCUGAAGCAAAUUUUCAUUAAGAUGGAAGAUUUCUAAUUGAUUUCUUAGGAGAUUAUCAUGAGUUUCUUUAUUCAUUUCAGUUAUACUGCCCUUUGAAUGUUUUUAUUUUUAAUCAUGAACUAAAUUUCUAAAUACCUAAGAGAGAUGAACCCUAUGAUAGAUUGUAACACCCCAAAGCCGACUGGCACAGACCGGCCCAAAUUCGAAACAUUACAUUAGCCACCUAAGUAACUUUCUAGCUAACGACCACCCAAGACACACCCUAACCUUGUAACACCUCAAUCUUAUCUAAUUAUUAGUUAUUUAUUAAUGGCAAAGUAAAUUAUAAGCCAAUUUUGAACUUUUUCUAGGUAAUUUAACCUAAGAGCAUUUAAGUCAUUUUACCACCUAUGGUAAAACUAACCCUGUAAUAGCCAAUUUUGGAUGGCCCGAUAAUAAAAAGUCCAAAAAUCAAAGUCCACAUAGUUGAAUUACAUAAAUUGACCCAAUACACAAACCAAAACUAAACAUCUAGCCCGAAUAGCCCAAUAACCAAAAAAAUAAUAAGCCCAAAACCCCAGGCCCAAUAAACUCUGACCUGAUUUGAAGAACACUCCAGAAACCCUAAGGGUUCCUGGAACCUUUCAGCCACCACAGCAACCAGGGCCCUUCCUCGCAUGUGUAGCGCCUCCGCGCACGUGCGCCUCCUCUAGCUGGCUCCUGCAACAGAACACACGAGCAGCAACAACAAGUAAAGCAAGGGAAAAAUAGAAUAACAGCAAAAAAGAAUAAAAUAAUAGAAAAAAAGAUGUAAAAUAAUUUCUGUAAUUUUUAUUAUUCGGCUAUAUAAAGUCAUUGGUGAUACUGUAAAAAAGGAUUACGGAUUCAAAAGAAAAGAAAAAAAAUCAAAUAGCAUUAUAUUUUUAAUGUUGUUUCUGAUUUCUACUUCUUUUUUCUUUUUCCUUUGAUUUGUUUAUAUUUGCUGAUUAAAAGAUAAAAAAAGGGGAAGUUCUUACUUACAUAUUGCCCUGCCGGAGCCUUCAUCCCUUCUGUUUCAAAUCGGAAUUGGGUGGGCAAUGGUCUAAUUGAAAACGGCACACAGAGGGUAGAUUUUAGGGAAAUAGUCAUUUUCACUUAAUUAACCAUGCAAACAUCAAAAUUUCUCAAUGAAAUUUUACUACGACCUUAAUAAAAUCCUGUAGACAGUAAAUAAAUAAUAAAAUAUUAAUUUACUUGUCAAAAUUGUGGUCUCAAAACCAUUGUUCUGAUAUAACUGAAAACGUGCUGUUACCACUCUCCCCCUAAAGGAAUUUUUGUCCCCGAAAAUCUAACUAGAAAAUAAGUUCUGGUAUUGUACUUUCAUAGCUUCUUCUGGUUCCCAGGUAGCCUCUUCUAUUUUGUGACGUUUCCAAAAAAAUUUAACUAAAUCUGUACUUUUAUUUCUCAAUUCUUUAACUUCCUAAGCUAAAAUUCUAAUUGGUUCUUCACUGUACGUCAUACCUAGCUGGUUAUCAACAUCUGCUGGUGAAAUCACGUGUGAAGGAUCUGAUUGAUAUCAUCGUAAUAUUGAUACAUGAAAUAAAUUAUGAAUAUUCUCUAACUUUGACAUCAAAGCCAAUUGAUAAGCUACUGGUCCAAUCCUCUUAAUGAUCUUAUAUGGACCGAUAAAUCGCAGACUAAGCUUUUCUUUUCGACAAAAAUGGAGAACUUUUCUCCAAGGCGGUACUUUUAGAAAUACUUAGUCCUCGACUUGAAACUCUAUAUCUUUUUUUGUUCAAAUCUGCAUAAGAUUUCUGACGAUCAGAAGUAGCUUCAAAUUGUCACGUAUCACUUAACCUUUACUUUGGUUUCUCAAAUCAAAUCAACACUGAAUAACUUUUUCUUGAUCAGCUCCAAUAUAACAGAGUUCGACAUUUCUGACUAUAUAAAGGUUCAUAUGGUGCCAUUUUAAUGCUCACCUAAUAACUGUUAUUGUAUGGAAAUUCAACCAAUAGUAGAAAUCUCUUCUAGUUACCUUCAAACUCUAAAAUACAACAUCGGAGCAUGUCUUCAAGUAUCUAAAUUACUGGCCAAGACUGGCCAUUAGUUUGUGGAUGAAAUGCUGUAUUGAAAUGCAGUCGAGUAUCCAGAGCUUCAUGUAACUUACCCUAGAAUCUAGAAGUAAAUUGUGGAUUUCUAUCAGAGAUAAUGGAUACCGGCACACCUUGUAAUUUGACAAUCUCAAAAACAUACAAUUCUACCAACUUCUGAAAUGAAAAAUCCAUACGCACUGGAAUGAAAUGUGUGAAUUUCAUCAAAUGAUCUACAAUAACCCAAACAACAUCUUUUUUUCUCAAAGAUAGAGGCAAUCCUGAUACAAAAUCCAUUGUAACAUGUUAGACUUUUGUUAGGUAACUAAUGGAAGAGUGAUAAAAAUAUUUAAAUUUGAAAAUUUGAGUUGCUAAAAAGAAAAGUUCAUAAUUAGGUGAUCAAAAUAGAAUGAAUUGAAUAGUUGUGAGACUAUUCUUGUACUUUACCCUUUAAUUACUUUUUUUUAUGGAUAUGUAUUAUUAAUUUUAAAUUUAUAAUAAUGCAUUGCUAAAUAAUUGCAAAAAAAAAUUAUAGACAUUAAUUUUUUGGAGAGGAUAGGCAUCUCUAAAUAAUGAUUAUUUAGAGUUGAAAAUUGUCCAUAAAUAUUUUUGGCAAUUUGUUUUUGAGGUGUAUGGUUGAUAAAGUAUGAUCGAUAGAUUAUGAAGUGAAGCUAAAUGUGUGUUUGACUGGGUGAAAUGUAACACCUUAAACUCAGCCUAGACGUUACGACCAGAUCAGGAAGUGUUACGUAAUUGUUUGAAAAUUCAGUUCUCAUAUAAUUUUGGAAUCCGUUUUGAAUUCUUAAAAUUUCAAAUUAUUUGAAAACAUUCUUUGUCUAGCUAUUUUGUUGAAAACACUAUUUGCUUAUAUUAUAAAACUCAUAAUUUUGCAGCGGAAAAUUCUUUAGCAUUUUUUUUAAAAUGCUAUCCUUAUUUCUUGAAAUUCAUUACUUUUGUAGGAAAUAAAAGUGAUUUUUAUUGAUAAAAUAUUUUAACGACAUUUUAUGUAAAUCGAAAAUAAAAACCUCAAAAACAAAUCAGAACAGUCAAAAAGUCCAAAAUUUACAAAACACCAAAAUUCCCAAAUUUUAAAUAAUUAAAAUAAAUGCAAUAUCUUUUAUAACCGAGCUACCCUCGCACCGACCCGCCUAAGUUUGAGGAUUACUUGAAAGUAUCAUUUAAACAGAAAGUGAGUUUAUGAAACUCAGUGUAAAACAAUUAACUUAAAACAGUUAAAGCAUAUCAAACAAAUUUAACAGUAUCAAAGUCUUAACAAAACAAUACAGAUACAUAUUUAUUUUUCCUACCCCCAUCUGCUACACACCAUCUCCGACCAUCCCAACACACCAUAUGGGGUAUAAAACACCCAUCUAACCCUACACAUCACUUAGUGUCGUUUAAGAAACUUACAGAAGAAUCGUAGUUGCACUACCAGAUAAAUAGGUGAAUUAUCACCUUUUCAAAUAUACUUCCUCCACAUAGUAAAACCCAUCAUAAUAACAGAUACAGUACAUAUCAAUAAUCAGUAAUAAGCAUAACACAUACAUAUAGCAUCGAUGCAUAACAUAUAUAUAGUACUUUUACCAGUUUUCCUAUAGCCCAUUACAUAAUUUACUCGUCAUAUGCAGCUUCAGAUACAGAACAAAUAUCAAAAUUCAUGCGAACAGAUGACUAACUUUUUAUAUUUUUUAGUCCAUUUAAGCACAUAUUGACCCCAUGGAAGACCCAUAGUCGAUCUAAGUGACGUGAACGGUCCUGAGGAAAGUUUUAGAAUGUUGGGCCCAUACGCCCUGUGUAGCCUACAUGGCCCAAAUUGCUCAAACCGUGUGUCACACACGGUCCAACACAUGGCCUGUCACACAACCAUGUGUUGCACAUGGCCUACCAUAGGACCUAACACAUGACCGUGUGGCUCUGUUCGCUGAUUUUCAAGUUUCUCGUUACACUUCUGAUUCUAUUUUAACACGAAAGCAGCCACAAGAUAACCAUUACCUAAUACGAAAACCAAAUCACCAAAUGAGACAAUUUUUCUCAAACCCGAUUUACAAAAUCAAUUUUACCAAUAACAAAGUUAAUGAUGAAAUUCAGUCCAAAUCUCCAACCUUGAUUCUUACCCUCAAGAAAAAGUAGUCCAAAUAACGAUUCUAAGUCGUCGAGUAACUAAUCGCCUUGUGAACUACACCUAAAACCAAAACAAUUGAUUAACAUCGAUAAAUCACACCAACCAGAACUCAACAUAAUCGAAGCUAACGAAGGCAAGAUUCCAUAACAGAAGAGAAGUAGGCAAUACUUAUGCACGAAUCAAAUUACACUUAACAUAGCAGAGUAUCCACCACCGAUUUGGAAAGGCAUAAAGAACAACAUUCAAGAAUGAACAAAAGAUUGAGAAAAGAACAAGAGCAGGAAAAAGAAACGAAAAUUGAGGGCCUUCUCUACUAAAAUCCACGUGAAAGAAAAGAAAGUAAUAAAGAAAAAAAAAUAGAACCAGAAAGCAAAAAAAUCGAGAACAUGUAAACAAAUGGGAGCAAAAAUUGGGGAUUGAAAUUAUUUUAAUCAAUUAAUUCCCUGCCAUUUAAAAAAACAAUAAAAUAAAAUAAAUAUCUUAAUAACCACCCACUAAACUUAGAUAAGUACCCAGAUUCUUUUCAAGAAUUUGAAUUUAAUCUAAACUUAUCCACUUGAAUAACACAAAGCAUAAAAUAUUUCGCUUGCUUGCAUGGAAGCUUGAAUACAUGACCAAUGAGUACUCAAGAAUUUAACCACUAAACCAGUAAAUUUAUUCUUGUCAUAGAUUUAAUGAUAAUAAUAUUUAAGCUGGAUAAACAGAGAUAGACUUAGAAACAAAAAUAAUUGAAAUUUUCUAAAGAAGUGCAACUUAAACCCAAGACCUCAAACUCACAAGACACUUCACCACUAAAACAAACACUUUCUAAUGACAAAUUUUAUCAAAUUAUGUAUACGAAAUUUGGGGUGUUACACGGAAAGUGGAGGGAUGGGAGGAAGGAGUGAACAAGUGGAAAAAAAAUAAAUUUUGAGUAUGCUUAAUUGAAAAGAAAGUGAGAGGAAAGAAGAUAAGAGAAAUGAUCAUUUUCCAUUCCAAUGAAUAAAAAUGAAUCAUUCCAAAUUGGAAAGAUGAGAUGAAAGAAAAUGAGAAAUAUGUGUAUGAUAGUUUAAAAGAAUGUAUUUUUGAAAUGAUUUAUUUUCUUUCAUUUCAUUUUUUCAACUCUACCAAACAAUGAAUGGAACUGGAGUAAAAAUUAAAAGUAGAAAACUAGAAGAAUGAAAAAAUAAUUUUUAUUUUUAUUUUUCUAUUUUUCCUACCAAACACAUCUAUGAAAUUUUCCACCCGUUAAAUCUUCCAUUCUUUCAAUUUUUGUUACAGUCUAGAAAGCAAAACUUUAAUGUUGAAAAUUUAAUUCCAUAGCAGAUAGAUUACGAAGUGAAACUAAACGCUAAAAUGAUUAUAUUAUGAAUAUGAAAUCUCCAUUAAUUCUGAAACUGUAUUACCAAUGGAGAAGUAUUGAUUUCUAAUUGUAAAAAUGUGAAGAGAACAGGUUUACUUUUACAAGUAAGAAUUUUUUGAGCAUCCUUCAUAUUUUUACAAUUAAAAGCCAACUCCAUAGUCAAUUUGCUUUGAGAAUGAACUGUGUAUCUUCAAGACUUCCAGCUUCAGUACAGAUUAAGUUGAGCAUUGGAUGAACUUGCCAAGGCUUCUCAGACCAUUGCACUUCUUCCACUAUAUUCAGCAUUUCUUGAAAAUAUUCAUGCAACACUAUUGGUAACAUGGAUUUCUGACAUUAGAAAAGUAGCAAAAUUUGUGGAACUUUGAUAGCCCCAUUGACAAUAAGGAAUGAUGGGUUCCAUUCUUCUUAUUAAUCUCCCUUUUUUCCCCUUGAUUAAGCACUGGUUAUUUGAAAGCAAAACACAUAGUUGGAUUAGAUUGUAAAAUUAGCACCUAAAAACAUAAUUUUCAUUUUAGCACAGGGUGAUUUAGAUGAAACAACUCUAAUUUUUAAAACAAAUGCUGAACACACAUUAACUGAAAGGAACAAACCUGAAGAGGCAAGGAAGCUCAACCAAGACCACUGUGAUCUAUUUGUCUCAACAUUAAACAAUUAAAGAAGAUUAGAUAGAAACUUAGAGAACACUUCCAAAGAUAUAAGCUUUCUUCAAUUCAUCAAACGAUUACAUAAAUUUCUUAAAUUGCAAUCAAACAUAACAAACCUUAUACUUGACUAAAAGUAAACCAGCUUCCCCAUCAUUUAGGCUUCUCUACCAAGCAAUGUUUCAAAUGUUAUAAGGCUCAGCAUGGAACUCAUGGAUAGGUUUUAGGAGGCCUCUCUGAUACAGAAACAAUAUGAAGUGCAUUAACAGAUCAACAACUCCUAUUGGUAGGAAAUUCAAACAUCCUUAGUUUAAGAAAAUUACAUUUUAAUAGAUCAAAUUCAGUAUAGAAUAUCUUUACCUUGUUCUUAGCUUGGCGCCUUUGACUUGUCAGCCAUCUUACAAUACGAUUCAAUUGCUUUAACUCACCCUCUGGGGUUCGAUACCUCAAAAACUUUUAACGCCAAUGACAAGAUAACAAAUAAUUUAACAAGUAAAUGAAAUUGAAAUGCAUACCUUAAAACUCCUUUUUGGUACAAAAGUAAAAACACAUUUUACAGAAAAGAAAGCAAGGAAAAAUCCAAAUAUAGAAGUACAACAAUGUUGAAAUCCCAAGAAAAGAUAAAAGAACAUAAAAAUUAACAAACACAAGCAACUAAGUAGACAAAUAAUCAGUCUAACACAUAGAAAUAACUUAAUCCCUCAAUGCUAUCAUAGAGUGAAAUUGUUGGAAGGGUCUGCUUCUGCUGUUAGUUCUGCUGUUGAGAGACUUGCAAAGAGAUAUCCUAGUACACAAGGGCAAAUGAGUGAGCAAAGAGUUUACGUAUUAUAUAUAGAACAUGAUUCAUCGAGGAUGAAUCUUAUAUAUAUAUAUGGUUAAAAUACAAAAAUGAAAUUAAAUAUGGAGUUAAACACAUACCAAAAGUAAGUUAAUAACCACAAGCAUACUCAUCGUUCGAUGAUGUUUAGAAACCUUUGUUUGAUCUUCUUUAGCUCAAACACAACAUCCUUCAUAUCUUUUCUUUCUUCUGGCAACUCAGCUGAACAAUCCAAAGCUAACUCCAUGAUAGAAGAAAUACAAUUUGUGUUGGUGCAAGAGGCAGCAGCAAGCUGAUUUCAGCUUUGCUUAAACAGCAAGUCUCGAGGCUUGCAGCAGAAACAAUCAAGGAAGAAAAACUUACAAUGGAAAACAGAAAAGAAAGAGAGAGAUUUGAAUGAAAAUGAGCUAAAUUUUCAUUAACAUUUUUAAGAAGGCAUGAUGCCAAUACAUAUAAGGGAUUACAAUAGCAAAACAAACAAGUUACCACCUAAUAACUUACCUAACACCACAAAUUUGCCUAGUAACUUGGUAAACUUGUUUGAAUACAUAAACAGCUACCUAAACUUGUCAUUCAUGACUUAAUUACAUCAAAAUGCAGCUACCAACUAAGUUUGAUCCUAACUAAAUACAAAACAUUCAUUUAAAGAAACUAAAUGAAUAGCUUCAGCUUGCUGCACCAAUUUGCUGUUGAAGCACGUUCCCUGCAUGGCCACCUUUGCUGCUGCAUGGGAGCUGACUUCAACACUCCUCCUCAGCUUUUAUGCAGCAGACUCCUAGUUCCCUCUUUAGGCUUAGAAAUCUUGAUACACCAAGAGACUUUGUGAAGAUAUCAGCAAUCUGAUUUUCAGAGCUGCAAUGAAUCAGCUCAAUUUCUCGAGCUUGUUCCAUCUCCCUUAUCACAUGUAGUUUAAUAUCGAAGUGUUUUGUCCUACCAUGGAAGACAGGAUUUUUGGCAAUAGCAACUGCUGACUUGUUGUCACAAUGUAUCACAGUUGCUUCAUUCUGCUGUAGGUUUAAAUCACUCAAAAUUUUUCUCAGCCACACAGCUUGAUUAACAGCAUUAGCAGCUGCUACAUACUCAGCUUCAGCUGUUGACUGAGCCACCAUUGUUUGUUUUCUUGAGCUCCAACAAAUCAUUGCAGAGCCAAGUGUAAAAGCAUAACCAGAGGUGCUCUUCAUGUCAUCUUUUGAACCAGCCCAAUCGCUAUCUGUAUAGCCAAUCAAUUUCAACUCCUUGACCCUUUUGAAACAUAUACCAUGGUUCAAGGUACCUUUGAUAUACCUCAGAACCCUUUUUCCUGCUUUGUAAUGCUGCUGAUUACAGCAAUGCAUGAAUCGUGACAGCAUGCUCACAGCAAAUAGAAUAUCAGGUCUUGUUGCUGUCAAAUACAACAAACAGCCAAUAAGGCUUCUAUAAUCUGUUUCACAGACAGAUUCAUGUUCCUCUUGGCUCGAUAGCUUCAUGCCAAUAGCCAUUGGUGUGCUCAUUGGUUUACAAUUCUCCAUUGAGAAUUUAGCCAGCACUUUCAAGGCAAAUGUCUUUUGUUUCAAGAGGAUUCCUCCUUCUACUUGAUUGACUUCUAAGACAAGGGCUCUAGAUACCAAUAAUUUGCUUUAAUAACAAAAUUAUCAUCCUCUCUUCUUAAUAAAUCAGCAUCCACAAUGUCUAUCAUUCCUUCAGAUAAUAAUCUUUUCACCCAAUGCCUUAUGGUCAUUUCAUCACCAAAAAUUUCAUCUGUUGGCCUUUUCCUAGUGAAAGUUUCUAUGAGGACAAUUCCAUAACUAUAGAUGUCACAUUUUAUAGAAACAAUUCCCGUUGAUCCAAAUUCUGCAUUUUAAGCAUAAGUAAUCCUGGAUUAUUUCUAAUAUGUUUACCACUAUAUAUAGACAUACACAAAAAAUAAUCAUUAAUUAAAAAAACUCAAAAAUUCACCUGGUGCCAUAUAACCAAUAGUUGCAAGAGUCAUGGUUUGCUUCACUACAUCACCUUCUCCCAACAAUUUCGCAAUGCCAAAAUCUCCCACAUGAGCAACCAUGUCUUCAUCUAGUAGAAUAUUGCUUGGUUUUAGGUCACAAUGAAUUACAGGUGUUGGAUGUCCAGUGUGGAGAUAUUUUAGAGCAGCCGCAACAUCUACCAUUGUGUUGAUCCUUUGUAUGAUAUCAAGGAAACAACUGUUUGAAUGUAACCAUUUCUCAAGAUUUCCAUUAGACAUGAAAUCAAGCACCAAGGCUUUGAAGUCAACAUUGGAGCAGCAAGUAAUGACCUUGACAAGAUUACGAUGAACUAUGUUACGCAUAGCUUCACAUUCAAUGUCAAAGCUCCUAAAUGCUCCUUCUAUUUGCAAAUUGAAAACUUUUAUUGCAACUUCCAUUCCAUCCGAAAGCCUCCCUUUAUAUACAUAUCCAAAACUUCCUGAACCAAGCAUAUUGUGCUCCUCAAAUCCACUAGUUGCCCGUGAAAGUUCGGCAUGUGAAAUUCUUCUCCAUGUUCCCAAACAUAGUGAAUCAUCCGUAAUUGGUAGAGUUGUACUCCUAAUUCGGAAUCUUCUAUAUAUAAUAACUAAGACUAGUAGUAACAUGACAAUACAAAUUAUUGGUAAACCGUACCUUAAAUCAUGCAAUACACCCAUCUUGGAAUUUUUGCGGAUGUCAUUUUUGCAAGGUGGGACUAGCAAUCUUGGUGGACCACAAAGUGCAUAAUUCUUCAUGAAUGAUGUGCUUGGAAAGUUUGGAAAACAUCCUUUGCUAGGAAUUUCCCCUUCAAGUCUAUUGAAGGACACAUUAAAAUACUUUAGAUAUAAAAGCUUUUCCAAAGAUUUGGGAAUAACUCCAGAGAGAUUGUUAUUGCACAAAUUCAAAAAUGUCAAACUAAUCAAACCACCAAAUGAUUCGGGGAUAUGACCAUGUAUAUUAUUUGAUAAAUCUAAGAAAACCAAAGUUUCAAGACCCCCAAAUGUGGACAAGAUAUCUCCUGUGAAAAGAUUCCUUGAUAAAUUUAGUUUCAGCAGACUCCUCAAAUAUCCAACAUCAAGAGCAUGUGAACCGUUAAGGUAAUUUGAUGAUAAAUCUACUUCUAAGAUAUCUUUAAGUUUCCACAAAGUUGAGGGUAUUGCCGAACUCAAUUUGUUGGAAUUUAAAUAAAGAUAUCUCAAAGAAGUAAUAUUACCCAAACAAGAGGGUAUGGAUCCAUCCAGCUUAUUCAACCCUAAAAACAUCUCGUAUAGUCUCUCCAAACCACAGAGGCUUUUUAAGAUAGGUCCUCCUAAUUUAUUAGAGUAAAGAUCUAGACCUUGGAGAUUUUUCAUUCCUCCAAUUGAUGUCGGAAUAAAACCACUUAAUUUAUUAUGGCCAAGUUGUAAAAGUAAUAGGUUGCUUAAGUUACCUAUUUCUAUUGGAAUAUUGCCUUUAAGCUCACAAUCAGUAGCGUAAAAGUAUAUAAGGGAUGCUGAAAGGUUCCCAAUAUUAGUAGGAAGAGUGCUAUUCAAAGCAUUUUCUAAAAUAUCUACUCUUGUCAAAUUCUUGCAAUUUGUCAAAGAAGAAAGAAAGGCCCACUCAUGAUUUAUAGUAGAUCCCAUGGUCAAAUAGUUGUUUGUUAUUCGGAACCAUUCAAGGUGUCGUAAGUUACCAAACGUUUCAGGAAUUGGGCCAGAGAAGAAGUUAUCUCCCAAGUCUAGAACCUUAAGCAUGGAAGCAUUCAAGAUAGAGUUGGGAAUGUUUCCGAGAAGUUUAUUUCGACGCAACGAAAGAAAAUUCAGCUUUGGAGCCUCGAUCAUGGGUGGCAAGGUACCUGUAAAAGUUUCAUCUUUUAGUGUAUAUAUAUAUUCUCAUUCAAUACCAAAUUCUCGAUAUAUAUAUUACACAAAUACAUUUUUAAAAGGAAAAAUGUAAAACUUCAAAUCAAAUAAAAAUAAAAUUUUCACAUGGAAAAAUGCAAUUAAAUCAAUCUUAAAAAUGACACAUAAUAAGAAGUUCUGAAUAGUAAUUAGUCACUUAUGAUUUGUAUUAAAUAAUAAAAAUAAAUAAAACCAUUUUUAAUAAAGGGUGCAUAAAAAAUUAAAAUAAAAUUUUGAUUAAUUGAUAAAUUUAAGGUUUUAUUAUUGAUGUGAGUUCAAAUCUCACCAUAAUUUUUUUUUACUUUUUUUAAAUAAAAAGUAUUAAAUACCUUUAAAUAAUAAAAUUUAUUUUAAAUACAAAAGGAUAUUAUUAUAAUUGCUCUAAUCGAGUUUGUGCUUGGUUAACUCAUGACACUUAACCAAGCACCAACUUAAUUAGAAACUUAAAUUACAACAUAGAUAUUCACAUGCACCAAAAAAAGUAAAAAAAAAAAUUAGUUUCUAAUAACAAAUUUUAAUGAUUUAUAUAACAAGUAACUUUCUAAUUCACAUAAUUUUUUUAUAAAUAAUAUAUUUAUAUAAUCUAAUCUAUUAUAUUUAUAUUAAUUAUAUAUCAUCAAUGAAUCAUCAGUAAAUUUUUAUGAUCAAUUUACUGAUUAUUAAGUAAGAGUAAAAAAUUAAAUUAAAUAAUGAAAAACUAUUUUUUACAUUUGGUACAUAUGCUUUAUGAUGAUAAUUAAAAAAAAGUAUUAACACUAUUUCUGAAUUAACAAAAAUAAUUAAUAUAUUUUAAUUAUAUUUAUUAUUUAUUAUUUUGAAUAAUAUUGCUUUUUUUAAUUACAUGAAAUAAAAACAUAUUAUAUAUUAAAUAUGAUACAUAUGCUUUAAUUAUGGCUUAAAUUUUAUUAAUAUAUUUGAACUAUUAAAUAAACUAAAAUAUUUUAAUUAUGUUUAGCCGUGUGAAUAAAAAACUAAUUAAAAAAUUAUUUAAAAAAUUAAAUGUGUAAAAUCAAGUGGAAUAUCAUAAUCUAUGUAUAUGAAUGUAUAAUGUGAGAAAUGAUUAUAUGAAAUUGAGAUAUCAUGCCAUUUGUGUUUCUAGUAAUUUAAUGUCAUUUCAUUAUUUUCAUCUUAAAUUUCAGCAUAUCAUGUUGGAUUUGAUUUUUUUUUUCAAGAGAAAAAUGUUGAAAUGACAUUAAAUCAUUAAAUUAUUAAAAAUGAAUACAAAUGACAUGGUAUCCCAGUUUCAUACAAUCCCUUUUCAUGUAUAUGUAAUAUGUGGUUGUUUCAAUUUUUAAAAUAAAAUAUAUUUUCCACAUUGGUUUCUUUUCUUCCAAAGAUUAAGUAUUUCUAAUAUUUUUAUAUUUGUUGCUUAUAUAAAAUAGAUUAGUUUAUGCAAUAAAAAUUUAAUUACUUUUUUUAAGCUUAAUGGAAAUUAAAAGUUUUAAAAUAAAUCAAUUCAAAUAAAUUUUAUUGUUUAUUAUCAAAUUAAUAAAUUUUAAUGAAGUAUAUGAUCAAAAAAGGAGAACAAAUGAAAGUGAAAAACAUACCUUCCAAAUUGUUGUCAUAUAGAUAUAUUCCUUCGAGCAUAGUUUAAUUAAGGGUCAGUUCUUCAUUACUUUUGAAAAGUGUUUUUGAAAAGUUUAGUUUCAAAUUUGAGUGUUUAGCAUUGCUGUCAAAAAGUAGUUUUCGGAAAUAAAAUGUCCAUUUUAGACAUGUUAUUAUCAAGUAACAAAUAUGCAUUUAAAUAAUAUUUAAAUUAGUUAAUAUUAUUAUAUUUUAGUAAGAAUAUAAAAAAAUAUUAUAACUUGUUGUUAAUAUUUUAAUAUAUGAAAUAUAAAUUUUAAAUAUUUUUAAGAAAUAAAUAUUAAUUAUUUAUAAAAUUUAAUUAGAAUAUAUAAACUAUAUUUUAAAUAUUUAAAUACAACCAUUAAAUAUUUGUAAUUAGUAUUUUAAAAAAUAUUUUUUAUUUUUAAUUAAUGAUUUUAACACAUUUGUAAUUAAGCACCAAGAAAAAAAAGGAAAAUACUAUGUUAUUGGAGGGUUGAAAAAGUAAUUAAGCACCAAAAGUGCUUUUGAGGAAGGAAAAGCUAAAAUUUUUAGCUUCUCCUUCUCAACUCCUUUUGAGAAGUGCUUUUCAAAAGUACUUAUGAAAAGCUAAAAAUGAGACUAACACUGAAUAAUAAUUAGUUAUGAUUUGGGAAACAAAAAUGUUAAAGCCAUUAUUUAUCUUUAUUAAAUUAUAGUGUAAAAUUUAAAGAUUAUUAUCUUCUCAAUUUUUUUUUUAUUUUUCGUAUAUUUGAAAUUUAAUCUUUAUAUUUUUUAUUUUCUAUGAUUUAGUCUCUCUACUUUUUGAAUUGAAAAUUUUAGGUUCAUUUAUUAAUACAGUAAAAAAAGUUUUUGUGUUAGUAUGGCAUUUUGAAAAAUAAAAUAAACUUGAUAUCUAUGUUUUUAAUUAUUCCAAAUAUUGUUUUAUUAUUUCAAGAUAAAUUAUUUGUGUCUAGACCAAUUUCUUAAGAACUAUUGUUGCAUGUUUAAUUAUUCAAAAGAAUUGUUGAUUGAGUCUUAGCUUGAUUGGCAUGUGCAUUGUUACCAAUGUAGGAGAAUGUGGGUUCAAGUAUGUUGAAGUGUAUUAUUCUCUUGUUUAUAAAUUGGGGAGUUGGUUAAGUAUUAAAUUUUGAUAUAUUUUAAAAUAUUAAAAAUUUUUUAAAAUAUUUUUUAAAAAAAUUGAUUGUACCACAAUAUACAAUUUUAAUAUAAAUUUUUUAAUUUUUAAAAAAAAAUAUUAGCGACUAUAUACCUUAUUUCAAGUUACACAGUUUUUACUAGUUUUUAACUUUUUUUAAAAAAAAUUUAUCGUCUUUUAUAAUUUCUAAUAAUUUUUUAUAUUUUUGCAAUAUUUAAAAAUUUCUACCAAUUUUUAAUAAUUUUAUUAUUUUUUUAUUUUUACACAAUUAUAUAUUUAUAAUGUAGUUAUUUUUUUAUAUAACUUUACUUGAAAUUUUAAAGAUUUUUUUGGUUUUUUUCUAGAUGAUGAUGCCAUCAUGAUGUCAUCAUAUACCACAUGGCAAUUUAUGAUUAGUUGGAUAUCUCAAUCUAAUUUUUAAUGUCGAAUGGACUAAACUAAGAACACCUGAUAAUGUUAGAGACUAUACUAGCAAUGUUUGAUAAUAUUAGGUACUAAAGUGAGCAAAUAAAUAUUAAGGACCAAAGUAAAAAAAAAAAAAAGCAAUAUGUUGUAGGGAAUAAACUGUGCAUUAAGCCAUUAAAAAUAUAUCUAUAAUAUAUUUAAAUGCAUGGAUUUUGAGAAGCUUUUGAACUGAUAAUUAUAUAGUCUUUGUUGUUUACUAUAUUAUUGAAUUUGUUAUUUUAAAUAUUUUUUUUACUUUUAAGAUUUAUCUAAGAAUUUUGGUUUUACUAAAAUAUUUGGUUAAGUAAAUUCACUUCAUAAGAAAAUUUAGCAUCCUUAUAAAUAACAAUUUUGAUUCUAUUAAAAAUAUUAUUUUAAAAAAUAUAUAACAAUAAAUUAAAAUUUAUAUUGAAUUACUUUAUACUUCAAUUAUUAUUAGAAACUUUAUCAUACACAUACGUGUAUGAGAAUCACGUAUUUAGAACAUAAAUUUAUGUUUUAAAAUAACUUAUGAUAAAUAAUGAAAUGUAUAAUUUGAAACUAUUUAAUAAUAACACAUGGCAUAUCUACCAUAUUAAAAUAAAAAUAGAUUAAAUUGUAAGUAAAACAUAAUUUAAACAUAUGAAUACAUCUAAUUAAGAAUACUAAAUGAAUACAGUUAUUUAUGAUGAUGUUGUUGUCGAUUCCUAAGUUGGUGUCGAGUUAAUUUGUAACAUCAUCAAUUUCAGUGAUAAAUUUAAGGUUUUAUGUAUUGAUGUGGAUUCAAAUAUCACCAAUUUUUUAAAUAAAAUUUAAAAUAAAUAUAUUUUCCACAUUGGUUUCUUUUCUUCUACCGACAAAGGAUUUCUAAUGAUUUUAAAAAAAAUUUUUCUUAUAUAAAAUAGAUUAGUUUAUGUAAUAAAAAAUAAUUUCUUUUUUAAAGUUUAAUGGAAAUUAAAAAAAAUCAAUUCAUAUAAAUCUUAUUGUUUAUUAUCAAAUUCAACACAAUGUUUUUGGAGUUUGGAAAAAAUUAAAGUGAAAAACAUACCUUUUAAUUUGUUGUUAAAUUAAAAAAUUAAAAAUAAAUCAAUUCAUAUAAAUUUUAUUGUUUAUUAUUAGAUUAAAAUGAUAAAAGUAUAUGACAUAAAUAGAAGAAACAAAUUCAACACAAUGUUUAUGGAGUUUGGAAAAUAUUAAAGUGAAAACCAUACCUUCUAAUUUGUUGUCAAAUAGAACUAUUACUUCGAGCGUAGUUGAAUUAAAAAUACUUGAUGGAAUCUUACCUGCACACAUAGUCGAAAAAUCAAGGUGUCAAACUGCCUAUUUUGUUAGCAUAAGUUAAAGAGGUGUUCUUUUCUGUUCUACAGUAAUUUGGAGAUGUUACAUUUUAAUAUAUUUCAGCAUAUGUUUUUCAUCAAAUGAAAUAAAAACUUUUUCCUUCUGUAAUCUAUUACAAAUCGAACUAUUUUAUUAAAAAAAUACUUUGAAUUCAAGAUAUCAAAGAAAUUGAUUACCUUCUAGAUUAUUAAAUCCCAAAUAUAAUUCUCUGAGUUGUGUCAGAUUUCCAAUACUUCUUGGAAUGAUCCCCGUCAAUUGAUUCAAGGACAAGGACAAAAUUUUAAGGUUGCUGCACUUGCCCAUACUUGACGGAAUGUUACCAGAUAACUCAUUUCUAUCUAAGUAAAGCCCUUCAAGCUUGGGAAGAUGUUGACACAUAUCAUUAUGAAAACUACCUGAUAGGCUAUUGUUGGAGAGAACAAUGGUCUUCAGAGAAGAAAUGUUGAAGAUCGAAGUUGGAAUCUGACUUGUAAGGCCUUUAAUUGCUUGAAUAUUAAGCAAUUCCAAACCAUGAAGAUUACCGAUUUCCUCAGGAAUUUGACCUGCACACAUAGUCGAAAAAUCAAGGUGUCAAACUACUUAUUUUGUUAGCAUAAGUCAAAGAGGUUUUCUUUUCUGUUCUACAAUAAUUUGGAGAUGUUACAUUUUAAUAUAUUUCAGAAUAUGUUUUUCAUCAAAUGAAAUAAAAACUUUUUCCUUCUGUAAUCUAUUACAAAUCAAACUAUUUUAUUAAAAAAAUACUUUGAAUUCAAGAUAUCAAAGAAAUUGAUUACCUUCUAGAUUAUUAAAUCCCAAAUAUAAUUCUCUGAGUUGUGUUAGAUUUCCAAUACUUCUUGGAAUGAUCCCCGUCAAUUGAUUCAAGGACAAGGACAAAAUUUUAAGGUUGCUGCACUUGCCCAUACUUGACGGAAUGUUACCAGAUAACUCAUUUCUAUCCAAGUAAAGCCCUUCAAGCUUGGGAAGAUGUUGACACAUAUCAUUAUGAAAACUACCUGAUAGGCUAUUGUUGGAGAGAACAAUGGUCUUCAGAGAAGAAAUGUUGAAGAUCGAAGUUGGAAUCUGACUUGUAAGGCCUUUAAUUGCUUGAAUAUUAAGCAAUUCCAAACCAUGAAGAUUACCGAUUUCCUCAGGAAUUUGACCUGCACACAUAGUCGAAAAAUCAAGGUGUCAAACUACUUAUUUUGUUAGCAUAAGUCAAAGAGGUUUUCUUUUCUGUUCUACAAUAAUUUGGAGAUGUUACAUUUUAAUAUAUUUCAGAAUAUGUUUUUCAUCAAAUGAAAUAAAAACUUUUUCCUUCUGUAAUCUAUUACAAAUCAAACUAUUUUAUUAAAAAAAUACUUUGAAUUCAAGAUAUCAAAGAAAUUGAUUACCUUCUAGAUUAUUAAAUCCCAAAUAUAAUUCUCUGAGUUGUGUUAGAUUUCCAAUACUUCUUGGAAUGAUCCCCGUCAAUUGAUUCAAGGACAAGGACAAAAUUUUAAGGUUGCUGCACUUGCCCAUACUUGACGGAAUGUUACCAGAUAACUCAUUUCUAUCCAAGUAAAGCCCUUCAAGCUUGGGAAGAUGUUGACACAUAUCAUUAUGAAAACUACCUGAUAGGCUAUUGUUGGAGAGAACAAUGGUCUUCAGAGAAGAAAUGUUGAAGAUCGAAGUUGGAAUCUGACUUGUAAGGCCUUUAAUUGCUUGAAUAUUAAGCAAUUCCAAACCAUGAAGAUUACCGAUUUCCUCAGGAAUUUGACCUGCACACAUAGUCGAAAAAUCAAGGUGUCAAACUACUUAUUUUGUUAGCAUAAGUCAAAGAGGUUUUCUUUUCUGUUCUACAAUAAUUUGGAGAUGUUACAUUUUAAUAUAUUUCAAAAUAUGUUUUUCAUCAAAUGAAAUAAAAACUUUUUCCUUCUGUAAUCUAUUACAAAUCAAACUAUUUUAUUAAAAAAAUACUUUGAAUUCAAGAUAUCAAAGAAAUUGAUUACCUUCUAGAUUAUUAAAUCCCAAAUAUAAUUCUCUGAGUUGUGUCAGAUUUCCAAUACUUCUUGGAAUGAUCCCCGUCAAUUGAUUCAAGGACAAGGACAAAAUUUUAAGGUUGCUGCACUUGCCCAUACUUGACGGAAUGUUACUAGAUAAUUCAUUUCUAUCCAAGUAAAGCCCUUCAAGCUUGGGAAGAUGUUGACACAUAUCAUUAUGAAAACUACCUAAUAGGCUAUUGCUGGAGAGAACAAUGGUCUUCAGAGAAGAUAUCUUGAAGAUGGAAGAUGGAACCUGACCAGAUAAUUGAUUGAGUCCCAAGUUCAAGAUCUCUAGAUUAGAUAUGUUAACAAGUGUUUCAAGGAUUGUGCCUGUAAAGUAAUUAUUUUUCAUUUGCAGCCUUUGAACUCUCUGUAAGUUCCCAAGCCAUGAUGGAAUUUCCCCAUUCAGACGGUUGUAGCUUAAUUGAAGGAUCCUCAAACGAUGCAAUUGGCCCAAUUCUUUAGGGAGAUGGCCAUAGAAAUGGUUGCUACUCAAGUCGAGAGAGAGUAGAAAUGAAAGAUUUCCAAGAUGUGGAGGGAUAGUACCCCUAAGAUUCAUGCUUGUAAGAUUCAAAGCUGUAACUCUUUUAUGGAGGAUGCCACAAGAGACACCAAUCCAAUUGCAAGCAGAGGUUGAGGCCGUCCAAUUGUUUGCCAAGACAUUUUGAGGACCGGCAAUGCGAUCCUUAAACUCGAGAAGUGCAAACUGAUCGGAGUUGAGAUUCCUGACCGUCAUAGCCAAGCAAAGUACGGAACAUGGUAUGAAUAAAGCUAAGAGAAUAUGAAAGCAAGUUUUGCAGUUCAUGAUUGCAAGACGGAAUAAGGCAAGAAAAUAAAAAAAGUAGGAAAAGGGAAGUUGAGUUGAUAAAAUAGUUUGGAUGAUGAAGAAAAGCCUAGAGAGCAUGCUUUAAUAUGUUUCAACCCUCGCACACUUGAUAAACUUGAUAAAAAUAUUUUGAUCUAAUAAAUGUAAAAAAAUUUAAACAAAAUAAGGUUCAAAUAAUCUAUUUGUCCUUAUAUUUUGAUAAAAUUUGAGAUUAGUCCUUAUACUUAAAAGGUUAAAAAUAAAGUUUUCUUUUUUAUUUAAAAAUCUUAGUCCUAUCGUUAAUUUUUUUUUGGUCAAAAUUUGUCAACUGUACAUAUUAAUUAGGUUUCCCUUAUAUGUCGUUGUAUAUGACUAACACAAAAUAAGCAAGUUGACAAAUUAUGACAAAAAGUAUCAAAGAUGAUAAUAAUUUGAUUAAAAUUUUUAAAUUGAAUUAAUAACCUUUAACAUAUAAGGAAUGGAUAUCAAAUUUUUAUAGGAAAAAAGGGACUAACAACAUAUUUUAACCACAAAAUAAUACGAGUGAUUAGAAUGAAUCUAAAAUUUUAUAGAAAUAAAAGAGACUAACAACAUAGUUAUAACUUUGAAAAUUAAAAUAAUACGAGUGAUUAGAAUGAAUCUAAAAUUUUAUAGAAAUAAAAGAGACUAAAACAUAUUUAUAGCAUCUAAAGUGUCAAGUAAUGAAACCGUCAAAAGAAAAUGUGAAAGUGAUUUAUCAAACAAUAAUAUUCUAACUUAUAAUAUAUUUAAUUACAUUUAGUAAUUUAUCAAUCAAAAUUUAUUUAACAUCCAUCAAUACUUCAUACAAAAUUUACCAUUUAACUCAGAUUUAACUUUGCAAGUAAACUUAAAAUUUUAUUUAAUUUUCUCACUAAAUUUAAUUUGUUCAAUAUAGAUUUUGGUGAGUUAAAACAAAAUUAAUAAAAUAUUAUAUUCUUUCAGACAUCUUUUUAAUGUUUAAUAAUAAGUUAAUUUAUAAAAUAUACUUUGAUUGGACACAAGCCUCCAAGGCGAUGAACCACUGAUCAAAUUAAUUUGGAGAUAUCUUUUUUUCCAAAUAAAGUGAAUUUACGAGUUUUGUUUUUUUAAAUAUUUUUAAUAUUUUUGUGGAUAUCAAGCGAUAUCAAACACUAUUUCACUAAAAAAUUUUAAUUCACUCGAAAAGUUAGUGUUUUAUUUCAGGGGUCAUAAUUAAUCAUUAGAUUUCUCAAUUAUAAAUUUUGAAUUUUUUGACAAUUGCGUAAUUAAUAAGUACCAAAUUUGAGUGUUGUAGGGCUAGUACAAUCUCCCUUACACAUAAUUGACUCUUGAACCUACUCUUUUCUUUAGAAUUCAACGCAGACCUCAAAUUUAUGUUUUGAAAAGAAUUUUAAAAUAUCUGUAUAAAAGGUGUAAAAAUGUAUAUUUUAUUAAUUACUAUAUAUUCUUUUAUUUUCAGAAUAAUAAAUUGUUUAAAAUAUGUUAUUAGUCCCUAUAAUUUAAAAGUAUUUGGGAUCUUGAGUGCAUCAAAUUCCUCCUUUUAUUAUUAAAUGUUUUAUUGUAGUUAACAUUUAUUAUAUAAAAAUAUUUUAAAUUUUUUUCAAUUGCAGUUUAAUUCUAGUAGAAAUAUUUCAUUUAUAAAAUCAUAAAACUUUAAAAUAUUAACUUUUUUAAAUAAAAAAUGAUUUUUUUAAACAGUAAAUGUUGACUUUAUUAACACAAAUGGGUCUUUAGGGUUAAACUUCAUAAAUUGACGAGCUCUUCUACAAACUGUGGAUGAUUUGGGGAUAAGAACUUUAAUAAUUAUGGAGUUAAAGUGUAAAUUUACCCCUAUAUUAUAAGUAAAUAUUGAAAUUUAUCACUAUAUUUUAAUUGAUACUUAUCAUUACACUUUAAAAAUAUAAGUAAAUUUACCAUUUAACUCAUAUGUGAUUGAACUUUGCAAGUAGACUUAAAAUUUUAUUUAAUUUUGUCACUAAAUUUGAUUUAUUUAAUUAAAUUUACAACUCAAUAUAGAUUUUGGUGACUUAAAACAAAAUUAAUAAAAAACUAUUCUUUCAGAUAAUUUUUAAUGUUUACUAAUAAGUUGAUUUAUAAAAUAUACUUUCAUUGGACACAAGCAUCCAAGGCGAAUAUCAACAGAUACUCAAAAUUAUUUCACUAAGGAAUUAAUUAGUAUUUUAUUUUAAGGGUUCACAAUUAAACAUUAGAUUUUUCAUUUUUAAAUUUUGAUUCUUUUGACAAUGCGUAAUUAACAAGUUGAGUUAAUAUCGAUAUUGUUGUUAGUGCAGAAGAAUGUGAGUUCAAUCAUGUUUAAACACGUUUUAUCUUCCAAUUUAAGAGUUGGAGAGGAUUCUCAAUAGUUAAAUUAUAUAAGUUUUUGUCUAUUUAAAAUUGAUUUAUAAAUAAUAUAAAUAAAAAUAUUUAAAAUAUAUAUAUUCAUAUUGAUCGGCAUUUUCAUUAUUAGACUUUUUUCCCUACAGGUAAAAGUAUUUAUGGACAGGAUGAUGUAAAAUUAUGACCUGAAUAAUUUUAAACCUUUCAUCACUGCAAAAACGAAAAUAAUAGAAAUGAAAGACUAGCCAUUGUAUGAAAUUUAAAAUUAAACUGUGAACAAUAGAAAAUUGCCCGCGUGACUUGGGAUAAGAGGUUGAACAUUUCUGGAUCACAUUACAUUUAAGAUGGGUCUUUAAGGUUAUGCUUUAGUUAUUGAGAACAUUUUCCACAAUUUCCCAUCGUUAUUUGUGGGGUAAGUGGUUGAACACUUCUAGAUCACAUUGCAUUUGGGACGGGUCUUUGGAUUUAUAUGAUACUUUAACAUAGACUGACUUUUCUAUAAUUAGUCCUUGCUUUACUUUGGGUGGAUUCUUCCAACUGUCCAAGAAUUAUUGUACAAUUACAAUUAAUCUUUUUAAAUGAGACAAAAAUUUCAAAUUUGUCAUUACUAUUUGUGAGUGAUUUAGGGGUAAGAAGUUUAACACUUCUGGAUGUGUUAUAGAAUUGUGAUUAUACUUUUUGAGUAUUGACUCAGUUUUCCACAAUUGUGGGUCUCUCUUUGAGCAAAACAAUUUGAACAAUUCUUCAUCUCGUUUAAUCCAAAUACAUUUAUGCAUGUCUUAUAUCAUUGAAUUUGCUGUUUCACAUUUAAUUUUUGGACAAGUAGAACUUUCUAACCUAUUUUCCAUCAACUUCACUUGAAUUUUCACUCACAAUCAAUUGCAUUCAAGAGCACCACAUCUUUUUGGAUGAAACAAAACUUUCAAUUUUAAGAUAAACGGGUCUUUAAGGUUAUACUUCAUUUAUUGAGGGCCUUUUCCACAAUUGCCAUCAUUAUUUGCGGGUGAUUUGGGGAUAAUAACUUGAACAUUUCUCGAUCACAUUUAAUUCAAUUUUUAAAUUUUAGAGAGAUGUUUAGGUUACAACAAUUGCCAUCAUUCUGUUUAAUAGAACAUUUGGGAGGAAAAGGAGAAAAAAUUAGCGAAAACCGAAAAAUGGGGGCAAACUAUAGGAACCACACGGGCUUACCUAUUCCACACGACUGUGUGACCCAUACGGUCGUGUGGCAAGCCAUGUCAAUUUCAUAAGUUUGCACUCUGAACUGCGAAAAAAAUAUAAAUUUUAGGUUUUUCGGGCAUUCUAAGACAUAUAUAUGACAAAAAUAAGAAGAUAGGAGAGAACCUUCCUAGAAUAUUCAAGAAAACAACUCCAAAGACACCACUAAAGCCGACUCUGAAGUAUAUUUUCAUUAAGAUUGAAGAUUUCUAAUUGAUUUCUUAGGAGAUUAUCAUGAGUUCUUUUAUUUCUUUCAGUUAUACUGCCCUUUGGAUGUUUUUAUUUCUAAGCAUGAACUAAUUUUCUAAAUACCUAAGAGAGAUGAACCCUAUGAUAGAUUAUGACACCCCAAAGCUGGCAGGGAUAGACUGGCCCAAAUUCAAAGCAUUACAUUUGCCACCUAAGUAACUCUUUAGCUAACGACCACCCAAGACACACCCGAACCUUAUAACACCUCAAUCUUAUCUAAUUAUUAGUUAUUUAUUAAUGCCGAAGUAAAUUAUGAGCCAAUUUUAAACUUUUCCUAGGUAAUUUAACCUAAGGGCAUUUAUGUCAUUUUACCACAUAUGGUAAAACUAACCCCAUUUUAGAUAUCACUGUUCAAACCCAUGAGUUUUGUUUUCUUUUUUGUAAAAAAAUAUAUCAAGAGAUACCAAAAAUUAUUUUACUAAGAAAUUUUAAUUCACUCAAAAAGCAAGUGUUUUAUUUCAAGGGAUCACAAUUAAACAUUAGAUUUCUCAUUUUAAUUUUUUUUAAUAACUAAGUAAUUAACGAGUACCAAUUUUGGGUGUUGUAGGGGUGCUAUAACUUUUCCUAUACGUAAUCGACUCUUGAACUCACCUUUUUUUCCUCUAGAAUUCAAUCUUUUUAAAAGAAUUUUAAAAUCUCUUUAUAAAAGACGAUUUUUUUAGGUGACCAAUCACACUUAACAAAAAAAAUCGGUGGCAACUCCUUUCCGAUAAAUGUAAAAAACUUUUUGAACAAAAUAAGGUUGAAAUAAUCUAAUUGUCAUUAUACUUUGAUAAAAUUUGAGUUUUAGUCCUUAAACUUAAAAGUUUAAAAAUUAAUUCUUGUUUUUAUUUAAAAAUUUGAGUUUUUAAAAAUUAAUUAGGUUUAUCUUAUAUAUCGUGGUAUAUGACUAACAUAAAAUAAACAAGUUGACAAAUUCUGACAAAAAAAUAUCAAAGAUGAUAAUAAUUUAAUUAAAAUUUUUAAAUUAAAAAAAUAAGGAAUUAAAUUUAUAACUUUCAAAGUAUAAGGAAUGAACUUAUUGAAAUACAAGAACUAACAACAUAUUUUAAAAUAUUACUAGUAAAUUAUAUAUCUACAACAAGAAUUGUAACCUCUUAUAUUAUACUCUUGUAUCUACUUUGCAUCUUUCAUUAUAAUAUGAUUUAUUAAUUUUAAUAUUUUUAUAGAAUAAUAUGCUUUAAACUAUUUUUUUGUAUCAUUUAUAAAAAUUAUAAUAAACUUACAAAAUGAUUUAAUGAUAUUUAAUUAUUAAUAGAAAAAAAUGAUAUCAUAUAUAUUCUAUAUAUAUUAAGAUUCCGAAUCAUUAAUUAUAUAUCUACACAUUAUAAUAAAUUCAUCUUUCAAAAUUUUCCUUAUAAUUAAAUCAUAAAUUAUAUUUAUAAUAUUAUAAAUAUAUUAUAUCAUAAAUAUUCUUUCAAAUAGUUUUAAAUGUUUAAUAAUAAGUUAACUUAUAAAAUAUUCUUUUAGUAAAUUAACGUGAUGAGAUCGUUAGGUGUUUGGAUUUGGUGAAGGGGGAUGAAGAGAAAAGGGAUGGAAGUGAAUAAAAAUGUUGAGAAAUGGAAAGGAUUAGCGAGGGAAGCCGCCAUGAAAGGUGGUUCAAUUGAUAUAUAUGGACCUUCAAGCUUUUGUGGAUGAUGUUACUCAAGGUUGUUUCAAGUAAAUUUAAAAAUGUUUUUUAAAAUUAUUUUUUUGUUAAAAAAUUUGUUUAUUUUUUAUGUGGCAUGCCACAUUAUCAUACUAUCAUGUGACAGCUCCUGGUGAUUUCUGUCCAUAACAUUAGUCAAAUCAAUUGUUAAAUCGUUCAACUCAGAGUUUUUGUUAAAUGAAGAGGUCAAUUGAUUUUUUUUGGAAUCAUUGAGUACUCAAUUGGUGCACUUUUUCAUAAAGGCUAAAUUAAUUUUUUUAAUUUGUUAUUGUUGAGGGCUAUAGCAAUAAAAAAAAUUGAGGUAAAAUGAAAAAAAAUGUUAGAGCUAAAUUUGUCAUUAUGCCUAAAAUGUAAAAUCAAAAUUUUUUGAAAAUGAAAAAAAAAUGGAAAAUCACAAAUUCUGUCGCAUAUGUUUGCUUAAAAUUAUAGUUUUGGUCACCAAUCUUUUGAAGUAAAUAUAUGGUCACCAAUAUUAUCCAUUUGUUACUUUGUAAUAACUUACCUUAAAGUUAUACCCCAAGAAAGGAUUAAAUGACAUUGGAAUACCAUAAAACUUGUAUCUUUUUUUAUUCAUCUAAUACCAAUUUAACAUUUUCAUUUUAAAAAAUUGACAUAUUAUUUCGAAUUUUAUCUUUUUCAAGAUGAAAAUAUUGAAAUGAUGUUAAAUUAUUAGAAAGAGAUACAAGUUUCAUGGUAUCUCAAAUUCAUUUAAUCUUUCUCUCUCUAAAAAAGCUGAUGUAACACAUUAAUGACAUCAUUUCAAACAAAGUUUUAGGUCAAAUUUUUCAUCUAGUCAUUGUAAUUGUUUUUAGGUGAAUUUCAUUAUUAUUCUUUUAUUUUCUUUGGCUUAAAUACACAUUUACCCCUAAUUUUAUCACAUUCUCCUUAAUUGGUAUUUAUGGUUUAGAAAAUUUUACAAAUAUAUUAUUUUUUAAGAAAUUAUAAGAAGAUUACAAAAAUUCCAAAAUAAUAUAAAAAAGCUAAGGAAAACCUAGAAAUUCAAAAAAAAAAAAACGUGGACAUUGAAUUUGCUGUUUCACAUUCAAUUUUUGGAGAAGUAGAAUUUUCUAACUUAUUUUCCAUCAACUUCACUUCAAUUUUCAAUCACAAUCUAUUGCAUUCAAGAGCACCACAUCUUUUGGGAUGAAACAAACCUCUCAAUUUUAAGAUAAACGGAAUCAAUUGCAUUCAAGAGCACCACGUCUUUUUGGAUGAAACAAAGCUCUCAAUUUUAGGAUAAACGGGUCUUUAGGGUUAUAAAUUGAGGUCCUUUUCCACAAUUGCGGGUGAUUCGUUGAUAAUAACCUCAACAUUUCUGUAUCACAUUUAAUUCAAUUCCACAUUCAAUUUUUAGUUUUUAGAGAGAUGAUUGGGUUACAACAAUGGUUUGAAGUGAAGAUAUUUCAAAACAAGAUGAAUACUCUACCAAUAGUCAUAAUUUAAAAUGCAGGUUAUGUUUCAUUUCAGCUAAGUUAAAUGUUAAGAUUGAGGUUAAACCUUUUAGAGGUUGCUCGCAAAAGGAUCAAACCUUUAUAAAAUUGUUUAAAUGAAGGUCAAACCUCUUAAAAUAGACAAAUAAGGGCCUAACCUUUUAAAAGGUGUUCAAAUAAGGGUUUCUCAAAUUUUGUAUAUCAGGUUAUGUAUUUUACUCUAAACACAUCGACAUUUACCUAUUUUUUCUAUAAAUUGGGUUGAAGUGCAUGAAAAAACCUUAUUUAAGCACUUCUGUAAAGGUUAAACUCUUAUUUGACUAUUUUGAAAGGUUUGAUCCUUAUAUAACAACCUCUAAAAGAUUGAGCACUAAUUUGACAAGAUUGAGAAAUACCUAAAUUUGUUUUCAUGAAUCAAGAAAAUAAAAAAGAAAUGUUGAGAAAUAUUUUAGAGAUUCUUAGCUUUGACAAGUUCCCUCCAUCAUCUUCCUGCCUCCAGUCCCACCUCUUCUCUUAUGCUCCUCCCAGCUUCUUGCUUUUUGUGUGUUGAAAAUUCAAAGGAACAAAAUAUCAACCUACAUUGCCAGAACUUUACUUUCUAGCCUGUCGAUCCGAUCCAAUGAAAGAAGAACAAAGAGUCUCAAGAUCUGUCAACUUUAUUUCAUUUUCAUUUUCUUUGUCAUUUUCUAUGUUUCAUGUCGAAUACAAUGAAAGAACAUAGAAAAAUGUUGCCUAUUUAUUUCCCAAUCAUCAUGAAAUUACUUGCCAUAGACUUAGAAUUUUCUCACCAAUUUUCAAGCAAUCUGACAUGAUUUCUCAAUCACAAUUAAUUGAAUUCAAGAUCUUUUUAGAUGACACAAACAUUUCAAUUUUAACACAAACCAAUAUUUAGGUUGUACUUCAGUGCUUGACAAGCACUUUCACAUUUGUGGGAUAAGAACUCUUAACAUUUUAGGAUCACAUUUAAUUCAAUUGCAUUUAAGACCUCACGAUUUUAUUCUAUAAUUUCAGUCUUAUCAGCCUUUUCGGAAACAAUAAAACGUCGACAUUAAAUUUGUUGUUGAUGCAUUCAAUUUUUUGAGGGGUCUUUGGAGUUAUAUGUGACUUUAGCAUUGACUGACUUUUUUAUAAUUAAUCUUUUAUAAUAUAUCAAUUUUAAUAACAACGACAUGUUUUUUAGUAGGGUCGAGCAAAACCCAAUUAAAACCGAUGAUAUUGGCUUAGUUGACUCGGUCAAGUCCAUUAGAUUGAUAAAAUCAAUUUUAAAAUCAGUUAUAAUGGAUUAAGGUAAUUAAUUAUCGAGUAAUGAAAUACAUAAUCAAAUCAAUUGAUUUUGUUAGAAACUAAAAGAAAAUGAGAUAAGAUGAAAACUGAUUGCCCUUUAUUAAAAUUAACGAAUCCGCCUUUUACGUAUUAGAUAAUACGAACAUCACAUAUAUAAUAAGAAAAAUUACGUAUGAUUAUUUAUUAUCAUAAAAGGUUAGUUUAAAUUUAAAAUAAUCUAAUAUGUUUAUUGAACUUCAACUAUUAAAUAAAGUAUAAGCUAAAUAAGUAUAAAUAUUCUAGAAACCAUUUCUAACUGAUGAUAGGCUAAUUCGAUUAAUUUAUAAAAACUACAUAGUAGGGUUAUAGUCCUCAAACUACACCUAAUUUAAUAACAUUUAUAGUUUUUUUUUAGCCUUAAACAUUUAUAGUUUUUUGUUAAUUUGGUCCUUACUCUUUAAAAUUACAUAAAAAUUGCAAAAAAAAAAUUAAAAUUAAUUUUUUUUCAUAAUUUUAAUAACAUUUAUAGUUUUUUUUUGUGUGUGUGGUUUGGUAACUUAUCAACUCGACUCUCACUUGUAACCAACUUUUCUAACCUUUUUCGUACCCUUAACCUAAGUCCCGUUACAACUUUCUAAAGACCUCUUUAUUAGUGUAUCAUGUCGGUUUGUUUUAUAAUGGUGGAGAUUUGUUUUUUGUAGUGGCACGAUUGCCAGAACUUUACUUUCUAGCCUAUCGAUCCGAUCAAAUGAAAGAAGAACAAAGAGUCUUAAGAUCUGUCAACUUUAUUUCAUUUUCAUUUUCUUUGUCAUUUUCUAUGUUUCUUGUCAAAUACAAUGAAAAAAGAACAUAGAAAAAUGUUGCAUAUUUAUUUCCCAUUCAUCACUCUAACAGGCCCAAUUAGCCCAGGCCCAAACAUUAAUAAAAUGUCUAGAUUACAAAAUAAUCAACUAAAAAUUAAAAGCUCAAAAAAUAAAAUAAAACCCAUUAUAUUAACCCAAAACCCCAGCCCAAUUACAUUGAAACCCAAAAAAAAAAUAGUUUUCAGAAACCCUAAGGUUUCAGAAGCCCCUCAAUGUUAUUUUGUAUAUCUAUUUAUCUUUUUAAAUUUUCGAUAUUGUCUUGUUUUGUUUUUGUAUUAUUGUUGUUACCAUCAUUAUUCAUUAUUAUUAUUGUUGAUUUUAUUGUUCUUUGAUUAAUGUUAAUGUUAGAGUAAUAGAUGUUAUGUGAUCAUUGUUAUUAUAUGUUAUAAUUUGUUUACACUCGUAUUGUAGUCAUUUGUCAGCUUAAUAUUUUGAGUAAUAUUUUAAAUAUUACAUUAAUUUCGACCCAAAUGCAUAAUUUUUUAAUAAGUAAUAUUUUAUAUUUUGAAAUUUGAGAGAUCAUUCCCUAACUUACGGGGUCUCGAUUUUUUCGAUAAAUCUGAAUAUACUAACUAUUUUCAAAAAAUAUGUUUUAAAAUUAUCUCGGGAAUUUAAAAAGGAGCGUGUUCUAACUUACUGAAUAUGAUCUUUUUUUUUAAAAUCGAGAUAAUCAAAUAACUUUCAAAUAAAUAAAUUUUCAAUGUUUAUUCUCAUAUCAGGAUUUAAAAUAUUAUGUCCUAACUCACGGGAUACAAUUCUUUUUCUCGAUUAACAUGAAAUAUGCCCGUUUUAAUUUUAUUUUUUAAGUGAUUUUAACAAAAGGAUUGUAUUUUAAAUCUCUUCAAAAUUUUCAAUUUUUCGACAUUGAGACAUUAACUAAUCAAUUAGGUACCAAUUUUGGGCGUUACGAGGGUGCUAACCCUUCCUCGUACGUAACCGACUCCCGAACCUAUUUUUCUGAAUAUUGAAGGCCAAAAUUGUUUUAAUAAAUUAAACCCUUAAGACGUGACCCCAUCACACCUCAUAAAAAUUAUCGGUGGCGACUCUCGUUUGCGUUUUUGUUUUCGUUUUCAAAAUAAAAGUCGACCCCUUGUUUUAAAAAAGGUGGUUCGAUAGCUUGGCGACUCCGUUGAGGAAAAAAAUAAGAGAGUCAAGCCACGAGUUGAUUAUUUCUUAUUUUUUUGUCAGAAAUUGUGAAUUCGAUUUAAAUUUACGAUCUUUUCAUUGCAUUUUAUGGUCUGCAUCAGUUUGAUAUGCUUGCUUUACUGGUUCGAGUCUUUUAAUCUCCGCAUAUUGCAUUGCAUAACCGUUCGGUUAUACCCUUUUAAGUGGGAGUGAGAAACUAUUCAUUUGUGAGAUUUUUACCUCCGUAUAGGAUAGUGGAUUACUUUCGGGAUACAUCCGUACCUAUGUCUUCGUGAGAUUUUCAUCUCCGUAUAGUUAUAGGGAAAUGUAUUCCCCUGAACUGAACUCAGUCCGUAUGAGCCUAUAAUAGGUAAGGAUUGAGGAAUCUGCUGGUUCAGGUACCCUUUCUUUAGAACUAAACUGCAUGUAGUGAGCCCUAAGAGCAUACCGUAGGUAGAACCACUCCAAACCCCUAGUGGUCACCCAAAUAGGUGCUCUAUUUAUUUUUGCUUGCUUAUUUUUGCAUUGUACUAACCUAUUUUUUGUUAUGAUUGCAUUGCAUUUUCAUCAUAAAAAAGAUGUGUUGAUUCACGUUCAAUUGCUAAAUAGAGAGCUUGUCAUGGGAAACGGAUUUCUUGAUAAAGUGGAAGACAAUGUGGUUAUCCGGAUAUGGUCCAAGAAAAUUUGACGAAAGAAGGGUGAUAGUCUAAUGGAGGACUACACGACCUUGCUUUAUUGCCCGAGGAUUCAAGUUGACAAAGAUUAUUCGAGAGUCCUCAAUGUCCCGACCUUUUUCAAGAAGCUAACGAGUGUCACGAGGAUGAGUGAGUAAUGAGUUGCGGCCCGGAUCAAGCAAAAAAGAGAUAGAGGAGACACCCUUUUUGAAGAGUUCGCGAGAUUUAUAUUAAUAUCAAAAUGAAGAAAAAGAUCAAUGUCUUCGCCUGGAGUAUGAAAGCAAAGCUGUAUAUAUAUCCGCUUUAUGUAAAUAAAUUUUUUUUCUAGUAAAGUUUUUCUAAUAGAAUUGAAUCAGAAUCAAUGUCUUUUUUUGCAUUCAUUCCAUUCAUCUGCAUUGCAUUUCAUUGCAUCCAAAAUUUCACAAAAGGACCCUAAUUAAUCGAAAUUGUUAUAGUUACUCUGAAAACUAAUAAAAAUCUACCAAUUAAAUAUUCCUACGGUACCCGUCGCAAAACCAAAGUAAUGGAUCAAAUAUUAGAAAGAUUAGAACAAAUUCUGAAGGACAAGCAUAAUCGUUUUUGCUUAGGGUACAAGCCAGAUACAAGACAAAGAAGGAAGGAGUUAGAGAAGAAAUAGGAAAGAAUGACAGCACAUUUGAGCGAGGAUGAGGUCAAAUGGGAGCCUAUGAACUUUCCCUACAUAUCCAAAACUUUUGUAUCGGGAGGGAUUAUUCAUCCCGAGCGAAGAAUGCCAAGAGAAGAAAAUAUUGAAGAAAUGUUGGGAAACGUUCACAUCAAUGCCAUAUACGAAGAAGUAGUUGAAGGAUGGACCUUGUUAGAUAUCCGACCUUAUGAACCUGAGAGUGUGCUAAACAAUUGGACUACAGAAGAAAUUCCUGUAGUGUUUAGACCUUACUCAGAGUAAUAUUCAAAACACACUUGUUGCUUUUAGCCUAGAAGUGAUAAGAAUCCCUCUGUGAAAUAGGCUCAUGUAUAAACAUCAUUAUUUUAAUAAAGUAAAUCUUUGCAUUCAUUUUGAGCAAAUAUUCUUUUAUUCUUUCCAUACGAGUAAUUAUUUUAGAUUUUUCAUUAUUUUAGGAUUUUCUUCCAAAAAUCAUUCUUUUAUUACAUUCAUAAUCAUACUGUACAAAUAAUUAUUCUUAAAUUCAUUCAUUCUUUGUAUAUUCUUUUGUACCUAUAAUAGGUCCCUAGACAUCAACGACAUGAGUGACGCUGCUACAGACUUAGAAUUUCCUUUUAAACAAGACAUGUGUUUAGAGGGAUCCCAUGACUUUGAAGAUGACGUAGACUGUGGCUUAUCUCCGGACUUGUUAAGGAUGGUAAAACAAGAGGAGAAGCAAAUCCUACUUCACAAUGAAUCAAUGGAAAUUGUGAGCUUAGAAGGGGAAAAUAGGUGAAGAUUGGGACUGACAUUGCCACAAAUACGAAGUAAGACCUCAUUGAGUUACUCUAAGAAUUCAAAGAUAUUUUUGCAUGGUCAUACUAGGAUACGCUCGGGUUAAGUACUGACAUUGUAGUACACUGCCUUCCUAUAAAAGAAGAUUGCUAGCCAGUUCAGCAGAAACUCCAGAGGAUGAUGCCUGAUAUUGUGCUAAAAAUAAAAGAAGUCAAAAAGUAAUUUGAUGUUGGGUUCUUACAAGUGGUCAAAUAUUCAGAAUGGGUAGCCAACAUCGUCUCAGUUCCUAAAAAAAUGGGAAAGUACGAAUGUGCAUGGAUUAUAGAGACUUGAACAAGGCCAGUCGAAAAGACAAUUCCCUAUUGCCUCACGUUGACACUUUGGUGGAUAAUACAGUAGGCUACUCACUUUUUUCCUUCAUGGAUGGCUUCUCUGGAUACAAUCAGAUAAAGAUGCAUCCAAAAACAUGGGAAAGAUUACAUUCGUGACCCUGUGGGAAACGUUUUACUAUAAAGUGAUGACAUUCGGAUUAAAGAAUAUGGGAGCGACGUAUCAAAGGGUGAUGGUAACCUUGUUUCAUGACAUGAUUUACAAGGAAAUCGAGGUUUAUAUUGACGAUAUGAUUGCAAAAUCUAGAACAGAAGAGGAACAUGUGCAGGUCCUGAGAAAAUUAUUCUUAAGACUGAGAAAGUUCUAGCUCAAGCUUUCCAACGAAAUGCACUUUCGGAGCUAGGUCAGGAAAGCUAUUAGGCUUCAUAGUCAGUGAAAAAGGAAUCGAGAUCAACCCAGACAAAGUUAAGGUAAUAAGAGAUUUACCUCCACUAUGCACUCAGAAGAAAGUUUGAGGUUUCCUAGGAAGACUAAAUUACAUUGCUCAGUUUAUUUCACAACUAACCGAAAAAUGUGACCCCAUAUUUCAUCUUUUAAAGAAACAUAAUCCAGAUGUAUAGGAUGAAGAAUGUCAGGAAGUUUUUGAUAGGAUAAAGCAGUACCUAUCAAAUACUCUAGUGUUGUUACCACCUAGCCCAGAUAGGCCACUGAUAUUAUAUUUAACAGUGUUUGAUAAUUUUAUGGGAUGCAUGCUAGGCCAACAUGAUGAGACAGGAAAGAAAGAAAGGGUUAUAUACUAUCUCAGUAAGAAAUUCACUGAUUAUGAAAUAAGAUACUCGUCUAUUGAGAAAUUAUGUUGUGCCUUGAUCUGGAUAACUCGGAGGCUAAGGCAGUACAUGUUGUACCAUACGACUUGACUAAUUUCAAAGUUAGACCCUUUAAAGUAUAUGAUGGAGUCAACUACUUUGAAUGGGAGGAUGGCCAGAUGGCAGAUUUUACUUUUUGAAUUUGACAUACUUUAUGUGAGCCAGAAGGCUAUAAAAUGGAGUGCAAUAGCGGAUUUUCUAGCUAGCAGAGCCUUGGAGGAUUAUGAGCCUUUAAAUUUUGAUUUUUUGAACGAGGACUUAAUGUAUGUGGCAACCACUAAAGAAAAUGCUCAAGUGGAUCGCAUUUGGAAGCUAAAAUUUGACGGAGCCUCAAAUGCUAUGGGCAAUAAAAUUGAGGCAGUCUUAGUAUCCCCGAGCAGAGAUCAUUAUCCUAUUGCUGGCAAAUUGGAUUUUGAUUGUACAAACAAUAUAGCAGAAAAUGAAGCGUGUAUCAUGGGCAUCCGUAUAGCCAAAGAAUGUAAAAUCAAAGUGCUAAAGGUAUAUGGGGAUUCUGCAUUGGUGAUAUAUCAGCUUAAAGGAGGAUGGGAUAUAAGAGACCUCAAAUUGAUUAAUUAUCGAAAGUUGAUUCUCGAAUUGAUUGAUGAGUUUGAUGAUAUUACUUUCUCCUAUCUCCCACUAGAUGAAAACCAGAUGGCUGACACGUUGGCUACUCUAGCUUUCAUGAUCAAAGUAAACAAACUAGAAGACAUGAAGCCUAUCCAGAUGAGCAUUUAUGAGACUUUGGCUCAUUGCUACAGUAUCGAGGAAGAGGAAAAGGAUGAUCAUCCUUGGUACCAAGAUAUACUGCAAUAUGUAAAGAAUCACGAGUACCCUGAUCAGGCAACGAAGAAUGAUAAGAGGACAUUGAGAAGACUAGCCACUAACUAUGUCUUAGAUGGAGAGAUUUUAUACAAAAAGGGAAAGGAUCGGGUACUACUAAGAUGCUGGAUGCUAUAAAAGCUUAGAAAAUCUUGGAGGAAGUCCAUGAAGGUAUCUGCAAAAUGCAUGCCAAUGGUUUCACAAUAGUAAGACAGAUUAUGAGAUUCGGGUACUACUGGUCGACCAUGGAAGGAGAUUGCAUCAAUUAUGCCAAGAAGUGCCAUAAAUGUCAAAUUUAUGGAGACAAAAUACACGCACGUUCUUCACCUCUCAACGUUAUGACUUCUCUAUGGCCUUUCUCCAUGUGGGAUAUGGAUGUCAUCGGGCCAAUAUUGCCAAAGGCUUCUAAUAGGUAUCGUUUCAUCUUCAUGGUCAUUGGUUACUUCACUAAAUAGAUGGAAGCUGAUUCAUAUGCUAAUGUCAUGAAGUCAGGAGUCAGCAAGUUCUUGAGAAAGUCAGGAGUCAGCAAGCUGAUUCAUAUGCUGAUUCAUAUGCUAAUGUCACGAAGUCAGGAGUCAGAGAUAGAAAAGCAAGUACAUUGUACCUAAGUCAGAAGGGGUACAUUGAGAAAGUUCUUUACAAUUGUACCAAAGUCAGAAGGGGUACAUUGAGAAAGUUCUUUGCAAAUUCAAUAUGCAGAAUGCUAAGCCUAUUAGUACUCCUUUAGCAGCCCAUUUCAAACUAUCAUCGGCUUUGUCUCUACAAUCAAAUGAUGAGAUUGAGUACAUGUCACAUGUUUCAUACUCUAGUACAGUGGGAUCUCUCAUGUAUGCUAUAGUUUGUUCACAUCCAGAUUUAUCAUAUACAGUCAAUGCAGUUAGUAGAUACGUGGCGAAUCCUGGUAAAGAACAUUGGAAAGUAGUUUAGUGGAUUUUAAUAUACUUACAAGGUACUACUGAUGUUUGCUUACAGUUUAGAAGAACUAGAUAUGGAGUCAUUGGGUAUGUUGAUGUUGAUUUUGCUGAAGACCUUGCUAGAAGAAAAUUUCUCAUAGGUUAUAUCUUGACAAUCGGAAGUUGUGCAAUCAGUUGGAAAGCCACUUUGCAAACUACAGUUGCUUUGUCUUCCAUUGAAGUUGAGUACAUGGUGAUUACUUAGGCCUGUAAAGAAGCUAUUUAGUUGAAUAGACUCUUUAGUGAACUCAAUGAAGACCUUCAAAUCAAUACAGUAUUUUGUGACAGUCAGAGUGCCAUCUUCCUUACAAAAGAUCAAAUGUUUCAUGAGAGAACAAAACAUAUUGAUGUUCGGUAUCAUUUUGUUCAUGAUAUUAUUGCUCAUGGUGAUAUUGUUGUGAGCAAAAUUAGUACUCAUGAAAAGCCUGAUUGGUGUUUAUUGUUGAAGUUAAACCCUUAAGGGGUUUUAUGGAAGAGGCGGAAAACUUGGUCGUUAAAAGUUUACGAUGAAGAACUAGUUUAUUGAGAAUUCGUGUCAAGGUGGAGAUUGUUAGAAUUAAGUGACCUGAAUCCUUAUUUAAAUAAAAUAUAGUGGUAAAAUAAAAUAAAAGUAAAAUCUCUAUAGAACUACACUUCUUUUAUUUUAUUUUAGAAUAAGGUUUUUAAACCUUAUUAAACUCCAUCUAUUUCAUAUUGAUUAGAAUAAGGUGUUCCAAUCUUACUACACUCCUAUUAGAAUAUGGUUUUACAAGCCUAUAAAUAGACAUAGUCUACUCCUAUUGUAAUUAUUUAAAUUUGACAUAGUGAAUUUUCUUAUCCUCUGCCCAUGGUUUUUUCUCGAAAGGGUUUCCAUGUAAAAUUUGUGUGUUCUUUAUUUUUUCUCUCUUUUUUCUUUGCGAUACAUUGUUAUUACCGACGUUCUAUUUUUAAUAAUAACCAUAAUUCGAAAACAUUAAAACUUAAAUUAAAUGUCAUGCAAAAUAAAACAAGCAUCAAUCUAAAUCUCAUGCCACGAUUCAAAAUAAUUUAUUGUAGUCUUCGACAAUAAAAAAUCAUAUAAUGAACCUAAAUUUUUUUUUAAUUUAAUAAUGUGUCGAGACCUUACAGAUGUCUCGUCCGCAUCCUAUCCUAGUGGAUUAUCUGUAAGGAUGAAAAUUUAAAGGGGAGUGAGCUAUGACACUUAGUGUGAGUUCAUUCAUAAUAAAUUCAAUGCAAAUGGUUGGUAAGACACAUUAAUUAAUAUCACAUAAAGUAAUCACAGUCAAAUAAUAGUUCAGAAUGUCGAUUUUAGAAUUUAACUACCAAUAGUUUCACUGUAUUCACAGUUGUAAUUUCAGAAUAUCAAAUUUCCACAUCAUUCACAAUAUUCACAUAUAUAUAAAUAUAUCAUAACAAAAUUCCAAAUUUGUGUGCACAUGAUUUAGAAGAUGCCAUACAAUUUUGCGUUUUAAUAGAAUAAAUCCUACCCCACGUUACAUAUCAUAAUGGGAGUUCCCUUAAACUCCCUUCUCUAACACUACAAGUUGUGGAUAAACCACUACUCGUCUGUAGAUAAUAACUAUCAUUCGGCUGUGGACACAAAGCAACUCCCCACAGUUGGAUUCUAGCUUUAGCUGUGGGUUCACAGCAAAAAGUCCUGCAAAUGAAGCCUAUUUUUUCUGUAGAUUAUAUAACAUAUACCCGCAGUUUGAAUCUGCCUUUGGUUAUGGAUGCACUAUAACACCCCAAACCUGACCUGGAUGUUAUGGCUAAAUCCUGAUGAUUUACUUUAACUCAUUUGAAAACCCAGAAAUUUACUUUGAAAUCCUGUGGUUAAACUAGUGUUCACUUUCAUAAAUCGUGAAAGUAUGUGAUUAUUGAGGACAUGCUGAGCAUGUCAAAUGAAUGUGAAAAGUAUUGUGAUAUGAUUAUGUAUGAGAUUGUGUAACAUAUUGCAUAUGCAUUGGGUUCAGUUUUUUGGUUGACGGAGGAGUUUUGUGGAGUACCGUCAGUAUAUUAAGCUCGCAUUAUUCGUGGUCAGUGCACUACACCUGGAGUACCGAGGGGAUUGGCAAUUUUAUCGGAUAUUAUAUGUUAUUGGUAAUUGUAUCGCACUAUUGGGUAUUCGGCAGCUUUUCUGCAUUAUUGAUUAUUCGGUGGUUUUACCACAUCGAGCUAUGCUCAUAAUGUUUUGGAGACUGGCAGACGGGUUCUGGGGAACCCGUGGUAUGUAGCAAAUGGUAUGGGUAGGAACCUUUUUGUAUUGCAUCAUGUGCACGACAUAUUCGAAUGUUAUUGGUUUAUGCUACGCAUUGUAUUUUGUCGUAUUGAAUGGCAUUAAAAUUAAUGAUUGUCACUCGAAUGAAUUAUGACCUAUGCUCAUACACUGUUUGACAUUAAUUUGAUAAUGACUAUGAAACGAUAUGAAAUUCCUAUGAUGAUUCUGUUUUCUUCUGUUAAAGCUAAUUUGUUUCAUUAUAUUCGAUCUUUAUGUUUGUUUAAAUAAUUUUUCGACUCAGACUGAGCUUUUCAUAAGCUCACCACUAACAGUGUUUAACUUUUCAGGUAAACCUCAAAAAUAGGACUGAACUCAGCAUUCGAAGAAUCACCUUGGACCUUGAAUUAUUUUUUUAAUAAGUAUUAAUCAAUCUCUAAUGGUUUUGGUUUGUAAUUUUUAAUUAUUUCUAGUUUGUGGCUUGAUGACUUUUCUUCUGGGUUUUUUGCAUGCAUUGAUUACUCAAGCAUAAUAACCGGAUAAUACAUGAUAUCAGGCUUAAGUAAAAUUUGAUAAUGUUCCCUAGUUUUCGCUACAUUGCAAAGGAUUCAUUUUUGAAAAACAAAUCGAUAAAGGUAACUAAGUUUUCAAAAUGACUUGAAAAAUGGUUUUUUCGCUGCAUUAGUUUAACAUCAAUUUUUUUUGAAGGAGAGCGACAAGCAAAUGGUUUUUCUAAAACCACAUUAUUAACAAUAAAAUGAAUUCUAAGUAUACACAACCUAAUGAAUGAAUGCUUUUAAGCUAACUCAAAGUACAACUAUGGUUUUCUCUAAAAUGAUUUUAUUCAAGGUUUUCAGAAGUAAUGUAAGUUAGCUUAGCCAUUUCGGUGCCUCAUGUAGCCUUCUCAAUCUAGCCAUAACGUCUAGGCCAGGUUUGGGAGGUUACAGGAUUUAUAGGGAUUGUGGUAUAAAUUUUCUUUUGGACAUUCGUAAAGUGUUAUUUGGACUGAACUUUAGAAACUACAGAUUUUAUACUGAGCCUAAAUUUACGAAGUUUUUGCGUGGUUUUUACGAAAAUGAAACUAAUAUGAUUUUUUGAGACUAUGAUUUUUUUUAACACUCCAAUUUGAAAUUGUACAAGAAACGUCAAUUUGAAUUAUUUUUUAAUGUUUUUUAUGCCAAUUAAAUAUUGUUUCAAAACAUAGCUAAGUAUUAUUUAAUUUCCUAAAGAUGAAGCAAACACUGAACAAUCUAAAACUUCAAUGACUUGUUUGCAAUUUUUGUUUUUCCUUAAUUGUCUCCAGUUUGAUUCAAUUCUUGAUCUAUACGAUUAUUCCAUUCAAUUCAUCAAUAUUGAACAUUUAUACAUUAUGUCAUGUCAUGAAUGAACUUAGAUAAAUUCAUUUUUUGAUAUCCUUAAAGUUUUAUAUUUAUUUCAAUUUAGUCUCUAAAAUCGAAAUAGUCAUAACUUUAAAUUCUGAACUUUGGUUUGAAAAUCGACCUCAAUUUCAUUAUAGACUCUCUACUAUCCAUUAUUAUCAAAAUUUCACAUCAAUUUCACAAUUUAUUCACUUUAGUUAUUAUGUACAAAAUCAACAACCAAACAUCACAAUUUAGUCAUUUUUCAUAAUUUAAGCUUAAAAUCUAUCAAUUUAACACCAAUUUGUUCAAGAAAUCAACCAUGAAAGCUAUAAAAAAGACUUUAACAAUUUUGCAAAUUGGUACAUAGGUUAUUUAAAUCAAACUCUCAUUACCUCAAAAAUACUAUUUAAAUCAAACUCUCAUUACCUCAAAAAUACAAAAAAAAAAUACGAAAAUGAUUUAGAAAUGCAUACCAAUUGAGGACUGAAAGUUUGAAGCUCAAAAAUGGCUUUUUCCCUUGAGGUUUUAUGUUGAUUAGAUGAUGAAGAAGAAGAAAUAAAGAUGACAACUUGCACUAAGUCACCUUUAUAUACUUAGAUUAAAUCUUAACUAAUCAAAUUUAAUUAAUUAACCUUAAUCACAAUUAAUAAAAAAUUAGUGGAGGUUAACAUCAUCCUACACUAUUUGAUAUAACCAAAUGAUCUAUUUACCAUUUUGAACCUUUAGCUAAUUAGAAAUCUAUAGAGAUAAUACUUUUAAAAUUUAGUCUUUAUACCUUAAUUAAGCAAUUAAUAGACAAAGUUGAAGGUUUAAAAUUUAAUAUUCUAUUAUACGAACUCUAUAAAUAUUCAUAUUUAAUAUUUACGGACCCGAAUUACAAAAAUGAAAUUCUGAAAUUGUAUUUUCCAGUACCACUGAAAAUUGGACAAUUACGUAACCUAUUUGCACCAACGGGCCAAACAUGGCAAAUACUUGACAUGUAUGUUUUCAUAUCUUCAUCUAUUCUCUUCAAUAUAAUAACAUCCAAUAAUUGUAACAUCCACUGUAAUGUGCAGAAGCGCGACAUUUUCAUUCUAGAAGAAAGGUAUAAUUGAAACAAAAUUAAAAUAAAGAAUUCAAUACAAAAUCAACAGACAUUCCAGUUAAUACUUAUCAAUUAUUUGCAGCUUCACUGCUCCAAUUAAGAUGGUUUUUAGUCGAAUAUGGUAAAUGAAAUCAAUGAACACCAGCUACUUGAACGAGUGAAUCAAAGUCCUGAUAUGUGCCGGCUUAUUGGGGAAAAAAUAUAUGGGUUAGUUUUGCAGCAAUUCAUGAUCAUACAUUUUAUAACCUUUGCUUACAAUUAUUUACUAACUAAUCAUUCAAUGAAUGGAGGCCUCAAACUCAGCCACUAAACUUUAUUCUUUAUUUUUAGAUACAUAUUAUUUGAUCACUUCAUACAGCCUAUUACUCAUAUUAACUUCCAAUUUCCCUUCUUUAGGUUAGUUGCAAAUGUACAGCUUUUUCUAGAAGAAGAAAAUUGUCAAGAGCCACCUGUUCAAGAGAGGCGCAAACAGAAUGCAACAAUACCUGACCUACUUACGGCACAGCCAAGUAAUCAUGUGUUUCUAUGCUAGAUCAUUAAAUCAAUGACUACAAAUUUCAUGCCAUGGUUGUGUAUCAUUUAUGCCAUUGAUGCUGCUAUUUUCUAUUCUAAUGCAUAAUAGGGAUUUAGCGUUUUUACCGUUAAAAUUGUGUCCUUUAAUUUUGGCUCUUUUCAAUUGUUGAUCAUGUCCACCUAUGCUUUAUUUUACUACUAUUGCUUUCUUUAACGAUAGAUGAUUGAAUCGGUAGAAUUUUAUUAAUCCUCUACAUGUUUUAUCUUGACGUAUGGAUACUAAGCAUUCCUUGGAUUGUGCCCUCUUUGUUCAUUUUUUCUUUUUCUUGGAACCUUAUUACAUGUUGUACCACUCCAGUUUUUUGGAGAUUUCUUAUGCAGAGGAACCAAUGGCAAGAGACUCUAAAAAUCCUACUCUUUUUUAUACCUUCCUCACCUCUUUGUGAUAUUAUAGCUGAAAUAAAAUGUAUGCUAAUACAUGAAAUGUUUCCUCUUGCCUUUCUUUUUGUAGUACUAAAACUACAAAUAGUGUCUGCAAAACUCUUUAGAGAAAAACAAAUGUCUGUAAAUCUCUUUUCCCGUAAUCUUAUCUUUUCUUCAUUGUAAUAGUUGGACAACUUUUUGUUGAAGACAAUGUCAACUACCGGGAUAAGUUAUUGUAAGCAUCUUUUCUUUAAGUGUUUCAUAUUAAAAACAAACACUGUUAUUGUUUAUUUUGUAGUCUAAAUUAUGAUAAUUUCUGCACAAAAUUCACAUAAAUGGUUACCCUCCCGAAGCGGAGCGAGGGUGAUGCUUACUAGUUAUUAAGAAAACAGGACCUUGUAGGGCUUAACUGUUGAAUCAAGAAAGAAAUUUCUUUUAAUGCCGUUAAUUUUUUUUAAAGCUGAUUUUUUUUUACAAAUUAAAGUUUUGAUUGUAUGUUAAUUGCUUGAGGGAAGGUCGGAUACUUUAUUACCCCUAUUUUUAUUUGUUAUAUAUUUUAGCCAUAAUGAUUUUUUUGGCCCUACAACUUUACCAAAAAAAUCAUAUUAGCUUUCAUUUAGUUUUCGUCUCUUUUAACCCUUUAACUUGUAUUUUUUUGUCAAAUCACCUCAAAAUGGAUCGAAAACUUAACAUUUGUGAACUUGAUGAUGUGCAUUCACAUGAAUUGUCACAUGGAUGACAAGUCAACAUUUAUUUUUUUUAAAAAACUUAAAAAAUAUUAAAUAAAAUAUUUUUAAUAUUUUUUAAUUAUUUUUAAUUUAAAAAAGUUUUUAAAUAUUUUUAAUUUUUAAAAAUUAAUUAAACCCAGACAUGGAAAUUCACAUCUAUGUGUCACAGGCCGUGGAUUAAAGCCCGUGACCAUUGUGCAUAGAACACCCCAUUGAAGUCAACUUAUUAAACGAGGUUCAUUUGACCCGCAUGAACUGGCCCGACUCAUGGAACCCGUGGAGAAGCCCAUCUACUUGAAGCCUUGGUGGUCUAGUGAAAUACUCCAAUAAAACUAGAAUUACUAGGGUAAAUAGUGUAUAUCUUAAAUGGAUAAGAUUGUAUAGAGUUUAAAUCCUUUAUGACUCUCAAUUGCAGAUAAGCUCUAAUCUUGACCAUCGAUAUAACUCAAUCUAUAUCGUUGCUUCUAGGGAGCUCAACUAUAAGUAGAGGCCUCCCCUUCAUUUUUAUCCAUUCCAUUCAUAGUUGUGAAUAUAUUUGAGAGCAUUUACUCAAACACCUUGUGUACAUUGCUUUUAUUUGGCUAUUAUGCUCUUUUGAGCUUCUGUCUUUGAGUAUCACAUCCCAAAAUUGGGCCAAAAAGAAAUAUGGGGAAAAUUGAGUUUUAAUUUUUUUUAAACAUAUGGUAAGGGAAGUAGAAUGCCUUAAAAUUAUUUUUUGUUAGAAAACUAAUAAGAAUGAGUUUGUUGUUUUAGUGUUAAUGCCUUAGCCUACCCAUAGGUCCCAAGUUUGAAUCCCUUGGUGAGGAUUCAACCAACAUAUUUUUAUUUCCUUGUUUUUACAACACCAAAAGUGACAAAUUUUAAAAUAACCCAGCCCAAAAACUAUUUUUUUAAUUUAGUCCUUAAUUUAAAAUUUUCCCAAACCUACAUAAAUUUUUAAAACCUAUUCCAAUUAGGAAAAAUAAGCAUUAUAAAUAGACAAUUUCAAAACAAACCCUAGAAUUUCAUCUAGCAAAUUUUCAAGAAAACAUCCAUAAAAACUUUCUUUUCCAAAUAAAACUUUCAAGCUAAAGAAAUCGAAAUCUUCAAAAUCAUCCCUCAAGUAGAUCUUCAAUCUCUUCUCCAGCACUAAGGUUUCUAAGUAUUCAAAAUAGGUGUGGAAACUAAACCUAAAUCUUUGUGUAUAAUUGAAUCUAAUAGCAAGUAGAGAACCAGUAUAGACUAACCCUAGGAGAAACCCCCUGUAUGUGCAAUCAUGUAGGUGUGAGCCUAUAGAUGCAAAACCCCUUGUACAUGAAAACCCCAUGCAUGCAAACCCUUACGUGAAACCCUCCUUUCAUGCGAACCCUAUAUGAAUACCAUGUGAACCCUAGAUUAUAGUUGUGAACCCUAGGUUGUUAUGUGGAUACCCAUACUGUGAACCCAUGUGCACAAACAUAUAGGAAUAUUCAUGCGAACCCCCUUGCAUGCGAACCCUAGUUAGUAUACAUACGGGUCUCAUAUUUACAUGCAAACCACUACUGGUGCGAGUCAAUUAUAUGAUAUCACAUACGAACCCUACUAUUACAUGCAAACCUUUAUACAGUUAUAUUCGAACCUUUUUUUGUUAAAACAGGUGAGACUUGUCUAGUAUUACAUACGACCCUACAUAUACCUAAUUUGCUAACUCAUAUGUUAAAAGUAUGUGAACCUAUCUAUGCUUGUUAUGCGAACUCACAUGUUAGCAGUAUGUGAACCUAUAUAUAUCAGUUAUGCAAACUCACAUGUUAGCAGUAUACGAACCCAUAAGUCUGUUAUGCAAACUCACACGUUGGUAUGCGAACCCUAUAUACACCUUUAUGCAAACUCACACAUUAACAGUAUGCGACCCUAUAUACGCCUUCAUGCAAACUCAUAUGAUUAGCAGCAUGCGAUCUCUAUAUUUAUGCGAACCCUUGUAAUAAAAAAUAUGCGAACCUUAACUUGCGAACCCUAGGCAGGAACCCUGCACUCGCAAAGCCUUCUUCCGGACCUGUACAUAUACUAGAUAACCAAGCCUAUUAGUUUACAUUAAAUCACUGUACAUAUGAGACUGUUUGUUUACAUGCACAAGUUAUAUGUGCAUUUACUAUUCGAUACAAGAGUACAUAUCGACCUUUUGAUGAGAAUUCAAAGAUUAACGAUGAUAAUUCCAACAAUCCGUGUAAGAAUGAGUUAAAUCGAGAAUUGAUGUAAUUUAAGGUAAUAAAGUUAAUUUUUCAGUAAUAAAUGAAAAAUUGUUAUCGAAAGAAACGAUGGGUAAAAAAAUGAGAGUUUUAAAGAAAAGAGAGGAAAACUUCAAUUUAGGGUUGAAAAGGAACUAAAAAUCCAUGUGAAAUCAGGAAAAAAUAUAAAAUACCUAGGAUUAAGAAAUUUGAGGGGGUUGAAUGGUAAAAUACCCUUUUUGCUUAAAAAUGGAAAUGGGGAUUGAGUUUGGCAUGACUUGAACCUUGGAAGCAAAGGAAAAAAUUGCAAAGGCCUUACCAUUUGAAGGCUACCCACAUUUGGUAUAUUUUUACACUAUUUGAUAUAUAUCCUAGCUUAGUUUUGAUCAUAGGUUGUUAAAAAAGCAAGGGGUAAGAGUGUGGCUUCAACCUUAGUUCUCUAGUUAGUACACUAAGCUCUUAACCAUUAAGAUUAAGGCUCAUCUCUUAGUCAAUUAAUUCAUCUAACUCUAUAUAUUUUGGGAUGUUACAUCUUGAAUUAGAAAAACCCGUAAAAUGCAUGUAGACUUGUAUUGCUUGGUACUUGGCAGUAUAUAUGUUGACUUGUAUGUUGAUUAAGCUAGCUUAAUUAAGACCAAUGUGUUAGACUUGUCUAUGCAUUGAACAAUCUAAAAGAAAAUGAAGAAAAAGACUCUGAAAACACUUGAAAACAGAUGAAACUCAUAUGUCAUCGACUAGUUAAACUAUGAUCACUCAUAAUAGACCUUGUAUUUGACUUUUUGUUGAGGGAAAUUGACUCCUUCGGGAGAAGUUUCCUAAGUGUUGCUUGUCAAGCAGUCAGUGUUGCCCUAAACAACUAAAGGUAUUGUCCCCAUGUCGAGAUUUUACCCCCAGCCUCUGCAAAAUAAUCAUGAAGAAUACGUGCGAGGGAAUUCAAACACCAACCAAUGCAUGUGUUGCCUUUACCUUGCCACCAUCUUUGGGAACCCAUAAGGAUAAAAUCCCAACAAGAGAAUUGUAUCAGAGGGGUCUGUCAACACAAUGAAUGAAAUUUAAAUGCAUACCUUCUUUUUUUUUAAUGAAAGUAAAUAUCAUAUUUAAUUAGAGAAAAGCAACGAAAAAUCUAACAAUAAAAUCCUUAGCAAAAGAUUAAAACACAAUUGUACCAUAAAUUAAAUAAGAAACUAAAAAAAUUCAAAUCUAACAAAGACAGUAACUUGAUUCCUCAAAGCUACCACAAACAGUAAUUCAUAGGAAGGCCUGCUGCUCAAUUUAUAGGUUUCCAUCUUGAUUUUGCAAAAGAAGUUUGAAUUCCGAAGAGAGCCUAGUACAUGAGAGAAAAUGAUUGAGCAAAAUAAAGAAAAUUAGUUUAUUAAUUUUCAUUAUGUAUAACACAAACUUCAUGGAGACGGAUACCAACAUACUAGAUAUCUAUGAUUAAAAUGCUAGAAUAGAUUAAAAAUGUUGAAUUAAUGAUUAAAUUAAGAGUGAAUUAUUAAGCGCAAGUGUACUCAUUACUCACCAUCUUUGUUAAACAUGUUUAAUGUUGUUUAGCAUCCUUUGCUUGAUUUUCUUUAGCUCAACCAUAACAUGUUUCAUAUCUAUUCUUUCUUCUGGUAACUCAGCUGUGAUGGAUGAAAUACAAUUUGCUUUAACAACAAAGUACUCAUCCUCUCUUUUUAAUAAAUCAACAUCUGCAGUUUCUAUCACUCCUUUAGACAGUGAACUUUCCAUCCAAUGCCUUAUAGUCACUUCUUCAGCAAAAUAAUUAUCAGUUGGCUUUUUCUUCGUGAAAGUUUCUAUAAGGACAAUCGCAUAACUAUAGACAUCACAUUUUCUAGAAACAAUUCCUGCUGAUCCAAAUUUUGCAUUUCAAGCAUAAAUAUUAGAGCAUCAUUAAUCCUUAAUUAUUUCUAAAAUGUUUACUCAAAUGUACAAAUGAAACAAAAAUAUAAAAUGAAAAUCAAGAAAAUAAUCAUAAAAAGAAUUCACCUGGUGCCAUAUACCCGAUUGUGGUUUGCUUCACUACAUCACCUUCUCCCAAAAAGUUGGAAAUGCCAAAAUCUCCCAUAUGUGCAACCAUGUCUUUAUCUAGUAAAAUAUUGCUUGGUUUGAAGUCAGAAUGAAUCAUAGGUGUUGGAUGUCCGUAGUGGAGAUGUUCUAUAGCUGUCGCAACAUCUAUCAUUAUGUCAACCCUUUGUAUGAUAUCAAGGAAACAGUUUUUAGAAUGUAGCCAUUUCUCAAGAUUUCCAUUUGACAUGUAAUCAAACACCAAGGCUUUUUUAAAAAUAAAAUAAACUUGGUAUCCAAAAUUUUUUUGUGUUGACAUGGCAUUUUUAAAAAUAAAAUAAACUAGGUAUCUGUGUAACAAAAAUAAAAUUGUAAUAGGCCUAAUUUUAGUAAAGAAUGUUAACGAUGUUAAGAAUUCUUUAAAAUUCACAUAAUCAUUUUUAUUAGAAUAAAGUAUUUAGACUUGACUAAUUAUAUUAUAAAAAUUAAGAUACCAAAUUAUGUCAAAAUUAAAGUUAUAGAUUAAAUCUCAAUUUUAACAUUCUUAUAAUUUGAAAAAGUAGAAGAUUGGAAUUAAAUAAAUUUAUAAUCCUUAAUUGUAAAUUUGAUAAUUCCUAUUAAUCUAAAUUAUUACAAUAAUGUGCUUACAAUGCUUGGUUUUACUUAAUGAGUGAUAUUAAAUUAAUUAAAAAAUUACAUAAAAAUCAAAUAUCUUAUUUCUAAUAAUAAUAUUACUACUCCCUCACAAAACUAUAUUUCACUUGAAAGAAAUUCUAUUCCCUUCAAAAAAAAAUUACCAUCUUAAAACACUUCAAUCUUUUAAAAAAUCUUAAUGCACACUUUAAUCCCUAAAUUAUAUCACUUUUUUAACUUUAGUCUUAAAUUAUUUUUUUUGAUUUUAGUCCCUAAUAUUAUUAAACGUUUCCAGUUUAGUUCAUUGGACAAUAAAAAUUGAUUGUCGUUGGGAUAUCCAACCAAUCAUACACUACCACAUAUUGUACGAUGAUAUCAUUAUGACAUCACCAACAAAAAAAACCUUAAAAAUCUUUAAAAAUGACAAAAAAUUAUUAUAAUUAUUUAAAAAUAGAAAAAAACUAAAAUUAUAAAAAUAAAAAAUCUAUGUAAAAUAUAAAAAUUUACAUAAAAUUUAAAAAUAUAUUAGAUAUUUUAAUAUCUUUAAAAUUUUAUAAAUCACAUUUACUAGAGUUUGAACCUAUGAUUAUUGUCAACAAUUGUUUUAUGACUCAAUUAAUCAUAAUUUAUAAUUGGUAGAUCUUUUUACGUGAUAAACUUGGAUAAUUUUUUUUCAAAUUAUUUAAAUAAUGAAAAGUAAUAUUAUUUCAAAUAAAUAAUAAAUUAUAUAAUAUUUUUAAUUAUUCCAAAUAUUUUUUUUACUAUAUUAAGAUAAAUUAUUUGUCUCUAGACCAAUAUCUUAAGAACUAUUGUCGUAUGUUUAACUAUUCUAAAGAACUUUGGUAUAAAAUAGAAAAAGCAUGUGCACAAUGGUAAAUAGGGAGUCGAGUCAAAUAAACUUGUUGCCAGUAAUGCUGGCAAAGUACUAAAAAUUGAUGUAUUUUAAAAUAUUAAAAAUUUGAUAUAAAAAUUUAUUCAAAUUUUUAUUAUAAUAAUUUUAAAUAUUUUUUUAUAAAAAUUGAUUGUACUACAAUAUACAAUUUCAAUAUCAAAUUUUUAAUAUUUUAAAUGUGAUUAGCGAAUGUAUACUUUAUUUCAAGUUACACAACUUUUACUAGUAUUUUAAUUUUUUUAUUUUUUACAAUCUUUUAUUAUUUCUAAUAUUUUUUAUAUUUUUUACAAUAUUUAAAAAUUUAUAAUAACUUUUAAUAAUUUUAUUAUUUUUAGAAAUUAAAAGAAUUGACAAUUUUUUUAUUUUUUAAACAAUUAUAAAUUUAUAAUGUAGUUAAUUUUAUUUAAGUUUAUUUGAAUUUUAUGUUAUUUUAAAAAAAAAUUAUUUUUGCAAUCGUGACAUCAGCAUAUGACACGUGGUAAUUUAUGAUUAGAUGAAUAUUCGGUUUUUUUUUUAACGUCCAAAGGAUUAUGCUGAGAACACCUGGUAAUGUUAAGGACUACACUAAGAGCAUUUGAUAAUAUUAGGUACUAAAGUGGGCCUAAAAAACAUUAAGGACCAAAGCAAAAAAAAUGCUAUACUUGAACUUUCAAAAUUAUCUUUCAUUUAGUUAGGAUUAAUAUUUAACGAUUUAACAUUUAAAAAUUUGUAGUAUUGAGGUUAAAAAAUGAGUAAGAGGUGGUGGAUGGUUCAUAUAAUGGUGAGGCACAAAGAACCAUUUUAAAAUAAGAGAAGGGAGGGGUGCUUAUUCUUGAGGUUAAGAAUGAGUAUUUAUAGGUGAGGUUAAUCAUCCUUGAUCAUUAGACCUUGACAAGUGUUUGAUGCCAGUCUUAUCGUGGUUGGCCACUAAGGGAAUGAUGGACCUCUAGGUAGUGAUGGAAUUUACAUGAAUUAGAUGAGAUUAGGAUGACAAUUUGGAUUUUGAAUUCGGAUAAUAUUGGAAUUAAAAUUUUGAAAUUACUAUCUGUUGCAUAUUUGAAGUGAAUGCGGAUAGAUGUUUCAGAUUUAUAUUAGUCGAAUAUACAUUACUUAUUCGAAUAGAUGUAGAUUGGAAUUUAGAUAUCUGAAUCAACUAGUCACGAAAUGUGUAUAGUUUUGAUUAUAUAUAAAAAAAUUUGGUGGAUUCAAUUUUGAAUUUUCGUGGAUUUGGAUAUCCAGAACAUGAUUGAAAUUUUUAAAGUUACUCCUUUUUUGUUGAUUCAGAUAUUUGACGAAUAAUAGUACUUAACUUAAGCCAAAUUUAGAUAGUAAUACUCGGAUAAUUUGUAUAUAAUAAAUAAAUUUUGAUUUUCAAGCAAAUAUGCAUAUUCAAAUUCUAAUAAUUCAAAAAAUGUAGAUACUAACCUAUUGCCAUUCCUAGGCAAGAGUACCCUACGUGUGAUCCAUGCACAGAAGGAUCCAACAUCUUUCACUGAUGAGGUAGAUUAGAAGCAUCACGUACCAGGCAUAUAUGUAUCAAUGAGGUCUAUAGCAGGCAAAGUGUAGCCCCAACUGAAAUCAUAGUUGACGAGGUUGUAGUUGGGCGACAUGAUGGUGACAAAAGCCACUCUGGUAAAAUAUUAAUAGCAAUCGCCCUCCAAUUAAUGAGAAGUUAUAAAGUGACCUAAUUAAAUGGUAGCAUAGUUUACCAUAAGUGUCAUAUGUGUUGUAAGGCAUGAGCUCAAACCCUACCAAACUCAAAUGAUCAAAUUUCCUUGGUACCGUUUGUCCCAACAAGGCGCUCCCACUCUGUUGAACCUGUCACCUCUUUAGGUAGCUUUAGGCACUUGAGAUCUUUACAAAGUCGAGAGGUAAAAUUAUUGGAAAAAAAACUCGAUUUGAAAAUGGUUUUCUUGCACAGUAGAAAAAUAAAAUUUUGAAAAUCAACUUGGUUUGUGAUAUUUAUAGCAAAAAAACCUUAACUGAAUUCAUACAUGUGUUUUUGGAUAAGUGGAUCCUUGAUGUUUUCAGGCUUUCAACCAAACGAUCUUUUGCACUAUUCUCGUACCACGAACUGCUUCGAGUGUGGCCUCAAACCAAUUGAAUCAAAACACAAAACUAGAAAAGGUUUUCCUUUUUGAGUGAAAACCAAAAUUCUCUCUUCUUUAAUAGAAAUCGGUAAAAUUAUUAUUAUGAAAAAUAUGUUUAUAAGUUGAGAAUAAAUUCUCUCUAUUUUUUGACAGAAUAACAAUCUCUCAAAAGUUGUGUAAAUAGCUCUACUGGUGCCAUUUAUUUAUAGGAAGAGAAAGUAGAACCCUUGUAGAGUUGUAAAAGUUUAUAUCCACUAGAAAAAUAAUAUCCUAGCCUAUCUAGGAUAUAGGAAGCAACAACCCUAGUUAAUGAUACUAGGGUUUUGUCGUUCCACCUCCUUAUAUGAGGGGUUUUAGGCCUCUCUCACAUCGGGUCCAAGUACAAGUACUUCUUAAAUAUAAACUUGUAUUUGAUAUAUUGAUUACGUAUGAAUUUAUAUAUUGUGAGUAAAAUUUGUAUUUGAUAUAUUAAUAAUGUAUAAAUUUAUAUAUUGUUAAUACAUCAUAUGUUUAAAAAAUCUAAUAAUUAUAUAUUAUUUUCAAUAAUUUUUAAAUUUAUUAAUUGAUUUAUUGGUAUAUUAAUAUUAUUUUUUAGUAAUAUGUAAAUUUAUACCCAGUCAAUUUAUGAAAUAACAUUUAGUGAGUGGAAUAUAUAUAAAAGAAGAUAUUCUAAAUCUUUCUAAGCUUUAUAAUUCUUCCUUAAAAUAGAAAAAGAAAUAAAUUGUUGAUAUAGAUAUGUUGAUAAGAUUUUCAUGUAGGACUUUUCUGUAAUUCAUGAUUUUGUUACAUGCAUUAAUUGUAAUUGUGAUAUUUUAUAUUUUAUUUAUAUAAAUCAUGUUAAAUUUGAUUUAAAUUCCUUUUUUAAUUAUUUAUUCUUUUAAGAAAUUUCAAGUAUUCAAUAAAUAUUAAUGUAUACAUUUCCUUAAAUUGAUAUAAUAGUGAUAUCAGAUUAGUUUAAAAUUUUGCGUGUAUGACAAGUACAAUUAUAUUGAUAGAUUCAAUAGUCGGAUUAUUCAAAUAUUACUCCUACAAAUAUAUAUGUAUGAAGAAGUAUAAACUACUUUAAUUUUACACUGGUAUAAGUAGAUCUCUCUCUUACAUCUGUUGUAUAUUUGAUUUUGAUUCAAACGUACUCAUUUAAAGAAAUAAAUACAUCAAUUUAUUUUUAUAUUGAAUAAGUAUAAUUAUUUGAAUAUGAAAUAUAUAGAUGUAAAAUGAUGGUAUAUCAAUAACGAUGUUAGAUGUUUGUGAAAAUUGAAUCAAAUCAAUAUUUCAUGUAUAAAAUUGCACAAUGGACCAAAGUUCAUGUACAGUUUUGAUCUUUAUAUCUGAAAUUUAUUAAUGAAAAUUAUUUUCCAAAAGAUCACAUUGAGUAAGUUUAAUUUAAAUUUAAAUAUUUAUAUUUUUUCUCAUAUAGAAUUAUAAUUUUUUUAAAAGAAGUGUAUACUAAUUGUUGAAAGAUUUUCGACUCUUUUGGAAAGUCUUCAAAGUGGCAUAUUUUGAAGAUGGUGGACCCUCAACACGUCCAAUAUUAUCAUUGGUUAAGGUUUUUGUUGGAUCUAGUGUCCUAAGUGUAGUACUUUUUAUCAAUAUACAGUUGUAAAUUUUGUUAACAAAUUGGUUAAUAAAACAAAUUUAUCGAUUAUAUUAAUAUACUUUAUAUAAUUGUCCUAACAUAGUUUUUGCAUGCAAAGCAAAAUGGAAGCAAAUGUUGCUCAUUGGUUGCCUAAAUAUUUAACUAAUACUAAGCGGUAUUAUGUGUAUAAAAAACAGCUUGUAUUAGUAGACAAAUCUAAACAUGUCCUUAGCAUAAUUGGAAAUGAGUAAAUUGAUUGAAAAACUAAUAUGUCGUCUAUCAAGCGUAACUGGGGAGAUUCCUUGUCUUGGGCAUCGAAGCGGAUGACUCCCAAAAGGUAGAGACAUAGAUGUGACUGACUUGACUGGUAGUACAUUGGAUAGGACACAAAUAGAAUAGAUCCUGAAUUUGUUUAUGGACUUAUUCACUUGUGAUGUCCAUAGUGUGGCAUACAUAAAUCUUGAAUAGAUAGCGGAGUGUGACUUUUACACUUUGAUGUAAGUAAAAAUGUAAGUUCAAAUAGAUAAGGAACCAAAAUCUAGUACAUUUGGUUUACGACUUCUGUAGUAUGUAGCAUCAUUCAUAAUAGUGAAAUUCAUAGCCCAAAUCAUGGGUAAAUGAUAUCCUCUCAUUGACAUUACAUGGUUAAUGAAAAGUAAAUGUGGCCACGGGUUGUCCGUCUUUGUGAUGGAAACUUGAUCACUAAUUGAUAAUGAUUGAUUUUUCACGAAAGAAGCUGUAAUGGUUACCAUGAGAUAAAAUAUGAUCAUAUUGGGAGAACAAAUAUUAUCACAAAGAGAUCAAGGAUAUCCUAUGAGGGUAACACACUAAUGACAAGGUUAUUGGACGAGCAUUAAGUAGUUACUUUCGUAAUGGUAUGUCGUUGGGGAUAUUUCAUUCACGACACUAUAGUGGAAUGACUUCAUGACUAAAUGAUUUUAUAAUUAAUAGGUAAAAAAACAGAAUUUAAUUAUAAAUCAUUUGAGCCUCAACUCCAUAUGUCUACUCGGUCCCCCCACUGUUAGUUCAUUGAAACCAAAAAUGAAUUGCACGUUUGAAUGGAAAUCAGCGAAAUGGAUAGAAAAAGAGAAAUGAGAAACAUUCAGAAAUGAUUAUGGUCUCCUCUAAAAUGGAGAAAUGGAAUAAUUUGAAAAUGAAUGUAGGUUUCCAAAAAUGGAAAUAGAAAUGAAAAUGGAAACUUGCAAUUUUAUAUAUGAUUACUUAAAAAAUGAUGGAAGAAUGAGUUUAUAUUUUUUGACUGUUUUGAAGCUCGAAAAUGAAAAUAAAUCAUUCAGUCAUAGUGAACAUAUUGAGUUGUGUCAUAUUAAAUGAAUUUUCUUGAAAUUUUAUUGGAGGUAAAAUUGCCAAAAUUUUAAUGCGUAAAAUUGUCAUGAGAAAAUAAUUUAAUAUGUAAAUAUUAAAAUUUAUUUUGGAAAUAGAAAAAUUGAAUCGGGUUGGACCAUAUUACAAAGUACUAGAUCAAAAAGGCCCAGAAAGUACUCGUACUUGGACCUGAUGUGAGAGAGGCCCAAAACCCCUCAUGUAAGGUGGGACGGCAAAACCCUAUUAACUAGGGUUGUCGACCCUUAUAUCCUAGAUAGGCUAGGAUAUUAUUUUUCUAGCAGAAAUAAACUUUUACAACUCUACAUGGGUUCUAUUUUCUUCUCCUAUAAAUAGAUGGCACCAAUAGAGCUAUUUAUACAACUUUUGAGAGAUUAUUAUUCUACCGAAAAGUAGAGAGAAUUUAUUCUCAACUUAUAAACAUAUUUUUUAGAAUAACAGCUUUACCGAUUUCUAUUAAAGAAGAGAGAAUUUUCGUUUUCACCCUAAAAGAAAACCUUUUCUAGUUUUGUGUUUUGAUUCAAUUGGUUUGAGCCCACACUCGAAGCAAUUCGUGGUACGAGAAUAGCGCAGAAGAUCGUUUGGUUGAAAGCCUGAAAACAUCAAGGAUUCACCCAUCUAAAAACACAUGUAUGAAUUCGGUUAAGGUUUUUUUGCUACAAAUAUCACAAACCGAGUUGAUUUUCAAAAUUUUAACUUUUGCUGUGCAAGAAAACCAUUUUCAAACUGAGUUUUUUUUCAACAAUUUUAUCUCUCAACUUUGUAAAGAGCUCAAGUGCCUAAAGCUACCUAAAGAGGUGACAGGUUCAAUAGAGUAGGAGUGCCUUGUUGGGACAAACGGUACGUGACGCAUGACCACCUACCAAGGAAAUUUGAGCAUUUGAGUUUGGUAGGGUUUGAGCUCAUGCCUUACAACAAAUAUGGCACUUAUGGACAACUGCUACCAUUUAAUUAGGUCACUUUAUAACUUCUCAUUAAUUGGAGGGCGAUUGUUAUUAAUAUUUUUCCAGAGUAGCUUUUGUCACCAUCACCUCGGCCAACUACAACCUCGUCAACUAUGACUUCAGUUGAGGGCUACACUUUGCCAGCUUUAGACCUCAUCAAUACAUAUAUGCCUAGUACAUGAUACUUCUAAUAUACCUCGUUAGUGAAAGAUGUUGGAUCCUUCUAUGCAUGGAUCACACGUAGGCUACUCUUGCUUAGGAAUGGCAAUAGGUUAGUAUAUACAUUUCUUGAAUUAUUAGAAUUUGAAUAUGCAUAUUUGCUUAAAAAUCAAAAUUUGUUUAUUAUCUAUAAAUUAUCUGAGUAUUACUAUCUAAAUUUGGCUUAAUUUAAGUACUAUUAUCUGUAAAAUAUCUGAAUCCGCAAAAAAAGAGCAAUUUAAAAAUUUUCAAUCAUUUUUUGGAUAUCCAAAUUCACGAAAAUUCAAAAUUGAAUCCACCAAAUUUUUUAUAUAUAUAAUCAAAACUAUACACAUUUCAUUACUAGUUGAUUUAGAUAUCGAAAUUCCAAUCUACAUCUGCUAUUCGAAUAAGUAAUUUUGUAACACCUUAAAUAAUUUAAGUCUGUUUUUGUGAAAUUUGACACAAAAUGUGUACCUGCUUCAGUGGUUAAGUGUUCUAGGUGUGUGUGUGAGGUAUUGGGUUCAAUUCCUACUUUUGGAAAAACUUUGUUAUUUUAUAUCCAAGCCUAACUCUUAUUGAGUGGGCUUAUGUUAAAUUGUUUGUUAAUCCAUAUCAAAAUAAGCUUGUAGGUUUGAGUGGUAAGGAGUUGGUGUGUAGGAGGUCCUAUGUUUGAAUCCCUACGUGAGCGUAGGUAUUAAUUUUUGCUCGGUUGUCUGAUAGAGUUUGAGUGGUCUUGAAAGUCUGAGGUUGUUAAGGUUGAGUGUUAGUGGGAAGUUAGGAUAUUUUGGAGGGAUUUUUAUGUUGAUUAUUAUUUUAUUUUAUUCCUUUUUCAAAUUUUCUUCUCUCUUCCCAAAAUUUCCCUCUAAUGUUAUUCUUCAAGUUUUUUUUGUUGUCUCUAAUAUUUUUCCCCCUUUUCAUUAAAUCUUUGUUUUGUUCUUCUUUUUUUUAUUAUGUUCGUCAACCUACCAUUCGAUCGUGCCAUUGGAGUUGUCGAGUUAUCUAAUCGGUUGGUAAGUAAAACUUUGCUUCCCUUUAACUUUUGAUUUGGGAUUAUAGUGAUUUCAAUAUGUAGCAAUUGAUUAGUGGAACUUCGUGUUUAAGAGAAGAAUAGGGAGCAAUGAAUUGCACUCCAACGAUUUAGUGUGCGUUGAAGUGGUUUGUCAUCGAUGGUAAGUCAGUUUCGUGUUGUUUCUUGUCUUCAAAUUCAUUAAUGAAUCUACUAAAUCAAUGCUGGGUACUUUAAUUUUAGGAUUCAGAAGGCUCGGGAGUAUUUUUGCAUUAAAAUCAUAAUAGGUGUGUCCCUAAAACACAGAAAGUUAGGUUUCGAUAAAAGCCAAAAAUGCAUUCUGUCGAUGCCACAAGGGCGUGUGCCUGGCCGUGUGGCUAGUCGUGUGUGAGACACGGCCGUGUGUUUGACGAGGGUGUGGCUAUGCGCAAGCCACGGUCGUGUGGUAGUGUAAGUGUGGUUGUGUAGGCCAUACGGGCUAGGCCAAUCUAGGUUUGUGGGCCUACACGGGCAUGCCACACGGACGUGUAGAGGCCCACACGGCCAUGUAGGCCCACAAUUUUGAGAUUUUCCCUAAGGUUGCACGGUUCGUUUCGAACGAUUGUGGUCCUACCAUAGGGUCGGUAAGGGCUAAUCAAACCCUAAAUUAUGUGAUAUGAUAUUCUGAUAGUACACCUUGUGUAGGAUGUCGAUAUGUACAUCUGUUUUAUUUACGUAUAUAUAUGCUAUCUGUAUAUGAGCAUGUUAUGCAUGAUAUUACUGUAUCUGUUAUUUCUAUAUUAUGUAUCUGUGAUUGGGGUGGGUUUUGUAUAUGUAGAGAAAGUGAUCUGUAGGAUAACACUUCCAUUAUAUUUUAGCAGUUGACUGCAUAUUAUUUGUAAUGUGUAGCAUUGACAUUAUAUGGUGUGUAGGGAGGGGUGGGUGCUUUUAGCCCCAUAUGGUGUGAUGGGAUGGUCGAAGAUGUUGUGUAGAGGAUGGGAGUAGGAUUCUGUAUAUCUGUACUACUUAUCUGAUUCUGUUAUCUGUAUCUGGAAUGGAUAUAAGUCUAGAUCUUGAUCUGACUGUAUAUAAGACUUCUAUUUGUAUUGCAUGUCUAUUUUUGUUAGGUUACACAAUGAGUUUACGAAAACUCACAUCUGUUUGUCUGUUCUGUUCAGGUCUAUAGACUUAGGCGAAUCAGAGUGACGGAGCCUCACGGUAACCACGAGAUUGUAAACUAUUUAAGAUUAUGGUUUUUAUUUAAUUUAAGGAUUCUUUCUGGAAGUUUGUAAUAAUUGGGCUUUCUAGAAUAUUUGACUUUUAUUUCAAUUUUGGAGGCGUUUUAACUUUUAUGGCCACGUUUGACCAAAUUCUGAUUUUACUAAAAUAAAGGAUUUUCUGAAUACACGAAUUAGAUUUCCAAGAUUCAAUGCUUUUUGAAAACUUCCGCUGCAGAUUAUGUUUUGGAAAAUGAAUGAAUUAAAUAAUGCUUCUAGUAACAGAUAGUACACUUGGGGUGAUUUAUCGAACGACUUAACAAAGCUUUAUCAAAAGAUCACUAUUUUCAAAACCCUUCCAUGUAACACUCUUAGAUUCGGCCACAACGUCUAGGCCAGGAUUGGGGUGUUACAUUUAAUGGUAUCAGAGUCAGGUUGCAAAACUCGAGCUGUGAAUUUUGGGUUUCAAAAUUAUGUUUUGAAAAAGAACAGGUUUUCAAAUAAUUUGGAUCAUUUUGAAUAAGUAUGUGGUACACUGAGUCUCCGGCGUUGAUCCUAUGAGUACUUUUGAACUUAGAUAAAACUUUCUGAAAACACUAUAGUUAGUACUUUCUGAAACUGUACUGAGUUAGUUAAAAAAUAAAAACCUCUGAAAUAUGUUCAAACUUUUGAUAAUUUGAGCAUAAAAUAUCUGUUAAUAAACAUUGGAGCUGAUGCAUAAAAUUUUAUAAUGUAGAUAAAUUUUAAAAUAUAUAAUGAGCACUUGUGGAACUCGCGGUCAUGGUAUUCGUGGGCUCAGUGGGGGCCAUAGGGGGCUGGAGCUGAGUCUUUUUCUAUGGGCAAUAUGCCAAACUUAGAUAUGAGUAAGCUACGGUUUCACUUGCUACUGAGACAAGGUCUCAAAGCCAGUUGGCUAGGGACGAUGCACUAUCCCAAGCCAUGUUAAGGGUGUUGGAGAGGGUCACUGGACCCCAUUCUGGAUCUGUGGGCCAUAGGAUGGUAACUGAACAACUCUGGUCCAAUGGAGCUGAGCUGUUUAGGGGUGUCAUUGAAGUCGCUCCUACUGUGGUCGAGUAUUGGUUGGAGGGCACAAAGAGGAUUCUGAACGACAUCGAUUGUACUCCUAAGUAGAAAUUUAAUGGUGCAGCCUCUCUACUUCGCGAUGAGGCAUAUCAGUGGGGGUUGUCAGUUGAGGAGGGUACUCAACGGGACUGUCUGAACUAGGAUUAUUUUAAGACUACCUUUCAGGGGAAGUAUGUGGGCGCGAGCUAUGUUGAUACUUAUAGGCGUGGGUUCAUGAAUCUCACGCAAUGUGAUAAACCAGUGGCUAAGUAUGAGGCAGAGUUUCUAAGGUUAAACCGCUACGCUUGAGGCAUGGUGGUGACUAAAUUUGAGAAAUUCAUCUGUUUUAAGGAUAGCUUGAGGUAUAAUCUGAGGGUACUGAUUGCUCCACAGAGGGAGCAAGAGUUCACAGUUCUUGUGGAUAAGGUGAAGAUCGCAGAGGAGAUUAAGUGCGUGGAGCGCUAAAAUAGGGAUCGUGAGUGAGGCAAGAAUAAGAGGGAUUCAGAGUCCUCUAGUUCUGUUAAGAGGGCUGUUAGAGUAGGGGUUCCUAUUACUUCUAAUAGGAUUCAGCCACGUGAUGAUUGUGGUAGGCACCAUCCGGGUGAGUGUUGGAGGAGGUUGGGGGCUUGUCUGAGGUGUUGGUAUUUGCAACACCACAUUAGAGAAUGUUCACUCCAUGCAGAUUAGAUGCAAGCUUUAGGAUCAAGUUUUAUACAACCUUAGAGGGCAGUUCAGUAGCCAUCUAAGGGCCGUGGUCCGACUAGGGGUGGUAAUGGUAUGGGUCGAGGACAUAGAACAUCGGGAAAAGGUGUUAGUUAGACUGAGGCAAGGCAGCCUGCACUGGUUUAUGCUACUCAAUGCCGAGAGGAUAGAGACGCUCAUUAUGUUAUCACAGGUACUUCUUUAUUUUUGGUGUUCCAUAUACUGCUCUGAUAGACAUAGGUUCUACUCAUUCCUAUAUAGGUAGUACUAUUUCUAAAAAUUUAGGGAUUUUUGGUGAGGGUGUUUCUAGUGAAAUUAUUGUACUGAGUCCGUUAGGGCAGUCUUUUCAUGUAAGUAGACUUUAUAGGAAUGUGCCUUUGGAAGUACAAGGGAUUGUGUUUUCGGCAUAUCUGAUGGAGUUACUAUUUGGGGAGUUUGACUUAAUUUUGGGUAUAGAUUAGUUGGUUGAGCUUUGAGUUAGCUUGGAUUGCACAACUAAGAGGGUCAGUCUGAGGGCUGUGGAUGAAAGAGAGAUAGUAGUGAUCGGUGAGCAUCGAGAUUAUCUACCUAAUGUGAUCUCCGCUCUUGUGGCUGAAGAAUUGGAUCAGAAAGGGUGUGAGGCGUAUUUGGCUUACGUCAGUGUUCUAGUUUCUAGGGACUCUUCUAUCCGGGAUAUCAGAACAAUAAGGUAAUUUUUGGAUGUAUUUCUUGAGGAAUUAUCGGGUUUACCUCCGAAUUGAGAAGUUGAGUUUGGUAUUGAGCUUCUACCAGGUACAUCUUCGGUGUCCAUCGCUCCCUAUCAAAUGGCAUCGAAGGAGCUUACAGAGCUUAAGGCUCAACUUCAAGAGCUUUUGCAUCGUGGUUUCAUCCAUCCUAGUGUGUUUCUGUGGGGGGCACCGGUUCUGUUUGUAAAGAAAAAUGAUGGUACCACAAGGUUGUGUAUUGACUACCUACAGUUGAAUAAACUAACAGUAAAGAAUAAAUAUCCACUUUCGAGGAUUUAGGACUUAUUUGAUCAGUUCCGAGGGGCUGCAGUGUUUUCAAAAAUAGACCUUCAUCCUGGGUAUCAUCAGCUUAACAUUAGAUUUUCAAAUUUAAAAAUUAAAAUUUUUUUUACAGCUGCAUAAUUAAUAAGAUAUCAAUUUUGAGUGUUGUAGAAGUGUUAUAACCUUCUCAACGCAUAACCAACUCUUGAAUUCACUUUUUUCUCUAAAAUUCUACAUAGAACACAAAUUUAUUUUUUAAAUAUAUUUUAAAUCUCGCAAUAUUUUUAGGCGAUUCACCAAAGAAUAAAAACCUAGGAGGUGAUUCCUCCUUUUUAAUAAAACCUUGUGCUUUUGCAAACACCAAAUUAUUGCUAAGCUUUACAUUAAUAGACAUGAUUUAUUUGUUCGUUAUUAUUAUUUCUAUGAUUAUAAUAUUAUACUUAUCGGACUACAAUCAUAACCAUGUUUAUUAUAAUUCAAUAAAAAGAAAUAAGUGUUGGGUGUAAUGGCAAGGUUCAUUACACUCUUAAUAAGAGAUCAGGGUUUUGGACAAAGGAAGAAUAUGAUUCGAAUUUUGGAGACGACAUUCUUAAAAUGAGCAACCACGAAGCCCGAUUAUGAACCAUAAAAUGAACAUGAAAAGUACAAAAAAUACGUCUAUUAUCAAAUUAGUAAUCCAUCCCAAGGCUUAAAUUAACAAAAUUCACCAUGCAACCAUGUAGACUAUUUUACGUAUAUACUAUAUUCAUUCUUCAUGCAAAAUGUUUAUUAUAUUUAAAAAUUAAAAUAUAUGGUUCAUUGAGUUUUAGUUGAGUUAAUAUUGAUAUUGUUGUUAGUGCAGAAGAAUGUGAGUUCAAACAUGUUUAAACGCGUUUUUCUUCCAAUUUAGGAGUUGGAAAGGGUUUUCAAUAGUUAAAUUAUAUAAGUUUUUUUGUCUAAUUAAAAUUGAUUUAUAAACAAUAUAAAUAAAAAGAUUUAAAAUAUAUAUAUUCAUAUUGAUGGGCUUUUUCAUUAUUAGACUUUUUUCCUUACAGGUAAAAGUAUAUAUGGACAGGAUGAUGUAAAAUUAUGACCUGAAUAAUUUUAAACCUUUCAUGACUACAAAAAUGAAAAUAAUAGAAAUGAAAGACUAGCCAUUGUAUGAAAUUUAUAAUUGAACUGCCAACAAAAUUGGGAGAAAUUUUUAAAUUUUAUGAAAUUUUAAAAUUAAACUAUCAAUAAUAGAAAAUUGCCUGAGUGACUUGGGAUUAGAGGUUGAACAUUUCUGGACCACAAUACAUUUAAGAUGGGUCUUUAAGGUUAUACUUUAGUUAUUGAGAACAUUUUCCACAAAUUGUCAUUAUUGUUUACUGCAGCAAAACAGGCUUUUAGCAUCGUUUUCUUAGGCCUAUAGCAGCUUUUUCACAAGCGCCGCAAAAAAUGCCACUAUAGACAACGCUGUUAAAUUUUGCGGCAUUUUAGAACAUGACCUUUAGCGACACUUUACCCAAAAAUGCCACUGAAGAACAUGAUCUUUAGCGGCGCUUUCCCAUAAACACCGCUAAAGAACUUGAUCUUUAGCAGCGCUUUUAUCACAAACGUCGCUAAAGAACAUGACCUUUAGCGGUGCUUUUAUCACAAACGCCGCUAAAGAGCAUGGCCUUUAGUGGUGCUUUUAUCACAAACACCGUUAAAAGUACCGUUCUUUAGCAGCGUUUAUGAAAAAACACCACUAACUUUGGCAGAUUUGUAACAUCCAAUUUUCAUCCAUAUACAACCCUUCCUGUAGCAUGAAAUCCAACCAAAAACAACAAAUCUAAAUGAUACUUCAAAUUCUACGAAAGAUAUAUGAUAUAAAUUGAUAACUGAAGUAUAAUUCAAAAUAUUCUUACAAUAAUGUUAAAAGUUACAAAGUUAAAAAUAUUCUUACAAUAAGAAAACAAAUGUCUAAGAUGGCAGAUUUUGCAACUGCUGAAACAUCUUCAUCAUAUUCUGAAGCUGUAGCUGCAGUGUAUAGUACUUUCUAAUUGAAUAAACACAAAUCUAUUUUUCAACAGCUAUAACAAAUCAGCUAUAAACCUUCAACAGGACCAGUACUUGCAAAAACCUCUUGGAGUAGUGGUUCAGCCCACCUACCUACAGUUUCUCAAAAAUUAAAAUAAAAAAUUAAAAGUUAAAGAAAAAAACAGAAAAAAGAAGAGAUAAAUAAAACUAUAUAAGUAACUUUCUAAGUUGUUAAAAAGAUGCAAGAACAUGCAAGCAUCUAUCAGAUUCCAAAAACCAUUUAACUAUCAAUUAAAAGAGCCAUUAGCUUAGAAUUUUGCACAGAGGGUCAUAGCCACGUAUCCAAUAAGUAGACUCAUGAAGGAAAGUGUCUCUAAUUCAUGCAGUUAUAAGCAUAGAAGUGACUAGGGUAUGUGCUUAAGCAAGAAGGGGAAAUAAGCGACUCACAAUAUACAAAUAAAACAAAAUGGAAAAAGGGGAAAAAUAAGUAAAAAAAACCUAGGCAAACACUCACACACUGCGGCAAGUACUUGGAUCAAAACCAGGAGGCAAAUUUCCACUUGGUAUUGGCUCUAUCUGCAGAAUAGAAAAGUGAAAAAUAAAAAAGAAGAGAAAAGAAGAAACGAUGUACAAAAAAGUUAGGUCCCACUCAACUCAAUUCUAAAGCCUCCAUAUCCAAGAAAAAGGAUGAGUUUUUGAAGAAAUCUAAUAGUCAACCUAAAAGAACAAGCAAGAUGCUAACUACGACCAUGACAAAUGUAAGCAUCACUUCUCCUACUUUGGCAAUACUUUCCACUUGAAAAGACAACAGACUUCCUUGCUUUUACUAUUAUCACAUUUUCCCUUUUCAUUUUUUCAGUGCCGACCUGAAAAAAUAUAUUUUAGCCUCAUCUAAAUAAGACAUACUUUAGCAGAACAACAGACUGUAGAUCAGACCCAAUUCAAGGGUAAUGCAGUCCAAAGUUCCUUGAGCUCCCUCCUCCAAAGUGAAAAACAAAUCUAUAUCUUUCUGCAUGAUUCAAACAAAAAUGACUGUUGGACAUGUAACUCAGAAAGAAUGCAAAUACAUUGAAAGCACCACAGACUUUAUAAAUUAGCUUCAUGCUGUUAAAUUUCAACACUAUAAACCUAACAAAUCCCAGAACGAAAUGCGGGAAUCAUGUCUUAAACUCUAAUACUCAAACAAGAGACAGAUAAAUUGCACGUUUUUUUUAUAUAAUAUUUACAAACUAGAGAUAAAGAUGUAGAAAAAUAUAAACAUGGACAUGGACAAAAAGACUAAUUGACUGUGCAUGUGUGCCAGAGAGAUGGCAACUAAACAUUAUCCAAACACAAUCAUUUCUCAACAUUUGCAAAACAAAAUGAAGAUUAAGAUUAGCGGUAAACUAAAUAAAACCAAAGAAGUGAGAACCACAAGUAAAUGAGAAAGAAAACAAAAUAGAGAACCUAAUAGCUUUCCCAUUGAACUUCGUAUAAAAGAAAUAACAACAUUUGAACUUCAAGCAAAUAAAAAUGUAAAAUAUUUAGAAUCAAAACAAUCUUUUAUCAAAAUUCAAACCAAAAACAAUGAGCUUCACUCUAUACAAGAAGCAUGUUAACGUCAUAGGCUUUCUCAUUUCUGGAAACCAAAUCCAGAAACGUCUCCCACCAAAAAUCAAGAAAAUAACUUUUGUUUUUGAAAAUCACAUUCAAAUCGCGAAAUAGGAGCAAGGUCCUUCGAAUUCAAGCAAAGUUGAUGGUAAAAGCUUAGCUUUCAAAGGUCAAACAUCACAGCAUUAAAUAUAAAACUAACCCAAUCUCCACCAAUUCAAAAACAAGAAACCAAACACAAGAAGAUCCAAACACGAUUUCGAAAAAAGAAAAAUAGAUAUUCCUGAAAACCGGAUCAAAAACUAGCAUAUACUUAAUGAAAAGAGAAAUUGACGAAAAAUCACAGGAGAUCUGCAUGCAAAUAGAAGCACACUUUUGCUUGAUUAUUCGCUUAAAAAAGUAACAAUGGAAAAUAAGAUGCAAGUGCUAGGUAAAACCAUCAUGUCUUCUUACUCACCACAAACAAAGGCCCUCUAGGACCUUCAUGAAUUUUUGUCUCAUAAGUGCUUCUAUUGUGAGCCCGAACAGCUUGAUAGCCCACAAGAUAAGGAUAUCGAUCUUCACCCUACAGAUUAACAAGGCUAAAUCCACUUAAAUGAAACACCAUUAGUCCAUAACAAUUUACUUCAAUUUUCUGCUGUUAGUUCAAAUAUGUAUUUUUUUUAAUUUGCCAAAACUUGUUAGGAUCGAAGAUUCGGAAUUCCUAAAUUUCAAUUCAAAUUUACACAAUACUUGCAGAAAAAUAUACUACUAUUAGAGACACCGGCAAUCAACCAGAGUUCUUUAGUUUUCGAUCAAGUUAUUCGGCAGGUAUCUAUAUUGAUUACACAAAAAAAAAAAAUCUUACACCGUGAGAAUGUCGAGUAAAUUGCAAAUAGAAAAGCAAACGAACCCUAGAGGAGCUCCAAUACUUCUUCUCCCAAGGGCCUUUGUAUAGAGAUCCAAUGGAAAUGAUCUCUAGAUCGUCUAAUUUCGCUGUUUGUUCUGCUUCUUUAGUUUUCGCCAUUCAAAGAAAUGAGAAGAAAGCAAGAUUUCCAAACAACUAACAAUAAGCGAGUAGAGAGGAUUUUCAAGAUAGACGAAGACAUAACAUUUUAAAAUAGCAAGAACUAAAAUCUUAAAAUGCGUCAUUUCCCUCGAAAUUCUAAAUAAAAACUUUAUUUGAUUAGGAAAAAUGUGAAUUGAUUUUGGGAAAAAGAAGGGAAAAAAAAAAGAAAAGAUUUCAUUUGAAAUAUUGGGAUAAAAAAUAUAAUUACAAAAGGACCCCGUUUUGAAAAAAACAUAUUCGUGGCGUUUGGAAAAAAAGUCACUAUUGCUCGACUUUUAGCGACAUUUGGACCAAAAACGCUACUAUUGUUCAACUUUUUUCUGCAUUUACAACAAAAAAGCCGCUAUUGCUUACCUUUUGCGGCUUUUUUUUAUAAAUGCCGCUAGCGCUUGACUUUUUUACAAUUUUUAUAUUGAAUUAUUGUAUCUUUCAUAUAAAUUUUAAAUGAAUAAUUUUUUAAAUUUUAAGUAAUAUUUAAAAGAAUUAGAUAAAAUUAUAAUUUUUAGUUUUUGUAUUUCAUUUUUAUUUUUGUAUUUGAUUUUUAUUUGUUAUAAGUUUGUCCUAUCCAAAAUAGAUAGUUACCUAUCCAUAUCAAUCUGUUACUUUUUUUAUUUAUUUAUCAAUGUUUUUUUAAAUCUAAUAUUUAAAUAUAUCAAUUGGUUUAGAUUAAAUAUUUUUAAAUAUAAAAGCAUUAAUUGAUUGUAUAAAAUUUCAUCAUUUAACAAAUCUCAAGUAAACCUUAAAUCUUAAACCAUUUAAUAUUUAUAAAGUUUAUCUAUUAUCUCUUACAUAAUUUAAACUAUAAUCAUAAUUUUAAUAUAUUAAAAUUAAAAUUAUCUCUUUUACAAUUAUAUAAUAAAUUAUUUAAUAUAUAAAUUAAAAAAUACUAAUUAAUCUAAACUCUAAACCCCUAUCCCCUAAACCUUAAAUCAUAAAACAUAAACCCUAAAUCCCUAACCCUUAACCCCUAACCCCUAAACCUUAAACCCCAACCCUUAAACCAAAAAUCAUAAACCAUAAACUAUAAUCCCUAAACCCAUAAUCCAUAAACCUUAAAAUAGUAACUCCUAAACCAUAAACCAUAACCCUAAACCCUAAACUAUAAUGAUAAUUAAUUCAAUAUUUUAAAAUUAAUUCUAUCUCUUUUAUAAUUAUAUAAGAAAUUAUUUAAUAUAUAAAUUAAAAAACAAUCAGUCAUGAACCCAAAAAACUUUAAAAUUAUUUUAAAUAAUAGUAUUUUCAUUUUUUUUCAUUUUUAACAAAUAUUUUCUAUGUUUUUACUUUCAAAAUUUGUCUACGUGUCAUUAUUUUUUUCUGAAAAUUUUAAAUAUUCAAUUAAAAAUAAAUUUUAUUUUAAUUAAUAUAAAUAAACCAGUUAAAUAAUAAAUAGACAAAUAAAAUAUUUUUUGCGACAUUUUUGAUAAAGUGCGGCUAAAUCUCGAUCUAUAGUUGCGUUUUACAAAAAAGCGUUGCUAAUGCCACUAAAGCUCAACAUACAACGUCUUACUGAAUUUUUUGCGGCAUUUUUCAAAAAGCACGACUAAUGCUUGAUCUAUAGUGGCGUUUUUCAAGAAGCGCCGCUAAUGCCACUAAAGCUCAAUAUAAAGGUACCUGAGUCUAGUUUUAAAGACAUCAAGUGGAUCUUAAUUCGGAAUUUUGUAGCUCAAGAUAUAAAUUUAUGUUAAUCUUGUUAUCUUUCUUAUUUUAGAAUUGAUUACAUGAAAGUUAAUUGCUAAUACUAUUAGUUAAUUAUUAGUUUUCUUCAAAUCAAAUUAAAACCCGAAAGGUCCCUCUUUUUUUAUAUUAGUUUUAGUUUUCCAUUAAAUUUGUUUCUUUGUAAUAAAAUUAAAUUAUAGAAAUAACAUUAAAAUUUUAAAUAAAAGUAGUUCACAAUAAUUUAUUAUUUAAAAAACUCCCUGAAAUUUAAAAUUAUUGUUAUAAGUAUACCAUUAAAUCAUACAGAAUUUAAUUUUUCUUUCAAAUACUACAGUUAAUAAGGAAAGAGAAUAUAGUACAUAUCAAUAAAACUUUUAAAAAAGAAAUAUUGUUUGUAAUACCAAUUUUUUCUGCCCGGGCCCAUACAAAAUAAAAUACAGCAGGCCCAUCUACAGACCAAACCCAUAUUCAAAAAAAAACCUAGGCUAAGAAGCAGCAAGCUUCAGCCGCACGCCCAACAGCAGCCUCCCUAACCGCCGCCGCAUCCUCCGCGCACAUACACCUCUUCCACGGCCUCCAUACCUACGAGAAAAGCGGAUCCAAACAGCAAUAGACGCAGCCAAUAAUGAAAUAGGAUUUUUUACUUUUUUUUUGCUGUAAUUUUGGCUAUAAAAAGCCAUCAAAAAUCUGUAAAAAAGGGGAGGGAUUUUUGGAGUUUAAAAGAUACGAAAUAGAGGGAAAGAACAGAGAUCGAACUUGUUUUUUUUAAAGGUUUUUUUCGUUUUACUUUGCAGUGCCUAUUGUUUUUAUUUCCAUAUUUUUUUCUUUUAUUUUCAUUUUGUUUUAUUUAAAAUAACAAAGGAAAGAAAGAAGAGGGGAAGAUCUUACCUCUUUCGCCGGAGCUGACGAGCCGUUGCCACCACCGACGAUUGGGCCGUGGCGCAUGGGAAAUGGCGGCGCAAGGACGCUAGGAGUCCAAACCUAGCAGAGCAAAACAGGGGGGGAGGGCUUUGUUUUUUUCUCUUCGGUUGUAAUUAAUUUUGAAAGAAAAAAUUUGUUUUAAAUAACAAAAGUGAAACGGCGCCGUUUUGAUGGCCAGACCCGCGCGUUCUGGCUUUAAGUGGGAAAUUUUCGCUUUCAGUCCCUUCUUUUUGCGACACGUUUCAAUCAAGCCCAAUUGUUGUUUUUUAAAUUUAGCCAUGUACUUUAUUUUUUGUUUCAAAUUGGCCCUUUGUUGCGCAGCGCUUUGGAGGGUGGGAUUAAUUUCCCUUUAGGUCCCCAUGGUCGUUCGCGCGUUCAAGUUGGUCCCUUUUUGUUUAUUCUCGAAUUUACCCCAUUCUUUUGUCUUUAAGUUCAAUUUAGUCUAUUUUUUUUGAACUAUUCAACUUUUUUUUUUUGUAAUUAUUAUAUUAUACCAUCAUUAUUUAUUAUUAUUAUUAAUACUAUACUUAUUAUUUUUCAUGAACAUACGCAUUUUAUAUAAUAUAUGUUCUAAUUUCAAAAAACGUUUUACUUUUGUAAAUGUUAUUUUAAUUUCAAAAACGUUUUCCGCUUUUUGUAAAUAUAUAAUUCUAUAUUUUAUUAUAAAUAUUUUUUUUCCUCUAUUUUACAAAUGUAUAUAUAUAUGAAUCUACAUACGCAUUUUAAAAUACGCAUGCACCUUACAUAUCUAUAUAUAUAUAUUUUAUUCUACUUACAUAAUUUUUAUAUACAUUUAUAUUUGAUAUAGAUAUACAUUUUUGUAAUAUAUAUAUUUCUCAUAUGUUAUAAUUCAAAACAUACAUUUAUACAUUUUCUAUAAUAUACAUACACUUUCCAUUUUUUAAUUAUUGUAAAUAUUUUUUUUGUUAUUUCAUGUAUCCCAUUAUUUUAUAUACAUAUUGUACAUAUAUAUAUGUAUUUGAAUAUAUACGUAUACGAAUUUUCGUGAUUUACCUAUGUAUAUAUACUUAUAUAUUUUAUUUUUCUAUUUUGUAAAUAUAUACACAUCUACAUGUUCUUUAUUCUAUUUUUACAAUUUUCAUUACAUGUAUACAUGCAUAUUUUUUAGAAAUUAUUAUAAGUUUGUUGUAUAUAUUUCUUCACUUGCCUUUUUAUAUGUACACUUAUAUUUAUGUGUUAAGUAUGCGCCCCCUCAUAUUUUCGAAUUUGCUUGUAUAUUGUACUUGUAUAUAUAUUGUAAAUACAUAUUCAUAUACGUUUUACAUUAAAGUUUUGUUUCACAUUGUACCUUAACCUUAACAUACCCUUUUGAAAAUAUAUUUUGGUUUUAACCAUUCAUCAAGGUUAUUUUCUUGAUUUAAAAGUUUUUUUUUUGAAUAAAAGCAUUAUUUGAGGUUUGGGAUUUUCGAGGGAAAUUGAGCCCUAACGUAUUGGGUUCUGAUUUUCUUUGUCAAUCUUAAAUGAUCGAGAAUACUCUUUAUUCAAAAUGCAUUAGUAUAAAAAUCAUUUUUGGGAACUUAACUUGUUGUGCCCUAACGUAUUGGGUGUGGCCAGUUACUUUCUCGAAAUGAAGAUUUUCGCAUAAAAUAAAAGUGAUAUUCAAAGUUCGGGGAUUAUGAGGAAUCGUACCCUAACGUAUUGGGACUCGAUUUCUUUACAUGACUUGAACAAUUGGUUAUCCUUUUGCAAAUUUCAUCAUUCAAGCUUAUUUUAAAAUCUUUUUUAACUUUCGACACUAAGACAUCAAAUAAUCAAUUUGGUACCGAUUUUGGGCGUUACGAGGGUGCUAACCCUUCCUCGUGCGUAACUGACUCCCAGACUCGUUUUCUCAAAAUUCGUAGGCCAAAAUAAUUUUUUUAAAAGGUGGGCCGAUCACACCUUAGUAAAAGAAUCGGUGGCGACUCCAGUUUUAUUUUUAAAAGUCGACAACUAAAUUUUUGUUUUCAAAAAAACGGUUUCGACAUUGUUUAAUUAGUUAAUUUAAAAAUCAAUAGAGUCUAAAAACGGUCAGAAUGAAAUAUUAGAUUUUAUAAGAUUUCAUUAUUCUAAAAAAUAAAAUACGACAAUGCUUAAAAAUUUUAUCAAAAAAGUUUUAAAUUUUAUAUAAAAUUAAAAAAAACAGUAUUAAAAUUUUUUAUAACAAAUUUAAAUAUUAAUUAGUAAAUUAUUUUUGUAAUAUUUAUAUGUAUUUUCAUUUUUAUAAAUACUAUUAAAAUUUAUUAAAAAAAUUGAAUGCUAUUUAAAAACAUUAUUAAAAAAUAAAAUAUUAUAUGAAAGUUAAAAUGACCUAAAAACAUAUUUUAAAAAUUUAAAUACUUUAUACAAUAUUUAAAACUGUUUAAAAAUUUCUAAACCCUAAAAAAUCAAUAAAAUAUAAUUUUUUUUCUAAGAAAUCAAUAAAAAUAUAUUUAUAAUUGAACUGUCAACAAAAUUGUGAGAAAUAUUUAAAUUUUAUGAAAUUUUAAACUUAAACUGUCAAUAAUAGAAAAUUACCUCAGUGACUUGGGAUAAGAAGUUCAACAUUUAUGGAUCACAUCGUUAUGAUCGAUCGUAGGCCUUUCGUGGGGUCGAUAUAUAAUCAAAUAGACUGUAAAUUAUGAAAUCCGGUGAACUAAUACUAUAAAUUCUGAUAUCUAUUCAUAUAUUUGAGAUGUUAUUUGUUAAAUAAACCUUGUAAUAGGCUAUGAGAAACUUGAGAAAUAUUAUGUAUGCUUUGUAUCUGUUAUGUCAUACAUGUAUAACUGUAUUAUGUCCGAUUCUGUUCUAUUCUUUUCUGUAUUUGCAUCUGGGGUGGGUUAUAUUAUGUGGAGGAAGUGUUUCUUUGAAUGGCGAUAAUUCGCCUAUUACACUGGCAGCUCAGCUACAAAUAUUCUGAAAAGUGUCAUAUCGACACUAAGUGGUGUGUAGGGCUGGAUGAGUGUUUCAUACCCCAUAUGGUGUGUUGGGAUGGUCGGAACUAGUGUGUAGCGGAUGGGGUAGGAAUAUAUGUCUGUAUUUGUACUGCUCUAAUAUGAAUAUGUUCUGCUAAAUCUAUCUGAUAUAAAUUAACUGUUUAAAGUUAUUCGUUAUACAUUGAGUUUUGUAAACUCACUUUCUGUUUGUUUGAUAUUUUUUGGUAAUCCUCUGACUUUGACAAAUCGGUGCGAAAGAGCUCAGUUAAAUUGAUUUAGUUUCAUUAUCUAUUAUAAUUAAAUUUUGGGUUAUUGUGUUUUAUUAUUUUUGGACUGUUGGGAAUUUUUGGAUUGUUUUGGUUUUUGAGAUUUUAUUUUCAAUUUUUGCAUGAUACUAUUAAAAAUGUUUUAUCGGAAAUGUUUGUUUUCUUGCGAAACAACUGAUUUCAGAAAAAUAAACUUAGUUUUCCAAACAUAAUGAUCUAAGAAUUUCCACUGCUAAUAAUUCAUUUUAGAAAAAGUAAGCAAACAUCGUUUCAACUAUAAAGUUAAGUUAGAUGUAUUUUUCUCUUAAAUUGAGGUUUAAGUAAUAAAAGUUUACGACAUUUUUCCAAAUUGUACAAAAAAUUGGAUUUACAAUUGUUUUAUAUAACAUCUCUAGAUUUGGCCAUAGCGUCUAGUUGGAUUUCGGGUGUUAUAUUUAGUGAUAUCAGGUCAGGUUGCAAAACUUAGGCUGUGAAAUUUUCGGUUCAAAAUUUUGUGAAAACUAUUUUUCGAGUAAAGUUUGUCGAAACUACUUUUUGGAAACAAAAAAUAGCGUUGACUUAAAAUAUGAAAAUUGGAGUCGCCACCAAUCUUUUUUAUUUAGGUGUGAUCGGAUCACCUCCUAAUUUAAUCAUUUUAAUAAAAGUUAAAAUUUACUAAAACGAUAAUUUUUGGUCUACAAAAUUCAGAAAAUGGGUUCAGGAGUCGGUUACGCACGAGGAAGGAUUAGCACCCUCGAUACGCCCAAAAUUGGUACCUAGUUGAUUAAUUAAUGUCUUAAUGCUGAAUAUCAAAAACUCGAAAAGAUUAAAAAUACGAUCUUUUUAUUAAAAAACUUGUAUAAAUCAAAAUGUGUGCUAAGACCCCCUUAUUUCGGGAGAUAGAAUGUCACAUCCAAUGAGUGAGGAUGUGAUGUUUCGCAACCUCAAAAAUGAGAUUGUCUUUUGAUUUUUAAAACUCAUGCAGUGAAGUUUAAAAAUGAUAUUCAAUUGUUUAAGUCAGAUGAAAAAUCGAAGCGCAAUAUGUUAGGGCACAAUUCCUCAAAAUUCUAAAUAUUGAAUAUUGCCUUUAUUAUUUUUUAGAAAAAUCCUCAUCUUGAGAAAACAACAUGUCAUAUCCAAUGCAUUAGGACACAACGUAUCGAAUUCCUGAGAAUGAGCUUUUUAUUUAUGUGUUUUGAUUAAAGAAUAUUCCCAAUUAUUUAGAUUCAACGAGGAAAAUUGGAACCUAAUACGUUAGGGCUCAAUCCUCUCGAAGAUCCCAAAUACCGAGUAUUGCGUUAUCUUGAAACCUUUUGAAUAAAAUGAUUCCCAAAACUUAAACCAUAUUAAACAUAAUUUUUGAGCAAAUAAAGCAUGAUGGAAAUGAUAAUAUGCAAUGCGAAGUAAUAAUUCGUAAGCCAAAAAAAAAUACUCUAAUGGAUGACAAAUAAUCAAUAAGUACAAGUAAGCGAUACAAUACACAUAAGGGCAAUAGUCACAUAUUAUGUAAAUACAAACAUUAAUCUUUGCAAGCUAAUCUAAAAAAAAUACCAAACAAAUUAACAAAUAUGAAAUGUGACAAGUUUUUGAAAUAACUAAAAAACAAACAACAUGUAAGAAGGGAAAUUAUAAUCAAUAAAUUAUAUUUACAAAAAUGAAAGUUUGAAAUAAAUCAAAUAGUAUUAAAAAUAAAUACUACAUAAAAUAAUAGUAUUUAAAUAAAUUUUAAAGUAAAUUGUAUAAGUAGAAAAUCAAAAUAAAUAGUACACAAAAUAACAUACAUAUAUUAAUCUAAACAAGUAAUACAUGAAAACUUAAUAUAAAUUAUAAUGUAUGCAUAUAAUAAUGUAUAUAAAAAAGUUGAGAUAAACCAAGUAUAUAAUAAAAUAGGGUUUUAAGAUAUAAAUUAUGUAUAUAUAAAAAUAGGUUUUUAAAAAAUAUAUAUAAACACAUUUGAAAGAAAACUUAAAGUUAACAAUUAUAAUAAUAUGAAAUCAAUAAUAUAUAUAUAGAAUAAAAAUACUUUAAUAUAAAUUAUACAUGUAUAUAAAAUAGUAUAAUAAAAAUAUUUUUAUAUAAAUCUUCAAAACAUAGAAAUAUAUAAAGUGAAUUUUUUUAAAAAAUAAAUUAAAAAUAAAAAUCAUUAAAAAUAUAUACAUUAUAUUGGAUUUUAAAGAAUAAUACAUUAUAAAAUUAAAUGAUAAUAUAUGACAAUAAUAUAAAAACCUAUAGUAGAAUAAAAUUACGUAUAUAAAAAGGUUAGACUAAUAUAAAAAAGAUAAUAAUAGAUUAAUAUUAAACCCAUUAUUUUAAUAGCAAAAAUCACAAAGCAAUGGACUAAUUUGUAAUGAAAACAGAAACUUAAGGGCAAAUCUGAAAUAAAUAAAAAGAAAAGGAUCGGAUCAAAACACGCUAUACAAGCGGAGGGACCAUUUGCGCAAAUAUCUCUCUGAAGCAAAAACAUGCGGAUCCUUCCCCUAGGUUGGGUCACCGCGCGGGUCAAAACCCACCAAACAGCGUCGUUUUGGCGCUAUGGACCUUAGCUCAAAAUGGCGCCAUAUUAUACUAUUAUUUAAACAAAACCUUCUUUUUUUAAAACAUUUGCAGCCUGAGUUUAAAAAAAAAAUUUGCUGCUCAUGUUCUCUGCUAGGGUUUCAACGCUAGUUUCACGAGGCCGAAAGCUCCGCCGAUCUUCGGCCUUACAGCCCUUGCCCGAACUUUGACUGUGACGAAGCGAACAAGGAUCCAAUCGGCGCUAACACUGAGGUAAAUCCCUUCCCUCUUCUUUAUUUUUAUUUUACAAACAUUAACAAUAAUAAACGAACAUCGAAGAAACAGAAAAGAAAAAAGAAAUCAAAAAGAAAAAAAAUCAGAUUUCAAAUCACCUCACAAAAAUUUAAUUGCUUUCUGAUUUCUUUGGUAUCUUUUUUUUACUUAUUUCGUAUUGUUCGCGUAAAAAACUUACGAAGGUCUUUUCUUCUAUUUUAUAGCCAAAAUCUAAAAUAUAUAUAUAAUAUAUGUUUUUUUCUGUGCUAUUUUUUCGUCCUAUUUGCAGGUAUGAAGACCAGCUGGCAGUGUACGGAGGCGGUGGUGCAGCACGCGCUUGGCUGAGGCGACUAGAGGCAUGCGGCGGCUGGGUCUGCUGGGGUUUAAUUUGGGCCUGGGAUUGGGUUUGAUUUAAUGGGUUUGAUUUUUGGGCCGUAAAUGGGCUUUUUAAUAUUAGACUUUUAUUUUUUAUUUGGAUUAUUAUUAUUUUUUGUGUAUGUGGGUCGGGGCAGAAAUUGGGCUCUACAAAUUUCAUUUCUGCAUUAAUCUGAAAAUUAAUUAUGUGAAAUAUCGAGUCUCUGACGUUGAUCCUGUAAGUACUUCUGACUUAGAUAAACUUUAGUUUUAGAAAACUCUAAAAUUAUUAGAACUGUACUUGGAUAGUUAGAGACUGAAACAUCUCUAUAAAUUCUUUUGAUAACUUUUUGAGUAUAAAAUGUUUGCUAAUAAAUACUAAAAUUGAUACAUAAAAUUCGUAAUAUAGGUAAUAUAUACGAUGAGUACUCGUGGAACACAUGGACGUGGUAACCGUAGGCAUGGCGGGCGCCGAAGAGAGGCUCGAGCUGAGUCAUCCUCGAUGGGUACCUGAUAGGCUAUUGUUGGAGAGAGCAAUAGUCUUGAGAGAAGAAAUUUUGAAGAUCAAAGUCAAAAUCUGACAUGUAAGGCCUUUAAUUGCUUGAAUAAUAAGCAUUUCCAAACUAAAAGGAUUACGAUUUCUUCAAGAAUUUGACCUGCAGACAUAGUUGAAACAUCAAGGUGUUAAAUUACCUAUUUUGUUAGUGUAAAUCAAAGAGGCUUUUUAUUUUUUUUUUCGUUGUGAAAUAAUAUGGAUAUGUUAGAUUCUAAUCAUAUUUAAGUAUAUAUUAGUUCUUGAAGAGUUCUUAUUUUUUGGUAUUUAUAUUGCAAAUAUUUUUUUUAAAAUUAAGAAAAAAGGGGGGGGGGCAAAUGUGUAUAAACUACAGACAUCAAGGAGAAGGCAUACCUUCUAGGUUAUUUAACCCCAAGUAUAAUUGUUUAAGUUGUGUCAAAUUCCCAAUGCUUUUUGGAAUGAUCCCACUAAAUUGAUUAACAGACAAUUCCAAAAUUUGAAAGUUGCAGCAUUUGUCUAUACUUGAUGGAAUAGAACUUGAUAAUUCAUUUCUACUGAUCAAGUAAAGCUCUUUAAGCUUGGGAAGAUGGACACACAAAUCAUCGGGCAAGCCACCAGAAAGACUAUUAUCACGAAAAUGAAUCCUUUUCAAAGAAGAAAUGUUAAAGAUGGAAGAUGCAACCUGGCCAGGUAAUUGAUAAAACUUUGACUUAAUCCUUUAAAAAAUGUAAAAAUAUAGGCUAUUAAAAUGGUAAAAUUACAUUUUUACUAUUGUAAAAAUUACAAUUUAAUUUCACUCCUAAAAAGAUUUUCUGGCUUCGACCCUAAUAAAUUCUUUGGCAAAAGAUUAAAAUAAAAUUAUACCGUAAAUGAAAAAAAGAAACUAAGAAAAUCCAAUCUAACAAAGAAAAUAACUUGAUGUCCAAAAGCUACCAUAAACCGUAAUUCAUGGGAAGGCUUGUUGCUCAUUUUAUUGGUUUCCAUUUUGAUUUUGCAAAAGAAGUUUGAAUUUUGAAGAGAGCCUACUACGUGAGAGCAAAAGAAAAAAAAUAGUUUAUAUGAUUAAAAUUCCAGAAUAGAUUAAAAAUGUUGAAUUAAAGAUAAAAUUACUCACCAUCUCUGUUAAAAAUGUUGGAUGUUGUUUAGCAACCUUUGUUUGAUUUUCUUCAGCUCAACCACAACAUCUUUCAUAUCUUUUCUUUCUUCUGGCAACUCAGCUGAACAAUUCAAAGCCAACUCCAUGAUAGAUGAAAUACAAUUUGCUUUAACAACAAUGUACUCAUCCUCUCUUCUUAAUAAAUCAACAUCUGCAAUUUCUAUCGCUCCUUUAGGCAAUGAACUUUCCAUCCAAUGCCUUAUAGUCUCUUCUUCAACAAAAGCAUUAUCAGUUGGCUUUUUCUUUGUGAAAGUUUCUAUAAGGACGAUCCCAUAACUAUAGACGUCAGAUUUUAUAGAAACAACUCCUGCUGAUCCAAAUUCUGCAUUUCAAGUAUAAUUAGAGCAUCGUUCAUCCUCAAUUAUUUCUAAAAUGCUUAUUCAAAUAUAUAUCCACAUACACAUGAAACAAAAAUAUAAAAUGCAAAUUAGGAAAAUAAUCAUACAAAAAUAAAAAAAGAAUUCACCUGGUGCCAUAUACCCGAUAGUUGCAAGAGUCAUGGUUUGCUUCAUUACUUCACCUUCUCCCAACAAUUUGGCAACGCCAAAAUCUCCAACAUGUGCAACCAUGUCUUCAUCUAGUAAAAUAUUGCUUGGUUUUAUGUCACAAUGAAUUAUAGGUGUUGGAUGUCCAUUGUGGAGGUGUUCUAUAGCUACCGCAACAUCUAUCAUUAUCUCGACCCUUUGUAUGAUAUCAAGGAAACAAUUUUCAGAAUGUAACCAUUUAUCAAGGUUUCCAUUAGACAUGUAACCAAGCACCAAGGCUUUGAAGUCAACACUUGAGC